rnacentral:lncRNA from 1 species
UGGUUUGUAAUCGAUUCUUUAUCAAUGGGCCACCCUUUCUUUGAACCCUUGUCAAUGAUCGAACUUAAAGAUAUGAACUGAGUGCCAUUUGAUGAGUAACUGAGAACAAAGGAGAGGGAUAUAGAAAGAAUGAAGUAACGAAAGAGGAAGUCAUUGCUAGUAGUAACGACUUGUUACGAUCCAUUGGUUAUCAAAAAAACAUUCUUUUCGCUAAGCGUAUAUAAUAAAAUAGAGUGAAAGGGUCCACCCCGAAACCAAGGGGGUACUAACUAACAGCUGAGUCCUCUCCGAACCGCAGGAGAUAGUUGCCCAUCAUACGGCUCACCAACUUCACUUGCCUCUAUGGGAGGCUCGCUCCGGGCAGGUUCGGAUCACUUACAAUACACAGCUCUACGAAGGGGUUAGGAACGUUUUCAAUAUUCUUCUUUUUCCAUAUUUGUUCGAUCUCUUCCAUCUCUGCCCCGCGUUGUCACCUAUGUUGAAGAAAGGUUUGGAACCCUGUAGAGAAUGAAGAGGAGCCAAGGAUCUUCCUCUCAACAGUGCUUCUCGAGGCUCCACUCUCCCCCCUGAAUAAGUAAGGCCCCGUUAGCCUGGGCGAAGAUGGGGAUAAGGAAUAAGGAUUGAAGCCCCCGCCCGCUCUGCCAGGCACUGGACAGGGGUUAGCUCGGUAAAUGUGUAGAGCCAAGUGUAGUGUGGUGUAGUAGUAGGCACUUCUAGGCCCCUUCCCGGCUACUGGAUCACUCCAGCGCUUUGGGUACUACGGACCCUCUGCCAUCCAUUGCAGCAGAGUCGUUUCAUGAGCGGGGGGGCUAAGCGCAGUUCUUUGAAUCAAACGUUGAAUGAAAUCGAUUCUUUUUUAGAUAUAAAAAUCGAAAUCGGAUAGGAUAGAUGGAUGGAUCUAUCUUUCUAUUUAUAUAGUGUUGUAGCGUAGCAAAAAGCCCCAAAUCCUUGAUUUGGCCAGGAAAGACUGCACUGCUUUGGGCCCAGGAAGCUUUGGGAAUGAGCUCGGCUGCUUCUCCUCCACACUUCUUUUUCUCCGUGCCCGCUCCGCAUGCGCUUCGCGCGCCAUUGGCGCUUUGCUCUCCUCUUAUUCUUCAUUGGACGAUUCGGAUGGACUUCGCCGUUCUUUCCCAACUAAAAUAGAAAAGGCUGUAUCACAUCGAGAUGUCGAUUCGUUUUCCGCCCCCAAUGAGAUGGGGAAUUUUGAACCCCCUAUUUAGACUUUUGGGCCCUUCAUCUUUCUGAAUCGAGGCCCGGCCCGGCUCGCGUCGUUCCAACAACCGGCGGGGAGCACCUCAGUAUACGAUCGCGCGCAGUAACUGGGAGUCCUAUUACACCUAAGGCCAACUUCAAUUCACCAAACCAAGGUUCAUCUCGUGUAGUGAUUGUGGACUCAUACAAGGAUAUUGAGUAGACGGUUGAUGUAUCAGACUCGACCCUAUCUUUCGUAGCAUGCAUUCCCAUCUGUGUCGCAACUGAUUCGGUAAGCUACGUGUCCGGUGCACGGAGAACGGCCUUCGGCCCCCCAAACUGACUUACUCGUGGCAACCUUCCGGCCGCCCAACAACCUAUAACGCUAGUCACUACUCCCACUGGGGCUAGGAAGUAAGCCCCACAACCCAAAGCGGCGAAGAACAAAUAGAAUUUGCUACAAAAGUCGGCUAACAGGGUUGUUCCUGUGUAUGAGAACAUAGUAAUGGAGAAGGUACUAGCCGAAAUAGGAUUCAUUUUGGCUAGAGCCCCCAAACCUUCUAUAUAUUUGACACAGGUUUGCCGUAAUGCUAAAAUUAUGCCGAAUGCAUUUAUUGUCAUUAAUGCAUAAAUAAAGAUACCGAUUAGUAGUGAUUGAAUUCCUUCUAUGGUUCCACAUGAGAAACCAGUACGAAUAUAACCUACAUGUCCAAUUGAACUAUGAGCUAGAGGAUUUUUCACUUUCGUUUGGGCCAUGACGGCCAAGCAAUGCUGCAAAAAAAAAAAAUUUGUUGCAAUGUAGCUCUAUAGGAACCAUAAAUAGAAACACGUGAAAUAUUAGCAGAAAUAGAAAUUUUAGGCGCAAUAGAAAGGAAUGCUGUAACCGGGGUGGGUGAACCCUCAUAGAUAUCAGGUGCCCACAUAUAUAGAGUCAAAAGAGAUAUGGAGUCCGAAGGGGAGGGGGGUUUUCUUCGGGGCUCGAGAGAUGGAAUAGAUAGGGCCCCACAAGUUUUGAAUUCACCGUUGGGGAAUUCACACGAAAGGGAACGAGGAAUUCUCAACGAAAAAAGUGCUCUCUGAACCGAACGUGAAAGUUGUUUUCCAUCAGACGGCUGUUCCCGUAACUCCACUCUCGACUUGGAUUAUAUAUCCAAAAAGGUCCGCUCUUGGCCAUUCCACACGCUGCCUAGCAGAGGCAUGGUUAUCUGAAGUGGAUUCUCUCUUUUCUAGUAGAUGCCGAACCUGCUGCCCCAUUGAUGUUGAAGAGGGGCGGGCGCAGCAGUUACAUGGACCCCUUCCUUUCUGUUGUUGCAAGCGUUUUCUCGGGUCAAAUCGAAAUUUCUUAUUAUAUAGGGCAGACAAAGUGUCAUGAGCCAACUUUGUAUAGGGUCAUGAUCGAGGCUUAGGUUGUCAUGAGUCACUCAUGUAUAGGGUCAUGAUCGGAUAAAUCUCUUAUGUUAAGAAAAUUAUCCUCAUUUCAAACAUUGUAAUGGUUAGCGGUAUCAUAGCUUUAAAAUCUCUAAAGCUCUUUAGGGGGUGAGCGGGCAGCAUACUAUUAGGCUGUCUCACCGAUCGCAAUACGGGCUUAGGUCAUCCGCCAAGGGCUGCCCCCUGGCCCUGGCGAUGGUGGAAAGUCCCGAUGUAACAUCUUCGAUUUUAAUAAAAUUCACCUCGAUUCUAAUGUCCCGAUUAUUGCCUUGAUGUGUUUUUCUUUUGUCGAUGUGAAUGUGCUUUCUUGUGUGUGUGCUUGAGAUUGAUCUCGAUAUGAAUGUGCCUUAUUGCGUAUACUAGGGACUAACUGUGGCUAAUGGUUAUUUGUUCAAAUAUCAAACUAUUGAGGGUUGACUUGGGUGGAAGCGUCCAUUCAAGUGCCGCAUGGGCUAUUGCUUGUUGAGAGAAAGCCUAGUCCGUGACACGUGGUAUCAGAGCGCGGUUGAGAAGUGCUAGAAAUGGAAGAGAUGGCCACAAGUGGUGGACCCAAUUAUCAACAGAGAAUUUAGGAACUUGAGGUCGCGGUGGCCGUAGUGAAAACUCACAUGGUGACUAAAGAUCGAGACAACCCAGCGGGAGUUGUCCGAUACUCUCCACAACGUGAGCGAAGAGGUUAGAGAUGCCUUGAAUAUUCUCCAAAAAGAGUUUGAGGAGCUCAGAGCACAAGUGAGCAUCUUACAAAUGGCUGUGGCCAGAUCGGGUUCGAACUCGACGGAAAAGGGAAAAAAGGGCCAAGGUGUCGGAGCCUCAAUGCUAUGAAGGGCCAAGGGAUGCCAAGGAGCUUGAAAACUUCUUAUUUGACAUGGAGUAGUACUUUCGAGCUAUACACACAGAUUCAGAGGAAGAUAAGGUAGUAAUGGCAUCGAUGUACCUCAUAGAUGAUGCCAAGCUAUGGUGGCGCUCUAAGUUUGUCAAUGAUGAGUGCUUGAUUAAGACUUGGAAGGACCUGAAACAAGAACUGAAAAAUCAAUUUUUUCCUGAGAAUAUGGAGUAUAUGGCCCGAAAGAGACUUCAAGAAUUGGUGCAAACAGGAACAGUGCGAGAGUUUGUAAGAAGUUUUUCUACCCUGAUGUUGGAUAUUCAAGACAUGUCUGAAAAGGACAAGAUAUGUUAUUUUCUUGAGGGCCUCGAGCCUUGGGCCAGGACAAAACUACAAAGAUAAAAAGUGCAAGAUGUGGCCACGGCCAUUGCUGCAGCUGAACGUCUCCACGAUUAUAAUGAUGGCUCUUCAAAAAGGAAAAAUCCUCCAUCAGUUGGCAGUAGCUUCAACUUUGGGAGUAGGGAAAAGAUGACUAAGUUGGACCAACCCUUUAGUGGGGGAUCAGACAUGAGGUCCUUUGAUCGAGAUAGCACCCAACCCAAAGACAAGCAACGCAGUGAUUUUCAAGCCUAGGCAACCGCUAGCUUGCUUCCUCUGCAAUGGGCUGCAUUGGGUAAUCGAAUGCCCACACAAAGGAACCCUUAAUGCGUUAAAAGCCUCGUCUCAAGAGUCCGUAAAAGCGCCAGAGAGCGUUGAAGAAGUUGAAGAGGUGCCAGCUAGGAUGGCUUCAAUAAGGUUCCUUAAUGCCCUUCACCCCAACUAAACACAAUAAAAAAAGAGCAGGGUAGAGGCCUGAUGUAUGUAAACUUAAUGAUCAAUGAGAAGGUCACCAAGGCCAUGGUAGAUAGGGGUGCAACCGAUACCUUCAUCACACCAGAAGAAGUAAAAAGGUGUGAUCUCCAGGUUAGCAAGGACUGUAGACGAAUGAAGGUAGUUAAUUCGUCAGCCUUUGUGAUCAAUGGAAGCUUCAAGAAUGUAACGACCAAAUUGGGGCCAUAGGAAGGAAAGGUAGACUUUACAGUUUCACCCAUGGAUGACUUUGAUGUUGUUCUCGGAUUGGACUUCAAGAUGUUGGCUCAGGUGAUCCCUAUCUCCGUCGCUAGUUGCUUAUUGUUCUUAGGGGAACACCCAUGUGUGGUGCCGACCACUAUCCGGCCAAAGAGUGAGAAGAAAAUGAUUUUAGCUUUACAGUUCAAGAAAGGGGUAAAGAGAGGGGAACCCUUCUUUGUGGCCAUGUCAAUCUACAAAGAAGGGCCAGGAGUGGAAUCGAUACCAGAUGACGUGAAAAAAGUGUUGAAAAAAUUCGAAGAGGUGAUGCCAGAGAUGUUGCCUAAGGUUCUACCUCAUCGACGAGUAGUGGACCAUGAAAUUAAGCUCCUCCUAGGAGUGAAACCCCCUGCUAGAGCCCCUUACCGCAUGGCCCCACCAAAGUUUGCCGAACUAAGAAAAUAGUUAGAUGAGCUUUUACAAGCCGAGUUCAUUAGACCAUCAAAGGCUCAUUUCGGAGUGCUAGUGCUAUUUCAAAAAAGCAUGAUGGAAGUUUACAAUUAUGUGUUGACUACAGGGCCUUGAACAAAGUCACCAUGAGAAACAAAUAUCCCAUCCCUCUUAUAGCAAAUUUGUUUCAUCAAUUGAGCCGAGCCAAGUACUUUUUCAAAUUGGACUUGAGAUCUGGCUACCAUCAGGUCAGAAUCGUUGAGGGAGAUGAGUCAAAGACCAUUUGUGUAACACGGUAUGGUGCAUUUGAAUUUCUUGUUAUGCCCUUUAGACUGACCAAUGCUCGUGCCACAUUUUGUACAUUGAUGAAUCAGGUGUUCCAUAACUAUCUAGACAAAUUUGUAGUCAUCUACUUAGAUAACAUAGUGGUAUAUAGCUCCACUCUGGAAGAACAUCAAGAACACCUACACCAGGUGCUUCGAAGGUUACAAGACCACCAGUUAUAUGUGAAAAUGGAGAAGUGUGCAUUUGCUCAGACCUAAUUCCAGUUUCUCGGUCACAUUAUCGAACGUGGCCAUAUUCGAAUGGACAUGGAAAAGGUUAGGGCCCUCAAGGAGUGGACAACACCGAAGAAUGUUAGUGAACUCCGCACGUUUUUAAGACUAGCCUACUAUUAUAAAAGGUUUGUAAAAGGGUACUCUCGCAAGACCACAGCUCUCAUGAAGCUAUUGAAGAAGGAGCAUAAAUGGUGUUGGACAAGUGAGUGCCAAGAGGCCUUUGAGGGAUUGAAGAAUGCUAUUAUGAAGGAUCCCAUCUUAGCUCUCUCUAAUAUUGAAAAGCCUUUCGAAGUUCAGACGGAUGCAUCUGAUUUCGCUAUUGAAAGAGUGCAUUUACAAUAAUAUCACUCGAUAGCAUUUGAAAGUAAGAAGCGAAGUGAAGCUAAGAGGAAAUAUACAGCCCAGGAAAAAGAGCUCCUGGUGGUAGUUCUCUGCUUGAGGGCUUGGCGACAUUAUUUGUUGGGUUUACACUUUAUCGUGAAGACAGACAAUGUGGUCGUUAGCCAUUUCUUCACCCAACCAAGGCUUACAGCGAAACAAGCUAGACGAUAAGAAUUUUUAGUGGAGUUCGAUUUUUGUUUUGAGCACACCGCUGGAAAGACCAAUCAAGUGGCCGAUACAUUAAGCAGGUGAAUAGAGUUAACGGCCCUUAGAAGAAUUGCCUUAAUGGCGGCUAGCAGAGCCACGACAGACAUUCGUAAGUUGAUUGAAGAUCAUUUAGGGAAGGACCCACAGGCCAGUGCCAUCCUGAAGCUAGUGGAAGAGGGGAAGUCCAAGUACUUCUGGCAAGAAAAUAGGGUCUUGUGGACCAAGGGGCCUCGAUUGUUUGUGCAAAGAGCAGAAGGUCUGAGAUAGAUACUGAUGAGGAAAUAUCAUGACACACCAUGGGUCGAACAUCUGGGUUGGCAACGCACUUUGGCGUUAUUGAAAUAUGGAUACUAUUGGCCUCACAUGCGAUAAGAUGUGAUGGACUAUACAAAGACUUGCGUCAUUUGCCAAUAAGACAAAAUUAAAAAAAAAAACCUGCAAGCAUGCUUGAACCACUAUCGGUACCCAUCAGACUGUGGAAAAGCAUCUUUCUUGAUUUCAUUUCAAGCCUACCCAAGGUUGGUGAUCUUGGAACUAUUUUGGUGGUGACUGACCGGUUCUUUAAGUACGCCACAUUCAUUCCCGCUCACAAGUAUUGUACAGCAAAAGACACAGCUUGACUAUUGUUUAAACAUGUGGUCAAAUUGUAAUACCCAAAAAAAAAGGACUAUUGUAAGUAUUUUUAUAAAUAGGGGACUCUUUAAUAAAGAAUGAGAAAUACAGAGGACUUAUUGAUAAAUAACCCAAUUUUUUAUUGAUAAAGUUAACUUUUCAGUUUUCAGUCGACGAUUAAUCGAAAGAAAAACAGAAACUUAUUUCUCAUAUGUUUCUUAUACAGAAAAGAUCAAUUAAAGGAUUCCAAGUGAAGGGAAGAACAAAUCUACAAGGAGAAAUUAUCUGUUAGAGGUGAGUAAAUAAUCUCUUUCAAUUUUGGAGUAUUGAUGGUUAAGUUUUAAGGUGUAAUUUAUAAUCGAAAAACCCUAAAAUUUUAGGGUUUUCAUUAUCCCUCUUUGGGCAGAUGAUUUAGACUUUAAUUAGGGUCAAGUUAAGUGUUGAGAAAGUUGGUAAUGUUAUUUUAUUGCUGAAACAGAAAUUUGAUUAGAAUAGAUAGAAAAAUCUUUGUUUCGUAUAAAUCAUGAUAUGAAUCUUAUGUUUGAAGCGAUGAAUUAAGGUUAUAUUCUGUAUUAAAGGGUUAAAUACUACUAUGAUUAUUAUAUAUGGAUGGAAAUCAUGUUGAAUCUACUUUUUAAUAAAACAAAUGGGUGUUGAAUACGAGUUCUCUAUGAAGAGUUAUCCAAUUUUUACCUAAGGAUGUGCAGGCUGCCUAGUAGCAGCAGUAAAGAGGAAUUACGAAAUUUCCUUUAAUUUUUAUACAAGGAUUUAUAGAUUAAGCCACAUAUGUUUGGAAAGCUUAUUGAGUCUACUUUCCAAUGAAAUAAGCGGAAUUGAAUUUGGAGUUACCUAUGAAUAAAUAUGUAAUUUUUAUGAAAAGGUAUACAGGCUGUCUGGCAGCAGCAUAUGACGUGGAUUUCAAAAAUUGUUAUAAUUAAUCCACAAAGAAUCACGAGAUGGCCCAUAUAUGGUUAGAAAGCUUGUCAAGUCUAGUUUCUAACGCAUUAAAAAUAUUUUAAUUCUGAAUUGGAUAUCUUGAGUUAUGGUUGUUUUAGUGAAAGUAACGUAGACUGCCAGAAUUAAUUACUCAAGUUAUUACUUGUUUAACUUAAUUAUUUUGGUAUAAGUGGCCUCAAAUGGGUUGAUUAAUUAUUGUUAUGUUGGAAUUAUCUUGAAUAGGCCACUAAAUUUUGAGGGAAAAAAAUUAGGUGGUGGAAUCAGAAUAAGGUAAGUAGAAUCUCACACACUUUGCUUGUUUUCGAAACUAUGUAUAUAUGUAUGUUUCUAAUUGAAUGAAUAUUUUAUUUCAUUAUUUUCAAUGUAUGAAAAUAGGAUCAAGCAUAUGAUUAUUUUGUGUUUCUUUAUAUAAACGAUGGAUCAUGCUUAUGAAUGAAAUGAGAAAAUGAUUUAUGUUUAAAGAAUAAUUUUAUGAUAGCUACGUUUUUACAUCCCUGAGAAGUGGAAUCAUCGACACCAGAACUAGUUCUACGACCCUAACUAACGGCUAAUAGUAGUUAGCAAAGAAAUGAUCAUACGACCCUGGUUAACGGGUAAUAGUAGUUAGCGUAAGCCCUGGCUAAUGGAUUAUAAUAGUUAGCAAUGAUCAUGAGAAUGAAAUUGUCGAUAUGACCAAUGUCACGGGUUAUAGCAAUGACCGUAGCUAACGAUUUGAAUGAUAAUGAUGAUUUAUGAUAAUGAUGAUUUUUAAUGAUUGAUCCAUGAUUUGGUUUGAUUAUGAUAUUUGAAUAGUAACAUAUUUUACAAUGAUUUAUGAAUUUACGAAAUGUUUGACAAAACGAUGAUAUUGAGAUGUUUUGACAUUAUGAUUUGAUGAAUGUUUUGAAUGAUCUAUAUGACAUGUAUGAAACGAUGUUUGAUCUGGUAAGGUGUGUGAACCUUCACUUACUGAGCUGUGGUUUGCUCAUUCCCUAUUUUCUUUUCUUUUACAGAUGUUAUGAAUGAUAAGUAUGAUUAGCUUGAGAAAAGUUAAAAGAAUCGAGCAUUGGAGAACUACUUAGAAAUAUAGGAUUUUAUGAAGUAUUGUUUAUUUUAGUUGUAAUACUCGACUUUGAACCUUUGAAGACUUGUUAUCUACAUAUGUUACUUAAUAAGAACCUUUUAUAUUUGAGAGUUGUUCAAUGGUUAUGGAUUAGGCUUCGUAUUGCUUUGGGGUUUUACUUUAAGAUAAUAUGGCCGUGUUAUGCCUCGAUUUGGGGCGUGACACAAAUACUGGGGCCUCCCUCAAAACAUUGUCAGCAAUAGAGAUCCGAGAUUCACGGGGUCCUUUUGGAGAGAACUUUUCUAGAUAUUGGGGUCCCAACUUAAAAUAUCCUCAAGCUACCACCCUCAAACUGAUGGUCAAAUGGAACUGUUCAAUGGAUUAUUAGAGGAAUACUUAAGGCAUUUUGUUCAAGCCAAUCAGAAGAACUGGCCUUCGUUAUUAGACGUUGCUCAACUUUGCUUUAAUUCCAACAAAAGCUCUUCCACUAAUAAGAGCCCAUUUGAGGUGGUCACCGGACAAUUACCAAGGCUACCCCACACUUUCUUGGAACAAUAUGGAGGAAAUAAUCCGAGAGCCUUCAACCUCGACAAGGAGAGGAAAUAAAACACGGAGAUUGCAUAAGCCUACCUGGAGAAAGCAUCGAAGCGAAUGAAAAAAUGGGCAGACAAAGGUCGCAGGGCUCAACAAUUCUAAGUUGGUGAUUUGGUUCUUGUUCGACUAGUCCCUGAACAAACCAAGUUCUUGAGAAAGAGAGAUCGUAGAUUGGUGCGCAAAUAUGAGGGUCCAGUGAAGAUCUUUUCCAAGGUGGGGAAUGCUUCUCACAAAAUCGACCUACCAAAGUGGAUGAAGGUGCACCCAGUAUUUCAUGUGAGUAACUUGAAACCUUUCCAUACAGAUCCUACAUAUGCUAGCCGAAGGGAGCCAACCAGAGCCGCCAUCACCAUGAAGCCACCAUCAGAGCAUUGAGUCAAAAAGAUUUUAGCUGAUAGGGAAAUCAAGAUAUCUCGAAGACUAGUUCGUGAAUACUUAAUGAAGUGAGAGGGAUUAGGACUAGAAGAAAACCAACUGGGAAAGAGAACAAGACCUCCGAAGAUUCAAAAGGAAGAUUGAAGAAUUUUAAGCCAGCAAGUUGACGAGGACGUCAAAAGAAUAGGUGGGGGAGGAUGUCAUGAGCCAACCUUGUAUAAGGCCAUGACCGGGGCUUAGGUUGUCAUGAGCCACCCAUGUAUAGGGCCAUGGCGGGGUAGAUCUCUUGUGCUAAGAAAAGUGUCCCCAUUUCAAACAUUGUAAUGGUUAGUGGUAGCAUAGCUCUAAAAUCUCUAAGGCUCUUUGGGGGGUGAACGGGUAGUGUACUGUUGGGCUGUCUCACCAGUCACGAUACAGGCUCAGGCCAUCUGCCAAGGGCUGCCCUUUGGCCCUGGCAAUGGUGGGAAGUCUCGAUGCAACAUCCUCAAUUUUAAUGAAAUUCACUUCGAUUCUAAUGUUCCGAUUGUUGCCUUGAUGUGUUUUUCUUUUGUCAAUGUGAAUGUGCUUUCUUGUGUGUGUGCUUGAGAUUGAUCUUGAUAUGAAUGUGCCUUAUUGCGUAUGCUAGGGACUAACUAUGGCUAAUUGUUAUUUGUUCAGAUAUCGAACUAUUGAGGGCUGUCUUGGGUGGAAGCAUCCAUUCAAGUGUCGCACGGGCUAUUGCUUGUUGAGAGAAAGCUUAGUCCAUGACACAAAACCUGAAGGCCAUUAUCCCAAUAGGCCAGCGGGCGGAACGAGGAGAGGCCCCGGCAAUCAUACCACCGCGGUCGAAAAAGCGUGUUCCCUUCAGAUAACACGCACCGUAGGCCAUCCUCGGCCUUCUUCGUUUUUGAUGAAAAACAAAUCAAAUCUCUCGAUCUCCGAAAGCGUUUUCCUUCCCCCGCCGCAUCCCCCUCCCUUCGUCGAGCCUUUCCUUUAAUGGUUGGGGGAAGCAUUCCCUUAUCUGAACUUGGCGGGCAUUCUUUCCAGCCUUAUUCAAAUAGGGGGAUGGGUUUGGUUUGCACUUUGAACAUAGGCUCAAACAUGAUUUGAAGGUCCUAGCUACGCCAUGCGUUCAAUACAAAGGAAAGCUGCAGAGAUGACAAAAAGAGGGCGCUUUCCUAUGUUGCACUGAAAAAAUAAGGACAACGGAUAAGAACGUCUUCUCUUAGGUUUCUUCCUCCCGCGCCCGCCGCCGCCCGGCCCGCGUUAGAGGGGAAGAUUAGCAAAGCGAGAAAAGACAGAGGGAAGGAGAGCAGCAUUUUUUUCUCUUUGCGAGAACUUCCGGAUCGGAGAAGCAUUCGGAACGGGCUCCGCGUUCAUUUCGUUGGCGGAAACGAUCCAAUCCAUUCGGGGCUUCGGGGAACCCAAAAACGAAGUCUUUCGACUUGAUUCAUAGAUAGAAUCAAUGAUAAAUAGACAAAAGAUAGAUGAACGAGAUAUCUUUUUUUCUCUAAAAAAAAUGGAGAGAGAAAGAGCAGAUGCUCAAUAGCACCUAUAUCGAACACUAAUUCCUAUCUAUUGAUAGGAAGAUCUUCGUCAAAUACCGGACUUUGCCUUUUUUUUAGGAAUUCCUCAUAUCCAAGGCAGCUUACCACAAGCCCCACCCCAUACGACUAGUCGAGGGGGGCUGUUCGCCUUUUGAAUCAAACAAAGGUUGUAGUAGGGGCUUCAUAGCUACUUUCAUUCUAAAGGAAACCGAAAAACCAACCUUUAGUCAAUAGGAGCCCUACUUCCCUCUUUGCGACCUCAUCACUUCCAUUGUUGCGCAAACCCAUUUCUUUCUUAGUCACCGGGCGGAGCGCACCUUUGGUACUUCAGUAGGGCGAGCUCUUUGAUAGUGACUUCUUUCGUUUGCUAGGGCGACGAAAGGCUACUUAUUUCUAGGAAACAGCCGGAAACUCGAGAGGGUCGCCUUUGGAAGCGUUCGCCGGUAACCAAAGCGUCACUCCCUCCUUUUGAUUAUGUCGUGACGCUGACUGAAUCCAAUCCAUAACCCCGGAAACGAAACAAAGUUCGUUCCCUUUCGUCAAGUAGGCAUACGAACCACUUACUUUUGCUUUGCCUUAGACUCUAUUAGAAUAAAGCAAAGAAAGAGGCAGAAUGGAGAAAGGAAAGGGACAAGGGCGGUCUUGCUUGGCGCGAAGGCUGCUGGUUCGGGGGUAGGGUACGGUACUAAAGGUCCUCGGACUUCCAGGCGGUUUUUCUUUUGGGCAGCUGUUCACCGUUGGAUCUCGCCAAUACAGCCCCCUAUAGUUUUCGUUACCGAGAUAUCUUUUUUUUUUUCAUUGUUCCCAGGGAUUUUUUGGGUAAUCUGCUCCCAUGCUGCAAACAGUCAAAUCUGAACUAAACCUUGUCGCUCUUCUUUCUUUCUUUGAGGCAGGAAGCACAACAGUAAUGUCACAGUUGGCGCGUUCCACCUUCUGAAAUCACGCAUCCAUGUGACAUCAAGAUUACUCAUAGUCAAGGUCACAUUUCUAUGAGUCCAUUUUUCUCUUAGACAGAUCCAUUUAAAUCCUUCAAGCCACCUACCCAUGAGCCUUUUCUGACUUUGACCCCGUAGGGUCGCUCCUUCAAAACUCUAUAGAGAGGAACCCAACUCUCAUCGUGCCUCAACCCACGAUUCUUCAAGUGACCCUAAGCACCCAGCUCUGGCUGCAGGGCUUAAAGCCUUGAGCACUAAUCCUCGAAUCCCCUUAAGGGCACACAGCCCCGGUUCUCAUGGUUUUAUUACUUCUAGACAUAGUGAGAACCUAGCACCAUGCCCGCCCAUAUCAUACGCCAGCUCCCGUAUCAAGUUUACGCAAGCGCCACAUUUCAGCUGGUCAACAGCCAGCUCGGGGCCUCUAGGCCCAUCUCAUCCCACAGGACUCAGAUCUUGGGGUGAAGGCCCUUAGCAUCAGUAUGGGUUGCCCGCACGCAUGAUUGACACCCAACAUCAUGCUAGUUCCGCAAGGAGACUUGGGUGGACUGCCCCUACUGCAGCACACCUCUAUCGAUUGGCCACAAGGGUCUAGCAGCGUGCCUGCCUGCUAGCCCGUGCAUCCCUCAGGCUCGAUGGCAUCCCUCCUAUGCAAACGCCAUCUCGUGAUCCUUUCGGCUCAAAUAGGGGAAAUCGAGGGGCCUAACGAUCUCUACCUGUAAUCCCAUGGCUCAACGCAAAGGCACGAUACAAGGCCCGUCGACCCCAAUCGUCCCUGGAUUUACCGUGACCCGAAGAAACAUCGUGCCACGCUUGUGACCCUACGAUGCCCGCCCACCUAGACACCACUAGUGCCUAGGAGUAGCUCACUUCAGACUAGCCAGGCCCCUACUUGCCUGCUAGCCAAGGGGGUAGUGGAGAGCUGACACCAGUCAUCCCCCUAUAAAGAGCGUAAGAAAUUUUCCCAGUUUCUUACUAGUGACCGUAAGAUUAUCCGAAAUGGGGACACUUUUCUCUCUAGCCAUCUCAGUGCCUUUCUCCGACUAACUCAGGGCCCCAUAACCUUCCUCUUGGUCACCACUACUCAUUGAUCCUACUCGUUGCUCUACCAACCCAUUCGAAGGUGCCCGUACAUGGCUUCAACCGCCAGCACCUUACUGGCUAGCUGGUCCUAGGGCACCGGCGCACUACCUCACACUUACCUACGUAUCUUGGGGUAUAUGGCUCAGACCAUACAUGCACAAUAUUCUCAAUAUAUUUCUAUGCUCAGAAUGCCCGCACACUGCUUCCAUUGAUGGCACCUGCCAACUACUUGGUUUGAGGGUGCUUGACCACUGUCCCGAACUUACCCACGUAUCUUACAGUCUAGGUCUCCCACUGCUCGCACAACAUGUUAGUAACAUGUUUCAAAGCUCCAAAUGCACGCAUGUAUCUCUUAGAACCACUUUCUCGCCAGUUGGGUCUUGACCGUUGCUCAGUUCGGGGUCAGUCAUGGUAGGACCAAGGCCUGGCCAUGACACUCUCCCCCAUUUACUAUGUCGAUGCCCUUAUCGACGCCAAGACCACACCCAACUUCCUUGUUGCACACAACUGACAUUUACUCAUAUGUCUUUCACUUAUGCCCUCAAGGAUUAGGUCGAGGUCUCGUCACAUGGGGCACCACCCACAGCACUCGUCCAUUGUUGAUGUAGAUUGGUCACGUUGCCGCACCCAUGCCGCUCUGCUCUGUUCUCGUUCGAAGCAUCUAACCUUACCUUGGUUGUUCUAUAUGGGCCAUACCAUUGCUUCAUCCCUUGAUCAUGUCAUGUUACGACCUUGAGGCACCCUCAUUGAUCAAUGACUCUCAGUAGAAUGAAUCACCACCCGUUUUGUCACUCAUUGGUGUGUCCCACCGGAUGUGACCCUUCACACCGAUUGCAGACUUGCAGCAUCGACUCUUUGAUGUGCCCCUCUGGACGUGGUGCUUAGGUCAACCGCACUUAUACGGCACCCCACAUGAUAGACCUUAGCACAGUGGUAUUCAGGCACUUUGGUCAUCUCUCAACUUGGGUCCUCUCGGCCCCUCCAAGGUCACCCCUCUAGGUGUGGCCCUCUGGCCAACCGCCCUCGAGACGGCACCUUAUAGCGCACACUAAUUCGGUCUUUGCUCCUAGCUCGAACACUAAGCUCCAUCAGCUCAGGCUCCUAUGGCUUGACUCCGUCCCACAGGGAAUCAUGUCUCCCCCACUUUUACUCAAAUGUCGGUUCAGCAUUAUACGUAACCAUGUCUCCUUGAUGGAUCUACUGCUCAUCUGCCUUAACUCUAGCAUGGCUCUUAUGCCAUCUCAAAAUCUGCUUAUACUCGGAGAUCCACUACCCAACUAGAUGCCUAGUCCACUGAUUUGCUCGACUCAGGGAUUCACCAAGCCACUCAAUUUUCAAGGUCCACCGAUCGACCCACUUGUGGCUUUAAUCUUUAGCCACUCCAUACUUCUUUGUGUAAGGACCCCAUGCUUGGACCUAAUUACUUCGGCUUGUACCCCCGCUGGGGCACCUGCACCAUUCAGCAAGUGCACACAUUAGUAAUUAAUCUUGAAACUCGAUACCUCAUGCCCCUCAGGACAAGAUUCACUCGGCCCACAUGGCCUUACGCAACACCAUUUCAUGGUGUAAGCCCAUUUUCGCAUCUUGGUCUCAUUACGGUUCCUUCCACCGUGAAGGCAUUGCAUGCCCCAAAAUAUGCCAACAUCUUUUUCUAGGUGAGGCUAGACUCCGAUGCCCUUUUGCUUGGCAUCCAAGAGCCUACUCGAGAGCCUUUUUACAUAGGCCCAAUUUUUCCCACAGCACACAUUGUUGGCUCCCUUUCGAGUCCUCAUAGCCACAGAACCGUAUUUGCGUCUUGAUAGCUUCUUUUGAGCUUGGCACUACCUCGAUUUCACGUCACUCGCCCCACACAAAGGGGUCAUGUAAAUCUCGCCACUAAGCCAAACCAAGGCUCUAAUACCAAAUCUGUCACGGUCCACGCAUUCCACCUUCUGAAACCACGCGUUCGUGCAGCACCAAUACUACUCAUAGUCAAGGUCAGCCUUUUAUGAGUCCAUUUUUCUCUUGGAUAGAUCCAUUUCGAUCCUUCAAGCCACCUACCCAUGAGCCUUCUCUGGCUUUGACCCUGUAGAGUCGCUUCUUUCGAACUCUAUAGAGAGGAACCCAACUCUCAUCGCGCCUCAACCCACGAUUCUCCAAGUGACCCUAAGCACCCAACUCUGGUCGCAGGGCUUAAGGCCUUGAGCAUCGACCCUCGAAUCCCCGUAGGGGCACACAGCCCCGGUUCUCAUGGUUUUAUUACUUCUAGACAUGGUGAGAACCUAACACCAUGCUCGUCCGUAUUGUACGCUAGCUCCCGUAUCAAGUUUACGCAAGCAUCACAUUUCAGCUGGUUAGCAACCAGCUCAGGGCCUUUAGGCUCAUCUUAUCCCACAGGACUCAGAUCUUGGGGCAAAGGUCCUUAGCAUCAGUAUAGGCCGCCCGCACGCAUGAUUGACACCCAACAUCAUGCUAAUCCCGCAAGGGAACUUGGGUGGACUGCUCCAGUUGCAGCACACCUCUACCGAUUGGUCACAAAGGUCUAGCAGCGUGCCUGCCUGCUAGCCCGCGCAUCCCUUAGGCUCGAUGGCAUCCCUCUUACGCAAACACCAUCUCGUUAUCCUUUCGGCUCAAAGAGGGGAAACCGAAGGGCCUAACGAUCUGUACCGUAUAACCCUAUGGCUCAACGUAAAGGCGCGAUACGAGGCCCACCGGCCCCAACCGUCCCCGGGUUUACCUUGACCCGAGGAAACAUCGUGCCACGCUCGUGACCCUACGAUGCCCGCCCACCUAAACACCACUAGUGUCUAGGAGUAGCUCACUUCAGACUAGCCAGGCCUCUGCCUACCGCCCAGCCAAAGGAGUGGUAGAGAGCUGACACCAGUCACCCCCUAUAAAGAGCGUAAAAGAUUUUUUCAGUCUCUUACCAGUGACUGUAAGAUUGUUCGAAAUGGAGACACUUUUCUCUCCAACCAUUUCAAGGCCUUUCUCCGACUAACUCAGGACCCAUAACAUUCCUCUUGGUCACCACUACUUCUUGAUCCUGCUCGUUGCUCCACCAACCCACUCAGAGGUGCCCGCACAUGGCUUCGACCACCAGCACCUAACUGGCUAGCUAGUCCUAGGGCACUGGCGCACUGCCUCACAUUUACCUGUGUAUCUUGGGGUUUAUGGUUCAGACCAUCCACGCACAAUAUUCUCAACAUAUUCCCAUGCUCAAAACGCCCGCACACUGCUUCCACUGAUGGCACCCGCCAGCUACUUGGUUUGAGGGUGCUUGACCACUGUUUCAAACUUACCUGCGUAUCUUGCUGUCCAGGGCUCUCACUGCCCGCACAACAUGUUAGUAACAUAUUUCAAAGCUCCAAAUGCAUGCCCGUAUCUUUUAGAACCACUUUCUCGUCAACUGGGUCUCGACGCUGCUCGGUUCAAGGUCAAUCAUGGCAGGACCAAGGUUGGCCACGACAAGCAGCGUGCUUUGUGUGAUUUUGCUGUGUUUUUUACGGGUGGACAGUUGACAGGAAGAGAACUUAGAUGAAAUGUAACCAGUAACUAACUAUUUAUUAAUGCGGUUUGAACGUGCGACAGCCCCGUCGUUAUCUUACUGUUAUCGAUUGCCUGAUUUAUAGACACGCGGAUCUGUACCUAGACUUCGAAGGCAGAGAGAGAAUUCAUAAGACAAAGAGGAUGACCUCAAAUCUAUUAUCGAGAGAGGUAGAGGUAAGGAAGCGGGUAAGGUUGAGAAAGAAGCAGCCCCGAACUGUAGCAGUGCGGGCACGGUUGCUCCUAGUGUUGAUAGUAAGCUUCAGGCAACGGGAUAUUAGGUUGUGGGAAGCUGGUGGUUUGGUCAAUGAGAGGGUGUCGGCUAGGUCUAAGCAGCCUAGAUUGUCUAGGGGUGUUUAACUUAAACUUCGGAGAGGACUUUGUGGAUCGUAGGAAAGGGAAGACCAAAAGUGCUCAAUUAGGUUCAAAAUCUAAUCUUGAAAUGUGAGAGGUCUUGUGGGUCAAGAGAGCUGACGGAACGAAACUAUAAGAAGGAGAUAGCUUAUUCAUGAGUACAAAGAUUCCAUACCUAUAUAUAAUAUAAUUUUGUAUGGAAAUCCAUAGGGUAGCCAUCAAGUGGGAAGUAUCAGUGAUCAAAUGAACCGGUCGAGUAGAGCGAGUUGAGUGCGCUUUCCAGGCAUCGUGAAUGAAGUCGAUAUGGAAUCGGAAGAGUGGGACGCCUUCAAUCCGCCCGCUCGUUAUAAAGAAGUCCUUUUCUUCUCUCUCUCUGUCUGAAUCCGUUGGAGUAGCAUUAGAUAAAGAAUGAUCAGCCCAUCAAAAUCCAAUAGUUAUCAACCUCCGAUUCAACAUAAGAAAGCAAGUAAAAUCCCUAUCAAUAAUAGACUAAACGGUCGACUCACUGCUUCUACUGCCUCUCCAUUCCCAAGCCAAAGGCGUAUCUAUCUCCAUGACAGACGAUUGUCCUUUAGAGCUUGACUGACUUUGUAAACGCCACUACUCGCUAUGGAAACAGUGGCUCAUUAUGCCACUUCUACAGCCAAACAAAGGAAUUCACCAUUUAAUAAAUAAAUAAAAAAAAGAGAACUCUUCGAAUCGCAAACCUAUAAACUGAAUGAUGUUAUCGCAAUGGGCUAGUUCCUCGUAAAUGCAGUGAUAAAAAGACAAGCAACUAUAAGAAGCGCGUAUUUCAAUUGCACCAAUGUCAGCGGAGUUUCAGCCAUUUCCUUUUGUUUGGUAUAGAGGAAUCCGUGUAAACUAAUGCUAAGGUAUUCUGUAAGAGAAAAGAAAACGGUAAUACAGGUAGUCUAUCUUAUAAUUCUUCUUAUUCUUAUUAUUAGGAUGAAGCUCUUUAGUAGUCUACUGAAAGCUAUUGUAUUCUACAUAGAAUACUUCCAUUUGAAUACAAUUCAAUCCAUGAGAUCUUGAAGUGGUGUUGGUGAAAACAGUUCUCUGUCCUAUUUCAGCAAGAGGAACAAUGCCCCGGUCAAUAGUGAGACCCGCACCAAAUGGGUUAGAUCUUUUUGUUCUCUUCAUCGAUGCGUUAUCGUCUUCCUCUGUUUUUGCUUCAAUAGGUAUGGGACCGAGCACUUUCUCUCGUUUGUUUAUUAAGAUCGAUAUCCCACCCUUAAGGCCAAGGAAGCCCCCAGUGAUCGAAAUAAGUCGUUUAAAACUCUUCUUACGGUCCCCAUCCCCAAGGUACAAUGUGAUGUACGAAGGUUCGAAACCGGCCUUAAGCAUGGAAAAACGGUCGUACCGAAACAUCAGGCUACCGAGGCAUUUCCUGCAGGUAGUUUACUCACUUUAUGAUUCUGGAUUAGAAGGGAAAUUCAAUCUAUCUCGACACAGGCUUUAUUAUAUGGGUGGGGCCGGUCCCUCCCGGGGAACAGAACCUGAGAAGAAGAACUCAGCUUAUGUGCCUGCGUUAGCCAGGAGAGCAUGACAUAACGAGUUCAACCAUUCCCAAAAUAUGGAUCUAAAUAUGGAGAAUUUUCCUACUCUAUUCCCAUUGUCCCACGGACAGGGGGUGGCCCGACAUCGUCCUAUCUGCCAACUUCAUUCUUCAGUGGCUUUCUCGGAUGGCUUUUUAGCCUUUUCUUUUAGUCGAGUGGAAAACCCGUUCCUCUAUGUGAAACCUACCCUUUUAGGGCUUCCCCCAUUAUGCUCUAGCUAGAGAUAUAUUUAGUAAGACCGAUUGUAUAAGCGCUAAGCUUUGCUUAUCCGUUCACCGGCUAACUACAUUACAUUGAUUUGCCAGCCUUGCUCGUGAUGAGCUAUUGGGCAUGACACGAACAUAUACCUGGACACUAUCCUCAAAUUACCCAUUCAGUCUGUAAUCUUCUGUCAAAAAUGAUAGGCAUUGAGAUUUCUUCUCUCUCGUGAUCGAGCAAGAAAACCUUGAAAGAGGGCGAAAAAGCGCAUUAUCAUCUUGACCACAAAUCUCCACCGACAUGGUGUGCUCUGUCACAGGCGUUGAAGCCGUAGAUUCAUACAAGAAUUCUUCGGAAUGUGUCAUUUCAUCGUAGGACAAACAAGAUUUUUAGAUUUUUGCCACUCUUUCAUAGGCAUCGGAGUGCAGAAAGCCCUGAAAAAAAGCUAAAUGAAAACGAGAGGUGUCCAGAGAAAGUCAAGUUAGCAUCUCCAAGAGAAGACCUCAAGGACCUAAAACUAGCAAUUCUCUUAGCAGGAUUUUGCCAUCUCCAUUGGGGCUUCUCACAACCUUUCAUUCCAAUCGGUAAACUUCUUCGGAGCCACGAGGCCUCUUCUUUUUGUAAUUUAUAGUCCAAUUCCAAUCUGAUUCUACUGAUUGAGUCCCCAUCUCCACCUUCGACAGAACCAGACAAAAAUAAGGGAUUUUCUACAAUUUUUCCAACCGACGGUAAAAAUCCAAACCAAGGCCCUAUUAUCUAUAUUAUCUAUUAUAUAUAGUUAUAGUAGAUAAAAGCCUCGGACCAAGAGGAGUGAUCUCUAUCCUGAGAUUCAAGCACCCAUCGAUCAAAGAAGUAGAAGUGAACCAAAGGUUGAACUCCACCCAACCGAUAGAAAAGAGCUAAGGUUCCCAUUCGAGCACCCAUUAUUCUAGAAGUCGGAAGAGACUACAAGCCGAUGCCUACAAACAGAAUAAGGUUCGGGACGGGUAGUUAAAUCCACGGUCUCUGGCAGCAACUAGUCUCGAACGGAAGGAGUUGUCUUGAAAGAGCCCAAAGGACGAUGGCCAAUCAAAGCACCCCUUUCCAUCAUCUUGAGUCUGUUGGAAUGAAAGCACCACCCAUUUUAGUAACAGCACUAGCAGUUGCAUUUGAUCCGCUUGAUCGAGCAAAAAAAAGCACCACUUGUAGGGGCAUAGGACAUAAGAGGUUGUUUAUCACCCAGGAGAGCCCUAGCAUCAGUGACUGUUUUGGCACCAGAGACAAAGGUAUCAAAGCCUAUUUAAGACUAAAACCCCUGACUUAGAUCCCGCCGCCAUCUACUAAGACUACCACACUGACACCAGACUACCUAUCAUAGAGCCACUCGCCACUAAAAACUACCCUUUAUGUUAUGAGCUUGUUCCAGUGACUGACCUCGUGAACCUACUAGUCAGCCAACAACACGAGCUGUCAAGGUGGUCCAGUACCGAUCCAGCACGACCAUUACUAGAACCAUCAGUAGAUCCUUAAGAAGAAGCAGUCGAUUCAGUUGAUCGAGAUGAACCAGCACCAAAAAUGGCGAAGUGAGCAGCACUCAUAGCGUAAGAUAAAGACCGAUAAGCAAAGCAAGCAGCAGGAGCAAGGGUGGGUGCGUAAGUAGAUCCAGCACCCUGACCUUUCUCCACCAGUCGCAGAUCGAGUUCCAUUGCUAGCAGCACACCUUAUACUUAUAGUAGAGCCAGUCGCAGAUCCAGUGGAAAGAGCACUAGGACCAGUAGCUAAGGCUAAGAGGCAUCAAGCUAGCAGUUUCUUUAGCAUCAUCAGGGGCAAUCAAAGAUUGAUUUUCUGAUAGUGCUGGUUCGACCCAGUCCAUUGGCUAUGGAUCCGUAUCUUCAUAUGUAUUUCCAUCUCGAUCAAUUGAAUUGGCACACAAGAAAGAGGCCGGAAUGGAACCAGAAUGAAUUCUCACUCGCUCUCCAGUAGAAGCACUAGGAGCAACAGAAUUAGGGGGACAACUACUUAUACUGAUGCUGGUACGAAUGCUGGAACUUUGUAUGCUGGAGACCAUAGCCUUUACCAUGGGGCCUAUCGCUUAUGUUGCCCUAAUACCAAGGAAAGAAAGAUAGUUAGAGCUUAUCGUUAGCCCUACUUAUCUAUAGCCUUAAGGGGAAGAAGUAUAUCUAUUACCUAUGACCAGAAGAGCUUACAAUCCACAUUCUCUAUCCCGCCGCCUAGGAGCACUUCUAAAAAUACUUAUAGACUUAUACAACUAUGGAUAUUUUUCCAGAUACGAAGGCUGGUAAGAAUGCUACAUAGGGGAAUCCUCCUAAACAGUAAAGGGCACUGGCUUACGCUAUCACAAGUAAUAAAUGCUUUCAUAAAACCCUACGAAGGUAAGCUCUCAACCUAACCUAUCCAACGAGUUAUUUCACCCCUUGGAUUAGGCACUUUCAUUCACUAUAUGGGGCUUAUAAUUCUACUGGUACUCUAGGUAUUACCCUCUGUGAAGCUUUAUUCGAAUUGCAACUCAAAAUACGGGGAAAACGCAAAAUCAAAAUCAAUUACUGAAACUUAGGAGUGAAAAUUAAAAGGUUACAAUGCAUCUCUUUGAUGCUCUUGUAAGACUUCGAACCAUUAGAUGGCAGAGAAUAAGAGAAGAUUCUCGGGUAUUAAGGUCGCUCUUAAGCAAGGUGAUCUUGAUACUCACGGAUGGUAGAACUAAGGAGUUAUCGAUUGCUGCCUAUCUUUUCGCAAAAAGGAUCCGACUUAUGUAUAAGAAGUCAGGAGGGUUGACCACUGCGCUUUAUUUAAAGCAGUGCACCUCAUCCCUUAUGAAAGCUUAUAGUGGUAUAGAUGACAAGGCUUACCGCCAUGCCAUAUCCUUCCCAGUAUCUUUGGCAAGAAAGGGAUAUCCGUGCAUCAUUCCUUCCUUCCACCGUCAUAAAAUAUACAAAGGUGGGAGUGAGGCUGAUCGUCUUGUUCAGAUGUACUUGUCUUUCUUUUCGGUAGCGAGGAUCACUUUAUCUCUUCCUCGUGUUACCAAGAAGACAUUUGCGUCUAUGGUUGAUUGGCCAAGAUCACGAAUAGCGAUUGAGGUCUUCAAUGCGGUUCGAGAGCAUGGGCCAGAAAUGCGUCCCUUGUUUUUACGAUACGUCCCGAGUAUCCAGUCUAUACCGUUAUAUAGCGGUCUUGAUUGGAUGCCAACCUGGAAAUCCUCUCCGUCUAUGUCAGAGUUUGUAAAGUCUCUACUUAGGCGUAAGUGUCACGCCUUGGGCGGGCGCGCCAGGCACAUCAGGCAGACCAGCAGGCGAGCCAGAGGCUGAGGCCCGCAGACCAGGCGUGCUGACGGGUAUCAGUGCGCCAAGCCUAGCAAACAAGCUCCAAACGCCCGCCCGACUUGCAGGCCAGCCCAUGAGACCAAGGCCUGUCAUACAAGCUGCCCGCACCACAUCCAGAAGGGCCCAAGGUGCUGGAUACGCAAGGGAAACUUCUGGAACCAGGCAGGAUCAGCAUCAGCAUCCUGGCAGAUUUGGUUGACCCUGAAAAUCAGGAGCCAGCAUCUUGAUUGAUUGUAAUCCCAUGAUUGUAGCCUUUAUUUUAGGGAUUUGCCAUUAAGUUGUAGCUGGAGCCUCAACUAUAAAUAGAGGGCUGCUCCACCCUCAUUUGUACACCAUCAAACACUUCUGUUUCAGUGAAUACAAGAGCAUUUCCAGAAUUCUGUUUUUCUGUCCUGUUUCUCUUAAACUUGCGUAAUCAGCCCUUCCCAUUAUUCUAGUGCCCGCACGCUUGUGUUUUAGGCUGACUUAGGCAUAAAGGAGGAGAUUUCAAGCUUAAGGCCGCACGGAUUCUGAGUCUAAGGUCGGAGCCCGUGACAGUUGGUAUCAGAGCAAGUUCGAUUCUGCGUGUUUGUGUUGUGCAGGUUAGAUCGUGAUUGAGGAGAUGGCAUCCCAAAGCGACGUUGCUAGCCAAUAACCAGAGGCCCAGGAGCAUGGGCGAGGAAGAGGCAAGAAAGCUGGUUCUAGAGAUAUCUGGUCUACCAUGGACGGUAGGCUGGCCAAGGUGGAGGUGACCAUAGGCGACAUGGGGGAGAAGCUGGAGGAAGUAGAGACUCACAUUGCAUCGCUAGACUCCAUGGGGGAGGAGAUCCAAAGUGAGCUAGCAGCUGCUCUCAACAAUGGCCUGGAUGAGAUCACCCGAAAGAAUGAAUCCUUGGAGGCGGAAGUUUUGACUUUGCAAGAUGGCAUGGAGGCCAUGCGCCAGCGGAUGGAGGAGCUUAUCAGUGAGCUCGUGACUUGCAAGACUGCCAUUGGGAAUGGCAUGUUUGCUGGAGUGUUCAGAUCCAGAUUGGAUGUCCCCAAGCCUAAGGAGUUUAAGGGGACUAGGGCGGCUAAGGAAGUAGACAACUACCUUUGGGGUAUGGAGCAGUACUUCCAGGCCAUGGGCAUGCAAGACGAAGCGAUAAAGGUAAGCACCGCUGCUAUGUAUCUCACUGAUGUAGCCUUAUUGUGGUGGAGGCGUAGGUGUGAUGAUGUCAGGCGUGGGAACGCCAAGAUUGGAACCUGGGCAGAGUUCCAAAAGGAGUUCAGAGAACAAUUUUACCCGGAGUAUGCCGAUGAUGAGGCACGGGCAAAGUUGCGCAGGUUGAGCCAGCAAGGGAACAUAAGAGAGUAUGUUCAAAAAUUCUCUGAACUGAUGCUACAGAUCUCGGAUCUAGGCGAGAAGGACGCAUUCUUUGCUUUCAUGGAUGGGCUGAAGCUGUGGGUGAAGCAUGAGCUACAAAGGAGAGGAGUUCAUGACUUGGCUAAAGCCAUGACUACUGCCGAGGCCUUGAUAGAGUUCAAGCCUCUGAACAAGUUCGAGUCUACCAAGCCCAAGGGUAAGGGCAGGGACGAUAGGGACCAGAAGAAGCAGUCCAAUGGGAAGGACCGUGACCGGGAGUCCAAGGAUGGAGACCGAGACCGUUCAACCAAGGAUGGCGAGAGGAAGCCAUCAGCAGGCAAGUGGAAAGCAAAAGGGGACCGAGAGCCACUAGCAUGUUACCUAUGUGGAGGGAGCCACAUAGCAUGCAAUUGCUCGCAGAAGGGCAAGCUGGCUACUGUAGAUAGGGAGUCUGACGAGGAGCCAGAGUCAGAGGCAGCAAAGCUUGGGUCGUUGGUGCUCAAUGCUGUCCAGAGUAAGGGGAGCCGCAAGCUAAAGGGCUUGAUGUUUGCGGAUCUGAUGGUUGCGGGUCAAAAGGUGAACGCACUAGUGGACACAGGUGCCUCACAUCUUUUUAUUUCAGGUGAUGGAGCCCGGAAGCUCGGACUGAAGGUGCAGAAAGGGACUGGUACCAUUAAGACGGUGAACUCCAAGGAAGUUCCAGCCAUUGGAGUAGCACGGGGAGUGGAGUUACAGCUUGGAGAUUGGAAAGGCAAAGGAGACCAUUGAGGUAAUACCCCUUGACGACUAUGAGUUUGUGAUUGGGUUGGAUUUCCUUGUUCGGAUUAACGCCCUCCUUGUGCCUUUUGCCGAUUGUGUUUGCAUCUUAGAUGCACGGUGCCAAUGCCUAGUACCAUUCAUGAGAGGGUCUGAAGUUGGGUCGCGGGUGGUGUCAGCCAUCCAAUUUGCCAAGGUGGUAAGUAGACAAGAAGACACCUUCUUGGCAGCCCUGAAAUAUGAUGAGCCAAGGGAGAAUGAGACCCGAGUCACCCUUGGAGGUGCUAAAGGUGCUGAAGACCUUUAGUGAUGUGAUGCCCGCAAAGCUGCCUAGCAAGCUACCACCUAAGAGGGAGGUGGACCACAAGAUCGAGCUGGUGUCCGAGGCCAAGCCACCAGCCAGAGCCCCUUACCGAAUGUCUCCACCAGAGUUGGAGGAGUUGAGGAAGCAGCUCAAGGAGUUAGUUGAUGCUGGCUUCAUCAGGCCAUCGAAAGCACCCUAUGGUGCACCGGUUCUAUUCCAGCGCAAGCAUGAUGGGUCGUUGCGGCUGUGCAUAGACUACCGGGCUUUGAACAAGCUGACCAUCAAGAACAAGUACCCCAUCCCACUCAUUGCGGACUUGUUCGAUUAACUUGGGAGCGCAAGGUGGUUCACCAAGCUGGAUUUGAGGUCAGGCUACUAUCAAGUCAGGAUCACGGAGGGAGAUGAGCAAAAGACAGCAUGUGUCACUCGGUAUGGUUCGUAUGAGUUCUUGGUGAUGCCUUUCGGACUCACGAAUGCCCCAGCAACAUUCUGCACCCUUAUGAACAAGGUACUUCAGUCGUUCCUUGAUCGAUUUGUUGUGGUUUAUUUGGAUGACAUUGUGAUCUACAGCCAGACUUUGGGAGAGCAUGUAGAUCACUUGAGACAGGUGUUCGAGGUGUUGCGAGCGCACAAGCUGUUUGUCAAGAGGGAGAAGUGCUCAUUCGCCCAGCAGGAGAUCCCGUUCCUUGGCCACAUAGUGGGAGGUGGCAGGAUACGCAUGGAUGAAGGCAAGAUAGACGCCAUCCUAGAGUGGCAACCACCAGCCAAGGUCACUGAGUUGAGAUCGUUCCUUGGGCUGGUUAACUACUACAAGUGCUUCAUCAAGGGUCACUCAGCUAUAGCCACGCCAUUGACUGACUUGCUCAAGAAAGGGAGAGCAUGGGAGUGGAGCGAAGGGUACCAGGAAGCCUUUGACAGGUUGAAGUGGGCUGUGACCGAGGAGCCAGUCUUGGCCUUGCCAGACCAUGCCAAACCGUAUGAGGUGCAUACGGAUGCAUUAGACUUUGCCAUAGGGGGUGUGUUGAUGCAAGAGGGACGUCCAGUCACAUUUGAGAGCAGAAAGUUGAACGAGACUGAACGCAAGUACAACGGUCCAAGAGAAGAGAUGACUGCAGUGGUGCACUGCUUGCGCACUUGGCGCCAUACCUGUGAGGUCGAGGUUUCGUGGUGAGGACGGACAAUGUGGCGACCAGCUACUUCCAGACGCAGAAGAAGCUGUCCCCCAAGCAGGCGAGAUGGUAAGAUUUUCUUGCGGAAUUUGAUUUUCAGAUGGAGUACAAGCCGGGGCGGGCGAACCUAGUGGCAGACACCCUGAGCAGAAAGGCUAACCUUGCUGCCAUUAGCCAACCAGAGGGGUCACUGGUGCCCCGCAUCAAGGAGGGGCUUGCGCAUGAUCCUACAGCCAAGGCUUUGAUGAGUACGCCCGCAAAGGUAAGACUAGGCCGGUUUUGGUUGCAGGAUGGCUUGCUGUACACCAGGGGCAGUAGACUGUUUGUGCCGCAGCACGGGAAGCUCCGCAAGGAAGUUUUGCAAGAGUGUCAUGAUUCAAGGUGGGCUGGACACCCAGGAGUGAGUCGUACCUUGGCGCUGAUCGAGGACCGGUACUACUGGCCGCACAUGAGGGACGAUGUGGAGGCCUAUGUGAAGACUUGUCUUAUGUGCCAACAGGACAAGGUGGAGCUCAAGAAACCAGGGGGUUUCUUGGAGCCAUUGCCAGUGCCAGAGCGACCAUGUGAGAGUGUUUCUCUGGACUUUAUAGUCGGUCUACCCAAGACAGAGGGGUUUGGAAGCAUCAUGGUAGUGGUGGACAGGUUUUCCAAGUAUGGAAUCUUCAUUCCAACAACCAAGGAGUGCCCAGCCGAGGAGGUAGCUCGAUUGUUCCUGAAGAACAUGGUGAAGUACUGGGAAGUGCCGAGGACCAUUGUUAGUGAUCGGGAUGGGCGUUUCACGGGCAGGUUCUGGACUGAGUUGUUCAAGCUGUUGGGGUCAGACUUGAACUUUUCCACUAGCAUGCAUCUACAAACCGAUGGGCAGACAGAACGUGUGAACGGACUACUGGAGGUCUACCUCAGGCACUAUGUGAGUGCCAUACAAAGGGACUGGCCAAAGCUACUGGAUAUUGCGCAAUUUUCCUACAACUUGCAAAGGAGCGAGGCAACGAACCAGAGCCCAUUUGAGGUUGUGACAGGGCAACAACCACUAACACCCGGUUCGAUUGCUGCAGGUUAUACAGGGCCGAAUCCAGCAGCAUACAAGUUUGCCAAGGCAUGGCAGGAACAAACUGACUUGGCCAGAGUUUGUCUACAUAAAGCGGCCAAGAGGUCGAAGAAGUGGGCAGACCAGCAUAGGAGGGACGUGCAGUUCCAGGUUGGAGACUUGGUGUUGGUGAAGCUGCAUCCCAUUGUGCGCCACAGGGGGCUGCACAAAGGCCUAGUCCGGAGGUAUGAGGGACCUUUCCGAGUAGUCAAGAGGGUAGGCAAGGUUGCCUACAAGCUGGAUAUGCCACCCAAGCCGAGGGUACACCCGGUGUUCCAUGUAAGCAUGCUCAAGCCGUUCCAUGAGGAUGAGAGAGAUCCAGGACGGGCAGAGUCAAAGCGUGCACCAUUAGGAGCAAGGGCCUCAUAUGAGAAGGAGGUCCAUAGCAUUAUGGCUGAUCGAGAGGUGAGACGGAAGAACUAUCAACCAAGACAUGAGUACUUGGUGCGCUGGAAGGGACUUCCAAACAGUGAGGCGAGCUGGGAACCAGCAGAGGACUUAUGGCAGUUCGGGGACCAGAUCAGGCUGUACCAUGCAGAAGAUGCAACGAAGGCGUUGCGCAUUAGGUGGGGGAGAAUGUCACGCCCUGGGCGGGCGCGCCAGGCACAUCAGGCAGACCAGCAGGCGAGCCAGAGGCUGAGGCCCGCAGACCAGGCGUGCUGGCGGGUAUCAGUGCGCAAAGCCUAGCAAACGAGCUCCAAACGCCCGCCCGACUUGCAAGCCAGCCCAUGAGACCAAGGCCUGUCAUACAAGCUGCCCGUACCACAUCCAGAAGGGCCCAAGGUGCUGGAUACGCAAGGGAAGCUUCUGGAACCAGGCAUGAUCAGCAUCAGCAUCCUGACAGAUUUGGUUGACCCUGAAAAUCAGGAGCCAGCAUCUUGAUUGAUUGUAAUCCCAUGAUUGUAGCCUUUAUUUUAGGGAUUUGCCAUUAAGUUGUAGCUGGAGCCUCAACUAUAAAUAGAGGGCUGCUCCACCCUCAUUUGUACACCAUCAAACACUUCUGUUUCAGUGAAUACAAGAGCAUUUCCAGAAUUCUGUUUUUCUGUCCUGUUUCUCUUUAACUUGCGUAAUCAGCCAUUCCCAUUGUUCUAGUGCCCGCACGCUUGUGUUUUAGGCUGACUUAGGCAUAAAGGAGGAGAUUCCAAGCCUAAGACCGCACGGAUUCUGAGUCUAAGGUCGGAGCCCGUGACAUAAGGCCAUUUCCACAGCGGAACUGAGGCGCGGUCGCUCUUCAUUUUCUGCUGAAGCAUACGAGCGGUACUCGUUCAGGAUUAUCCUAGGCACCAAUCUUGUUGCGAGUUACUUGAUGUCGUAUGGCCCACUUACCAGCCGGGUUUUAUGCAUUUCCUGAUAAUGGUAACUCCCUAUUGAGCAGUUCAGGCACUUCGAAAUUUUUCGAGGCUAAAUUUGAAGGACCAGACGAAGGCAGUGCUUACCAAGAACUUCCUCUUCGCCUUGGUCUUCUUGCUUGCUCUUAUCCAAGUGCUGGCAAGAAGAGAAUAUUCGUCAUUACUAACAAUGUAGUCCAAAGGUUGCUGUAUCCAGUACACCGUUGCUGUAUCCAGUACACCAUUGCUGUGCAUCUAUAUUAAGACCCCUUCCAAUGGAUGUUCAACCAAACAAAGCGUUUGGAUUAUUUAGUUGGCAUCAAGCAUUUAUGGUCCUUCGAUCUUAGCUCGGCCUUUAUCGAGCUUCUCAUAAACUCUUGUUUUGGUCGUCCGUUCGCAGCAGUAGCUUUGGCUUUGAGGAAUAACAUCUUUCAUCUUUCCUUCUCGAAGUCAUUGCAUCCCUGCUUGUUUGUGACCGGGCAGCCUUUAGCAUAUUAUGCCUCUUGGCCUCUCUUCGCACUGUCGCACCAUAUGUUGGUGUGGCUGUGUGCAGAAAAGUUUUACCCGUAAAAUGUCUUCAAGAAGUACGUUAUCCUUGGAGAUGACAUUGUUAUUGGCAAUAAGUGUGUGGCUGAACUCUACCGGCGAGAGCUGAAAGAGUUAGAUGUUAAAGCCUUACUAUAUUACUAUAACUAGAAGCAUGCCUUACUAGAAUAGGGGGCGCAGAGUUUCUAAGUGAAGGCAAGCGCAACUAUCUAUUUCAUAGACUCCCUGUCAGCAAAGCAGGUCCACUAAAAAGCCUACCGGCCUCAAGAAUGGGAAAGCCUACCAAAAGACUCUUCCAUAACCGACUCUUGUUACCGAAUCAAGGGGACUUGGCUUGUACCAGGCUCUAAAAGAGUUUUCUUCGAGCGAGCAGUCUUUCUAUCUUUUUGGGUUGAAUGCCUAAGGCAAUGUUUUUUUUAGAGAGAAAUGGAUUGAUGAAAUUACCGUAGGGUAAUUACUGUACUUUUGCAAGUCCAAGGAGCCAAUAUAUGGAGCUUCUGAUAGUCCAGUACAAAGUACUCGCUGCCACGCUGAAUUCCAAGGGAGUGAACGGAGCCAGCAAACCCCUACGCUUCUUCCGAAAAGGGUUCCGAAGCCACAGUACCCCAGUUACCAGCGUCAAGUAGAGGGUGUACCCCUAGAUUAAAAGAUAUUCAAAGGGCUUCGGGAGAUGGGCUUGAUCCAGAGAUAGGCUUAUAAGGGAGAAUCUUCAUCAGUAGUGGAAUGGAAUCAUGAAAUCCGGGCAACAAUAAAUUCUCUCGCUUUAUAUUAUAUUGCCAUCUGCAACCGGUCGAUGACAAUCAUGUCUCUUAUAAGCAUGUCUCUUAAAAGGGAUUCAUUCUUCCAGUUAUCGAUUUCCUCAGGAGAGAUGCUUCAAAGCGGAUCCUCCUCCCUUCCUUACCUUAUUUGAAUCUCGAGAAUCAGUAAUUCAUGCCACUAAUCUGGUAAGUAGGGCAUGGUAGGUGCUUGGGAAGCUUCACAGGUCGAUAGUCCUGUCUUUAAUGCAUUGCUCUUUACUAGACAGCACAGGGCAGAUUUUAACCCCUAUUACCCAACCAAGCCAUCUGAUCAUCCAAUAGCUGCUUAUCUCUCAAAAUGAGUUACUUGCUUGGAGGGCCGCCCUAUCUUUGUUUCCUACCUCGGAUGCUUCUAAUGCACAUCUUCUUUCAUGCCCCAUGAGAAAAAAGUAUUUUCUCUAUAGAAUUGGAAAUCGGCUCAUGAUCGGCCUAUGCUCUUUGGGAAGUGUGUUGAGCAUUCGACUGAUCCUUAUCUUCUCCUCCAACCGGGAAAGGGGUUUACAUUCAAUCCAGUGCCAUCACACCCACAGUUCAUUUUCCUAGGAAAAAAAAAUCUUUCUUUUCUCGAUGCCGGAUCCUUUUUCGAUUGGGUAUGGUUAGAAAGAAUGGAGGCAACCUUUCCGCUCCUUCGUCGUCUAAGAUGCUUGCAUCACAAAGGGGGAAUUCAACUAAGACAUACAAGAGGUACAAAGAAAAGAGAACAAGCUAAAUAGUCCAACAUCAUUUUCCAAAGUGAUAUUCCAAAACAAAGGGUGGAAGAAGAGUCCACAUGUUUACUUCAACAAGCCAUAUAUAGACUUGAUUCUUCUUUCCCAUGUUCACCUUACCGGCCACUUCGUUCACUUGGCUUUAGGCACUCCAAAGGCAUAAGAAAGCAUAUAAGAUAGGCUGAUCACCAACCAAUUCACCAGAGGCUUCUAGAAUGUCUUAUUUGGCACUUAAAGCCAAUCAACGUAGGGAGUCAGAAAACGAAGAAAUUGAUAGAGAACAAUGGACUGUGCCUCCGUUUCACUCCUAUCCAUGGCAAGUCCCUGAGUAACUUCUCAUGCCCGAGGAAAGCAGGGAAGACUUUUCUAUCCGACUUUCGGUGGGCUGAAACCUACAUUCUUGUGUGUAAUGAGUGGCUACUAGUUAGAAUGAAUUCUUUUCGGUCUUUAAGACCAACUCCUUUUCUAAGCUAAGCUCUUUAUUAAACCAUAGGGCAGGCAACUGAGUAAGCUAAGCCUAAAAGGUGGACGGAGAUGAUGACUAAGCCGAAUCCCCGGAGCGCUAACUCGAAAUUUCCUAGAAUAAGGAAUAGAAAGACUUAGCUAGAACUACUGCCUUCAAGCUUGAGAGACCGAGAACCCACUUUUGAUCUCUAACCCCGUCUAUUUUACUUCCUGCUUGACUUGGGAACUAAAGCAGCUUGCCUUGAUCAAUAACAAUAAGCUUUCCUUCUUGCCAGCUAUCUUGCCUAAGUCUCUUUCCCUUUUUCUCACUUCCUUAAGUAAGAUAAUGCUUAAAAACUUUUCCGCUGGCUUUCUUUCUAAUGGUACAGCCCAGAUAGCCUCCUCCUGCUCUCGUCUAUAAUCAACUGCUUUCUAGUCUGAUGGUCCAGAGGUAGAUCGUGCAAAAGAAAAAUCCCUUAUUGGCUCGCUUGGAGAAGGCACUGGCGCCCAAGGCAUUAGAUUAGGAUUGGCCGGAUACUUUCUUACUGUACCGUAAGAGGUAACAGGCUCAGAAGAGUCGUUCCAGGGAAAUGAAAUAAAAUAAAAAGGGCCUCGAUGCUCUUAGAAAGGGAUCCUUAGGAAUGAUCACAUUGCAGGAACGAAAGUCACUGGAGAAUGAAAAGCAGGUGCGAUUCAAUUAGACUAGAGCUUUUGCUCGAGCUCGAGUAACGUGGGAUAUCCUGUCUUAAAGACCGAAGGACUCCUUCAACCUCAACCCCAAGUAAAAGAAAAAGAACUUGAUUGAACGGGAUCUUUCCCCAGCUUUAUCACUGUCUUCAAAGAGUCAGGCUAAUUCUAAGGAUUGCUCACUGGUAAACUCGCUGAAACAAAAAAAAAAAAAAAAAAUUCCAAAAAGAGAAGACAUCACUCCAAGGAAAGCAAGGAACCUCGUACUAGACAAACCCACUGGCUGGAAAGGAGAAAGAAAGGAAACAAAAAAAGGCAGGGCGGAAGAAUAAAAAUCAAGGGAGCCAAGAGCUUCAUCCUUCGUGACCACUUAAGCAUACGUGGUCAAUGAAGGGGCAUGCUCAGGGAAGGCAGAUUAAUUAGUCUUCCUUAAUUUAAUCUUUAAUCUUAAUAAAAAUAAAAGCACUUACCAAACCAACAACUGCUUUGACAGAAUGUGAUUCUUUUUUCACUUUCCAUAUAUAGAAAUAUAAAAAGAUAUACUAGAAACGACAUCUCUUAUGUCAAUGACACGAAAGGGAUAUGAAAUGAAUGGAAUUGGGAUAUGGAUGGAAUAUAAUGAAAUAGAGCCACUACGAAGAAGUAACGGGGGUUACGAAGGAAACCUCGAGUUCAUAUUGGCCAUGGGUUGAGAACGGGAAUUGAACUCUAUGAGAUCUAAUCCCCCGUUGUUCCUCAAUAGCUCAGUGGUAGAGCGGUCGGCUGUUAACCGACUCGUCGUAGGUUCGAAUCCUACUUGGGGAGAUUUGAUUCAUUCCGAAUUAAAGAAUUCAGAAUGUCAGAAUGAAAGGGUUCGCUUUGACCGUUAAGAGUCGCGUUCCCUGCGUCUUUGUUUCUAUUGCAUUCUAUCUCAUCGUAUCCCAUUCUGUUCUGCGCCUUCGAGAAAGUUCAAACAAGAGAAGAGAAGGGCUAGUCUCUUAGCUAUCCGAAAGGAAGAAAGCAAAGCAGACCCAGACAAAAAGCUGUUUUCUUUAGCCUUCUCUCUCCAUUGAAGCAGGCCUUCGCCUUCCUCUUUUCAUUGCUACUGUAAGCCAAUCAGACAGUCCCUCUGUCUGCGAGCGAGCUCGAAAUCAGGAUUGUUAGGCAGUUACACUGCUAGGAUAAGCAAGCCCAUCUUUUUCCAUGUAAGUUAGAGAACCUAACCUAAACCCACGUAGUGGGACUGAUGUUACACCUAAGCCAGUCUGAAGCGCAUUCAGUUGGAUAAAAAAGGGCAUCCCUAUCCUCAGAUUAGAUGUAGGCUCUAAAGAAAGAACCAAUCAUUUUUUGUCACAGCAUAGGUGUCAUGAGCCAACCUUGUAUAGGGCCAUGACCGGGACUUAGGUUGCCAAGAGCCACCCAUGUAUAGGGCUAUGGCCGGGUAGAUCCUUUAUGCUAGGAAAAGUGUCCCCAUUUCAAACAUUGUAACGGUUACUGGUAGCAUAUCUCUAAAAUCUCUAAGGCUCUUUAGGGGGGGUAAGCCGGCAGCAUAGUGUUAGGCUGUCUCACUGGGUGCUAUGCGAACUUAGGCCACCCACCAAGGGCUGCCCCCCUGGCCCUGGUGAUGGUGGGAGGUCCCGAUGUAUGAUUCCCGAUUAUAAUAAAAUUCACCCCGAUUGUGUCCGAAUGUUGCCUCGAUGUGUUUCUUUCUUUUCUCGAUGUGAAUGUGCCUUGUUGCGUGUGAAUGCUUGAGAUUGAUCUUGAUAUAUUGUGCCUUAUUGUGAAUGCUUGAGACUAACCAUGGUCUAUAGUUAUUUGUUCAGAUAUCGAUCUAUUGAAGGCUGACUUGGGUGGAAGCAUCCAUUCAAGUGCCGCACGGCCUAUUGCUUGUUGAGAGAAAGCUUAGUCCGUGACACGUGAUAUCAAAGCAUGGUUGAGAAGUGCUAGAAAAUGGAUGAGAUGGCCACAAAUGGUGGGCCUGAUCAUCAACAGAGAAUUGAAGAACUUGAGGCCGCGGUGGCUGUAAUGAAAACUCACAUGGUGACUAAAGACCGAGUGAGGGAGAUCGAGAUAACCUAGCGGGAGUUGUCCGAUACUCUUCACAACGUGAGCGAGGAGGCUAGAGAUGCCUUGAAUAUUCUCCAAAAGGAGUUUGAGGAGCUUAGAGCACAGGUGAGCAUCCUACAAAUGGCUGUGGCCAGGUCAGGUUCAAACUCGAUGGAAAGAGGGAAAAGACCCAAGGUGUCGGAGCCUCGACGUUAUGAAGGGGUAAGGGAUGCUAAGGAACUUGAAAAUUUCUUAUUUGACAUGGAGCAAUACUUUCGGGCUGUCCACACGGACUCAGAGGAAGACAAGGUGGCAAUGGCAUCGAUGUACCUCGUAGGGGAUGCCAAGCUAUGGUGGAGCUCCAAGUUUGUCAAUGACGAGUGCCCGAUUAAGACUUGGACGGACCUGAAGCAGGAAUUGAAAAACCAAUUUUUCCCUGAGAAUGUGGAGUAUAUGGCUCGAAGGAGACUCCGAGAAUUGGUGCAAACAGGGACAGUGUGAGAGUUUGUAAGGAGCUUUUCUACCUUGAUGUUGGACAUUCGAGACAUGUCCGAAAAAGACAAGAUGUUUUAUUUUCUUGAGGGCCUCAAGCCGUGGGCCAGAACAGAACUACAAAGAUAAAAAGUGCAAGAUGUGGCCACGGCCAUGGCUGCAGCUGAACGUCUUCACGACUAUAAUGACGGCUCCUUAAAACGAAAAAAUCCUCCAUCAGCUGGCAGUAGCUUCAACUUUGGGAGUGGAGGAAAGAUGACUAGGCUAGAUCGGCCAUCCAGUGGGGGAUCAGAUAGGAGGCCCUUUGGUCGAGAUAGCACCCAACCAAGAACGAACAGUGCGGUGACUUUCAGGCCUAGACAACUGCUAGCUUGCUUUCUUUGCAAGGGGCCGUAUCGAGUGGCCGAAUGUCUGCACAGAGGAGCCCUUAAUGCCUUGAGAACCUCAUCCCAAGAGUCUGCAAAAGUGCCAGAGAGCAUUGAAGAGAUCGAAGAGGAGCCAACCAGGAUGGGCUCAAUAAAGUUCCUCAAUGCCCUCCAUACCCAACUGAAUACUAUAAGGAAAGAGCAAAGUAGAGGCUUGAUGUAUGUGAGCCUAAUGAUAAAUGAGAAGGCCACUAAGGCCAUGGUGGAUACGGGUGCAACUGAUACUUUCAUCACACCCGAAGAAGCAAAGAGGUGUGAUCUUCAUGUUAACAAAGACUGUGGACGAAUGAAGGCGGUCAAUUCACUAGCCUUUACGAUCAGUGGAAGCUCUAAGGGUGUGACAACUAAAUUGGGGCCAUGAGAAGGGAAGGUAGACUUUACUGUCUCCUCUAUGGACGACUUUGAUGUCGUUCUCGGGUUGGACUUCAUGAUGUUGGCUCAGGCGAUCUCUAUCCCCGCUGUUAGCUGCUUAUUAUUCUUAGGGGAACACCCAUGUGUGGUGCCAACCAAUAUCUUGCCAAAGAGUGGAAAGAAAAUGAUUUCAGCUUUGUAGUUCAAGAAAGGGGUAAAGAGAGGGGAACCCUCUUUCGUGGCCAUGCCGAUCUACAAGGAAGGGUCGAAAGUAAAACCAAUACCCGAUGGCGUGAAAAAGGUGUUGGAAGAAUUCGAAGAGGUGAUGUUAGAGAUAUUGCCUAAGGUUCUACCCCCUCGACGUACUGUGGACCAUGAAAUUGAACUCAUUUCAGGAGCAAAACCCCCUACUAGAGCUCCUUACCACAUGGCUCCGCCAGAGUUGGCCGAGCUAAGAAAAUAGUUAGAUGAGCUUUUACAAGCCGGAUUCAUCAGACCAUCAAAGGCUCCUUUCGGAGCGCCUGUGCUAUUCUAGAAGAAGCAUGAUGGAAGUCUGUACUUAUGUGUUGACUACAGGGCCCCUAACAAAGUCACCAUAAGAAAUAAAUAUCCUAGCCCUCUUAUAGCAGACUUGUUUGAUCAAUUGAGCCGAGCCAAGUACUUCUCCAAACUGGAUCUAAGAUCUAGAUACCAUCAGGUCAGAAUCGUUGAGAGAGAUGAGCUAAAGACCACUUGUGUAACACGGUAUGGUGCAUUUGAAUUCCUUGUUAUACCUUUUGGACUAACCAAUGCUCCUGCCACAUUUUGUACAUUGAUGAAUCAGGCGUUCCAUGACUACCUAGACAAAUUUGGAGUCAUUUAUUUAGACGAUAUAGUGGUAUAUAGCUCCACCUUGGAAGAACAUCAAGAACACCUACGUCAGGUGUUUCAAAGGUUACAGGACCACCGGUUAUACAUAAAAAGGGAGAAGUGUGCUUUUGCUCAGACCCAAAUCCACUUUCUCGAACACAUUGUUGAACGUGGCCACAUCCGAAUGGACAUGAAAAAGGUUAGGGCCAUCAAGGAGUAGACAACACCGAAGAAUGUUAGUAAGCUUCGCUCAUUCUUGGGACUAGCCAACUAUUAUAGAAGGUUUGUGGAAGGGUACUCUCGCAAGACCACGGCCCUCACGAAGCUAUUGAAGAAGGAGUACAAGUGGUGUUAGACAAGUGAGUGGCAAGAGGCAUUUGAGGGAUUGAAGGAUGCUAUUAUGAAAGAUCCUAUCUUAGCUCUCCCUGAUAUUGAAAAGCCUUUCGAAGUUUAGACGGACGCAUCCGAUUUUGCUAUUGGAGGUGUGCUUUUACAACAACAUCACCCGGUAGCAUUCGAAAGUAGAAAGCUGAGCGAAGCUGAAAGAAAAUAUACGGCCUAGGAAAAAGAGCUCCUGGCGGUGGUUCACUGCUUGAGGGUUUGGCGACAUUACUUGUUGGGUUCAUACUUUGUCGUGAAGACAGACAAUGCAGUCGUUAGCCAUUUUCUCACUCAACCAAGGCUUACGGCGAAACAAGCUAGGUGGCAGGAAUUUUUAGCGGAGUUUGACUUUUGUUUUGAGCAUACCGCUGGAAAGACCAAUCAGGUGGCAGAUGCAUUGAACAGGCGACCAGAGUUAGCGACCCUUAGAAGAAUGGCCCCAAUGGCGGCUAGCAGAGCCACUACAGACAUUCAUAAGGUGAUUGGAGAUCAUCUAGGGAAAGACCCGCAAGCCUGUGCCAUUUUGAAGCUAGUGGAAGAAGGGAAGUCCAAAUACUUCUGGCAAGAAAAUGGGGUCUUGUGGACCAAGGGACCUCGAGUGUUUGUGCCAAAAGUAGGAGGUCUAAGACAGAUGCUGAUGAGAGAAUGUCAUGACACCCUAUGGGAGGGACACCCGGGCUGGCAACGCACUUUGGCGUUAUUAAGAUUGGGAUACUAUUGGCCUCAAAUGCGAUAAGAUGUGAUGGACUAUAUGAAAACUUACCUUAUUUGCCAACAAGACAAAGUCAAAAAGAGGAAACUUGCAGGCAUGUUCGAACCAUUAUCGGUGCCCACUAAACCAUGGGAAAGUAUCUCCCUCGAUUUUAUUUCGAGCCUACCCAAGGUUGGUGACCUUGGAGCUAUUUUGGUGGUGAUUGACCGGUUCUCUAAGUAUGCCACAUUCAUUCCCGUUCCCAAGUAUUGUACAGCGGAAGACACAGCUCGACUAUUGUUCAAACAUGUGGUCAAGUAUUGGGGCCUCCCUCAAAACAUUAUCAGUGAUAGAGAUUCGAGAUUCACGAGGUCCUUUUGGAGAGAACUUUUCAAGAUUUUGGGGUCCCAACUCAACAUCUCCUCAAGCUAUCACCCUCAAACUGAUGGCCAAACGGAACGAUUCAAUGGAUUGCUGGAGGAAUACUUAAGGCACUUUGUCCAAGCCAACCAGAAGGACUGGCCUUCAUUAUUGGACGUUGUUCAACUCUGCUUUAAUUCCAACAAAAGCUCUUCUACUAACAAGAGCCCAGUUGAGGUGGUCAUCAGACAAUUACCAAGGCUACCCCACACUUCCUUGGAACCAUAUGGAGGAAAGAAUCCGAGAGCUUUCAACCUUAGCAAGGAAUGGAAACAAAACACGAAGAUUGCACAAGCCUAUCUGGAGAAAGCAUCGAAGCGGAUGAAGAAAUAGGCAGACAAGGGUCGCAGAGAUCAACAAUUCCAAGUUGGUGAUUUGGUUCUGGUCCGACUAGUUUCAGAAUAAACCAGGUUCUUGAGAAAGAGAGAUCGUAGACAGAUAUGCAAAUAUGAAGGUCUAGUAAGGGUCUUUGCCAAUGUGGGGAAUGCCUCUUAUAAAAUCGACCCUCUGAAGUGGAUGAAAGUGCACCCAGUAUUUCAUGUGAGCAACCUGAAGCCUUUCCAUGUCGAUCCUACAGAUGCUAGCCGAAUGGAACCAACCAGAGCUGCCAUCACCAUGAAGCCACCUUCAGAGCGUCGAGUUGAAGAGAUCUUAGCCAACAGGGAAACCAAGAUAUCUUGAAGACUAGUUCGGGAAUAUUUAGUGAAGUGAGAGGGAUUAAGCCUAGAAAAAACCAGUUGGGAGAGAGAGCACGACCUCCAGAGAUUUCAAAGAAAGAUUGAAGAAUUUCAAGCCAGCAAGUCGACGAGGACGUCGAUAGAAUAGGUGGGGGAGGAUGUCAUGAGCUAACCUUGUAUAGGGCCAUGACCGGGACUUAGGUUGCCAUGAGCCACCCAUGUAUAGGGUCAUGGCCGGGUAGAUCCCUUGUGCUAGGAAAAAUGUCCCCAUUUCAAACAUUGUAAUAGUUACUGGUAGCAUAGCUCUAAAAUCUCUAAGGCUCUUUAAGGGAGGUGAGCUGGUAGCAUAGUGUUGGACUGUCUCACCGGGUGCUAUGCGAGCUUAGGCCACCCACCAAGGGCUGCCCCCAUGGCCCUGGUGAUGAUGGGAAGUCCCGAUAUAUGAUUCCUGAUUAUAAUGAAAUUCACCCUGAUUGAAUGUUCGAAUGUUGCCUCGAUGUGUUUCUUUCUUUUCUCGAUGUGAAUGUGCCUUGUUGCGUGUGAAUGCUUGAGAUUGAUCUUGAUAUAUUGUGCCUUAUUGUGAAUGCUUGAGACUAACCAUAGUCUAUGGUUAUUUGUUCAGAUAUCGAUCUAUUGAAGGCUGACUUGGGUGGAAGCGUCCAUUCAAGUGCCGCACGAUCUAUUACUUGUUGAGAGAAAGCUUAGUCUGUGACAAUAGGCAUCUUUUUCAAGCCAGUCAAAAUCCCUCCAUCUCCAUCUAGCGAUGAGACCUUCCGUCCGUACCUAUUUGAAAAGCCGCUUGAUAGCAGUUCCUUUUCCCUUUUUGGUUGAGGGGAAAGAUCGAAGACAAGACCUUCCAGGCAUUUCCUUCAAUCUUCUCCACCAGCGAGUGCUAGUUUCCCUACCAGUUGCCAGCUAUCUAGUUGAAGUCUUUUUUCUGCCUUUUUCAGGUAGGAGUCAAGCAAGGCAGUUUUCUAGCCAGCUAGGACUAGAGCAAAGCAAGGUCAGCCUGAGGUCAAUCCAGAAAGCCGGUAAGAGAGUUGAAACUGAGAAUAAGAUAACUUAACAUAACUUAAGAGACUCCAUUUUUUCUUUUCCAGCUUCUCCAAUUGAGUCUAUUUUUUCAGAAAAAGAAAGUGCUUUUGGAAUCACUCAACCUUUCGAUCAAGACAGGAGGGCAUUGCUUCCUUUCACCGAGUGUGGGCUCGAUCCCAUCUCUGGUACUGGUAUCCCUUUCCCUUCCUCUAGUUAGUUACUUGGCUCCCCAGACUUCUUCCUUCUAGGCGAGUCACCUUCGGUUCAAUAGUAGCGGCAUUCUUUUCUUGACUAUUUUCAUCUUUCUCUGAGUUGGCUGUAGCAUUGAAAACUCUUUAAGCGGAAUGAGAACAAAAUCCUCAGCAAAAGACAAGUCCGCAAUGGAAGAAAGAAACGGCCCUUCGAAGCGUGAAAAAGAAAUGCUGUAAAUGAGAUGACCCAGAAUGCCGAUCAAUUAUUGCUUUCAAGCCAGAGGCGAGGGGCAACGGCAACAACCGGGGAUGAUGUUGAUGCUGGACCAGUGUCACGGUCCGCGUGUUUUUCAUUUUGAAACCACGCGUCCAUGCGACAUUAAAACUACUCAUAAUCGAUGUCAAUCUUCUGUGAGUCCAUUUUUUUCCUGGAUAGUUUAAUUUCAAUCCUUCCAAUCGCAUACACAGGAGCCUUUUCUUUGGCUUUGACCCGUAGGGUUAUUCAUUCCGAACUUUAUAGGGAGGAACCCAACUCCCAUCACUCAUCAGCUCACGAUUCUCAAAGUGGCCUUGAGCACCCAUCUCGCCCUGCAGGGUUUAAGGUCUCGAGCAUUGACCCUUGAAUACUCGUGGGGCACGCAGCCUCAGUUCUCAUUAUAUUAUUACUUCUUAACACGGUGAGAACCCAACAGCAUGCCCACCCGUAUCGUACGCAAACUCUCGUAUCAAGUUUACGCAAGUGUCACACUUAAGCUGGUCAGCAGCCAGCUCAAAGCCUUUAGACUCAUCUCAUCCCACGAGACUCAGUUCUUAGGGCUUAGGCCAAUAGCAUCAGUGUAGGCCACCCACACGCAUGAUUGACACCCAACAUCAUGCUAGUCUCGUAAGGGGGACUUGGGUGGACUGCCCCAGCUGUAGCACACCUCUACCAAUUGGUCAUAAAGGUCUAAUAGUGUGCCUGCCUGCUAGCCCACACAUCCUUCAGGCUCGAUAGCAUCCCUCCUAUACAAACACCAUCUCAUGAUCCUUCUGGCUCAAGGAAGGGAAAUCGAGGGGCAUAGUAAACUUUACCAUGUAACCCCAUGGCUCAACGCAAAGGGGCGAUACGAGGCUCGUCGACCCCAAUCGUCCUCGGGUUUACCAUGACCCGAGGAAACAUCGUGCCACGCUCGUGACCCUACAAUGCCCGCCCACCUAGACACCACUAGUGCCUAGGAGUAGCUCACUUCAGACUAGCCAGGCCCCUACCUGCCCGCUAGCCAAGGGGGUGGUGAAGAGCUGACACCAGACAUCCCCUAUAAAAAGCGUAAGAGAUUUUUCCAGUCUCCUACCAAUAACCAUAAGAUUGUCCAAAAUGGGAACACUUUUCUCUCCAGCCAUCUCAAGACCUAUCUCUGGUUAACUCAGGGCCCCAUAACCUUCUUCUUGGUCACCAUUAUUCCUUAAUUCUACUUGUUGCUCCAUCAACCCACUCGAAGGUGCCCGUACAUGGCUUCAACCGACAGCACCUGACUGACUAGCUAGUCUCAAGGCACCGGUGUAUUGUCUCACACUUACCUGCGUAUCUUGGAGUUUAGGACUCAGACUAUCCACGCACAAUAUCCCUAACAUAUUUCCAUGCUCAGAAUGCUCGCACACUGCUUCCACUGAUGGCACCUGUCGGGUUAGUUGGCUUGAGGGUGCUUGGCGACUAUCCUGAACUUAUCCGUGUAUCUUACAGUCUAGGGUUCUCACUGCCCGCACAACAUAUUAAUAACAUGUUCCAAUGCUCCAAAUGCAUGCCCGCAUCUCUCAGAAUCACUUUUUCAUCAGCUUGGUCUAGAUCGCUACUCAGUUCAGGGUUAGUCAUGGCAGGACCAAGGCCUGACCAUGACACUCUCCCCCACUUACUAUGUCGAUGCCCUCAUCGACGCCAAGACCACACCCAACUCUCUUGUUGCACACAGUCGACAUUUACUCAUAUGUCUCUCACUUGUGCCCUUAAGGAUUGGGUCGAGAUCCCGUUACAUGGGGCACUACCCAUAGUACCCAUCCAUUGUUGAUGUAGAUUGGUCACAUACCAGCACCAAUGCACCUCUGCUCUAUUCCUACUCGAACCAUCUCACCCUAUCUUGGUUGCUCCAUAUGUGCCACAACAUUGCUUCCCUUUGAUCAUAUCACAUUGUGACCUUGAGGCACCCUCAUUGUUCAAUGACUCUUAGUAGAAUGAAUGACCACCCACUUUGCCACUCAUUGGUGUGUCCUACUGGACGUGACCCCUCACACCAACUGCACGCCUGCAGCAUCGACUCUUUGAUGUGCCCCUCUGGACGUGGUGUUUAGGUCAACCGCACUCAUACGGCACCCCACACGAUAGACCUUAGCACAGUGACAUUCAGGCACUUUGGUUAUCUCUGAACUUGGGUUCUCUCGACCCCUCCAAGGUCACCUCUCUAGGUGUGGCCCUCUGGCCAACCGCCCCUGAGACGACACCUUAAUGCGCGCUAACUCGAUCUCUGCUCCUAGCUCGAACACUAUGCUCUAUUUGCUCAGGCCCCUCUAUCUUGGCUCAAUCUCACAGGGAAAUCACAAGUCUCCCUCACUUUUACUCGAAACUCCACUAAGCAUUAUACGUAACCAUGUUUCCUCGAUGGAUCUACUGCUCGUCUGCCUUGACUCUAGCAUAGCUCCUAUGGCAUCUCAAAAUCCACUCAUACUCAGAAAUCCACUGAUUUGCUGACUCAGGGAUUCACCAACCCAUUCAAUUCUCAAGGUCCAUCGACCCACACCAUCUGAAGGCUUUGUCAACUGGCCAAUUCCCAAUUAUUUGUUCCACUAGAAUACACUCUGUCGUGGCCCUUCUGACCACCACUACAUGUGAAGCUUUCCCUCUUGGCCAACACAAACUCAGUUCAUUGAUUCACACACUCUCGUGAUCCUCUGACCAUGAGAACUCAUGAUCUACUAACCAACAUAGCUCAUGGUCCAUCGACCAUCUCGCUUGUGGCUUCAAUCUUUAGCCACUCCAUACUCUUCUAUGUAAGGACUCCAUGCUUGGACCCGAAUACUUCGGCUUGCACCCCCGCUGGGGCACCUGCACCAUACAACAAGUGCACACAUUAGUAAUUAAUUUUGAAACUCAAUACCUCUCGCCCCUCAGAACAAGAUUCACUCGACCCACAUGGCCUUACAUAACACCAUUUCAUGGUGUAAGCCCUUUUUCGCAUGUCUCACUACGAUUUCUUCCACCGUAAAGGCAUCACACGCCCCAAAACAUGCCAACAUCAUUUUCUAGGUGAGGCCAGACUCCGAUGCCCUUUUGCUUGGCAUCCAAGAGCCCACUCGAGAGCUUUUUUACAUAGGCUCAAUUUUUCUUGCAGCACGCAUCGUUGACUCCUUUCCAAGCCCCCAUAGCCACAUAACCACAUUUGCAUCUUGAUAGCUCAUUUUGACCUUGGCACCACCUCUAUUUCACAUCACCAGGCCCAUACAUGGGGUCAUGUAAAUCUCACCACUGAGCCAAACCAAGGCUCUGAUACCACAUGUCACGGUCUGCAUAUUUCUCAUUCUGAAACCACGUGUCCGUGCGGCACCAAGACUACUCAUAAUCGAUGUCAGCCUUUCGUGAGUCCAUUAUUUUUCUGGACAGCUUAAUUUCGAUCCUUCUAGCCAUAUACACAUGAGCCUUUUCUUUGUCUUUAACCCCAUAAGGUUACUCAUUCUAAACUUUAUAAGGAGGAACCCAACUCCCAUCACUCAUCGGUCCAUAAUUAUCAAAGUGGCCCCGAACACCCAUCUUUGCCUGCAGGGCUUAAGGUCUCGAGCGUCGACCCUUGAAUACUCGUGGGGCACGCAGCCUCGGUUCUCAUGAUAUUAUUACUUCUUGACAUGGUGAGAACCUAAUACCAUACCCGUUUAUAUCAUAGCAAACUCUCGUAUCAAGUUUACAUAAGCGUCACACUUAAGCUAGUCAGCAGCCAGCUCGGAGCCUCUAGGCUCAUCUCAUCCAACGGGACUCAGUUCUUAGGGCUUAGCCCUUAGCAUCAAUGUAAGCUGCCUGCACGCAUGAUUGACACCCAACAUCAUGCUAGUACUGUAAAUGAGACUUGGGUGGACUGCCCCAGCUGCAGCACACCUCUAUCAAUUGGCCAUAAGGGUCUGACAGCGUGCCUACCUACUAGCCCACACUCAAUGGCAUUCUUCCUACGCAAACACCAUCUCAUGAUCCUUCUAGCUCAAGGAAGAGAAAUCGAGGGCAUCAUAAACUUUACCAUGUAACCCCAUGGCUCAACGAAAAGCACGAUAUGAGGCCUACUGGCCCUAACCAUUUUCGGGUUUACCAUGACCCGAGGAAACAUCAUGCCACGCUCGUGACCUUACGAUACCCGUCCACCUAGACACCAUUAGUACCUAAGAAUAGCUCACUUCAGACUAGCCAGGCCUCUGCCUACCCUCUAACCAAGGGGGUGGUAGAGAGCUGACACUAGACAUCCCCCCUAUAAAGAGAGUAAGAGAUUUUCUCAAUCUCCUACCAGUAACCAUAAGAUUGUCCGAAAUGGAGACACUUUUCUCUCCAGCCAUCUCAAGACCUUUCUCUGGCUAACUCAAGGCCCCAUAACCUUCUUCUUGGUCACCAUUAUUCCUUGAUUCUACUUGUUGCUCCACCAACCCACUCAAAGGUGCCCGCAUAUGGCUUCGAUCGACAGCACCUGAUUGGCUAGCUGGUCCCAAGGCACUGGCGCACUGCCUCACACUUACCUACGUAUCUUGAGGUUUAGGACUCAGACUAUCCACGCACAAUAUCUUUAAUUUAUUCUCAUGCUCAGAAUGCCCGCACACUGCUUCCAUUAAUGGCACUCACCGAGCUACUUGGCUUAAGGGUGCUUGACCACUGUCCUGAAUUUACCUGCGUAUCUUGCAGUCUAGGGCUACCACUGCCCGUAUAACAUAUUAGUAACAAGUUCCAAUGCUCCAAAUGCAUGCCCACAUCUCUUAGAACCACUUUUCUGCUAGCUUGGUCUCGAUCGUUGCUCAGUUCAAGGUCAGUCAUGACAGGACCAAGGCUUGACCAUGAUAACCAGCUUAUUCACUUAUUCACCCGAUGAUCAAAAGAGAUUCCCAGAAAACUAGGGCCUGAGAGAGUCCUAGUUGGAAGGCGAAUGAAAACCCCCCAGCCAUUCGCCUUGAGAACCCCUGAUGAGCCCACCAGCUCCAGCCCACCGAGAUGACACUUCCAUCAAAGUUAAGCUUGACCCAGUCCCCUGUCGGCGGCUCCCAUCUGACAAGAACUAUAACUUCUUCUCGGUCUUUACUGGGGGCCUGCACUACUUCAUUGCAGGUUCGACUGAUGAGGUACUUCAGGCUGAUUCUACUGCCUUGCUUUCAAAGACAAAUCUGUUGCAGGCCUGACAAAAAAAAACUAGAGACAGUGUCACACCCUGGGCGGGCACACCAGGCACAUCAGGCGCACUAGCACACGCACCUAAGGUUAAAACUUGCCCACCAAGCGUACUGGUGGGAGUUAGCGCACAAUGCCUUGAAGGUAAAGUCAAAACACCCACAUAGCUUUCAGGCCAACCCAUAAAGCCAAGGUUUGGCCUGCAUGAUGCUCGCACCACAUCCAACAGGGCCCAAGAUGAGAGAUACAUAAGGGGAUCUUCUAAAAGAUCAUAAGAUCAGCAGGAGCUUUCUGAUAGAUCUAGUUGACCCUUAAAAUAAAGAGAUAAAUCCUGAUUGAUUGUAAUCUUUGUAAUUCUUUGAUUUUAGCCUUGAUUUUAAGGAUUUAGCCAUAAAUGUAGUUGGGAGCCUCAAUUAUAAAUAGAGGGCUACUCUACCCUUAUUUGUACACCAUCAUACACUUCUGUUUCAGUGAAUACAAAGCAUAUUCCAGCAAGCUAUCUUGUUUUCCUAUUUUUCUCAAACUUACGUAUUCAGCCUUUCCCAUUGUUCUAGUGCCCACAUGCUGGUGUUUUCGGCUGACUUAAGCUACAAAGAGGUGAUUUCAAGCCUAAGAUCGUAUGGAUUCUGAGUCUAAGGUCGGAACCCAUGAUAGUUGGUAUCAAAACAAGUUCAGUUCUGCGUGUUUGUGUUGUUCAGGUUAGAUCACAAUUGAAAAGAUGGCAUCCCAGAGUGAUGUUGCUAGCCAACAACCAGAAGCCCAGGAGUAAGGGCAUGGAAGAGGUAAGAAUGCCAACUCGAGAGACAUCUGGUCUACCAUGAAUGGUAGGCUGGCCAAGGUGAAGGUGAGCAUAGGCGACAUGUAAGAGAAGCUUGAAGAUGUGGAGACUCACGUUGAAGCGCUAGACUCCAUAAAGGAGCAGCUUAGUGGUGAGUUACAAGCUGCUCUCAAUAAAGGCAUGAACAUGAUCACCUAAAAGAAUGAGACCUUAGAGGCUGUGGUGAAAGCCAUAAGCAAAAAGAUAGAGAAGCUUACCAGUAACCUCAUUGCUUGCAAGACUGCCAUUGGGAAUGGCAUGUUUCCUGGAGUGUUUAAGUUCAAGAUGGAUAUCCCCAAGCCCAAAGAGUUCAAGGGGACUAGGGUAGCCAAAGAAGUAGACAACUACCUAUGAGAUAUGAAACGGUAUUUUUAGGCCAUGGGCAUACAGGAUGAGAUAAUAAAAGUAAGCACCACUACUAUGUAUCUCACUGAUGUAGCCUUAUUAUGGUGAAGGUACAAGUGUGAUAAUGUUAGGCAUAAGAGCGCCAAGAUUAGAACCUAGGUAGAGUUUCGAAAAGAGUUCAAGGAGUAAUUUUACCCGAAGUAUGUCGAUGAUGAGGCACAGGCAAAGUUAUGUAGGCUAAGCCAGCAAGGGGACAUAAAAGAGUAUGUCCAGAGAUUCUUUGAACUGAUAUAUAGAUCUCGGAUCUGGGUCAGAAGGAUGCCUUAUUUGCUUUCAUGGAUGGGCUGAAGCCAUGGGUGAAGCAUGAGCUACAAUAAAGGGGAGUUCAUGACUUGGCUAAAGCCAUGACUACUGCUGAGUCCUUGAUAGAGUUUAAGCCUUUGAACAAGUUCGAGUCUUCCAAGCCCAAGGUUAAGGGCAAAGAUGAGAGGGACUGGAACAAGUAGUCUAAGAGGAAGGACCAUGACCAUGAGUCAAGGAUAGAGACCGAGAUCAUUCAACCAAUGAUGGUGAAAGGAAGCCACCAGCAAGCAAGUAGAAAGUAAAGGGGGAUCGAGAGCCACUAGCAUGCUACCUAUAUGGAAAGAGCCACAUAGCGUACAAUUAUCCAUAGAAGGACAAGCUUGCUACUGUAGACAAGGAGUCUGAUGAGGAACCAGAGUUAAGGGUAGCAAAGCUUAGGUCUUUGGUGUUCAAUGUUGUCCAGAGUAAAGGGAGCCGCAAGCUAAAAGGCUUGAUGUUUACGAAUUUGAUGGUUACAAGUCAAAAGGUGAAUGCACUAGUGGACACAUAUGCCUCACAUCUUUUUAUUUCAGGUGAUAGAGCCCCGAAGCUCGAACUAAAGGUGUAGAAAGGGAUUGGUACCAUUAAAAUGGUGAACUCCAAAGAGGUUCUAGCCAUUGGAGUAGCAUGAGGAGUAGAGUUAUAGCUUGGAGACUGGAAAGGCAAAAAGACCAUAGAGGUAAUACCCCUUGAUGACUAUGAGUUUAUGAUUGGGUUGGAUUUUCUUGUUCAGAUUAAUGCCUUCUUAUACCUUUUACCAAUUACAUUUGCAUCUUACAUGCAUGGUGCCAAUGCCUAGUACCAUUGAGGAGAGGGUCUAGAGUUAGGUUACGGGUGGUGUCAGCCAUCCAAUUUGCCAAGGCGGUAAGCAGAGAAGAAGACACCUUCUUGGCAGCCCUGAAGUAUGAAGAGCCAAGGGAAAAGGAGAUCGAGUCACCUUUGGAGCUGCUAAAGGUGCUAAAGACCUUUAGUGAUGUGAUGCCCGUAAAGCUACCUAGAAAGCUACCACCUAAGAGGGAGGUAGACCAUAAGAUUGAGCUAGUGUCUGAGGCCAAGCCACCAGCUAGAGCCCUCUACCGAAUGUCCCUACCAGAGUUGGAAAAGUUAAGGAAAUAGCUCAAAGAGUUAGUUGAUGCUGGCUUCAUCAGGCUAUCGAAGGUACCACAUAGUGCAUCGAUUCUAUUUCAGCGCAAGCAUGAUGGGUCGUUAUGACUGUGCAUAGACUACCGGGCUUUGAACAAGCUAGCCAUCAAGAACAAGUACCCUAUCCCAUUCAUUGCAAACUUGUUCUACCAACUUAGGAGCGUAAGGUCGUUCACCAAGAUGGAUUUGAGGUUGGGCUACUACCAAGUCAGGAUCGCGGAAGGAGAUAAGCCCAAGACAGCAUGUGUCACUCGAUAUGGUUCAUAUGAGUUCCUGGUUAUGCCAUUUGGACUCACGAAUGCCCUAGCAACAUUUUGCACCCUUAUGAACAAGAUACUUCAGUCGUUCCUUAAUCGAUUUGUUAUGGUUUAUUUGGAUGACAUUGUGAUCUACUGCCAGACUUUGAGAGAGCAUGUAGACCACUUAAGAUAAGUGUUCGAGGUGUUAUAGGCGCACAAGCUGUUUGUCAAGAGGGUGAAGUGCUCAUUUGCCCAGCAGGAGAUCUCAUUCCUAGGCCACAUAGUGGAAGGUGGCAAGAUAUGCAUGGAUGAAGGCAAGGUGCACGCCAUCCUAGAGUGGGAACUGCCAGCCAAGGUCACUGAGUUGAGGUCAUUCCUUGAGCUGGUUAACUACUAUAGACGCUUCAUCAAAGGUCACUCAGCAAUAGCCACACCAUUGACUGACUUGCUUAGGAAAGAGAGAGCAUGGGAGUGGAGUGCAGGGUGCCAGGAAGUCUUCGAUAGGUUGAAGCAGGCUAUGACUGAAGAGCUAGUCUUGGCCUUGCCAGACCAUGCCAAGCCAUAUAAAAUGCAUACGGAUGCAUCAGACUUUGCCAUAGGGGCCAUGUUGAUGCAUGAGGGAUAUCUAGUUGUGUUUGAGAGUAGGAAGUUGAACAAGACUAAGUGCAAGUACAUGAUCCAAGAGAAAGAGAUGACUGCAGUGGUGCACUGCUUGUGCACUUGGUGUCAUUACCUGUUGGGGUCAAGGUUCAUGGUUAGGAUGGAUACUAUGGCAACCAGCUACUUUUAGAUGCAAAAGAAGCUGUCCCCCAAACAGGUGAGAUGGUAAGAUUUUCUUACGAAAUUUGAUUUCCAUGUGGAGUACAAGCCAGGGCGAGCAAACCUAGUGGCAGACACCUUGAGCAGGAAGGCUAACCUUGCUGCCAUUAGCCAACCAGAGGGGUCACUCGUGCCACGUAUUAAUGAAAGACUUGUGUCACGGACCUAAAAAAGAGUCCCGAAUCUCACAUCGAACAUAAUAGGAGGGUCACUAGGGUAUAAAAGGGUUCACACCACCUAUGCCUUGUGAGGCACCUUUUGUAGGAUAAAACCAUGAGGCCAGAGGGGCUAGAGCAGACAAUACCUCAUAAGGGGGUGAACCAUGGUAGGUAAACUGAUCUGAGACGUCAGAAGGGUGAAUGGCCAGGUCUCAAAGUCACACGGGUUCGAAGCUUAAGUUUUAACCCAUGACAAGUGGUAUCAGAGCUAGCCCUAAAUUGUUCGAUCCACGUCGAGCGCCUCGAAGGAGGUAAGCAGGGUGGUCAGCCUCCGUGACAAGGGCGUCACGAGGAGGGAGAAUGUCAUAGACCUAAGAAAGAGUCCUGAAUCCCACAUCGAACAUAAUAAGAGGGUCACUGGGUAUAAAAGGGUUCACACCACCUCUACCUUAUAAAGCAUCUUUUGUAGGACAAAAUCGUGAGGCCAAGGGGGGCCAGAGCAGAUAAUACCUCAUAAGGGUGUGAAUCGUGGUAGAAAAAUUGAUCUAGGACGUCAGAUGGGUGAAUGCUCGGGUCUCGAAGUCACGUGGGUUCGGAGCUUAACUCUCAACUCAUGACAGGUGGUAUCAAAGCCAGCCCUAUACCAUUCGAUCCAUGCCAAGCACCUCGAAGGAGGUAGGCAGGGUGGCCAGCCUCCGUGACGAGAGCGUCACGAGGUUGGGUGCAAGAGAAUGUCACGGACCUAAAGAAGAGUCAUGAAUCUCACAUCGAACAUAAUAGGAGGGUCACUGGGGUAUAAAAAGGUUCAUACCACCUCUACCUUGUGAGGUGCCUUUUGUAGGAUAAAACUGUAAGGCCAAGGGGGGCCAGAGCAGACAAUACCUCACAAGGGUGUGAACCAUGGCAGGUAGGUUGAUCUGGGAUGUCAAAAGUGUGAAUGCCAAGGUCUCGAAGCGGCGUGAGUUUGGAGCUUAAGUCUCGAUCCGUGACACUUACGUAUGAUCCUACAGCCAAGGCUCUUAUAGAGUACGCCCAGCAAGGUAAGACUAGGCGAUUUUGGGUGUAUGAUACUUUGUUGUACAUCAAGGGUAGUAGACUAUUUGUGCCAUAACAUGGAAAGCUCCACAAGAAAGUUUUGCAAGAAUGCCAUGAUUCAAGGUGGGUUAGACACCCAGGAGUGAGCCGUACCUUGGCGUUGCUAGAGAACCGAUACUACUAGCCGCAUGAGGGACGAUGUGGAGGCCAAUGUGAAGAUUUGUCUUGUGAGCCAACAAGACAAGGUGGAGCUCAAGAAACCAGACGGUCUCUUGGAGCCAUUGCCAGUGCCAGAGCAACCAUGGAAAAGUGUUUCUCUGGACUUUAUAGUCGGUUUACCCAAGGUAGAGGGGUUUGGAAGCAUCAUGGUAGUGGUGGACAGGUUUUCCAAGUAUGGAAUCUUUGUUCCAGCAAUGAUGAGUCAACUUGAUUGUUCCUGAAGAACAUGGUUAAGUAUUGGGGAGUAUCGAAGACCAUUGUUAGUGAUCGGGACGGGUGUUUCACGGGCAGGUUCUGUACUGAGUUGCUCAAGCUAUUGGGGUCAGACUUGAACUUUUCCACCAACAUGCAUCCACAGACCGAUGGACAGACAGAACGCGUGAAUGGACUAUUGAGGUCUACCUCAGGUACUAUAUAAGUGCCACAUAAAGGGACUGGCCAAAGCUACUAGAUGUUACACAAUUUUCUUACAACUUGCAAAGGAGUGAGGCAACGAACCAAAGCCCAUUUGAGGUUGUGACAGGUCAACAACCACUAACACCCAGCUCGAUUGUUGCAGGUUAUACAAGGUUGAAUCCAGUAGCAUACAAGUUUGCCAAGGCUUGGUAGGAGCAAACUGACUUGGCCAGAGUCUGUCUACACAAGACGGUAAAGAGGUAGAAGAAGUGGGCAGACCAGAAUAGGUGGGACGUGCAGUUCCAGGUUGAAGAUUUGGUGUUGGUGAAGCUACAUCCCAUUUUGUGCCACAAGGGGCUGCACAAAGGUCUAGUCCAGAGGUAUGAAAGACCUUUUCGAGUAGUCAAGAGGGUAGGUAAGGUUGCCUACAAGCUGGAUAUGCCACCCAAGCUGAAGGUACACUCGGUGUUCCAUGUAAGCAUGUUCAAGCCGUUUCAUGAGGAUGAAGGAGAUUCAGAAUGGGCAGAGUCAAAGCGUACACCAUUGGGAGCAAGGGCCUCAUAUAAGAAGAAGGUUUACAGCAUCAUAACUGACCGGGUGGUGAGACGAAAAAAUUACCAACCAACACAAAGGUACUUGGUAUGCUGAAAGAGACUUUCAAAUAGUGAGGUAAGCUAGGAACCAGCAGAGACUUAUGGUAGUUUAAAGACCAGAUAAGGUAGUACCAUGCAGAGGAUGCAACAAGGACGUUAUGUAAUCAGGUGAAGGAGAAUGUCAUGCCUUGGGCAGGCGCACCAGGCACAUCAGGUGCACCAGCACGUGCACCUGAGGUUAAGGCUUACGCACUAGGUGCACUGGCGGGUGUUAGCACACAAGGCCUUAGAGGUAAGGCUAGAACACUCGCACAGCUUGUGGACCAGCCCGCAAGGCCAAGGUCUAGCUUGCUGAUGCCUACACCACAUCCAAUAGGGCCCAAGAUGGAAGAUACGCAAAGGGAUCUUUUGAAAGAUCACAUGAUCAACAAGAGCCUUUUGAUAGAUCUAGUUGACCCUUAGAAUCAAGAAAUAGAAUCUUGAUUGAUUGUAAUCUUUGUAAUUUCUUGAUUUUAGCCUUGAUCCUAGGGAUUUAGCCAUAAGUGUAGCUAGGAGCCUCAACUAUAAAUAGAGGGUUGCUCCACCCCCUUUUGUACACCAUCAUACACUUCUGUUUCAGUGAAUACAAAGCAUAUUCUAGCAAGCUAUCUUGUUUUCUUAUUUUUUUCAAACUUAUGCAUUCAGCCCUUCCUAUUGUUCUAGUGUCCGUACGCUGGUGUUUUAGGCUAACUUAGGCUACAAGAAGGUGAUUCCAAGCCUAAGGUCGUACGGAUUUUGAGUCUAAAGUCAGAGCCUGUGACAUCAGCACUGAGAGUCAUUAUCAGGCCUCAUCCUUCCCGAGACGUUGUUAUGAAGCCAGGUCUCCCUGUCCUAAUUCCAAAAAGCAGAGGUGAGGCGAUGAAAUCAAAAAAUCUGCCGCAGUAAGGCAGUCUCUAAGAACGUGUAGUACGUUUUCAUCCUCAGUUUGGGAGACUGAGCACCGAGCACUCUGGGCCAUUCCUCUUCUCUUUCUGAGACAGUUUGUAAGCAGUCUGUCUCUAAAGGCCAGCCACAAAAAACUCUUUAAGCGCUAGGGCCCCUUCCAUUUCCAGAUCCACCUAAAUCCCAUGCUCGGCUGAGGUCCUUUAUCAUCUUCCGAAUGGUCAUAAGCCGACUUGACUGAGAAGGACCCAUCUUUAGAAGCGCCCCAAAGCAAGACAUCUCUUCCACCACUGUCCACAGGUAAGGCCCAGAUCCUGCUCAUUACUUUCCUUGAAAACGGGGUCUUCAGGCGAGACAGUACCCAGUCUUUAUUCUCAUCUAGAAGGUCAUCAACCUUCAAAUUAGCAUCUUCCGGCUCCACCCUCUUCUGUACUAGUGGAAGGACGGUCUCAUUUCCAAUCCCGCCAAAAGUCCACCCUUGAUCCAUUUGCAAUUCUCCAUCUUAUAAGAUUCCUGAAGAGAUCAUUCCCUGCUGAACAAUAAUCCAGUAGCAAGCAAGUCGAAAGAAAGGAAAGGGGGAAGGGAUUAUGAUCCAACCAGCAAGGCAUACGGUCUUGGACACUUAACCAAGCUCUUUAUGAGCGGUAUCUAUCUUCACCUUAUUCAACUCUACUUAGCCUUCGGCUUGGGCGUGGUGAAGCAAGGGUGAGAUCGACCCCAUCAGUGCAGCUAAAUAGUUAGGGAGCGAGUGGAAUAAACGAGAAAAAUACGCGGGAUAAUAAGUAUACAAAGCGAUCACUAGAGCUAUCUACUUUGAGAACGAGUGGAAUACCUCAAAGAAGAGAGGGUAGGUAGAGCACUUUCGCCUUUUAAGCUUUGAUUUAUAGAUCCACUACUAUCUAUCUUACUAAAAACUUCUUAUUUAAGAUAAGAGAAAUAAAAUAGACACAUCCUUAAACAGCCUUAAUGAAUAUAGAGGGCCUUCUUCUUUUUGUUUAUUGAUUUUAGCAUAUUUUUCCUUCUAUAUCGUUAUCGUAUAUAUAUCGUAUAAUAAUUACCGCUAUCGACUUCCGUGAUAAGGGGCGUAAAAGUCUUCUGGAUUCUAUAUAUUUAGGGAACUAAGAUAUUUAGGGAACUAAGAUAGUGGCUGGUUGAAGGGAAAGGGAAGCAAGAAAAUCCAGGGAAUCGACGUCCCCCCAAACCAUUAGACUACCAGAGAAGAGGAGUCCGGUCGCCAACCCUUCUGGGAAACCGAGGAAAUCCUUCCGAUACUGGGUAGGAUUCACCAUCCGCUAGACAUAGCACAUAAGCCAACAGUAGUAUAAAUGGGAUAGGACAGGAACUAUUCUACCUCUUAAAUGAAAGGGCCUUAAACACGGGGACACUGGUUGCUCCUUAAGCAUGCCCAGGCCCAGGAAGGACGCUUUCAGACCAUGAGCAUGGUCGGGAGGAUCCUAGUCGAAUCCCCAGUAGGAUUGGAACUUAGCUCUUGACUUGAGGUGAAGUUCUGCAUUCGUAAAUCAAGGUCGGCCUUGAAUUGAAAGUUCUAUAUAUCUAUAUGCUCACUAAGUCGCUUUUAGGUCGAGCAUACCCACAGCCGAAUUUUUCAGUCUUGGUCGAAGCUUAUCCUUUCGCUCAAGUAUUUCACUUGAAAAAAAAAAAUGGAACCUCAUUGAGCGUUAGCCGCUUUCGAUACCCAGAUUGCCUAAGCCCAGAGAUAAACUUUCGCUUUGCUCGUUCUUCCCUUUCCUUGAAUUUAAAUUGGUUGGAAAAGACUCUGAUGUGCUCUAGCAGCUAGAUCUUUGAUCUGAACACCGAUCGCCAGGUACGCAGUGAACGAGUAUAGAGUCUUUUAGAGUAAAGAAGGGACUCUAUGCAUUCCAUGAGAAGGACCGAUCUCUUGUGCUUAUACGAUUCCUUAGGAUUCCUUGAACGCUAAUUAGCAUUCAUCAGAUCAGACUUCUGAGUGCUAUCAUUCCCCCCGGAGAUUGGCAACUUUCUAGGCUGACUCGCUAUGCUACCCUUCUCUUUGCACAACUCGUAAAGAUUCGAUUCCCCGGCAUAGGAUCUCGAAGUGAUUUGAUCAUUUCUACUCUUUACUAAAUUCUUAGCCAUGUACUUCAAUUAGAGCUAAUAUCCCAUAUCAUAUCCUACGAUCUCAGAUCGAGUCUUAUCUCGAAAACAUAUACUUUGCUUUGAAAGCACUAGCCUUUUUCUCAGUCUUUUACCUUUUACCGAGGAAUGGCACUCAUCCGAGUUACCAGAGAGAGCUCAUCUUUCUACGAAAACACUCGCUUAUAUGUUCAUAAGAUCUUCCCAGAUAUAUAUGAUUUGAUAUAUAUAGGACAGGCCAACUUCGUUAAAAGUCGAGCGACUUAGCGAGCUAGAUGAAAGAACGAGGGGCUGAUAUAUAGAUAAAAAAUGACUCGACCAACUCUGUCUGACUUACUAAAAAGCUAAGAUUAAGAUCUUUGGGUUUGGGAUGGAUGUGCAUUGUAGAAAAACGAACCUUGAAUCAGGUCUCGGUAAUCUUACCUGGUCGGUUAUUCCAUUCCUCCAUUUCAAGGACUUUUGUUUGGAUGCCCGGGGAAGGUUAUUAUCAGGUAUAGGAUAAGUAAGUGACUUAAACUUUCAGGCUAGGAAUCUACUGGAAUAGAAGAAUGAUAUGAUUUCCCUUCAAGGAUUGCGACUGAAGGGAUGUGCCCAGUCUGAAAGCGAGCCUCCCUCCGUGGAAGAAGAUCAUCCUGUGAAUGGCCCAGAGGGUCUCUCUAAAUCGGGAUGUUAGAAGCGAAGAUAUAGCUAGCAAAGCCUGAAAAGCAUCUGACGAAAGAACCGGGCAUCAGCUCACUUGCCUUUCCUUUGAAAGGGAUCGGCUUUUUGUUGACCCAGGUCCCUUCACUCACUUUCAGAUUCAGAAAAAAGACCUAAAAAAAUCUUUGGAAGUCACUGACCCCAGAUUGAAUCUUUCCCGGUUAGCCUGUCUCCACAGCACAGCUACUUUUAGGUAGGAUUCUUUUCGAUGUCACAUACUAAGAUCACUCGAGUCUUCCUCAGUCGAUCGAACAGAACAGCACUCUGGCCCAUCUUUUUCUUGAUCCCACUCAGGCAUAAAAAGACCCUAUCUCUCCAAUCCCGGGUGUUUUUGAUAUCAUGAAUGGAGCUAAAAAGCAGUAAUUCUCUGUCCUUCACUACUUGAUUUGAUUACUCGCUAGUUCGUUUAGUAUGUUUGCUAAUCUGGCCCUGGCUUGAUCUCUUCUCACCCGGAUUCAUAGACCAUCCAGCUAUUGACGGGGAAUGAGCUAGAUCAACUAAGAAAAAAUCGACUAUAAUGAAACACAUGGGCCUUCCACUGCCUGCUCAAUGUAUAUCUUUACUGGGUUAGGAUCUUCUAUUGGCUCAUUUUACUACUCAUUUCAUUUGAUGACUUAACAAGUUAGCUAGCAGUAUAUCUCUAUCCUCUUCGUAAUUCGUAAAAGAAAGAUUAAGAAUCUUCCUAUGUGGUCAUAAAAGCGAAGAUCGCCCACUAAGCUAUCAGCGAACACAGUACCAAACAUCUUUCCUCCGCUCCGGUAAGCCUACCUAGCUCGAAUGGGCGCUUAUUUUCGAUCCACGCUUUAGUCUUUUUUCUUUCCUUCCAGAUUGGAGUUCAGAGCGGGAGCUGGUGUAGAAAGAGAAACUGCCAUCAACCGGCAACUAGACCAGUAAUUAAAAAUAGGGAUUUGAAACCGAACCAAGCAUAAACCACACCAACAGUCAAAUGAGCUUCAAAAAGAAAGCACGCAUUCGACAUCGGCACAGGCCAGGCUAAAAAGGAACCUAAUACUAUCUUAUUGCGUAUACAAUAAUCACUGAGCAUACGUUGCUAAUGGGCAGGUCAAUUCUGAGAAUUGUAUCAGAGACCGAACUGCGGUAUCUUGGCGAGGGGCGCCUCAUAUGAGGGGUUAAGACAUGACAAGUACAAGUAGAGGGGAGGAAUCGGGGAAGCCAGAUUACUCGACCUUAGCCCUCGUAGCUCUCUCUUACGCAAUAUAGAUUAUGCCCUUCGUCUCAUAUAUUCUUUUUUAUGAAUAGAAGGAGAUUGUGAAUCAGUUGAAUUAGGUUUGGUAAAGUCAAGAUUGACCUUCUUUUUGAUACAGAAGAAGCUGUGAUCACUAUACGACAUUCUGGUUCUAGACCAAUAGAAUAAACUGCUCUUUUUCACGCUACUUCGCAGCUAAUUCAUUCAUCCACAUCUGUAUCGCCUGCGAAUCCUUUUUCCUGCAAAGAUAAAAACUUCUCGGCAUCAAUGCAAUAACUCCUGGCAAGAUCCGAGACGAUUCGAUUGACUCAUUCUAACAGACGAUUUUUGGCAUAUCGCUACUUUACUUCUUCUUCCUCAGAUCAGGAGGAGCCUUUCUCUUUACAAAGAUGCUCGUUUUUCACUAUUAAAGCUAUCAAGACGGUAUGCUGGCGAGCUUAAGGAAUGGGAAUAGUUUUGUUGUGCUUACGAGAAUGUAAAGAAAGCUAAAGUCAUCCUUUAGUCAGGAGGAACUCAACGCUGGCUUAAGACCAGCUUUUCAAUUGGAAUACAGAGGAGAUGGAAUUUCCUCACCUUUUAUACUCUGUAAUUAUACCUUCAGAGGUAAUCACUAUGGGAAAGGAUAAAGUGCCCUUCAGAACAGAGCAUAUUUUUUUCAUUCCAGCACUACAAGCAAGUUUUUAUACAUGGGAGUACAUCCAAUAGGAAGCUUACACACACAUAGACUAGCCACACAACUAAACACAACAUUACAAAGUUAACAAAAGACAUAGAACAACAUGAAACAUAAGAAAGAAAGCCAUGCAUUAAAACACACUACUUUGCGUCGACGGAAUACUUAUGGAAAUCUUAUAGAAAAAGAAAAAGUCGACGGAGUCUUCGAGUUCCCCCGGUGGGUGACGACAGCCCGCACGAUGAGCUCUUGCUGUUCUUUUUUUGGUUUUGUAGAGAGAGCAUAUGAAAUUGUAUGAUAAUGGGAUCUAUAGCAGGGAAAUGUUCCCAGAGCAGACCCAGUGUCAUGGACUAAGCUUUCUCUCAACAAGCAAUAGACCGUGCGGCACUUAAAUGGAUGCUUCCACCCAAGUCAGUCUUCAACAGUUUGAUAUCUGAACAAAUAACUAUAAGCUAUGGUUAGUCCCAAGCAUUCACAACAAGGCACAUUAUAUCGACAAUCAAUCUCAAGCACACACAAGAAGGCACAUUCACAUUGAAAAAAAAGAAAAAUACAUCGAGACAACAUUCGGGACAUUCAAUCGAGGUGGAUUUUAUUAUAAUCGAGAAUCAUACAUCGGGACUUCCCACCAUCACCAGGGCUAGGGGGUAGCCUUUGGUAGAUGGCCUAAGGCUGCAUAGCAACCGGUGAGACAACCCAACAAUAUGCUGUCGGUUCACCCUCCUAAAAAGCCUUAGAGAUUUUAGAGUUAUGCUACCACUAACCAUUACAAUGUUUGAAAUAGGAACACUUUUCCUAGCACAAGAGAUCUACCUGACCAUGGCCCUAUACAUGGGUGGCUCAUGACAACCUAAACCCCGGUCAUGGCCUUAUACAAGGUUGGCUCAUGACAUCUUCCCCCACCUAUUCUAUCGACGUUCUCGUCGACUUGCUGGCUUAAAAUUCUUCAAUCUUCCUUUUGAAUCUCUGGAGGUCGUGUUCUUUUUCCCAGUUUGUUUCUUCUAGUCCUAAUCCCUCCCACUUCACUAAGUAUUCUCGAACUAAUCUUCGAGAUAUCUUGAUUUUCCUGUCGGCUAAGAUCUCUUCGACUUGAUGCUCUAAGAUGGCUUCAUGGUGAUGGCAGUUCUGGUUGGCUCCCUUCGACUAGCAUUUGUGGGAUCUGUAUAAAAAGGUUUUAGGUUGCUCACAUGAAAUACAGGGUGCACCUUUAUCCAUUUUGGUGGGUCAAUUUUGUAAAAAGCAUUCCUCACCUUGGAAAGGAUCUUCACUGGACCCUCAUAUUUGCACACCAGUCUACGAUCUCUCUUUCUCAAGAAUCUGGUUUGUUUAGGGACUAGUCGAACGAGAACCAAAUCACCAACUUGUAAUUGUUGAGCCCUGCGACCUUUGUCUACAUAUUUCUUCAUUCACUUAGAUGUUUUCUCCAGGUAAGCUUGUGCAAUCUCUGUGUUUUGUUUCCACUAUUUAUCGAGGUUGAAGGCUCUCGGAUUCUUCCCUUCAUAUUGUUCCAAAAAAGUGUGGGAUAGCCUUGGUAAUUGCCCGGUGACCACCUCAAAUGGGCUCUUGUUGGUGGAAGAGCUUUUGUUGAAAUUAAAGUAGAGUUGAGCAACGUCCAAUAAUGAAGGCCAAUUCUUCUGAUUAGCUUGAACAAAGUGCCUUAGAUAUUCCUUUAGUAACCCAUUGAACUGUUUCGUCUGACCAUCGGUUUGAGGAUAGUAGCUUGAGGAGGUGUUGAGUUAGGACCCCAAUAUCUUGAAAAGUUAUCUCCAUAAGGAUCACGUGAAUCUCAGAUCUCUAUCGCUGAUAAUGUUUUAAGGGAGGCCUUAGAUUUGAUCACAUAUUUAAACAAUAGUCGAGCUGUGUCUUUCGCUAUACAAUACUUGUGAGCGAGAAUGAAUGUGGCGUACUUAGAGAACCGGUCAAUAACCAUCAAAAUAGCUCCAAGAUCACUAACCUUGGGUAGGCUUGAAAUAAAAUCGAGAGAGAUGCUUUCCCACGAUCUGGCGGGUACCGAUAGUGGUUCAGGCAUGCCUGCAGGUUUUUUUUUUUCAACUUUGUCUUGCUGGCAAAUGAGGCAAGUCUUUGUAUAGUCCAUCACAUCUUAUCACAUGUGAGGCCAAUAGUAUCCCUAUUUUAAUAAUGCCAAAGUGCGUUGUCAGCCCAUGGUGUGUCAUGACAUUCUCUCAUUAGUAUUUGUUUCAGACUUCCUGCUCUUGGCACAAACAAUUGAGGCCCCUUGGUCCACAAGACCCCAUUUUCUUGCCAGAAACACUUGGACUUCCCCUCUUCCACUAGUUUCAGGACGGCACUGGCCUGCGGGUCCUUUCCUAAAUGAUCUCCAAUCAACUUGUGAAUGUCUGUCGUGGCUCUGCUAGCUGCCAUUGGGGCAAUUAUUCUAAGGGUCGCUAACUAUGUUCGCCUACUCAAUGCAUCAACCACUUGAUUCAUUUUUCCAACGGUGCGCUCAAAAUAAAAGUCAAAUUCCACUAAAAAUUUUUACCAUCUAGCUUGUUUUGGUGUAAGCCUUGGUUGGGUGAGAAAGUGGCUAACGACCGCAUUAUCUGUCUUCACGAUAAAGUGUGAAUCCAACAAAUAAUGUCGCCAAGUCCUCAAGUAGUGAACUACCACCAGGAGCUCUUUUUCCUGGAUCGUAUAUUUUCUCUCAGCCUUGCUUAGCUUCCUACUUUCAAAUGCUAUCGGGUGAUGUUGUUGUAAAAGCACUCCUCCAAUAACGAAAUCAGAUACAUUCAUCUAAACUUCGAAAGGCUUUUCAAUAUCAGGAAGAGCUAAGAUGGGAUUCUUCAUAAUAGCAUUAUUCAAUCUCUCAAAGGCCUCUUGGCACUCACUCAUCUAACACCAUUAUGCUCCUUCUUCAAUAGCUCCGUAAGGGCCGUGGUUUUACGAGAAUACCCUUCCACAAACCUUCUAUAAUAGUUGGCUAGUCUCAAAAACGAGCGAAGUUCACUAACAUUCUUCGGUGUUGUCCACUUCUUGAUGGUCCUAACCUUUUUCAUAUCUAUUUGAAUGUGGCGACGUUCGACAAUGUGAUCGAGAAAAUAGAUUUAGGUCUGAACAAAUGCACACUUCUCCCUUUUCACGUACAACUGGUGGUUUUGUAACCUUCGAAGCACCUGGCGCAGGUGUUCUUGAUGUUCUUCCAAAGUGAAGCUGUAUACCAUUAUGUCAUCCAAAUAGAUGACUACAAAUUUGUUUAGGUAGUCAUGGAACACCUAAUUCAUCAAUGUACAAAAUGUGGCAGGAGCAUUAGUCAGUCCAAAGGGCAUAACAAGAAAUUCAAAUGCACUAUACCGUGUUACACAGGUGAUUUUCGGCUCAUCUCUCUCGACGAUUCUGACCUGAUGGUAGCUAGAUUUCAAGUCUAAUUUGGAAAAGUACUUAGCCCGGCUCAAUUGAUCAAACAAAUCUGCUAUAAGAGGGAUAGGAUAUUUGUUUCUCACGGUGACUUUGUUCAAGGCCCUGUAGUCAACACAUAAUCACAAACUCCCAUCAUGCUUCUUUUGAAAUAGCACUGGUAUUCCGAAAUAAGCAUUUGAUGGUCUAAUGAACCCGACUUGUAGAAGCUCAUCUAGCUAUUUCUUUAGUUCGGCCAACUCUGGUGGGGCCAUGCGGUAAGGAGCUCUAACAGGGGGUUUCACUCUUGGAAGGUGCUCAAUUUCAUGGUCCACUGCUCGUCGAGAGGGUAGAACCUUAGGCAACCUCUCUGGCAUCACCUCUUCGAAUUUUUCCAACACUAUUUUCAUGCCAUCGAGUAUCGGUUCCACUCUUGACCCUUCUUUGUAGAUCGACAUGGCCACAAAGGAAGGUUCCCAUCUCUUUACCUUUUUCUUGAAUUGUAAAGUUGAAAUCAUUUUCUUUCCACUCUUUGGUAAGAUAUUGGUCGGCACCACACAUGGGUGCUCCCUUAAGAACAACAAGUAGCUAGCGACGGGGAUAGGGAUGACCUGAGCCAACAUCAUGAAGUCCAGUCUGAUGACGACAUCAAAAUCAUCCAUAAGGGAAAUUGUAAAGUUUACUUUUCCUUUUCAUGGCCCCAAUUUGGUUGUCACACUCUUAGAGCUUCUACUGAUCGUAAAGGCUGGUGAAUUGAUCGCCUUCAUUCAUCCACAGUCCUUGCUAACCUGGAAACCACACCUUUUUAUUUUUUCUGGUGUGAUGAAGGUAUCGGUUGCACCCGUAUCUACCAUGGCCUUUGUGGCCUUCUCAUUGAUUGUUAAGUUCACAUACAUCAGGUCUCUACCCUGCUCUUUCUUUAUUGUGUUCAGUUGGGUGUGAAGGGCAUUGAGGAACCUUAUUGAACCCAUCCUGGCUGGUUCCUUUUUAGCUUCUUCAAUGCUCUCUGGCGCUUUUACGGACUCUUGAGACAAGGCCCUUAAGGCAUUAAGGGCUCCUCUAUGUGGGCAUUCGACCACCCGAUGCGGCCCCUUGCAAAGAAAGCAAGCUAGCGGUUACCUAGGCUUGAAAAUCAUUAUGUUGCUUGUCUUGGGUUGGGUGUUAUCUCGACUAAAGGACCUCUUGUCUGAUCCCCCACUGAAGGGUCGAUCCAACCCAGUCUUCUUUCCCCCACUCCCAAAGUUGAAGCUAUUGCUAGCUGAUGGAAGAUUUUUUCAUUUUGAGGAGCCAUCAUUAUAGUCAUGAAGACGUUCAGCUGCAGCCAUGGCCGUGGCCACGUCUUGCACUUUUUAUCUUUGUAGUUCUGUCUUGGCCCAAGGCUUGAGGCCUUCAAAAAAAAAAAACAUCUUGUCGUUUUCAGACAUGUCUCGAAUAUCCAACAUCAGGGUAGAAAAGCUCUUUACAAACUCUCGCACUAUUCCUGUUUGCACCAAUUUUUGAAGUCUCAUUCGAGCCAUAUACUCCACAUUCUUAAGAAAAAACUGAUUUUUCAGUUCUCGUUUCAGGUCCGUCCAAGUCUUAAUCGGACACUUAUCGUUGAUAAACUUGGAGUGUCACCAUAGCUUGGCAUCCUUUGUGAGGUAUAUCGACGUCAUUGCUACCUUGUCUUCCUCUGAAUCCAUGUGUACAGCUCGAAAGUACUACUUCAUGUCAAACAUGAAAUUUUCAAGCUCUUUAGCAUCCCUUGCCCUCUUGUAGCAUUGAGGUUCCGGCACCUUGGGCCUUUUUCUCCUUUCCAUUGAGCUCAAACCCGAUCUGGCCAUAGCCAUUUGUAAGAUGCUCACCUGUGCUCUGAGCUCUUCAAACUCUUUUUGGAGAAUAUUCAAGGCAUCUCUAGCCUUCUCACUCACAUUGUGAAAAGUAUCAGACAACUCCCGCUGAGUUGUCUCGAUCUCCUUCACUCAAUCUUUAGUCACCAUGUGAGUUUUCAUUGCGGCCACUGCGACCUCAAGUUUCUCAAUUCUCUGUUAGUAAUUGGGUCCACCAUUUGUGGCCAUCUCCUCUAUUUUUUAGUACUUUUCAAUCGUGCUCUAAUACCACGUGUCACGAAUUAAGCUUUCUCUCAACAAGCAAUAGACCGUGCGGCACUUGAAUGGACGCUUCCACCCAAGUCAGCCUUCAACAGUUCGAUAUCUGAACAAAUAACCAUAAGCCAUAGCUAGUCUCAAGCAUUCACAACAAGGCACAUUAUAUCGACAAUCAAUCUCAAGCACACACAAGAAGGCACAUUCAUAUCGAGAAAAAAAAGAACACAUUAAGGCAACAUUCAGGACAUUCAAUCGGGAUAGAUUUUAUUAUAAUCGAGAAUCAUACAUCGAAACUUCCCACCAUCACCAGGGCCAAGGGGCAACUCUUGGUGGAUGGCCUAAGCCUGCAUAGCAACUGGUGAGACAACCUAACAAUACGCUGCCAGCUCACCUCUUAAAGAGCCUUAGAGAUUUUAGAGCUAUGCUACUACUAACUAUUACAAUGUUUGAAAUUGUGACAUUUUUCCUAACACAAAGAUCUACUCGAUCAUGACCCUAUAUAUGAGUGACUCAUGACAACCUAAACCCCAAUCUUAACCCUAUACAAAGUUGGCUCAUGACACUCAACAUUUGCUCGCAUUGGAGCUUCUCGUUUUCUACCUGACGGAUUUCUUGCUCAAUGCUUUCCAGUCUGUUCGCGAUAUCCAUGUCUACUCACUUUCUUGCCGACUUCUAAGUGCCCUUUGCCAAAUAGAAAAUAGAGACUGAAAGAAGCUUCUAUUUAUAGGCGUUGGAGGCCCUUAACUCUUUCUUAUUAUUUAUAUAUUUUUAAAAAAUAUAUAAUAUAAAAUUAUUCAAACUUGAUUUUUUAUAAAUAUAACCUUAUAUUUUAAUAUGUUGAAAACUCAUAUAAAUUAAAAUACGCCCACCCUCAAAAAAAUAAAAAAGAGUCGGUAUCGCCACGCGUCGUAAUCCUGAUCACUCCCUCAAGAAUAGGAGAAUAGAGCGAAUCUGUCAGAGAGUACUCCACCACGAGCUUCCAAAGUACGCUCAGUCAAUCGUCAAUCUCCAGCCCCUGACCCCAAGUACAAAACCAUGUGAUCCGUCCUCCUUCCCGGGAUAUCUACAUUCCACAACCCACAAAUACAGUCCCUCGGCACAAAUCCACACGCACCCACGUGAGACCGAAGCUAGUUCUCGCAGAUGGAUUUGAUCAGACGCUUGCUUUUUCCUCGAAAAGACGGAUAAAGCCCCUUUCCAGCUCGCUCUGUCAGUCCACUAACACCAGUUACACUAAGUCAGUACAGCACUAGCAAUAGUAGUAACCAGUACAAUGGGUCCCAGCUUUGCUUUGGCCGUUCUAGGUAGCCUGUAAUAAUGCCAUCACUUCUCUCACUCCAGCUUGUAUUUCUGAGAGUAGAUAGAUACCAGGCUGAAGGAGGCCUUUCAGGUCUUUAUCGCGUCUUGCCGGGCUUCUGGGAAUAUAUAGAUUCUGUAAUUAGUCAAUACUGGUAAGCCUAAGUAGAGGAAGGUCUCGAGUUAUCGCUACGCCCCUAAGCUAAUAAGAUCUUUUGUCGAUACUUGAUCACCUGUUAAAUAGAAAAAUGAAAGAGAAAGGAGGAUCUAUCUCUUUAAAGUAGGGGAAUCGAUUCAAGAGGUCGUAAAGCAAGAGCUGCUUCAUCUAAUAGUUCAGUCCUUAAGCUGACAUUAAAUAAAGAGACGAGAGUAAACCAUUUCGCAUAGCCGGGCCCAUUCUUUCUUUCGUGGGCAUGUGCUAAAGAAAGCGUAGAAGUAGGAGUAGCAGGCACUGGUCUUGACCCUUACCCCCGGAAGGGGAUCUAAGACCCUUAGGCCAAUUAGACUGAAUUAGUGGUAGUAGUAUGCCUUUCCUGAUUACUUUUUUUUCUAUACCUUUACUGCUUGGAGGAAGGAGUGGAUUCUCUCUCUAUUGUAUGAUAAUACCAACAAGAAAGGGCAGGUGGCUAUGGCCCCAAACCCAAAAGCAAGAAGACAAGGGAAAAGAUGAAGUACCCGAGAAGACACAUCCGAAGAAAGACCCAAAGAAGCAAAGAAGGCAUUUUUUUUGAAGGGAAGGGCUUGUUCUCGACUCGCCCGUUCUUCGCUUUAGCUUUCGGGGUCAUACCUCGAACUUAUUAGCCUAACUAAAGGAAAAGUCACGAUGCCAUAUUACAAAGUCAGGAUCUUCUUAAAGCGAAAGGACUGAGCCCAGGAAACUCCUAGCUCAACUAGCGCUUCGCACAUUGUUAAAUAAGACUCUUGUUCCGCUACGAACCAACAAUAUCAUAGAUAGGGCUUCCGUAGCUGCUACAGCUGGUCUUGGAGAAAGGAUAAUCUAAGUUCUUUAGCCGGCAGUAGGAGGUCUAAAGAAUACAUCAGUAUCCACUUCAAACUAAGCCAAUCUCCGCUCUCAAAACCUUAGGGAUUCAUCUUUCUUCCGUGGGUGACUCCUUCCCAGGAACUGCUAUUCCAAUUCCAUAACCUGAUUCUUAAGAAUUAGUGUACAAGAGUACUUCCCCUUAAGGUUAGGUUCUACGUACCUAAAUAGUCUUAAUAGGUUCCGCCCCCACAUUCACUGUCUCCUGUCACCGCAAAAGACUUUAAGUUUAGCUUCGUAGCUAGUGCAAAUCUCCCUUCUUUCUUAUAGAGCUCCCGGGGAACACCUUUAGUCUCUCAGGCCUACCUAACCUACUGAAUAGGUUACUAAUCCCUUCUAAGCUGUACCGGCCAAAGCCUCAGUAGCAGGACCAGCUCCAAUCAAUGCGACUUCGUCCCACCCAUCAAAACCCCCAGGUAUAACCCCUAUUCUUCUUUUGUUUAGCUACGCACCUUACUCCCGCGGCGCCCUAUCUUUGAACCUAGCGAUUACUCUCUUUUACGAGAGAAGAUUUUGAAUAUCGACCCUUCCUUCCCGGACCCCUUUUUAAGCCUCCUCGGGAAAGGUUCUACGAGUCCUAGUAAUUCAAAGGUUUGCUCGCUAGCGGUGUGUUUAAUUGGCUACGCGGUGUGCCUAAGCGUACCAACCCCGGGGCGGGAUUCACUUAUUUUACACAAAUAAGAAAUUCUUAUUUUAAUCGAAAGUCUUAUGCCCGGGAUUGUAUACUCUAUUAUAAUACCUGCUCAUGGGAAUCCUAUUCCAAGAGGUUAUAAAUAGAACUGUUCGUAGCGAACGAACUAUUUAAUGUACUCCGCGGCGGGAACAUAGCGCUCACAUCCUUUCUUUCGGAUUCCGGGUGUAGACGAGACAGCUACUUGCUUAUGGGAAAAUAAGGAUCGACAGAUUUCACUUUUAUAUUAAUUAAAGGCGGGCACGAGCGGCGUAGAGGUUAAAUAUAUCUAUUGCGGGGGUUCCGCGGGGUGCAUAGUACUUUUGUUGAAACCUCCAGGUUAGGUGCGUCAGCCUAUAACACUCUAUUUAAUAAGUCUAGGAGAAUAUCAAGGAGAAUAUCAAGCUAGCUAUCUUAGGUUUAGCAGUCUCUGCUGGGAUAGCUUUAGCGGGUAGACUAAGACAAUCAUCUGGCUAAUAAUCAAUAGAUACUAUCUGGCGAAUCAUGUUCCUCUUCCGGAGCUGAUAGCUCCUUCUUUAGAAGAGGUUGUUCCGCCCACCUUUUGUUCUAGCUUUCCUGGCUAUAAAGUUCUCUUACACUACAGAAAGGCAUAGUUGUACUCUUUCUUCCCCGGGGCAGGAUCCACCGGAGAGAGUUACCUCCCCUACCCGGCCACAAACCUUCUGUAUUAGAGGAGUGAGUGACUUACCAACUUUCUCUCAAUCUGUUUCCGCUUCCUUUCUUCGCCAGAACAUUUCUUUGUUUUGGUUUAGGCAGGGUUUAGGAUUCGUUCGGAUAGGUCGCCUUCACCCCAUAUAUACUGAAUGUUGAAUUCUUACUUCCCUCUCCAACGAACCUUAUCCCAGCCGGGGAUAUAUAGUACAGUUGAGUGGAAGGCUAGCCGAGUGGGAUAGAAUCAUUUCCGCGGGUAGGAUGUAUCUAUCCCUCUCGAUCAGGCAUAGAAGAAGAGGCUUGGCUAUCUAUCGUUCGGAGUGGAGGGGAGGGCUAUCGGAUACCUGGCCAACCCAACUUUGAGUUCUGUUCCUCGCUGGCUCGCUGACCGCUUUCCGAGCUUUCGAAUGAAAAGCCCGAAUUGAUUGAACGAGAUCUCGCCCCCCGGUGAUAGAGGGGAAAGGCGUGAUACAGCAAUGGGCUUAAUACCCCCGUCGCUCUGCUCCCUCCCACUGAACCAAACUCCCUACCUUCUUUCUUCCCUACAACCAAGCUGUUUAUUCUGUUAUAAAUCGGUCGCUCCGCUCCCUUACACCUACACCCGAUCUGAUCCUACUGUCACGGACUUAGUGUCUCCCCUAAGGCUCGCCCGUGCGGCACUCGUGCACGCUUGCUAUGCUACCCGAGCCAUAUUCAAAGGGCUUGCCCCUCUUGGGAGUUCAUAGCCUAUCCCACACUAUCACGUCCUAAAGCAUGCAAGGGACAACCACGCAGCGGAACUUAGUCGAGCCAAGCACUUGGUAAAUAAGUGCUUCUAUUGAUGAAGGAACAAACUGUACACAAAGGAAGCUGUACAAGCAGUACAAUGCUAGUGAGCAGAACACUUUCACACUGGAGGAUUCGAUGCCCAAAAAUGAGGGGUCCCCUCCAAUUUAAUUUAUAGGCACUUGGGCCUCCUGGUAGACCUUUCGUCAGCUUUCUGGGCUUCGUCAGCCUUCCGGCCGGGUCCCUCACAUUUCCCACAUGUCUAGCCGGUUCCAGAGGCAUCUAGGCCUUUCGACGGCUUCUCUAUAACCGUCCCACACUCAAAUCUAAUCGUUUCAAAAGAAAGUAUGUACAAUCCGGGCCAACUCAAAGGCACAAGGCAAUCUCGAACAAGUGUAUGCUAAAGGACUUGCCCUGGGCUGGCUAAGUCUGUCACAAUCCUACCCCGAGUCGACGCCCUCGUCGACCUUCCGCGCUUUUACUUGACUUGAUCCUCAAAUUGCCAAAGAGUUGCAUCCCGCUCCCAGCUAGCCUCGCUCUCUGGUAGCCCCUUCCACUUGACUAAGUAUUCUUUAUGCUUAGUCACGCCUCGACUGCUGCUUACUCGAGCAGCCAAGAUGCAUUCGACCUCUUUCUCAAAUGAGGUUAUGGUGUUUGGAGGUUACGGGUGGAAACGUUCCUUGUCUCGUCGCCUUGGUCUGCAUGAUAUGGCUUAAGGCAACUUGCGUGAAAAACGGGGUGAAUUUUGCCUUGCCGGGAGACCCGAGUUGCUGCCUUCCCAACCCUUCCUAUUAUGGGGAAGGGCCAAUCAUACGGAAGUAUGAGCCCUUUGUGCACCUUCCGAUAGACCGGCUGAAGUUUCACCAGCACCAAGUCUCCCACCUUAAAGUUUGCUGCGGGCCUUCUUUCCUUAUCCGCACACUUUUUCAUCCUCAAUACCGGCAAAAACAUCUCUGAACAGGGUUCUAGCACCAUGCCAAAUGUGUCCGAAGAAGAAAAGCAAAGCAAACGAAGCAUGCCCAAAAGGCCUUGGACUGCUACGAAAAAGACCAUCGGAUUGCAAAGUAGCACGAUCUAAUUCACAACUCUCGGGUCCCAAUUGACACCUGAUUUCGGAUAGAAUGACUGGUCUGCUGUAAAAGCUGGCAUUUAUGGCACGGCUGCCACCAAGAAUGGGUCCUCUGGCCUUGGGGACACCGUCUUCGGAGGUGAAGGCUUGGACAGGGGAGUAGAAAGCGUCGACCCCCAUCCCAUGAGAGAGGAAGCCUUCGCAGGGUCAUCAGAUUAGGCUUUCCGUACGGAACACCGCCCCUUUCAAGCACCAGAACCCGAUAAGACUCAGAUAGCCUUGCUGCCAACGGGCAGCCCCGCCUCCGACGAUAAUAUGAUGGAGUCGUAGUAGUCUUCUGAUGGGAAAGAUGGUAAGAUCCACCCAUGAUUCAUGAAACCAUUCCUUCGCGUGCCGUAGCUUAGGAUUCGUGCUAUUGCUAUUGUUUAGGGGCGGAGAAGAAUGAAUAAAGAUAGGGCAUCAACAUUGGCCUCAGCUAAAGCGGAAGAAGGCGAACUGAUUGAAAGCUUGAUUCGCAGCAAACCUGACCUGACUUUACUCUAUCAAUGACUUUGGAAUCGACAGAUGAGAUUCAUUUUUCAAUUUUCAAACGUUUGGUGGAUCUUCCCCUAUCUAUACUUUCUUUUUCAAUACACCUAUAUGCUGUAAAAAGUAUACAAGGCGAGGUUUUCCAUACCAGCCGAGAGAGUUUCUUUUCACCGGUUGUAGAUAAGCUCCAUCUUCAGUAUAAGUGGUUUCUUCUUUAUUGAUAGGCCCAUAGCCUUGCCAGUCUCUCUUAUUGCCCUUCUCAAGAGUGGCAUUUCCGUGCCCCUACCCCUAAUUCCCGCCGAGUGUCCGUAAAAACCAAAAACCUUCUCCCGAUAGUUCCCAGAUAAUCUACUUUAUAAGAAGUCUAAGGAAAGCAGGCAAAAUUCCUGGUCCUAUCGAAGCAGACAGUGGUAUUUAGUAAAAGAAGAAAGUUGGGUAUAGGUGAAGGCUAAUGCUAAUUAGGUCGAAAGCUAGUGAAAGCCAUUAGAAAUCUUUUAGACUUAGACAAGGGUAAAGGCUUUCUAACCAGGGCCACCAAGGGAAGCCAGCAGAUCGGGCAAGGAAGAAGGAGUCCCCGCAAACAGGAAGUGAAAUGGUCAAAGUUUGAUUUGCCAAGGCGGGAAGGAGUAUAUCAACUCUAGAGAAUACUGCAGAACUCGCAAUGGCUUACAGUAGGUCUGCUUAUGGGUAGGCAACUACAAUUGGAACUGGUCCAUAAGAAGAAGGAAUUGAAGGGGCUGGCCGGAAGUCAUUCUCCAUAGGGCGAGUUUCCCCCUCAUCUUUUUGCAAAAAUACACUAACCUGUGGUGACACUCCCUUCUUGGCCACGCGUCCUCCGAAACGGAUUCCGAGAAGGACACCAAACUCUUCUUUACUCCACCACAAUCCGUUUCCUCCACGUCGUCUUCUUCCACCCCGACUCCCGGUAUUGAUAGUGCUCCCAACAACGGAGAGAACGAAGAGCGCUACUCUUAUGCUUUUCUAGUACCUGGAAGUGCAGAACACGAGGCAAUGAAACAAUUUUUUAUUCUUCGGAUAGUUAGGAGCAAAUUAGAGGAGUGGGAGUCCCUCAGAAAAAUUGAUGUUUUCCACAGGGAAAAAACCGAUGAUGAACUGUCCCAGUGUUUGAAACUCGAGCUGGUCCAGACAAAAGAGGAAAUGGAACGCCUAUCCAAGGAGUUGCUGGAGCUGGACUGGGACCAGUUCGAAAGAGCCCCAGCGGGAGCAUCCUACGCUGGAUUGUUAACCCUCUUGCAAGAAAGAACACCGUUGCAAGACGGGAUUGGAGGAAUGAAUGAAAAAAUGAUCUUCCCAUUUCCAAAAGGUGCGAAGCGAGUCUUCUUGCCCUAGGAAUGAAAGAGACCGUUUUCUCAUCUUCAUCUGCACCGAAAAAGAGCGGAGUGAUUAGUUUAUUUUUUUCCUGGAUGAGAACGCCCAUCUCAGAAGGCUACGCACCUUGCCUAGCCAUAACAUCUUUCGCUUCAAUGCGGGGAUACCUGGAAAGAUUCUAUGGUGUAAUAAAUUCAAUGGCUUUUGAGUCUGAGUUCUCUGAUGGGAUUUUUGGACAAGAAUAGGUUGCAUACCAGCCGACAAGUUACUUGGUUCCAAAGGAGUGAAAUCUUGGCCUUUCUUUUUUAUCUGAGCACGGAACAUGGCGUCACGCUUAAAUCUUAAUGCAGGCAAGGCAUAUCUCGUUGAAUCAGUCUUUUUCGCCACAUCGAGGCUUAGGGAGUUGAACCCCAAUUCUUCCACGACCUCCAAGAAGAACAAGCAACGAAACUAAAACGCUAUAACAAAGGAGCAUAGCCCUUUAUAGAGUAAGCCUCUUCUUAUAUGAUACGAAAAUUUGAUUGCUUUUUUUUUUUCUUUAUCUUCCCUUCUUCUAGCUUCAUCAGCGUCAGUUCCAAAAGCUUCAACACGGUUCAUGAUUCCCGCGCCAAUCAAUUGAGAGAGAAGCAGAGAAGGAAGAUUUUUUAUCACCGUGUGGGUAGUCUCUGUUAGGCUUUCCCUUUCAUGUGCAUUACAAAAAAGGAAAGAACUACUUAAAUUACGAGAAACUUCAAGUUGAGAAUCUCAUGUACAAGUGAGUCAGAUUCUAUUUCUGUUCCCUUCACUUCAGUUCAGCUUGUGAAGCCGGCCGAGGUUCUGAAAUUUUUUUCAAGAGUAAUCCAACCAAUUUAAUUAAACAACUUCUUCACUGACAGGUCGAAUUUUUUUCGGAUGAGUGCAAGCUUUUCGAAUCGGAAUUUUCUUUUUUUUCAUUCCCUAGGUAGGUUCAUUUACCAUGUAUAUCCGGACUUUAAUCGAUUGAAUGAAAGCAGAAGACAGAGAACUCCUAAGCUAAGUCGUUCUCUUAUACCAUAUGAGACCACCCAACUUCAAGAACUUCUCUCAUUCUGGAUUGGGGCGGAGAAUCGGGUUCUGGUAGGGAAGAAGCAGAGUAGUCCCCUGGUCAUCAGUUAGUAGUUGAAUAAUCCCAGUAGUGGUCCUCUUGCCUAGCGGAGUCAGCCCUUAAUGGACAAUGAUAGGCAGACCAAAGAUUGCACAUCGCAGUCGUUGCGUGCUUGCUUUGCGCACCGGCACAGCAGAAUGAGAAUCCGCUGGCUCAGAUGAGUGGCUUUUGGCUUACUUCCUUGAGAAGGGCUUUCUGUAACUAAGAAAUUCGAAUUGUUGACCCAUAUGAUUAUGAUCUCAGGCUCAUAAAGAGGAUGAAACUGACAAUUUCACACUUAGAGAUUGAGCUCGUCAGUGAUCUUUUCCAUGGUGUCUAGAGAAAGCAGCUUUGAACAUGACAUUCGUACCCAAGGAAAAUUUUUGCAGGCAUUACUAUGAUCUUGAAGCCCUUGCUAGGAGCUACUCGGUACGGCUCACUACUACUAAAGUAAAGAAAGAAGGUUAGGCAUGCUUCUCGAGUAAUUCAAUGCUUGGCUUACUUCAUUGUUGACUUCAUAGGAUGCAAGUUCCAGGUGAACUAUCUUCGACUAGCUAAUAAAGGAGAAUCCAUUCUAACACUCAAUAUUACAUAAAAUAAAAAAGAGCAAACGAAAUUGUCAAGCUGACUCGGAUUCUUACUGAACCCUUGAACAUUGAAUCCUAUAUUAUAAAAAUGUCAUUCGCCUGUUGAUCAUCUGUCACUACAUGUGGAUCAUUCAAAAUACUCGAGAUAAAUCGGGAAAUCUCGUUCCUUCUUUCGUCCGAAGCUUCAUCUACUUGAAGAUCUUCGAGAAGGCUCUCUACCAUGUGUCGCGGGAGCUUGGUUCGAUUUGAGCGGAAGGAGGCUAAGAAGUCCUUAAUCUGCUUCUUCAGUUCCUCCCCUUAAAUCACCCGGUUGGCUCACCGCCUGACAACAGCAAGUAAUAAACUACCUGUCUUCUAACAAGCAAGUAGGUCAACUACCUUAUCUCAUUAGCGAAAGAAAAACUCACUUCAAGAGAGAACCUAACAGCGCACUUAAGUUAGGACGCUGAGUGACUUCAACAAAGAAGCUCCAGCACCUCACAUCUCAAAGAGGGCAUUUCUUAUAUUUACAGCAAGCUUUGUCUCAUCUUCAUGAACAGCCACAAAAAAACACUUUGCCCCCAAGCAGUUACUGAGAGAAAUUAUGCUUAUCUAAUUCAUCUUCCUCGAUAGCAUCCGAUUACAGAACACCUUCACAAUCCGACGGUACACUAAAGCAAAGGGGUGAUUCCCAGAAGUGCUUAGUGGUUAGGUUGCUGUUGAAGAAAUGCCACAUCACAGCUUUUACUAAUAGACAAGAUGGGACAGCUUUCAAUAGAACAUAGAGCUCUACCCUUCUGGCUGCCCUAAAGGAAAGGAAAGGUCAGAUCAAUAGGUAAGAGAUCCACAUGCAUUAGAUCGGCCAAUAGUCGUUAGAUCGGGUGCUUUUAAUGCCCAAAGAUCCGCCCGAAAGAGCCCUUUCGAGGAAGUUGUUUAGCCUUCUAUUCUAGCAGAUUUCUAGUUAAAGAAAGCAAUGCCCCACCGAUUCCCUUUAGCGGAGGAUGGCUUUUUCCAAACCGUGCCAAACUGCUCUUCGCUUCUCAGUGUUGACCAAACCAAAGGUGCGGACUGUUGAUAGCUAUGGGUUUAAGGUAUUUUAAUAUUCUUUCUGCCUCUAUAUUAACCUUCCCUUACGGAAACUCCAACCACCGCUCAUGGAAUUGUUGAAUUCAUUUCCUCUACCCUACCUGACUCACCUGCAUCGGGCUUUCGUCAGUUUGGCUUUGAAUUUGGAAUCCCCCCGACUCCUUCACUUGCUCUCUUUGCCGCGAAUUCCCUGAAGCAAGGGCCUCAGAGAAUGGGCUCUUAUGGAAUGCCUGAUUGCACAUGAUUCGUAAUAAACAGCCUUUCCGCGCGCAGAGUGGAUUAGCUAUCACUCCUCUGCUAGCAACAUUUUACAGUUAGGUUAGCGGUCUAGGAUUCCCAUAUUGAGAUGAAUAGAUUCACCAUACUUCUAAAAUGAUUUGGUACCGCGAAAAGAAUGCUCUUACUUCUGAGGUACCUCCCUCCUUCUUACCUUCCCUGACUGGCCCUAGCAAAGUAGUUCUCUCUAAGCGGUGAAGGGUGAAAGUUGCAGUCAACGGAUCUUGAGGCGGGAAAGGAAGGGGCACCAGGUAAGAUACGAGUACUCGGCAUUAUAUCGAAUCAAGGUCAUUCCACUUCUCCUAUGAACUUCUUUAUUUAAGUAGGCAUAGCACAGCUUAUGGUCUCACACCUUUGCUUUGAUCUAGCUCUCUUGAUAUGAUUCUUGAUACGUCUCACUAAAGAAAGUGCAAAGUUCGCUCAUAUAGUCAUUUCCAGGCAUAUCUUUCUCUUAGCGCCCGUUCCAAGCUAGAUCCUAGAGAUCCAGUUUCAACCGUCCUUGAUAAGAAAAAAGAAAUUCCCGACAAAGCUCAACGCGCUACUCCAAGUUGUCUAUAGGAAGUCCCGGUCAGGGAUUGGUCGAAAUGACCCUGCAUUAUCGCAUCUUCUAUUUUCAGAUGAUCUAGUACUCUUUGUGGAAGCGUCGGUAGAUCAAAUCAGAGUGAUCUUGGAUUGUCUAAAAAAUUUCUGUGCCUCUUCGAAUCAGAAGAUUAAUGCGAUCAAAACUCAUUUUCUGUUCGAAAAAUUUUUCUUAAGCCGCAAUCCAGGAUAUCAACAAGGAAAGCCGUUUUUCACUUAUUCAAAAUUUUAGCAAUUAUCUUAGGUUUUUCUGUUGCAUACACUGGUUACAAAGUUAUUAUCAUAUUGUCGAGAAGUUCAAAGGGAGACUAACAGGAUGGAUGGUUGAUCAACUAUCUCUUGCUAGAAGAAUUACUCUAUGUCAAUCGAUGAUUUCUGCGUUGCCAACAUAUACGAUGCAAUUGGUUAAACUUCCAAAGGGACCUGUGAGAAUCUUUGCAAGAGUUUUCUCUCCGGGCGACUCGGAUGAUCAGCGGAAAGUCCAUUUGGUCGGUUGGCAUCAGCUUUGUCAGCCAAAAAUCCAUGGUGGGCUCUGUUUAAGGUGAAUGGCAUCAAUGAAUGAUCUUUCUUUACUGGUGUUCGGAAGGUGAGCUUCGAAAAAGAUUGUUUCGCUAUCCCUUUUCUCUCCCCUUCCUACCUUUUAGAGUAGUCUGGGAGGAAAGAGGGGACAGCAACCCAAUCCCUACAUCGAUUGUGUGCCAUCAUCGAAUGGCCCACUCACUACUACUUUUACAUCGUUCAAGUGCAAUCCCAUUACACCCUCUCUACCUCUAUUAACUCUCUAGUCUAAUCAGUAUACAUCGUUAACGAGAUCUACUGAGAAAGAUAGCUUCACAAGAGUACCCAUCCAGUGAAGAAAGAGGAGAGAUUGCCCUCGCUUUUAGCGGGAUUGAGUUCUCCGGGAGUGGGAGGUAAGCUUCAAAACUAUGCUGACCUCCCUCUCCCUACACGUCUUGACACUCUUUAGGGAAUUCCUUAGAAAACGACUAAAAGAUAACAAGGAAAUCUAUAGAGAUAGUUUAUGCUGCUUUCAGUGUCUAUCUCAAGUACAUUCUUCAACUCAACUCUCUCAAGAGAAUAGAACCCCAAAAAGAGGCUAUUCUCGAUAUCAAAAAACUAGCUAGAGUACCGAUCGUAUACAAAAACACUAAAACAGAGGAUUCUAUGUAGACACUUUCACCUUUACGAGCCUUAUCCCUUAUCGUGGCUUACUCUCUUACUCGCUUAACGAGUCUUCCUCAAUCAAGUACGUGUUCUCUAUCAAAAGGAUCAACCCCUCUCGGGCAAGGGAAGAAAGAGAAGGAUUUUCAGGUUGGUGCGUACGUUCCCAUAGCUUUUUCUCUCACGACCCGCCUGGCCACUAUGAAUGAAUAUUACGUCAAUAGAGGUUGUAGUUCUUUCCGUUGUGCCUUUAACACGAAGCUAGGGCAGCGAUGCGAACCUCCCAGUCCUAGUGUGAACUGAACUCUCACCUUCGUGAUUGCUUGUGUCAUAAGAAAUAGAGCUUUUGAUCGAAGCGACCCCCCUCGAAGAAGAAAGGAUAGCUCGAGCGUUAGGGUAACGAUGCGAUGGUUUUGACUCGAAGGAAGACCUGCGAGAUAAGACAUGACGAAGACAGUGGAAUCCUGGAUCCAGGCUGAAUCCCACAUUCCCCUUACCUUAAACAAAGAAAAAGAAACUGAGCGAUUGACAUCGAAUAAGAGUGAAUAAGAGUCCAUCCACGGCAUGAGAGGAGUGAUCAAAUUACAAAUUUUAUGAGGGGUCCCCGGACCUAUCCUUUCUUUUUUAUCAAAAAAGUCUGUGGUUACAACCCACUAAUGAGACUCGGGAGAGAACCGACCCACUGGUCUUGAUCCCAUUCUAUACGCACGCAAUUUGUUUAGUAACAAGGUAACAAGAAGCGGGCUAAAGCCACAAAAGGGGGACAAGAUUCAUCGAUUAGGUGGCAGCAAGGUUUGUGACUCUUUGAUCUAUCGGUUGACUCUGUCUUUUUAACAUCCUUGAUUUGUUUCCAGGAGCGGAGAUGGAAUGAAAUAAGCAAUCAAGUCCGUCUGGACUCCGAUCGAGAAAGCCCUAUACUCGACCUACUUCCAUCUUAAAGCAUUGAAAGAAAGGCAGGCAGCUUUGCCGAGUUUCAGAGGUGACGGAGGUCAAAAAAGGAGUUCAAUCGCUCUCACAUAAAUACGGAGUUCAGCCGUAAACAAAAAGUUGAGAUUAGUUCUAAAAGUCGAUUGAUUGAGGGAUGAAAACCAGUUGCUUAGGUUAGGACUCCCAUUCGAUUCGAUCUCUCAUCAGUCAUUGAAUCGGGAGAUACCUCAGAACCGGCUCGAAUAACAUUCAUAGCAUUCCAUUCGACGAUAUUGAAUUGAACAGAUAAGUCUGACCUGCGAACCGACAAAGUUCGCUGCUUAAGGCACGGCCGGGACUUUCCCCUUCGGAUACAGCUGCGAAACUAGAUAAGUUCACUUUCAAACGGAAAGCGAAAUACAGGCAGCAGCGCCAGUCGCUAAAAGAGAGAAUGAGACCCGAAAGAGGGAAAGAAUUGACGUCCUUUCUCUUAUAUUUUCGUCGUGCUUAUCUCAUAAGAAAAAGAUGACAUUGAGAAGGACCGAACAGCCAAAAAUAAAGUUAUUUUAACUACAUUGAAUGUCGGUCAAGAUUCGAAAGUCUUUGGAAAGCCCCCUCCGAAGAGGGACAGUAGGUGUAUAGUGCUCCUUGUAAUACAUGCGUUAAGCUCGUAAGUUCAGGGAUUGAUUUGAUCGGAAUUCUGUAACUAUCGAGUUAGAGAUCGGAGCGCAGUAUUGGCGCGCCGAGGUGAGCAGACCGGGGGUCGGGGAUACGAACCGUUCAGCAACCAAUCAGUGUAUGGCGCAUUUUUAUAUAAGUCGCCGUAGGUUCCCCCCGGAGGUUUUUAUUCCUCCUUCUGCCUAGGUUCAAUGUUGAUCGAAAACGGAUCCCACCUCCAUUAUAUGAUUAAAGCAAACUUCCAUCACCGGAUACAGGAAAUCCAAAGCGCUUAUAGCCGAUUACUUACAUUUACUUCAUUUCCUCCCAAAUCUAGUGGGAGGCGGUCGCCCCAGGAGGCAUUAAAAAAUCUUUCUUUCAGUUGAGUGGUAAACCCAAUCAAAAGGGAAAGGGGUGAAAGCGGUAAUUUCAUAAGAGAAGCAAGGUCCACGUUGGGAAGUAGUACGCCCGGUUCACCAGGAUUCCCUGGGAGGACAUACCAGGUUCUACCACUGCAGGGCCCAAUCAUAGUCAAAAGAAGAGUUUGAUCCUGGCUCAGAAGGAACGCUAGCUAUAUGCUUUACACAUGCAAGUCGAACGAAGUUUUCGGGGAGCUAGGCCCGUAAAUUCUUUUAGGAGUUCCAAAGACGACAUAGAUGACCGAGGGCCCUUCUAGAUGGAGCCAGGUUAGGUCACUUCGAUCGCUUAAGCCGGAAGGUCUCAUUCCAGUUUGACUUCUAUGCCUAAUCUAUAGUUCUUCUUGCUUCAGUUCCCUAUGAGAUUGAUUGAACAGAACUUCUUGCUACAUAGAAAAGCCCUACAAGACAGAGUAAUGGGAAAUGUUAAUGCGAACUCAAAGAAUGGACAGGGGAGAUAUUUAACGGAAGCACGGGAACAAGCAAGGGCUUACUUGCUAAAGGAAUGCUUGCUGGCUAGCACUUUAUCUUAGACGUCUAUCUCACUCUUUCUUUCACAGUGCCUAUCUCGAUUCUUAAACAACCUCUCCCGCCCGGUCGAGUUGAAUUCCAUCAAACCUUUAUUCGUACAUCUCUUUCUCGAAUGGAAAGAUCCCAAUAGGAUAGGUAGAAAACUGCGAAGAAUAGCAUAGUAAAGUUAAACAAGGGAGUCAAGUACCCAAAGGUUGUCAGACAACUAUCCUUCUCAGAUGCGGCCUUACGAAGGCUAGGCCUCUUUCUUGUGCUCUCUCUCUUCUGUCUGGCGAAAAGGCCUGGUCUACGUCUAAAAGAGGUUGUUUUCCUAUCCUAUGUUUAGGGUUACGUCAAAAUUUAGGGCCAUCAAGUUCGAUCUCAAAGAGUGGAAUAAAGGGCAGAUGCAGAUCCAAUAUUUCCAAAAGGAAGUUAUUUUAGCUAGAGAUGAGCUAACCUUGAUUAACGAGGUUUCGAAGAAAAAGGACCCAUUGAAUGCUGAGCUUGAAAUCAGAGAAAAAGAGGCUGCUGCUAAGUUUUUGAAUGCUCUCAAUAUAUAAGAAAUAAGAAAGCAUCCUAAGACAAAAAUCUAGGGAGGAUUGGGGUUGGGGACUCCAACUAAAAAUUAUUCCACGCUUCAUUGAUGACUAGACGCUCCGUGAACACUAUUCGGUCUAUCACAUUGCCUAAUGGGUUGGUGGUUGAGGACCAAGACGAAAUUGGGAUGGCGGCUGCUGAUUAUUUUUAUGAAAUAUUAGGGAAGGCCCCCCAAGUGGAACCCCCAGGCAACUCGGGUUUACUUCAAUGGUGACGGAUGAUCAAGCCAGUCCCUAUCUCGGUGCCGAGGAAGUUUUGAUGGCGAUAAAAAGCAUCAACCCAGACACGGCCCCCGGGCCUGAUGGAUUCAAUGCCUUCUUCUUCUAGCGCUAUUGGAAUAUCGUUGGCUCUGGAGUCACCAAGGCAGUGCAAAAUUUCUUUGUUAGUGGCCGAAUGCUGCGUGAGAUAAACUCCACCUGUAUCACAUUGGUCCCGAAAUGUAAUGUGAAGUUCCUUCUUACUUCGAUAUGUUCAGGCGCUGCGGCAACACAGUUUACAAAAUUAUUGCUAAAAUGCUUACCAGUCGGCUCCAACUUGUGCUUCUGAACCUGAUUAGUGCCAAUCAAAGUGCCUUCCUCAAAGGCCGCAGCAUUAUUUACAACAUUUUGCUGUCUCAUGAACUAGUCAGGGGGUUCAAUAGAGCCAGGGGUCCUCAGAGAAUUGUCUUCAGGUUGAUCUGAGGAAAGCAUAUGACACAUUGGAUCAUAGCUACCUCUUCAACUGCCUCAAUCAGAUGGGCUUUUGCGAAGACUGCCUCAAAUGGAUCAAAGAAUGUGUAGAAACAGCCUCCUAUGCAGUUAACGUUAAUAGGACUGCCUAUGGGAAUUUCAGAGGCAAAAGGGGAUUGCGUCAAGGACUAUCACCCUAUCUUUUCUCAGUGGCGAUUGAAGGGUUCUCUAGACUGCUCGACAAGGAGAUUCGGGAAAAAAGGAUUGACGCCUCAUUUAAAUGCCAAGGGGAGGCGGUGUCCCACCUUCUCUAUGCGGAUGAUCUCAUGGUGUUCGUCAGAGCCAACACCAAAUCUGCUAAAAACCUUAAAGCUCUUUUGAUGAAGUUCGAGAAAAUCUCGGGCCUCGCAAUGAAAAGUAGUAAAUGCCAACUAUUCUUCUCGGGAUCGUGUGAUAAUGACUUGGUCACCUCCAUCCAAAAUAUUAUAAACUUCCCGACGGGUUCUCUACCUAUCCGAUACCUCGGGCUGCCACUUUAUAUUGGACAGCUAUCAGCUGCUAUGUACGAACCGCUAAUCUCCAAAAUCCAUAAGCGGUUGGCUGGUUGGAAGAGUAGUACUCUCUCUUACGCGGGUAGAUCGGAACUGAAAAAAUCCGUUCUUAAUGCCUUUCAUGUUUUCUGGACCGCGGCCUUUCCGCUGCCCAUCUCGGUUAUUCAACACAUCAAAGCCUUAUGCAGAGAUUUUCUUUUUGGAGGAUCCACCUUGCAAAAAAGGAUCCACACAGUAGCUUGGGACCAGAUUUGCAAACCUUUUAAUGAGGGGUCUAGGGAUCAGGAAAAUCUGAGAUUUAAAACGUAAAUUCAUGAUGAAAUUGUGUUUACAGGUUGCUUGCUCCCUGUAGUUUUGGAACAGGUGGGUUAGCUGCAAACAAAUUACUUAAGGGCAGAUCGAAUUGGGAAAUAAAAAUUCCCACAAGCAGCUCGUGGAGUUGGCGCUCUAUCCUUAAGACUAGAACGAAUGCCAAAAGAUGCAUUCUCCUUUCAGUUGGUAAGAAUAGUGCUGCUAAGUUUUGGUGGGAUCCGUGGUCAUCAAAGGGUUCCUUGAUUGACGUGUAUGGUGGUGAAGCCCCGGCUAUUACUGGUAUCCCCGCUCAUGCCUCUCUAGCUGACGUUUGGGCUAACGAGAGUUUGCUGGACAGGUUAGCCUAUCUUUCUCCUGCCAUUGCUGCUGAUGUGAAAGACGUCCUCCCUCCUGAGGGGUUGGAAGUCGAUACAACUAUUUGGAAGCCUUCGGCCUCGGGCAUUUUUUCUUUAAAAACUGCUUGGAACUUCAUUAGAAGCCAGUCGAAUCCUGUUGAGUGGUCUAAUCUGGUUUGGCACAAACAGAAAGUCACAGAAAGUCCCUAAGCACGCUUUCUGUUUAUGGCUAUUUGCUAUAAACAAAGCGGUGUGACACCUGUGUGUGAGCGACUUAGCAGCUUUCAUCUUUGGAAGGGAUUACCUUUUGUUGGAUUAAAUAUCGAUUUAAAAAAGGCACUAUCUUGCUGAUGGGUUAGAGAUCAGAUGCCCCCUUUCUCAACGCUUUUCAUAAGGAAUAAGGAAAAGUCUGUCCGGUCAAUCAACACAUUGAGUGUGAAUCAAAGCGAAAGGUAUAUGUCGACGAGCCGGAAACCCUUGUUUAUAUAUAACCUCAGCUGUUCCAUCUUAUAUCAGUUCUGCCGAACUUUCCGAUCAGGAGCACCCGUCGGUAAGGACAAGGCUGGGCACUCCCUAGCUUGAGAUGAGAGGUCGGACUCAACACGCUGGCUCAGGGGCUCAAUAUUCUAAGUAGUUCAGGACUUGUCACUCUCUUAGAAAGGAAAGUUUAGCGUCUUGGUUGGAUAUAGAAUAGAGAUCCGCUCCUCUCGGUACCGACCCUAUCUCGAUACCACAUUAGAAGAUAUUCUCCAUUAGUGCUUUGUUUGAAAUAACAAGCUAAUUGUCGGCCUAACUACGCUCCAAAAACCCCUCACUGUACUUUCUCAACACGGCUGGUUGAUCAAUGACAAGCAAAGUGUCAUGAGCCAACCUUGUAUAGGGUCAUGACGGGACUUAGGUUGUCAUGAGCCACCCAUGUAUAGGACUAUUAUCGGGUAGAUCCCUUGUGCUAGAAAAAGUGUCCCCAUUUCAAACAUUGUAAUGGUUACUAGUAGCAUAGCUCUAAAAUCUUUAAGGCUUUUUAAAGGGGGUGAGCCGACAGCAUAGUGUUGGGUUAGUUCAUCGGUUGCUAUGCGAGCCUAGGCCAUCCACCAAAGGCUACCCCCUGGCCUUAGUGAUGGUGAAAAGUCCCGAUGUAUUAUUUUUGAUUAUAAUAAAAUUAACCCGAUUGAAUAUCCCGAAUGUUGCUUCGAUGUGGUUUUCGUUUUCUCGAUACGAAUGUACCUUCUUGUGUGUGUGUGCUUGAGUUUGAUCUCGAUAUAUUGUGUCUUAUUGUGAAUGCUUGAAACUAACCAUGGCUUAUGGUUAUUUGUUCAGAUAUCGAUAUAUUGAAAGCUGAUUUAGGUGGGAGCGCCCAUUCAAGUGCCGCACGGUCUAUUGCUUGUUGAGAGAAAGCUUAGUCUGUGACACGUGGUAUCAGAGCACGGUUGAGAAGUGCUAAAAAAUGGAUGAGAUGACCACAAGUGGUGGACCCAAUCAUCAACAGAGAAUUGAAGAACUUGAGGCCACGGUGGCUGCAAUGAAAACUCAUAUGGCGACUAAAGACCGAGUGAGAGAGAUCGAGACAACCCAGUGGGAGUUGUCCGAUACUUUCCACAACGUGAGCGAGAAGGCUAGAGAUGCCUUGAACAUUCUCCAUAAGGAGUUUGAGGAGCUUAGAGCACAUGUGAGCAUCUUACAAAUGGCUGUGGCCAGAUCGAGUUCGAGCUUGAUGAAAAGAGGAAAAAGGCCUAUGGUGUCGGAACCUCAAUGCUAUGAAGGGGCAAAGGAUGCUAAGGAACUUGAAAAUUUCUUGUUUGACAUGGAGUAGUACUUUCGAGCUGUACACACGGAUUCAAAGGAAAAUAAGGUAGCAAUGGCAUCAAUGUACCUCACAAGGGAUGCCAAGCUAUGGUGGCGCUUCAAGUUUGUCAACGACGAGUGCCCGAUUAAGACUUGGACGGACCUGAAACGAGAAUUGAAAAACCAAUUUUUCCCUGAGAAUGUGGAGUAUAUGGCUCGAAAGAAAUUUCAAGAAUUGGUGCAGACAGGAACAGUGCGAGAGUUUGUAAGGAGCUUUUCUACCUUGAUGUUGGAUAUUCGAGACAUGUCCAAAAAGGACAAGAUGUUCUAUUUUUUUGAGGGCCUCAAGCCUUGGGCUAGGACAGAACUACAAAGACAGAAAGUGCAAGACGUGGCCACGGCCAUGGUUGCAGCUGAACGUCUCCACGAUUACAAUGAUGGCUCCUCAAAACGAAAAAAUCCCUCAUCAGUUGACAGUAGCUUCAACUUUGAGAGUGGGGGAAAGAUGACCAGAUUGGACCGACCCUUCAGUGGGAGAUCAGACAGGAGGUCCUUUGGUCGAGAUAGCACCCAACCUAAGACAAGCAACGCUGUAAUUUUCAAGCCUAGGCAACCGCUAGCUUGCUUUCUUUGCAAGGGGCCGUAUCGGGUGGUCGAAUACCCGCACAGAGGAGCCCUUAAUGCCUUAAGAACCUCGUCUCAAGAGUUCACAAAAGUACCAGAGAGCAUUGAAGAAAUUGAAGAGGAGCUAGCUAGGAUGGGUUCAAUAAGGUUCCUCAAUGCCCUUCACACCCAACUAAACACUAUAAAGAAAGAGUAGAGUAGAGACUUGAUGUAUGUGAACCUGAUGAUCAAUGAGAAAGCCACUAAGGCCAUGGUGGAUACGGGUGCUACCGAUACUUUCAUUACACCAAAAAAAGUCAAAAGGUGUGGUUUUCGGGUUAGCAAAGACUGUGGGCGAAUGAAGGCGAUCAAUUCGCCAGCCUUUAAGAUCAGUGGAAGCUCCAAGGGUGUGACAAUCAAGUUGGGGCCAUGGGAAGGGAAUGUAGACUUUACAGUUUCCCCCAUGGAUGACUUUGAUGUCAUUCUCAGAUUGGACUUCAUGAUGUUGGCUCAGGUGAUCCCUAUCCCCGCCACUAGCUGCUUGUUGUUCUUAGGGAAACACCCGUGUGUGGAUCCAGCCAAUAUCUUGCCAAAGAGUGGGAAGAAAAUGAUUUCAGCCUUGCAGUUCAAGAAAGGGGUAAAGAGAGGGGAACCUUCAUUUGUAGCUAUGCCGAUCUACAAAGAAUGGUAGAAAGUAGAACCAAUACCCGAUGGCAUGGAAAAAAUGUUAGAAAAAUUCAAAGAGGUGAUGCUAGAAAUGUUGCCUAAGGUUCUACCCUCUCGAUGAGCAGUGGACCAUAAAAUUGAUCUCCUCCCAAGAGCAAAGCACUCUACUAAAGCCCCUUAUCGCAUGGCCCCACCAAAGUUGGCCGAACUAAAAAAAUAAUUAGAUGAGCUUCUACAAGCCGGGUACAUCAGACCAUCAAAAGCUCCAUUCGGAGUGCCAGUGCUAUUUCAGAAGAAGCAUGAUGAAAGUUUAUGAUUAUAUGUCGACUACAGGGCCCUGAACAAAGUCACCGUAAGAAACAAGUAUCCUAUCCCUUUUAUAGCAGACUUGUUUGUUCAAUUGAGUCGGGCUAAGUACUUCUCCAAAUUAGACCUGAGAUCUGACUACCAUCAGGUCAAAAUCGUUGAGGGAGAUGAGCCAAAGACCACUUGUGUAACACGGUAUGGUGCAUUUGAAUUUCUUGUUAUGCCCUUUGGACUGACCAAUGCUCUUGCCACAUUUUAUAGAUUGAUGAAUCAGGUGUUCCAUGACUACCUAGACAAAUUUGUAGUAAUCUAUUUAGAUGACAUAGUGGUAUCUAGCUCCACCUUGAAAGAACAUCAAGAACACUUACGUCAGGUGCUUCAAAGGUUACAGGACCACCAGCUACACGUAAAAAGAGAGAAGUAUGCAUUUGCUCAAACCUAAAUCCAGUUUCUCGGUCACAUUGUCGAAUGUGAUCACAUUCGAAUAAACAUGAAAAAUGUUAGGGCCAUCAAAGAGUGGACAACAUCGAAGAAUGUUAGUGAGCUCCACUCAUUUUUGAGGCUAGCUAACUAUUAUAAAAGGUUUGUGAAAGGGUACUCUCGCAAGACCACAGCCCUCACGGAGCUAUUGAAGAAGGAGCAUAAAUGGUGUUGGACGAGUGAGUGCCAAGAGGCCUUUGAGGGAUUGAAGAAUGUUAUUAUGAAGAAUCCCAUCUUAGCCCUCCCUGAUAUUGAAAAGCCUUUCGAAGUUCAGACAGAUGCAUCUGAUUUUGCUAUUGGAAGGGUUUUUUUGCAACAACAACACCCGAUAGCAUUUGAAAGUAAGAAGCUAAGCGAAGCUGAGAGGAAAUAUACGACCCAAGAAAAGAGCUCCUGGCGAUGGUUCACUGUUUGAGGGCUUGGCGACAUUACUUGUUGGGUCCACACUUUGUCGUGAAGACAGACAAUGCGGCCGUUAGCCAUUUCCUUACCCAACCAAGGCUUACGAUGAAACAAGCUAGGUGGCAGGAAUUUUUAACAGAGUUCGAUUUUUAUUUUGAACACACCGCUGGAAAGACCAAUCAAGUGGCUGAUGCAUUGAGCAGGCGAACAGAUUUAGCGGCUCUUAGAAGAAUUGCCCCAAUGGCGGUUAGCAGAGUCACUACAGAUAUUCAUAAGCUGAUUGGAGAUCAUUUAGGGAAGGACCCGUAAGCCUGUGCCAUCCUAAAGCUAGUGGAAGAAGGGAAGUCCAAGUACUUCUGGCAAGAGAAUGAGGUCUUGUGGACCAAGGGGCCUCGAGUGUUUGUGCCAAGAGCAGGAGGUCUGAGACAGAUGCUGAUAAGAGAGUGUCAUGACACCCCAUGGGCGGAACACCCAGACUGGCAACGCACUUUGGCGUUAUUGAAAUAGGGAUACUAUUGGCCUCACAUAUGAUAAUAUGUGAUGAACUAUACGAAGACUUGCCUCAUUUGCCAACAAGACAAAAUUGAAAAGAGGAAACCUGCAGGCAUGCUUGAACCACUAUUGGUACCUACCAAACUGUGGGAAAGCAUCUCCCUCGAUUUCAUUUCGUGCCUACCCAAGAUUGGUGAUCUUGGAGCCAUUUUGGUGGUGAUUGAUCGAUUCUCUAAGUAUGCCACAUUCAUUCCCGCUCACAAGUAUUGUACAAUGAAAGACACAACUCGAUUAUUGUUCAAACAUGUAGUCAAAUACUGGGGCCUCCCUCAAAAUAUUAUCAGCGAUAGAGAUCUGAGAUUUACGGGGUCUUUCUAGAGAGAGCUUUUUAAGAUAUUGAGGUCCCAACUCAACAUCUCCUCAAGCUAUCACCCUCAAAUCGAUGGUCAAACAGAACGGUUCAACGGAUUACUAGAGGAAUACUUGAGGUACUUUGUGCAAGCCAAUCAGAAAGACUGGCCUUCAUUAUUGGACGUUGCCCAACUCUACUUUAAUUUCAACAAAAGCUCUUCCACCAACAAGAGCCCAUUUGAGGUGGUCACCGGACAACUACCAAGGCUACCCCACACUUUCUUGGAACAAAAUGGAGGAAAGAAUCCGAGAGCCUUCAACCUCAACAAGGAGUGGAAACAAAACACGGAGAUUGCAUAAGCCUACUUGGAGAAAGCAUCACAGCGAAUGAGGAAAUGGGCAGACAAGGGUCGCAGGGCUCAGUAAUUCCAAGUGGGUGAUCUGGUUCUUGUCCGACUAGUUCCUGAACAGACCAGGUUCUUGAGAAAGAGAGAUCGUAGAUUGGUGCACAAAUAUAAGGGUCCAGUAAAGGUCCUUUCCAAGGUGGGGAAUGCUUCUUACAAAAUCGACCCACCAAAGUGGAUGAAGGUGCAUCCGAUCUUUCAUGUGAGCAACCUGAAACUUUUUCAUGCAGAUCCUAUAGAUGCUAGCCGAAGGGAGCCAAUCAGAGCCGCCAUCACCAUGAAGUCACCCUCAGAGCGUCGAGUCGAAGAGAUCUUAAUUGACAGGAAAACUAAGAUAUCUCGAAGAUUGGUUCGAGAAUACUUAGUGAAGUGAGAAGGAUUAGGACUAGAAGAAACCAGUUGGGAAAGAGAACAUGACCUUCAGAGAUUUCAAAGGAAGAUUGAAGAAUUCCAAGCCAGCAAGUCGACGAGGACGUCGAUAGAAUAGGUGGGGGAGGAUGUCAUGAGCCAACCUUGUAUAGGGCCAUGACCGGGACUUAGGUUGCCAUGAGCCACCCAUGUAUAGGGCCAUGGCCGGGUAGAUCCCUUGUGCUAGGAAAAGUGUCCCCAUUUCAAACAUUGUAAUGGUUACUAGUAGCAUAGCUCUAAAAUCUCUAAGGCUCUUUAGGGGGGUGAGUCGACAGUAUAGUGUUGGGCUGGCUCACCGGUUGCUAUGUGAGCCUAGGUCAUCCACCAAGGGCUGCCCCUUGGCCCUGGUGAUGGUGGGAAGUCCCAAUGUAUGAUUUUUUAUUAUAAUAAAAUUAACCCGAUUGAAUAUUUCGAAUGUUGCCUCGAUGUGAUUUUCGUUUUCUCGAUGCGAAUGUGCCUUUUUGUGUGUAUGCUUGAGAUUGAUCUCGAUAUAUUGUGUCUUACUAUGAAUGCUUGAGACUAACCAUGGCUUAUGGUUAUUUGUUCAGAUAUCAAUCUAUUGAAGGCUGACUUGGGUGGGAGCACCCAUUCAAGUACUGCACGAUCUAUUGCUUGUUGAGAGAAAGCUUAGUCCAUGACACAGAGCCUUAAUACCCUUCUUUUUGCUUGGUCUGAAAACUGCCUAAAAAGGGUUUUAUUCCCGUCUUAGCAUGCUCCCUGCCCAAAAGAUAAAUACUCGAAUCGAUUAGGCCCAAGAGCAAGAGCCUUUGUGAGUCUGCUGCCAGCCCAUCCAUCAAACUGAGGAAAGUCAGUCAAACCUAUAAACGGAGCUCCCGACCGUGCACCUCUUUCUGGUUCCAGGGAAACUGAACUAUGAACCCCGAUUAUUAUCCACUCCACGUCGUACCCGCACAUAUCGUUUAGUUUUUUAACUACUAGUUUGCUCAUAGCAAAAAGCAUUAUUCCAUGCUUCAUCCUUCGAGUCCUCAUUAUUGCCAUACGUAUCGGUAUAAGUCCCUCCCAUUCUCAUUACUGCCAGAAGAGGUUGGUCCUAUACCUCUGCAAAACCUUAUUCGUUGAUAUAUGCAUUACAUUCAAACGGAGAAGGUCUAGCGGGAAUUCAACAACUUAGUUAAACAACCAGCUCUCCAUGGUUGCAGUAACCAUGUUCUCGUGGCGGUGCCUUUCUUAUUGAUUUGGUAGAGGGCCUGUCAAAGACUGCUCACUUACAAAAUAGGCCUAACCCUAUGCCAAUGGACUCGUGACAUCUAUACACUAAGUCGUCAAAUGACGCAUGUUAAGAAGGCCCACUAGAUCUAUCCAAAUAAAAAAUCCGUCGUGGCUUCUCACAUGAAAUCAUGCAAAGGAUCCGAGCCCAUCAAAGACCCUCACUCCCACUUUCAGAUAGAGAAAUGAGUUAUCGCUCGGUCUCAACGUUAGCACUGAUCCCUCGCUAAAGGUUUUGUUCAUAUUUGCAUAAGUGAUAUUCGAGAUCACCAUUGCUUGGUCAAUUGAGAGUAGCUUAGAUUACUGUCAAAGGCUGAGAGACUCGAGAAUCGAUGGGUCGCUUAAACUAAAUGUUCGGAGCAGUCGUGUGAGCGACUCCCUGGUAGACUCAUAGCUUGGUGGUCGGAGCGGAUGAAUCCAGAUCCUUUAAGCCUGUGAUUUUUAUCUGAUAAAUGUUGAUUAAGAUUAUAGGCUUAGAGUACUCUCAGUUGUAGCUGUAAGAUUUACCCAAGGGUUUUUAGGAUAGAUAUGCUCCGGGGUUUAGCCAACCCAGCCUUGUCCAGUAACCAUUCUGAAUGGGCGUAAGAAUAUAGUUGAAAUGAUUGACUUGUCUUAGCUCAAAAGCAGAGGCAACAGCCACAAGACGGCGGACAUUGAUCCUGUAAGUUGGCUACCAGCUGUGACUGCAGUGAUCGCUCAGUAGUUCCGGUGGUAACUACUUCUUCAACUUCGGGGCUCCUUGGAGGGUAGGAAGAGCAUACCUAGCAAAGACGGUGGCUCCAUACGGAGAGAACGGGAUUGGUAAGAUUAGGAGGAAUGGGGCCUUGGCGUUUUUUCCUCUCUGAGUAAGUUUGAUCGGUUCGAUUUGGAUGUCGAAAGUCCUAGAGGCAAAUGUCGUAGAGCUCCGACUCCUAACAGGAAAGAGGAUAAUUCUUUCUUUCAUUUCAACCAACCAGUGCUUUCUUAGACAGAGGAAUGGUUCUAAGGAAGCUCCAUAUGGCUAUUUAGAGCUCUUUUCUCCCCUUUUCAAUCCCCUCUGGUGGUAGACCAAGCAAGCUACCUCAUACCUCUAUAUUGCUAAGCAAAAAGUCCCCCACUGAAAAGUACUUUGCUCUUAAGGCCCAACUGGGAAGUACACUAGCGCCUUUCUUUGAACAACCUGAUUGGCAUUACUGCUAAGCAAACUGUGCACCCGUCUAUAUUUAUAUUUGAUUUGAUCCCUUCCUUAGAGAAAGAAGGCAAGGCAGUGCCUCUAUCAAUCCCCUAGGUAGCUGCAUUCAAACUUUUGCUUUCAAAAUCAAGUACAGAAAGAAGGCUUAAACAUUGUUGGAAUUGCUUGUAUUAAGAAAUUCCUGGAUUCAACUUGUGUUUUCUUUUCCUGGGUCAGUUUUACUUUAAGCUUAUGCCCUAUAAAUAUAAUAUAAAAAAGCAAUACUUUUGGUGGGGAUUUUUAGCUAAGAAAAGUAGUCUUGAGACUAAUUCAAAGAAUUAGUGGUUGGCCCCCAGCUCCCGCUCUGGCUUUGAAUCCUUUUCAUCUAUCUACGCAAGUGUCCCUAUUAAACUCUAGAAAUCAAAGCUACCUGACACAAUGCAAUGGGGUCAUCCUCCUUUCCAAGAUUUAAAAUUUAGAGAGGAUGCAAGACUGUAACCGGGGCAUCCCGAAGAGCCGAGGGAUGGCAACUCUAGAGGGUCAACUGAAAGAUCGGACAACAUAUAUUACUCAUUCUAUGUUAGUUCAUCCGCCAAUUUCAUUUCCUCCUCCCAGAAUGAUGUCAUUUAUGAGAGGUCAGUGAUCGGAUAGAACUAUCUUUAUGAUAUCCCUCACAUAUUAAUGAAUUACGCAUAUCGAUGUAAUAUGGGUUGCUGGCCUAGCUCAACGAUAUGAUCAAAUCCAGGUUGCUGCCUUUAUAUCUGCCCCACGCCACUCUAUUCCGCUAAUCAAUAAAGAUCUCACCCGAAAGUGAUGUGCUUACAAAUGAAACCUUAGCAGUAGUUCAUCAAACUUCUUAGCUCACGAAUAGGUCUCUUGUCCUACCAUAUGGCAAAGGUACCAUACUAUUAGAUUGACGUUGUCGGCUCAUCAACAACAGGCGCACUUGGCCGUGAGUCUUUUUAUGGGAAAGCGUUAAUCCGUAUAUUCUAUAGAAAGGUAGUUUAUUUUCACGUGAGGGAGAUCAGGAUCUCAGGUAUCGAGACCUUGUGCUCUAAGCCUAAGUCGCCCUUUCCCCUUAAGGAUCAUUUCUCUUUCUAGAAGUCUUUCGAAAGCGGUAUUCCAAUAUCCUGAUCUCUCAUCUUCUUUGUCAUCCGCCUUCUUAUCUUCAUCUGAACAGUCGUAGAUCCAUGAUUCUGAAAGGUCCCGCACUAAGAGUGUUGCUGAGCCAACAAAAGGGGCAGUUGUCAAUUUGAAAUAGUUCGAAUAAGGGCUUCAGCAAGCAUGCAUGCCCAACUCCUAACAAGCAUGGAAAGACAACGAUGGUAGAAUAACAGUAGUACUAAGAAUAGAUCCGCCUUUAGCAAUGUAUAUAAACCAGAAGUUGUUCUAGAUGUAGAUGAUCCGAUGAGGUACACAAAGCGGUCUUAGCAUGAAAGGAGAAAGAAAGGAUGUGGUUUGAUUGAAUUUCCAAGUCCAGGCAUGUAACCGAACACGAAGUCUUAAGCAAGUCAAGUUAACCCUCAAGACGUAGGAAGAAGAGUUAGGGAUGUCGCAUAUGCGACAUCUGCUAACUCACUAAAAUCUCGUAGGCAAUCAUCUCUGCUAACAACGGAUGUACGAUAGCACAUCUGCGACAGCAGUCUUUUAUAGAAUCGUAACAGUCUAAGUGUCACGAACUAAAUUUUCUUUCAACAAGUAAUAGACCGUGCGACACUUGAAUGGGCGCUCUCAACCAAAUCAACCUUUAAUAGAUCGAUGUCUGAACAAAUAAUCAUAAGUCAUAGUUAGUCUCAAGCAUUCACAAUAAGACAUAAUAUGUCGAGAUCAAUCUCAAGCACACACACAAGAAAGCAUAUUCGCAUCGAGAAAAAUAAAAAAAAACACAUCGAGACAACAAUCGAGACAUUCAAUCGGGGUGAGUUUUAUUAUACUCGAGAAUCAUACAUCGAGACCUUUCACCAUCACCAGGGCCAGGGGGUAACCCUUGGUAGGUGGCCUAAGCUCGCAUAGCAACCGGUGAGACAGCCCAACACUACUCUGCCGGCUCACCCCCCUAAAGAGCCUUAAAAAUUUUAGAGCUAUGCUACCAGUAACCAUUACAAUGUUUGAAAUGGGGACACUUUUUCUAACACAAGGGAUCUACCCGAUCAUGGCCCUAUACAUGGGUGGCUCAUGACAACUUAAGUCCCGAUCAUGGCCCUAUACAAGGUUGGCUCAUGACAUCCUCCCUCACAUAUUCUAUCGACAUCCUCAUCGACUUACUGGCUUGAAAUUCUUCGAUCUUCCUUUGAAAUCUCUGGAGGUCGUGUUCUCUCUCUCAGCUGGUUUCUUCUAGUCCUAAUCCCUCCCACUUCACUAAGUACUCCCGAACUAGUCUUCGAGAUAUCUUGGUUUCCCUGUCAGCUAAGAUCUCUUCGACUCGACGCUCUGAGGGAGGCUUCAUGGUGAUGGCGGCUCUGGUUGGUUCCCUUUGGCUAGCAUCUGUAGGAUCUACAUGGAAAGGUUUCAAGUUGCUCACAUGAAAUACUGGGUGCACUUUCAUCCACUUUGGUGGGUCGAUUUUGUAAGAAGCAUUUCCCACCUUAGAAAGGACCCUUAUUGGACCUUCAUAUUUGCGCACCAGUCUACGAUCUCUUUUACUCAAGAACCUGAUUUGUUCAGGAACUAGUGGGACAAGAACCAAAUCACCAACUUGAAAUUGUUGAGCCCUAUGACCUUUGUCUACCCAUUUCUUCAUCCGCUUUGAUGCUUUCUCCAGGUAGGCUUAUGCAAUCUCUGUGUUUUGUUUCCACUCCUUGCUGAGAUUGAAGGCUCUCAGAUUUUUUCCUCCAUAUUAUUUCAAAGAAGUGUGGGGUAGCCUAGGUAAUUAUCCGGUGACCACCUCAAAUGGGCUCUUAUUGGUGGAAGAGCUUUUGUUGGAAGUAAAGCAGAGUUGAGCCACGUCUAAUAAUAAAAGCCAAUCUUUUCUGAUUGGCUUGAACAAAGUGCCUCAAGUAUUCCUCUAAUAAUCCGUUAAACCGUUUCGUCUGACCAUCGGUUUGAGGGUGAUAGCUUGAGGAGAUAUUGAGUUUGGACCCCAAUAUCUUGAAAAGUUCUCUCUAGAAGGAUCCCGUGAAUCUCGGAUCUCAAUCGCUGACAAUAUUUUGAGGGAGGCCCCAGUAUUUGACCAUAUGUUUGAACAAUAGUCGAGCUGUGUCUUUCGCUAUGCAAUACUUGUGAACGGGAAUGAAUGUGAAGUAUUUAAAGAACCGGUCAAUUACCACCAAAAUAGCUCCAAGGUCACCAACCUUGGGUAGGCUCGAAAUGAAAUCGAAGGAGAUGCUUUCCCACGAUUUGAAAGGUACAAGUAGUGGUUUCAGCAUGCCUGCAGGUUUUUUCCUCUCAACCUUGUCUUGUUGACAAAUGAGGUAAGUCUUCAUAUAGUCCAUCACAUCUCGUCGCAUGUGAGGCCAAUAAUAUCCCUGUUUCAAUAUCGCCAAAGUGCGUUGCCAGCCCGGGUGUCCCGCCCAUAGUGUGUCAUGACAUUCCCUCAUCAGCAUCUGUCUCAAACCUUCUGCUCUUGGCACAAACACUCGAGGCCCCUUGGUCCAUAAGACCUCAUUUUCUUGCCUGAAGUACUUGGACUUCCCUUCUUCCACUAGCUUCAAGAUGGCACAAGCUUACGGGUCCUUCCCUAAGUGAUCUCCAAUCAACUUGUGAAUGUCUGUAGUGGCCCUGCUAGCCGCCAUUGGGGUAAUUCUUCUAAGGGUCGCUAAAUCUGUUCGUCUGCUCAGUGUAUUGACCACUUGAUUGGUUUUUCCAGCGGUGUGCUCAAAACAAAAGUUAAACUCCGCUAAAAAUUCUUGCCACCUAGGUUGUUUUGCCGUAAGCCUUGGUUGAAUGAGAAAAUGGCUAACAGUCGCAUUGUCUGUCUUCACGAAAAAGUGGGAACCCAACAAGUAAUGUCGCCAAGCCUUCAAGCAAUGAACCACCGUCAGGAGUUCUUUUUCCUGGGCCGUAUAUUUCCUUUCAGCUUCACUUAGCUUUCUACUUUCAAAUGCUACCGGGUGAUGUUAUUGCAAAAGCACUCCUCCAAUCGUAAAAUUAGAUGCAUCCGUCUGAACUUCAAAAGGCUUUUCAAUAUCAGAGAGAGCUAAGAUGGGAUCCUUCAUAAUAGCAUCCUUCAAUCCCUCGAAGGCCUCUUGGCACUCACUCGUCCAACACCAUUUAUGCUCAUUCUUCAAUAGCUCUGUGAGGGCCAUGGUAUUGCGAGAGUACCCUUCCACAAACCUUCUAUAAUAGUUGGUUAGUCCUAAAAAUGAGCGAAGCUCACUAACAUUCUUCGGUGUUAUCCACUCCUUGAUGGCCCUAACCUUUUUCAUGUCCAUUCGAAUGUGGCCACGUUCGACAAUGUGAUCGAGAAAAUAGAUUUGGGUCUGAGCAAAUGCACACUUCUCUUUUUUUAUAUAUAACUGGUGGUCUUAUAAUCUUUGAAGUACUCGACGUAAGUGUUUUUUAUGUUCUUCCAAGGUGGAGCUAUAUACCACUAUAUCGUCUAAAUAGAUGACUACAAAUUUAUCUAGGUAGUCAUGAAACACCUGAUUCAUCAAUGUACAAAAUGUGGCAGAAGCAUUGGUCAGUCCAAAGGGCAUAACAAAAAAUUCAAAUGCAUCAUACCGUGUCACACAAGUGGUCCUUGGCUCAUCUUUCUCAACGAUUCUGAUCUGAUGGUAGUCAGAUCUCAGGUCCAAUUUAAAGAAGUACUUGGCUCGAUUCAAUUGAUCAAACAAGUCUGCUAUAAGGGGGAUGGGAUAUUUGUUUCUUACUGUGACUUUGUUCAGGGCCCUGUAGUCAACAUAUAAUCGUAAGCUUCCAUCAUGCUUCUUCUGAAAUAGCACUGACGCUCCGAAAAGGAGCCUUUGAUGGUCUGAUGAACCCGACUUGUAGCAGCUCAUCUAACUAUUUUCUUAGUUCAGCCAACUCUGGCGGAGCCAUGCGGUAAGGAGCUCUAGUAGGGGGUUUCACUCUUAGGAUGAGCUCAAUUUCAUGGUCCACUGCUCGUCGAGGGGGUAGAACCUUAGGCAACAUCUCUGGCAUCACCUCUUCGAAUUCUUCCAACAUUUUUUCUACACCAUCAGGUAUUGGUUAUACUUUCGACCCUUCUUUAUAGAUCGGCAGAGCCACAAAUGAGGGUUCCCCUCUUUUUGCCUCUUUCUUGAACUGUAAAGCUGAAAUCAUUUUUUUCCACUCUUUGGUAAGAUGUUAGCUGGCAUCACACAUGGGUGUUCCUCUAAAAAUAACAAGCAGCUCACGACCGGGGAUAGGGAUGACCUGAGCCAACAUCAUGAAGUCCAAUCCGAGAACAACAUCAAAAUCAUCCAUGGAGGAAACUGUGAAGUCUACCUUCUCUUCCCAUGACCCCAAUCGAGUUGUCAUACUCUUUAAGCUUCCACUGAUCGUAAAGGCUGGCAAAUUGAUCGCCUUCAUUCAUCCACAGUCUUUACUAAUCUAAAGGCCACACAUUUUUGCUUCUUCUGGUGUGAUGAAGGUGUCAGUUACACCCAUAUCCACCAUGGUCUUGGUGGCUUUCUCAUUGAUCGUCAAGUUCACAUACAUCAAGCAUCUACUUUGCUCUUUUUUUAAAGUGUUCAAUUGGGUACGAAGGGCAUUGAAGAACCUUAUUGAACCCAUCAUGGCUGGCUCUUCUUCAGCUUCUUCAACGUUCUCUGACACUUUUACGGACUCUUGAGACGAGGUCCUUAAAGUAUUAAGGGCUCUCAUGUGCGGGCAUUCAGCCACCUGAUGCAGUCUCUUGUAAAGAAAGCAAGCUAACGGUUGCCUAAGCUUGAAAAUCCCUACGUAGCUUGUCUUUGGUUGGGUGCUACCUCGACUAAAGGACCUGCUGUCUAAUCCCCCACUGAGGGGCCGGUCCAACCUAGUUAUCUUUCCUCCACUCCCAAAAUUGAAGCUAAUACCAGCUGAUGGAGGAGUUUUUUGUUUUGAAGAGCCAUUAUUGUAAUCAUGGAAACGUUCGGUUACAGCCAUGGUCGUGGCCACGUCUUGCACUUUCUGUCUUUGUAAUUUUAUCCUUGCCCAAGGCUUGAGGCCCUCAAGAAAAUAGAACAUCUUAUCCUUUUCGGACAUGUCUCGAAUAUCCAACAUCAGUGUAGAAAAGCUCCUUACAAACUCUCGCACCGUUCCUGUUUGCACCAGUUCUCGAAGUCUCCUUCGAGCCAUAUACUCCACAUUUUCAAGGAAAAACUGGUUUUUCAAGUCUCGCUUCAGAUCCGUCCAAGUCUUAAUCAGGCACUCGUCAUCGACAAACUUGGAGCGCCACCACAGCUUGGCAUCCCUUGUGAGGUACAUCGACGCCAUUGCUACCUUGUCUUCCUCUGAAUCCGUGUGUACAGCUCGACAGUACUGUUCCAUGUCAAACAGGAAAUUUUCAAGUUCCUUGGCAUCUCUUGCCCCCUCAUAACAUCGAAGCUCCGACACCUUGGGCCUUUUUUUCCUUUUCAUCAAGUUCGAACCCGAUCUGGCCACAGCCACUUGUAGGAUGCUCACCUGUGCUCUGAGCUCCUCAAACUCCUUUUGGAGUAUGUUCAAGGCAUCUCUAGCCUUUUCGCUUACGUUGUGGAGAGUAUCGGACAACUCCCGCUAGGUUGUCUCGAUCUCCCUCACUCGGUUUUUAGUAGCCAUAUGAGUUUUCAUUGCAGUCAUCGCGGUCUCAAGUUCCUCAAUCCUCUGUUGAUGAUUGGGUCCACCACUUGUGGCCAUCUCAUCCAUUUUUCUAGCACUUCUCAACCGUACUUUGAUACCACGUGUCACAGACUAAGCUUUCUCUCAACAAGCAAUAGACCGUGCGGUACUUGAAUGGGCGCUCCCAACCAAGUCAGCCUUCAAUAGAUCGAUAUCUGAACAAAUAACCAUAAGCCAUGAUUAGUCCCAAGCAUUCACAAUAAGACACAAUAUAUCGAGAUCAAUCUCAAGCACACACACAAGAAAGCAUAUUCGCAUCGAAAAAAAUAAAGAAAAACACAUCGAGGCAACAAUCGAGCAUUCAAUCAGGGUGAGUUUUAUUAUACUCGAGAAUCAUACAUCGAGAUCUCUCACCAUCACCAGGGCCAGGGGGUACCAUUGGUGGAUGGCCUAAGCUCGCAUAGCAACCGGUUAAACAACCCAACACUACACUGUCGGCUCACCCUCCUCUAAAGAGUCUUAAAAAUUUUAGAGCUAUGCUACCAGUAACCAGUACAAUAUUUAAAAUAGGAACACUUUUCCUAAUAUAAGAGAUCUAUCCGAUCAUGAUCCUAUACAUGAGUGGCUCAUGAUAACCUAAGUCUCGAUCAUAAUUCUAUACAAGAUUAACUCAUGACACUAAAACUGCUAUUCUUUUCUUUAGUUAGGAAUAGAGUAAGGCCUUUGCCAAUCUAAUACCUCUAUUUAUCUAUAAUUAUUUUAUAUGUUUAUCUCUUCCUGUGUUAAGUGCUACUACUCUUAAAAGAUCAGAUAGCAUUCCUUAUUUUGGCUUUCUUUCUUCUUUGAAAGGUCCUUUCUUUUACCUUCAGCAACUUUUUUAUCCUUAAAAAGGUGUUACUGUGUAACUCAAGGUAGUACUAGGUAGUGUGCCCUUCUUGAGCGUGUUACAGUACCCCUAGGGGGAACCUUGAGUUUUAGUAGCCACUAAGCUAUCGUAUCUUGCUGCUUUCGAAGAGAUAGAGAAGAGAAAUAGAAAGUUGAAUCUUUUAAAGCCUUUUUUCUUAACCACCUAUUGAAGGUGUAAGUAACCUCUACCAUUAUUAUAGGGGUAUGGGGUACGAACGCUUAAGAAUGGUACCUUUCCCUCCAUUCCCGCUUAAUCAGGAAGGCCAAAUCAUUAAACCUGGUGACUGUUCCUUUUUUUAGUUAGGACUAGCGGCUUUUCUUUUACUAACGGACUCCCACCUUAACAAACGGGCAGUUUCGGGGAGGAGCCUGUUUUCCGUUACUCAAGCAAUCGAUAUCACCUUGCCAAAGGGAACUCUCUUCUCUUAAGAUAUUCUAUUUCAAGUUACCGUCACAUGAAAGAGCUUAUGCGAUGCCAUCUACAUUCCCUCCCAGGGUUAUUUUCGUUCAGUCUAAUCCUAUUCUCAUGUGCAAAGGCUUAUCGAUCCCUUUUGAGUCAGAUGUGGCAUUGCUGAUUUCAGAGCAGUUGUCUUUUCUACUAAAAUGAUCCCUGCUCUUCGCCUGUCGCUCAUGUGUUAAGCCAUGUCUUCAGCCUAGUGCCAUCUACACCAUAUAUGUCUUCCUUUCUUUCCUGCUCUGAUCCUCUUCUUUUAAUGCCUACAGAGAGGUUUCGUUAGCUUGCUUCCUCUCCGUUCAAUGAGCACUUAUCCUUCUUCGAGAGCAGCUUAUUCUUGUGCUACAGUACAGAACAAGGCAUUCGAGCAAAGGCAUGAAGAAGCCUAGCCUUUAGUUCACAUGCAAGAGAGAGUGAGAGCGCCCUUAUUUAUACAACAUCAUUUCCUUUCUUCGAUACGAAGAAUAACCUAGUAAAGUACCCAUAUUCACAAGGAAAGAAAGCCAUAAAUCGAUGAAAUGAGUUGGAUUUUCUAUGCUAGCAAGAAGCAAUUGGGAGGAAUGCCGCUUCCUACCCCUCUUCAGUUAGGUUUGAGGGAGGAAGUCAUUAUUCGAUCCAAUUGGUGCAAGGGCCUGUUCCGAUUGGCUGUAAGAGUUAAGAAAACUCGAACCGAGGUGAAUUUAGCUAUCGAAGAGAAAGUCUCAGCAUAAUCGUUACCUGGGAUUGGAUUUGAGUCUAGCCUUUCCUCCCUUUGAAGUCAUUCAAUCUUUUCAGCUAGAGGGCUUUAGUGGACAUAAGCUACUUCGAUUGAACUGGAUAUGAGUGAUUUUGAACAUUACGUUACCUAUGAUAGUCAAUCCCAUUUCCUUUCCCUCGUUCCAAUAAGUGAAUCGUUGGUAUGCCAUCUUUUUAAUAUCAAGCACAAAGGCUGGAAAGCUAGCCACCUCGGGAAAUGGAAUGAUAGCCCAAAAACACGCGAUAGACUCAAUUUUUCAUUUUUGUUGAAAGCAUCCCCCGACCAUUAUUUAUUUCUCCUGGGUGAGCUCUUACUCUUAUAACAGUAUCCGAUGCGUAAAGUAAAUCAUCUCUCAAGCAAGUGGUGGAAGUGUUGACCGAUCCACUGCCCUUCUUUCUAGCACCGUGCUUUGCUUUAUAGUGAAAAGCAAGCUUUAAGCUCUAGACCUCAUCGACAAUGCCAAUCACUUGCUGAGACAAAUUUUUUACCCUUAUAACUUUUCUGCAGUUAGCUCAUAAUUCCUCUUAGGUGGAAUAGAUGCACGUUUUGCUUUGUUUUCACUUGAUCUCUGGAUUCUUUCUUCACCUAAAUCACUGCGUACACACCUGCGCCUAUCCCACGGUCUUUACCACCUGGGUAUUGUUCUUUGAAGAAAAUUGGCUAUGCAUUUGAAUUUAUAGGAGAAAAGAGCAGGUAACGCAUGAUCUCAAACAAUGAAAUCUUCUUUUGUCGACCUGAAACUGAAGUGAAGGAGGGAAUGGAGAGGCGAUAGAAGCAGUGAGUUGACCUGACCUUUUGAGUAUCGUUGUUAUGGUUCCAAACCUGAGCACCAACUAAAGGAAGGGCUUCAUAGCUCCAACCUAGUUAAGGGGCUUGAAUGCUUACCUUACUCUUAUAAAAAGGGGAAAGUCUAUCCUGCGCUAAGAAAGGGGAGUACCCUAUCUACCAAGAGGCUACGGGAGUUGAGGAAAGGUUAAGCUCUGCCUUUGAAAAAUAGAAAGCAAUGAGUGUGGGCUUUCGAACUCUCCCUCCAACUACUAGCAAUCGAGCAUACAUUGAACUAUCCGCCAUCAAGACUGAACGAGGUAAGAAGAUAGAAGUUGAGAUUGGCACUUUAGAUUGUUCUUCGUAAUAUGCCUAUUGGUUAAUCAGAUGUUCUUCCAUUCUCGGUACCAAGCCAAGACAAGGAAGAGCAUUAGGCAAGCGAAGUGACCCCCUAGUCUAGUGCUAGACAGUAAGAAUAAGUAAGGAAAGUGACUAGGGAAGUGGCAGUAUGGCCAGAAAGUCUUUCGCUUCUCCCUGUCCAAUCCAACAAUCAAAUUGGCAUAUGGUAACUUAGUCCUGUCAUCGAUUGAGCCAUAGGGCCACUACCGUGGCAGGAAGAUUGUGACUCUAGCCUAGAGAUGUUCUAGGAGCUGCAAGAGUAAAUUCAUGAUGUUGAUCUUAUCAUCUUGAAAGUCCUAAUUAAAUAAAUAAAAUAGUAGAAGCAUGAGAGAGAUAUCCAAUUUUGGUUAUCGAUUUAGACCUUAGUACCACUGACGUCAUACUUUUGGCCUAAUCUUUUAAAAGACCAAUUGAGGAUCCACAAGAAGGCACCGCAAAAACUUUGACUUGAAGACUUGAAAGUGGGAAGACGGAGAAGGGAACAGACUUUCUUUUGUAAUACAAUCCACCAAUGCGAAACCCAACAACAAGGAAGAAAUGACUGUGGAAUCUACUUCUGCUUCAACUUAUAGGGAGAAAAGGGAGGAUACUCACUGUCGGGCUUCUAUGAGUGGCGCUUUUGAUUCCUCUAAUAAGACGAUCUUCAAGACCAGAGAUCCUAGACCCAAGUAGACUAUUCUAGGGAUGAAAGAACAGGGCUUUUCUUUGGUUUCGUCAACAACAAGUGAAGUUGUUUUAAGAGUUCAAGUAAGGACAGGCUAUAUAAAAUAGUUUUCUUCACGGCGAUUGGUUGUUUUGUUGUCCAAGUCGAGUAAAGUAGGUUGCUGCUUUCAUGGUGGUGUCACUCUUACUUGUGGCUUGAGCCGGUUUAGGUUUUCUUGAUGAUGCGUAUGUGCCUGUUUCAAGGCUCGAUCGAUGGGAACGAAGCAUACAUACAAAGAUAGCACUAGUUGGAAGAUAGGUAGGCUCCGUGCAAUGAAAUUGUUUUCGAAUCACUUUGCGCUUGAAGAACAUAAACUUUUCAUUUCAUUGAUACCGAAUGAGGCGAUGCUAAUUGUCACGGACUAAGCUUUCUCUCAACAAGCACUAGCCCGCGAGGCACUUGAAUGGACGCUUCCACCCAAGUCAGCCCUCAAUAGAUCGAGAUCUGAACAAAUAACCACAAACCAUGGUUAGUCUCAAGCAUUCACAAUAAGGCACUAUAUAUUAAUAUCAAUCUCAUCCAUACACACAACAAGGCACAUUCACAUCGAGAAAGAAAAGAAACACAUCGAGGCAACAAUCGGGCAUUCAAUCGAGGCAAUAUCAUUAAAAUUGGGAAUCAUACAUCGGGACCUCCCACCAUCACCAGGGCCAGGGGGGCAGCCCAUGGUGGGUGGCCUAAGCUCGCAUAGCACCCGGUGAGACAGCCCAACAAUACCCUGCCGGCUCACCCCCCCUAAAGAGCCUUAGAGAUUUUAGAGCUAUGCUACCAGUAACCGUUACAAUGUUUGAAAUGGGGACACUUUUCCUAACACAAGGGGUCUACCCGGCCAUGGCCCUAUACAUGGGUGGCUCAUGGCAACCUAAGUCCCGGUCAUGGCCUUAUACAAGGUUGGCUCAUGACAUCCUCCCCCACCUAUUCUAACGACGUCCUCGUCGACUUGCUGGCUUGAAAUUCUUCGAUCUUCCUUUGAAAUCUCUGGAGGUCGUGCUCUCUCUCCCAGCUGGUUUCUUCUAGGCCUAGUCCCUCCCACUUUACUAAGUACUCGAACUAGUCUUCGAGAUAUCUUGGUUUCCCUGUCAGCUAAGAUCUCUUGGACUCGACGCUCUGAGGUGGUUUCAUGGUGAUGGCGGCUCUGGUUGGCUCUCUUCGACCAGCAUCUGUAGGAUCUGCAUGGAAUGGCUUCAAGUUGCUCACAUGAAAUACUGGGUGCACCUUCAUCCACUUUGGAGGGUCGAUUUUGUAGGAAGCAUUCCCCACCUUGGAAAGGACCCUUACUGGACCUUCGUACUUGCGCACCAAUCUACGAUCUCUCUUCCUCAAGAACCUGGUUUGUUCAGGGACUAAUCGAACAAGAACCAAAUCCCCAACUUGAAAUUGCUGAGCUCUACGACCCUUGUCUGCCCAUUUCUUCAUCCGUUUUGACGCUUUCUCUAAGUAGGCUUGUGCGAUCUCCGUGUUUAGUUUCCACUCCUUGCUGAGGUUGAAUGCUCUGGGAUUCUUUCCUCCAUAUUGUUCCAAGGAAGUGUGGGGUAGCCUUGGUAAUUGUCCGGUGAUCACCUCAAAUGGGCUCUUGUUGGUGGAAGAGCUCUUGUUGGAAUUAAAACAGAGUUGAGCAACGUCCAAUAAUGAGGGCCAGUUCUUUUGGUUGGCGUGGACAAAAUGCCUCAAGUAUUCCUCUAACAAUCCAUUGAACCGUUCUGUUUGGCCAUCAGUUUGAGGGUGAUAGCUCGAGGAGAUGUUGAGUUGGGACCCCAAAAUCUUGAAAAGUUCUCUCCAAAAGGACCCUGUGAAUCUAGGAUCUCUAUCACUGACAAUGUUUUGGGGGAGGCCCCAAUACUUGACCACAUGUUUGAACAAUAGUCGAGCUGUGUCCUCCGCUGUACAGUACUUGGGAGCAGGAAUGAAUGUGGCAUACUUAGAGAACCGAUCAAUCACCACCAAGAUAGCUCCAAGAUCGCCAACCUUGGGUAGGCUCGAGAUGAAAUCGAGGGAGAUGCUUUCCCACGGUUUGGUAGGUACCGAUAAAGGUUCAAGCAUACCUGCAGGUUUCCUCUUCUCGACUUUGUCUUGUUGGCAAAUGAGGCAAGUCUUCGUAUAUUCCAUCACAUCUUGUCGCAUUUGAGGCCAAUAAUAACCUUGUUUCAAUAACGCCAACGUGCGCUGCCAGCCCGGAUGUCCCGCCCAUGGGGUGUCAUGACACUCCCUCAUCAGCAUCUGUCUCAGACCUCCUGCUCUUGGCACAAAGACUCGAGGUCCCUUGGUCCACAAGACCCCAUUUUCUUUCCAGAAAUGUUUGGACUUCCCUUCUUCCACUAGCUUCAAAAUGGCACAGGCUUGCGGGUCUUUCCCUAAAUGGUCUCCAAUCAACUUAUGGAUGUCUGUAGUGGCUCUGCUAGCCACCAUUGGGGCCAUUCUUCUGAGGACCGCUAACUCUGGCCGCCUGCUCAAGGCAUCCGCCACUUGAUUAGUCUUCCCCGCGGUAUGCUCAAAAUAAAAGUCGAACUCAGCUAAAAAUUCCUGCCACCUAGCUUGUUUCGCCGUGAGUCUUGGUUGGGUGAGGAAGUGGCUAACGGCUGUGUUGUCUGUCUUCACGACAAAGUGCGCACCCAACAAGUAAUGCCGCCAAGUCCUCAAGCAAUGAACCACCGCAAGGAGCUCUUUCUCCUGGGCUGUGUAUUUCCUUUCAGCUUCGCUCAGCUUCCUACUUUCGAAUGCUACCGGGUGAUGUUGUUGUAAAAGCACACCUCCAAUAGCAAAAUCCGAUGCAUCCGUCUGGACUUCAAAAGGCUUUCCAAUAUCGGGGAGAGCUAAGAUGGGAUCCUUCAUAAUAGCAUCCUUCAAUCCCUCAAAGGCCUCCUGGCACUCGUUCGUCCAACACCAUUUAUGUUCCUUCUUCAGUAGCUCCGUGAGGGCCGUGGUCUUACGAGAGUACCCUUCCACAAACCUUCUAUAAUAGUUGGCUAGUCCCAAAAAGGAGCGGAGCUCACUAACAUUCUUCGGUAUCGUCCACUCUUUGAUGGCCCUGACUUUUUCCAUGUCCAUUCGGAUGUGGCCACGUUCGACAAUGUGACCGAGAAAAUGGAUUUGGGUCUGAGCGAAUGCACACUUCUCCCUUUUUACAUAUAACUGGUGGUCCUGUAACCUUUGAAAUACCUGGCGCAGGUGUUCUUGAUGUUCUUCCAACGUGGAGCUAUACACCACUAUAUCAUCUAAAUAAAUGACUACAAACUUGUCUAGGUAGUCAUGAAACACCUGAUUCAUCAAUGUACAAAAUGUGGCAGGAGCAUUGGUUAGUCCAAAAGGCAUAACAAGGAAUUCAAAUGCACCAUACCGUGUUACACAGGUGGUCUUCGGCUCAUCUCCCUCGAGGAUUCUGACCUGAUGGUAUCCCGAUCUCAGGUCCAGUUUGGAGAAGUAUUUGGCCCCGCUCAAUUGAUCAAACAAGUCUGCUAUGAGCGGGAUAGGAUAUUUGUUUCUUACGGUGACUUUGUUCAAAGCCCUGUAGUCGACACAUAAGCGCAAGCUCCCAUCAUGCUUUUUCUGGAAUAGCACUGGCGCUCCGAAAGGAGCCUUUGAUGGUCGGAUGAACCCGGCUUGUAGAAGCUCAUCCAACUGUUUUCUCAGCUCGGCCAACUCUGGCGGGGCCAUGCGAUAGGGGGCUCUAGCAGGGGGUUUUGCCCCUGGGAGUAGCUCAAUUUCGUGGUCCACUGCUCGUCGAGGGGGUAGAACCUUGGGCAACAUCUCUGGCAUCACCUCUUUGAAUUCUUCUAACACUUUCUUCACGCCAUUGGGUAUUGGUUCUACUUUCGACCCUUCUUUGUAGAUCGGCAUGGCCACAAAAGAGGGUUCCCCUCUCUUUACCCCUUUCUUGAAUUGCAAAGCCGAAAUCAUUUUCUUCCCACUCUUUGGCAAGAUAUUGGCUGGCACCACACAUGGGUGUUCUCCUAAGAACAACAAGCAGCUAGCAGCGGGGAUAGGGAUCACCUGAGCCAACGUCAUGAAGUCCAAUCCUAGAACGACAUCAAAGUCAUCCAUGGGGGAGACUGUGAAGUCUACCUUCCCUUCCCAUGGCCCCAAUUGGGUCGUCACACUUUUCGAGCUUCCACUGAUUGCAAAGGCUGGCGAAUUGACCGCCUUCAUUCGCCCACAGUCUUUACCAAUCUGAAGACCACACCUUUUUGCUUCUUCUGGUGUGAUGAAAGUGUCGGUUGCGCCUGUAUCCACCAUGGCCUUGGUGGUUUUCCCAUUGAUCGUCAAGUUCACGUACAUCAAGCCUCUGCUUUGCUCUUUCUUUAUAGUGUUCAAUUGGGUGUGAAGGGCACUGAGGAACCUUAUUGAACCCAUCCUGGCUGGCUCCUCUUCAGCUUCUUCAACGCUCUCGGGCACUUUUGCAGACUCUUGGGAUGAGGUCCUUAAGGCAUUAAGGGCUCCUCGGUGUGGGCACUCAGCCACUCGAUGCGGCCCCUUGCAAAGAAAGCAAGCAAGCGGUUGCCUAGGCUUGAAGAUCCCUGCGUUGUUUGUCAUAGGCUGGAUGCUAUCUCGCCCAAAGGACCUCCUGUCUGAUCCCCAACUGAAGGGUCGGUCCAACCUAGUUAUCUUUCCCCCACUCCCAAGAUUAGAGCUACUACCCGAUGGUGGAGGGUUCUUCCGUUUUAACGAACCAUCAUUAAAAUCAUGAAGACGUUCCGCUGCAGCCAUGGCCGUCGUCACAUCUUGCACUCUUUGCCUCUGUAGCUCUGUCCUCGCCACGGCUUGAGGCCCUCAAUAAAAUGGAAUAACUUGUCCUUCUCGGACAUGUCCCUAAUAUCCAGUAUCAGGGUAGAAAAGUUCCUCACGAACUCUCGCACCGUUCCGGUUUGCACCAACUCUCGAAGUCUCCUUCGAGCCAUAUAAUCCACAUUCUCCGGAAAAAACUGGUUUUUCAGUUCACGCUUCAGAUCUGUCCAGGUCUUAAUCGGGCACUCGUCAUCGACAAACUUGGAGCGCCACCACAACUUGGCAUCCCCUACGAGAUACAUCGAUGCCAUUGUCACCUUGUCUUCCUCUGAACUUGUGUGUACAGCUCGGAAGUAUUGUUCCAUGUUGAACAGGAAAUUCUUAAGUUCCUUAGCAUCCCUUGCCCCCUCAUAGCACCGAGGCUCCGGUACUUUGGGCCUUUGUCCCCUGUCCGUCGAGCUUGAACUCGAACUGGCCACCGCCAUUUGUAGGAUGCUCAUCUGGGCCCUGAGCUCCUCAAACUCCUUGUGGAGUAUGUUCAAGGCAUCUCUAGCCUCUUCGCUCACAUUGUGGAGAGUAUCGGACAACUCCCGCUGGGUUGUCUCGAUCUCCCUCACUCGGUCUUUUGUUACCAUAUGAGUUUUCAUUGCGGCCACCGCGGCCUCAAGUUCCUCAAUUCUCUGCCGAUGAUCCGGUCCACCACUUGUGGCCAUCUCAUCCAUUUCUCUAGCACUUCUCAACCGUGCUCUGAUACCACGUGUCACGGACUAAGCUUUCUCUCAACAAGCACUAGCCGCGAGGCACUUGAAUGGACGCUUCCACCCAAGUCAGCCCUCAAUAGAUCGAGAUCUGAACAAAUAACCAUAAAUCAUGGUUAGUCUCAAGCAUUCACAAUAAGGCACUAUAUAUCAAUAUCAAUCUCAUCCAUACACACAACAAGGCACAUUCACAUCGAGAAAGAAAAGAAACACAUCGAGGCAACAAUCGGGCAUUCAAUCGAGGCACAUAUCAUUAAAAUUGGGAAUCAUACAUCGGGACCUCCCACCAUCACCAGGGCCAGGGGGGCAGCCCAUGGUGGGUGGCCUAAGCUCGCAUAGCACCCGGUGAGACAGCCCAACAAUACCCUGUCGGCUCACCCCCCUAAAGAGCCUUAGAGAUUUUAGAGCUAUGCUACCAGUAACCGUUAUAAUGUUUGAAAUGGAGACACUUUUCCUAACACAAGGGGUCUACCCGGCCAUGGCCCUAUACAUGGAUGGCUCAUGGCUACCUAAGUCCCGGUCAUGACCUUAUAGAAGGUUGACUCAUGACACUAAUCGUUUCAUGUGGUAUGGUUAUAGACGAAAGUAAUGAAAAUGCUUCAGUAGUCGAUCUCGGAAAGAGGAGCAGGUCUAUUACAUAGAAAAAGCACGGUUGGUCCAUGGCCGACCAUUUCCCUGGACAGACUCGAUAGAAAGCUAGCAUUAGGUCUAAAGACGAGUUUACCGAAACCCGAAUCUGCCUCAUGAAAUAUCUCUGACAUCGUUAUUAUUGAUUUGAAAGUGGCUUCUUCAACCGACCGGUGUACUAGCUUUACUCUUUAGGAGUCUAGGUAUACUAGGGCCAUAAGAUUGGCGUUAUAAGGAUGUGUCUUAGUUAGAGUUAGAAUAGGAAAAGAAAAUCUUUGAGUCAUGGGCUUAUUGCCUCGUUCUAAUAAGAACUUAGAUAGCCGUUCACGUAGGAUCUCGAAAAGACUUUUUUGUUUUUGAGUCUUCGAGAAAGAAUAUCGCAUUGAAAGCGUUUCUUGAACCAGGAUUUAAAUCGAAAGAAAAGCGAAAGUAAGACAACGUGCUAAUUCUCCAAGAUCGAUGCUUCUUUUUCUUCUGCUAUGAAGAAAGAAGAAAACGAAAGAGUCUACAUUUCACUUGGUAAUAGUGUGCAUGAUGUAUACAUCGACAUUGAUCGGAGAGAGGGCUUAGGGCUAAUACAUAUCAAAUCAAUAACCUUGUUGGAUAAUAUUGGAAAAGAAGACCACAUAGAGAGUUAAAUAGAUAGUUAGUAUAGAAGUCAUAAUUUCUACAGAUCUUAACCUCUCAAAGAUCUCAAGUUUUUUACUCUUUUCAAUAAAUUUUAUCUAUCGUCUCAAUAAAUUGGUCAUUGGUUUUAAAGAUCGGAAGUAACCUUAGACCUUGUCUUAGGGUUUACCUUGAGUUUUUCUAUUACAAAAAGCCGUAUCAAUUCCUUCUCUUGGUUUUUUUAUUGAAUUUCUCCCGAUCUUGAUCAUUCACUUUCUAUUAAUGUCGGGUCUAUCCCCACUGGCAUCUUGCUUUCCGUAGUAAGCAACUCUCUUUCUUUAUUGAAGUCAAGAGUAGUUCCUCUUGUUGAAGUCGUUCUCCUUUUUGGUGAGCUACUUUGUCCCUCUUGUUUCUAUUCUCUGAUUUCGAAUCUAAUCUGAUUGUAAACUCUGAAAUUAGUCUUUCGGGCUCUGUAGAGCGUUAGAAUGCGUCUUCUGGUCCUUAUGUAGGUGAGAGCUCAUCUACUUCCUUAAAGUGAGUUUCACAGAAGGGAGGUUAGCGAGAUCCCUUAUCUAAGGAAAUAAAAGAAGCUCAACCAUGAGAAAAUGAGUGGAAAGCCUAGCAAAAAAAUAACUCUUGAAGGCUUGGCCUGUAAACUAUUUUAGGAGUGAUCUUUAUAUGUUUAAUAAGAGGUUUAAUGGUUUUAAAAAGCAAAGUAAGCUCCGGGGAAGUUACGAUCCAUGAUUGUUUUUCUCGUUGUAUCAUAUCCGGGUCGCAGUAGGACCACAGAAAGAGAGAAAGGAAGGGACUAGGACGGACUAGAAGUCAUUAAAUCCAUGUUUCGUAUGGCAACAUGUAAUCUUGAGUGAAGAAGUGAAUUCCCGGUCUGAAAGUAGAUUGGUAGGAAAGGGCAAUAAAUAAAUAAAAAAGUGCAGAAAAAGUGGGUACAACUCAAAGAAAGUCUUGUCAACCAUCCUAUUCGAGACGUAGGAUUGGCUUGAGAAAGCAAGACUAGAAGAAAGAUUAUGUUAUAAAGGGGUAGACUGAUUAUCAAAGCUUGCAUCGGAAUCGAGUACUUCUUAUUCUUAAGUGGGAAGUCAGGUUUUGUAGAAGGGUAGGAAAGAUCCAGUAGGGUUAGAAUCCUUGUUAGCAGUCUCGGGCGAUGGCGAAGGUUGCUUUUAGCCCGUGGGCGAUCUAAUCAUAGGAAUUAUAAUAGAUAGGGUGUCAAUGAGUCCGUUAGCGACAUUAAUAAUAGCUUCUAAUAUGUUCUGGUGUUGAUAUGGGUUUGCAAAGGAGAACUGGCUAACAAAGCCUUUAGUAUUGACCUGUAGUACGUACUCUUUCGAAGUCCUCAUAGCUGAUUUUUCUAGUAUGUGUUUGUUUUCUCGGGUUUGCAUGCAUUUGAGAGCCUUACCUCAUCAAUAUUUACCUCUUUAAUGUUUAUACUUCCGAAGUGAGCCCACCAGAGAGAUCAGAUCCUUAGGAAGGGCGCUGGUAGCCUCAUGUGGUCUAGGUUGCACCAGGCAAUAUGGAAAAUUGCACGCACAGGACAAAAGAUAAGUUUUCGUUUCCUUUUAUUAGUCUUAGUUCAUCUUUUCCGCUUUCAAGCAUGUACACUAAAAAAGGAGAAUAUCCCUUUAAUUAAAUAGGUAGCUCACUGGAGUAAGCAACGAAGUGCUGUAGGGCUCAGGAUAAACUUCUACUGAAGUAGGUAUAAUAUCUUUGUGGAUCAAUCUUAGAGUUCAUAGAGAAGGAAAACCCUGAUAUUAGAGUUGGAGAAAGUCGCAUAGAAUGCGAAAAGCAAAGGCGAAGGUGACUUUACAUCUCAAUCGAAAGCUGUUAAUCUGGAUCCAUUUCAUAAGUGGACUGGGGAAUAUCAAUCUCAAAGGUCUUCGCUCGGUUCCAUAGUUCAAUCUAAAGCCCGUGAGGCUGGAAACUUCUACAACAAUAUUACAUAUUCCCAUCACCAGUAAAUGAUACAGUAAACCUUUAAAUAGGUUAACUUUUGGUUAAUUCCAUGCUCAAGGGCUAAAACUAGCCGUCCUUCUAAAAGGUCCUCUUCUACGGCUCAAGGUUCAAGCUAAAUCAGGUCAUUUUCUCACUUUUUUUGGGUGUAGGCACUAAAAAUAGGGUUUUGUACUGGAGGGGCAAUCCAUGUUCAUGCUUAUUAUGAACAUGGGCCUUUUCACAAAAUGAUUGGAGAACUUAGGUAAAUGGUAAACUCCCGGGAAAUGAAAUGCUCUGAUUUCUAGCUUUAGGAAUCCAGCUGUUGAAGAAAGACAGAGCGGAGAUCCUUCAUUAUAUCAAAUGUCACAUUGAAUGUCCAUUUUAAAAGAAAAGAAAAUCACAAAGAAAUGGGAAAAUCGCAGUCAUCAAUGUCUCGUUCUAUGCUCAAGUUAAAAAAUCUCAAGUCAAUAGUACACUUCCGGAGGGCUAGUCUUUAGACUGACUUUCCAAAACAAUGCUUUAAAUCAAUCCAAUAGCUUAUAUAAGUGGAUGCUGAUCGACGCAUUUAACAAUUCGAGCUCUGAAAAGAAGGGGAGGCCGAAGAGGGCAGGCAUCCCUAGGCUAGAUACAUAUCUUAUCAAUUACCAGUCGAAUUAAUAAGCAAGGAUAUCAGUGUCAAGAAUGAUCGUCAACUACAUGUGAUGCGAAUGACUAAUAAACCGCUUCUCCACGCCCUCGUAUCAAAGGUCGUGGCUGACUUCAAAAAGAGUCUUCAUCCGCUUUAGGUUUUUGCUUAUGAAAUCUUGUCUUCCGGACUAGAGGAAGCGCAAUCCUUCUUUAGUGCUGUUUCAUGGUGGAAGAAGCGUCCCUCAGUUUUUUAUGCGUUUAACUGGAGUUUGACCCGGUCUUGUCCACUCUAGGUUCUUGAAUCAACAGUACCUGGGUUUUCGGUCGACUAUAGCUCUAGCCAUCCACCUGGAACUAACAUCUUAUGAGGUAGCAUUCCUUGGUUAGUCAUGACUUUUUGCAAAAUAAAAUUGGACCCAAGUGCCUGUAACCAAUGUCUGAUAUAUAAAUAACUACCAGGAAAGAGAACCUUCUUUAAUGCAGGUACAAAAGACACCAGUAGAAGCCAUAAGCACUGUCAUCAAAGAGAGGGAUCCCAGCCUAUAUUGCUCUUAUCUGUGCCACUCGUCGUUCUAUUGCAAGGGCUUAUUAUCUGAUUCUCAUAGAAGCAAAUAAAGCUCUUAGACUCAUCCUAUGAAACUUCUCCCCUUGGAUAGCAUAUAACCCUAAUUGGACUGUAGCAAAAGGGCCAGCAGAUACGAGAGCUAGCAAGCACUUGGGCAAAUUCAACUGAAGCCCUAAGCGCUAGCGCACGAACUCUAGCUUUGGUGGAAAAGAGUGCAAUAGAUGUUCCGUGAAGGUCGCUAGGAGUGGAAUAUCUAGCCGGGCAGGGGAAAAUGAAUCUAGAAAAGAUAGAUUAAAAGACUUUACCUUGGAGGUCUCUCUUCAUUCGCUGUUGCUGGAGUCGAAUCGAAGGCAUGAAAUGGACUGGUGAUGGCUCGGGAAUGGAUAGAAAUGGUGCUUUGGAGCCACAGACAGAUUCGAUUCCCUUUCUGUCCCUUCGAGUCUGGGUCUUAGAGAAUAGAUAGAUGUAGAGCAGAGGCAUUCAGAGUAGAAAGCUUGGGCCGGCACUUAGGUUCAUGGAAUAGAUUUCCAUUGAUUGGAAGGUCGUAUCGAAGCUAUUCUCUUCUCUUGUCUAUCCCCUAUCGACGAUUCUAAUGCCGCUUAGCAGCAUACUCGCUUCCGUUGCUCCGCGCGUCCGUACUAGAGGGGAAAAACUAAUAAAGAUAGAGCUGGGGAUUCGGAUGAUAGAGAUGAAAUUGUACCUGGCAAUCAAGAUUAAAAUGAUGCUUCUCACCUUCCAUUCCCUGGGACUAGAUAGCCAUAUAUGGGUAUAUAGCCAUAGAAGCUCCAGUUAGCUAUAAAAAAAGGAGAAGAGAACAGAGCACUUAGCUUUACAACAUUUGGUGCGUGCCCAGGAUCAAAGGCUAUGCCUUUAUAGAAGACGAUCAGACCUAAGAAAGCGAAUUAGGUGAGGCCUAAGAUAGCAAGUCUGGCUACGAACUAUAUUUCACGUAGGUAGGAAGCCUUCGACUAAAGAAGGGCAUGAAAGAAAUAGCAGUGCGGGUCUUUAAGUAGAAAGGCUCAAGGGCUUUGACUUUGAUCAAUAGAACAGGAAGAGGAGUCAAGAAAAAAGCUACUAUAUGAUGAGCUACUAUAUGAGUAGAAACUAUCCAAGAUCGAAUUCCAGUUUCUUAUUAUCUAGUGGAAACGCAUUAAAAUCAGAUGUUUUACGCUUAAAGGAUGAUAUGUUCUUGGUGGAUGCAGGACUUGGGGCCCCCAGAUUUUGUAUCCAAGAUGAGCUUACUGGAGUGCCAAUCAACCGAGCCAAAACCAGGUUUGAGAAUAAGGUAGGAUUCCAGGGUGUAGUGGUGGGAAAUCGCGGAUCAAAAAGUGAAUUUUGGAGAGAAUUUUCAUUGAUCUAAUUUUCGGUGAUUCAAUGAUCAAAGAGCGAGCAGCCGCAAGGUUGAAUGAUUUAAUGGGAUCCUUGGAUGGAAUGGCUAGUGAACCACUUCUUCUAAAUCCACAAAGAUUCAGACAAAACCUAAUUAGGCUGGAACUGAACAUGAUUUGGCGAACCAAGAAAAAACUUAAAAGGCUUUAUUCUUGAAAAAGUCAAAGGAGGUUAUUUAGUAGCCAUUGCAGGUUCAAUUGUUUUUCUACCAUUACAUACACUAUAAAGUCAAAAAAAUAUAUAUCAAAUGAUCUGUUCACCAUUAAGAAAUUGAAUCCCCAAAACAAACAUCCCAAAAUGAUGAAUAUUAAUAACAACGGUAAAGAAGAUAGUCAUAUCCCCGCUUUGAUGAUAUGUAUGAAUUUCUUGUUUCUACUUUCUUUUAUGAAUAAAUUGAAGAACCUAAUGGAUCGAAUUUGAACUCUGGGUGACUGCCCCGAUGGGGUUUCUCUGACGCAGAAGGCCCUAAAAAGGGCAGCACUCAAGUAAGGCUUUAAUAGGUGAAGGGGCAUAGCGGACCUAGUCUCCUUUGGCAAUAGUUUAGUUUCUUAUGUCUGCCUUAAUGAGUGGGAGAGGUAGCCAAAUUUGGUUGUUCUCAUUCCUUCCCCUCCAUCACAUCCUCCAGUAACUCCGCCCCUCUUUCCAUCCAUUAAAGAAAAGCGGAUAUGCGACAUGAAAGAUCUUAUUCUAUCUAUCUAGACAACAGCUGACAUGGGAUUUCUCAACCUUCCCUUCCUAACAGCUGAUAUGUGACACAUUCUCCCUAUUGUUUACCAAUUAUCCUAUGUACUUCUUCUCCUUAUCCAAGGUAUAGUUCUAGCGCUAUGCCCCUUGAACCAAUUAAUGAUCCAACGACAGAGCCUGUGAGAAGGGCGUUUGACCUCUCUACGCCACAACAACUGAUGUGAGGCAACCAUCAUCGAACGUCCUUAUUUUCUUUUUUACACCUUGAUUUGUACUCAAUCCGUCAACCAACGGACGAAAAGAUCAAUGUCAAUUUAAUGCUUGGCUUGGAGGGCUCAACUUGAAGACUAUAUACAAGUAGAUUCAGAGAGCAUAGGGACCUAUUUACCAUAGAAGCUAAUGCCCAGCGCUGACCGGAAAACUAAUGACUGGGGAACAUUUCGAUGAGCAAACCUCGCAUUGGAAGCUCAGAUUAGGAAUACUACUAUCAAUAACCAAAGCAUCAUAAAUAAAGAAGCACCUCUCGUCUCUAUAAGAAUUUUGUCGAGGCGCUAAAUGCAAGUUUCCAACGAUGGCAAGCAGAAAAUUCACUGUCGAAACAAAAAAAGAAACCUUUGGUCUUGCUCAAUACCUUUACACAAGGCCAUUGAGGAAAGCCCGAUCACGAGUCUUGUGAGAUUUUAGAAUAAGACUACCGGAUAGAGUGAAUGAUAGAAGCAUGCUACGACAGAGAUAACCAAAAAUGCAGCCAUAUAAAGUAAAGUAGCUACAAGACGAGCUUCCUCCUUUCGCAAUUACAUAGCUCCUAUCCUAAUAUAAUAAGGGCUCUCGCUUAGCUUUCUUUACAUUACCUUUUAAAGAACCAACAUAUCCUCUGUUUCGGAUUGAUCUGUUAUCAGAUUUUCAUCGUAUUUUCCAAUUAUUGUAAGGCAAUGCAGGAUUUCUUUAUCUGGAGAUUGCCUCAAGUAACAGUAGCUACCGAAACUGUAAAAGAAGCUGUGGCACUGAAUUCAAGCGUUACCAUAACUCCUUACACAGCAUAUCCAUCACCUCAAGAGUUAUCACAAGAGGGAAACUGGUUUUUAGGGAUAGUUUUCCUCUCUAGGAACAAUAGCGAAAAUAGUUUCCUUAUCCCGGUUCUUCUCCGGCUCCACCUCAUGAUGUGCCAUUUUCAUUCCCAGCUUCUGGAACUGACUUAGCUUUUGCAUUGCCGAUUGAAACCUUACCUUACUUUCAUAGUGUAGUGCAGUAAAAACCAUUAACCGGUGUCUUUCUAGCAAGCUGACUUAGACUAUUGUCUUGGACCGGGGAUUUUAGGCAUGACCUCUUUUUCUAUUACAACUAAAAUAAAUAAUACUUCAUAAAAUCCUAUAUUUCUAAGUAGUUCUCCAAUGCUCAAUUUUUCUAGCUUUUCUCAAGCUAAUUGUACUUAUCACUCAUAACAUCUGUAAAAGAAAAAAAAAAUAAGAAAUGAGCAAACCACAGCUCAGUAAGUGAAGACUCACACACUUUAUCGGAUCAAACAUCAUUUCAUACAUGUCAUAUAGAUCAUUCAAAAUAUUCAUCAAAUCAUAAUGUCAAAAUAUCUCAAUAUCAUCGUUCUAUCAAACAUUUCGUAAAUUCAUAAAUCAUUGUAAAAUAUGUUACUAUUCAAAUAUCAUAAUCAAACCAAAUCAUGGAUCAAUCAUUAAAAAUCAUCGUAAAUCAUCACUAUUAUAAAUCAUCAUUAUCAUUCAAAUCGUUAGCUAUGGUCACUGCUAUAACCUGUGACAUUAGCCGUAUCGACAAUUUCAUUCUUAUGAUCAUUGCUAACUAUUAUAACCCGUUAGUCAGGGCUUACACUACCUACUAUUACCCGUUAGCCAGGGUCGUAGAACUAGUUCUGGUGUCGAUGAUCCCACUUCCCAAUGAUAUAAAAACGUAGCUAUCAUAAAAUCAUUCUUUAAACAUAAAUCAUUUUCUCAUUUCAUUCAUCAGUAUAAUCCAUCAUUUAUAUAGAAAAACACAAAAUAAUCAUACGCUUGACCUUAUUUUCAUACAUCGAAAAUAAUAAAAUAAAAUAUUCAUUCAUUUAAAAAUAUACAUAUAUACAUAGAUUCGAAAACAAGCAAAGUGUGUGAGAUUCUAUUUACGUUCUUUUGAUUUCACCACCUAAUUUUUUUCCCUUAAAAUUUAGUGGCCUAUUCAAGAUAAUUCCAACAUAACAAUAAUUAAUCAACCCAUUUGAGGCCACUUAUACCAAAAUAAUUAAGUUAAACAAGUAAUAACUCGAGUAACUAAUUUUGGUAGUCUUCGCUACUUUCACUAAAACAACCAUAACUCAAGAUAUCCAAUUCAGAAUUAAAAUAUUUUUAAUGCAUUGGAAACUAGACUUGACAAGCUUUCUAACCAUAUAUGGCCCAUCUCGUGAUUCUUUGUGGAUUAAUUAUAACAAUUUUUGUAAUCCACGUUAUACGCUGUUGUCAGACAGCCUAUAUACCUUUCCAUAAAAAUUACGUAUUUAUUCAUAGGUAACUCCAAAUUCAAUUCCGCUUAUUUCAUUGGAAAAUAGACUCAAUAAGCUUUCCAAACAUAUAUGGGUUAAUCUGUAAAUCCUUGUAUAAAAAUUAAGGGAAAUUUCGAAAUUCCUCAUUACUGUUGCUACUAGGCAGCAUGCACAUCCUUAGGUAAAAAUUGGAUAACUCUUCAUAAAGAACUCGAAUUCAACUCCCGUUUGUUUCAUUAGAAAGUAGAUUCAACAUGCUUUCCAACCAUAUAUAAUAAUUAUAGUAUUAUUUAACCCUUUAAUACAUAAUAUAACUUUAAUUCAUCACUACAAACACAAUAUUCAUAUCAGGAUUUAUACGAAACAAAGAUUUUCCUUUCUAUUCCAAUCAAAUUUCUGUUUCAGCAAUAAAUUCACAUUACCAACUUUCUCAACACUUAAUUUGACCCUAAUUAAAGCCCAAAUCAUCUGCCCAAAGAGGGCUAAUGGAAACCCUAAAAUUUUAGGAUUUCUCGAUUAUAAAUUACACCUUAAGACUUAACCAUCAAUACUCCAAAAUUGAAAGAGAUUAUUUACUCACCUCUAACAGACAAUUUCUCCUUGUAGAUUUGUUCUUCCCUUCACUUGGAAUCCUUCAAUUGAUCUUUUCUGUAUAAGAAACAUAUGAAAAAUAAGUGGAUAGAAUAGGUGGAGGAAGAUGUCAUGAGCCAACCUUGUAUAGGGCCAUGACCGAGACUUAGGUUGCCAUGAGCCAUCCAUGUAUAGAGUCAUGGUCGGGUAGAUCCCUUGUGUUAGGAAGAGUGUCCCCAUUUCAAACAUUAUAAUGGUUAUUGGUAGCAUAGCUCUAAAAUCUCUAAAGCUUUUUGGAGGUGAGCCAGCAGCGUAGUGUUGGGCUAUCUCAUCGGUUGCUAUGCAAGUUUAGGCCACCCACCAAAGGCUGGCCCCUGGCCCUGGUGAUGGUGGGAGGUCCCGAUGUAUGAUUCUUAAGUAUAAUAAAACUUACCCCAAUUGAAUGUUCUGAUUGUUGCCUCGAUGUGCUUUUCUUUAUUUUUCUCAAUGUGAAUAUGCCUUCUUGUGUAUGUGCUUGAGAUUGAUAUCGAUGUAUUGUGUCUUAUUGUGAAUGCUUGGGACUAAUCAUGGCUUAUGAUUAUUUGUUUAGAUAUCGAUCUAUUGAAGGCUGACUUGGUUGGGAGUGCCCAUUCAAAUGCCGCACGAUCUAUUGCUUGUUAAGAGAAAGCUUAGUCCGUGACACCCAUUAUCAUAAGAGUAUCAUCGUUUUGGGAGUUUUUUUUUGCCUUGAAAAAAGGAUUAAACCCUGUUUAUCAAACUACAUCCUUGGUGCACAUAAGUUUAUUGAACUUUAUUGCUUGGCCUACACAAGGCAUGGUCCCCCUUCUACCAUACACAUUGGCCCCUUCAAUUUUUUCGAGUAGGAAAUUCUAUCGUGCUAUGAGCCGAAAAGAUAUGGGUAAGAGAUUAAAUUAGAAUUACAUAUUAUCAUAUCCCUGUUGGCUUCGUGGACAAAUAGGACUUGACCUGACCGCCUAUUCUUAAAUUAAAAUAAAAAUACCAAGACUAAUACAAGGCUAGUUCCAAAGCAGAUUCAUUCAAAGCUGGGACAUACAAAGUCGGUUCAUCCAAUCACAAAGCAAAAGAAUGAGGAGGUUACCUGCCGACUGAAAGGAGAGGGGACCCCUUGAGUUAUCGAACGUCUAUACGGGUCUUCGAUUGGGGUGAAGCUAAAAUGGAGUCCCUAUCUUCUUUGUCUACUUCAGUUGGAAGUCAAUCUUUUUCUGAUGGUUAUUCCUCCUAAUCUACGAUGUACAUAUUUCAGUGGUCUCAAGAUCUUUAUCUUUAUUCUGGUUUAGUUUUGUUUUGAGAGUAGCCCUCGAGCACAUCUUCUUUUUUGAAUGAGAAAAAGUUAGGUUUAGUAAAGAGUAAGGGACAUAUCGACGAACUGUGGAUUAGCUCUUUCUAUUGUACGCUGUUUGUCAUGGUCCACGCGUUCCUCCUACUGAAAUCACGCGACCGUGCGGCACCAAGACUACUCUUAGUCUAGGUCAGCCUUCACCUUGCUCAUUUUUCUUCGCGGACAGACCAAUUUCGAUCCUUCAAGCUGCAUACCCACGAGCCUUUUCUGGUUAUGACCCCGUAGGGUCGCUCAUUCUGAACUUUAUAAAGAGAAACCCAACUCUCAUUGCGCAUCAGCCCGUGGUACUUCUAUUAACCCGAAACGCCCAGUUCAAGCCGCAAGGCUUAAGACCUCGAGCAUCGACCCUCAAAUGCCUGUAUGGGGUGCACAACCCACGAUUCUCAAAGUAGCCCCGAGCACCCAGCGCUGCCCGCAGGGCGUUGGACCUCGAGCAUCGAUCCUCUGAUGCCCUUAAGGACACACAGUCCCAGUUCUCACGAUAUUAUAGCUUCUUGACAUGGUGAGAACCCAACACCAUGCCUGCACAUAUGAUACGCAAGCUUCCGUAUCAAGUUUACGCAAGCAUCACAUUUAAGCUGGUCGACAGCCAGUUCGGAGCCUCUAGGCUAGUCUCAUCCCACGGGACUCGGUUCUUAGGGCUUAGGCCCUUAGCAUCAGUAUCGACCGCCCGCAUGCAUGAUUGACACCCAACAUUAUGCUAGCCCCGGAAGGGGCUUGGGAGGACUACCUCAGCUGCAGCACACCAGCCGCCCGCAUGCAUGGCUGACACCAACCAUCAUGUUAGUCCCGCAAGGGGACUUGGGUGACUGCCCCAGCAGCAGCACACCUCUCUCGACUAGCCACAGGGGUCUAGCAGCAUGUCUGCCUACUAGCUUGCACAUCCUUUUGGCUCGAUGGCAUCCCUCCUAUAUAAACACCAUUGCAUGAUCCUAUCAGCUCUAGGAGGGGAAACCGAGGGGCCUAACGAUCUUUACCGUCUAACCCCAUGGUUCAACAUAAAGGCGCGAUACGAGGCCCGCCAACCCCAAUCACCUUCGGGUUUAUUGUGACCUGAGGAAACAUUGUGCCACGCUCGUGACCCUACGAUGCCCGCUCACCUAGCCACCACUAGUGACUAGGAGUAGCUCACUUCAGACUAGCCAGGCCUCCGCCUGCCCACUAGCCAAGGGGGUGGUGGAGAGCUGACACCAGUCGUCCCCCUAUAAAGAGCGUUAGAGAUUUUCUCAAUCUGCUACCAGUGAUUGUAAGAAUGUCUGAAAUCGGGACACUUUUCUGCCCAACCAUCUUGGGGCCUUUCUCCAGCUAACUCAGGGCCCCGUAACCUUCUUCUUGGUCACCAUUGCUCCUUGAUUCUGCUCGUUGCUCCACCAACCCACUCGAAGGUGCUCGCACAUGGCUUAGAUCGAUAGCACCUGACUAGCUAGUUGGUCCUAGGGCACCGACGUACUGCCUUAUACUUACCUGCAUAUCUCGGAGUUUAGGACAUGAACCAUCCACACACAAUGUCUCCAACCUAUUCUCAUGCACGGAACACCCGCACACUACUUCCACAGAUGGCACCCGUCAAGCUACUUGGCUUGAGAGUGUUUGACCACUGUCUCGAACUUCCUCGCGUAUCUUACGGCCUAGAGCUCCCAUUGCCCCUAAACAUGUUAGCAUCAUGUUCCAAAGCUCCGAAUGCACACCCGCAUUCCUUAAAACCGCUUUUCUGCCAGCUCGAUCUCGACUACUGCUCGAUUCAGGGUCAGUCAUGGCAGGACCAAGGCCUGACCAUGACACUUUCCCCCACUUACUAUGUCGAUGCCCUCAUUGAUGCCAAGACCACACCCAACUAUCUUGUUGUACACAGCUAACAUUUACUUAUAUGUCUCUCACUUGUGCCCUCAAGGAUUGGGUCGAGGUCCCAUCACAUGAGGCACCGCCCACAAUACUUGUCCAUUGUUGAUGUAGAUUGAUUCCAUUGCUGCUCGACUUUGUUGCAGCUCGAACCGCCUAACCUAUCUUGGUUGUAAUCAUAUGGGCCAUACCAUGGCUUCAUCCCGUGGUUAUUAUCAGGUUGCGACCUCGAGGUGCCCUCAUUGAUCAAUGACCCUCAGUAGAAUGAAUGACCACCUGCUUUGCCAUUCACUUGGUGCAUCCCACCGGAUGUGACCCCUCACACCAACUGCACGCUUGCAGCAUCAACUCACUGAUACGCCCCUCUGGACAUGAUGCUUAGGUCAACCGCACUCAUACGGCACCCCACAUGAUGACCCUAGCACAGUGGCAUUCAGGCACUUUGGUCAUCUCCCAACUUGGGUCCUCUUGGCCCCUCCAAGGUCACCUCUUUAGGUGUGGCCCUCAGGCCAACCGCCCCCAAUAUGGCCCCUUAAAGCGCGCUAACUCGAUCUUUUUCCCCGGCUUGAACACUAUGCUCCAUCACCCAAGCUCCUUUAUCUUGGCUCAGUCUCACGGGGAAUUGACAGGUCUCCCCCACUUUUACUCGAAACUCAGCGCAGCAUUUAGCGUAAUCAUGUCUCCUCCAUGGAUCUACUCCUUGUCUACCUUGACUCUAGCAUGGCUCCUAUGAUAUCUCAAAAUCCAAACAUAGUCAAAGAUCCACUGAUUCGACAAAACGCCUAGUCCACUGAUUUGCUCGACUCGGGGAUUCACUCGCUCAAUCCUCAAGGUCCACUGACCUACACGCCUGAGGCCUUGUCAACUGGUCAUUUCCCUUUGCUUGUGUCACUCGAUUACACCCUGUUGUGGCCCACUAACCACCAUAGCUCAUGUGAAGCCUUUCUUAUCGAUCAACAUAGACUCGUUUCACCGAUUCACACGCCCCCGUGAUCCUCUGACCACGAGAACUCCUGUUCCACUGACCAUCGCAGCUCAUAGUCCACUGACCAUCCCACUUGUGGCUUCAAUCUUUGGCCACUCCAUACUCCUCUGUGCAAGAACUCCAUGCUUGGACCCGAAUACUUCAGCUUGCGCCCCCACUGGGGCACCUGCACCAUACAGCAAGUGCACACAUUAGUAAUUAAUCUUGAAACUCGAUACCUAUUGCCCCUCAGGACAAGAUUCACUCGGCCCACGCGGCCUUACGCAACACCAUUUCAUGGUGUAAGCCCCUUUUCGCAUCGUAGUCUCACUACGGUUCCUUCCACCGUAAGGCAUCACAUGCCUCAACAUAUGCCAACACCCUUUCCUAAGUGAGGCUAGACUUUGGUGCCCUUUUGCUUGGCAUCCAAGAGCCUACUCGAGAGCCAUUUUACCUAGGCCCAAUAUUUCCCGCAGCACGCAUCGUUGGCUCAUUUCUGAGCCCCCAUAGCCACAGAACCGCAUUCGCGUCUUGGUAGCUCCUUUUGAGCUUGGCACCACCUCGAUUUCACGUCACUAGACCCGUACAUGGGGUCAUGCAAAUCUCGCCACUGAGCCAAACCAAGGCUCUGAUACCAAAUGUCACGGUCCACACGUUCCUUCUACUGAAGUCACGCGAUCGUGCGGCACCAAGACUACUCUUAGUCUAGGUCAGCCUUCACCUUGCCCAUUUUUCUUCGCGGACAGACCAAUUUCGAUCCUUCAAGCUGCAUACCCACGAGCCUUUUUUGGCUAUGACCUCGUAGGGUCGCUCAUUCCGAACUCUAUAGAGAGGAACCCAACUCUCAUCGCGCAUCAACCCGCGGUACUUCUAUUGACCCAAAGCGUCCAGUUCAUGUCGCAAGGCUUAAGACCUCGAGCAUCGACCCGCGAAUGCUUGUAUGGGGUGCACAGCCCACGAUUCUCAAAGUAGCCCCGAGCACCAGUGCUGCCCGCAGGGCGUUGGACCUCGAGCAUCGAUCCUUCGAUGCCCGUAUGGACACACAGUCCCAGUUCUCACGAUAUUAUAGCUUCUUGACAUGGUGAGAACCCAACACCAUGCCCGCACGUAUGAUACGCAAGCUCCUGUAUCAAGUUUACGCAAGCAUCACAUUUAAGUUGGUCGACAACCAGCUCGGAGCCUCUAGGCUCGUCUCGUCCCACGGGACUCGGUUCUUAGGGCUUAGGCCCUUAGCAUCAGUAUCGACCGUCCGCACGCAUGAUUGACACCCAACAUCAUGCUAGUCCCGCAAGAGGCUUGGAUGGACUGCCCCAGCUGCAGCACACCAGCCACCCGCACGUAUGGUUGACAGCAACCAUCAUGUUAGUCCCGCAAGGGGACUUGGGUGACUGUCCCAGAAGCAGCACACCUCUCCCGACUAGCCACAGGGGUCUAGCAGCAUGCCUGCUUACUAGCCUGCACAUCCCUUUGGCUCGAUGGCAUCCUUUCUACAUAAACACCAUUGCAUGAUCCUUCCGGCUCCAAGAGGGGAAACUGAGGGGCCUAACGAUCUCUACCGUCUAACCUCAUGGUUCAAUGCAAAGACGCGAUACGAGGCCCGCCGACCCUAACCGCCCCCGGAUUUACCGUAACCUGAGAAAACAUCAUGCUACGCUCGUGACCCUACGAUGCCCGCCCACCUAGCCACCACUAGUGACUAGGAGUAGCUCACUUCAGACUAGCCAGGCCCCCGCUUGCCCGCUAGCCAAGGGGAUGGUGGAGAGCUGACACCAGUCGUCCCCCUAUAAAGAGCGUUAGAGAUUUUUCCAAUCUGCUACCAGUGACCGUAAGAAUGUCUGAAAUAGGGACACUUUUCUGUCCAGCCAUCUUGGGGCCUUUCUCCAACUAACUCAGGGCCCCGUAACCUUCCUCUUGGUCACCAUUGCUCUUUGAUUCUUUUCAUUGCUCCACCAACCCACUCGAAGGUGCCCGCACAUGGCUUAGACCGAUAAUACCUGACUGGCUAGCUAGUCCCAAGGCACCGACGUACUGUCUUAUACUUACCUGUAUAUCUCGGGGUUUAGGAUAUGGACCGUCCACACACAAUGUCCCUAACCUAUUCCCAUGCACGGAACGUCCGCACACUGCUUCCACAAAUGGCACUCGUCAAGCUACUUGGCUUGAGGGUGUCCGACCAUUGUUUCGAACUUUUUCGCGUAUCUUACGGCCCAAAGCUCCCAUUGCCCCUACAACAUGUUAGCAUCAUGUUCCAAAGUUCCGAAUACACGCCCGUAUUUCUUAGAAUCGCUUUCCCGUCAGCUCGAUCUCGACUACUGCUCGAUUCAAGGUCAAUCAUGACAGGACCAAGGCCUGACCAUGAUACUGUUGCUGUUUGAUACAUUUAGGUGAAGCAGGUAAACUCCCUCGGGGCGUUUCGCCAAGCCCUUUGACACCUUCUUUCAGAACCACUUACGAUAUUUUAUGAUUCGACGGAGGCCUCGUAAGCAAGUAGACUACUUUGGCCCUAUCAACUUAGUUUGCGCCGCGUAGAUAUCUAGCAUCUGGACGAGCAGCCACCGUUUCGGAUCAAAAAGUUAAGAGGGCACCGCCCGAUUCUUUCUUUUCUAGUCCCUCCACCAAACCAGAUCUACUAAAGACUUCAACGAUAUCUUUUUUUUUUAGGUACCGCUGUUGGAAUUUCGUGGAUAAGUUGUAACAGAGCCUAAGAAUCCAAUUAUGAAACUAGCGCGAUUAGCAUAAAUAGCAUAAGUCGAGGAAGAAGAGCUUUGCUCUCGAGUCAGUGCUUAGUCGGUGACCUUCUCAAGCUUUUCACCAGUUGAAAGCUUUCUUUCAGAUCUUUCCUUACUUGUUCAAGUAAACUACUUUCCCUUACCUUUCUUCUCACUAGAAUGAAAAGGAGGUCGCUUGCGCUUUUCUCAAGGUAAGUCAGAAUAGGCUAGUUGAUCGGGAGAACUAGUAUGAAGUGCGGGUACUUAGGGUCAGUAUAUUAUAGGUGAGGAGGAUAGCGUUUUAACGAAAGAAUCUAAAAUUCAUUGACCUCGAGAAUAAAUAAAGACUAGCACUGCUUUCAUCGAAAGUAUCAUUCCGAGAUCUCAUGAGAAAGAAUAGGAAUGUUGAUAGGCUUCAGAGAAGAAAUAUGAUCCGUUAGGGGAAGUAGGAACUUGAAAAUUUUCAUGAGCAAAAGUUGCUUCGCUCCUUCUCAAUUGGCUUACGCAUAAAGAAUCAUCUUAUCGGUGAAAGAUUCAAUUUUCGUUAAUUUUUUUAUUUUAUUUUAAAAAUAAUAUAAAUAAUUUUUUUAUUUUUUUAUCUAAUUAGUUUAUUUAUUUACUUGUUAAAGUAAAAUAGUUGAUUACCUUUAUCUUUUAUUCAAAAAAUAUCAAAAAAUUAAAAUUAAUUUUUUAUUUAAUAAAUCAUGAUACUCGAGACCUAAUUUAUACUGUUUCCUACCAUCACUCAAUACCUACUAUCCUAACUCUGCUCUACCUUUAGGCAAAGGAAAAACUUUCUCUAAUCAAGGGAGAUACUCAUUAAACCAAAAUCCAACCAAAGAAUCAGAAUCGAUACAGUCGACGAUCAAGAUAUCGAGACCUAUACAGUUAUUAAAGCAAUAAGAUAAGAAGAGAACCAGCUUUUCUCUUUCUCUAGUUUGAUGCCUUCUUUUCGUCCACCAUCCGUUGAAAGAGGCACCCAAGAGAUAGGUAUGAUUUUGGUUCAAGGCUCAAGUGAUUCACCAACGGAGUCUAGGCCGUGUGGUUAAGGGGACUCGGCUUCAUCGUAUAGUAAAGUAAAUUGAAUCUGGCCAAGCCACUAAGCGGCAUCGGAUCGAAUUGUACUUGAGUAACUUAGCACCCUAUUUGCAAAAAGAAAGUCGAAGUUCUAAACCUUCCUUCUGGGCUAUCCUUAUCGGAAGCAUAAAAUGGACUUGCUACCCCAGUCUUCCUUAAGGCUUUUAUGCCGAAAGGACUAAGAGCUCUUAUUCCGCAGUCUUUAGCACAUAGCAGUCGAUGCAGUACUCUGGCGGUUCCGCUAAUAGUCCUAUCAAUUCAUUCCUUAAAAACCCAAAAAAAGUUGUAGACUGGUUUAUACCUUUUCAAAGGCAAGGAAGUAGGCUUCGGUUCAAUCUGGGAUCGAACUAUCCUCUUUUCUUUGGCUGUGUCAAGCCAGUUCUCUGAUCCGAGGGGGACUCUUGUGAAAUAAAGAAUGUUUCCAGGGAUCGAGCCGAACUCCCACUCCAAGCUUUGGCAUAUGGAAUAGAGUCUUUUAGCUAGUCUUAUGAGACUAGCUUUGCUUUAUAGAGUACAAGAGUUUUCCCUGUCAGCCGUAACUAGAUAAGAAAGAAUAAGUCCUGCUUUGCUUAUUAUAUGAAAAUGAAAAGAAGACUUUCAUUUAUUUAUAUAAUAAGGAUUGCCAACAAAGCCUUUUGGGUCCAAGGCUUCUUUGUUUCGGACAAGAGUGUCCAACACGCAAGGGGAAAUAGAAUGCCCAAGGAAGAUUAGCAUGGGCAGAAGUGAGAUUUUAUUGGAUUCCAUUCUUGAGCCACUCACGAAGUCCAUGGUUAGGCUUGUUCAGAUCAGAGGGGAGGCCAAAAGACAAUAAUUUAGUAGCUUUAGGGCUGGUUCUGAGGACAUGGUCGAUGCUUUCAUUGAUUCCUUGGCACCAACAAUAGGGAUCCGUGACUAAUGUGUGGAGAAGGGCUAGACGAUCAUGGGCACAAAGCCAGAGCAAGUCGUUCACUCUAGGAGUAGUUUGGGCAAAUCCACUUCCAGUCACUCGAUUGGAGUCUUUGCUGAGAGUCUUGACGAGCAGCCAUAUGGUAAGCAUGUUUGCUUUUGAUGUUAUCCUUGGUAGACCCUCUUUCUUUCUUCUUUUUCUUUUCUUUCUUGACGUGAACGGUCACUAAUUAUACUAGAUUGUGAGGGUAUCGUGAGUGCGGAGCCUUCUGUGCCAUUCCGAAGAGAUGGUAAUAGGGAAGCAAGAUAUGUUAAGAGAGUAAGCCGGACCAAAGUCUGACUUAUUGUUUUUCGUUACGCUCCUGAUGAAAGCGUAAUUCGGUACGGUAGAAGGGUCUUAGCUUCACACCCUUUAUUUUGUAUGGAGAAGAGGCGGCGACUUAGUAGGGAUGGGAGCUUGUGCCUAGAUCUCUGAUAGCACGAGAUCUUAUGGCAUUUAGUAAUUCCCCUCUAUUGAAAACAAAAAUCGAGGGGAUUUUGGCCUGAUAACCUGAGGUAGGAGUGACAAGAGUUUACUUAAAAAAACGGUAACAACCAGGGAUGUCUAGAGAACUUCUCCUCGAUUCGCUCCAAAUUCUCACAGUGCCUUCCUCGGGAAGGGUGACCCCUAUCUUCAGGUCGCUCCAGGCUCUACCGGAACCGAGCGUACCUUGGGACACACGCUACCAACCUAGAACUCCUGGUUUUGGUCAGAGAGGGCUUUCAACCUAGAACUCCUGGGCAAAGCAUUUUUUUUUAUUUGCCAAAAAGUUUCAAACCGCGCAGAUUCAGCAUCCGACGAAGCAGAUGUUAGAGCAACUACUAGAGAAUCCAAAAAUGCGGAAGUCUCAACCGAACGAAGGUAGUCGAUACCACAGGAGAAUCAACCGAAUCCAUAUCAUAAGAAAGCAGAAUAAUAAAAGCUAUCCUCCGUCGAGGAAUAAGUAACAACAAGGGUUGGCGGUUUUAGAACAUAUUAAAGAGCAACCAUAGGAUGAAGCAGAGUAAGAAUAAAUAAAAGGAAUGUUUUAGCUUAUUUGAACCAAUAACAAAGGAAGUGGGUAGCAAGUGUGGUGUAGUAAAAGGGUUUUCAAAGCUUUCCAACUCUACGAGGAUUCAGCUUCCAAUUAAGUCAAUGUUUUAAGUAUAAACUUUUCACAUAAAUAAAUAGGACUUUUUAGCCAUUUGACGUUUUGUCUCUUUUUUUUCCCAAAAAUAGAAUAUAAACAAACGACUAAGCCCUUGCUUGAUAAAACAAAACUCAAAUACGAGUAGCUCGAUUGAUUGCAUGGCUUCGAUUGGUUUUGAUCUAAUCAAUGAAUGUAUAAGGUUAUUUUGACUAUUCUUUACUAGAAUAUCCGUAUCCUCAUUCAAUAGAUUAGCAGGCUAAAUAGUUAAGGAGUGUUUACCAUUACCAAGAAAGAAAAGAGGAAAAUGAAAGUAUCAUACAAUAUAGGCAGUGGUGUGGGAGUUACAAGCAAGGCUUGAAUUCAAGAAAGAAGGCUUCUAUCAUAGUGGUAAUAGCAGCUACUCCAAGAUAGCUUUGCCUUUCACGGAUUUUGCUAAAGAAGACCCAAGCUUGGGAGUGGAAUUAGAAGUGCCAAGCAACAAAAGCAAACCAUGUCUACCGACCUUGUGCUUGCCUUCUCGGAUGUGAUCAAGUCUUUUGAAAGUGCAGACAGAGGCCUCAGAUUUUGCUAGGGUUCUUUUACAGUUGUUUAUGAGAGCAGAAAGUUGAAUGGGGUCGGGCCGAGAGGAAAGAAGUAGCUCGAGCGAAAGAAAUGCUUGAGUAAAACCUUGGACUAUAAGGCAUGCUUUAUAACGCUCCAAAAACCAAUGCUGAAUCUUGUCAAUCCACUUAAAGCCCACUCCUUUUUUGCUUGGAUCAUAGGUUGAAAUUUGCCAAAGUUUAAGUAUGAGUAGGAAACAAUGCAUGAAAUGAAAUUCAUCCAUCUGUCAUAGCCCCAACUGGGGAUGCCUAGUAGAAAUAAAAAAAGAAGUGAGUUCAGUUUCAGACACAGACCAUUCAGAAUGAAUUUUGCCUCUGCACUUGCCUUCUUUUUAAUGAUCGAACUGGAGUCUGAGCUCCUAAAAAAAGGAUGCCUCAUGUUCCUUUCUUUCUUCCUAGUUGUAGGGUAAACGCUUUUUCUCAAUCAAGAAAAAAGCUUAUAGCGGUAUAUCCGCAAGCGCGCCCUUGAAAUUCCUUAAAAAAAAAAAAGUAUUAGUCUCGGAGGACCAAUAAAGAAUCAAAGCUUAAAGGUAACGUUCGAUUUUCUACCUAGAAAGGUCAAUAGCUUCAGCAAUCCCAGUUUUUCUCCAUAAGGUCCUAUAGGUAGAUCUCUAAGGCUGUUUAAUUUAAAGACAGCCUUUGCUUGGGUGUUCUCAGGCUUGGAACAAAUGCCUUUCUAGCCCCUCGUGCACUAGGGGAGCCAUUUAUGUUCGUUCGAUUUUUUACAAGACACAGCCUCUAGGGUACCUCUCAUCUUGGCUUUCGCUCUAUCACAUCACUUUGUGGUGUGGUAUUGUGCUAACAAGGUAUACCCAGGAAAAAAGUUUAGUAAAUACGCACUUCUCGAUGAUGAUAUCGUCAUCGCGAUUAUGAAUGUUUAUAAAGAUGUCAUUAAUCGCUUGGGGGUGAUAAAAACCGAAGUCUUUGUUCUCUCUCUCUGAUAGAGACGAUCUUGAGUUCGUGAAGAAAUUAUGAAUUCACGAUCAUGAGCUAUCUUCAAUAAGUGUUAGAAUAAUACGAUCAGCGAGGUACAUAGAUGCCAAUACUUGGACUGACGUCUCUGUGACUCUCUAUGAGAGUUCUUGAAGCUGGAUUUUAUAGAUAUUCUAUAAAACCAGAGCACGUGAGUCUUCUUAUAAUAGACACUAGUAUCGCCACAACAGUGUGGCCUUCUCUUUCGGUGGUAUCUUACCAUUCCCAUUUCAGGUUUGGUUAGGGUUCCUAGAUGGAAUAUGAAUCACUUGUUAUCAUAUAUAUGGGUAUGUUGCGAGACAUGCUUGUGUCUUUGUGUUCUCCAAAUUGGGGUAAUAUGGAGCGCUUUGCCAUUGAUCUCAAUUUGAAGCUUGAUGAGGACACCAGCUUGCUAACAGAAAAGCUUUUUCUCAGGUUAAAAGCUUGUUUGGCUUAUUGCAUGUGGUGGUACAGGGUAAGAGUUUACUUUUCAAUCCACGUUGAGAGCUUCCUUGAUCCUCCUGCCUUGUGUUUUAAGUCGGAUCGAAAAAACCAAUUAUCAAAGUUUCACAAAUAUGGUCUGAUGUUUCGAUGCUAUGACGUCGUUUGCCAGAAAGUCUCUACGAUUCCUUUCGAAGAGAAAGCUAUCAGGUUAACUUUCAACAUCAUGUCAUCUCGUAUUUGGUCUAGAUCUUAUCAAUGGUUAGAUAAGAUUGAAAGAAAACUUUGAAAGAGUGCUCUGGUCUUGCUAUGGCUCUGGAAAAGCCUCGCGUCCUCUGGUAAGAUAGAGUAAGAAGACUAUAAGCACAUCUAAAUGCCUUUUUUCCCGCGACAAUAGAUGGGCAUUAAGGUGAGUUCCAUAGCAACAUGGAUUAGGAUACUCUUUGGAAUACUAAGUAAGCCCAGCCCCAUAGGAAUACUAGCAAAUCCAAUGUGACAUGCAUUAGAGGGCAAGGACUAUCAAACCAUUAGAGGUAGGGAUGCUCUCACUCAUGCGUGCUAUAAUAAUAAAUUACCUUUUCUAUUUGAAUUGAUUCAUGAGAUUUACAAUCGCUCUUUUUUUCCCCUAGUAAUAGGGGCCUCACCCAAGUUGGAUUACAGUUAUUCUCGAAAAAGAGAGAAAGCUACUAAGAUCAUCAUGAAUAGCAUCGUUAUCUCUCUCCUUCAUUCAUGUCUUUUUAUUUGGCAAGAAGUGACCUAAGAAGGUCUUAGCAAGACUCUGUUUUAUAGAGCUUUUUUCUUUUCGAUGUAACUAUCACAUGUCAAGUGCCAAGACUAUGCUUUUUUUUACCAGGUUUAUCAUUUAACAAAACCCCUCUAACUAUAAAUAUCAUAAGAUAAGAAAACCUAUAAUCAAAUCCAAAAACCUUUAUAGGCUUUUUUUGCGUUGUGCAAACAAAGAAUGAGAGGCUGGAAAGCUAAAUAUCAAUCAAGAGAGACUAAUAGUAAAGAAGGCAACAUGCAUCUUCUAUAAGGACUUUCUGAUUAGGUUGAAUGCCAUCUACUUUCCUAAAAGCACUAAGACAAGCAAGGCUAACAAAUGGGAAUGGAUAAGAACUUUUGUUCAUAAUGAAACAGAGGGGAAGGGUCUUUUGCAUAUCUCUUAUCUUCAAAGAAAGAAGGGGCAUGAAUUCAUUAAACAAUUUGAGGCUUUACAAGACCUUUAUCCAAAUUGAAAGAUGCCAUCCAAUCGCUAUCCACUCUAUCGAACCCAGUAGCGGAGGACGACAGUGAUGUACGAAAUGUCUAGUCUGGAAUUACAGGGAAAAAUUCAUAUAAUUUGAUGGCAGAGAACUCCUAAUAGCUCUAUGAGAUUUGCUUAGAACUUCUACUGAUUUAUAGGGCACUUUCAAUGGAUAGUUGACCUAGAAUCAGCUUCUUCUUUUCCUGAUGGCUUGAGAGCGGCUGUAGAGAGAGCAUAUGCACAACCCCUCUAACGAGUAUUCAACCAAAGCAGCCGCCUAUUCUAAGGGAAGAGAAAGCCCUAAAGAAAAGAUAUCUACAGCCCCCCAAAGAAAGAGAUCCUUACCAGGGAAAGAUAUACUAAAUAGAUAGACUACUCUUUCAGGGAAGAAAGACUAAAUGGAAUUGCAAUUGGAUUCAAUCUUAUAGACCCUUCAUAUGGAUACUCCUAUCAAGACAAACUUUUAGGCCUUUUUCUUAGCAGAGGCAAAGUAAAGUACUUAAGGGAGAAAUAAGCAAAAUAAAUUCAGUAAGAACCUUCAAGGGCCAGCUAGUGAUAAAUCUCCUAAAGCCAUCCAUACAAAAAAGAAAAGCCAAGACGGGUACAUGGACUUACUAUAAAUCUUACCCGAGAACUGCAAGAGGCUCACAAGCAUUAGGAUAAGAAAGGAGAACCAAAAAAAGCACAUGGCCUGCAAGCUCGCUUGAAAGGAGAUUGCUAUCAGUAAUAGAAAAAGCCCUUAAAGUCUUUGAGUUAACUAUUUAUUAACUAUUUACCUACUAUUUAUAUUAUCCGUAGAAGACAGAUUGGGAUUGGCUCUAGAAGAAUUAGCACUUAAGGGGCUUCCUAUAACCCUACUCUGCCUGUUAGGCCUUAGAGCUUUAGACCAUUUGGUAUUGAUAAUACUAAUGUUAGUGCUCUUAACUAACGUUAUCCUUGGGAUUGAUGGUAUUGAAAAAACCCUUAGAGACAAGAAAGAUCGACCCCCUUCUUUCUAGGAACUAUUGGCUGGAUUGUAUUCACCUAUCACCAUAAAAGGUCUUUUUUCUGAAACUGCCUUAAAAGAGAACUGCAAUUGGGGCUCGCUCAAAAGCAGAAAGAUUGGCAGGGUGAAGGAAAAAAACUCCAACAGGUUGGCUUGAAAGAAAGCCAGCUGCCUUUAUUCUUCAAUUGGAUUAAGUGAACUACCAAUGGCUGGAAUUAAUGCUUUGAAAGAGGGGAACUCUUAAGAGAAAGACUAAAAUUGUCAGGGCUUACGUAAUUAGAGGUGAAGACUGACGCAUUUUUUCUCGCUCAAAAGCAGGCGAAAGCAGGAGAACUAAAGGCUAAAAAGAAAUCUGCAACAGGCGCAGAAAGAUUAGAUGCCUUUAGGAAUGCAACCUUUAAGACUCCCACUAGAUCGAAUGGAGAAGGGCUGGAGUGAAAGCUCAAUCCAAGACAUGAAAGCGGAAUCACAACUAACAACUGUCGAAGGUUGUAGGUCAAUGCCAAUGAGAAAGACAAAGGUUUAGCCUAGAAAAGUCCUAAGGAAAGCAAAUGACAUAGAAUAAGAUGUCAUCUCAUGCCCUCUUUGAAUGGCUUGUUCAAGAAGGGAAGGGAUUGCUGCUCAACGAAAGAAAAAGCUCUUGGUGAAUCCGGACAAAUGCUAUCGAAUCAGCUGCUUGAGAAUACCCUCCUGAUGGUUCAGUCAGUUAAAAAUAAAAGAAUCGGUUGCUAGAGGAAGACAGAAGCAAGGGAAGGAGAAACUAUUCUUGCUUGAGUGGAAUCAGUUUUAUUUGUAAUUCCACUUAUUUUACGAUCAUAUCUCUGUAAACUGGAGGAAUUUCUUUGAAAGAAGAGACAAGAGCAGUUACGCCUUUUUCUAAUCCCGGAUAAGCAACUAAGAGCCUUUCAAUAGCGUAGCGGAUCUUGCUAACAUUAGAGACUCUACUUAGUAAGUUGCCUACCUUCGCUGGUGGACUAGUUUAGUUAGAGGAUGGGACGAUAGAGCUCAAAUCAAUCUAAUACCGUUCGUGACCUGACCCAGAGCCACUAGGAUCAGUUGGUCAGUCUCAUCCCGUGCUUGGAUUGGGGCACGAAACGAUAGCUAUUCCUUGCAUCGUGUUGAGUUAUGGCUUACUUCUAGGCUUUCGGGGAAGGGAAUGUCAUUCUUCUGUAUUCUAUAGUUGUAUAAGAGGGGAUAGAAAAAGAGAGAAGAGCACUUAUUCCAUCAACGUGCCAAGCUAAAGGGCGGAAUCGAUCAACUACCUUUUCCUUUUGUAUCAAAUUCCCAGAAAAAUGGUUGAAUGGGCAGACUUACGACUGAACUCUUAUUGGGAUGGGAGGCCUUACCUUACGACUGCUACGGGUAGCUCUCAACACUAUCUGGCUAUCUCUCAAGAGUGAAACUCAAUUCCCUCACUACUUGCCUGUGAACCAGAGCUAAUGAUUGUGGAUCCUCUACCUCCGUUGAAUUCACACCAACUUACUCUAGACAAAGAGAAGAUAACGAUUUGGCGAUUUGAAUGCCAUAUAUGACUUGACUCUCUCAAUUCCGGAACCCUCCAAAAAGAAAGAGAUUCCACUUGAGCUAUUCUCGUUCUAACGACAGAAGCGGAUUCAAGCAUUCGUUCCGAGUCGCCAAGAGACAGAAGAGCUUAUAAAAAGUAUUCCCCUUGAGGCGGGAAAACUCCAACAUCAUUUAACUGGGUAUGAGAACUCCUCCCUUAUAGUAGAAAUUCUUCCAAGAACGUAUUCUUCUUAAUGUUGUUGAUUUGAGAACAUCUGCUGCUGAUUUCAAUAGCCAAGUCAAGCUUUCCAGCAGGCGAGACAGAUGCCGAUUCUACCUCUGCCAACUCCCUCUUUAUAGCAGGAUUUUCUUAACCAAGAGCUAGCUUAUGGAUAUCAGAUAUCGAUAUCGGAAGAUCAGGCCCAUCACUUCUUCUUGACUUUUAUGAUUUGCCUGCUGGAGGAUCAUCGAAGGUUGGAGAAAGAGAUAGAAAGCUGACUAGAGUAGGGGGUAGAGGGGCUGUGUAUAUCUAUUCCAAUCGGGGUGAUAGCUCGACUCGACAAAUGGGAGAGAGAUCAAAUCGCGCGGGAGAGGGGGUCCCCCCAUCAUCUAGAUUCAAAGUCAAGGUGUUGUUCGGAUAUUGAUCGUAGCAAACGUCACUUCCUUCAUUGGAUGGGUUCAGGCUUGCUUGUCUCGCUCUCAUAUUGGAAGGCUCGGUUUGGAACCCUCUAGGAACUGAAUCGCUAGAAAGAUCUCUUCUUUCGUUUAAACCAAGUAGGCCCUAAACCAAAGCUUUGAUCGCUGUGCUUUCCCCUUAUUGUUAGUCCUCUUACCAUACACCACUUCGAAUGGUUACUUCCCCCCUUACUUAACAUAGGCCGAUUCACAUCGUUUUUAUAGGCAAACUCUGCAGUUGGAAGAACUUAUUCCCACUUGCUCGGUCUCCCUUGCACUAAGCUCCUCAGAAAGUCUUCCAGUAAACCGACGACUGGAGUCUGGCCGUCCUGAGUGAUAAGCACUGCUAAACCUCAGUUCAGUGCCUAAUUUAUUCCGUAGCACCCUCUAUUAGGGGGCAGACUGGUGUCUUGAUCGGACGUAAUGCUCCCCUUUCGUCAUAAGGCGUGCUUUCUCACCACCUAAUGAUGAUAUCAUAUCACGAUCAUGGGGUAGCCCGGUUCGAAUUCCAUAUGCAGAUUCUAAUUUCAAUCAAAAACCCGAAGCUUAUUUAGUUCCAGAUGAUGCAAAGCCAAUUCUAAUUCCGGAUCCAAUCCCAUCUCCCCCUAUACCUAUAACUUCUUCAAAUGUAGAUUUGCCCGAACUUAUUUAAUAAGGCGAGAUGGAGACCUUGAUUUGGACCCUCGUGAUCGAGCUUUUGAUUGUAAAGAACGCGGAGCCAUAGUCAAACGAUCCAAACCAGGUUGAGAGCGUCGAAGCUUAUCCACCUGAAGCGCUCACUUCUACUCCUGUCCUGCUGUGGAAGCAGUGGCCGGAAGCUUCACUGUGGAGGCGGGCGGUCUGAUGGAGCUGAUUAGAUCCACAACCGAGAUGGAGCCAUCCCUGGAACCCAGGAGCGAAGCUAUCCCUCCCGAGACUGGCCCACAAGAAUCCAUUUCAGGAUUAGAACCUGCAAUACAAAGACUAAGCAUGGAGGUCACUGAAGCUGCUGAAUCGACCUCUGAGAAAGAAGAAGAACAAGAACUACUGCGGUUGAGGAACAAGCCGUCGUGGCUGCACCUGUCAAGUUACACGAUCUUUCUCUUUGCCCGCUUUGAUUAGGCUUUAUUCCCGAGCGCUCUUUUUAAAUGCUCUGGUGGAGCUGGAGAAGCAAGACUAGUCCUUAUAUUAGUAAAGCUUCGGCCCUGCCUUUCUAAUCGGCAUCUUUUGAUCGUUUCACUGUCAUAAUGGGACCACUACACUGGCCCGAGAAGGUGUGUAAACGGUCACUCUAUAACUAGUUGGUCUCAAUGGACACUAUUUUCAUUUAAAAAAAAAAAGAAAAUAGGGACCUAAUAAGCACAAAGCUAUUACACAAUCAAAGCCUUUUGAAUCUCCUGCGAACAGACGCACAAGAUAACCUUUGAUACACGCCACUAGCUGUUUAACUACUUUACCGAGAACAGUCAAAUCACACAAUUCAUUGGCUUCUCCUCUAAGGAAGUAAAAAAACCCCACAUGCUCUUUCUCAUAUCACCUAUACGAAUCCGAAGCUAACCCCUGCACCUGAUUCAUCCCCUUGAAUAACGGGUUUGCCUGCGAGUCUUUCUUUGAAUUUAUGAUGGAGAGACGGGGAAGAUGAAAACAAUAGAUGUGAUCUAUCGAAAAAAAAAAAGGUAGAGGAGGCCUGUUGCCGAGACCCCGUCCUCUUGCAGAGGAGGCAAAGCACCGUAACCAUAAUGAAAGUUCAGAUCAAGUGCCAGAAGAAAUGGUCGACUCUGAAUCCGGAUUGGUUUGAAUCGAGAAUGAAAGAUUUUCUCUAAACUAGAAAACCGUCAAGAAAGGAUCCAUCAACAUGAUGGACACUCGAAACCAACUCUAUCUGGUUUGUGUAAGGAGGGAACCGAUUUGACCUUUUCAGUAAAGGGGGAAACAAAUAAAGUAGGAGACGAAAGACUAACAUAGCGCUUCACGCCCAGAGGAAGAUGCUUUCUUUUAGCCUACGCCUUUCCCCUUUUAAUAAUAAUAAGGUAAGCAUCCAGCUCUCGAUCCAGAGCUACUGUUUCAACAAUCAACUAGCUAAGGAAGUCUGUCACGUCCCAAAAUUAAGACGUAAUACAAUCAUAUUAUUUUUAAAAAAAUUUUAAAGUAAUACGAAGUCUUUUUUCUUAAAUAUUUUAAAAUUUUUCAAUAAAAUAAUCUAUAAAUAAAAUUCAUAUCUUUAAUCCAACUGAUAAUAUAUCUUUAUAUAUCCAAAUACAAACCAUAUAAAAUAUAAAAAUACCUCUUAAAAUUUCGUUGGUCAACAUAUUCUUCGACAAUUAAGUAAUCUUACCCAUUUCAUCUUUUAGCUUCACACAAGACUAAUCAAACUUAUCAUUUAAUCAUCUGUAAAGAAAAAAAUAAAAAGAGGAAUGAGCAAACCACAGCUCAGUAAGUAUAAGCUCACACACCUUACCAGAUCAAGCAUCGUUUUCUUACGUAUCAUAUAGAUCAUUUAAAACAUUCAUCAAAUCAUAAUAUCAAAACAUUUCAAGGUCAUCGUUUUGUCAAAUAUUUCAAUAAUUCAUAAAUCAAUGUCAAAAUAUGUCAUUUCAUAAAUCAUAACAAAAUAUACUAUCAUUCAAAUAUCAUAGUCAAACCAAAUCAUGGAUCAAUCAUUAAAAAUCAUCGCAAAUCAUCAUCAUCAUCAUAAAUCAUCAUUAUUAUUGGUUUAUCGUUAGCUACAGUCACUACUAUAACCCGUGACAUUGGUCGUAUCGACAAUUUCAUUCUCAUAAUCAUUGCUAACUAUUAUAACUCGUUAACCAGGGCUUACGCUAACUACUAUUACUCGUUAGCCAGGGUCGUAUGAUCAUGUCUUUGCUAACUACUAUUACCCAUUAGCUAGGGUCGUAGAACUAAGUUCUGGUGUCGAUGAUCCUACUUCCAAGGGAUGUAAAAAUGUAGCCAUCAUAAAAUCAUUCUUUAAACAUAAAUCAUUUUCUCAUUUCAUUCAUAAGCAUGAUUCAUCAUUUAUAUAGAGAAACACAAAAUAAUCAUAUGCUUGAUCCUAUUUUUAUAUAUCAAAAAUAAAGAAAUAAAACAUUCUUUCAUUUAGAAACAUAUAUAUACAUAGAUUCAAAAAUAAGCAAAGUGUGUGAGAUUCUAAAUACCUCCAUUCGAUUUCACCACUUAGUUUUUCUCCCAAAAUAAUUAAUGACCUAUCCAAGAUCAUUUCAAAAAAUCAAAAUUUAAUCAACCAUUUUUUAGACCAUUUAUACAAAAAUCAACUAAGUUACACAAUGGUUAACUUAACUAAUUAAUACUAGCAGCCUGACCUCUUUUCAUUAAAAUAGUCAUGUCUCAACAUAUCUAAAUCGGAAUUAUGAUCUUUUUAAUGCGUUAGAAGCUAGACUUGAUAAGCUUUCUAACCAUAUAUGGCACACAUCGUAAUUCCUUGUAGAUUAAUUAUAACAAUUUUUUGAAAUCCAUGUCAUAUACUACUGCCAAACAGCCUGUAUGCCUUCUAAUAAAAAUUAUAUAUUUAUUCACAGGAAACUCCAAAUUCAAUUCCGCUUAUUUUAUUGGAAAGUAGACUCAAUAAGCUUUCCAAAAAUAUAUGGCUUAAUCUGUAAAUCCUUGUAUACAAAUUAAGAAGAAUUUCGUAAUUCAACUCUGAUGCUGUUGUCUCACAACCUGCAUAUCCUUAAGUUAAAAUUAGACAACUCUUGAUGGAAAACUCGGAUUUAACUUUCGUUUAUUUCGUUAGAAAUUAGAUUCAACAUGCUUUCCAAUGAUAUAUAAUAAUCACAGCAAAAAUCUAUCCAUUAAUACAAAAUUCUAUUUUAAUUCAUUAUUACAGAUCACAUCUCAUCCAAAAAUAGAAUUUCUCCUUCAAUCUUUAAAAACUCAAAUCCUUACUUUCAGCCUUCAAACUCCAUUCAAUAAUCAUCAAUAAAUCUUAAGAACAUGAAAUAAAUAAAGCCCAGUAAUUUAUCCAAAUAGAUCAUCAAGAUUAAUGAAGGAUUUCGUGAUUUUUCUUGGUUUUUGCUUUCAAAACUUCAACUUCAAAUAAUAGCAAUCAACUUGAUAUUUCUUUUUAAAUAAAAAGAGGGUAUGUACUCACUUUUAAGAGAUUAACUUGAUUGUAGUCUCUGAUUGUGAAUCUUCAACUUGAUUUUUCAUAUUAUCUAACCCUAAGGAAGAUGAGAAAGAAGAACUCUAUUUUCUUUUUAUUUCACAAUAGUUAAGUUUUCUUUCAUCUAAUACUUCAGCCCUUUUUUUUUUACUAAAUAAUGUCUUAAUAAACUGAUGGGCUUUAGUAUUAGUCUAGCCCAAUUAUUAUUUGAGCUAGGGUAUUACAUUCUCCCCUCCUUAUAAGAAGUUUCGUCCUCGAAACUUGAUUUACAUCCACAUCUCAUUCCUCUAGUUUUGCAAUCAUAUCUCUUACCGUAUGAUUGUUUCAUUGAACUUUGAAAAAAAAAAUCAUCUUGCCUCAAAACUUGUUCUUUCUAAUCAACCAUUCAAAAAAAAAAAUAUUUCAAUAUGUUAAAACUUAUAUCAUCUUGAAUUUCUAAAUACUCAUAUCCAAUCACAAAGCUUUUGCUAAGAUAUUCUCUUAACAUAUAUUCAUCAUAUACACUAAACAUUAGAGGUGACAAUAUUCUUUAUUUAUUAAAGGUUCAUCACUUUCUCAACUAAUAAUAGUACAACAAUUUAGAACUUAAAAUCAAUUCAGGCUUCCACUGCACACUCUUGAUAUUUCUUUCCAAUAAAAUUCAAACAAAUUAACUUUCGUAACAUCGUUUUGUAACAAGAAAAGCAUGUGUCCACAAACUCCUUGUAAUAUGCUUCACACCAUGUGUUUAUAACCAUAACAACCUUGAAUAACAAUAUCAACAAAUCAUUUUGUCACCAAAAAGAUAUCACAUAGUACUUUAAAAUUUCUUUUCUUUUCCACCGACAACAUAAAAUUUGCUAUCAAUUAACCACUAGAAUACAUAUGAUAUGAAUGCAAUAGAUCAUAUCCAUAAAUUUAUAUCAUAUAAAUUCAAACAUAAAUCUUUGGUUACCUAAGUUGUCUCCAAUUUCGAAUAUUGUUCUUUCUAAUAUACCAGUUAUCCUAUAACAAUUGAUUCUUCAUAAUCCCCACAAACAUCAUAAUGUCUCAAAUUGUCUUUUUAUCAAGUCUAUUGCUAUCAUCUUCAUGUCAAAGUUAAAAACUAUGCAUCAUAAUCCAUAAAAAAAAAUUUUUUUAUAAAGUUUGAACCAAUAAGAACUCCAAACACUUGAAUUCACACUAAAAGUAUAAUUAUGAACAAUAGCCAAAUACAUCACAUUAUUUCAAUAGUUCUCUCAAAUUUCUCUAAAAUCGAAUACAUGCUCAACAUCACCAAGUACACAAAAUCAUCACUUGUAAGAUUUCAACCAAUCAUUUGCCCUUGUAAAAUUCAAAUAAUCAUUUUGCACUUGUAAGAUUUCAAACAAUCAUUCUUAACCAAAACAUGCAUUUUUUUUUGUAAAUCGAUUACUCUUUUAAAACCAACUUCCUUACUAAAUCAUCUAGAUAACCAUAAUUUUAAUUUCUUGCUAAAUACACAACCCUAUACCACAAUAGGCCAUGUUCUCCAUAAAUAUAAAAUUCGAAAGAAUCCAAUAUGAUACUUUAAUUAGAAACUAUAACCACAAAUUAAUCACUUUAGCCUUUAAAAAUAUCAGUACACCUUAAAUAAAAAUUUAAUGAUCAAACUUUAAAUUAACUAUACAAACAUCCAACUUGCAUGAUCAAACCUUAAAUACUUUCUUAAUAAAAAUGUAGAACCAAAUCAAGUGAACAUCUUUCUUUACAUAUGUAAAGCUAUUUACCACAAUUAUAACAUUUUGGACUAAAUCCAUCAAAAUAAAUUCUCCAACAUUAUAAUAUAUAAAUAAUUGCAUUAAAAUUUCAACAUAUCAUUUCAUUCCAACUCCAAUAUUUUAUACUUUUAAUUCCAACAAUGUACACUCCUAUUUCAAUCGUAAUCCAUGACUAAGGAUUCACUUUACACUUAUCAAAUACUUCAAAAUCUCAUUAAGUCGAAAGUCUUUUCUCAAACUCAUAGGAUCUCCAACGAUCAAAUUGUUCUUUUAAAUAAUCUUUUAACUUAUAAAAUAUAUCUCAUUACAAGUGGCGUAAAAAAUCUCUUCAACUUAUAAAAUCGCACUAUAUCAAAGUAAUUACACUUUCUCUUAACUAUAAGAUCCAAAAGUAAUAUAUAAAUAUCAACAAAAUAACUACACCAAGAAUCCAUUGAAUCAUUGAUUCCUCAAAAUUCAUUGAAACUUUAACUACUCCAAAAUUCAUCAGAAUCAUUUACUUGUACUCACCACUAAUAGUCUAUGGAUCAAAGUUAUGUCCUUCAAAAAUUAUCACAUUAUUCAAAGGUCAUCAUCUAUUCUUAAAAAUCUUCACAUAAUAUAUAGAUUGUAACCAUACUCAUAGAAUAUCUCUUUCAAUUAAAGGAUCAUAAACUAUAUUCUUUGAAAAUCAUCGUUAAUCUAUUUAUCAUAAAUUAAAUUCUUAAAAAUCUUUAAAGAUUAUAAUCAUAGUUCUUAGAAAAUUCUCAAAAUCAUAUUAUAAGCUCUUUAACAUCUCACAUAGUUUAAGGAUCAUAACCUGAACUCUUAGAAAAUCUCCAAGAAACAUCACUUAAGCUUUUAAAGAAAAUCUCAAUAUAAUAUACAAAUCAUAUCUAUUUCUUAAAAUUUUUCAAAGAUCAUAACUUAAGCUCUGAUACCAUUAUUGUCAUACCCCGAGAUCAAGACGUAACACGACCAUAUUACCUUGAAAAAAAUCUCAAAGUAAUACGAAGCCUUCUUUCUUAAACAUUCUAAAAUUCUUCAAUAAAACAAUCUACCAAGUAAAAUUCAUAUCUUUAAUCCAACUGAUGAUACAUCUUUAUAUAUCCAAAUAUAAAUCAUAUAAAAUAUAAAAAUGCCUCUUAAAAUCUCGUUGGCUAAUAUAUUCUCCGACGAUUAAGUAAUCUUACCCAUUUCAUCUUCUAGCUUCACACAAGACUAACCAAACUUAUCACUUAAUCAUCUAUAAAGAAAAAUGUAAAAAGAAGAAUAAACAAAUCAUAGCUCAAUAAGUAUAGGCUCACACACCUUACCAGAUCAAGCAUCGUUUUCUUACGCAUUAUAUAGAUCAUUCAAAAAAUUCAUCAAAUCAUAAUAUCAAAACAUUUCAAGAUCAUCAUUUUGUCAAAUAUUUCAAUAAUUCAUAAAUCAAUGUCAAAAUAUGUCACUUCAUAAAUCAUAGAAAAAUAUGCUAUCAUUCAAAUAUCAUAAUCAAACCAAAUCAUGGUUCAAUCAUUAAAAAUCAUCGUAAAUCAUCAUCAUCAUAAAUCAUCAUUAUUAUUGGUUUAUCGUUAGUUACAGUCACUGCUAUAACUCGUGACAUUGGUCAUAUCGACAAUUUCAUUCUCAUGAUCAUUGCUAACUAUUAUAACCCGUUAGCCAGGGCUUACACUAACUAUUAUUACCUGUUAGCCAGGGUCGUAUGAUCAUGUCUUUGCUAACUACUAUUACCCGUUAGCCAAAGUCGUAGAACUAAGUUCUAGUGUCGAUGAUCCCACUUCCAAGGGAUGUAAAAACGUAGCCAUCAUAAAAUCAUUCUUUAAAUAUAAAUUAUUUUCUCAUUUCAUUCAUAAGCAUGAUCCAUUAUUUAUAUAGAGAAACACAAAAUAAUCAUAUGUUUGAUCCUAUUUUCAUAUAUCGAAAAUAAAGAAAUAAAACAUUCUUUCAUUUAGAAACAUAUAUAUACAUAGAUUCGAAAACAAACAAAGUGUGUGAGAUUUUACUUACCUCCAUUUGAUUCCACCACUUAGUUUUUUCUCUAAAAUAAUUAAUGGCCUAUCUAAGAUCAUUUCAACAUAUCAGAAUUUAAUCAACUCUUUUUGAGACCAUUUAUACAAAAAUCAACUAAGUUACACAAUGGUUAACUUAACUAAUUAAUACUAGCAGCCUGACCUCUUUUCAUUAAAAUAGUCAUGUCUCAACAUAUCCAAAUCAUAAUUAUGAUCUCUUUAAUGCGUUAGAAACUAGACUUGAUAAGCUUUCUAACCAUAUAUAUGGCACACAUUGUAAUUCCUUGUAGAUUAAUUAUAACAAUUUUUUGAAAUCCACGUCAUAUACUGCUGCCAAACAGCCUGUAUGCCUUCUAAUAAAAAUUAUAUAUUUAUUCACAGGAAACUCCAAAUUCAAUUUCGCUUGUUUCAUUGGAAAGUAGACUCAAUAAGCUUUCCAAAAAUAUAUGGCUUAAUCUGUAAAUCCUUGUAUACAAAUUAAAAAGAAUUUCGUAAUUCAACCCUGAUGCUGUUGUCUCACAGCCUGCAUAUCCUUAAGUUAAAAUUAGAUAACUCUUUAUAGAAAACUCGGAUUUAACUUUCGUUUGUUUCAUUAAAAACUAGAUUCAACAUGCUUUCCAAUGAUAUAUAAUAAUCACAGCAAAAAUCUAUCCAUUAAUACAAAAUUCUAUUUUAAUUCAUUAUUACAGAUCACAACAUCUCAUCCAAAGAUAGAAUUUCUCCUUCAAUCUUUAAAAAACUCAAAUCCUUACUUUCAGCCUUCAAACUCCAUUCAAUAAUCAUCAAUAAAUCUUAAGAACAUGAAAUAAAUAAAGCUCAAUAAUUUACCCAAAUAAAUCAUCAAGAUUAAUGAAGGAUUUCGUGAUUUUUCUUGGUUUUUACUCUCAAAACUUCAACUCCAAAUAAUAGCAAUCAACUUGAUAUUUCUUUUUAAAUAAAAAGAGGGCAUGUACUCACUUUUAAGGGAUUAACUUGAUUGUAACUUCUGAUUGUGAAUCUGCAACUUAAUUUUUCAUAUUCUUUAAUUUUAAAGAAUAUGAGAAAAAAAAUUUAUUUUUUUUCUGUUUCAUGAUAGUUAGAUUUUUUUUUUAUCUAAUAUUUCAAUCUUUUUUUUAUUAAAUAAUAUCUUAAUAAAUUAAUGAAUUUUAAUAUUAAUCUAACUCAAUUAUUAUUUAAACUGAGGUAUUACAAAAUCAGGUUAAGACGUCGACUUAUACAAGGUCUUUUCCGAUAAGAUGAAAAACAAUUCCUGUCUUGAAAGGUAAAUCCCACUAAACAACACUUGUACGCUUGACAUGAAAAGUAGAGGCAAGCAGAGUCAAAGGCCAAGCCUCAACCAGCAAAGGGGGACAGCCAUGCCAAUCCAAGCAGAGCAACUAGAAGCCCACUCUACCUUUCUUUCUUUAUCUUAGACUUCGUUAUUCAAGGAGACCCAUGUGCAUUUCCUCUGUUCUGUGCUCUUGAACUCUUUCUUCCCUUGUGACUUUAGUUGAAGUAUAGGUCGUCGAUUCAAUCUAUCUUGAUGGGAUUUUUGCUUUUGUUAAGUGGUAUAGAAGGGAUUCCUCUAGUAAGUAGCGACAAGAGGCUACAUCAAUAGCUGAAACUUGUUUUUGGGUAGGGUAGGCUCGGAGUCAGAAGUCCUCUCUUUCCCAACCAAAUAAGCAUUUUUGGAAAGUUCAUCUUCCCGCGGUCAAAACUAAACAACACUUGCGGAUAACAAUCAGAUCUUACACGGGACAGGGACCAUACUAGAAAACCUAAUUAAAAAGAAUUCGGCUCAAUUCACAUCUAUGAGCGAUGAUUCCUCUUUCUCUUGCUCGCUUCGAUCGGACUCUGACAGCUUAGGGAAGAAUGAAGGGUCGCUAACAAGGCCCCUAAAUGACUGCUCAGAAGGCCUACCUAUUUUUUUUCCUAAUUCUUUUCUUUCUACUAAUUCUUACAAAAUAAAUUUGUAGGAAGUAAACGAAGUCUUUCCUUCCGAAAGAAACUCCUGAAGUCACGUCUUUCAGUAAUGGGACUGAAGUCAAGUACUUUCCAGUUGCUCUCUGCCCAAAGUCCUCCUUCCAACUUAAACAACUAUAAAUAGCUUUAGCAUCUCUUGAUAAGAAAACAUCUUUCUAGAGCUAAGGGGAAGGUUUGGAACCCUAGUAGCAGAAUGGAAUCAGUUUACCGGGCUGACUUCCAUGCCAACACGAGUAGUUUAACUCAUCACUACCUCAUAAGGGCGUUGAGAAUUGUUUUUGCUUUCUUGUUCAAAUUCUUAAAAAAGUCAACAAAUAGCCCUUGCAUAGUUUACGAAUUCUGCUUAGUAGGGACCUAAACACAGGAAUGGUUUUUCUCAAAGUCAGACCACGCCUUAUGACAAAAGGGGGAGAAAGGACGGGUCACCUGUCGAUCUAUGAUCAAACAAAACUCUACCUGAAGAAUGGGAUACAGAUUGACCAGCACAAAAGCCAUCUCUAUCAAUCUACGCUCAUUGAUGAGACGGCGACAUAGAGAAGAAAGUAUACCGUUUGUCACCCCCCUUGUCACUUAAAAGUAAAGAAGAGAUACAAAGGAAUCCAAAUUUUGUGGGAUCGAGGAUGGAAUCGAAUAGCGAAUGCACUUGCGGUUAAGACAGGUCCUGCAUCUCCUACCUAAUGCAAUUGACCGACCCGGCAUCUCUUUCGUUCAAUAAUGCCUUUGCUUCAAGACGCUAUUUACCAGGCCUUUUUGAAUUGAAAAAGCCGAAGGGGCGAACGAGCGCUGCGGUAACGAGCCGUAAGAAAGAUGAGCAGAGCAUUCCUUCCACCGGCCCUUAUAGGAGUAGGGGGCGUGGUGAGAUAGAUAGACGUCCAAUCUUGCAGCAGCUAGUUGCUCGGCCUUAGUCUUGGGCUGAUCUCAUACUUCAAUCAACCCCUUCGUACUUCGAUCCAAUCAAUCGAUCGAUCAAGAGGCUAAUCUCUUUUGUUUAGGUCGGUAACUAAAAAAAAAAAGAAAAGAAAGUCCUCACUUUCUCUUGAACAAGAGAAGGGCAGCAUAGCAUUAGCUUCAAUUGAACAAGCUCAACCUUGAAAAAAAAAAAAAGCAGUAGGUCGAAGAAUUGUUGAACGCUUCAACUUGGCCACUGAAAGGUGAAAGCUGGGCGAGAGACUAGGCCAAGUUACUUCUUACUGCCAUGCCAUGGUUGUUGCUUUAGGCUCCAUAGACGGAAUUAUGUAUUAGGUAUUAGGAAGGGGAGGAGAGAAAGAAUGCAUGCAUGGAGUUCUGUCUCUCGGAGGUUCGAGAAUCUAUGAAAGGACAUCUAAGACUAAGAAAGAAUGAAAGGAAGUCCAUUACUGAGAGAAGUGGUGAUCUCGUCUUGCUUGCUGGGAGAAAGGAAGCUUCCGGACCACCUUUUCCAGCCAGAUAGCGAGCGAUCACUCAGCAAUGAACACUAACUGAAAGCGGCCGGGAAUGAGUACCUAUCCCUUACGGGAAUCGAACCCGUGUCUUCGACAUGAAAAGACGAUGUCCUAACCACUGGACGAAAGGGACCAAAAAGCCAUUCUUCAUAUACCUCAGCUCCGACAAUAGAAGUGGUUCGUUUUGUUUCUAUACGCAAUUCAAGAUUUCGUUUGUGUUCAUGUUGGCGAUUUCUUAUGUGAAUUUUGGCUGGUCGUCCCCCCUUCCUAUGGGUUCCCCACCGACCCAGUAACACACCAACCAUGCCCCUUCCCUUUCUUCGAUCGUAAAGCCCCCUGAUCCAUUUCUUUAUCUUUCAUCCCCCCUGAACAGAAUAAGUACGGCCCUAAAAAAAAAAAAGAAAAAAAGGGGCAAAACGCCAAUUUAAAGUGGCGAAGGUCUAUGCUAAAAUAAGGCCCUAGAAAAAAAAAAAGAAAAAAAGGGGCGAAACGCCCGUUUAAAGUGGCGAAGGCCUAUGCUAAAAUAAGAAAGAAAGUACGUUAAGGUUACGAAGUCACUUAGUUGAACUAUAAAGAAAGAGAGGCUAAGCUUACUUCGUAAGGUCAACUGGUUAAGGAAAGCUCAAAUUAUGAAAUCGUUUAGCCGUUAAUUAAUGUUGUAAUAGUAAAGCAUCAGUACGGAGUUGCGUCAGCUGUAGAUAUAGACUAGGCUAAGGGAUAGAGCCUGGAACUGUGGACUGGGACUACGCAAAAGGUAGAACACCAUAGAAACUUCGCUUAUUUCUCAUAAACCUUGAUUUCGCUACGAAAAAUAAGAACCCGAAAUAGCUCCAAUCGAUUCGUGUUUCGCUUUCAAAGUAAGUUGUCUUUGCCCAACUGUGAAUUGCAGACAAGUCUCCAGUGGUUCCAUUCCUUCUUACUUGAUUUUUGGGUCAACCCAACCUGAAUGGGAAUAAGAGGGUCAGCCAAACAGUGGUCCACUUUGUACAUUUUUUGAGACAGGUUUAGAAAAGGGAAGAGCCAAAGGAGACAGCAGGAAUGAAGGCAGGAAAAGCUACCGCUUCUAGAAUGCAAAGCUUAUCCUUGACUUUUUUUAUAGCUCUAAAAAAAGUUUUUUGGAUGAAGUAAUUGGAGUGACAAAUGGUUACGAUUGCAAAAACCAGAGAAAGUCGGGAACCGUCGGUUACCUUUUGAAUCAAAGUAGCGACGAGCCGAGUACUACGACUACAGGGGGGGCAAAGCUUCUACGACAGCUUCGCUUCCUCGUCGCUUCUUUCUGGCGACUAGCUUCUCAAGUGGGUGGCUUGGUAAGCAAGCUACCUUCAGCAUCGGUCAAAUCCCUAUCAAUAAUAGGCCGGAAUGGUGGGGAAGGAGGCCCCCCCUACUUCAAUGGAAAGGGGGGAAUCGCCGUUUCACAGCCGCUCCUCUACAACUACCUUUCGCCUAACAUGAUCACGAACGAAGACAGAGAAUUGCGUAGAUAGGAGGACGAAACGAACCAACCCACUUGUCCUGAUCGGAACGAUUGAAGAAAGAAAGAGAAUGGUGGCCCCUUUCGCCCAGGGGCCAUCGUCGGAGAACAAUGUCGGGGACAGGGCGAGAACCUUCCGUUGGUUACGCCCUUGUUGGGUUGGUUCUUCCAUAUUUAGAUAUGGAGAUAGAUCCAGAUAGAGAUCUAUAUCUUUCUAUUUAUCGAUAGAAAGAACUAUUGAAAAAUGGAUAUUGAUCUGGUUUCAAGAUCUAUAAACAAGAGAGAUCCCCAAAUAUCCAUUUGAAAAAAGAGAUGAAUAGAUAGGGCGGAGCCAGCUGAAGGAAGGUCGCGUUAGCGCCCCCGCAAUCUUUCUAAAGCAACAAGCGAGAAACUUGACAUUGAGAAAGAAGCGCCAACUAUUCUAAUAUUAGUAAAGGCGCGUUAGCCUAUCUAUAGGUUGGGGCCUUUUCUUGCUCGUUAGCGACCCCUUACCCCUAUUCUAAACGUUUAGUCAUAAAGGAACUCAAGGAAAGCCUUUUGACAACCUUACUAAUAGAAAGGGAAAAGAUGCGCUCAAGCAUGCGAAGAAAGCUCUUCGAGCUUCCCAACUAUUAUGGAAAGGUUUGUAGAAAGGGGCUUCUUAAAAUAUCCCAUAAAGAAAGUAGGGGCUUCAAAGCUUGUAGUUUAAGGGUGCGCAGGUAUAGAAUCCUAUACAAACAAGGGGCUACCGUGUAAUGGCUUUCUUUGAUAGGGGCUCGCUUCUUCAAGUGGAGUGUCAUGGACUAAGCUUUCUCUCAACAAGCAAUAGACCGUGCGGCACUUGAAUGGGUGCUUCCAACCAAGUCAGCCUUCAAUAGAUCGAUAUCUGAACAAAUAACCAUAAGCCAUGGUUAGUCCCAAGCAUUCACAAUAAGACACAAUAUAUCGAGAUCAAUCUCAAGCACACACACAAUAAGGCAUAUUCGCAUCGAGAAAAAUAAAAAAAAGCACAUCGAGGCAAUAAUCGAGACAUUCAAUCGGGGUGAGUUUUAUUAUACUCGGGAAUCAUACAUCGGGACCUCCCACCAUCACCAGGGCCAGGGGGGUAGCCCUUGGUGGGUGGCCUAAGCUCGCAUAGCAACCAGUAAGACAACCUAACACUACGCUGUCGGCUCACCCCCCUAAAGAGCCUUAGAGAUUUUAGAGCUAUGCUACUAGUAACCAUUACAAUGUUUGAAAUGGGGACACUUUUUCUAACACAAGGGAUCUACCCGACCAUGGCCCUAUACAUGGGUGGCUCAUGGCAACCUAAGUCCCAGUCAUGGCCCUAUUCAAGGUUGGCUCAUGACAUCCUCUCCCACCUAUUCUAUCGACGUCCUCGUCGACUUGCUGGCUUGAAAUUCUUUGAUCUUCCUUUGAAAUCUCUAGAGGUCGUGUUCUCUCUCCCAACUGGUUUCUUCUAGUCCUAAUCCCUCUCACUUCACUAAGUACUCCCGAACUAGUCUUUGAGACAUCUUGGUUUCCCUGUUAGCUAAGAUCUCUUCGACUCGACGCUCUGAAGGUGGCUUCAUGGUGAUGGCGGCUCUGGUUGGCUCCUUUCGGCUAGCAUCUGUAGGAUCUGCAUGAAAAGGUUUUAGGUUGCUCACAUGAAAUACUGGGUGCACCUUCAUCCACUUUGGUGGGUCGAUUUUAUAAGAAACAUUCCCCACCUUGGAAAGGACCCUUACUGGACCUUCAUAUUUGCGCACCAGUCUACGAUCUCUCUUUCUCAAGAACCUGGUUUGUUCAGGAACUAGUCGGACAAGAACCAAAUCACCAACUUAAAAUUGUUGAGCCCUACGACCCUUGUCUGCCCAUUUCUUCAUCCGCUUUGAUGCUUUCUCCAGGUAGGCUUGUGCAAUCUCUAUGUUUUGUUUCCACUCCUUGUUGAGAUUGAAGGCUCUCGGAUUUUUUCCUCCAUAUUAUUCCAAGGAAGUGUGGGGUAGCCUUGGUAAUUAUCCGGUGACCACCUCAAAUGGGCUCUUAUUGGUGGAAGAGCUUUUGUUGAAAUUAAAGCAGAGUUGAGCCACGUCCAAUAAUGAAGGCCAGUCUUUUUGAUUGGCUUGAACAAAGUACCUCAAGUAUUCCUCUAAUAAUUCGUUGAACCGUUUCGUCUGACCAUCGAUUUGAGGGUGAUAGCUUGAGGAGAUGUUGAGUUGAGACCCCAAUAUCUUGAAAAGUUCUCUCCAGAAAGAUUUCGUGAAUCUAAGAUCUCCAUCGCUGAUAAUAUUUUUAGGGAGGCCCCAGUAUUCGACCACAUGUUUGAACAAUAGUCGAGCUGUGUCUUUCGCUGUGUAAUACUUAUGAGCGGGAAUGAAUGUGGCAUACAUAGAGAACCGGUCAAUUACCACCAAAAUAGCUCCAAGGUCACCAACCUUGGGUUAGGCUCGAAAUAAAAUCGAGAGAGAUGCUUUCCUACGUUUUGGCGGGUACAAGUAGUGGUUCUAGCAUGCUUGCAGGUUUCCUCCUCUCAACCUUGUCUUGUUGGCAAAUGAGGCAAGUCUUCGUAUAGUCUAUCACAUCUUGUCACAUGUGAGGUCAAUAGUAUCCCUAUUUCAAUAACGCCAAAGUGCGUUGUCGGCCCGAGAGUCCCGCCCAUGGUGUGUCAUGACAUUCCCUCAUCAGCAUCUGUCUCAGACCUUCUGCUCUUGGCACAAACACUCAAGGCCCCUUGAUCCAUAAGACCUCAUUUUCUUGCGAGAAGUACUUGGACUUCCCUUCUUCCACUAGCUUUAGGAUGGCACAAGCUUGCGGGUCCUUCCCUAACUGAUCUCCAAUCAACUUGUGAAUGUCUGUAGUGGCCCUGUUAGCCGCCAUUGGGGCAAUUCUACUAAGGGUCGCUAAAUCUGCUCGUCUGCUCAGUGCAUCGACCACUUGAUUGGUUUUUUUAACGGUGUGCUCAAAACAAAAGUCGAACUCUGUUAAAAAUUCUUGCCACCUAGCUUGUUUUACCGUAAGCCUUGGUUGAGUGAGAAAAUGGCUAACAGUUGCAUUAUCUGUCUUCAUGACAAAGUGGGAACCCAAUAAGUAAUGUCGCCAAGCCUUCAAGCAAUGAACCACUGUCAGGAGUUCUUUUUUCUGGGCCGUAUAUUUCUUUUCAACUUCACUUAGCUUCCUACUUUCAAAUGCUACCGGGUGAUGUUGUUACAAAAGCACUCUUCUAAUUGUAAAAUCAGAUGCAUCCGUCUGAACUUCGAAAGGCUUUUCAAUAUUAGGGAGAGCUAAGAUGGGAUCCUUCAUAAUAGCAUCCUUCAAUCCCUCAAAGGCCUCUUGGCACUCACUCGUCCAACACCAUUUAUGCUCCUUCUUAAAUAGCUCCAUGAGGGCCGUGCUCUUACGAGAGUACCCUUCCAUAAACCUUCUAUAAUAGUUGGCUAGUCCCAAAAAUGAACGGAGCUCACUAACAUUCUUCGAUGUUAUCCACUCCUUGAUGGCCCUAACUUUUUCCAUGUCCAUUCGAAUAUGGCCACGUUCGAUAAUGUGACCGAAAAAAUGGAUUUGGGUUUGAACAAAUGCACACUUCUCCCUUUUUAAGUAUAACUGGUGGUCUUGUAAUCUUUGAAGUACCCGACGUAGGUGUUCUUGAUGUUCUUCUAAGGUAUAGCUAUAUACCACUAUAUCGUCUAAAUAGAUGACUACAAAUUUGUCUAGGUAGUCAUGGAACACCUGAUUCAUCAAUGUAUAAAAUGUGAUAGGAGCAUUGGUCAGUCCAAAAAGCAUAACAAGAAAUUCAAAUGCACCAUACCGUGUCACACAAGUGGUCUUUGGCUCAUCUUCCUCAACGAUUCUGACCUGAUGGUAGCCAGAUCUCAGGUCUAAUUUGGAGAAGUACUUGGCUCAAUUCAAUUGAUCAACCAAGUCUGCUAUAAGGGGGAUGGGAUAUUUAUUUCUUACGGUGACUUUGUUCAGGGCCUUAUUAGUCAACACGUAAUCGUAAGCUUUCAUCAUGCUUCUUCUGAAAUAGCACUAGUACUCCGAAAAGAGCCUUUGAUGGUCUGAUAAACCCAGCUUGUAACAGCUCAUCUAACUGUUUUCUUAGUUCUACCAACUCUGACGGAGCCAUGGGGUAAGGAGCUCUAGCAGAGGGUUUCGCUCCUGAGAAGAGCUCAAUUUCAUGGUCCACUACUCGUCGAGAGGGUAGAACCUUAGGCAAUAUCUCUGGCAUCACCUCUUCGAAUUCUUCCAACACUUUUUCCACACCAUCAGGUAUUGGUUCUACUUUCGACCCUUCUUUGUAGAUCGACACAGCCACAAAGAAAAGUUCCUCUCUCUUUACCCCUUUCUUGAACUGUAAAGCUGAAAUCAUUUUUUUCCCACUCUUUGGUAAGAUGUUGGCUGGCACCACACAUGGGUGUUCCCUUAAAAACAACAAGCAGCUCGCGACGGGGAUAGGGAUGACCUGAGCCAACAUCGUGAAGUUCAAUCCGAAAACAACAUCAAAGUCAUCCAUGGGGGAAACUGUGAAGUUUACCUUUCCUUCCCAUGGCCCCAAUCGGGUUGUCACACUCUUGGAGCUUUCACUGAUCGCAAAGGCUGGCGAAUUGACCGUCUUCAUUCGUCCACAGUCUUUACUAAUCUGAAGGCCACACCUUUUUACUUCUUCUGAUGUGAUGAAGGUGUCAGUUGCACCCGUAUCCAUCAUGGCCUUAGUGGCUUUCUCAUUGAUCGUCAAGUUCACAUAUGCCUCUACUCUGCUCUUUCUUUAUAGUGUUUAAUUGGGUGCGGAGGGCAUUGAGAAACCUUAUUAAACCCAUCCUGGCUGGUUCUUCUUCAACUUUUUCAACGUUUUCUGGCACUUUUGCAGACUCUUGAGAUGAGGUCGUUAAAGCAUUAAGGGCUCCCCUGUGUGGGCAUUCAGCCACCCGAUGUGGCCUUUUGCAAAGAAAGUAAGCUAACGGUUGCCUAGGCUUAAAAAUUCCUGCGUAGCUUGUCUUGGGUUGGGUGCUAUCUCGACUAAAAGACCUCCUGUCUAAUCCCCCACUGAAGGGUCGGACCAACCUAGUCAUCUUUUUCCCACUCCAAAAUUGAAGCUACUGCCAGCUGAUGGAGGAGUUUUUCAUUUUAAGGAGCCAUCAUUGUAAUCGUGGAAACGUUCAGCUGCAGCUAUGGCCGUGGCCAUGUCUUGUAUUUUCUGUCUUUGUAAUUCUAUCCUUGCCCAAGGCUUGAGGCCCUCAAGAAAAUAGAACAUCUUGUCCUUUUCGGACAUGUCUCGAAUAUCUAACAUCAGGGUAAAAAAGCUUUUUACAAACUCUCGCACUGUUCCUGUUUGCACUAGUUCUCGAAGUCUCAUUCGAGCCAUAUACUCUACAUUUUCAAGGAAAAAUUAGUUUUUCUAGUCUCGUUUCAAAUCCAUCGAAGUCUUAAUUGGGCACUCAUCAUUGAUAAACUUAGAACGCCACCACAGCUUGGCAUCCCCUGCGAGGUACAUCGACGCCAUUGCUACCUUGUCUUUCUCUGAAUCUGUGUGUAUAGCUUGAAAGUACUGCUCCAUGUCAAACAAGAAAUUUUCAAGUUCUUUGGCAUCUCUUGCCCCCUCAUAACAUCGAGGCUCCGACACCUUGGGCCUUUUUCCUCUUUCCAUCGAGUUUGAAUCCGAUCUGGCCACAACCAUUUGUAGGAUGCUCACCUGUGCUCUGAGCUCCUCAAACUCCUUUUGGAGAAUGUUCAAGGCAUCUCUAGCCUUUUCGCUCACGUUGUGGAGAGUAUCGGACAACUCUCGCUGGGUUGUCUCGAUCUCCCUCACUCGAUCUUUAGUCGCCAUAUGAGUUUUCAUUGCGGCCACCGCGACCUCAGUUCCUUUUGUUAAUGAUUGGGUCUACCACUUGUGGUCAUUUCAUUCAUUUUUCUAGCACUUCUCAACCGUGCUCUGAUACCACGUAUCACAGACUAAGCUUUCUCUCAACAAGCAAUAGACCGUGCGACACUUGAAUGGGUGCUCCCAACCAAGUCAGCCUUCAAUAGAUCGAUAUCUGAACAAAUAACCAUAAGCCAUGGUUAGUCUCAAGCAUUUACAAUAAGACACAAUAUAUCGAGAUCAAUAUCAAGCACACACAUAAGAAGGCAUAUUCGCAUCGAGAAAAAUAAAAAAAAGCACAUCGAGGCAACAAUCAAGACAUUCAAUCAGGGUGAGUUUUAUUAUACUCGAGAAUCAUACAUCGAAACCUUUCACUAUCACUAGGGUCAGGGGGUAGCCCUUGGUGGGUGGCUUAAGCUCGCAUAGCAACCGGUGAGACAGCCCAACAUUACGCUGUCGGCUCACCCCUCCUAAAGAAUCUUAGAGAUUUUAGAGCUAUGCUACCAGUAACCAUUACAAUGUUUGAAAUGGGGACACUUUUCUUAACACAAGGGAUCUACCCGACCAUUGCCCUAUACAUGGGUGGCUCAUGGUAACCUAAGUCCUGGUCAUGGCCUUAUACAAGAUUGGCUCAUGACACGGAGCUUGCUGCUUGUUAAAGUCAUAGUUGGCUGUCUACUAAACGAGCCUUCACUGCUUGGUCGACCCUUAUCUUUAAUCUUAAGUAAAGUGAAGUCAAAUCAAUGAAGUAAACAACCCAACCUCUUUGUUUGAAGCUUUUCUAUGAAGUUUCUACUUGUUGAAGCUUUUUUUCCCAAAACACAACAAUAGACUCGCGUAUAGGAAAAAACUUCUCUUUGAUAGCGGUCAUAGGGGGGUUCAGAAAGGAUCUGAUCGUAGAUAGAGACUGAAACCUGUGUGGGGGUAGGGGCGGAUGUAGCCAAGUGGAUCAAGGCAGUGGAUUGUGAAUCCACCACGCGCGGGUUCAAUCCCCGUCGUUCGCCCAUCAAUAAAUGGACCAUUUGUUACGGAGACACAAGACAAACCUAGAAAGAAUUUUUUCUGCAAGUAAUCUCGAGGCUUUCAAACGCAUCUAAGCAAUUGGUAUCCGAUUGAAACAUAAAAACCAUAGAUUCGCGUCGCCUACUUACUGAAAGCAUAAAUGGAAUGGCUGAUCAUUUAUUGUAUGAAGUUUUUAAGACCUCAUUAAUCAGCCAACAACUUUUGAGUCAUAAUGAUUGAAAUGAACCCCCAGAUGAACAGAAAAUCUCAUUUCUCUUUUACUAAACCAUCGGAAGUCCCAAGUAGUUUACCAGGCAAAUUUAGUUGUCGUGAUAAUACCUUUCAAUGUGAAAGAUUGAAAAAAACUUAUCUUCAUCACGAGACUGAUCGGAUCCAUCGUAGAUACCCAAGAAACCCUCAUAAGGCAGGCUAAAAGAGUAAGAGGACAACAAGCAAAGAGUUAUGCUUUCAUUUCUUUGUUGAGAUUGAAAGAAAGUUAUUUGAAAAAGGGGUAGGUAUAAUGCACGCAGGCCAAGUCAAGAAAAGGACUUCCUUACUUUUAUUUCAUAGUAGUCUUAAUGACUAGUAGUUUGAAGCCUUUUUAAAGCGGUUUUUUUAGGCACUCGAUUCUUUUGUCUUAAGUCAAGUUCAGUUUACUUUUUGAUUUAGAGCUCUUAGUUGAGCUCAUGGCAAGAUUGAUUUUUUGUUCAAGGUUCAAGAGACAAGAGAGAAACCACCUCCCAAUGAUGUUUUUAUGAAAGUACGAUCAUCGGUGGUGAAUACCUUCUCGACACUACAUAACCUAAAAUCCACUUUCAAUCGCUCUUUUUAUUUUUUUGAGAGGAAUUAUUUUCAUAUCCUCGACUUUUUGAAUGCAAAAAGUGCCCUAUUUACCUUGUUGAGAUAGGGGGCAAUGCCAAUUAUUUAUUUUUAAGUCAAGCUCCGUAUCCCUCUCUUUUUAGGUUGGCAUAACAAAGAAAGAGAGUGCCAAGAAACAACACAUACCCAUCACUUUUGGUUGGAAGGUUUGGGAUCGUCUGGGAGCUCUUUUGUUGUAAGUCCAAAGUUCUGCCGCUUGAAUUCACAGGUUCAUUCAUUUACCAGCACUAGUUCGUACCUUAGCAAGCAAGCUACCGUGACCUCCGGUCUACAAGCACCUCUGGUUUUAAGCACCCCCGAUCUCCAGGCUUAAGGCAACAGGGAGACAAGCUUCAAAGCCAUACUUGCACACGACACUUGCUCGUUUCUUUCUGAUUUGGUGCUUUUAGUCUUGUCAAAAUUUUUUUUUCACUUUUUUAGUUUGUGUAAGCCUUUAAAGCAAGUGAAAAUAGAGAGCGUUUUUCACUGAUUUGAUUGGUGGAUCGGUUUGGUUCUUGCUUUAGUUUUUUUCUUGAGCACUUGACCAUGGGAUGGUUGAGUGCCCUAUUAGAGAAGGUCAAUGGAUAGACCUAAUAUCUAUCAGUACUUACGAUCUAAAGAGUACCUAGGGAACAAUUAAGGCCUCUACAUUGAGGGAAAACAUGCUCUACGUAAAAAAAUAAAAAGAGAAGUUCACUUUUGCAUAACCUUUGUUUUCUUUUCCUUGGGCAUUGGAACAAUCACAAGUGCAAGAAAUAACUGGUUGAUAGUUGAAGAUCUCUGACCAUAUGGUCUUAAGUUGAGUAUAGUACUCAACAACAGUCAUAUCCCCCUGACUAUGAUUUGGGACUAAUUAUUCUAGCUGGAAUAUCUUAGCUUCAUUUCCUAUGGAAAAAAGAUCAUGGAGAUAAAGGACCAUACCUGUUUUACCGAUGCCAUAAACAUAAGACUGGUAGCAAUUGUAGGCUUAAUUACAUUGAGAAGCCAUGACAUGACCAGUUUCUUUAUGGCACUCCAAUCAGCCAUCUUGGUCUCACUUAUAUUGGUGAUCAGAGAUAGAAUGACAGUGUCACGGACUAAACUUUUUUUCAAUAAGCAAUAGAUCAUGUGGCACUUGAAUGGGCGCUUCUACCCAAGUCAGCCAUCAACAGUUCGAUAUCUGAACAAAUAAUCAUAAGCCAUGGUUAGUCCCAAGCAUUCAUAAUAAGAUACAUUAUAUCGAGAUCAAUCUCAAGCACACACAAGAAGGCACAUUCACAUCGAGAAAAAGAAAAACACAUCGAGAUAACAUUCGAGACAUUCAAUCGGGAUGAAUUUUAUUAUAAUUGAUAAUCAUACAUCAAGAUUUUCCACCAUUACUAGGGCUAGGAGGUAGCCCUUGGUAGAUGGUCUAGGCCCGUAUAGAAACCGAUGAGACAGCCUAACAGUACGCUGUCGGCUCACCCCCUAAAGAGCCUUAAAAAUUUUAGAGCUAUGCUACCACUAAUCAUUACAAUGUUUGAAAUGAGGAUAUUUUUUCUAGCACAAGAGAUCUACCUGAUCAUGGCCUUAUACAUGGGUGGCUCAUGACAACCUAAGCUCCGAUCAUGGCCCUAUACAAGGUUGGCUCAUGACAUCCUCCCCCACCUAUUCUAUCGACGUCCUCGUCGACUUGCUGGCUUGAAAUUCUUCAAUCUUUAUUUUGAAUCUCUGAAGGUUGUGUUCUCUUUUUCAGCUGGUUUUUUCUAGUCCUAAUCCCUUUCACUUCACUAAGUAUUCUUGAAUCAAUCUUCAAGAUAUCUUGGUUUCCCUAUUGGUUAAGAUCUAUUCGACUCGAUGCUAUGAGGGUGGCUUCAUGGUGAUGGUGGCUCUAGUUGACUCCUUUCGGCUAGCAUCUGUAAGAUCUGCAUGGAAAGAUUUUAGGUUGCUCACAUAAAAUACUGGGUGCACCUUCAUCCAUUUUGGUGGGUCAAUUUUGUAAGAAGCAUUCCCCACUUUAGAAAAGAUCUUCAUUGGACCUUUAUAUUUAUGCACCAGUCUACGAUCUCUCUUUCUCAAGAACCUGGUUUGUUUAGGGACUAGUCGAACAAGAACCAAAUCACCAACUUAGAAUUGUUGAAUCCUGCGACCUUUGUCCGCCUAUUUUUUCAUUCGCUUUGAUACUUUCUCCAGGUAGGUUUAUGCAAUCUUCGUGUUUUAUUUCCACUCCUUAUCGAGGUUGAAGGCUCUCGAAUUCUUCCCUCCAUAUUAUUUUAAGAAAGUGUGGGAUAGCCUUGGUAAUUGUCCAGUGACCACCUCAUAUGGGCUUUUGUUGGUAAAAGAGCUUUUGUUGGAAUCAAAGCAGAGUUGAGCAACGUCCAAUAAUGAAGGCCAGUUUUUCUGAUUGGCUUGAACAAAAUACCUUAAGUAUUCCUCUAGUAAUCCAUUGAAUUGUUUCAUUUGACCAUCGGUUUGAGGGUGGUAGCUUGAGGAGAUGUUGAGUUGAAACCUCAAUAUCUUGAAAAAUUCUCUCCAAAAGGACCCCAUGAAUCUCGAGUCUUUAUCGCUGACAAUGUUUUGAGGGAAGCCCCAGUAUUUGACCACAUGUUUAAACAAUAGUCGAGCUGUGUCUUUCGCUAUACAAUACUUAUGAGCGGGAAUGAAUGUGGCUACUUAGAAAAUCGAUCAAUCACCAGUAAAAUAGCUCCAAGAUCACCAACCUUGAGUAGGCUCAAAAUGAAAGCGAGAAAGAUACUUUCCCACAGUCUGGUGGGUACUGAUAGUGGUUCAAGCAUGCCUGCAGGUUUUCUCUUUUCAACUUUAUCUUGUUGGUAAAUGAGGCAAGUCUUUGUAUAGUUUAUCACAUCUUAUCGCAUGUGAGGCCAAUAGUAUCCCUGUUUCAAUAACUCCAAAGUGUGUUGGCAGCCCGGAUGUCCGACUCAUGGUGUGUCAUGGUAUUCCCUCAUCAGUAUCUAUCUCAGACCUCCUACUUUUGGCACAAACAAUCGAGAUCCCUUGGUCUAUAAGAUCCCAUUUUCUUGCCAGAAGUACUUGAACUUCCCCUCUUCCACUAGCUUCAGGAUGGCACUGACCUAUGAGUCCUUCCUUAGAUGAUCUUCAAUUAACUAACGAAUGUUUGUCGUGGCUCUGCUAGUCGUCAUUGGGGUAAUUCUUCUAAGAGCCUCUAACUCUAUUCGUCUGCUCAAUGCAUUGGCCAUUUGAUUGGUCUUUCUAGUGGUGUGCUCAAAACAAAAGUCAAACUCCGUUAAAAAUUCUUACCAUCUAGCUUGUUUUGCUGUAAGCCUUGAUUGGGUAAGGAAAUGGCUAACGACCGCAUUGUCUAUCUUUACGACAAAGUGUGAACCCAACAAAUAAUGUCACCAAGCCCUCAAGCAGUGAACUCUCGCUAGGAGCUCUUUUUUUUGGGUCGUAUAUUUCCUCUCAGCUUCGCUUAGCUUCCUACUUUCAAAUGCUAUCGAGUGAUGUUAUUGUAAAAGCAUUCCUUCAAUAGUAAAAUCAGAUGCAUCCAUCUGAACUUUAAAAGGCUUUUCAAUAUUAGGGAGAGCUAAAAUGGGAUCUUUCAUAAUAGCAUUCUUCAAUCCUUCAAAGGCCUCUUGGCAUUCACUCGUCCAACACCAUUUAUGCUCAUUCUUCAAUAGCUUCGUGAUGGCAUGGUCUUACGAGAGUACCCUUCCAUAAACUUUCUAUAAUAGUUGGUUAGUCCUAAAAAUGAGCAAAGUUCACUAACAUUCUUCGGUGUUGUCCACUCUUUGAUGGCCCUAACCUUUUUCAUGUCCAUUCGAAUGUGACCACGUUCGAUAAUGUGAUCGAGAAAAUGGAUUUGGGUAUGAGCAAAUGCAUACUUCUCCCUUUUCACGUAUAACUGGUGGUUUUGUAACCUUCGAAGCACCUAGCGCAGGUGUUCUUGAUGUUCUUCUAGAGUGGAGCUAUAUACCAUUAUGUUGUCUAAAUAGAUGACUAUAAAUUUAUCUAAGUAGUCAUGGAACACCUGAUUCAUCAAUGUAUAAAAUGUGACAGGAGUAUUGGUCAGUCCAAAGGGUAUAACAAAAAAUUCAAAUGCACCAUACCAUGUUACACAAGUGGUCUUUGGCUCAUCUCGCUCUACAAUUCUGACCUGAUGGUAGCUAGAUCUCAAGUCCAAUUUGGAGAAGUACUUGGCCUGGCUCAAUUGAUUAAACAAAUUUGUUAUAAGAGGGAUGUGAUAUUUGUUCCUUACGGUGACUUUGUUUAGGGCCCUAUAGUCAACACAUAAUCAUAAACUUUCAUUAUGCUUCUUCUGAAAUAGCACUGGCACUCCGAAAAGAGUCUUUGAUGGUCUAAUGAACCUGACUUGUAGAAGCUCAUCUAACUGUUUCUUUAGUUCGACCAACUUUAGUGGGGCCAUGAGGUAAGGGGCUCUAGCAGAGGGUUUUAUUUUUAGGAGGAGCUUAAUUUCAUGGUCCACUGCUCAUCGAGGGGGUAAAACUUUAGGCAACAUCUCUGGCAUCACCUCUUCGAAUUUUCCUAACACUUUUUUCAUGCCAUCGGGUAUCGGUUCCACUCUCGACCCUUCUUUGUAGAUUGGCAUGGUCACAAAGGAGGGUUCCCCUCUCUUUACCCUUUUCUUAAACUGUAAAGCUGAAAUCAUUUUCUUUCCACUCUUUGGCAAGAUAUUGGCUGGCACCACACAUAGGUAUUCUCCUAAGAAUAACAAGCAGCUAGCGACAGGGAUAAGGAUCACCUGAGCUAAUAUCAUGAAGUCCAAUCCGAAGAUGACAUUAAAGUCAUCCAUUGGGGAAAUUAUAAAGUCUACCUUUCUUUUUUAUGGCCCCAAUUUGGUUGUCAUACUCUUAGAGCUUCCACUGAUCACAAAGGCUGAUGAAUUGACCGGUUUCAUUCAUCCACAGUCUUUGCUAACCUGGAAAUCACACAUUUUUACUUCUUCUAGUGUGAUGAAAGUAUCGGUUGCACCCGUAUCUACCAUGACCUUGGUGGCCUUCUCAUUGAUCAUUAAGUUCACAUAUAUCAGGCCUCUACCCUGCUCUUUCUUUAUUGUGUUCAGUUGGGUGUGAAGGGCAUUGAGGAACUUUAUUGAACCCAUCCUGGCUGGUUCUUCUUCAACUUCUUUAACGCUCGUUGGCACUUUUGUGGACUCUUGAGACGAGGCUUUUAAGGCAUUAACGACUCCUCUAUGUGGGCAUUCGGCCACCCAAUGCGGCCUCUUGCAAAGAAAUCAAGCUAGUGGUUGCCUAGACUUGAAAGUCACUGCGUUGUUUGUCUUGGGUUGGGUGCUAUCUCGAUCAAAGGACCUCUUAUCUGAUCCAUCGCUAAAGGGCCAAUCCAACCUAGUCAUUUUUCCCCCACUCUCAAAGUUGAAGCUACUACCAGCUGAUGGAAGAUUUUUUCAUUUUGAGGAGCAAUCAUUAUAAUCGUGGAGACGUUUAGCUACAGCCAUGGCCGUGGCCAUGUCUUGCACUUUUUAUCUUUGUAGUUCUAUCCUGGCCCAAGGCUUGAGGCCUUUAAGAAAAUAAAACAUCUUGUCUUUUUCGGACAUGUCUCAAAUAUCCAACAUCAGGGUAAAAAAGCUCCUUACAAACUCUCGCACUGUUUCUAUUUGUACCAAUUCUUAAAAUCUUCUUCGAGCCAUAUAUUCCACAUUCUCAGGGAAAAACUAGUUUUUCAGUUCUUGUUUCAAGUCUGUCCAAGUCUUAAUCGGGCACUCAUCAUUGAUAAACUUGGAGCACCACCAUAGCUUGGUAUUCCUUGUAAGGUACAUCGACACCAUUGCUACCUAGUUUUCCUUUGAAUCCGUGUGUAUAGCUCGAAAGUACUGCUCCAUGUCAAACAAAAAAUUUUCAAGCUCCUUAGCAUCCCUUGCCCCUUCAUAGCAUUGAGGCUCUAGCAUCUUGGGCCUUUUUUCCCUUUCCGUCGAGCUCGAACCUGAUCUAGCCACAGCCAUUUAUAACAGUCAUUUGUAAGAUGCUCACCUGUGCUCUAAGCUCCUCAAACUCCUUUUGGAGAAUAUUCAAGGCAUCUCUAGCCUCAUCGCUCACGUUGUGGAGAGUAUCGAACAACUCCUGCUAGGUUGUCUCGAUCUCCCUCACUCGAUCUUUAGUCAUCAUGUGAGUUUUCAUUACGGCCACCGCGACCUCAAGUUCCUCAAUUCUCUGUUGAUAAUUGGGUCCACCAUUUGUGGCCAUCUCUUUCAUUUUUUAGCACUUCUCAACCGUGUACUAAUACCACGUGUCACGGACUAAGCUUUCCCUCAAUAAGCAAUAGACCGUGCGGUACUUGAAUGCGUGCUCCCACCCAAGUCAGCCUUUAACAGUUCGAUAUUUGAACAAAUAACCAUAAGCCAUGGUUAGUCCUAAGCAUUUACAAUAAGACACAUUAUAUUGAGAUCAAUCUCAAGCACACACAAAAAGGUACAUUCACAUCGAAAAAAAGAAAAACAUAUCGAGAUAACAUUCGGGAUAUUCAAUUGGGGUGAAUUUUAUUAUAAUUGAUAAUCAUACAUCAAAACUUUCCACCAUCACCAGGGCAAGGAGGCAGCCCUUGGUGGAUGGCUUAGGCCCGUAUAGUAAUCGAUGAAACAGUCUAAUAGUAUGCUGUCGAUUCACCUUCUUAAAGAGUCUUAAAAAUUUUAGAAUUAUGUUACUACUAACCAUCACAAUGUUUGAAAUGAAAACACUUUUUUUAAUAUAAAAAAAUUUAUCCGAUCAUGAUCUUAUACAUAGAUAAUUCAUGAUAAUUUAAACUUCGAUCAUGAUCCUAUACAAAAUUAACUCAUGACAGAUAGCGUGUUGAUACAUGUUGUUUCGUAAACGCUUUCCUUCAAUGACCGAUGAAAGGCGCGUUAAUGCCCAUUUGCUUUCAUAGACCCUACUCCCCUCGGCUUCGACCCAGAAGUUGAACUAAGUAGAAAUGAUUGGUUCGUUUGCGUAAAGCUGUAAGUUCAGAUUCACUCAGAGAUAGAAAACGCUCUUUCCCAUGCCUUCUGUAAAGAGCAAGGCUUUGACUGAACUAAUAAAAUAAGGCUUUUAAGUUCGAAAAUCACAUCAAUCAUUUCUAGCACUACAACGUGUCUUAUAUUGUUACGUUUUCAAAUGCGUAGCGAAAGCUCUGAGCCCAGAUAUUCUCUUUUAUCAACCAUAGGUAUAGGUCUCUUACCUGUUUAGCUCAUUUUUUCAACUUAAAAAAAAAGCAUUGUCCUUCCUCUAAAAAUGUAGCAGGGGAGUAACUGAAAAGCAGACCAGACCUUUUAUCUCUUUUCGAGUAUCCGAUUUAGAUUCAAAUCAUAGAAUCAGCUCUUUCCGGAGUAUCCACUUUGGGAUAUUAUCUGCCGCCCUCGGAGAAGUCUUAAGUUUAAAAGAUGUGAAGCGCUAGUGAUUUCAGAUAUGGAAUGGCAUUCUUACUUUCUACGAUUCUUAUAGCCGUUCUUUUUACAAGUAAGUACAUGGGCUUCGCUUUUUUUUCAUAAGGCAAGUCAGUUUUCACUUUUCACUCUGCAGGGCUUUAGCAAGGCGACCAAAGGGAGGUCGCUACAUGCCUUCGUUAAAUCCUAUUCUCUCAUGGCCGGUCCAGAACGUCACAUCAACUACUAAUCUGAUUAGGGAUAGUCUUUAUCAGCAAACUCUUUCUCGUGAUAUCUAUUUCACUCGUUCUCUUAUGGGCUAGUGAAGGCUUGCUUCGCACAGGCAACACAAGCCAGGAGCGAGAGGAACGAAGCGACUGAAAGGAGAGGAAUGGAACUAGAUAACGAAAGGAAAGAAAAGAACUGGAAUACAAUUAUCCUUCUUUCAGAUAGUUUCAAUUUCUUAAAAAAAAGUUCACUUUAGUAUUCUGGCAGACUUUAUUAUCAUCGUAGAAAAGAAAAGAUAAAAGAGUUGGCUUUUUCCCAGGUUAGAGAACUUUCCCCUUCAAACCUCUCCUUUUCGUCCUUCUUUGGUUAGAAGGUUCCGGGUUAGAUACCCCGCUGUGAGAAUUUCCAUUGCUUAAAGUUAUCUUCCCUCAAAUCAUAUAGUUAUUGUUAAGUGCUAUCUUUCUUCAAAAAAGAUCUUAGCCCCGGUGAUCGAUUUUGCGGGACCGCCAUUGGGCCUAGUCCAAUCUUGGCCUCUUUGGAAUGGGGUUUGUCGAUCACAACUUUCAGAAAGAAAGAAAGAACGUAUUAUGAAACUAUCAACCGAUAAUGAAGUUCGAUGAAACAAGAAGAUUAUUACUUACGAUAUUCUUAUGAAACUUCUACGAUAUGAAACUAUUACGAUAUUCUUAUGAAACUUCUACUUCUUUCGAACGUAUUAUGAAACUGAUUCUCUUACGAUAUUUCUAUCUUCGUCUUUGAUUGCAUUUUCCCAUCUCUAUUUCUUUUUCGAUGAACUUUGUCUCCUUCUCUUCCUCCACCACCGGUUAUAAGACCAAGAGCAGAUAGGAUAAGAGCUGCUACGGUUAGAGCGGAUUCUAGCACAACCGAUUCUACUCUCACAUUUGAAGUCGAAGCAGAGGGCAUAGAGUCACCGACUAAAGCAAGACAGGAAAGGUAAUUGCUUACAGACAGACCAGAUUUUAGAAUAGCAGCUUCCUCUCAAACACCGUAUGGAGCCAAAAAAAAACCAUUUACUACGCAAACAAAACUGGCAACUGGUUGAGUUGAUAGGAUCACAGAUGAUAUUUACUCGAGCGUCUAUGGCUAAAAGACUAGCAGCAGAUUCUUCUUCAAUUACGGGAGGAGAUCAUUCUUCUUUCUUUCAUUUGCACCAGGAGCUUCGUCAAGAACAGUAAGAGCAUUAAAGCAGUCAAUCCAGUAGGCACUAACAAGAGUGGCUACUUAACAGCUGAUUCACCAGUCCCUUGUUUUUAUGUUGGUGGAUAGUGAGCUAUUGAUGUGGAUGGGCUUGAUGAGGCAAGGUGUUUACUACCCUCUCUCUGCCCGGUAACCACAAAGCCUAUGCUUCUGCUACUCAUGUUCUUUGCUGCUUUUCUUACUUAGAUGAUGUUGAUAAUUGAAUCCAUUCUCUGCCCUGUCUGAUAUGAAUAUAAUUAGAAUUGAGUUAGUCUGCUUUUUCGCUAGAAAAAGUCUCCUCUCUGUCAACGCUUGGCCACUCUAUUGCUAUUGUCGCCUGCCAGCUUGCCCGGUCUUCACCAUUUCUCCAGUAGCCCAUCCUCCAUCAUGAGUUUAGAGUCGACAAGAGCGAACAGAUAAGAGCUAUACCAGACACCUGCUGUAUUCUUCCUUCAACCCAAAUUGAAGGUAUUAUCGAAAGAAAAAAGCAAUUCAACUUGAGCAAUUCGUAUUAUUAUUCCGAGAGCAGAAGUCAAGUCUUUUUUCACAACCAUGCUAACACUCCUACCUAUAGUUGAGCAAUCCUUGUCAAUAGCUGAAACAAGUCCUACUGCCAAGCUAGUGGAUCGAUCUCUUCUACUAUUUUUUGUUAUUGUCUUUCCUCGGUUAACUAUGGAUUCUAAACCUUGUCUCAUUCGAUACCAUCUUCUUUUACUAAAAAACCUGCUGCUCUACGAUUCACUUCCGGCUCCCCGGACAUUCAGGCAGGAAAUAGCUAGAUUCUCAAGCAGCUUAUUCUGAUUGAAUUGCUUACACCGGCAACUGUAAGAGCAGAUUCUACCCCCACAUCGGAGAUUGACGGGUAUGAAUUUGAUUCUAAGUCGAAGAAUGCCCAUGAAGAGGGUCUUAUUACAGAAUCCGAAGUUUUGAAAGUAGCCCUAGACAGAUCAUUGCUAAGAGCAGAGCAGGGAAAGCUUUUUCUUGCUAAUCAGGUGCUAACAUCGUAUUAUAAUAAUCAUCUCAUUUGUCUUUCUGCUUGAAAGCUUGAACUUAGUUUGUGUAGCCUUUGCGAAGCAAGCUUACACUAAUUUUGGAAUCGGUAUUACCGCAGCUAGGAUAGAUGCUCUUUCUCUUGUUUAGUUGGGACCAAAAAUUGCCAUAGAGGAAAGAGAGCCCAAGCUUCCUUGGUCCCGACCUGACUGGCUGGGCGAGGAAGAAAUGAAUGCCUUUAGAAUGCCCUACCCACCAAGACCAAUGGCCCUUAUUCCAAUAGAUUCAAAGCGGGUAGACCUAACGAUUAGGACAAUUACUAUUGCUGUACUAAAGGCUAAAGAGGCAAGAAGAAGAACUUCUUAUUCAACAAGAGUGAAAGAAGAGAUGCGCCUAGCGGAUAGAGAAAGCUUUUCACAUUCUCCGAUCUAUGGGUACAAAGAAAAAAAAACCAAGAAAAUAUCGACCUCGACCAACUCAAGUAGAAGCCAAGGACUAUCACCGGAUUCGUUCAAAAGAGCAGAUGCCAGACUUUCACUAAAUCAGUCUCUUUCUCUUUGCAGUAGAGGAGGCGACUCUGAUCUUCACGUUACGAGGGCACCCUAGAACCAGGACCCAAUCGACAAAGAAAGGUUACUGAGCCACUUGGCUUCGUUCUCUCCUAAAGAAGUGAAUCCCGAGAAGUUCAGAGUUCAUGCUAAUGGUAGGAAUGCAGUCUCGGUCGGUGCGUGCCAAGCUUCCUCACAUCAUGGGCGCGUUGCUAGAGGAUUCCCUAUUCCCCUGUUUUAUACAGUAGGCAGAGACAAGGCAAAUAGCCUAUAUACAUGAAUCUUACUCAACGAAUCUUUUCAUGCCCAAGCCUUCUAGUGAUCCACUCAUGAGAUCCUUAUCGGAUUGAUGCCGCAAAUCGGAUGCUUUUUAAUCUAUUCCUUAAGCGAAAGCAGAAGAGGGGAUUUAUUUGGGGGAAUAACCGGGAUUAGCCUUUUUUGCCACUAGUGAAAUUAGAAUGCAAGCUGUUUUUGUUCGAGAAUCCACUGCACAUCCAUAAGCUAUUAGUAGGGACGGCAAUCAAACCCGUCUUCACGAGUUUCGGUUCGAUCCGAACUUAUAGAGUCGAAUUUUUUUUUUUUAUUUUGCGUUUCAGGUCGGGAUCGGAUCGGAUAAAAUUAAAUAAUAAUUAGGGGCGGUUUGAGUUCGGAUAUGUCUAAAAUUCGAUCCGAUAUUAUUAAAAAAUUAUUUUUUAAUUAAUUAAUUAAUUAUAUAUAUUUAUAUAAUGAUAUUUUUAAAUAUUUAUAUUUAAAAAAUAAUAUUUUAUAUUUAAAAAAUAAUAUUUUUAUUAAUUUCGAAUCAGAUCAUAUCGAAUACAAUUUAUAUAGUAUCGGAUCAAUCGAAUUCAAAUAUUAAAAAAAUUUGAAUCGAAUCAAAUUCAAAUUUAAUAAAACAUAAAAUUAAGUCGAAUUCAAAACAAACAAAACUCCCCCGAAUCCGACUUGAUACCAUUCCUAGCUAUUAAGGAGGGUUGCGCAAGUGAAUGAAGAAGGCCUAGGGCAUUCAUUAAAAGAAGACAGACUUUCGGGGGUUUGCAUGGAUGUCUUUACUUGUUGGGUAAGCCACUCUAUGGCUACGUUGGAUAUUGCCUUCUAGCAUUAAAUAUCCACGAGCAAAAGAGGAUUCCCAACAUGGGACAGGUGAGGGAAUGAUUGCUGCUAACUAGGGAUUGUGGUAGGGGAGAAAGGCAUCCAAUGCAAUGAAGAAGACAAUACGCAAAGGACUGCUUUCGAUUCAUUUUGUCUAUGGGAUUCUGUUGAGAAGAAAGGACAACCAUCCGACUCGAAGACUGCAAAUAAGAAUCAACUUUCACUCAAGAUAGCAGAAGGCGGGGAAGACCCUUAUUUACUUCGCUCUCCAGAUCGCAAGCAAGAAUUGUUAGAUGUGCAGAGGGAAACUUCCCUAAGAAAAGAAUUUCGGCUCUCGGAAGCUAUUGUUUAUUCGUACGCACGGGAUAUUCGAUUUGUUCUCCUAACCUGCUUAUUGAUUGGAUUUUCUGUUUGGUGGUUCUAUGUACCGGUACAACAUUAGAGAGCCAGAUUGGAUAAGUGCUGACGACGAUGAAUUUGGCCUUUUUUGUUUGUUCCUUGCACUUUAUUACUCCAUUCUGGACGAAUUCUUCGAAGUUUUUUCUUUACUGGUGAGAAUUCUGACAUGACUGGUAACUUGUGCACCACGAUCUUGGUGUCUAAUCCGGACAUAUCCUCAUUUGACCAAGCGAAGACAUCUUGAUAUUCUGUGAGGAAUCUGAUCAGAUCCUUUUUCGGUGAAAAGCCGCUAAGCCCUUGUCACUCUCGGUGGUUUGCCUCGGUUCCCACAGGUCUCAGUUUGUUCAAUGUUUGGUAAAGAUCUAGUCUCGAAACUUCCUCAAUAAUUUCAGCAGGUGGUUCAUUAGCUUCUUUAGUCUUGUCAACCUCAAUUCUCAUCGCAUCAAAAUCAUUCAUAAUCAAUAAUCUCAAAAUAAUCACAUUCAUUCGAUCAUAAGAAAGAGAUUUUUAACAUCUUAAAAUUAAAAAAUAAAAAAAUAAUUUUUAAUUAAAUUUAAAAUAAAAUUUUUUUAUUUAAUUUAUAAUAUAAUAAAACAUAAAAAAUAUCCUAAAAUAAAUUACAAAUAAUCGAUUACUAAACAUUUGACCAAAAUCAGGCUCAUUCCCCUGAACAAUGGACACAGUCUCCCGGUUUUGAAGAGCCUCGGUAGAGUGAACAGAAUGGUGGAAGCAUCACAGUCAGCUUCUUAUAGUGACCAUCACAUCAGUCUCAGUCAUUGAAGUCUCAUCUUCUUUGAACAGCUCAGCCAAUGCUUCCUUAGGGAUUCCCACGGUGAUCCAGUCAAUGUGUGGAAUUCAAAUAGCAGGAUUGUCUUCUUUCGCUCCAGCUCCAGGGCAUAGAAGACUAUUUUGAUAGGGUUUGGUCUGCUUGAUGUGUGGUAUACUUUUAGUCAUUAUCUUCCCAAACCUUCCUCUCCUUUCAGUCGAGCGUCUUUCGAACCUGUGCUUCUCUUGAUUGAGAAGGACUUACACCAUCCGGGGACCGGCUUUGCGAGACCAUUUCGGUCACACUGGAUAAGAAUCUUCCUCUCUCAGGCUAGGCUCAUUGGGCGCAGGUUUCUCGAUCCACUUUCUUAGUCAGUUGAAGAAGAGAGUUCACCAAGACGAAGAAAGACUUUCUGAUCUUGUACAAAGAACACCAAGCCACUCUCGUCUCGAUGAAAGUCGAAGCAGGGAAAGCAAAAAUCAGUCUAAAACCCAAUAUCCUAACUGCACACUCGCUAUACACACAGAGUGGAAAUAGUGUAGAAAACCACUGCAAAAACUCAACCAACUAACCGGGAUCGCAAGGCAUAGCAGCCGUUGAUUCCGAACCAAGCUCAGAACAACCUCAUUCCAGGUCCGACUCUCCUAGUCCAGUUUGACCGAUCUUUCGUCCUCAGCCUCUCCUGGCGAAGCGUAACCCUCCGUUUCUUUCAAAAUCCCAAUCUCCCACCUGAUUCCACUCCGGGAACUACCGUGCCCAUUAGCGAAGGAAAGGCGAGGAUCGAAGCAGGCAAUCGGUCGCUGUUAUUAUUUCUAUAAGAGAAUGCCCAUGGAUCCCGAGCCCAGGGGAUCAAAAGCAAUGAAAGCAACGAUGUAUUCUCAAUCUUCCGAGGGGUACGGAGCGGCAUUUAAGCCUUCUGAUUCAUAUCCUUUUCCCACUCCCAAGUGCCAAGAAUUUCGUAGGUAAGAAAACGAGUGGCUAGUUCGUUUUGGUAUCUACGGGUACCUACUUUAACGUUGUAGGCUUCCUACAGAAAAGUCCGACAUCCUUCGUGUCAUCCGCUGGCUACAGCGAAUCCGGACCCGUUCCAAUGGGUCGGGCAGAUAGGUCAAAUAAGGGGUUAGCUAGACCAUGGAAAGGAAAGUAGGGCGUGAAGGGUAAAGACCCCUUUUUUUUGGCAAGAUCCUACCUGGAUCUAACCCCUCGAGAAAGCACUCUUGCCUUGAUUUAGUCCCUUUCAAGGGAGUUGAAGUUCUGUUCGGAAAUGAAAGCAGUGAAAGUUGCCCAGUUCGGUUAGCCCUGCUCAACGUAAGUCAGCAUUCCAUUUUGUCUCCUUCCCUUCGUUGCGCUUUACGGAAAGUAUGGAGGAAGAGUCCGCUGUGGUAUGCUCCAUUUGAGUAGACUUUUUCGAUGACACGUAGGGCCCUUCCCAUUUAGGCUCUAACUUUCCCCUGGUCCGUCGGUUGAUAAUAGGAGGCGUACCACUCAGACGUUGUUUCCCUUCUUGAAAAAGCGGAGUCUGACCCGUUUGUUGAAGGCACUGGCCAUUCUUUGUUGAGAGAUCUCCAAGCUGCACUUGAUGCCUCCUUGAAUCGAGAGUUUCGAGCUCCGCGAGUCGGAUUAUUGCGCUUUCCUCUUCCAUUAGGUAUUCCUAGAUUGCUACCCGAAAAGAGGUUUUCUUCGAUGGGCAUAACUUCCUCUCCUCCGAAGACCUACGAGUAGGGUGUCGGAGUCCGACACCUAGUUCGGUAUGCCCACAAGGCCUCCGGGGGCCGCUCAUGCCAAUCGUUCUUGUUUUUGUCAUAGAAAGGAUUGGAUUAGAGACCUUUGUUGAACGCUUCUGCUAGCCUAGGCCUAGUAUGAAAGGAAAGGGUUGGAUUCAUAAAGAUAGGAUGUUGUGCUUGCAGGGCUAAGAAAUUCCCUUUUCUCAUGAUAAAGCGAGUGAAGAAGCAAGCUGUAACGAAAGAGAAAAAGGUAGUCGAUUCCGUCUUCAUUGAUCCGGAACAAGAGGUCAUGAUGCGAACAUAUCGUUACUACUAUUUCAUUCACACCUGGUCGAACAUAAAAAGAAGGUUGUCUAAUCUAGACGGAUUGGAAAGCCCUUUACGCCAUAAUUGAUUGAAGUGGAUCCCGAAAGUUGCGGUCUAUCCCGUAGCAGCAGUCUCUCUUUAUUCACCCCAAGAAUGAACUCUCCUUUGUUUCAUGGGAUGGAUUUCAGUAACACGGAUAGGAAUUGUUGAUUGUUGAGGAAAGACCAGAUGCAUAGACUGGUACUUUUUACUGUGUUGAGGUGUAUAGCGCGGGGUUUGAGGGAUAUUGAAUCUAUGUAACUAUGGGUUAAUUCACUUAGGAAGCAACCGGACUCGCCUCAACAAGAUAAGCUGCAUCCCGUAAGUAACGAUAGCAGAAAGAGAAGGGCUGCUUUGACUUGACUCUCCCCUUAAGUCACUUUCUUUUAUGCUUUCAGGGAAAACUUUGAAUCUUUUUGCUUUGCUUCUUCCUUGCCGCGGAUCUUUCUCACCUUCUUGUUGGAGGUUCUUCUUGACAUCCACCGUUUGAGCUUUCUAGCCAAUCUUCGGAUGUGUGUACUUAUGAACUUUCUAUCUUAGACCGGCCUCGCCGAUUGAGAACACGAUGUCUGCUUAAUCAAACUCAAGAUAAACGCCCCUAACUAAAUCGGAUAAAGAGUUAUGUUUGCUGCCCGGGUAAAAGAGUUCAUUACCUCAAGCAAGGAAGAGAACUACAAUUGAAAGCUCCACUGCUUCUACUGUCACUGAAGACCCCACCUACCUUUCCGAACCACAGAUCCUUGAAUCCCUUGAUAUGCUUGAGCGGUUGAAGUCCUAUCUCCCCCGAACCGUGCAGCCAGUCGAGAAAGAAAUGGAGCCAUAAGCAAGAGUGAUAGGGGACGAAAGCAGCCGGGCCGGGUGAACGCAGAUAGACGGAUCGGACUGGGAGAGAGUUGCUGCCAAGCCAUCUCCGACUCCUUGAACGAGGGGAUGAAAGAGCAAGAAAGAAUCUCUAAACCGACGGACUGAUCUGAUAAAUGAGAUUGGUUAGCUGCUCCCUCCCAAUCUCGCUUCAUUGACCGGGCAUCGAAAUCUUCGAACCAUCCAGCCCGAGGUUCCCAAAAAACCGAUUCCUCUGGAAUCGAAGAUUGGCAUUGGAUCCGACUUUGAUCGGAGAAAGCCUCUGGAAUUGGAACAGAUGUGGUUCGUCUGGUUGAAGGACGGACGAAGCUGGGGUUCCAUCCGCUUUUGGUAGGAACUCGGUCUUGGUGCUACAAAGAAGACUUGGCGGGAACCAGGUAGGCAGGGAAGGGCCUCGUCGAAAUCAUCGGCUCUCUGCCCAAGGCCGUGGCCCGGUUAUUGAAGAGACUUUCUCAGCGGUGGAUCGAGUAGCAUAGGCUGAGUCUAAUUCACCAUCCCGGGAUUGAGUUCUGACCAAAAAAUGCAACUAUCAUGCUUGGAUGGAAGAAGCAUUCAAGACUAUCGAGGUUGGACGGAGGCACCUCUUAUAGGUCGGGAGUGAGUUGUGAAUUCUGGUGAGUUGGCUUGGGAUGCUCGAUCUAAGAUCUUCGGAAUCAAGAUCCGGAUAGAAGAGCAUUUUUGCCUUUCUCAAUCCAAUCUCGUCUUUGAAUCGAUAGACUCCCCCUGCUGCUUUCUCUUCUCUUCUUUCAAUUUAGGGACACGUGGAUGCCGCGCUCAUCCCUUCUCUAAGAAGAUUCACUGCUUCUCCGAUAAUCGUAGAUUGAUCACUGAACCUCCCCGGCGUUGAAAGACACUCGUGCUCAGUGUCACGGUCCACGCGAUCCUCUUACUGAAAUCACGCGACCGUGCGGCACCAAGACUAAUCCUAGUCAAGGUCAGCCUUCUAUCGUGUCCAUUUUUCCGCGGACAGACCAUUUCUGAUCCUUCAAGCCACAUGCCCGUUAGCCUUUUCUGGCUUUUGACCCCGUAGGGUUGCUCAUUCCAAACUCCAUAGAGAGGAACCCAUCUCUCAUCGCACAUUGGCCCACGGUUCUCCAAUUAACCAUGAGCACCCAACUCUGGCCGCAAAGCUUAAUGCUUCGAGCACCGACCCUCAGAUCUCGUAGGGGCACACAGCCCCAGUUCUCAUGAUGUUAUUACAUCUUGGCAUGGUGAGGACCCAACACCAUGCCCGCCCGUAUGAUACGCAAGCUCCCGUAUCAAGUUUACGCAAGCACCCCAACUAAGCUGAUCAGCAGCCAGCUCUGAGCCUUUAGGCUCAUCUCGUCCCACGGGACUCGGUUCUUAGGGCUCAGGCCCUUAGCAUCAGUAUCGGCCGCCCGCACGCAUGAUUGACACCCCACAUCAUGUUAGUCCCGCAAGGGGACUUGGGUGUACUGCCCCAGCAGCAGUAUACCAGCCCGACUGGCCACACGGGUCUAGCAGCGUGCCUGCCUGCUAGCCCGCACAUCCCUCUGGCUUGAUGGCGUCCCUCCUACGCAACACCAUCACAUGAUCCUUCCGGCUCGAGGAGGGGAAACCGAGGGGCCUAGCAAUCUCUACCGCCAAACCCAUGGCUCAACGCAAAGGCGCGAUACGAGGCCCGCUGACCCCAACCGUCCCCGAGUUUACCUUACUCGAGGAAACAUCGUGCCACACUCGUGACCCUACGAUGCCCGCCCACCUAGACACCACGAGUGCCUAGGAGUAGCUCACUUCAGACUAGCCAGGCCCCCGCCUGCCCGCUAGCCAAGGGGGUGGUGGAGAGCUGACACCAGAUCAUCCUCCUAUAAAGAGCGUUAGAGAUUUUCUCACUAUGCUACCAGUGACCGUAAGAAUGUCUGAAACGGGGACACUUUUCUGCCCAGCCAUCUUAGGGCCUUUCUCCGGCUCACUCAGGGCCCCGUAACCUUCCUCUUGGUCACCAUUGCUCCUUGAUGCUGCUCAUUACUCCACCAACCCACUCGAAGGUGCCCGCACAUGACUUCGACCGACAGCACCCGUCUAGCUAGCUGGUUCCAGGGCACCGGCGUAAUGCCUCAUACUUACCUGCUUAACUCGGGGUCUAGGACAUGGACUGUCCACACACAAUGUCCUCAACAUAUUCCCCUGCUCAGAACGCCCGCACACUGCUUCCACUGCUGGCACCCGCUAGGCUACUUGGCUUGAGGGUGUCCGACCACUGUCCCGAACUUUCCCGCGUAUCUCGCGGCCCGGGGCUCCCAUUGCCCCCACAACAUGUUAACAUCUUGUUCCAAAGCUCGGAAUGCACGCCCACAUCUCGUAGAACCACUUUCCCGCCAGCUCGGUCUCGACCGCUGCUUGGUUCGGGAUCAGUCAUGGCAGGACCAAGGCCUGGCCAUGACACUCUCCCCCACUUACUAUGUCGAUGCCCUCAUCGACGGCAAGACCACACCCAACUAUCUUGUUGCACACAGCUGACAUUUCCUCAUAUGUCUCUCACUUGUGCCCUCAAGGAUUGGGUCGAGGUCCCGUCACAUGAGGUACCGUCCACAGUACUCGUCCAUUGUUGGUGUAGAUUGGUCCCAUUGUUGCUCAGCUUUGUUGUAGUUUGAACCGCCUAACCUAUCUUGGUUGUACUCAUAUGGGCCAUACCAUGGGUUCAUCCCUUGAUCCUUGUUAGGUUGCGACCUCGAGGUGCCCUCAUUGAUUGAUGACCCUCAGUAGAAUGAAUGACCACAGCUUUGCCACUCAUUUGGUGCGUCCCACCGGACGUGACCCCUCACACCAACUGCACGCUUGCAGCAUCAACUCACUGAUGCGCCCCUCUGGACGUGAUGCUUGGGUCAACCGCAUUCAUACGGCACUCUACAUGAUGACCCUAGCACAGUGGCAUUCAAGCACUUUGGUCAUCUCCCAACUUGGGUCCUCUCGGCCCCUCCAAGGUCACCUCUCUAGCUGUGGCCCUCAGGCCAACCGCCCCCAAGACGGCACCUUAAAAACGCGCUAACUCGGUCUUUGCCUCCGGCUUGAACACUAUGCUCCAUCGUCCAAGCUCCUUUAUCUUGGCUCAGUCUCAUGGGGAAUUGACAGGUCUCCCCCACUUUUACUCGAAACUCGGCACAGCAUUAUGCGCAACCCUGUCUCCUCGAUGGUUCUAUUGCUCGAUAGUUUUGACUCCAUCCCAGUUCCUAGGGCAUCCCAAAAUCCGCUUAUACUCAGAGAUCCGCUGAUUUGCUUAACUCGGGGAUUCACCCGCUCGAUCCUCAAGGUCCACUGACCUGCACGUCUGAGGCCUUGUCAACUGGCCGUUUCCCUUUUCUCGUUCCACUGGAAUACAUCCUGUCGUGGCCCACUGACCACCACUACUCGUGAAACCUUCCCUUUCGGCCAAUACAAGUUCGAUAUCCUAGUUCACACACACACUCUCGUGAUCCCCUGACCAUAAGAACUCACGGUCCACUGACCAACGCAGCUCAUGGUCCACUGACCACCUCGCUUGUGGCUUCAAUCUUUAGCCACUUCAUACUCUUCUGUGUAGUAGUCUCAUGCUCGGACCCGAAUACUUCGGCUUGCACCCCCGCUGGGGCACCUGCACCAUACAGCAAGUGCACACAUUAGUAAUUAAUCUUGCAACUCGACACCUCCUGCCCCUCAGGGCAAGGUUCGCUCGGCCCACGUGGCCUUACGCAACACCAUUUCAUGGUGUAAGCCCCUUUUCGCAUCUCGGUCUCAAUACGGUUCCUUCCACCGUGAAGGCAUUACAUGCCGCAACAUAUGCCAACACCUUUUCUAGGUGAGGCUAGACUCUGAUGCCCUUUUGCUUGGCAUCCAAGAGCCUACUCGAGAGCUUUUUCACAUAGGCCCAAUAUUUCCCGCAGCAUGCAUCGUUGGCUCUUUCCCGAGCCCCCAUAGGCACAAAACCCGCAUCUGUGUCUCGAUAGCUCCGUUUGAGCCUGGCAUCACCUCGAUUUCGCAUCACUAGACCCACACAUGGGGUCGCGUAACUCUCGCCACUGAGCCAACCUAGGCUCUGAUACCAAAAUGUCACGGUCCACGCGUUCCUCCUACUGAAACCACGCGAUCGUGCGGCACCAAGACUAAUCCUAGUCAAGGUCAGCCUUCUAUCGUGUCCAUUUUUUCACGGACAGACCAUUUCUGAUCCUUCGAGCCACAUGCCCGUUAGCCUUUUCUGGCUUUUGACCCCGUAGGGUUGCUCAUUCCAAACUCCAUAGAGAGGAACCCAUCUCUCAUCGCACAUUGGCCCACGGUUCUCCAAUUAACCAUGAGCACCCAGCUCUGGCCGCAAAGCUUAAUGCUUCGAGCACCGACCCUCAGAUCUCGUAGGGGCACACAGCCCCAGUUCUCAUGAUGUUAUUACAUCUUGGCAUGGUGAGGACCCAACACCAUGCCCGCCCGUAUGAUACACAAGCUCCCGUAUCAAGUUUACGCAAGCACCCCAACUAAGCUGGUCAGCAGCCAGCUCUGAGCCUUUAGGCUCAUCUCGUCCCACGGGACUCGGUUCUUAGGGCUCAGGCCCUUAGCAUCAGUAUCGGCCGCCCGCACGCAUGAUUGACACCCCACAUCAUGCUAGUCCCGCAAGGGGACUUGGGUGUACUGCCCCAGCAGCAGUACACCAGCCCGACUGGCCACACGGGUCUAGCAGCAUGCCUGCCUGCUAGCCCGCACAUCCCUCUGGCUUGAUGGCGUCCCUCCUACGCAACACCAUCACAUGAUCCUUCCGGCUCGAGGAGGGGAAACCGAGGGGCCUAGCGAUCUCUACCGCCAAACCCCAUGGCUCAACGCAAAGGCGCGAUACGAGGCCCGCCGACCCCAACCGUCCCCGGGUUUACCUUACCCGAGGAAACAUCGUGCCACACUCGUGACCCUACGAUGCCCGCCCACCUAGACACCACGAGUGCCUAGGAGUAGCUCACUUCAGACUAGCCAGGCCCCCGCCUGCCCGCUAGCCAAGGGGGUGGUGGAGAGCUGACACCAGAUCAUCCCCCUAUAAAGAGCGUUAGAGAUUUUCCCACUAUGCUACCAGUGACCGUAAGAAUGUCUGAAACGGGGACACUUUUCUGCCCAGCCAUCUUAGGGCCUUUCUCCGGCUCACUCAGGGCCCCGUAACCUUCCUCUUGGUCACCAUUGCUCCUUGAUGCUGCUCAUUACUCCACCAACCCACUCGAAGGUGCCCGCACAUGGCUUCGACCGACAGCACCCGUCUAGCUAGCUGGUUCCAGGGCACCGGCGUAAUGCCUCAUACUUACCUUCUUAACUCGGGGUCUAGGACAUGGACUGUCCACACACAAUGUCCUCAACAUAUUCCCCUGCUCAGAACGCCCGCACACUGCUUCCACUGCUGGCACCCGCUAGGCUACUUGGCUUGAGGGUGUCCGACCACUGUCCCGAACUUCCCCGCGUAUCUCGCGGCCCGGGGCUCCCAUUGCCCCCACAACAUGUUAACAUCUUGUUCUAAAGCUCGGAAUGCACGCCCACAUCUCGUAGAACCACUUUCCCGCCAGCUCGGUCUCGACCGCUGCUUGGUUCGGGAUCAAUCAUGGCAGGACCAAGGCCUGGCCAUGACACUCAGCCUGUAACAAAGUUUUGUGGGUUCGCUUACCAAUCUAGAUCUCGACGACUCGUGAAUCGUUUAGCAAGUUCCCUUCGAUCCUUACCUAUGCGAAGGCUAUCACACUACGUACGAUUCCUCUUAUCUGUAACCCAGAAGGUGUUCGGGGGUAGGGAAGGGUGAGUUCCUUUUCCUUCCACCUGCAUUUUGAAGGACACUGUGGCAUACUAUUCUAUACGAUGAAUGUGCAGCUAGGGGAGUUGCAGGACUCAUUCACUUUCCAAAGCUAUCAGUCCUAGACUUUCAAGGGGAUUGGGUUGGUCUUAAGUCAGUUCCUUUAGCAGCCCCUUUUUUCAAAGAGCCUAUUGGGCAAGGCAAGAACAGCAUAGAUUCCUCCAAGAGCACCUCCUCCUAACCUAAAGAGGGCAUUCGACGCCUAGUCUUCAAUCGACGGUACGAAAGUACGCUAUUCAAAGCAUGACGGAAUCGACGGUGGUCAAUCUUCCUUAGAUGUCGCCUGGCCUGGCGAUGUCCCAAUAAAGGCUCUUUCAGGCAGAAUGGUGUUAAAGGCUUACUUUCUCUCCCCUACUGUGCGUUGUCUGCUUAGCUCCAUCUUCGUCUUCGUAUAUUCCAUUCGCAUCUCGAAAGAAAAAGAGAAGAUUAGCAGACGAUUCGGGGAUAGCUUUCUGUCCUCUUCGGGCCCCUGAAACUCGUGUUUGAAUGCCGCCUGCUAGAGUUAGUACAGAUAGCGGAUGUGCCAACUCUUUUAUGUGAUGUUUAGCCCUCCCACUCCUACUUCUAGCUGCCGUCCCGCUUUCGAGAGCGGAGAAAGCUUUUUUCUUUUCUUGGAUAGGAGCUUGGCUAGCUACUUAUGAUAACUAUAAGAGAAGAAGUCUACUUCUACUCAUACCGGGUUCUUUCACUCCUAGUAUGUUGAAAGAAGUGCCAGACCCUAAGAAAAAAAAAGACUGGCUUAAGGUGCUAAGGUGCUAUAGUGUUUUUUAUAGGUGAGUGAAAAAGAGUGCAAAAUAGAAAUACAAAGAUAGCCUUUCCUCCUCGUCAACGAGAAAGUUGACUUGAAAGGCCUCACUCUUGAAAUUAUCCGUAUGUGACGUAUACUUCAACCUUCCCCAUUCAUUUCGAACCUCCGACAGUCGAAUAGCAAACCUGUCUGUCCUGUUGGUAAGGCAGGACGAGAACUCGAGUCUAGGACUGGAACAGCAGUGCUCUAAUUUCUCAUUCUCCGGUUGAAACCACUCUUGCCUGAUCCGGAACCUGCUCUAGCUACUUUUCCAUCUCCUGAACCUUCCAUCUCUUACAAAAGCUCCUUCUCGAGCAGCAAGAGGGCAUUCGAGAACAAGCCCAUCAACACAGUAGACUCUGAUCUAUCAAAGAGCUUGGGCAUCUUUCUAGGUCAGGAAAGAGACUCCAGGCGAUUCUCCCUAUGUAGUUAACCCUGAGGGAGAAAACCUUGGGCAAGUAAUCCCUCUCCCGUUGGUCGAGUCACUUCAACCCUUUCCUUUCAAUCGAGUGUCUUUGAACCUUUUGCUAUCACUCGAGCCUCUUUCAAACCUCUCCCUUCAUUCUCAUCCUGCCAAGCUGAGGUUGCCAGCGCAUUGUAUCUAACCACACUGUGGCAAAUCGAUACAAGUAGCUAAACAGCUUGCUAUACCAUACAAAGGCAUCUUCGACCGAAUGGUUAGGCAAGACAAGACUACGGCGCCUAGGCAUUUACCAAACAAGACGUCGAGAGUUUCACUUAACCAUUCCCCUCCUGCAAGUGAUAGCGGUUGUAGAUCGGUAAUGUAUAGAAGAGAGUAAGCUUUCUAUGCGGAUAGGGCGUAUCAACACCUUUUGCUGAGACUGACUUCCCAACGUGCCUCUGUUGCUGCUUCAACUAGAUCGAUUGAUUGGAUUGAUGAAGCUUGCUUUAAGCUCUCUUUUGCAGUUCCUAUGACUAUACCGGUUAUGGGUUCCUUUGUUUUAGCGCCAGUAUACCUACUUUUAAUUUUUCCCUAUUCGUUCUAUCAGCGCGUCAAUCGAGUAUCUAAAAGCGAUUAAAGAUUCAAGUUGCCAUCCUCCGUUGUUUGAAAACCGUUUACUUUUUAUGUUAUUAUUAUGGUUGGUUAUUGCGUGUAGCUUCUUUUCUCUGGUUUCGCCAGCUUAUCGUCAAUGAAAGCUGCCUCUUUAUUCUAUUUAACCCUUUGAGUCGAGUUGCUUAUAUUGCACAUCUGUUUAGUGCCCCAACCCGUUCUAUUGAAGAAUGAAGAAAUGACUCUCUUAGCAAAUCCUAGUAAGCAUAAGUAACAAGAUACGGCUUAAUAGUAAACUAAUAGUAAACUAGCUCUACUUAAGAAAAUAGAUCUACUGACUUGGUGAAACUAGCUUAUAUUUAAUAACCUUUCGGAUCCUCACCUGCUAACCUCAGUAAAGUAGCCUCUUCUGUUACACUACACAUUUUAUUAGCCGUGCUGUGCUCUCUUUCUUUUCUUUUCUUCUUAGGGUUUUUGCUUAUUAUUAUCUUAUUAUUAUAAGGGUUUCUUCUCCUUUGACUUAGCUAGUGUCAUUGGCCUUCGACUCCAUUCCUUCUUUUUCCUUUUCUUGUCUUCGAACGUGAUAAUAGAUGGAAGAAGGGACAGUUUGAUCUUGGAAAUGGCUUAUCCUCUCCUUGCUGUAGAAAUAGAGCGCUAAGAUCAAGGUAGUUCUAAUGUCCUACAUUGAAAAUAAGAGGCCGGGGUGAUACAGACAAGAAGAAGAGAAGAAAUGCCUCCAUCUCUAGGCAAAAGAAUCGGGAGUUCUGAACUUUACUUCCUUCGUUCCUGUACCCCUCUAUCCUUCUUCUUUGGGAGAACCACUAUCCCAUCAAAAACCAAAAAUGAAAAGAGAACAGAAUGGAUACAGGGACAGUUAGGGUAUCCAUUGCCCUUGCUUUGGGAAACUUUUCGAUUCUUUGAUUCUAUUCUUAUUAACGUAAACGAACGGGUCCCUCUAGCCAAGUCAAGCUUUUGCAGCUCUAUAUCUAAUUCCUACUCUUAAGUUAAGAAAAAUUGCCCGUCUUCAAGCUAGUCGAACUAGAGCAUUAUGCCAAUGAGAACCAAGAGAAGAAGGAAAUUAGAUUCCCAAAGACACAUCUAUAUUAUGCUACUCUUCGAAUUUUUUUCAUUCUUCCUUUUGAAAAUAAAUUCUAUGCCCAACUGUCUGUGGUAAGUCAGUCUGGUUUGCCUGUGGAAUCCAGCUUUCGAUCGCUUACUUUACUCUCUGUUCUAUCUUGCCUUGAGCUUACACCUGGUAUUCAUUCUUUUAUGUCUUUCGCCCGAGAGUCCCUUCCGGAUUCACGCUAUUUCCUAAUCGAAUGCUUCCCACGGACUGACUAAAGCACCACCAUCGGCAACUUUUUGAUGAAACAAGAAAAAUAAGAGCCGUCCCAUCGGUUAUUCCUUCAACGGCGAAUUCAAUACCAGCUUCACCACGACUCGAGCUAACAGCAGUGGCUUGUAUGCGCGGCCCAAGAGCUGCAACUGAAGCAUUCGUGAAUUGACUAAGCUAACCAUUUGUUCAGAGUCGAGAAGAGUUCAAAUCUGAUCUUUCAAAGACAGCAGGCUGGUCGUAGAUCAGGGAUUCGUUCAAAUAGAAGAGCGGAUUCUCUACUUUACUUCAAGCUUAGACUAUGCCUUUUAUUCAACUAUAGGCAUUCUUCUUUGAAUAAAAGCUUCACCCAUUCCUACAUAUGCUACAGACUUGGCUUCCAAGCUAAAAGCAGCCUUUCUAAACUAUACGAGACUGCCGAACCAAAGGCUGUUUAAGAAGCCAGGGUAAUCACAGCAUUCCUCCUAUCGGGUGACUUCACUCGCUUAAGCCGAAUCGCUUUCCUUAUGGCAUCUGCUUUCAAUGUCAGUUGGAUUGCCUAGUUGAUUGUUAGUUCAAUUUUAACUAGUUUCAAAGGCUUUCUGCCCCGGCUUGGGACUCACUCUUCCUUCUCACCUCAUCGCGAAUUGCAAGAGAGAAUCUAGAGUUACCAAGACAGAUAUUCUUACCACAGCUUCACGCUCUACUUACUGCUUUCCCUAAGGCAAGGAAGGUAAGAAAAGCAAGGUAAGUGCAAGCUAACUAAUGGCAAGGGCCGGAGAUAGAGAGGGAUGAAGGGGGAAUUGCAGUCAUUUUUCUCUAAUGAAGAAAGACAGAAUUCCUAGAUUCAUAUAUAGAUUAUAGAUACCACUUCUUCUGUGAUCAAUGAAUGCAUCAAAAUAAGGGAUUGAUCUAAUAGAUAUUCAAAGCUUGACUUCCAGUGCUCUUCAUUAAAGAAAAAAUAGUGGAAAGUUAUUCUAUCCAUUUGAAUAAUUUGAUUGAUUUGAUGAGAAUCUAGGUCGUUUUGGGUCAUCCUAGGAGCGAAAGACUAAUUGAAGAAGAAGAGAAGACGCAAAGAUGGUAGAUUUGGGCACUGCUCUGAACCGAAAGAUUCUUCAUGACAUCGCCUUUCAUUCAAAGUAGCUCUCUAAUUGAGUUCUUCUUAAAAAGCCACUUGAGUUCAUGUGUCCCAUGCUCAGUGAUGAUGUUCUCGGCAUCUAUCUCCUUUUGUUCCAAGUGCUUUUCAUCAUUGGUCCGAUGUUUUGGCUUCACCAAAGGAAAGAAGAUGAACAGAAGCUAAGCCUUUCUCAAUGGCUGGUUGAGUUCUUAAAGAACUGGCUUUGGUCUUUGGCGCUCGUCCUACGAAUCAACCUACCUAGACUCUAAAAAAGAGCCUUUGGGUACCAGAUCAGCUUCAAAAGGUAGUGCAUUAGGAUCUAGUUCCCUCCCUAGUUUAAGAUAUUGGAGUCGAAGCAAAUCUCAAUGCUACUUGCCUUUUCUUUUAGUAAAUCGUGGAGGUAAGCCUCUAGCUUAUUACGUAAUUAGUUCAACCUUUAUCCGGUUAAGCCUGACCCGAAUAGGAAGAGAUUUUAUCACAAAUUCACUUAUAUAUAGGCUAGGCCGAAUCGAAUAAGCAUAAGCGAAUGCGGCUAUUUCAUCCGCAUCUAUUGUUGUUGAAGGAAUAUGGGCAACAAGAAUAACUAUUUUCGCUCUUGGAGAAAGACUAUUUUGAAUGUACGAGCAGAGGUUGUUUCGGAAUAAUCGAUGUUAGCAAGAAGGGGAAGUCAAGGCAUUGACAUAGUUGAUGCAGAGAAUCCAUGGUUGUUGUUCCAGGUUGAGAGUCAGGGGUAGCAUAGCUUCUUCCACCACAAUUCUAUUUGCUGCCACCUUAUGCAGUAGAUUGUAGCUGCCAGAACGCUUUUCGGCUCGAUCCAAUCUUUAAUAAGAAGUAGCUUCAAAUCCAAUUCGUGAGACCAGAAGAAAGGUAAGUGUAAAAAAGCGUGGUCAGUGAUAGUCUUCCCCCGAGCGUAUGAUGGCUACGCAAUCUUCCUUCUUAUAUUAAAAGUUUCGUUCCUAAUGAAACUACUUGUCACGCCCCGAAUUGAGGCAUAACACGGUCGUAUUACCUUGAAGUAAAACCCUAAAGCAAUACGAAGCUUAAUCCAUAACCAUUGAACAACUCUCAAAUAUAAAAGAUUCUCAUUAAGUAACAUAGCUAGAUAACAAGUCUUCAAAGAUUCAAAGUAAAGUAUUACAACUAAAAUAAACAAUACUUCAUAAAAUCUUAUAUUUCUAAGUAGUUCUCCAAUGCUCGAUUCUUCUAGCUUUUCUCAAGCUAAUCAUACUUAUCAUUCAUAACAUCUGUAAAAGAAAAGAAAAUUGGGAAUGAGCAAACCACAGCUCAGUAAAUAAAGGCUCACACACCUUACCGGAUCAAACAUCAUUUUCAUACAUGUCAUAUAGAUCAUUCAAAACAUUUAUCAAAUCAUAAUGUCAAAACAUCUCAAUAUCAUCGUUCUGUCAAACAUUUCAUAAAUUCAUAAAUCAUUGUAAAAUAUGUUAUCAUUCAAAUAUCAUAGGCAAACCAAAUCAUGGAUCAAUCAUUAAAAAUCAUCGUAAAUCAUCAUCAUCAUUCAAAUCGUUAGCUACGAUCACUGCUAUAACCCGUGACAUUGGCCGCAUCGAUAAUUUUAUUCUUAUGAUCAUUGCUAACUAUUACAACCCGUUAGCCAGGGCUUACGCUAACUACUAUUACCCGUUAGCCAGGGUCGUAUGACAUGUCUUUGCUAACUAUUAUUACCCGUUAGCCAGGGUCGUAGAACUAGUUCUGGUGUCGAUGAUCUCACUUCCUAGGAAUAUAAAAACGUAGCUAUCAUAAAAUCAUUCUUUAAACAUAAAGCAUUUUCUCAUUUCAUUCAUAAGCAUGAUUCAUCAUUUUUAUAGAGAAACGCAAAAUAAAAAUAUGUUUGAUCCUAUUUUCAUACAUCGAAAAUAAUGAAAUAAAAUAUUCAUUCAUUUAGAAACAUACAUAUAUAUAUGGAUUCGAAAACAAGCAAAGUGUGUGAGAUUAUACUUACCUUCCUCUGAUUUCACCACCUAAUUUUUCUGCCUCAAAAUUUAGUGGCCUAUUCAAGAUAAUUCCAACAUAACAAUAAUCAAUCAACCCAUUUAAGGUCACUUAUACCAAAACAAUUAAGUUAAACAAGUAAUAACUCGAGUAAUUAAUUCUGGUAGUCUAUGCUACUUUCACUAAAACGACUAUAACACAAGAUAUCCAAUUCAGAAUUAAAAUCUUAUUAAUGUGUUAGAAACUAGACUUGACAAGCUUUCUAACCAUAUAUGGCUCAUCUCGUGAUUCUUUGUAAAUUAAUUAUAACAAUUUUUGUAAUCCACGUCAUAUGCUGCUGCCAGACAGGCUGCAUACCUUUUCAUAAAAAUUACGUAUUUAUUCAUAGGUAACUCCAAAUUCAAUUUCGUUUAUUUCAUUGGAAAGUAGACUCGAUAAGUUUUCCAAAGAUAUAUGGCUUAAACUGUAAAUCCUUAUAUAAAAAUUUAGGAAAAUUUCGUAAUUCCUCUUUACUGCUACUACUAGGCAGCCUGCACAUCCUUAGGUAAAAAUUAGAUAACUCUUCAUAGAGAACUCGAAUUCGACUCUCGUUUGUUUCAUUAGAAAGUAGAUUCAACAUGCUUUCCAACCAUAUAUAGUAAUCAUAGUAGUAUUUAACCUUUUAAUACAGAAUAUAACCUUAAUUCAUCACUACAAACACAUGAUUCAUAUCAGGAUUUAUACGAAACAAAGAUUUGCCUUUCUAUUCCCAUCAAAUUUCUGUUUCAGCAAUAAAUUCACAUUACCAACUUUCUUAACACUUAAUUUGACUCUAAUUAAAGUCUAAAUCAUCUGCCCAAAGAGCGAUAAUGGAAACCCUAAAAUUUUAGGGUUUCUCGAUUAUAAAUUACACCUUAAGACUUAACCAUCAAUACUCCAAAAUUGAAAAAGAUUAUUUACUCACCUCUAACAGAUAAUUUCUCCUUGUAGAUUUGUUCUUCCCUUCACUUGGAAUCCUUCAAUUGAUCUUUUCUGUAUAAGAAACAUAUGAGAAAUAAGUUUCUAUUUUUAUUACGGCUAAUCGUCGACUGAAAACUGAAAAGUUAACUCUAUUAAUAAAAAAAAUUAGGUUAUUUAUCAAUAAGUCCUCUGCACUUCUCAUUCUUUAUUAAAGAGUUCCUUCACUUAUAAAAAUACUUAAAAUAGUCCCUUUUUUUUGGGUAUUACAAUCCCCUCAACUUAUAAAAUAUUUCAUCCUCGAAACUUGAUUUACCUUCAUUUUCGAAUAACUGAGGAUGUCGUUUCUUCAUAUCAUCUUCCAUUUCCCAAGUAGCUUCUCUUGAUGUAUGAUUGCUCCAUUGGACUUUUAUAAAGGAAAUAGUUCUAUGCCUUAAGACUUGCUUUUUUCGAUCAAUUAUUCGAAUAGGAUAUUCCAAGUAUGUUAAAUCUUCUUGAACUUUUAAAGGUUCAUACUUUAUCACGUGGCUUGGGUUAGAGACAUACUUUCUCAACAUGGACACAUGAAAACAUUGUGCACACUAGAUAGCUGAGGUGGCAAGGCUAUCCUAUAUGCAACUUCUCCCACUUUAUCAAGAAUUUCAAAUGGACCUAUAUAACGUGGGCUUAGCUUUCCUUGCUUCCCAAACCGCAUAACACAUUUUGUGGGUGACACCUUUAAAAAAAUAAAAUUCCCUUGUUGAAAUUCUAUCUCCCUUUUCUUUUUAUCUGCCCAACUUUUCUGACGAUCUUGUGCUGCUUUAAGUCUCUCCUUAAUCACCUUGAUCUUUUCUACAGUCAAUUGUACCAUUUUUGGCCCUAGGAGUUUUUUUUCCCCAACAUCAUCCCAACAUAAAGGGGAUCUACACUUUUUACCAUACAAGGCCUCAAAAGGAGCCAUCCCAAUACUAGAUUGGUAACUGUUAUUAUAAGCGAACUCCGUUAAAGGUAAGUAAUCAUCCCAACUACCUUUUAGAUCAAUCACACAUGCUCGAAGCAUAUCUUCUAAAAUUUGAUUUGUUCUCUCUGUUUGCCCAUCUGUCUGAGGUUGGAAAGCUGUAAUCAAUUUCAAAUUUACCCCCAUAGCUCGCUGUAAGCUUACCCAAAACUUAGAAACAAAUCUAGAAUCUCUAUCUGACACAAUACUCAUUGGAACUCCAUGCAAUCGGAUAAUUUCACCCAUGUACAAUUGCGCUAGUCUAUCAAGUGGAGUAGUCGACUUGAUAGGUAGAAAAUGAGCUGAUUUAGUGAGUCUAUCAACAAUUACCCACACUACAUUAUUCCCUUUAGAUGACCUAGGCAACCCCAUCACGAAAUCCAUAGAGAUGUGCUCCCACUUCCAUUCCGGUAUCUCCAAAGGUUGUAACAACCCUGAUGGUCUUUGGUGUUCAGCCUUAACUUGCUGACACACUAGACAUUGGGACACAAACUGAGCUAUGUCAUGUUUCAUAUUAUUUCACUAAAAACUUCCUUUCAAAUAUUUAUACAUCUUAGUACCUCCAUGAUGUAUAGUGAAUCGAGACCCAUGUGCUUCCUCCAAGAUCUCUCGUUUUAGAUCAAGAUCAUUUGGGGCACAAUCUAUUUUUAAAACGUAAUGUGCCAUCCUCAUGAAGAUUAAACUCUGACCGUAAACCAUUAUGCACUUUUGUCUUAAUUCUGUCUAACUCACUAUCUUCUUCUUGUGUAAAUUUUAUCUUUUCGAUCAAAGUUGGUUGAACCAUCAAACUAGCCAUAACAACACAUUUUCCCUGUAUAAUCACCUCGAUUGCUGCGUAUCAAGUUCCUCCAACAAUUUUGGUUGCAAAGUAAGCAAAGCAGCUAUACUUCUAAUGAACUUUCUACUAAAAGCAUCAGUAACUACAUUAGCUUUGCCCGGAUGAUAAUUGACGGUCAAAUCAUAAUCUUUGAUUAAUUCCAACCAUCUUCUCUGUCUCAUGUUCAACUAUUUUUGUGUAAACAGAUACUUUAAACUCUUUGAUCCGUAUAAAUUGCACAAGGCUCUCCAUACAAAUAAUGUCUCCAUAUUUUCAAAGCAAACACAAUGGCAGCUAACUCUAAGUCAUGAGUCGGAUAAUUCUGCUCGUAGGUUUUUAAUUACCUAGAAGCAUAAGCAAUUAUCUUAUCAUUCUGCAUUAACACACAACCCAACCCCUUCUUGGAAGCAUCACUAUAAAUGGUAAAACUACCAAUAUCAGAAGGUAAAGUAAGGAUAGGUGCUAACACCAAUCGUUGCUUUAGCUCUUGAAAACUCUAUUCACAUUCUUUAGUCCAUUCAAAUUUUGCUCGCUUUUGAGUUAAACAAGUCAAUGGCACAGCAAUUUGAGAAAACCCCUCAACAAAUCUUCUAUAAUAACCUGCCAAGCCUACAAAACUUCUUAUUUCUGUCACAUUUGUCGGGCAAGGCCAAUUCACCACUGCCUCAAUCUUUUUCGAAUCAACUGAAAUCCCAUCUUCAGAAAUAACAUGACCAAGAAAACUAAUACUUGUCAACCAAAAUUCACAUUUGCUAAACUUUACGAAGAGUUGUUUAUCUCGCAAGAUCUGAAAUACAAUCUUCAAAUGUUUCUCAUGUUUCCCAUCACUCUUAGAAUAAAUAAGAAUGUCAUCAAUAAAAAUAACAACAAAUUGAUCCAAAUACUGUUUAAAAAUUCUAUUCAUCAAGUUCAUGAAUGUAACAGGUGCAUUUGUUAAUCCAAAAGGCAUAACCAAAAAUUCAUAAUGGCCAUACCUAGUUCGAAAAGCAGUCUUGGAUAUAUCACCUGCCUUAAUCUUCAACUGAUGAUAUCCAGACCGUAAAUCAAUCUUUGAAAAGACCUUUGCUCCUUAUAACUGAUCAAACAAGUCAUCAAUUCGAGGAAGAGGAUAUUUAUUCUUCAUAGUCACUUUAUUUAACUCCCUCUAAUCAAUGCAUAAGCGCAAACUCCCAUCUUUCUUUUUAACAAACAAUACAGAAGCUUCUCAAGGUGACACACUAGGACGAAUAAACUUUUUCUCUAAUAGUUCUUGGAGUUGCACAUUUAAUUCACGUAACUCAGAUGGAGCCAUGCGAUGAGGAGACUUAGAUAUUGAUCCAGUUUCAGGGAUAAGAUCGAUUUCAAAUUCAAUUUCUCGAUUAAGAGGUAAGCCAGGCAAAUCCUCAGAAAAAAUAUUAAAAAAAUCUCUAACAAUCGAAAUAUCUUAUAAUCGUGAGCCUACAUUCAUUUGAGUGUCUUUCAUAUAGGCGAGGUAGCCUAGACACCCUUUCUUUAGAGAUUGCAUGGCACUUGAGAUUGACACAAUCUGACACGAAAUGCUUAAAUGAUGACCUUCAUAUACAAGUUCUUAUUGUCCUGGACACUGAAACACUACUCUCUUUCUGUAGCAAUCAAUAACUGCAUGAUGUAUAGAUAACCAAUUCAUCACUUCUCCUGUCAAUUCUUUUCCUUCGACCCACAAGGUCUGCCAAUGUCUCAUUUUUACCACUCAUUCUUACCUAAUUUAAUACCAAUAAAAAAAUCGUAAGCGAUCAAAAUAAAAUAAUUGAAUCUUAUCAGUGUAAAUGCUAAGAAUACUUAAGUUUUACACUAACUAUAACUCAAUUUUUUCAUUUCUUGGAUCUUAAAUCUUCGCUCUGAUACCAAUUUUGUCACGUCCCGAAUCGAGGCAUAAUACGAUCGUAUUACCUUGAAGUAAAACCCUAAAGCAAUACGAAGCCUAAUCCAUAACCAUUGAACAACUCUAAAAUAUAAAAGGUUCUCAUUAAGUAACAUAGCUAGAUAACAAGUCUCCAAAGAUUCAAAGUAGAGUAUUACAACUAAAAUAAAUAAUACUUCAUAAAAUCUUAUAUUUCUAAGUAGUUCUCCAAUGCUCGAUUCUUCUAGCUUUUCUCAAGCUAAUCAUACUUAUCAUUCGAUCAGAAGAAGGUAAGUAUAAUCUCACACACUUUGCUUGUUUUCGAAUCCAUAUAUAUAUAUAUAUGUAUGUUUCUAAAUGAAUGAAUAUUUUAUUUCAUUAUUUUUGAUGUAUGAAAAUAGGAUCAAGCAUAUGAUUAUUUUACGUUUCUCUAUAGAAAUGAUGGAUCAUGCUUAUGAAUGAAAUGAGAAAAUGAUUUAUGUUUAAAGAAUGAUUUUAUGAUAGCUACGUUUUUAUAUUCCUGGAAAGUGAGAUCAUCGACACCAGAACUAGUUCUACGACCCUGGCUAACAGAUAAUAGUAGUUAGCAAAGACAUGAUCAUACGACCCUGGCUAACGGGUAAUAGUAGUUAGCGUAAGCCCUGACUAACGGGUUAUAAUAGUUAGCAAUGAUUAUGAGAAUGAAAUUAUCGAUACGACCAAUGUCACGGGUUAUAGUAGUGACCGUAGCUAACGAUUUGAAUGAUGAUGAUGAUUUACGAUGAUUUUUAAUGAUUGAUCCAUGAUUUGGUUUGCCUAUGAUAUUUGAAUGAUAACAUAUUUUACAAUGAUUUAUGAAUUUAUGAAAUGUUUGACAAAAUGAUGAUAUUGAGAUGUUUUGACAUUAUGAUUUGAUAAAUGUUUUGAAUGAUCUAUAUGACAUGUAUGUAAAUAAUGUUUGAUCCGAUAAGGUGUGUGAGCCUUUACUUACUGAGCUGUGAUUUGUUCAUUCCCUAUUUACUUUUCUUUUACAGAUGUUAUGAAUGAUAAGUAUGAUUAGCUUGAGAAAAGCUAGAAGAAUCGAGCAUUGGAGAACUACUUAGAAAUAUAAGAUUUUAUGAAGUAUUAUUUAUUUUAGUUGUAAUACUCUACUUUGAAUCUUUGGAGACUUGUUAUCUAGCUAUGUUACUUAAUGAGAACCUUUUAUAUUUUAGAGUUGUUCAAUGGUUAUGGAUUAGGCUUCGUAUUGCUUUAGGGUUUUACUUCAAGAUAAUACGGUCGUGUUAUGCCUUGAUUCGGGGCGUGACACUACUCUAACUAAGAAUUUAGUUCCAUCCGUAUAGGUUUUGCAUAAUUAUCAUCUAAGCAUGGGCAAGGGCAUUAUUGGGUACAGUGAGCAUCCAAGUGAGAUUUCCACCAUUUAAUUGAUACUGUAGCUAUUGAAUCAAUAGUGAAGGAGAAGAAAGAAGAAUCUAAGGCUGAUUUACUAGUUUUUUAUUAAAAAAGGCUCUCUCUUAAACAAGAGAUACAAGAAUAAAGUACCCCCAGACCUACGAUGCAAGAGUUUAAUCACAAGGAUUCAACCACCUGGUCGACCCAGAAAGAAAGGAACAUUGAUUACCGACUUUGGCACCUUAACUAUCUGUAGAUUGACAUCUCUCCUUGUGGGGCAUACAUCAGAAAAAGAACAAAUUUAGAAAAGAGAUAGAUCCCAACCCACUGAGCGAAGUAAAUUGUCUCACUUGUAUGUCGAUUAAGCUUUUUAUGGCAGGAUUGAAAGAUCUUCCACCACCCUGUUUCGCUUAGCCUCAUAGGAUUUUUUUGAUAAUUUCGUUCACUUUCUCUUUCCAUUAGAUUGUUAGGCUUUUUAAAUCCUUAAUGAACCAUUGGAUUUAAACGAAGAGAAAGGUCGUCUUAGUGAAAGAGCUAGCUCUAACUACAAAUAUCUUUGUAUUCAUAGUCUCCUAUCUUGGUCUCCUUCAAAAAGCUAAUAAACUUCAUGCACAAAUCCAAUACCUGGCUAAGGUAGGAUCAUGUUUGCUUUACGCAAUUCAAGUAUUAUUAUAUUGGUUAAAAUAAAACAAUCGGGGCAGAGCCUGGUAACUGCUUUCUUCUUUAAAGGACAUCCAAUGCCCACAUCCAUUGAAUAGGUCCUUCACAAUUUGAAUUUUGCUUUCUGUUAUUGCUCAUAUCGAAGUUGUUUAAUCAUUUAUGCAGUAUCAAUAAGAUGCAUAGCUCGUUUCAAUAAUUGACCAAAAGACAUGUAUGUAGAAUGUUAGCUACAAGAAGCUGUUGGUGGGAUCCACUAAGAUCAGAUUAGCUGAACAAAUAAAUGGGGUAGAAGCUAUUCAAAAAGUCUCAUGUAAGGACGUGAUAGAUCCGUUAUAUCCGUCAGAGCAUAUGCACAAGAAGUGUUAAGGCGAUGAUUGGCCCAAAAGUCAAAUAAAGUUUUGAUAAGAAUUAGUAAGACCUGCCUUACGAAUUGUCUCACCUGAGGCGAGAACUUGAAUCUAGUAGGAUGGGUACUUUCUUUUAUACUAAUCGGCUCAUGACGAGUUACUUUCGAGUUAUCCAUCUAUUUAUUACAACGAUUAGAUGACAAUCUUCCCUUCCUCUUUUUAAGGAGGCAAAAAACCUCUCAACCUCACUCCUAGAAUGAAGUAGUAAGAACCGGGGGCGAAAGAUGAAAGUUUGAUAAACCAAGAAUACUAUGACGGUGAAGAGCCUGAAUUAUAUAUAUCACUUCCUUCUUCUGAAAAAAGAAUUGCUCAAAAGCUUGAUGAAGAAACAAAAAGAGUGUUUUUUCUUAACCGCAUAAGCAAAAUGGAAACAAAAAUGCCUAUAAAACAAACUAACCUCUGGUCGAGACUAAGUCUUCGAUAGAAAAGCUCUGUUACACACCAACCCCUUAUCUUUACCUUUAUCGUCUUUUACCUCCUACCUCAGUCCUUUGCUGGCAUGGCUUGAAUGAGAGAAAAUGGAUGGCCAACGAUGUCUAUUACAGGAAUUCAAUUCUUCCAAAGAAACUAAAACCAAUACUUUCUCUAAUCCAACAGAGAAAAAAAAAAAAAAGAGUUGUGCUGCUGCAUCAUUCUUCAAUUGAUCGAUGGCAUUUCCCAAAGGAGAGGAUGGAGUGCUAUAUACAAAAGGACAGGUGCCCUUAUUGAUGUUCCCAAUAGUGGUGGACACUCUUUUUGCAUAGAAGCUUUGAAACCUCACGAUGGCUAUCAAGAAGGUCAGGUGAUGCGGUAAUGAGGUUGACUAGAUAGGGGAGGCUUGCGUCUAAAUAAGGCUCGACAGAGACCUAUUCUUAUUCUUAUUAUUCUAUAUUAUACUAGAAUAAAAUAAAGUGAGCUCAAUCAGAGUAGUAUUUUUGUCAUGGCCCAAGAUCAAGACGUAACACGGCCAUAUUACUUUGAAGAAAAUCUCAAAGUAAUACGAAGCCUUCUUUCUUAAACAUUCUAAAAUUCUUCAAUAAAAUAAUCUACUAAGUAAAAUUCAUAUCUUUAAUCCAACUGAUGAUAUAUCUUUAUAUAUCCAAAUACAAAUCAUAUAAAAUAUAAAACUGCCUCUUAAAAUCUUAUUGACCAACAUAUUCUUCGAAGAUUAAGUAAUCGUACCCAAUUCAUCUUCUAGCUUUACAUAAGACUAAUCAAACUUAUCACUUAGUCAUCUGUAAAAAAAAAAGUAAAAGGAAAUGAGCAAACCACAGCUCAGUAAGUAUAGGCUCACACACUUUACCAGAUCAAGCAUCAUUUUCUUACACAUCAUAUAGAUCAUUCAAAAUAUUCAUCAAAUCAUAAUAUCAAAACAUUUCAAGAUUAUCGUUUUGUCAAAUAUUUCAUAAAUUCAUAAAUCAAUAUCAAAAUAUGUCACUUCAUAAAUCAUUGUAAAAUAUGAUAUCAUUCAAAUAUCAUAAUCAAACCAAAUCAUGGAUUAAUAAUUAAAAUCAUCAUAAAUCAUUAUUAUCAUUCAAAUCAUUAGCUACGGUUACUGUUAUAACCCGUGACAUUGACCGUAUCGACAAUUUCAUUCUCAUGAUCAUUGCUAACUAUUAUAACCCGUUAACCAGGGCUUACGUUAACUACUAUUACCCGUUAGCCAGGGUCGUAUGAUCAUGUCUUUGCUAACUACUAUUACCCGUUAGCCAGGGUCAUAGAACUAAUUCUGGUGUCGGUGAUCCCACUUCCCAGAGAUAUAAAAACGUAGCUAUCAUAAAAUCAUUCUUUAAACAUAAAUCAUUUUUUCAUUUCAUUCAUAAGCAUGAUCCAUCAUUUAUAUAGAGAAAUACAAAAUAAUCAUAUGCUUGAUCUUAUUUUCAUACACUGAAAAUAAUGAAAUAAAACAUUCUUUCAUUUAGAAACAUAUAUAUAUAUACAUAGAUUCGAAAACAAACAAAGUGUGUGAGAUCUACUUACCUCCAUUUGAUUCCACCACUUAGUUUUUCCCCUAAAAUAAUUAAUGGCCUAUCCAAGAUCAUUUCAACAGAUCAGAAUUUAAUCAACCCUUUUUUAGACCAUUUAUACAAAAAUCAACUAAGUUACACAAGAGUUAACUUAACUAAUUAAUACUGACAGCCUGACCUCUUUUCAUUAAAAUAGUCAUGUCUCAACAUAUCCAAAUCGAAAUUAUGAUCUCUUUAAUACGUUAGAAACUAGACUUGAUAAGCUUUCUAAUCAUAUAUGGCACACAUCGUAAUUUUUUGUAGAUUAAUUAUAACAAAUUUUGAAAUUCACGUCAUAUACUGUUGCCAAAUAGCCUGUAUACCUUUUAAUAAAAACUAUAUAUUUAUUUACAGGAAACUCCAAAUUCAAUUCCGCUUAUUUCAUUGGAAAGUAGACUCAAUAAGCUUUCCAAAAAUAUAUGGCUUAAUAUGUAAAUCUUUGUAUACAAAUUAAAAAGAAUUUCGUAAUUCAACCCUGAUGCUAUUGUCUUACAGCUUGCAUAUCUUUAAGUUAAAAUUAGACAACUUUUCAUAGAAAACUCGGAUUUAACUUUCAUAUGUUUCAUUAGAAACUAGAUUCAACAUGCUUUCCAAUGAUAUAUAAUAAUCACAGCAAUAAUCUAUCCAUUAAUGUAAAAUUCUAUUUUAAUUCAUUAUUACAGAUCACAACAUCUCAUCUAAAAAUAAAAUUUCUCCUUUAAUCUUUAAAAACUCAAAUUUUUACUUUCAGCCUUCAAACUCCAUUCAAUAAUCAUCAAUAAAUCUUAAGAACAUGAAAUAAACAAAGCUCAGUAAUUUAUCCAAAUAGAUCAUCAAAAUUAAUGAAGGAUUUUAUGAUUUUUUUUUGUUUUUCUUUCAAAACUUCAACUCCAAAUAAUAGCAAUCAAUUUGAUAUUUCUUCUUAAAUAAAAAUAGGGCAUGUCCUUACCUUUAAGGGAUUAACUUGAUUGUAGCCUCUGAUUGCGAAUCUCAAACUUGAUUUUUCAUAUUCUCUAACCUUAAGGAAGAUGAGAAAGAAGAACUCUAUUUUCUUUCUGUUUUAUAAUUAGAUUUUUUUUCAUCUAAUAUUUUAUUUUAUUUUUUUACUAAAUAAUGUUUUAAUAAAUUUAUGAACUUUAACAUUAAUUUAAUCUAAUUAUUAUUUGAGUUUGAAGUAUUACAAUUAUUUUUCAUUAUCUACUAAGCAAUCCGAGUACUAUUUGCUUUCCAAAACUGUACUAACUCAUAAGUGCAAACACCCACGAGGCUAUCUUUCUAGGGCGGCCCCCUUUUCGAUCCCUGUUCUCGCUAGAGGAGGAGCAGCAGGCCCUAAGCUGUGUGACGGGGUCAUGAAAAAGAAAAGAAUAUGCUUAGGCAGGCGCAUAAACGUAGAAUGCAGACACUGAAUCAAGAGACGCAAAUAAAGAAAAUCAAUUUAUUUUUAUUUAUCCUAUCUGCUCACUCAGGUCAUCGAUAAGGCAUCCAAACCAACGAGUUCGUGCACCAGCCGCCAAUGUGUUUUGAUGUUAUUCCUCAUUGCAAGUCAAAGGAAAGCGAUCGAGGAGAGGAUUCUUAGCUUGAAUGCGCCACGAGUGACGGAUGGUUGAAUCGCACCUACUACGAAAGUAGCCAUGGAUGUGAUGAGUGGAGGAAUGGCUAAACCGACCAACCAUUUAUAUAAAGAAUAUACUCUAAUUUACAAAUCAAAUAAGGGAUAUAGAAUUCUUCUCUAUCGUCUUUCAACCUUUGCUCUUGCCUUGGCUUCGCCUUCCACCUUAUUAAGCUUUGGACUUCCACCUUCAGUUAAGCACCUAACCCGUGGGACGGGACCUUUGGUCUAGCCUUUUUUCGGGUAUGGGAUCGACCUUCUCUUUUUCCCUGUCUCUCGCGCCGAUAUUGGUGGCUGAACCAUCUCCCCCCCCCCCCCCGUCAGAUUGGUUCUCUCUCUCCAAUUAGGAAAGGCUGAUAAGAAAUCGUAUCAAAUACUAUUCCCCGCUUAUCCAUCGGAGAGAGGAACUGUCCUAGCUGAGCUUUAACUCCUCGAUUCAAGAAGAGCUCGGGGAUAGGAGGAGAAUAAGAGGUUAGCAAAGUACGAACGUUUUCCAAGCGAGCCAUAGGAGUCUAGGUUUUGCGAGCUAGUCCGAAAAAGAGGCAAGCCUAUUUAAAUUAAAGGUUUAGGUCCAAUCAUUCUCCCCAUGUGCUAUCGGGCGUGGGGAUUAGGGCAUAACUACCGUUGUUUAAGGGUAUGAGGAAUGGGGUGGUUAAGAAAAAAAAGGUUAGCCGAGGUCUUACUAAGAAAAUGUCCUAUUAUUGACUUAUUGACUUAAAGCUUUGUCCUAUACCGAUAAGAUAGCGAGGUUAAUCGUUAAUAUCCACGUAGGUAGGAGAUUGCCCGUAUAUGCUCUUCGAGAAGUAGCGACUAUAUUAAUAAGCUGAGAAUGCUACCUUAACUUGUGUUCAUGCAAGCGCUACUCCGAAGGUUGUCAUCAUAGGAUUGAAGAGUUCAGCCAAUUGUCCGGUUUGGUUCAUUUGUCUUCCUAGUAUAUCUCAUACCGCCAUCCAUCCUUGGCCUAGUCCCAGAGCACUACUAAUAGCCACCACAUGAACUCGAGACGAUGGAGGGCUCGGGUGUCCUAAAAACGAGGGAUUUGAAAGAAAAAAGUCAGCUCUUAUCGGUUAGAGAACGAAUUAUUUGUUUGAAGCAUGUGACUUUGAGUGACUUGUAUCAGACGAGUUAGCCUUCCUUCAGAUAAACGAUUAGGCAGGAUGAAGCCCCGAGCUUUUACCAUGUCUUCUGAACACGAACUCUUAACUUAGAAAUUGCGAAAAGAAGGACAUAUAAUGGUGAGUCGAAUCAUGUGCAGUAGACUUUCCGUCAGACUUGACGUGCUUCACAAAUUCCUUUCGGUUGGUUCUUUCCGGGUGUAGAGACAGACAAUCCCAUGUGUUUGUGUACCAAGAAUUCUCAAAGCUUUUUCUAAGACAUGUUUUGGACAUCACUAGGACCAGAAGUCUUAAUUUUUGCUUGAGACGAAGGUAGGAAAGGGCUCAGGGUGCAGAAUAGGUAUUUGGCUUGGCUUGUUGUAGGGCAGUUUGGAAAGAAAAGACGGAGAAGCUACAGAAGGAGAAAAAGAAGCUAGGUUCGUUCGAACAGUAGUAGAAAGAGAAAGAAUACAACCAUAAGAGUUACAUCUCGCUCAUGUGGGAAAGCCGCUUAUUCCAUAAUUCAGUGGAGGAGUCCUUAGCUGCAUUCACCAUCCCCUUCGGACUCUCUCCCCUUUCGUCAUAAGGCGUGGUUCAGUCAUUGCCGUUCCAGGCUCCCGAUUAGGAUAAGCCCUUAUGCAUGGGGCAGGUGGUAGCAGUGCAACACUAUACAACUCUGAUCAUUUAUUAAGUUCAAUGAAUAAUAAAUAGUGCUUGCACAGCCAAUUCCUAAUCCUGCAGAGUCCGUUCGAGAACCAGUACCCGCGUAUCCAUGUAUUCUAAGCUAAGCUCUUUGCCCUGACAACAUAAGAUUGCUUUCGUGAAGCUCCAGCAACUUUCCACUCAAAUAAUCAGAGGAUUCGGUGACAAUGAGUUUUCCCAGUCCAGUCCGAAUCUCAUUCUCUUUGUUUUGUCUCUGUGGCUGCUAGAAAGAUAAGUGAAGCUUCUUUUUCGACAUUGACAUGAAGACCCCCAACUAAGCUAAGCGGCAAGCUUAUAAAGCAAGAUUCUCCGCAUCCUGAAUACUUGUUUUGUUUGAAGCCUAGUUUCCUUCUCUCGAGGGAAGAAACUGCGCCAUCCCCAUCUCCUACUGAAAGCGAAGGGGAGAAAAAAAAAGAAAAGCUUACUACUAGGUUGACUCUACGAAUGGGAAGAAAAAAUAGAAUAAGCUUAGAACUAGGAUUCCUCUCUCUAGGCAUUCUAGAACACCCCUCUUCGGGAUAACUUAUAGACUAUUAGUAACACAAGGAAUGUUUACAGACAGAAGAUCCAGUAACUGAUAGGAAAUCUAUAUAGGUUUUGCCAUAUACAGAAAGAAAGCAAACAAAGAAAGACAAGCUUGACUUCUGAUAUCACAAGCUUACGAAGCUGACUAUUUCAAUCAUUUAAUAUUUAUCUAAAGACAGACCAAUGACACCCAAGCUUACGGUUACUCUUUUAUUGUAAUCUUUUAUUGUAAAGUAAAGGCUUCUUGGCCGCUACACUAGGCUGCUUACUGUUCUCAUUAGUAUUCAUCCUAUAAUCGUGGGUCAAACCUUCCAGUUGAGCUUCUUCCUCUAGGUUACCCCUUCCAGAAUGUAAGGAUCAGUGGCAUCUUACUAUUUCAAGAAAAGACCAGCGACAUCCGAAGCUGGCUAUUCAGAUAGAAAGAAAGGGUAGAAAAACUCUUUUCUUUUCCGUUAAAAGAUAGGCUUCUCUCUAGGCUUAAGGGCCUUAAUCUUCUGGUUUUCACUAUUUUCAUUACUAUUCUUCCAGCUAGGUUGACCCUUCAGGUCUAGGAACGGGCGGCAAAGCCCCCAAAGAAAGGAACUCAAACCCAGUUUCCCCCGCCUUUCCUCUUAUGGAGGUAAUCUUCUAGCUACAAAAAGGAAGAAGCUUUUCUAAAACAGAAAGGGUUUUAAGGGAAGCUUUGGAGCUCAGUUUCCUCUCCCAGUAGUUUUAGGUAAGGCCCUCAAACAAAGACAAUAAAGAAAGACAAGGGAACAUCCAUACUGACUAGAAAUCUCUUGCGAAUCAUCCCCUUCAGGAUAGUGUCCCCGGGGUGCAUUCGUAAUCAAAGUCUCAAAAAAAGUUAGAUGUUAUAUUCCCUUUAGGCCUCCCAUUCUACGUUCCACUAGAAGUCUUAUAGCUAUCCCAGAACGGUAAAAUUUAAAGGCAAGCAAGAAAAAAAGGACUAAUUUCAGCUCUCACUGACUAUUCUACUCUAGGCUUCUUAAAAGGCUUAAUCUCAUCGUCAAUAGAGUUUCAAGUUGGUCAACAGGCCUCAACCGACAGAAUCUCUAGUUUAAAUUGGGCCCUCGUUUCUUUUAAAAGGCCUUUUUCGAAGUGAACGCCGGAGAAGGCAAAUCAAAAAAAAGAAAAAUUCCUCUCGAUUUCUUGCCUUGUUCAAGUUUCCCCAAAAGGAUGUACGCCAGUAAAUCGGCUCCCCAAAAGUAAAAUGUCAACGCUUCCAAAUGAAAUCAGCCUGAAAAAAAGAAGCGAAGUCUUCAACUAAACCGGUGGUGCCAUCUCUGCGCUUACUUCCGUUCCGAUUCGAGAGGCUUCUUCCGACUAUUCUAUUUUUGGGCGGCUUGCCGCUUACUCUCAGAGUGUAGAGUGACUCUUCUCCGGAAGCUUCUAGCCAGUCUGGUCUGACUAUUUAUUCUAAAUAGAUAGGGGUCAAACAAAUACCGGAACAGCGGGCAAAGCAGUCCUUUCUUCAACCACUAUUGUGGUAGGAACACAUUCUUCGAGCGGGAGAACAUUCUGACUUGAAAUAAAGUCUAGGCUAGCUGCAGUGCCAUCUUAAUCUUAUAGUUGUUUUCACUUUUCUAGUUGGAGUUGAUUCCUACUCUCGAACGGAAAGCAAGUAAGCCUUUAAAGCUUUGAAUAUUCGACUCGAAAUCUUGCUUCUAGCUUUGGGCACGUAAACAGAAAUAGCACAUAUAAAGGAAUUCAGGUACCUCAUACCUGUUUCACUAGUCGGUUAGACUAAAAUUCUCACCAAUUAAUAAGUACACUGAGGUAUCAUAGCUCCGUAACAUAACGUAUGUAGCAAUUGUUUAUCAAUUUCAUUUGCCUAUUCCCAUCAGAAGCUAAAACCAAUGGCAUGGGUCAUCUUCCUACGCAUCGAUCAAUCAGGCAUCACUACUAGUUUUGAGCUCCACGGAGACGGAGCGCGGUAAUCAUUCGAUUUCGUCCCGAGUUUUUUUUUUGCCUACUGUGUAGAUUCAGGUACGUAUUGUCUUGGUCUUUUUCUCCUCUUUAUCUUUUGACUGACUGGAUACUUUAAGUGUGGGGCGAUAGCAAGACAGAGGUGAUGGCUAUUCACAAGAUUAGCAAUUGAAAUAGGACUGAGGUCCACAAAAACAAAAAAGCCUCUCACUCGGAACCGCUUAGCAAACUCGGCUGAGCGGAGAUCAACGACUUUUGGGUCGAGAUCGUGACCCCCAAAUCUUGUAAAGCUAGCUUAUAGACUUUAGCUACAGACUCAUCAGCUAUGAGUAUAUCAUCACCGAGUACUGCAUACCUAAUAAAGUACCUGGGUACACCUAUUUGGCCAACCACCGCACCACAUAAUGGUGAGUGAGGGCAAAGACAGGCCACGAUGCAUAAUAACCGAAAAUGCCCGCUCCUUCGUCGUUGGGAUUUUCUAUUUUUUUUGUUGGAAAAAAGAAGCAGCCAUAAGCCAGGCUCAGAACUAAGAAGAAAAGCAAAUACAAAGAAGUCUCAUUAGACCUUUUAAAAACGAAGAAAUAUGCCAUUUGAAGUGAUCGAAAACCUUAUUUACUUCUAUAAUAAUUCGAAUUCUCGUCUUCAAAGGUUAAGGUCCAGUCGUCCGUCCAGUUUCAGCAAUGUAAGGUCCCAUGAACCUUCAGCCACAAGCCUUCUUUCGUCAAAUAGAACGAAUCGUUGGGUUCCACCCGGAGACGAAAGCCUACUUUUUGUCUUGUCCUGUAGUGGUCUAGCCCUGCUUCUUGUUCCGCCCCUGCGGAUAUAUACCUAUUUUUAUCAGAUUCGUCUUACGCUUUAAACAUUGGAGCACUUUCUAAAGCCAAAACUUGGUUUGUCACACUCGCUUCGGUGGGUGUAAACUCACCACUGUAGCAUCAAAACCAAAAGCUCCUGUUCCCCCCUAAUCUUAAGUUAAGAAUCCGAAGCUUAAGCCAAAUCUGAAGCUAGAAAAGAGGGGAAUAAAUGAUUCCAGUAGCCAAGCCAAUAUGGGGUCUAUAACCACAAUAAGAAUACCCGUGAUCCGGGGCAUUCCGCAGUUAAAGUUGAUGAUUUGUUUUCAAAUUUUUCGUCCGUCUGUGUGAAAAGGGGAAAAGUAUGUAAGAUCCGAUCCACCUUAAGUUACGUGGCCUGAGCCUGUUCCUAAAGCAUAGGCUAUAGUACCAAAUCCAAGGUAUAAAGAAGCCUAAGCCGACGCCGAAUCUGCACCUGCAGAAUAAAAAUAAUCUUCAAAAUCAGAAAAUGAAUAGUACGUAAAGAAAGGGCUUUUUGAUCCCCGAUCUGAGUCUCGUCUUUCGAAGGGUCUCGUUCCGUUCAUAUGCCGCUCAUUUGUAGCAGGGUUUUUGUAUGUUUUAGAUAAGUAAGACAAGCGCUUCAUUACGCGUGAUUCUAAUUCUAGCAUAUGCUCAGCUGCUCCUACCAAACAUUAAAGGCAAAAGGAUGCUUAUCUGGAUCUGGAUCAGCCUACUUCUUCUAUGUUACGUCCGUCCCCUUGUAUUCAGUAGGUCAGGGAGGUACCCGCCCGCGCUUUUUCUUACCCGGAAACACGUCGCUAGCCUAAGGCAGGCUUCGCUAUCCUCCCGAAGCUGUCAUUUUCCAAUGUAAUGGUUUUUCACUUAUAUGGGUACAAGGGGCUUUACUAUAUUUUACUUUAUGUAAUUAAGUUUAGCUGUAGUUAGAGUGGGUCGAUCUAGCCGCCUUAAUUGACCCGGUUGAAGAUCACAUUACUAAAUCCGAAUGAUGAUUUCAUAAUCAAUCAUAGAGGUGUGAAAUGGCAUCUUUUCAGAAGUCAGAUAGACCGUUGGAAGGUUAGCGCACAUCAUUUUUCUAUUUAGCUCCGAAGGCAACCCGUCGCGCCCUCGUCGCGGCGUUAGCAGCCAUUGACGAUGUAUUGAAGACUAAGCGAGCCGGCCUAGAACGGAGCACAUGCUACUUCUUCGAAAUCGCGAACACCUUACCUUUCUUCUUUUCUUAGUCUGAUCCGGACACUCCAGACCUCGGUUCUUGGCUUUGAUCCAAUUCCGAAGCUCGUUUGCUCACUAGCCGAUGUUAUUUUCAAUUUUAUUAGUUAGAAAAAAAAGUAUUGAGAUACCGUACCGCCUUAAACAAGCGCCAGGAAAAUAGAGCUUACCGCGCUGAGUUACGUCGUAGGCGAAGCUUUCGAUUCGACAAAUGGUUGAUGCUCUUAUGCAUUUAAAUUGUUGAGCUCAUGUUUUUAGGAUCAGUAGGUCGGGUGUCAUGGGCUAAGCUUUCUCUUAAUAAGUGAUAGAUCAUAUGGACGCUCCCACUUAAGUCAGCCAACAAUAACUCGAUAUCUGAACAAGUAACCAUAAGUCACAGUUAAUCUCAAGCAUACACAAGAAGACAUAUUUAUAUCAAGAGAAAAAAAAAUACAUCAAGACAACACUCGAGACUUUCGAAUAAAAGAUGUAUUUUAUUAUUAUCGAAAAUAAUACAUCGAAACUUCACACCAUCGUCGGGGCCAGGGGGUAGCCCUUGACGAGUGGCCUACUUUUGUACCUUAACCAAUGAGACAGCCCAAUAGUAUGUUGACUGCUCAACUCCCUAAAGAGCAACUGAGAUUUUAUAGCUAUGUUACCACUAACCAUUACAAUGUUUGAAAUGGGUAUACUUUUUCUAGCCUAAGGGGUUUAUCCUUCCCUUUGGCACCUCUACCUGGUCAUGGCCCUAUACAUGAGUGGCACAUGAUUACCUAAACCCGAUCAUGGCCCUAUAUAAAAGCGUUGUCUCAUGACAUCCUCCCCCACCUAUUCUAUCGAUGACUGCAUCGAUUUGUUAGCUUGAAAUUCUUCAAUCUUCCUCUUGAAUACCCGAAGGUCGUGCUCUAUCUCUCAGCUAGUUUCUUCUGAUCCUAAGCCCUCCCAUUUCACUUAAUAUUUGUGAACUAAUCUUUUUGAUACUCUGGAUACUCUGUCGGCUAGGAUCUCUUCAACGUGGUGCUCUGAUGGUGGCUUCAUGGUGAUGGCAACCCUGGUUGACUCCUUGUGACUUGCAUCUCUUGGAUUUGCAUAGAAAGGUUUCAAGUUGCUCACAUGGAAUACUGGGUGUACUUUCAUCCAUUUUGGUGGGUUUAUUUUGUAGGCAGCAUUUCCCACCUUGAUAAUGAUCUUCACUAGGCCCUCAUACUUUCACACCAAUCUACAGUCUUGCUUUUUCAGGAACCUAGUUUGUUCGGGCACUAAUCUGACUACAACGAGAUCACCAACUUGGAAUUGUUGUGCUCUCCGACCUUUGUCUGCCCACUUCUUCAUGCACUAGGAUGCCUUUUCUAGGUAAGCUCGUACAAUCUCUGUGUUCUGUUUCUAUUCUUUACUGAGGUUGAAGGCUUGAGGAUUCUUUCUUCCAUAUUGCUUAAAAGAGGUAUAGGGUAGUCUUGGUAGUUGUUCUGUGACCACCUCGAACGGACUUUUGUUGGUGGAAGAGUUCUUAUUGGAAUUGAAACAGAGUUGGGUAAUGUCUAGUAACGAAGGCUAGUUCUUCUGAUUGGCUUGAACAAAGUGCCUUAAGAACUCUUCCAAUAGCCCAUUGAACCGUUCAGUUUGUCCAUCUGUUUGAGGGUGAUAGCUUGAAGAAAUAUUGAGUUAAGAUCCCAAAAUCUUGAAAAGUUCUUUCCAAAAUGAUCCCGUGAAUCUUGGAUCCGUGUCACUGACAAUGUUUUGAGGAAGGCCCCAAUACUUGAUCACAUGUUUAAACAUUAGUUGAGCUGUAUCUUUCGCAAUACAAAACUUAAGGACGUGAAUGAAUGUAGCAUACUUCGAGAAACGGUCAAUAACCACCAAGAUCGACCCAAGAUCACCCACUUUAGGAAAAUUUGAUAUGAAAUCAAGAGAGAUGGUUUUCCAUGAUUGGGUGGGCACUGGUAAUGGUUCGAGCAAGCUUGCUAGUUUAUUCUUUUCAACUUUAUCAUGUUGGUAAAUAAGACACAUCUUGUUGUAGUCCAUCACAUAUUGUCACAUGCGAGGCCAAUAGUAGCCUUGUUUUAAUAGAGUAAAAGUACGUUGCCAACCUGAGUGACCUGCCCAUGGUGUGUUGUGGCAUUCCUUCAUCAGCAUUUGUCUCAAACCUCCUGCUUUUGGCACAAACAAUCAAGGGCCCUUUGUCCAUAAGACCAUAAGUACUUCGACUUCCUUUCUUCAACUAAUUUUAGAAUGGCACCGACCUGUGGGUCCUUUCCCAAAUUCUUUUCAAUUAACUUACGAAUGUUUGUUGUAACUUUGCUAGCUGUCAUUGGGGUAAUUUUUCUCAGGGUCACUAAUUCUACUCGUCGGCUCAAUGCAUCAACCACUUGAUUGGUUGUUCCCGCAAUGUGUUCUCAAAGCAAAAAUCAAACUCAGCUAAAAAUUCUUGCCAUUGAGUUUGCUUCGCUGUGAGCCUUGGUUGGGUGAGAAAGUGACUAACUGUCGCAUUGUCUGUCUUUACUACAAAGUGUGAGCCCAACAAAUAAUGUCACCAAGUUCUCAAACAGUGAAUUACUGCUAGGAGUUCUUUCUCUUGGGCUGUAUAUUUUCUCUCAACUUCACUUAGCUUUCUACUUUCAAAUACUAUUGAGUACCGCGCUUGUAGGAGAACUCCCCCAAUAGCAAAGUCAGAAGCAUCUAUUUGGACUUCAAAGGGUUAUCGAUGUCGGGGAGGACCAAGAUAGGAUCUUUCAUAAUGGCUUCCUUCAGUCCUUCAAAUACCUCUUGACAUUCGCUCGUCCAACACCAUUUAUGCUCUUUUUUUAAUAGUUCUGUGAGGGCUGUAGUUCUAUGGGAGUACCCUUCUAUAAAUCUUCUGCAAUAGUUGGCCAAUCCCAAAAACGAGCGAAGCUCACUAACAUUCUUAGGUGUUAUCCACUCAUUGAUGGCUCUAACCUUUUCCAUAUCCAUUCGAAUGUGGCCUUGUUCGACAAUGUGACUUAGAAAAUGGAUUUACGUCUGAACAAAAGCACAUUUCUCUCUUUUCACAUACAACUGGUGGUCUUGUAAUCUUUGAAGCACUAGGCAUAAGUGUUCUUGGUGUUCUUCCAAAAUAGAGCUAUAUACCACUAUGUCAUCCAAAUAAAUCACCACGAAUUUGUCAAGGUAAUCGUGGAACACCUGAUUCUUUAAGAUACAAAAUGUGAUGGGAGCAUUGGUUAGUCCAAAAGGCAUAACAAGAAAUUCAAAUGCACCAUAUCGGUUACACAGGUAGUUUUUGGUUCAUCUCCUUUCGUAAUUCUGACUUGAUGAUAGCCAGACCUCAAGUCCAAUUUGAAAAAGUAUUUGGCCUGACUCAGUUGAUCAAAUAAAAUAACAAUAAGGGAAAUCGGGUACUUGUUUCUCAUGAUGACCUUAUUUAGGGCUUUGUAUUCGACACAUAAUCGUAGGCUUCCAUCAUGCUUCUUUUGAAAUAACACAGGUGCUCUAAAGGGUGCUUUUAACGGCCUAAUGAACUCGACCUGUAAGAGUUCAUCCAAUUGUUUCCUUAGUUCAACCAAUUCUGGUGGAGCCAUGCGAUAUGGGGCAUUAGCAAGGGGUUUAACCCCUAGGAGAAGUUUAAUUUCAUGGUCAACCAAUCUUCAAAAAGGUAAGACCUUAGACAAUUGUUCUGGCAUCAUAUUUUUAAACUUUUCUAACACCUUUGUCACCCCAUCGGGUAUUGGAUCUAACUCUAUCCCAUCCUUGUAGAUCGGUAUCACCACAUAAGAGAGCUCUCCUUUUUUUAUCCCUUUCUUGAAUUAUAGUGCUAAGAUCAUCUUCUUUUCAUUUUUCAACAAGAUUGUGGUUAGCACCACACAGGGUUACUCCCCUAAGAACAACAGAUAACUAGCGAUGGGGAUUGGUAUCACCUGAGCCAACAUCAUGAAGUCUAAUCCGAAGACAACAUCAAAGUCAUUUAUGAGGGAAAAAGUGAAGUCUACCUUUCCUUCCCAUGGCCCUAACUUGGUCACACAUUCUUGGAGCUUCACUGAUUGUGAAGGCUGGUGAGUGGAUCGCUUUCAUUUGUCCGUAGUCCUUGUUCACCUUAAGACCACACCUUUUUGCUUUCUCAGGUGUAAUGAAGGUAUCAAUUGCACCCAUAUCAACCAUAGCCCUUGUGGUUUUCUUAUUGAGUACUAGGUCCACAUACAUCAAGCUUCUACUCAGUUCUUUCUUUACCAUGUUAAGUUGGGUACGAGGGUAUUUAAAAACGUAUGGAGCCCAUCCUGGUCGGUUCUUUUUCAAUCUAUUCGAUUGUCUAUGGUGCUUUUAUGAAAUCUUGGAACGAGGCUCUUAAGGCAUUAAGGGCCCCUCUAUGAGGGCACUCAGCCAUUCAAUGCAGCCCCUUGCAUAGGAAACAAGCUAACGGUUGCCUAGGCCUGAAACUUGUUGCAUGGUUUGCUCUGGGUUGGGUGUUGUCUCGACCAAAGGGCCUUUUAUCUGAUCCCCCACUUAAGGUUUAGUCCACUCUGGCCAUCUUUCCCCCACUCCCAAAGAUGGAGUUACUACCACCUAAUGGAAGAUUUUUUCAUUUUGAAAAGCUAUCAUUGUAAUCAUGAAGGCAUUCGGCUGCAGCCAUGGUCAUGGCUACAUCUUGCACCUUUUGCCUUUAUAGUUCUGUCUUGGCCCAAGGUUUAAGGCCAUCAAGAAAAUAAAAAUUUUAUCUUUUUUGAAAAUGUCUCUAAUGUCCAAUAUUAGGGUAGAAAAGCUCCUUACAAACUCUCGCACUAUUCUCGUUUGUACCAACUCUCGAAGUUUCCUUUAGGCUAUAUACUCUACGUUCUCAUAAAAGAACUGGUUUUUCAAUUCCUGCUUCAGGUCCAUCUAAGUUUUGAUAGGGCAUUCAUUAUUUACAAAUUUUGAACGCCACCAAAGCUUGACAUCCCCCGUAAGGUACAUUGAUGCCAUUGCCACCUUGUCUUCCUCUGAUUUCGUACAUACGGCUCGAAAGUCUUGCUCUAUGUCAAACAGAAAGUUCUCAAGCUCUUUGGCAUCUCUUGCCCCCCUCAUAGCGUCGAAGAUUUGGCCUUUUGGCCUUUUGUCCCUUUUUCCCCGAGCUAGAACUCGACCUAGCCACCGCCACUUAUAAGACACCUACUUCGGCCCUAAGCUCCUCAAACUUUUUUUGGAGGACAUUCAAAGCAUCUUUAGCCUAUUCACUCAAGCUAUGUAAAGUAUCGGACGACUCCCGCUAGGUCAUCUCAAUCUCCUUCAAACGAUCGGUUGUAAGCAUAUGAGCUUUCAAAGUGACCACCGCGGCUUCAAGCUCCUCAAUUCUCUGUUGAUAGUUAAAUCCACCAUUCAUGGCCAUUUUUUCAAUUCUCUAGCACUUCACACUGUGCUUUGAUACCACGUGUCAUAGGCUAAGCUUUCUCUCAACAAACGAUAGACCGUGCAGCACUUGAAUGGACACUCCCACCUAAGUCAGCCAACAAUAGCUUGAUAUCUGAAUAAGCAACCAUAAGUCAUAGUUAAUCUCAAGCAUACAUAAGAAGACAUAUUCAUAUUGAGAGAAAGAAAAGCACAUCGAGGUAACACUCGGGACUUUCGAAUAAAAGAUGUAUUUUAUUAUUAUCGAGAAUAGUACAUCGAGACUUCACACCAUCGUUGAGGCCAGGGGAUAACCCUUGACGGGUGGCUUAUAUUCGUACUUUAACCAGUGAGACGGCCUAAUAAUAUGCUAACUGCUCACUCCCCUUAAAGAACAAAUGAGAUUUUAUAGUCAUGCUACCACUAACUGUUAUAAUAUUUGAAAUGGGGAUAUUUUUCCUAGCCUAAAGAUCUUAUCCUUCGAUUUGGCACUUCUACCUGAUCAUGGCCCUAUAUAUGGGUGGCACAUGACUACUUAAACCUGAUCAUGAUCCUAUACAAAAGCGUUGGCUCAUGACAUCGGGCCUACCGUUCUAAUGAUUCCGUAGAUACAGAAAGAGUCAGUCUCGGCUUUAUAUUAAAAAAUAAAAAAAUAGAUAUUAGAACGUCAACUUUAGGCUUUGUGAAUUAAGGAGGACUCAUAUGAUUCUCCUUCCUCGACUUCGGUUCUGUCUCCUGAAAUAACCCAGAAACUUGCUUAGUCAGGUCUUCCUUUUAUGUGAAUUCGUAGAGUAGGCAGAGACCCUUAUAUACGAUCGGAGUUUAAACACUUAAACCAUGGGUCCCCCGAAUAUCCAUCCAACCCCCUUUCCUGGCUUUUGUUCUACUAGCAGUAAGCUCUGCUCCCUCCAGUUCUAUUAAUUCCGGAUUUUCAUUUUUUUACCUGACGACCAUCCAAGGUUUCAUGAGUGCUCCUAUUCUGUUAGUUAUGACUUUUCGUUUGGCAUUUUAGUGGCAUUUUAGCUGAGUCCGCUUGGGCCUGCGUCAAGCCUGAAGCUUUUGUUUAUUCAGGUGUCUAUGCCGAUUUUUUUGGGGGUAGAUUGUGGCUUUGAGACAACCUUCUUCGGUAAAUGCUAUCCCGGGAAAAUGGAUCCGUUGUUGGUUCCAGAGAAGCGGCAGGAUAUCCUUUUUAAACAAAAACCGGGUUGGUAGAACCAGGGCCCGUUGUUUCAGACGAGACCUCCUUCAGGGCGGAUGAAGCAGCCCUUGCUUUAUGACCUGUUUCAUACCUGGAAGAGUUGAAAGAUCAAGGCCAUUACUUCCACGAUACAGCCCCCCCUGCUGAAUCUUAAGCUUUCUCAAUAGCGUAGCCUCUUUAACCCCACCGCAUCAGCUAUACACCGAGGACCGGUACCGAGACCCAUACCCCCCUAGCUACAUGGUGGUACUUUGCGGCUCCUCACAAGUAGUUUUGGUCGGACAUAAUAUCUACCGAAGUGGGACAAAGGGCCUUAUAAAGAGAAGCGAGGCGGGGGACUAGAAGCAAGCUAGUUUUCGCAAGACGGCUUACUUCACCAACGAACGGGGUGUGGGCCAAGACGACGAAAGUUUUGAUUCAACAACUGAUAACCCCGAAAGGCAAACAAAGUCAAACUGAAUAAAAGUUGACUUACGAUAAAAAAAUAAAGGAAUGUCUCUUUUACUUUUAAAAUGUGAGAUAGCUUUACUUUUGGUCCCGUUUGGAUGGUUUCAACUAUCUCCUAGAAAGCCAGGAGACGAGACAGAAGAUGUAGAGAAUACUAUGAGAGUGUAUCCUAUGUGACGGAGUAGAGAAGGGAGCACCUUCAACCGACAAAGCACUUAUUCCUGCUCGGUCAAGAUGUUUAAACGGACCUUCUUCAAAAAUGUCUCUAAAGGUGGCUAAUGGGACUACUGGUCUGCUGCUUUGACUUUUUUCAAUUACUGUGAAAGUAAAGAAACUCAGCUUCUUACAGGUCUUAAUAAGCAAUAAGCGGGCAACUAAGGUCUACUCGUCAAGUAAAGCUUCACUUUUUCGAUGACAGCUAAAGCCGAUUUAAUCAAUGCGACUCUGGCCCACCGAAAGGAAUAUUCUGAGGCGGGCAGGUAAAGAAGGGCCAAGAUAUAAUCUUCUCAUUCAGAAAAUGCCCUCUUAUGCGCUAUCCGAUCUCGUGAAGCCAAUGGGUUAGCAAUGAUCCUAUCAAUUGACAGUUUCGGGACUUCUCCUGAAGAAUGACCAAGGGAACCGACCGUAUCAAAGUAGUGUGAUCUCUUGGCAUAGCUGAAACUCGAUGUCAGAAAGCACGUUCCUCGCUAUGAAGCCCGAAGACGAAGGUCUGAUUCAGCGAACGGGUUAGCUUUCCCACUCUCCUUGCUUUCAAUCUGUCUUGUGCCACUCCUCAAGCCAUUCUUUGAACUUUGAACUUACUUAAUAGGGGCGACCUUCACUAUUGUUGGUGGAAGUCCCCCUUUCCGAUUAUAGAUCUAAGAGUUUGUUUUUUCCCUCCUAAUCUAGUUGAAAGAACUGAUAGUUUUUAUUGAUUCAAGGAAACUGACCAAUCUAAGAAAUUUAGAAUAGAAUCGUUGAAAUUGUUCAUAAUUGUUCUAUCUAUCUUCAAGGUUUUUCAAGUCUUUUAGGGCUCCGGGGAUCGACUUCGCAGGACCAUUUCGGUCCACUCUUGGUUAGGCUCUAUCGGGCGGAGCUUUCUCAAUCAACUAUCAAGCGAUAAUGAAGAAAGAAAGUUUUAUGAAACUUUUACUUCUUUCAAAUGUCAACUUCUUCUCUUAUGAUAUUGAAUUUCGAAUUACCUAUUCUACUUCACAUUGGCCAAUUUCACACCUUCUAAAUGUGUCAUUUGACCGAAUGUGACAACUAAUCAAAAGACACCAAUUCAUUUUUAGGAACAAAAGAAAUGAUGGGGUAGGGUCUUUUAGCUAAAGAUCAAUCUAGAAAGCAGAGUCCAAGGUACAUGUGUUAAGCAUAUUCUUUCCUUUACCCGGGAAAAGUAGAUCCUUAAUAGCCUCAAUUUAGAGUUUAGCAUUAAAAGCAAAAGGCAUACAGCCUCAAUUUAGAGUUUAGCAUUAAAAGUAAAAGGCAUGCAUAGCGUAUAGAUUGCUCGAAGAUCCAAGUCAAAACCUACUGCGUCGACACCUUCACAUUUUAAGUAAGCCUCUAGCAAAUGAGAAGGUGUCACGGACUAGGCUUUCUCUCAACAAGCAAUAGAUCGUGCGGUAUUUGAAUGGACACUCCCACCCAAGUCAGCCCUCAAUAGUUCGAUAUCUGAACAAAUAACUAUAAGCCACAGUUAGUCCCAAGCAUACGUAAUAAGACACAUUUAUAUCGAGAUCAAUCUCAAGCACACACAAGAAGGCACAUUCACAUCGACAAAAAAAAAAACACAUCAAGGUAAUAUUCGGGACAUUCGAAUCAGAGGUGAAUUUUAUUAUAAUUGAAGAUAGUACAUCGAGACUUCCCACCAUCACCAAGGCCAAAAGACAGCUCUUGACGGAUGGCCUAGACCCAUAUUACGACCGAUGAGACAACCCAACAAUACGUUACCCGUUCACUCCCCUAAAGAGCCUUAGAGAUUUUAGAGCUAUACUAUCACUAACCAUUAUAAUGUUUGAAAUGGGGACACUUUUCCUAGCACAAGAGAUCUACCCGGUCAUGGCCCUAUACAUGGAUGGCUCAUGAUAACCUAAGCCCCGAUCAUGGCCCUAUACAAGGUUGGCUUAUAGCAUCCUCCUUCACCUAUGCUAUCGACGUCCUCGUCGACUUGUUGGCUUGAAAUUCUUCAAUCUUCCUCUUGAAUCUCCGGAGGUUGUGUUCCCUUUCCCAGCUAGUUUCUUUUAGUCCUAAUCCCUCCCAUUUCACUAAGUAUUCACGAACUAGUCUUCGAGAUACUUUAAUUUUUCUGUCGGCUAAGAUCUCUUCGACGCGACACUCUGAGGGUGGUUUCAUGGUGAUGAUGGCACUGGUUGGCUCCUUUCGGCUAGCAUUUAUAGGAUCUGCAUGAAAAGGUUUCAAAUUACUCACAUGAAAUACUGGGUGCACCUUCAUCCAUUUUGGUGGGUCAAUUUUGUAUGAAGCAUUCUCCACAUUGGAAAAGAUCUUCACUAGACCCUCAUAUUUGUGCACUAAUCUGCAAUCUCUCUUUUUCAAGAACCUGGUUUGUUCAGGGACUAGUCGAACAAGAACCAAAUCACCAACUUGGAAUUGUUACGCCUUGUGACCUUUGUCUGCCCAUUUCUUCAUUCGCUUCGAUGCUUUUUUCAGGUAAGCUUGUGCAAUCUCAGUGUUUUGUUUCCACUUUUUGUCGAGGUUGAAGGCUCUCGAAUUUUUCCCUCUAUAUUGCUCUAAGAAAGUAUGAGGUAGCCUUGGUAAUUAUUCGGUGACCACUUCAAACGGGUUCUUAUUAGUGGAAGAGCUUUUGUUAGAAUUAAAGUAAAACUGAGCAACAUCCAAUAACGAAUGCCAGUUCUUCUAAUUAGCUUGAACAAAGUGCCUUAAGUAUUCCUUUAGUAAUCCAUUGAACCAUUCCGUUUGACCGUCGGUUUGAAGGUGGUAGCUUGAGGAGUUGUUAAGUUGAGACCCCAAUAUCUUAAAAAGUUCUCUCUAAAAAGAUUCCGUGAAUCUCGGAUCUUUAUCGCUUAUAAUGUUUUGAGGAAGGCUCUAGUAUUUGACCACAUAUUUAAAUAGUAAUCUAGCUGUGUCUUUCGCAAUACAAUACUUAUGAGUAGGGAUGAAUGUAGCGUACUUAGAAAAACGGUCAAUCACCACCAAAAUAGCUCCAAAAUCACCAACAUUGGGAAGGUCUGAAAUGAAAUCUAGAAAAAUGCUUUCCAAUGGUCUAGUGGGCACCGGUAAUGGUUUAAGCACACAUGCAAGUUUCUUCUUUUCAACUUUGUCUUGUUAGCAAAUGAGACAAGUCUUUGUAUAAUCCAUCACGUCUUAUCACAUAUGAGGCCAAUAAUAUCCACGUUUCAAUAAAGCCAAAGUGCGUUGUCAGCCCGAAUGUUCAGCCCAUGGUGUGUCAUGACAUUCCCUUAUCAACAUUUGUCUUAGAUCUCCUGUUUUUAGCAUAAACAAUCAGGGCCCCUUGGUCCAUAAGAUCUCAUUUUCUUACCAGAAGUACUUAGACUUCCCUUCUUCAACUAGCUUCAGGAUGGUACUAGCCUACAGGUCCUUCCCUAAAUGAUCUUCAAUUAACUUACGAAUGUCUGUCGUGACUCUGCUAGCCACCAUUGGGGUAAUUCUUCUAAGGGCUACUAACUCUAUUCAUCUGCUCAAUGCAUUGGCCACUUGAUUGGUCUUUCCAACGGUGUGCUCAAAAUAAAAGUUUAACUCUGCUAAAAAUUCUUACCAUUUAGCUUGUUUCGCUGUAAGUCUUGGUUGGGUGAGAAAAUGGCUAACGACCGCAUUGUCUGUCUUCACGAUAAAGUGUGAACCUAACAAAUAAUGUCGCCAAGCCCUCAAGCAGUGAACUACAGCCAAGAGCUCUUUUUUUUGGGCCGUAUAUUUUCUCUUAGCUUCACUUAGCUUCCUACUUUCAAAUGCUAUUAGGUGACGUUGUUGUAAAAGCACUCCUCAAAUAAUGAAAUCAGAUGCAUCCGUCUGAACUUUGAAAAGCUUUUCAAUAUCAGAGAGAGCUAAGAUAGGAUCUUUCAUAAUAGCAUCUUUCAAUCCCUCAAAGGUCUCUUGGCACUCACUUGUCCAACACCAUUUAUACUCCUUUUUUAAUAGCUUUGUAAGGGCCAUGGUCUUACAAGAGUACCCUUCUACAAACCUUCUAUAAUAGUUGGCUAGUCCCAAAAAUAAACGAAGUUCACUAACAUUCUUUGGUGUUGUCCACUCCUUGAUGACCAUAACAUUUUUCAUGUCUAUUCGAAUGUGGUCAUGUUUGACAAUGUGAUCGAAAAAAUGGAUUUGGGUCUGAACAAAUAUACAUUUCUUCCUUUUCACAUAUAACUGGUAGUCUUGUAAUCUUCAAAGUACCUGACACAAGUGUUCUUGAUAUUCUUCCAGAGUAGAGCUAUAUACCACUAUGUCAUCUAAAUAGAUUACUACAAAUUUGUUUAGAUAGUCAUAGAACACCUGAUUCAUCAAUGUAUAAAAUGUGACAGGAGCAUUGAUCAGUUUAAAGGGCAUAACAAGAAAUUCAAAUGCACUAUACCAUGUUACACAAGUGAUCUUUGGCUCAUCUCCCUCAGCGAUUCUGACCUGAUGGUAGCCAGAUCUCAAGUCCAAUUUGGAAAAGUACUUAGCCCGACUUAGUUGAUCAAACAAAUUUGCUAUAAGAGGGAUGGGAUAUUUAUUUCUCACGGUGACUUUGUUCAGGGCCUUGUAGUCAACACAUAAUCGUAAACUUCUAUCGUGCUUUUUUUAAAAUAGCACUAGCGUUUCAAAAGGAGCCUUUGAUGGUCUAAUGAACCCGACCUGUAAAAGCUUAUCUAAUUGUUUCCUUAGUUUGGCCAACUCUGACGGGGCCAUGCGGUAAAAGGCUCUAGCAGAGGGUUUAACUCCUAAGAGGAGCUCAAUUUCAUGGUCCACGGCUCUUCGAGGAGAUAGAACCUUAGGCAACAUCCCUGGCAUCACCUUUUCUAAUUUUUUAACACUUUUUCCAUGCCAUCAGGUAUCGGUUCCACUCUCAACCCUUCUUUGUAAAUUGAUAUGGCCACAAAGAAGGGUUCCCCUCUCUUUACCCUUUUCUUGAACUGUAAACCUGAGAUCAUUUUCUUCUCAUUCUUUGACAAGAUAGUGGCCGACACCACACAUAGAUGUUCCUCUAAGAACAACAGGCAACUAGCAACGGAGAUAGGUAUCACCUGAGCCAAUAUCAUGAAGUCCAAUCUGAAGAUGACAUCAAAGUCAUCCAUAAGGGGAAACUGUAAAGUCUACCUUCCCUUCCUAUGGUCUCAAUUUGGUCAUCGCACUCUUGAAGCUUCCACUGAUCUUAAAAGCUGGCAAAUUAACUGUCUUUAUUCAUCCACAGUCUUUGCUAACCUGAAGACCACACUUUUUUGCUUCUUCUGAUAUGAUAAAGGUAUCAAUUGCACCCAUGUCUACCAUGACCCUGAUGGCCUUCUCAUUGAUCAUUAAGUUCACAUACAUCAGGCCUCUACCCUACUCUUUCUUUAUUGUAUUCAGUUGGGUGUGAAGGGCAUUGAAAAACCUUAUUGAACCCAUCCUGGCUGGCUCCUCUUCAACUUCUUCAAUGAUCUCUGGUGCUUUUGUGGACUCUUGAGAUGAGGCACUUAAGGCAUUAAGGGCUCCUCUGUUGGGCAUUCAGCCACUCGAUGCGACCCCUUACAUAGAAAGUAAGCUAGUGAUUCCCUAGGCUUGAAAAUCACUGCAUUGUUUGUCUUGGGUCGGGUGCUAUCUCGACCAAAAGACCUCCUAUCUGAUCCUCCACUGAAGGGCCAGUCCAAUCUAGUCAUCUUUUUUCCAUUCUCAAAGUUGAAGUUAUUGCCAACUGAUGGAGGAUUUUUUCAUUUUGAGGAGCCAUCAUUAUAAUCAUAGAGACGUUCAGCUGCAGCCAUGGCCGUGGCCACGUCUUGCACUUUUUAUCUUUGUAGUUCUGUCCCGGCCCAAGGCUUGAGGCCCUUAAGGAAAUAAAACAUCUUGUCUUUUUCGGACAUAUCUCGAAUAUCUAGCAUCAGGGUAGAAAAACUCCUCACAAACUUUCGUAUUGUUUCUGUUUGCACUAAUUCUCGAAGUUUUCUUCGAGCCAUAUACUCCACAUUUUCAGGGAAGAACUGAUUUUUUAGUUUUUGUUUCAAGUCCGUCCAAGUCUUAAUUAGACACUUGUCAUUGACAAACUUGAAGCGCCACCAUAGCUUGGUAUCCCCUGUGAGGUACAUCGACGUCAUUACUACCUUAUCUUCCUCUAAAUCCGUGUAUACAGCUCGAAAGUAUUGUUUCAUGUCAAACAGAAAGUUUUCAAGCUCAUUGACAUCUCUUGCCCCCUCAUAGCAUCGAGGCUCCGACACCUUGGCCUUUUUUUCCCUUUCUGUCGAGCUCGAACUCGAUCUGGCCACAGCCAUUUGUAUGAUGCUCACUUGUGCUCUGAGCUCCUCAAACUCCUUUUGGAGAACAUCCAAGGCAUCUCUAGGCUCCUCGCUCACAUUGUGGAGAGUAUCGGAUAAUUCCCGCUAGGUUGUCUCGAUCUCCCUUAAUCGAUCUUUAGUCACCAUGUGAGUUUUCACUGCGGCCACCGCGGCCUCAAGUUCCUUAAGUCUCUGUUGAUAAUUGGGUCCACCACUUGUGGCCAUCUCUUCCAUUUUCUAGCACUUCUCAACUUAGCUCUGAUACCACGUGUCACGGACUAGGCUUUCUUUCAACAAGUAAUAGACCGUGUGGCACUUAAAUGGACGCUCCCACCCAAGUCAGCCCUCAAUAAUUUGAUAUUUGAACAAAUAACCAUAAGCCACUGUUAGUCCCAAGUGUACGCAAUAAGACACAUUCAUAUUGAGAUCAAUCUCAAGCACACACAAGAAGGCACAUUCACAUCGAUAAAAAGAAAAACACAUCAAGGCAACAUUCGGGACAUUCGAAUCGAAGGUGAAUUUUAUUAUAAUCGAUGAUAGUACAUCGGGACUUCCCACCAUCGCCAGAGCCAAGGGGACAGCCUUUGGUAAAUGGCCUAGGCCCAUAUCACGACCGGUGAGACAACCCAACAAUACGUUGCCCGCUCACCCCCUAAAGAGCCUUAGAGAUUUUAGAGCUAUGCUACCACUAAUUAUUACAAUGUUUGAAAUGGAUAUAUUUUUUCAAACACAAGAAAUCUACCUGGUCAUGGCCUUAUAUGAGUGGCUCAUGAGAGCCUAAACCCUGAUCAUGGCCCUAUACAAGGUUGGCUCAUGAUAGAAGGCCUGUGGACAAAUCAAGUAAUGGAGCGAGGUGAGUUUGGUUUCCAAUAGCCAUUGCUGCCGGUUCUUAUUGGAAUAGGCUUCGGGCUAACCGGCUAGCAGAACAGACCGAUCAAUCGUAUUCGUUAGCUUAAGUGCUAUCCUCGUCUACUCUUUGCGAAGUUGAUUAUUUUUAAAAUAAAUGAAUUCCAGAUCAGCGACAUCUGUUUUAGGAGUUUGCUUUGUGUUGAAGACUAAUAGGCUUUCAAGCUUGGAGUUUAAAACUCGGUCAAUACAUCAGGAGCUAAAGGAGAAUAGUGAAAACUAGAAGGUAGAAGACUAAGGCCUAGAGACUAGAGAAAAGAAAAGGGUGUUAUAGGAAAAGAUGGCGCCUUUCAUCCCUUCCCCGGGGUUUUCAGGCUUGUUCAAAAGAAAAAAAACGUGGGUGGCAUUAUGCUUUUUAAUGCUGAGGGGAUCAAAGGUGUCAGUUAUAAAGGUUCUUACAAUGUUCGUUCAAUCCAAGCAGCAUUCUUGUUGUUCUUAACUUAAGGAGAGGGAGGAGGGACUUCUAAAGAAGGGCUGGCUUGGAACCUAUGAGCGGAACAACACAACAAACAUGAAGAAAUGAAAAAGAAUGAACGGGAGGCGUCGGAGGAAGGACUGACGAACUACUUACUUGUUUACUUGUGUUUUUACUGACUUGGGGUUCUUUCUCGUAAGUGGUACACCUACACCCUGCACGCACACUCAUCUAUAUACAUUGAUAGCCUUUCGCAAAAAGCCCCUCUCUCUACUAAAUACAGUUGUUUCAGGUAUUAGUAAUUAGUAGGCCCGGAUCCAGCUGAAAAACGGAAUGGAAUACUCUAAGAUGCUUCAUAGCUUCAACAAUCCCCUUUAUUAGAUUAGUAAGAUAGGGGUUCAAAACCUGCGCUCCAGCGAAGAAAACUACAGGGCGAUCGUAAGAUGGUUGGCUCUUUAUUCAGGUGCUCUUCUGUCUUCAGGUGCCUACCGCUUAGUUAGCUCUUGUUUUAGGUGUACUCUUUUCGACUUCUUUCUUCUUGUAGCUAUUGCCUUAUUCCCUACUGCACAGCUUUGUGUUGUCCUUGUGCUAAGGAAGUGCCUCCCCCUAUUCCACCCAAAGCUGGUUCCGUGGCCAAAUCAGAUCUUUCUUUAUUAAUCUUCCUCUCCUUAAGCUUAAGUUAAAAAGGUUGAGCCAGUUUUCACUUCCUCCAGCCCUUAGACUUGUUACGUUUAACGACUUCACUCGAAAGAAAGCGCUUACGUAUACGAAUGCUUAAAGAGUUCGGACUUUGGGGAUACCGGAGUGGGGACAUUGGUACAUGGGGAGUUUACUGUAUUCAGGAAUCUCAUGUAUAGAAUCAAUCUCUCGAACCCUCGGGUGAAAUACGAGAGGGACUAAGUGCGGAAUGAAGGCACCGAAAGUUAUAAUCCUAUUCAUUCAAAUGCCAGUGAUUCAAAAAAGACCUUACUUCGACUAACAAAAAAGGUCUACUUCCCUACUCAUGUUCUGAGUAGGGCUAGGGCGCGACGCUAAGGCUAAGGCUUUCGAAAAGACAGAUGAAUGCCGUCGAGCAACUCCUUCGUUGAGAUAGAGUGAGUGUGCGUGAAGGACAUAAAAUGCUAAUCUCCUUCAUUGCUUCAUGGAAAAGGCCGAGUGAAAACGUUUUUUCAACUUCUUAUAAUGAGGAUUUUUACAAUGCUCAUUUCCUCAUGGGUGAUCACUCGCUCUUUAUCUAAAAAUCCUCUAUGAAAUGACUUGACUAAUUGAUAGCCUGCAUGGACUCGACACCUCCUCUCCACGGGUCGCUUUGACUAAUCAACUCGGGUCAAGCUAUCAAUCCCGCCCCCCGGAGCAUACUACCAAGGAACCAGGCCGCCUCUGUCUUUUAGCCCAACCUCUCUGUUAAAGAGCCUAUCUAGUCGAUGGGAAUCCCCAUAUUUUAUAUUGUUUUCUACCCAAGUGGAAGGGAAAAAGUCAACUCACAUACAACUAUCUGAAAUCAGUGAUUGAAUUGAAGUGGGAGAGUGGGCUUGGAGUUUGGCCAAUUGCUCUCAAAGACCAGCUAGGCGAGAUUCAGCUUUUGUUGCUGCCUCUGUGACUUCUUUAGCUGCUGCUGCUUUCUCUCCAGCUAUAUUGAGUAGCUGGUCCAACUCCGGUGGUUUAAGUUUGCUGCAAUAUCCUUGGAGCAGAGCAUGAGCCUUGGGAGCAGUUGUACAAGCCUUCUGUCAUCUUCACAAAGUCCCGGUACAACUGACAGCUCUACAACGAGAUGAGAAAGCUCAUGUGGCAUGUCACUUAGAAGCAAAAAAAAGAAUCCAAGGCAUCAUUGCAGCUUUAAUCUCUUCAGCAUUCCUGGUUACCCAGUGUCCACUUCCUGAGGUUCCGUCGCCUUCGCCUUCAUUUGCUACCAAUGCUUAAUAAUAUAACCUCAUCGCCAGGUUUGAAAAUAUCUGGUUCGAAAGAGCCAGGAAACUAGCAAGCCUUGAGGAAGGAUAAGUUAUUUGCGCCGAAUAUGUGCUUCGUGGUCAUUGCUCCGGAGAUGCAUUGUUCAUUGGCAACCGAAGAAGGAGGAAGCUAAAAAAUGAAAAAAAUGGGUCUUUCUUUGCUCGAGUGUGGGGAGUUCGUUAACUUCAGUAUUAACAGCACUCAAAAGAGAGGUUUUUUUUAAGCUUUCCAGCGGGUAUUUCAAUUACACCAAUGCCAGCGGAGUUUUCAUUUCAGCCAUUCCCUUUUGUUUUGUAUAGAGGAGUCCGUGUAAGCUAAUGCUAAGGUAUUCUGUAAGAGAAAAGAAAGCGGUAAUACAGGCAGUCUAUCUUAUGAUUCUUCUUAUCAUUAGGAAGAAGCUCUUUAGUAGUUUACUGAAAGCUAUAGUAUUCUAUAUAGAAUACUUUCGUUUGAAUACAAUUCAAUCCAUGAGAUCUUGAAGCGGUGUUGGUGAAAGCAGUUUUUUGUCCUAUUUCAUCAGUUGAAGACACAUAUCUAUUUGCUAAACCUAUUUCCCUGAUAGCCUGUAGCCUGUAGAUUGAUCAAUUGAAACUUUCCCUUAUCCAAAACCAGCUCACUAGCUAAAAAGAAAACGAAAAUGGCUUAUUGAAUCCUUUCCUUAUGUUUUUUGUCUGUCUUUAUCUAGAAGCGGGGGAGUUGGGAACUAGACUUCGCUUCUCUUAAUAGGAAAUGGAUUUUCUCUUUCCUGCUCGGCGAAUAAGCCAGUACGCGAGGAAAGCUUAUCAUCCUUGCCUUUCAUCCUACUCGAAUCGUAUGAGUCCUGGCCUAAUCCUUUCAUUGUUGGUUAUCAACCAGUCAGUCAGUAGACUUUUCUUAUGAUCCUAGUUUCGAUUUCAUUGGCUAUGGGUCACGAACGUUCUAACAUAGGAAUUAGGGUGCUGCUCCUCUCUUCUCUUGCUUUCUUUCUUUUGCCUCAAAAACAGGUUUUUUUUCAUCCAAUGUGGACUUUAGUGCUUUCGAGUAGCAAAUGGAAUGAGUCUACUUAACUUAUACGGACAGAAUUUCCUAACCAUAGAUAAAAAGUUGGGGGGAGAUAGUCACGUUACACUUUCACCAAGGUUAGCGCACACAGUACUUUAUCAGCUUGCUGGCUCGAGCGAGAGCAGUACUCUUACUUUCCUUUCUUUUCUUUCAGAGAGGCUAAGGAGAUAGAAUAAAACUCAUGUACUACAGUAAGGGACUCUAUAAAAACGAAGAAUAGAGCAUAAGUCGACUCUACUCUAGUAGUAGCAGUAAGCGCUUACUUCCUGCAGUAGGGGUGAUAUAAAAUAGAAUAAGAGAGAAGCAAGUCUACUCUAGCUGCUGCCAUUGCUUUUUUCAGCUUUUUCGUUAGUGCGGAUUUCUCAAUUUCUUACUUUCGGCGCAGAAAGAGAAAACAGGGCAUAAAACAAGAGUACUUUAUAGUGAGACUACAGUGAAGUAUACCCUUCCUUCUGAAAUUUUUUAGUGGUGGCUGACUUUCACAGCUUUCUUAUAGCCCACUCGUAACUCUAACUCAAUAAAGCACCAUUUCCCCUCAGUGUCCCACCCUUUCUUUGAACAUUGUCAAUGAUCGAAGAUAUGAAAUGAGUGUCAUUUGAUGAGUAACUGAGAACAGGGGUUCAUCUUCGAGAUCAACAACUUCAUUAUCAGGGUAAGAAGUUCAUAAUUGCAUCAAAGGAGUCUUCAACCUUCUCAAUCAAUAGAGGCUAGAUCGGACUAAGGUAAGAAGAGAGACGAUUAAAUGCGAAAGCGAAAGCGGAAAUAUAGGCUUAGUUAAAUGCCCAAUGAGAAUACGUACAUGAGUAAGGAAAAAUCCGAAUGACUAGUGGCCAUAACUCAUUAACCUUUUUUCGCUUAGCCUUUCCUCUCUCUACCGUUACGAGGAAGCUGCAGUAUCCUCUUACGUCUUUGCACGGCUUUCGACCGGGAAGAGGUUCCUCAUUGCAUCUUUCUACACAGCAUUGGUUCCGUCCCUUAUCGCCCGUUGGAAUAAGCAUGAAGAAAACUUUGCAUUAGAUCCUUAUCUAUCGUAUUUUUUUGCCACAACAAAAAGCCCAGAGCAAGGGCUGGUGGAAGAGAAAGCAUUUCCGGAGUCUCAAUGUUGCCCCACCAAAAGACAAUAACCCAAUGGCAAUCGCGGAUCUUUUAGUGGACAGAGCAGCUGGGCAAUAAAUUCUGUCAUUCAUGGACGUGGGGUAUAACCAUUUUUGAAUCUCAAGAGAGGACGAGGCAAAAAUUGCAUUCCGUUGUCCUGGUGCUGUUGGACAGACAGACAUUCUGCUGGCAGGUGAUUCCCCUCGGUAUGAAUAAGGCUAGAGUUACAUAGCUGUGAGCAAUGAACCUCAUCUUCCAUUACUUUCUUUAUUGUAAACAUCGUGGAAGUGGUGUAUAUUGAUGAUGUUUUAAGUCUUUCCCUGUCUUUUGUCUGAUCUCAAGACAGUGUUUGAGUGCGAGAGCGCGGAUUGAAAAGAAACCCGUAUUUGGCGUAAUAGCAGGAAACUUCCUGAAGUUUUUAGUGCACAACAUUUAUUGUUGUAUUUUUUGAAAUUGAGAAGAAUAAAUCUAGGGUAAUCAAGGAAGCACCUCCCUCGAGAAGGAAAAAGUGCGGCAGCUUUAUCAGCUUGUAGAACAUUGGCUGAAGAGCUCACUGAAAUGCGGUUUCUAGCUCCUAGGAUCCUUGCAUUCAAUCAAAGAGGGUCAAGCUCGAUAUUUUCUUUCUCGGUUGAUACCAGCACACAAAGAUCCUCCCUAUGAACAGAACUGGAGGCAAGAUUUCGGCAGCUCCGAACUUUGACCACGAAAGAAAGAACAAGCAGCUUUCUUCACUUUGAGAUCCUAGUGUGAGUGGAUGCGUAGUUUGAAAGUAUUGCCAACUGAACCAGGGCUUCCACGCCUUUUGAUGGCUGACGUUCCUUUGUAAGCCCUGGACUUAGAAUGAGGAAGUAAAGCAUGGAAUUCCAUGUGUUCAGCAUUGAUUUCAAGAUGAGGAAUAGCACAAAAGAGGAAGCGUCUGGCAUUAGAGAUGGCUUCAGACUCGACCUUGAAGGUGCCAGUUACAUCUAUUGGACCAGACGGAAAUACAAGCUUUGUUGUAGCAUGGAUGGGUUCGAAAACUGUAUACUUUUUUUAAUUCGACUAGAUCCCUUCCCGCCUAGUAGUUCUCACUGGUAGGCUAUCGGGGAAAUUCGGUUGAGCCGCUGGUAGUUCUUUGUCUUUUUGGCCCUUUGUUGACAUCAUAUUCAACCUCUUCUCUUUAUCCAUUUCACAUUUCAUUUUCUAUAAACUCCUUAUAAACACCUUAUUCUGUGUCUCGCACUUUUCAACUUGAAUUCAAUUCCCGUAAUUCUUUUAAAAAACUACAUACCUUACAUUAAUAUUAAUAUAGUAUAAUAAUAAAAGAUAAUAUAGAGACUUACUAAUUAGUGGCCUUUCAGGGACUUUUGGGUGAGACUGGAAAGCUAGUAGAGUAUCGGUAAUAGCGUUUCGGGAAAGCAAGAAGGAUUAUACCUUUCCCUCCAUGCCCCUCACCCGAGGUCCAAGAACCUACUUCCUCUCCCUUUGAUUUGAAGACGCAUCUUAUCUCUUUUCGGGAAGUUAACAAAUAAAGCUUUUGGCCCCCUUGCCUCUGUAUGAGCCUUUUCGCUAAUAUGCUUGGAAAGUAGCGGUUCCUUGCUUGUGGAGUUACUUCUUGGAUCAAGGGAGUACAGAACCAAGCUCCUCUGCCUUUUUGGACGUAUGAUCCACCGUCUUAUUUUGAAAAGAAGAGGGUCCUUGUCUCUUUUUCUUUUUUUGUGUGUUUUGGUCUUCUGGUCUUCUGGGGCUGUUAAGCCGGGCGUUCGAAACGGGAAUGAGUUUAGCCUUGUGGGCUUUUGCCUUUCUUCCAACUUACUGGUUCUCUCUAUACCCUUACCUUAAAAAGCUUCAACAGCUUCCGACGGGAAAGGAAUAGACCUAAAAUUGGACUUCCACUGAGGAACAAGCCAGGUGUUCUCUCCCAUUAAGCAAUUUAUAGAAAUUCAUUCAAGGCUUGCUUUUAGAGCAACGAAGCUGAAAGGUGAAUUGAGAAGAUCCAGAGCGAACUAAUGAGUUUGAGUUCACGAGGUUUCAUGCGUAAGAGUCAGACUACUACUAUAUGAUAUAUAUGAUAAAAGAAGUGAAGUAAGAAUCUAGAGACUCUUUCGGCAGAUCUAGUUCUUAUAAGAAAUAGAUGGGCCUCUCGCCGUAGUAAAUAAACAGUCUUAUGAAAUCGGUAUUGAGAGAGGGAAUCUUUGCAUUGGUUAUCCCAAUAAAUAGUAAUACGCUACGCUCCUUAGACAGCUCUUUAUUAGAGUGCUUUCAGAGUUCAAUUUGAUACUUCUCUAGUCCGGAUCGAGAUGCUAUGCCUAAAAGCUCCUAGUCAACGGAAUACUUGACUGGACUUUACCGAAUCUCCUGGGAGGGGAUAAUGAAGGGCUAUGUCUUCAAUGUCGACGUAACAACUGUUUUUGUCGUCCUUCCGAGAGCGUAGCGUUCCAACUGACUCGAGCUACCUCCUGACCUUUACAGUAAAGGUUUCGGGAAGCAUCUUUCCGGUUAACACGCCUUUAAAACACACUCUUAUUUAUUUAAGACGAUUACGCGCAUCUGAAAUGAGAAGGAUAGAAAGAUCUUUCACAUGCGGAAUCGAAAACAUAGCCUUUCCGCCUGGUUAUUGAACAAGAUUCCCACCCAUAUUGAAUCUCAAAUCUAUCUAAUAUAAGUAACCGCUUCGAACCUUCACUGCCUUCUUUCUUCGCUACACGAAAAGAAAAAGAAGCAUCAACUGUGUGCGGAAGGAGAAGUGUUAUAAGCCUGUCAAUAGGUUCUGUUCUUAUUCCUUGCCGCCAGGUCCCAUUUCCACUGUUAGAGAAUGAAUGGUCAAUCCAGCCUAGAGGCUUUCUUACUAAGCUUUCAGGUUCGUAGCGGAAGUCGCUAGACUGCUGGUCUAUUGCUAGUGGACUGACAGAGCGAGCUGUAGUGGAAUCCCAAUAAGUGUGUUUGGAAAAGGCGUGGUGUCACGGUCCGCGCGUUCCUCCUACUGAAAUUACGCUACCGUGCGGCCCUAAGAUUAUUCUUAGUCAAGAUCAACCUUCAUCAUGUUCAUUUUUUUUCAUGGACGGAUCAAUUUCAGUCCUUCGAGCCUCAUGCCCACGAGCCUUUUCUGGCUUUUGGUCCCGUAGGGUUGCUCAUUCCGAAUUCUAUGGGGAGGAACCCAUUCCCAUCAUACAUCGGUCCACAAUCCUCAACUUAGCCCCCGAGCACCCAGCUCUACCCGCAGGGCCUUGGGAUCUUGAGCCCCGAUCCUCGUCUACUCAUAGGGAUGCACAGUCCCGGUUCUCAUGGCCUUGAGGCCUCUUGACAUGGUGAGAGCUCAAUACCAUGCCCGCCCGUAUGAUACGCAAGCUCCCGUAUCAAGUUUACGCAAGCACCCCAAUUAAGCUGGUCAGCAGCCAGCUCGGAGCCUUUAGGCUCAUCUCGUCCCACGGGACUCGGUUCUUAGGGCUCAGGCCCUUAGCAUCAUUAUCGGCCGCCCGCACGCAUGAUUGAAACCCCACAUCAUGCUAGUCCCGCAAGGGGACUUGGGUGUACUGCCCCAGCAGCAGUACGCCAGCCCGACUGGCCACACGGGUCUAGCAGCGUGCCUGCCUGCUAGCCCGCACAUCCCUCUGGCUCGAUGGCAUCCCUCUUACGCAACACCAUCACAUGAUCCUUCCGGCUCGAGGAGGAGAAACCGAGGGGCCUAGCGAUCUCUACCGCCAAACCUCAUGGCUCAACGCAAAGGCGCGAUACGAGGCCCGCCGGCCCCAACCGUCCCCGAGUUUACCUUACCCGAGAAAACAUCGCGCCACGCUCGUGACCCUAUGAUGCCCGCCCACCUAGACACCACGAGUGCCUAGGAGUAGCUCACUUCAGACUAGCCAGGCCCCCGCCUGCCCGCUAGCCAAGGGGGUGGUGGACAGCUGACACCAGAUCAUCCCCUUAUAAAGAGCGUUAGAGAUUUUCCCACUAUGCUACCAGUGACCGUAAGAAUGUCUGAAACGGGGACACUUUUCUGCCCAGCCAUCCCAGGGCCUUUCUCCGGCUAACUCAGGGCCCCGUAACAUUCCUCUUGGUCACCAUUGCUCCUUGAUUCUGCUCAUUACUCCACCAACCCACUCGAAGGUACCCGCACAUGGCUUCGAUCGACAGCACCCGUUUGGCUAGCUGGUUCCAGGGCACCGACGUAAUGCCUCAUACUUACCUGCUUAACUCGGGGUCUAGGACAUGGACCGUCCACACACAAUGUCCUCAACAUAUUCCCCUGCUCAGAACGCCCGCACACUGCUUCCACUGCUGGCACCCGUCAGGCUACUUGGCUUGAGGGUGUCCGACCACUGUCCCGAACUUCCCUGCGUAUCUCGCGGCCCGGGGCUCCUAUUGCCCCCACAACAUGUUAACAUCAUGUUCCAAAGCUCGGAAUGCACGCUCACAUCUCGUAGAACCACUUUUCCGUCAGCUCGGUCUCGACCGUUGCUCGGUUCAGGGUCAGUCGUGGUAGGACCAAGGCCUGACCAUGACACUCUCCCCCACUUACUAUGUCGAUGCCCUCAUCGACGCCAAGACCACACCCAACUAUCUUGUUGCACACAGCUGACAUUUCCUCAUAUGUCUCUCACUUGUGCCCUCAAGGAUUGGGUCGAGGUCCCGUCACAUGAGGCACCACCCACAGUACUCGUCCGUUAUUGAUGUAGAUUGGUCCCGUUGCCGCACUCAUGCCGCUCAGCUUAGUUCUUGCUCGACCCGUCUAACCUAUCUUGGUUGUACUCAUAUGGGCCAUACCAUGGCUUCAUCCCUUGAUCCUUGUUAGGUUGCGACCUCGAGGUGCCCUCAUUGAUCGAUGACCCUCAGUAGAAUGAAUAACCACAGCUUUGCCACUCAUUUGGUGCGUCCCACCGGACGUGACCCCUCACACCAACUGUACGCUUGCAGCAUCAACUCACUGAUGCGCCCCUCUGGACAUGAUGCUUAGGUCAACCGCACUCAUACGGCACUCUACAUGAUGACCCUAGCACAGUGGCAUUCAAGCACUUUGGUCAUCUCCCAACUUGGGUCCUCUCGGCCCCUCCAAGGUCACCUCUCUAGGUGUGGCCCUCCGGCCAACCGCCCCCAAGACGGCACCUUAAAACGUGCUAACUCGGUCUUUACCUCCGGCUUGAACACUAUGCUCCAUCGCCCAAGCUCCUUUAUCUUGGCUCAGUCUCGUGGGGAAUUGACAGGUCUCCCCCACUUUUACUCGAAACUCGGCACAGCAUUAUGCGCAACCCUGUCUCCUCGAUGGUUCUAUUGCUCGAUAGUUUUGACUCCAGCCCAGUUCCUAGGGCAUCCUAAAAUCCGCUUAUACUCGGAGACCCACUGAUUUGCUUGACUCGGGGAUUCACCAGCUCGAUCCUCAAGGUCCACUGACCUACACGUCUGAGGCCUUGUCAACUGGCCGUUUCCCUUUUCUUGUUCCACUGGAAUACAUCCUGUCGUGGCCCACUGAUCACCACUACUCGUGAAGCCUUCCCUUUCGACCAAUACAAGUUCGAUAUCCUGGUUCACACACACACUCUCGUGAUCCUCUGACCACAAGAACUCACGGUCCACUGACCAACGCCGCUCAUGGUCCACUGACCACCUCGCUUGUGGCUUCAAUCUUUAGCCACUUCAUACUCUUCUGUGUAGUAGUCUCAUGCUCGGACCCGAAUACUUCGGCUUGCACCCCCGCUGGGGCACCUGCACCAUACAGCAAGUGCACACAUUAGUAAUUAAUCUUGCAACUCGACACCUCCUGCCCCUCAGGACAAGGUUCACUCGGCCCACGUGGCCUUACACAACACCAUUUCAUGGUGUAAGCCCCUUUUCGCAUCUCGGUCUCACUACGGUUCCUUUCACCGUAAAAGCAUCACAUGCCACAACAUAUGCCAACACCUUUUUCUAGGUGAGGCUAGACUCUGAUGCCCUUUUGCUAGGCGUCCAAGAGUCUACUGGAGAGCCAUUUUACAUAGGCCCAAUACUUCUCGCAGCACGCAUCAUUGGCUCUUUCCCGAGCCCCCAUAGGCACAAAACCCGCAUUUGCGUCUCGAUAGCUCCUUUUGAGCUUGACACCACCUCGAUUUCACAUCACUAGACCCACUCAUGGGGCCAUGCAACUCUCGCCACUGAGCCAACCUAGGCUCUGAUAUCAAGUGUCACGAUCCGCACGUUUCUCCUACUGAAACUACGCUACCGUGCGGCCCCAAGACUACUCUUAGUCAAGGUCAGCCUUCAUCAUGUCCAUUUUUUUCCAUGGACGACCAAUUUCAGUCCUUCGAGCCUCAUGCCCACGAGCCUUUUCUGGCUUUUGGCCCCGUAGGGUUGCUCAUUUCGAACUCUAUGGGGAGGAACCCACUCCCAUCAUACAUCGGUCCAUAAUCCUCAACUUAGCCCCCGAGCACCCAGCUCUACCCGCAGGGCCUUGGGAUCUUGAGCCCCGAUCCUCGUCUACUCAUAGGGAUGCACAGUCCCGGUUCUCAUGGCCUUGAGGCCUCUUGACAUGGUGAGAGCCCAAUACCAUGCCCGUCCGUAUGAUACGCAAGCUCCCGUAUCAAGUUUACGCAAGCACCCCAAUUAAGCUGGUCAGCAGCCAGCUCGGAGCCUUUAGGCUCAUCUCAUCCCACGGGACUCGGUUCUUAGGGCUCAGGCCCUUAGCAUCAUUAUCGGCUGCCCGCACGCAUGAUUGAAACCCCACAUCAUGCUAGUCCCGCAAGGGGACUUGGGUGUACUGCCCCAGCAGCAGUACGCCAGCCCGACUGGCCACACGAGUCUAGCAGGGUGCCUGCCUGCUAGCCCGCACAUCCCUCUGGCUCGAUGGCAUCCCUCUUACGCAACACCAUCACAUGAUCCUUCCGACUCGAGGAGGAAAAAUCGAGGGGCCUAGCGAUCUCUACCGCCAAACCUUAUGGCUCAACGCAAAGGCGCGAUACGAGGCCCGUCGGCCCAAAUCGUCUCCGGGUUUACCUUCCCCGAGAAAACAUCGUGCCAUGCUCGUGACCCUACGAUGCCCGCCCACCUAGACACCACGAGUGCCUAGAAGUAGCUCACUUCAGACUAGCCAGGCCCCCGCCUGCCCGCUAGCCAAAGGGGUGGUGGAGAGCUGACACCAGAUCAUCCCCCUAUAAAGAGCGUUAGAGAUUUUCCCACUAUGCUACCAGUGACCGUAAGAAUGUCUGAAACGGGGACACUUUUCUGCCCAGCCAUCCCAGGGCCUUUCUCCGGCUAACUCAGGGCCCCGUAACCUUCCUCUUGGUCACCAUUGCUCCUUGAUUCUUCUCAUUACUCCACCAACCCACUCGAAGGUACCCGCACAUGGCUUCGACCGACAGCACCCGUUUGGCUAGCUGGUUCCAGGGCACCGACGUAAUGCCUCAUACUUACCUGCUUAACUCGGGAUCUAGGACAUGGACCGUCCACACACAAUGUCCUCAACAUAUUCUCCUGCUCAGAAUGCCCGCACACUGCUUCCACUGCUGGCACCCGCCAGGCUACUUGGCUUGAGGGUAUCCGACCACUGUCUCGAAUUUCCCCGCGUAUCUCGCGACCCGGGGCUCCCAUUGCCCCCACAACAUGUUAACAUCAUGUUCCAAAGCUCGGAAUGCACGCCCACAUCUCGUAAAACCACUUUUCCGCCAGCUCGGUCUCGACCGCUGCUCGGUUCAGGGUCAGUCGUGGUAGGACCAAGGCCUGACCAUGACAUAUGGCCUGUUAAUUCAGAGACUCGUUAAGAGCCUCGCCAAGGCACGUAGUCUUGCUCUUUUCUGUAAGAGCUAGUAGAUUCAAGCAAGACAGGAAUGAGAGUCUCAUCACACUAGUCUUUACAUAGUCAUAUGAAAAUAGCCGACGGAUCUAAUUUCUCUCUCGGGCUGAACUCACUCCUUAUAACAAAAAGAGGGGCUUUAUUACCUGUAGAGAUCUGCACCCAACUUGCGAGGUAUUGUCCGCUUUGACCCGAAGGUCUCACGGUUUUGUCUCACAAAAGACGCCUCUCAAGUUUGGGAUUAAGUCUCUUCAUAUAUAUCAUUUUUUAUCCACACAUCCUUCUGAUGUGGGAUUGGAGGCGUUACAAUCUCUCCACCUUUAAUGCUUGAUGUCCCUGUCAAGCCGAGUCCAUCCACAGGACCAAGAUCACACUAGACCAUCGUGUAGCACUUAGUGACUCCCACGGCUGCACCGUGUAGCACUUAGUGACUCCCCACGACUGCGGACCGGUGACCGCUCUGAUACCAUUUGUAGAGACCCGCACCCAACCUGCGAGGUAUUAUCCGCUUUGACCCGAAGGUCUCACGAUUUUGUCCCACAAAAGGCGCCUCUCAAGUUUGAGAUUAAGUCUCUUCAUAUAUAUCAUUUUUUAUCCACACAUCCUCUUAAUGUGGGAUUGGGGACGUUACAUUACCUGUUUCAUUUCUAAGACUGUUUGGAAAUGUAAUUUGAGUAGCUAUUGCCGAGAUCCCUUUUCUUUUGCUUUUAUGAUAUACUGCUCACAGGUCAGUCCAUCUCUAGAAUAAGGGCAGAAUGAAAGACGGGGAUAGAAGUUCAGUGCUCGAUGGCCCAGGGUGAGGAUUGCCUAUCUUGACUGAAGAAGGAGUGCUCUCUUAAGUAUAGGAUAUGCCAGGUUAUAAACAAAGGCUCUUCCGUUCUCUUAGAGAUCCAGAUCGGCGAUUACAGAAGCCUUAAUUUUAUGUGAUCGACGCCCCAGUGCAGUACAACGUACUCUUGGAAAGCGUAUGGAUACACAGGAAGAUGUGUGUGCCAUCGAGCCUCGACCAGUGCAUCAUGCUAUGGCAUAACAAUUACGUUAAAGUUUUCCCCGCCUCUGAGAAUGAAGACUGACUAGGGGAUUGGCCACAGUAUAAGUAUGUACGAUCUGCCAUGUGAGAAUUGCAACAAAAAAUCUCGAGAAAACGCAAAAUGUCACGAUAGAACAAAAACUUAGGAAGGAAAUCCCAAUAGCAACUCAAAAUACGGGGAAAGCGCAAAAGAAAAAUCAAUUACUUUUUCUUAGGAUUGAAAUCGGAUAAUAGGAAGCGAGUAUAAAAAAAGACCUCUGUAUUAGGUUAGGAGAGCCAUCAUGCAAAGAGUCUUUUAUGAACGAAAAUAAGAAAUCUUCUUUCUUUCGCACAGUCACUCAAGCACAAGACACAAGCAAGAGAAAGAAGUCAAGUGAUUCAGUCUUGGGUCGAAGCUGUCCCCCUCAAUUUGAUAGCAAUCCGCGGGCGCUAACAAAGAGGCAGCAGUGUAACCAUCUCCUCACUCUAGGCGCAAAGCAGUGAAGCCCAUGAAAGAUUUGCAUAUUAAUCAAGCAAGUUAAAGUUUGUGUCCUCCCCCUACAUGUUCAAUAUUGUUUUAGCGGUUUAACUAGAUUGAUUGCUUUCCCGAUGGUUAGUGUCAGUAGCGACUGUGUGAUCAGAUAGUUUUUUUAUAUGAUGUUUAGACCAAGAUUAAAACUUUUUAAACCAAUUUGUUUUAUAAAUCUCAUCUGAUUUGAUAAGUUGUAAUUCUUUUAUUUUAUCAUCAGAGAUAAAAUAAGUUUUUCUCGUAAUAUUUUUUAGUUUAACCAUACUUUCUUCAUUGGUAGUUGUUGUACCUGUAGAAGAGGUUACUGAAAGAUUAUCUUGGUUAGAUUCAGUAUUCAGUAUAAAAAUAAAAUCCGAUUCAUCUUCAGAAGAACUAUUAUCAGUUUCUGAAAAAACUUCAUAAUAAAUUUUUUCGUCAGAUAAUUUAUCAGCAAAAUAAAUUUAAAGAAAAGCUUCAUCAAGUUUUUUGAUCAUUUUCUUCGCACUUUUUUCUUUGUUAGGACAAGCAUUUGCAUAGUGACAUUCUUGAUCACAAAGAAAACAUUUACAAUUGUUUUUAGAAGAUUUUUUCUUUUUUUUAACAACAAAUUUACCUUUUUUAGGUUUAAAAGUUAUGGGUUUCCAUUUUUUCCAAAAAUAUUUUCGUUUUUUCUUAAAACGAUGUUUCUUUGAAAAAGAUUGUUUAUUACAACCAAAUUCAAAUUCAUUUUUCAAAAUCUUUGUACAUUAUUUAUACGAAAGUUUAGAUUUUACCUGCUUUGCAGCUUUUUGUUUGAGGUAGUAUUCUGUUACCUGAUUUUGAACGUAGUGUAUUCACAUCCAAGAGUAUCAUAAAGUUUGAUACUGGGAUUUGCAACGUGAACAGUUUUGAGUUUUAACUCAAGGUAAACAGGGUAAUUUUGUGAACAUAAUUCAUCUCAUGGUGAGGGAAGUUUAAGAAAAUAUUGUUGUAACCAAAAUUUUGAAUGUUUUUCAUCUAAUUUUUUAUAUUCAAAAAGAUAUUUUUUAGAAAAAUCAUCUAAAUAUUUAAUAUCACAUAAUUUUUAUUUUGAUAAAAUAAAUUGAGCUUCUUGAGUAGGAUUCAGGGAUUCUGUAUUACCGUAAAACUCAUUUUUCAAGAUUUGGGUUAAAUCUUUCAAAAGUUAAGAUAUAUUGCCUGUAGCUAACAAAGAGGAUUUAUGUUGUUCUCCGAGGGUUGUCUUUUCUCAUUUUUUGAGAAAUUGAAAGACAUCACCUUGUCAUAUACCACAAAAGUAGUUGAGGAAUCUUUCUUUGCUCCAAGUCUCUUUUGUAACUUGUGACAACAAUAGACAUAGAUUGUGCCCAAUCAUCUAUGAUUUUUCCACAGUGUUGAAGAGGGACUUUGGUUAAGUCUAAAUAAGUACCACCUUAAGAAACCGUUCAUUUGUUUAACGAAUCGAUAACAGGGGUUUCGUUCUGAACCUGACUUGUUUGGCCAAAAUCAGAAGUUUGUAAAAUCUCAUCCUUGUUUAGGUGAGAAUAUUUUUCCUUUAAAUGAGGAAGAUGUUGUAAAUUUGGAAAAUGUCUCAGAUCAUCAAUAUCUGGGUUAGAUAUUGCUUCUGCUUUUCUCUUCCCACGCGUCUCUAUUUAAGGGGUUGGAAUUUCCUUUGGUUUUGGAUCUAUUUGAUCAUCAGAACUAUCUUCGUCAUCAGAUGUGGUUGCAUUUGAUGAAGGUGGUUCAUCCUUGACUACUGGGUUAGUAGCAAGAAUUUCAAAAUUAUCUAUUACUAUAUCAUCAUUUGCUUCUUCAUCACAGACAUUGGUUGUGUCAUAGUUAAGCAUAUAAUGAUAUUUAUAUUUAAUAAAGAGUUCUUUAUGUUCUUCAUAAAGAGUAUCUAUAGCCUGAAAAUAAUCAAUCUGUUGUUUCAAAUCAUUAGUUUUUUUCAUUUUAUCUUUAAAAUUCUCAAUAAUAUAUUUAUAAGAGUCGAAAUUAAGUUGUUAUUAUUUCUCCUUUACUAAGGUAGAAGAUGAGAGUGUGUCAUCGUUCAUCAUAAUAUUGUCAUAAUAAAGUAGUGCAAAAUCAGUUAAUGUAUUUGAGGGAACAUACUUUUAGUCUAUCUUUUUUAUAAAUAUAUCUACUUUAUCUUUAAUAUUAUCAAUAUUUACAAAUUUAUGAAAAAAAAAAUUAAAUCUAUUAAACCAUUUAUAAUUUUACUUAUGUUAAUAUUGCUAAUACUCUAAUUAACUUGUUAAAAAUACGUUAUAUUUUAUUUUUAUCAAUAUUUUUUAUGAUAUUAAAAUAAUAUUAUUUUAAAUUAACGAAAAAACUAAUUAAAACAAGAUAAUUGUUAAAUAUAAACUAAAUUAUAAUAAUAAUAAAAUAAAAGUUAAAACCUUUUAAUUCUAAAUUUAAAACUAUUCAUAGCUAGCUCUAGCUAAGAAGUAAGAGUCUAAUCGGAUUGAUAAUAAUUCCAUUAAUAGGAUGUAAUCCUCCCAGUCAUAAUAGUUCUUCCAGGCGAGUAUAAGAGUGAAAACGGGCAUAACGUGUUCACGGCCUAUGGCCCUAUUCUUUAUCUAUUGCCUUCCAAAAAAACGAGCUACAGCGGGAUUAUAGGUCAAGCCUGAAAGCGAGUGCAGUAAGCUAGCUUUACCAGCCCUAAAAGUCAUUAUUUUGACUUCCUCUGAUGAGUCCCUCUUAGCUAGUAGGUGAUAGCUUCUCAAAAGAUUAAGGGACUUUCACAUCAUAUACGAGUACACCUUACCCAGUAAAAAAGAGAAGAUAAACGCUAUCGUCAAUAACUACUUUAAGCUAAGCCUUAAAUGUAAACUCAGAAAAAAUAAGAGUCAUUUCGCCUGCCAGGGAACCUUUACUAAUGCACUUUUCAACUCAAGCUCUUUUCCUUUAUUAUUCAAUUUUGAUUCAAAAAUACUCUUUAUUAAAAACUUGCUUUAUAAUACCCCUGCUCUCUCACCAGUUGGUUAGCUUGACCUUUUUACGCCCCCCGCUGGCGCUGGAUUCACUGACUUGGAUGAUCAUUCUAAAAAGAUCUCCCACGCGUAUUGAAAUAAGGUCUCUCUCACUCAAAUCGUAAGCUCUGCUCACUUUACUAAUAUGGACGGAGAGUUCAUUUACUUGAAAAAGACUCAUUUGACUUCCUGCUUGCCUUAAAAGAGUAUAAUGGCUUUGCUUGCUCACAUGAAAAGGAAAAACAGUUACUACUAACUCACAGGAUGUAACACAGAAUCGGGAUUGGCUUACCGCUAGAGAGAAACUCAGACCUAUCAUGAAAAGAGAAAACCUCACAAGUAAAAAAAAAAAAUAUGAGAGCUGUUCCAGGUAUCCAGUUCGACCCCCGAGGUACAGAUAUCCAUCCAUGUUAGCCACCCUUUCCAUUACCGAUCUAGUCGCUCUUGCUGGCUAACCCGCCACUUUCUAAAAACUGUCAUUGGCUUCUAAAAGGCUCCAUUUUAGGUUUGCCCAUUACUAAGGGAUUGCCAUUGCCUACUGAAUUUUGCCCUAUAAGCCACUUGCCUAGUUGGCUUGAAUUGUAUUCUACCUCCAUAUGCAAUCUUUAUCUUUAUUUGAACAGCCAUUUAGAACGUACAUAAGACCAACCCAACCCUUAGAGUUUCCACGGGAUAGAAAAGAUAAAAGAUUCAAAAAGCACUCUAUUAUAAAAAGAUGUGUUCUUAGGAUUAGUGUCACGGACUAAGCUUUCUCUCAACAAGCAUUAGGUCGUGCGGUACUUAAAUGGACGUUUCUAUCCAAGUCAACCUUCAAUAGAUCGAUAUUUGAACAAAUAACCAUAAAUCAUGGUUAGUCCCAAGCAUUCACAAUAAGACACAAUAUAUCGAGGUCAAUCUCAAGCAUACACACACAACAAGACACAUCCACAUCAAGAAAGAAAGAAACGCAUCGAGCCAACGAUCGGGCAUUUAAUCGAGGUGAAUUUUAUUAUAAACGAAAAUCAUACAUCGAGAUCUUCCACCAUCACCAGGGCCAGGGGGCAGCCCUUGAUGGGUGGCCUAAGCUCGCAUAGCACCCGAUGAGACAGUCCAACACUACGUUGCCGGCUCACCCCCUUUAAAGAGCCUUAGAGAUUUUAGAGCUAUGCUACCAGUAACCGUUACAAUGUUUGAAAUGGAGACACUUUUCCUAGCACAACGGAUCUACCCGGCCAUGGCCCUAUACAUGGGUGGCUCAUGGUAACCUAAGUCCCGGUAAUGGCCCUAUACAAGGUUGGCUCAUGACAUCCUCCCCCACCUAUUCUAUCGACGUCCUCGUCGACUUGCUGGCUUGAAAUUCUUCAAUCUUCUUUUGAAAUCUCUAGAGGUCGUGUUCUCUCUCCCAGCUGGUUUCUUCUAGUCUUAAGCCCUCCCACUUCACUAAGUAUUCCCAAACUAGUCUUCGAGAUAUCUUGGUUUCCCUGUCGGCUAAGAUCUCUUCGACUCGACACUCUGAGGGUGGCUUCAUGGUGAUGGCGGCUCUGGUUGGCUCCCUUCGGCUAACAUCUAUAGGAUUUGCAUGGAAAGGCUUCAGGUUGCUUACAUGGAAUACUGGGUGCACAUUCAUCCACUUCGGUGGGUCAAUUUUGUAAGAAGCGUUCUCCAUCUUGGAAAUGACUCUUAGUGGACCUUUAUAUUUGUGCACCAGUCUGCGAUCUCUCUUUCUUAAAAACUUGGUUUGUUCAGGAACUAGUCGGACCAGAACCAAAUCACCAACUUGGAAUUGCUGAGCUCUGCGAUUCUUGUCUACCCAUUUUUUCAUCCGUUUUGAUGCCUUCUCCAGGUAGGCUUGUGCAAUCUCUGUGUUUUGUUUCCACUCCUUGCUGAGGUUGAAAGCUCUCGGAUUCUUUCCUCCAUAUUGUUUUAAGGAAGUAUGGGGUAACCUUGGUAAUUGUCUGGUGACCACCUCAAAUGGGCUCUUGUUAGUGGAAGAGCUUUUGUUGGAAUUAAAGCAAAGUUGAGCAACAUCCAACAAUGAAGGCCAGUCCUUCUAGUUGGCUUGGACAAAGUACCUCAAAUAUUCCUCCAACAAUCCAUUGAAACGUUUCGUUUGGCCAUCGGUCUGAGGAUGGUAGCUUGAAGAGAUGUUGAGUUGGGACCUCAAAAUCUUGAAAAGUUCUCUCCAGAAGGACCCCGUGAAUCUCGGAUCUCUAUCGCUAACAAUGUUUUGAGGGAGGCCCCAAUAUUUGACCACAUGUUUGAACAAUAAUCGAGCUGCGUCUUUCGCUGUACAAUACUUGUGAGCGGGAAUGAAUGUGACAUACUUGGAGAACCGAUCAAUUACCACCAAGAUAGUUUCAAUAUCACCAACCUUGGGUAGGCUCGAAAUGAAAUCGAGAGAGAUGCUUUCCCAUGGUUUGGUGGGUACCGGUAAUGGAUCAAGCAUGCCCGUAGGUUUUCUCUUUUCGACUUUGUCUUGUUAGCAAAUGAGGUAAGUCUUCGUAUAGUCCAUCACAUCUUGUCGCAUGUGAGGCCAAUAGUAUCCCUAUUUUAAUAACGCUAAAGUGCAUUGCCAGCCCGGGUGUCUCGCCCAUGGGGUGUCAUGGCAUUCCCUCAUCAGCAUCUGUCUCAAUCCUCCUGCUCUCGGUACAAACACUCGAGGCCCCUUGGUUCACAAGACCCCAUUUUUUUGCCAGAAGUAUUUGGACUUCCCUUCUUCCACUAGCUUCAAGAUGGCACAAGCUUGUGGGUCCUUCCCUAAAUGAUCUCCAAUCAACUUAUGAAUGUCUGUAGUGGCUCUACUAGUUGCCAUUGGGGCCAUUCUUCUGAGGGCCGCUAACUCUGGUCGCCUACUCAAUGCAUCCGCCACUUGAUUGGUCUUUCCAGCGGUAUGCUCAAAAUGAAAGUCAAACUCUGCUAAAAAUUCUUGCCACCUAGCUUGUUUCACCGUAAGCCUUGCUUGAGUGAGAAAAUGGCUAACGGCUGCAUUGUCCGUCUUCACGACAAAGUGUGAACCCAACAAGUAAUGUCGCCAAACCCUUAAACAAUGAACCACCGCCAGGAGCUCUUUUUCCUGGGCCGUAUAUUUUCUCUCCGCUUUGCUCAGCUUCCUACUUUCAAAUGCUAUCGGGUGAUGUUGUUGUAAAAGCACACCUCCAAUAGCAAAAUUAGAUGCAUCCGUCUGAACUUCAAAAGGCUUUUUAAUAUCGAAAAGAGCUAAGAUGGGAUCCUUCAUAAUAGCAUCUUUCAAUCUCUCAAAGGCUUCUUGGCACUCAUUGGUCCAACACCAUUUAUGCUCCUUCUUCAAUAGCUCCGUGAGGGCCAUGGUCUUGUGAGAGUACCCUUCCAUAAACCUUUUAUAAUAGUUGGUUAGUCCCAAAAAUGAACGGAGCUCAUUAACAUUCUUUGGUGUUGUCCACUCCUUGAUGGCUCUAACUUUUUUCAUGUCCAUUCUAAUGUGGCCACGUUCAACAAUAUGACUGAGAAAAUGGAUUUGAGUCUGAGUAAAUGUGCAUUUCUCCCUUUUUACAUAUAACCGAUGGUCCUGCAGCUUUUAAACACCCGACAUAGGUGUUCUUGAUGUUUUUCCAAGGUGGAGCUGUACACCACUAUAUCGUCUAAAUAAAUGACUACAAAUUUGUCAAGGUAAUCAUAAAACACCUGAUUCAUCAAUGUACAAAAUGUGGCAGGAGCAUUGGUCAGUCCAAAGGGCAUAACAAAAAAUUCAAAUGCGUCAUACCGUGUUAUACAGGUGGUCUUUGGCUCAUCUCCCUCAACGAUUCUGACCUGAUGGUAUCCAAAUCUCAGGUCCAGUUUGGAGAAGUACUUGGCCUGGCACAAUUGAUCAAACAAGUCCGCUAUAAGCGAGAUAGGAUAUUUGUUUCUUACGGUGACUUUGUUCAGGGCUCUGUAGUCAACACAUAAGUGUAAAUUCCCAUCAUGCUUUUUUUGGAAUAGCACAGGCGCUUCGAAAGGAGCCUUUGAUGGUCUGAUGAACUCGGCUUGUAGAAGCUCAUCUAACUGUUUUCUCAGCUUAGCCAACUCUGACAGGGCCAUGCGAUAAGGAGCUUUAGUAGGGGGUUUUGCUCCUGAGAAGAGCUCAAUUUCGUGGUCCACUGCUCGUCGAUGGGGUAAAACCUUGGGCAACAUCUCUGGCAUCACCCCUUUGAAUUUUUCUAACACUCUCUUCACAUCAUCGGGUAUUGGUUCUACUUCUGACCCUUCUUUGUAGAUCGACAUGGCCACAAAAAAGGGUUCCCUUCUCUUUACCCCUUUCUUGAAUUGCAAAGAUGAAAUCAUUUUCUUCCUACUCUUUGGCAAGAUAUUGGCUGGCACCACACAUGGGUGUUCCCUUAAAAACAACAAGCAGCUAGCAAUGGGGAUAAGGAUUACCUGAGCCAACGUCAUGAAGUCCAAUCCGAGAACAACAUCAAAGUCAUCCAUAGGGGAGACUGUGAAGUCUACCUUCUCUUUUUAUGGCCUCAAUUUGGUUGUCACACCCUUAGAGCUUCCACUGAUCACAAAGGCUGACGAAUUGACUGCCUUCAUUUAUCCACAGUCUUUGUUAACCUGAAGGCCACACCUUUUUGCUUCUUCUGGUGUGAUGAAAGUAUCAGUUACACCUGUGUCCAUCAUGGCCUUGGUGGCCUUCUCGUUGAUCAUUAGGUUCACAUACAUCAAGCCUCUACUUUACUCUUUCCUUAUAGUGUUCAGUUGGGUGUGAAGGGCAUUGAGAAACCUUAUUGAGCCCAUCCUGGCUGGUUCCUCUUCAAUCUCUUCAACGCUCUCCGGUGCUUUUACAGACUCUUAAGAUGAGGUUCUUAAAGCAUUAAGGGCUCCUCUGUACAGACAUUCGACCACCCGAUGUGGCCUUUUACAAAGAAAGUAAGCUAGCGGUUGCCUAGGCCUGAAAGUCACUGCAUUGUUUAUUUUAGGCUGGGUGUUAUCUCGAUCGAAAGACCUUCUAUCUGAUCCCCCACUGAAGGGACGGUCCAAUCUGGUCAUCUUUCCCUCACUUCCAAAGUUGAAGCUACUACUAGCUGAUGAAGGAUUUUUUCGUUUUAAGGAGCCAUCAUUAUAGUCUUGGAGACGUUCAGCUGCAGCCAUGGUCGUGGCCAUGUCUUGCACUUUUUGUCUUUGUAGUUCUGCUCUAGUUUGAGGCUCUCGAGAAAAUAAAACAUCUUAUCCUUCUCAGACAUGUCUCGAAUAUCCAACAUCAGGGUAAAAAAGCUCCUUACAAACUCUCGCAUUGUCUCUGUUUGCACCAAUUCUCGAAGUCUCCUUCGAGUCAUAUACUCCACAUUCUCAGGGAAAAACUGGUUUUUCAAUUUCUACUUCAGGUCCGUCCAAGUUUUGAUCGGGCACUUGUCAUUGACAAACUUGGAACGCUACCAAAGCUUGGCAUCUCCUGCGAGGUACAUCGAUGCCAUUGUUAUCUUAUCUUCCUCUGAAUCCAUGUGCACAGCCCGAAAGUAUUGCUCCAUGUCAAACAAGAAAUUUUCAAGUUCUUUGGCAUCCCUUGCCCCUUCAUAACAUCAAGGCUCUGGCAUCUUAGGCCUUCUCCCCCUAUCCGUCGAGCUCGAACUUGACCUGGCCAUAGCCAGUUGUAAGAUGCUCACCUGUGUUCUGAGCUCUUCAAACUUCUUUUGGAGAAUAUUCAAGGCAUCUCUAGCAUCUUCACUCACGUUGUAGAGAGUAUCGGAUAACUUUUACUGGGUUGUCUCGAUCUUUAGUCACCAUGUGCAUUUUCAUUGCGGCCACCGUGGCCUCAAGUUCUUCAAUUCUCUGUUGAUGAUCAGGUCCACCACUUGUGGCCAUCUCAUCCAUUUUCUAGCACUUCUCAACCGUGCUUUGAUACCACGUGUCACGGACUAAGCUUUCUCUCAACAAGCACUAGGUCGUGCGGCACUUGAAUGGAUGCUUCCACCCAAGUCAGCCUUCAAUAGAUCGAUAUCUGAACAAAUAACCAUAAACCAUGGUUAGUCCCAAGCAUUCACAAUAAGACACAAUAUAUCGAGGUCAAUCUCAAGCAUACACACACAACAAGACACAUCCACAUCGAGAAAGAAAGAAAUGCAUCGAGGCAACAAUCGGGCAUUCAAUCGAGGUGAAUUUUAUUAUAAACGAGAAUCAUACAUCGGGAUCUCUCACCAUCACCAGGGCCAGGGGGCAGCCCUUGGUUGGUGGCCUAAGCUCGCAUAGCACCUGGUGAGACAGCCCAACACUACGCUGUCGGCUCACCCCCUAAAGAGCCUUAGAGAUUUUAAAGCUAUGCUACCAGUAACCAUUACAAUGUUUGAAAUAGAGACACUUUUUCUAGCACAAGAGAUCUAUCCGGCCAUGGCCCUAUACAUGGGUGGCUCAUGGCAACCUAAGUCCCGGUAAUGGCCCUAUACAAGGUUGGCUCAUGACAACUAGCUUACACAUGCUUAAUGUCAUUAUCAGGUCUUGGUGUGUCUUGGUCCUGUCAUGACUAAUCUUAAGCUAAGCAGCGGUCGAGAUCAAACUGACAAAAAAGUGAUUAUAAGAGAUACGGACGUGCAUUUGAAGAAUUGGAAUAGGUUACUAAUAUGUUGUACCGGAAGUGGGAGCCCUAAAUCGUAAGAUAUAUGGGUAAGUUUGGGAUAAUGGUCAAGCACCCUCAAGCAAUUAGUCGGACAGGUGCCAUAAGUGGAAGCAGUGUGCGGGCAUUUUAAGCACAGGAAUAUGUUGGGGAUAUUGUGCGUGAAUAGUCUGAGUCCUAAACCCCAAGAUACGCAGGUAAGUGUGAGGUAGUGUGUCGGUGCCUUAGGACCAGCUAGCCAGUCAGGUGCUAUCGAUCGAAGCCAUGUGCGGGCACUUUCGAGUGGGUUGGUGGAGCAACGGGUAGAAUCAAGGAAUAAUGAUGACCAAGAGGAAGGUUAUGGGGCCCUGAAUUAAUCGAAGAAAGGUCCUGAGAUGCUUGGAGAGAAAAGUGUUCUCAUUUCGGACAAUCUUACGGUUAUUGGUAGGAGAUUAAAAAAAUCUCUUACGCUCUUUAUAGGGGGAUGACUGGUGUCAGCUCUUCACCACCCCUUUGGCUAGCGAGCAGGCAGGGGCCUAGCUAGUUUGAAGUGAGUUACUCUUAGGCACUAGUGGUGUCUAGGUGGGCGGGCAUCGUAGGGUCACGAGCAUGACAUGAUGUUUUCUCAGGUCAUGGUAAACCCGGGGGUAGUUGGGGUCGACGAACCUCGUAUCGUACCUUUGCGUUGAGCCAUGAGGUUACAUGGUAGAGUUCGCUAUGCCCAUCGAUUUUUUUUCAUUGAGCCAGAAGGAUCAUGAGAUGGUGUUUACGUAGGAGGGACGCCAUCGAACCUGAAGGAUGUGCGGGCUAGUAGGCAGGCACGCUGCUAGACCUUUGUGGCCAAUCGAUAGAGGUGUGCUAUAACUAAGGCAGUCCACCUAAGUCCCCCUUGCGGGACUAGCAUGAUGUUGGGUGUCAAUCAUACAUGUGGGUAGCCUACACUGUAGCUAAGAGCCUAAGCCCUAAGAACUGAGUCUCGUGGGAUGAGAUGAGCCUAGAGGCUUCGAGCUGACUGCUGACCACUUAAGUGUGGCACUUACGUAAACUUGAUACGAGAGUUUACGUACGAUACGAACGGGCAUGGUGUUGGGUUCUCACCAUGUCCAAAAGUAAUAAUAUCAUGAGAAUCGAGGCUGCAUGCCUCACGGGUAUUUGAGGGUAGGUGCUCGAGACCUUAAGCCUUGCGGGCAGAGAUGGGUGCUCGAGGCUACUUUGAGAAUUGUGAGCUGAUGAGUGAUGGGAGUUGGGUUCUUCCUUAUAGAGUUCAGAAUGAGUAACCCUACGGGGUCAAAGCCAAAGAAAAAACUCUUGUGUAUACGACUUGAAGGAUUAAAAUUGAGCCGUCCAAUGAAAAAAUAGACUUACGGAAGGCUGACCUUGACUAUGAGUAGUCUUGGUGCUGUAUGGACAUGUGGUUUCAGAGUAAAGAACAUGUGGAUCGUGACAUGUGGUAUCAGAGCUUAGGUUUAGCUCAAGUGGCAAGAUUAACAUGACCCCAUGUAUGGGCCUAAUGGUGGGAAAUUGAAGUGGUACUAAGCUCAAAAGAGCUUUCAAGAUGCGAAUGCAGUUUUGUGGCUAUGGGGGCUCGAAAAAGAGCCAAUGAUGCGUAUUGUGGGAAAUUUUAGCCUAUGUAAAAAACUCUCGAGUAGACUAUUGGAUGCCAAGCAAAAGGGCACUGAAGUCUAGCCUCACCUAGAAAAAGGUGUUGGCAUGUUUUAGGGCAUGUGAUGCCUUUACAAUGGAAGAAAUCGUGGUGAGACCAAAAUGCGAAAAGGGGCUUACACCAUGAAAUGGUGUUUUGUAAGGCCAGUGGGGUCAAGUGAGUUUUGUCCUGAAGGAUACGAGACAUACGUAUCAAGACUAAUUACUAAUGUAUGCACUUGUUAUAUGGUGUAGGUUCCCCAGCAAGGGUGCAAGCUGAAAUAUUCAAGUCCAAGAAUGGAGCCAUUACACAGAGGAGUGUGAAUUGGCUGAGGAUGAAGCCAUGAGUUGUGAUGGUUGGUGGACCAUGAGUUGCGUUGGUCGGUGGACCAUGAGUUCUCGUGAUUAGAGGAUCACGGGAGUGUGUGAGUAAGGGAAUCAAGUUUUAUGUUUGCCAAGAAGGAAGGCCUCACAUGUUGUGGUGGUUAGUGGACCACAAUAGAGUGUAAUCUAGUGGAACAAGCAAAUGGGAAUUGGCCAGUUGACAAGGCCUUCAGAAAUGUAGGUCAAUAGACCUUGAGAAUCGAGUGGGUGGUUGAAUCCCCGAGUCAAACAAGUCAGUGGAUGAGGUGAUUGGUUAGAUCAGUGGUAUAGAGUGAACUUUGAGAUGCCCUAUGAGCUAUGCUAGAGUCAAGGCAGACGAGCUGUAGAACCAUCAAGGAGACAUGGUUGCGUAUAGUGUUAAACCAAGCUUCGAGUAAAAGUGAGGGAGACGUGAUUCCCUAUGGGACUGAGUCAAGACAGAGAAGCCUGAACAGAUGGAACAUAGUGUUCGAGCUAGGAGUAGAGAUCGAGAUAGCGCGUCUUAAGGUGCCACCUCGAAGGUGGUUGGCCAGAGGGCCACACCUAGAGAGGUGACCUUAGAGGGCUAAGAGGACCCAAGUUAUGAGAUAACCGAAGUGUCUAAAUGCCACCAUGCUAGGGUCUAUCGUGUGUGGUGCCGUAUGAGUGCGGUUGGCCUAAACACCACGUCCAAAGGGGCGCAUCGAAGAGUCGAUGUAGUAGGCAUGCAGUUGGUGUGAGGGGUCACGUCCAGUGGGACGUACCAAUGAGUGGUAAAGCAGGUGGUCAUUCAUUCUACUAAAGGUCAUUAAACAAUAAGGGUGCCUCAAGGUCGCAACGGGAUGUGAUCAAAGGAAGUAGUGUUAUGGCACAUAUACAGCAACCAAGAUAGGGUGAAACAGUUCGAGUAGGAACAGAGCGGAGGUGCAUUGGUGCUGGGAUGUGACCAAUCUACAUCAACAAUGGACAAGUACUGUGGGUCAUGCCCCAUGUGACGGGACCUCGACCCAAUCCUUGAGGGCACAAGUGAGAGACAUAUGAGUAAAUGUCAACUGUGUGCAACAAGAGAGUUGAGUGUGAUCUUGGCGUCGAUGAGGGCAUCGACAUGGUAAGUGGGGGAGAGUGUCAUGGUCAGACCUUGGUGUGCCUUGGUCCUACCUUGACUGACCCUGAGCUGAGCAGCGAUCGAGAUCAAGCUAGCAAAAAAAUGGUUCUAAAAGAUGCGGGCAUGCAUUUGGAGCAUUGAAACAGGUUACUAAUAUGUUGUGCGGGCAGUGGGAGCCCUAGAUCGCAAGAUAUGUGGGUAAGUUCGAAACAGUGGUCAAGCACCCUCAAGCCAAGUAGCUCAGCGGGUGCCAUCAAUGGAAGUAAUGUGCGGGCAUUCUGAGCAUGAGAAUAUGUUAGGGAUAUUGUAAGUGGAUAGUUUGAGUCCUAAACCCCAAGAUACGCAGGUAAGUGUGAGGCAGUGUGCCGGUGCUCUAGGACUAGCUAGCCAGUCAGGUGCUAUCGGUCGAAGCCAUGUGCAGACACCUUCGAGUGGGUUGGUGGAGCAACGAGUAGAAUAAAGGAAUAAUGGUGACCAAGAGGAAGGUUAUGAGACCCUGAGUUAGCCGGAGAAAGGCCUUGAGAUGGCUAGAGAGAAAAGUAUCCCCAUUUCGGAUAAUCUUACGGUUACUGGUAAGAGACUGAAAAAAUCUCUUACGCUCUUUAUAGGGAGAUGAUUGGUAUCAGGUUCCCACCACCCCUUUGGCUAAUAGGCAGGCAGGAGCCUGGCUAGUUUGAAAUAAGCUACUCCUAGGCACUAGUGGUAUCUAAGUGAGCAGGCAUCGUAGGGUCACGAGCGUGACACAAUGUUUCCUUAGGUCAUGGUAAACUCGGGGGUGAUUAGAGCCGACAGGCCUCAUAUCGCUCCUUUGCAUUGAGCCAUGGGGUUACAUGGUAGAGUUCGUUAUGCCCCUCGAUUUCCCUUCAUUGAGCCAGAAGGAUCAUGAGAUGGUGUUUGUGUUGGAGAGACGCCAUCGAGCUUGAGGGAUGUGCGGGCUAGCAGGCAGGCAUGCUGCUAAACCUUUAUGGCCAAUCGGUAGAGGUGUAUUGUAGCUGAGGCAGUCCACCCAAGUCCCCCUUACGAGACUAGCAUGAUGUUAGGUGUCAAUCAUGCGUACGGACGACCUACACUGAAGCUAAGGGCCUAAGCCCUAAGAACUGAGUCCCGUGGGAUGAGAUGAGCCUAGAGGCUUCGAGCUGGCUGCUGACCAGCUUAAGUGUAACGCUUGCGUAAACUUGAUACGAGAGUUUGCGUACGAUAUAGGCGAGCAUGGUGUUGGGUUCUUACCAUAUCAGGAAGAAUCGAGGCUGCGUACUCCAUGGGUAUUCGAGGGUCGGUGCUCGAGACCUUAAGCCCUGCGGGCAGAGAUGGGUGCUCGAGAUUACUUUGAAAAUCAUGGGCUAAUGAAUGAUGGGAAUUAGAUUCCUCCCUAUAGAGUUCGAAAUGAGUAAUCUUACAAUAUCAAAACUAAAAAAAAGAAUCAUAUGUAUACGACUUGAAAGAUUAAAAUUGAACCGUUCAAUAGAAAAAUGGAUUCACGAAAGGUUGAUCUCGAUUAUGAGUAAUUUUGAUGCUGUAUGAAUGUGUGGUUUCAGAAUAAAGCAGGCUCGGACCACGACACUUAACGUAAGACGGACUCCUACCUCCAAAAAAAGAAAUUACCAAUUAAAGUAAAUGUAAAGGCUCGCUUGCUUAAAAAUGUUACAGCCCUUCAAUAAAAUAUUAUGUAUGUAAGAAAAAGAGUAAACAUCGUAUAUGAGUAGGAGAAGUCCGGGCUUACCUUACCAUAUAACGAUACCUACCCUAUAUAAGAUAAGCCCUGUCAAGGGAAUAAAUCAAUUCACCGGGUGACCCUACAGAGAGAAGGACUGAAACUAGAUCGCUUCUCAAUCUUUCUCGUUUGAAGGCCAGAGAUACAUAUUAAACAGGCUCGAAGAAAGAACAUCCUAUUUGACUAAAUGGGAAAAGCAUUUUAAAGAUAAAUUGACUGCUACCCUGAAGAGAACUCUUUUGGCUUGACUUCCAUAUAUUGACUCCUCGUAUGCUUCCAAGGGAACCCAUGCUCUUAACUAGGGGCAAGCAUGUUCUAAAUACUAAAUAGAAGAUAACUCAAUCCCUUUCUGAAACCAUUCCCACGGUCCAGGGGAAAAAAUUAGCCGUCCACCUGGUCAAACCCUUAAGAAGAGAACUCCAAUGACAACUCAAACCAGAAGGACUAUAACUAAAUAUUAGAUUUUGGGUUCUAAGCAAAACUACAAUAAGCAAUAAAACUCGAUCCAAAGCAGAAUGGAACUCAAAGCAAAGCGAAAGCGAAGGAAAAAGAAGCACUCGCUUUGUGGCUUACUCUUUUGACUAGAAAGAAAUGGCUAAGAGAGACCUUAAAAUGCCACUGUCUGGAAAAGGAGAUGGACGAUGAUUAGUUAAGAGGAAAAGCUUAGGAGAACACUAGAGCGGAAGCGGAGGCUAAAAGAAGAAAAGAGGGCCGAGUAGCUCGACUUCAAGGCAAGGAGAGGCACUUUCUGGCCAGUAGAGAGGAAAUUCCUCGACUUUAUCACAUCUUAUCAAUUCAAUUUAAACUAAAUAGUACUUUACUUGACUGCAGGCGCAAGCUAAUGAUAGAGGAGCUUGAAAUAAUAAUUCGUUCAUAGCUUGAAUUGAAAUUAGGACCUUAGGGUGAGAAAGGAAUAGCUGCUUUCUAGAUAUAGAUAGAGAGUCGGAUUUUUAUUGACCCAAGAUAAAACUUUUUAUUUAAUAAAGUUAAAAAAAAUGUUUUCAAAUUAACUUGCUAAAAAUCAUCCUGCCUUGCCUUUCUCUCUAUUUUAUUCCCGUAUCCAAGCCAAACUUGAACUGCAUUUGUUCCGCAUAUGAAAAAAGCCUCCCUAUCUCCAUAUGCAUGGAGUAACUUGAGUAUUUUCUCUUCUUAUCAAUUCUUUCAUAGCAUUCAAACCUUGGAAAUGUAACAAAAGUCAGAUGCAGAACACACGCAAGAAAAGAGACCAAGCAAGAGAGACAGGAAAACUAGAGUAACUUGCUCGUUAUAGCCAGCAAGAUGAUAGGCAUUCCUUUAGGAGUAGCUGGGACUUUCAAUAGAGAAGACAGUCUCAGCAGUAAAGUGCUAACACCGGUAACGUAGCUAGGGGAGUUGCAGGACUCAUUUCAAAGGCUAGAAGUCCUAAACUAGAAAGGAGAUUGCUUUGGUGUGAAGUCAGCUGUACUAGAUGCAGUUGCCCGGCAUCCAAUGCAUCACUAAUUCCAACUAGAACGGAAUGGGAUGACUGAGAAUACCAAAGGGACUCUUUCAUGUACCUGUCUGGUACGGCUUAUUCCCUUAUGGAUAGGGAAAGAGCUGAGACUGAAAAAAUGAAUUCGUGGACGAGAGGUUGGACUACAAAUGAGAGAUUGGAGAAUAGAUUCCUUUCACCGAUGCUUCGAUCAGUUCUUUACCGGGACUUGACACAAGACAGACGGGCGGUGAAAACUGGAAUUAGAUCUUGGGAAAGAUCGACUCAAAUAGAUGCUCGUCCCUUUCCGACUCACUCCAGCUGGAAUGAGUACCAUACCAAAUCCCCAUUAAGCUUGUCGAUUUAUGUGAGAAUGGCUAUACGACUUUGGUAUAUUUUUAUACAUAUGUGUUAUAGAGUAUAGUCGGGCCCUGGGCUCUUUAUCCCAUAUAUAGGGAAGAGAUCUUGCGAUAGCCCGCUUUAUGUCAUCGAGAUAUUGAAUCUCGAUUCCUCGAGGCCUUUUUAAUUCUUCUGUCCGUUGGUGGAUAUCCUGGACAUACUGGUGGCAUCGUUCGAGGUCCCGUUCCGGCCGCCUAUAGUCUUUUGACGGUUCUAGGUCUCGAAACCUAUGAGCGUCUGUCAAAAAUCUUCCCCUUUCUAAAAAGCUUACUCUGUUUCAUCCCCUUUCCACUGUCUAGUUUCGAUUUGCCUUCGCUCUUAGCUUGCCACUUUGGGCCAGGUACUACUCAAGGCAAACGUACUAGACAAGCAAAGAAAGAUAGUCAUAUAAAUGAGCUACCACGUGCAUGCUUUCCUUGAUAGGCUUCCUUCCUUAAUAUUAAUAAAUGGCACUGCGCUCUUCGAACCUAAAUUUGAACUAUAAGAGACCUCUACUCUCCAAUCUCUAUCGAAAGCAUUAGUGGUUGUACUCCACUAAUGAGCUACGCGUAGCUGCAGUACGAUCCAUUUGUCUUCCCAUCGUGUAAUGAAAGCGUGCCCCAUGGUUCUCCCAUUUUUGGCACAAGAUCCCUCGGGUAUUUUAUUUUCACUCACUUCUACUUUAAACUUGAACACUUUCUUUAAGCGAUAUUGCCACAGACUUCCAUUUCUUCUGAUUAGAAUACUUUCAUUCUCUUGAUCGAAUGGCGGGUGAAGAGCGACCCACGUCUUCCUCGUCAUACAGCACAGAAGUCUUACUUCCAACUCACAUGCAGCUUCUUAUUGACAAAUUGCAACGUGAGUUUGCCAUGACUGAUCCUAGUUUUCUCAAUCACAUCGAGAGAAUAAGCCAAGGCCCCUCUACCGGAUUACGCUUUCCAAUAGCCAGGAUUUUCAAUUAGAAAAACAAUAAUGUUUUGGCCUUGGUCCAUUGGUACGUUACUCUCCAUACUUAACAUAUGUUGCUUGCCUCUCACCAUCUCUUCGGAAUGGCACUGAAUUCGUACUCCCCAGGCUCCGCACUCAGGAGCCCCCUUAAUCGAGUAUAAUAGCGGCCGUUCACGUCAGGAAGAAAAUAAACAGGGGGGAGGGUCUCCACAAGUAGGUCUUGUCUCCGCCAGGCGGGGAAACCUAUCUGGAAUUUUCUAGGUAGGCGCUGAACUCGUUGACCAUCGACCGUCGUUCAAAACUAUUAGACCUAGUCCCAUGCGUAAGUUUGUGACAUCAAUCUUAUUCGCAUCAUAAUCCGUGAAUGAGUUUACGAAUGAAGGCAACUUCCGAGUAUAAUAUGGUAUCCAGAACAGAUGACAGACUGCCAAUCAAAGAUGGUUAUGCCUUGACUACUGACUACCGUUCUUCGUCUAGCCGUCACUGCUCACUCCAUGAGAUAAUCCUCCAUUUUUUUGUCGUCGCCCUCCUUUUUUAACCUCCUGGAAAUAACGACUAGAAAAAUUCAAGACCUAAAAAGAGAAGGUAAGAGGGAAGGGCAGUGGAUCGGUCAAGGUGGGCUAGGUCUUUGUUGACAUCGGACCACUAUAACUUUGGACAACCUUUUCAUCCCCAUUGCUGAUCACACUCUAAAGUGUGCGCUUUAGUUUGAUUCGUCCCUUACUCCACAGCUGCUAUUAUUCAGCACGGUGCAGCGUACAAAAACACCACCUAACCUAUAGUUGACCAUACUCGUUAAGGCAAACGAUGCAAUAGUUUGCUAGGAAACUGUGCGGAGCGGUCUCUCUGCAUCAGGCGCUACGAGAUUUCUGUCUGCGACCGACCGAGACUCUUUCUCAAGUCAAAAUUUUUACUUAGCUCUCUACAUUUCGUGAUCACCGUGCCGAUGGCUUCGAUCCUAUCUCUACGCUACAGCUCAUGCUUACAUAGAGAGAUAAUUAUGCUCCUAAUGUUUCGGGGGGUAUCCCGACAAUUUCAACCGGCCGGCCAUGAAGGGACGUCACGACUAUGCUUUCUGGUAAACACAUAAGGCUAUUUUUUUCAGCCAUCUGCUUUAUGCAUGAUCAAACCUUCGGAGCUCUUUUAGUCCGCCCGACACGCCUCGAUCUAUACAUGGAACACACGCAGCAAGAUACUUCCCGGUUCUAUAAUGGUUACAAUUAUCUACGUUUUCAGUGUGCCUAUGAUGUAGCACCAGGCGAAUUGUUAGUUAAUGUGUAUCAUCUUACGAGAAUAGAGUAUGGUGUAGAUCACCCAGAAUAGGUAUGCAAAUAAGUCUUUGCCAAAGGGAAGAAUCGAAACCUAGAAUCCCGUCUGUUUUUUGGAUUUUGAAAAGUGCAGAUUUUCAAGAACGAAAAUUUCUUAUGGAUUUCAUCCACGCCUGAAACCUAUCUUGAUACUUGAAAGUUGGAUCGGUUGGCCUCCCCUACGCAAGGAGAAUCUAUUGUCCUCAAUUUUUAUGAAAUAAAGGAUGCUCAUUGAAUGAAUCUUAACUUAUACGAUUUCAGAUAUUCAAUAAGAUUAUUAUGUUCUGUUUUCGAUGAAACAAAGUUACUAAACUCUCAUUCCAAUUUUUUUUCUGAAAUAAAAAAGGGCUUCAUAUAUAUUCCUAAAUCUGGAAGAUAACAUAUCUAUUUGGGACGAGCAGAGCCGAUAGAAUGAAUCGAAAGAGUUCCAAGCUUACCUGAUUGAUAGGCCUUUGUGCCGCGCACAUCACUUAGAUGGGCCCCGGAAAACAACGUAGGAAAGAGCGAAAUUUGUGUGAAAAUAGGAAAUUAAGAAAUUCAAAGGCUAAUCUUUCAUUAGAUUUGUAUUGGAUCUGAAAUGAAUCCUGUCUAUUCCUAUCCUAAAACCCCUCAACGACUAGACUUCUGGGUCUUUCAGUCAACUCAAUUGGGAUAUGUACGGAGUAUGCUAAUUAUUUUUGAGCGAGAGGAGCAUUGUUUUAAGGGAGGGAAAGCGUGGUUUUAUAUUAGACAGAAGUGGCUGAACCGCUGUCUCCUUCUCAUGUACAAAUCUGCCCGUAGCAUAGACUUGAUCGAUCACCACAUUUCUAUCCUCCUUUGCAAUCAUAAAACUUUGAGGGCUUACUUUGUAGGGCUUUUCAAGGAGAGAGCACAACCUUGCCCGGUCUUCACACUCGUCAAUUUCUUAAUGAAUGAAUCGUAUGGAUUGGAUUGAUACGUCUGCCUUACCAAUUCGGCGGAUGCUCGGAUUUUUUCAUUCGAAUAGAAAAAGGCCCUCGAUUCCCUUAUGUAUGUAGGGCGAAGGUGCUGUAAUGGACGCUGGUGGUUGGUACAAUAGUAUAGUAGAACGCGCCUCUUUUGCCGGAUCCCACACACCACUUAGAUUGCAGUACAGCCUGCUUCUCACAUUUCUCUUGAUCAGCUACUUAUUUUAUUCCCCUCAUCCCAUUAAGAAAGAACUAUCCGUUGAUAUCUUAGCCUAAAGGCCUAUAUUUAGAUCAAGACAACGAUUUUACUAAUACCAAAAAAAUAAGGGCUCACUUGCAGCUACUCAAAAAAAGAUAUGCUCGAAUGCUUUUGAGUUUUUCAUUUCUAUACCGAGUUGUAUGCAUGUGAAAAGGAUGAACAACCUAAUAAAUAGCAAUAGUUUAUUACGUGAAUAGAGGGGCACCACACACAUUAGUGGCCAAAAGGGGAAGAAGCACACUUCUCUCUUUAUUUUACCCAUAAGCAAAGGCAUGUGCUUCUCAUUGUCCAGGCUUAUGACUCACCUCAUGCUCCCCGACUCUAAGGGAGAGAAUGAAUGCACUACUUCUCAGUGCACUUGCAGGGGUUGCUCAUGCACUCCUUACAAACGGAUACUAUUUAGUGCAAGACAUAGCUUGCCCUUCUCUCGUCGGAUUGGGAGUGGCAUGCGAGUGCUAAGCCAACAAAAUUAGAUUCCAGGAACCUUUCUUUGUGACCUUUAGAAAAACCCCUCCCCCUUACUAGAUCAAAUAGGGCUUAUUACUUAAUAACCGAGAGAUAAAUGCAACUACGGGAUAAAAGCUGGGUAGGGUAGAGCCUUUUUUUAGUACCCGAAACCCAAAAACUCUUUUCCAGAGAUUGAAAUAAAUGCAUGAGCUAUGGGCCGCAUCCAUCGACUUUUAUACAAAUUGAAAUUCGGAAGUUAAGAAAGCAUUAUUCAAGGUUUUUUAACUGUAUAGCAGAUUGACCCGGCUUACCAUUAUAUUAAAAAAUAAAUGAAACUGAAGUUCUACCCCGCCUUCUCUAAUAAAGCCUUAACCUUCGGUGAAUAGUAAUGAGUCUUCACCGGUUCGGUGGCAUCUUUGUAAGGAUCUUCCUUAUGAAUCUGGUCUUAUCUCCAGAGGGCCUGCUCAGUCGACUGGUAGAACAAGGUCCCACUCCUUCUGGCCAACUAGGAUGGGACAAACAACGUCUUCAGGUCUUGCACAACCGAUACCUCUACCUCCAUUUUUUGCCGUGGAUUUUUUUAGCCCAUCAGGAGUGCGCAUCGUCUGGACGGGGAAUAAUUCAAUUUCUAGAAGUUCCCUCUCGUAUGUCACCUUAGGGCCUUUGGACGACUAAGUCAGCUCGGCUUCUCCUUCUGAAUCAGAUUCACUUUCGACGUAGAGCACACUUGACCCUGCGUCACUUGAUGUAUCAUCGAGGCAUAAAAACCUCUUCUGAUUCUGCGUUGCUUGCUGCAUCGAGAAUAGCUUCCCCUUCUGAACCUUCGUCAUUCUUUGAAGAGGGAAUUGCUGAUGAUUCCGGCCGGCUCUGUAGUUUCGAGGCUGGCUUAGAUCUUUCUGCCGUUUUGGGGAACAUCUUGGCCUUAACUUCUGCUUUGGUUGGUUCCCUUUGAGGGGUCACAGGGGCAGAAGGCUGACCGACGAACCAGGGUCUAACAGGAUGCGAUUGACCUUGUGAUUGUAAAUCUCCUCAAUCAGGGACGAUUGUGCUCAGUUGUUUUCACCAUGAGGUCGUCGUUAGUGAAGGUGACAGCAGCCGAAUACUGGGAAUACAAGGCUCCUUCAUGUUCACCUCAGCGAAGUGGCUUUGAUAUUUGUCAGAAUCCAGCAGAGCAGCGCCUGGACAAAGGCAGUCCUGAUAUCGGAUGACAGCAUCAGGGCAUCAUACACGCUGAGGAGGGCUUGAAUCUUCUUCAGGUUUUAUUUUAGAGGUUAGAGCAGCAGCAUGUACACUUUUGAGAUAGCAUUUGGUCUUAGGAUUGGUAUUGACCAAGUGAUCAACCAAGUGAUCAGGGCUCAAGAGUGCAACGUGCUAGACCUAAGACUUCAACAGGAGUGAUUUUUUAUAAUUUUUAAGAAUUAGAAAAGGUAUUUUUUUUUUAUAAAAAACGCCUUUAAUAAGUUGGUUGGAUAAUUUUAAAGGCUUAUAAUUAAAGAUAUCUUUUUUGUAAAAAAAUACCUUCAAUAAUCUUUAAUAAAAUUUUCAGGUGAUUAUUGAAGGCGUUGUUCCAUAAAAAUGCCUUUAAUAAUUAAUUUUAUAUUCAUUUCCUUGCCUUGAACAUAAGAAUUUGCAGAGGGCUGGUACACAGAACGAUUAAAAGCUACGUUAUUCAACCAAACAAACCAAACCCUUAAACACAUUUUUAGCAGACCAUUGGUUUCUUUCUCCCAUUCGUCACCAUCGACCUUAAACAAAUCACCAUUGCGAACCUCUAUUUUAACCGGUAAUUUUUUUUUUUUUAGUUUACUAUAUUAUUUACAAUAUUCAAUAGAGAAUUUUUGUUUUUUGGUUCCUUAAUAUUGACAUAUGCGUUUAUAUAUUUUCAUUAACAUCAUCGUCAGCAUAGUCAUCCAAAAUUCUAUUCAUAUUGCAAGUAUGCUAUUUUUAUGUAGUACACAUUAAAUAUUGUGGUUUGCUGAACCUUGUUGACUGAUAUUAUAUUGUCGAAUGAUAUUGUAUGAUAUUGGGGGUCUGAAUCAUAUUUCAUGUUGAAUGGUUUGCUGAAUCUUGAUAUUUGAUAUUGUUUUGCUCAAUGGGUCUGAAUGAAAUUGAGAGGCUGAAUAGUAUGCUGAAUGGUAUUUCUAAGAGGUUUGCUGAAGGGUGUGUAUUAGCAUAUUGUUGAAUGGUGUGCUAAAUGUUAUUUCUGUACAUAGUAUGGUAUUGGUUAUAUUAAAUUAAGUACAAUGAUCAAUUUAGAGGCUUAUAUUAUGUAAUUCGUAUAAUUAUGAUCAAUAUUGUAGGUAUUAUGGACUCCGAACAACAUCAUUCUCCUUUUAAUGAACAUGUAGAAGAAAGAAGUGUAGGCCAAAAAAGAAAAGGAAGGGGCCCAAAUAAACAAAUCAAAAUGACUGACACAAAAAUUCAUUUUGACUUUAAUCAAAGUGGGUAGCUUGUGUCAGAAGGAGCUGCUAAGAUGGCUAUUCAUAUUAAAGCCAUCGUCCAUCGAAGGAUUUCAAUUACGUACAUCGAUUGGCGACGAGUUCCUGAUGAUCUAAAGGAUGAGAUAUGACAGUCCGUUGUGGUAUGUUUAUUCAACAUUUUGUAAAAUUUGUUAAAUUAUCAUUUAAUUGAAAUUCAAUGUGUUGAUACUAAUUGUGUUAACUUAUUUAAGAACAGUUCAACGUCCCCAUUAAGUGUAAAGAGAUUGUGUUGUAAUAUGCUGAAAAAGCUUUCAGAGACUUUAAAAGCAGAUUGACAACCAAAUAUAUUUUAUUAUUGGCUGGUGAAGGUGAUGUUUUGGCUGUUCCACCUGCAACAUAUGCAAAUGUCAUAAGUGUUGAAAAUUGGAUAAAAUUUUGUUUAAUAUCGACUUUCAGAAGAUUUCUCGGUAUGCAAACCCAUUACCAAAAUAGUCCAAAUUUAUAAGUCUUUAUUCAAUAUAACCUUUAAUCUUCAUAUGUGAUUGACGUAAUUUCUUGAUUUUAUAGAAAAUUAAAGAAGAACAUCGAAACAUUCGGGCCAAACAACAGUAUCACCAUCAAACAGCAAAAAAAAGAUAUGCAAAUAUAAAGUAUGAGCUUGUAUGCAUUCACACAUUUGUUUUAUACUCAUUAAUGAAUAUUUAUGAAUAUUCAUUUCAUACAUUUGAUUCUUUUAUUACGAUAAUUUAAUAGAAAUCAGUAAGCUCAAACACAAAAGUUUCCAGAUGGGAUGUCUGGAAACAAGGACAUAAAUGGAAGGAUGAAUCCUUUGCAGAUGAAGCAACUGAGAAAAUGGUAAAAAAGAUUAUAUGUAUAAUUAUUUUUUUGAUAUAAUGUAUGAUUGACAUUGUGGUUGUAUAAAUGAGUGUAUACUAGCUUGUGUAGAUUUGUUCUAACAGCCCAACUUAUUAUUGUCUUUUAGGAUGAUUAUGCUGCCAAAGUAAAAUCUAGCGAACUAACAACCUAGUAUGGUGAAGAUUCUUUAUCUUUAGCAUUAGGAACUAAAGAAAGGCCUGGUCGGGUUCGUGGGAUUGGUAAAUUUGUCUUGUCAUCAACGUAUUUUGGUAAACAACCAAAAACCCCAUGAAUGAGAAAUACACAAUAUGAAGCACUAAUUGAGCAACAACAAUAAUAAAUUAAUGACCAGAAGCAACACCUUAAUGAUCAACAGCAAAGACUCGCUGCUUUGGAGUUUAUGUUGUAGCAAUGCAACAGGUUAUGCCAAUAGCUCGGCCUGAUAGCAUCGUCCCCGUACGAAAAGCUUCCGUUGCUAGUAAGGAAGUGAUCCCAUCAUCUGCUACCACCAAAGAAGUAUGAUAUUAUUUAUAAUUUGAAUAUUAAUUUGUUUAUUAUAUUGAUAGAUUUGAUUUUAAUACUUAUAUUUCAUUAAAUAUUGUAGGAUGAUGUUCAGACUCAAAGUAUGACCCUUGCCCAGGCUUCCAUGGAUAAGUUAACAAAAUAUUCACUAGAGCAUUUAUCUGAUGAAAACUUCAUAUCCAUUGAGUCUGAGGAAGACUUAUUUGAUAAAUAAUCAUUUUCUUUCAUUAGUGUGGAAGAGGUGAAAGAAUUUUGUGAAAUGGAUGAAUUAUCAGCUGCUGAAAUCGUUACUUAUAUGAGGUUAGCUUAUAAAUACAAAUAUGCACAUUCAAUAUGUAGUAAGUUAGUAUUAGGGUGUAAUACUAACCAGCAGUGUUGAUUGUUAUCGUGUAGCUUCCUAUAUAGAGAGCUGAAGGGGAGACAGUUGACGAAUAAAUUUAGAUUCAUUGACCCCAACUUCAUUAGUGAGCAGAGUGGCACAGUCGUGUAUCAUGCUAAUCAUGUGAUCCUAUGCAUGAAAAUACCAACUGAUUAUUAUUUGCUCUCGUAUAAUGCGCAGUAAGCUAUAUUCCAACUUUAAUUACUCCAACCUACUCCAUUCUAUGAUCUGAUGUGUAUUCUGAGUAUAUCAUUAUUAUUAUUUUGCAAUCGUCAUUGGGUGCUUAUUGUGAUUGAAACCAAAUCCUUAACGUCAUACCUUCUUAAUUCAGUUAAUCCAAUGGUGAUGCCUAACCCCGAUAUUCAAACUUUUAUAAAAAGGUAUUACAGUACUUUAUUAUAUUAUAUAUGUUUUGUUUCUUCAUAAGUAAUUUUAUUUAUGUUCCCACUAAUUUUUUUUCUUUUCAAUUUAGGGUAAUAUAUGCACUUAAUAAAAAGAUAAAGAAACCGAAAUGGGUGUCAUUACCGGUAAAUAUGAAAUAUAUUCUCUUAAUGUUGAGUUUGUGUAGAUAAAUAUUUUCUAAACCGACUCAAUUUAAUUUUUAGGUACCUCAUCAAUCCGAUAAUACUAAAUGUGGAUAUUAUGUCCUUCAUUUUAUGCGAGAGAUAGUAUUACAUGAUUUUAUGACCACACCAUAAAGGUUAGUAUAAAUUUCAUAAACUCGUUAUAUAUUCAAAAAAAUAAAAUGGUACAUAAUGUUCUCAUUUCUUAACAUUUACUUUGAUAUAUUUUUUUAGUGGAAAGGUAAAGAAAGCUUUACGGAAGAGGAGCUAGAUGAAGUCCGUAAAGAAUGGAUGAUUAUGUAUUGUCAUUUAUCAAUGUUGAUAAACCUUUAGGUUAGAUAUUGUUGGUUGAAUGUAAAUAUAUAUGAAACAAAUUGUUAUAAUAUUUUUAACAUGCCAUGUUGAAUGGAAACUUUAAGUUUGUACAUUGGGGGUAUUGGUUUAAUAUUAUUGUUAUACUUAAUAUGAAUACACUAUGUGUACUUAAUAAAUUACUAAGUACGAUUAUUUCAUAAAAGUAUAUUAAUAUGACAACGUUAUCAGUUUUAAUUUUGGAUGUGUGGUUAAUUUAUUGAAAUACAACAAUAUUCAUUAUGUAAAUUCCAAAAUGUAAUUCAUAAUAUUUGAUAUAUAAACCAAAUGUUUUCUGGGCAUAAAUAUACAACUAACAGCAAACAUUUUUUUGGGCAUAAACCUACAACUGACUUCACAUAUAAAAUAUUAAAUAUGUUUUUUUGAUGCGAUUAAUGAAGGCUUUUUUAGUAAGAAAACGCCUUCAAUCACCCAUAAUAGAAAACAUUGAAGGCAUUUUUUUUAUCAAAAUCACUUUCAAUAAUCCCCCCAGGAAAUUAUUGUGUGGAAUAUUAAAGGCAUUUUUGACAAAAAAUACCUUCAAUAAUACCAACUAAAAAUUAAUCGAAUGAAUUAUGAAGGGCGUUUUCCUAUGGGUAAUGCCUUCAAUAAUCUCUAACAAAAUGUUUAUGAAGGCAUUUUUGGAUAUAGCCGCCUUCAAUAAUCAGACCAUUAAAAUUUAUCGUUGGGAAUAUUAAAGGCGUUUUGAGCCAAAAACGCCUUCAAGCAUCCCAUCCAAGUUUUGUCUAUGAAAUAUUGAAGCCAUUUUUUACAAAAUUGCCUUUAAAAAUCACUAAAAAAAUUUACUAAUUAGAUUAUAGAAGGUGAGUUCGGCGAGUUCGGCCAAAAAUGCCUUCAAGAAUCGACUCCAUAUUUUUCCUAUGUAUUAUUAAAGGCGUUUCUCCAUAAAAAACGCCUUCAAUAUUCUAAAAUUUUUUUAAAGCAAUUGGUGAAGGCGUUUUUGCCAAGAAAAUGCCUAGAAUAAUCAAUAACAAAUAAUCUGUGCAAAAAACCCAAAAAAGGCUAAAGGAUGGAUCAAACCAACAAUUUUAUGAUAAACAUUCGUACGAUCCAAACAAUUUGAUAAGCUUAAUAUUGAAUGUAUUUUUGAACAAAAUAAAUUCAAUAAGCCUAUGAAAUUUUUUUGUCUAAAUAUUAAAGGCGUUUCUUGUAGACAGUGCUUUUAUUAAUCUCAUAUAAUUUUUUAUGACGUGAUUAUUGAAAGCUUUGUUUGCCAAAAAUACACCUUAACUAUUCACUGAAAUUUUUAAUAAAAAAUAUUCAAGGCAUUUUAGUCAAGAAACGCCUCUAAUAUCAAGUCUUGGGUGACGUUCAUAAGUAACAACGACGCUAUUUGAAUAUUUAAUGAUGUUUGGUAAUAAAUGCCUUAAGUUUUAUAAAAAUACGGAAGUUAGUGGCAUUUAUAAGUGAAAGCCGCUACAAAACUGCCACUAAUAUGCCAUUUUGCUGUAGUGUAUGAAUUUUUCAUACCUUGCACGCUGAACCUGCUAUGCUAACUCCGUUAAGAGAAAACGAAAGCUACAAAGAUCCUUAACAGCCCCGUCAUUGAGAUAACAUAUCUUCAAUAGGUCUAUGGCUUCUUUCAUAUUCACGUGUGCAAGAAGACCUAAUUUCUCUAAACUCGCAUGAUUUUUCUUUAUGAAUUCCAAUACAUUAUUAUUUAUCAACAAUCCUUGUGACUGAAGUCUAUUCAAGAUUUGGCACAUUUCCUUGUACAUAGGAUCAUGUAAGUGAAUAUUGAAAUUGUGUAUGUCACGGGAUGAUAUAACUCUAAAGGAAGAUUGAACUUUAAACUGAUUAUAUAAAUCAUUGGAAGGAUUGAAAAAGUAACCUCCUCUAAUAUCCGAAAACAUUCUUGGCAUCAAACAUUUAGAUUUCCAAUCUAACGGCUUGCAAACCAUAGGAAGAUUCAGUUUAACUGGGAGAAGGCAACAGUUAAAAUUACAUAUUACGAAUGAGUUUAAUGGGUAAUAUCCUUUUCCUUUUCUUUUCACAAUUGGUUUUAUCUCCUCUGUUGUGCAGGUAUCAAUUACGAAACAAUUUCUUUCUAGCAUGAACUCAAGCAAUUUGGUUCCUAUUUCAUAUUGUUGAACACGACUUUUCUUACUACUUUUCGCUUGACUACUAUCACUUACCGCUUGACUACUAUCACUUUCAGACAAAUUGUUGAUAAUCACUGAUUGUAUUCGAAACUGUUUUAUCUAGCCUGUCCAACAAUGUGGAUACCCUUACAACCGAGGAUUCUUGAAGACUGUUGUACAACAAUCCUAGCACAUAUAUGAUGAUAGCCUCCAGCGUAUAAUGACCUAAAUGACUAAUAUAACGAUUAUAAACAUCUGUUGAUAGGCAACUCUUUAAAUGAUCUUUAGCUGUGAUCUGAGCAUUAUCUAUCAAUAAGUUUAAUAACUGAGGAGUGCUUUUAAAGAUUCUAUUUUCAUCGAAGUUCAUAGUUAGUUCUUCAAUCAUGUUCUGUAAAUCCUUUAACUCACUAGAGGAGAACUCUAUAAAACCAUCAUUAUUAAUGGAUUGAUUCUUCUUAGAUUCAUUCAAUAACAUUAUAACACGAUCCUGAUAGCUAUAACAAUCUGAAUUCAAUUUACAUGAAACUUUUAUCUCCCUGUAGAAAUGAAGCCAAAAUUCAUUAAUGAUACGUUCUUUAUCGGUUGAAUAAGCUCUUCUGACAUUGAUAUCAUCUCUCCUCUCUUGGCUUUGUCUCAUUGUCUAUCUUGUAAUCGUUCAAUUCCGUGCUUCAAUUGAAGCAAGCUCCGUCCUCCGAAUCUUUUCUCUUCUCCCCUGUGAGUCAAGAAGGAAAGAUAGAUUGUCUUCGGACUUAUCUGAAAGACUGUAGUUCGAACUCGGAUUCGUUUCUUUUUUAAUCUAUUCUUUUUCGAAUUAUAUCAAGAUUGAAGUUCGAAAGAACUCUUUAUCGUUCAUAGUCUCUUCUCUUUCUUGUCUUACGAUAUUCUUAUUCAACUUUCAUACUUUAAUCGAUUCACUAAGCCAGAUCGCUAUUCCUGACUUGAGAGUCCUAUUUUCUUUCACAUUUUCUUAUAAGUAAGGAAGCAAUCAAAGGGAAGCGCGUUACUAGGAGAUAAAGAUCGCAUUCCCAACAUAGGAAAAUCUUACCCGCCUAUCGACCCUUACAAGAGAGCUUCGCCUUUCCUGAUCCUGAUAUUGGGGAGUUUCCAGUAGAGCAGAAAGGCUUAGCUCAAAGACUUGAAAGAGCUUGUUAGAGGAAAUUGAUCAAAGUCAAGGGUCGACCAUGGGGGGGAGAGUGAUACAGAGAAGGCUACUGCUACUGCGACAGAUGGUUGACUAAUGCUCCUACCGUUACAGAUAGAAAUUUGGGUGAUUGCCUGCCCAUGCUAGAACCAUGCUACCUUCCUUUACCUUCCUAUAAGCUGGCUAACUAAGGCCUACGGACCGAUUACCGGUAUACGAAUAUUGUUGGGCAGGAGACAGAAGGCAGAAGACCUCUGGUCGGGAAGGGAACUAAGCAAGAGAGAGUUGACCGUUGACAGGGCAAGACAAGACUGGCAGCUCUAGAUGGAAUAAAAGUCGGGAACCUUAUUCGUGGACAGACCAAGCAAGGGAUACUUCAAUCGAUUGCAGAUGCGAGAGUUGCAAGAGAUUCCAGGAGGACAGGAAGAGAGUAAUGAAUUGGUAGACUCUGACUUUCGUGAAGACAGAUCUGUUGGUCAAGUGAAAUGUUUUUUCUUUCAUAGUUAGAAGUAUCUUAGAAACUAGUGCUCCACCUAAAGGCCUAGGCCUAGGGGUGGUAGUAGCUAACAGAAGUAUGCCUUCGGGCCCCUCUCUGUCUUGGUAAGAUAAGAAAAGACCGAUAACUGAAAUCGAUUCAUGAUGGCGACUCCUUCCUACUUCUUGUGCCUUAACUCUCGCUUAAGGAUAUGCAUGAAUAAAGGCGUGUUGUCUUUCCUUUUUGCUCUUGCACCUCCCCUUUAGCACAAGUACUAAGUAAGCAAGCUACCUCCUGCUGCACCAUUCCUGUUUGCUUUCUUGCUUCCAGAUUCACAAAAAAAAAAAAAAAAAAUCUUUCCAAUAAGGAAAGCGAUCUUGGACAGAGGACUUGAAUCCGUACCGUAUAGUAAAAAAAAGACAAGAAAGCACAUAACUGACCAUCUUUAAAGAUGAAGGCAUCGGUCUUUUCUGACGAGAAUGGGUUGUGAAUAGCAUAGCAUGGAUGAACCUAUCUUCAGGAAUGAAAGCUAUGUAGUACGAAUCACAUUCGAUUGGUAGAUUCCUCUGCCCUGAAUGAGGUUUUUUCCUUCCGGCUGAGAGGAAAAGUGCUCUUCACUUCAAGCCGCUUUCAAAAGAAACAGAGGUUCAUGAGCGUGAGGGCAUCGUGAGAGGAGUCAUAGGUAGACCUGAUUGAGAGUCUUGAACCCUGAUUUCUUCAUAAGAUAAAGGACCAAGAGAGUCUUUUCAGAUAUGGGAUUUGUCACGCUUUCUAGUAUGCAUUACCUGAAAGGAACUUGGUCUAACUGGGACAAUCUACCUUUGGGUGUGGAUCCGUAGAUUAACCAUUUCACCUUCGAGUUGCUCUCCAGACUCAAUGAGGUCUAUCAGAUGGGAUUGAAUCUCACUGAUAGUAGAAUUGAGGAGAGAAAGAGAAGUAGAACUCAAAGCAACAGAACUCGUCAACACGGACCUGAAAACGACAGAGUCUCAAGGUGUUCAGUCCAGGGGGGAGAGAAACUUGAACCCGGUAGAACUUCUCAUUCGCUAGUUCCCUCGUAGCUUCCUUCUCUUCAUUCUCCGGUCUUCAAGCCAAAGAAGCUUCACCGGGAGGUACUCGUAAUAGAGAUGCAUAGUAUUAAGAAGAUCAGAUCAUAGUCUAGGAUAAAGUAAAGACAAAGACUAAGUAAUAAAAAAAAAUACAAUAAAAAAAAGAGUGUCAACAAUAGGUAUUGUAUUUUGAUUUGUCCCCUUUGUCCCCUCGGAUCGGAGCGCACCAUGGGAUGCUUUGUGAACAGCCCCCUCUGCAGGUCCCGCUGCUGUUAUAUGAGCUACCCCUCUGUUCAAUACCGAUACCUGUCAGAUUCCAUAGCUGAAGAAUCUCUUGGGGAGGCCUUAUCCCCGAGAUUUGGGGGAGUCUUUGAGUCGGCGCUUCCAUAACAUAAAGCAGAGUAGAUAGCACACAUAAUGGUUUGCCAGGAGCAAAGCUCAGAGCUCAGCUAACGGAGUCAGGUCCGGCCCUUGACUUGAUAAUACUUAUUCACAUUGUCUUGCUGAUUGACUGAAGCGGGAAGAACUCCCUGAUGACCGACCAAGGGACUUAGCCGAACCGGGUCCUAUCCUUGUUGUUCGUCAACCUUGCCUUCUCAAUGUUCGGAUGAACAUGCAUUCUUUUCGAUCUUCUACUCAGAUAGACUUCACACUAAGCCAAUUUGUUUGAUUUUCACGAAUAAAGAAGGGGAUAAAGAACGACAUCUGUAAACUCGGAUAGAGCCUUGUGGCAUAGAACGCGGCUACUUUCUUUUCUUAUGAAAUUGAUAGUUGGAGGCAAAUGUGAAUGACUUUUUGUUUUUCGUAAAACAAUUGUUAUUAAUAAUUUGUAUAUUUAAAUAAUUAUUAAUAAUUUUUUAUUGAAAUAAUUAUUAAUAUUAAAUAAACUAAUUUAUUAUAUAUAAUUCAAAUUCUUAAUUGAAUUAUAAUUAAUAAUAUAUCUGUUAAAAAUAUAUUAUUAAUAUAUUUAAUAUUUUCUAUUAUAUAAGCAAAUUAUAAAUUAUAUAAGCAAUUAUAAUUUAUCUAGUAAUUAAAUUUUUAAUUAUAUAAGUAAAUAGUAAUGUAUAUUAAUAUAUAACAAUAAUAAAUAAAUUAUUAAUGUAUAAUAAUUUCAUUACUAAUAUUUAUUUAAAUUUAAUAAAUAAAUAACAAUUAUUAUUAAUUAAAUAGUCAUAUUUAAUUAAUAAUAUAAUUAAUAAUUGUUACUAUUUUAUAUAAAUUAUAAUUAGUUAUAAUAUUAUAAUACAUAUAAUAUAAUAGUAUAUAAUUAAGUAAUAUUAAUAAUAAUUAAUUAUAAGUACUAUAAUAAUUAGUAAAAAUCUUAAAUUGUUAUAUAUCAUUAUUGUUAAACUAAUUAUAUUAAUUAAACUAUUUAUAUAAUACAUUAUUUUAUAAUUAACAACUAUACUUAUUAAUUGUAUAACGAUUAAUAUAAUUAAUUUAAUAAACAAUUAGUUUUAAAUCUAAUCAUAUAAAAUAAUAUUAUAUUAUUAAACAAAAUUCAAAUUUAUUAACAAAUUAUUAAUUUAGUACGAUUUGAAAUAAAUAAAUGUUCAAAUUGUUAUAACUAAUUGAACUAGUAUGGUAAAUAGAUUUAUUUAUUAAAUCUCUUAUUAAUUUUUGAAAUAUUAAUAAAUUAAUAUUAUUUUAUUUCGAACAAACUUAUAUGAACAAAAACAUUUUUUUUACGACAAAACAAAAUGUCAUAACAAUUUGAAAUAGAUAAUUAUUCAUAUAACCUUAACUAUUUGAAUUGGUUCAGUAAACAAAUUUAUUUUUUAAAUCUAUCAGUUAUUAAAUUUCAUAAUAUUACUAGAUUAGUAUUAUUUUAUUUCAAAUAAGCUUGAAUGAAGAUAAAUAAUUGUAUUAUGACAAAACAAAAGAUCAAUUGGAAAUAUAUAAUUGUUCAAAUAGUCAUAACUAUUUGAACUGAUUCAAUAAACAGAUUUAUUUUUUAAAUCUUCUACUUAUUAAUUUUUCAAAUAUUAAUAAAUUAGUAUUAUUUUAUUAUGAAUAUUCUUGUAUGAUGAAAAACAAUUGUUUUACAACAAAACAAAAGUUCAUAAUGAUUUGAAAUAGAUAAUUAUUUAAAUGGAAUUAUUAUCUUAUAUAUACUUAAUUAAUCUAAUAAAUUAAUAGUGAAUAAUUUAUUAUAUAAAUUUAUAAAUCUCUUACUUGUUUAGUAUUAAUUAUAAGUAAGUUUUGAAUAUAUUGAAGAUAUAUUCAUUAUAUAAACAUAUUUAUUAUUAAUAUGACUAAAUAAAGGAAUUAUUAAUAAUUUAUUAAAUAAAUUUAUGAAAAAACAAAUAUUAUUAAUUUAUUAUAUUUAAUAUAAAAAAUAUAUUAUUUAUUCAAAUAAUAUAUUUAAUUAUUAUUAUAUAUAAUAAUUAUAAUCAUUAAUUUUAUUAAUUAUAAGUAAUACUAUUUUAUAAUAAUAUUAUUUGAAUGAUAUCUUAUACAUUAUAUUUAAUAAUAUAAAUAGUUAAUAAUUAAUUAUAUUAAUAAUAAUAAUUAUCUAUUUUAAUUAUCAAUAAUUUAUCAUAAAAGAUCAAAUAUACAUUUUAAAAUAUUUAUGAUUAUUUUUAAUAAUUAUUUAACAAAAUUCAUAAAUUAUAUUAUUAUUUCAUAGCUUAUUUAUUAAUAAAUAUCAAUAAUUAAAUAAUAAAAAUUAAAUAUUUUAAUUUAAAAUUUUUAAUUUUUAAUUUUUAACAUUCAAAAAAUUAAUAAACAAAAGUUAUGAAAAAAUAAAUCUGUUUACCAAUCAAAUUCAAAUAGUUAUGAUUAUUUGAACAAUUAUUUAUUUAAAAUCAUUAUUACCUUUUGUUUUGCCAAAAAACAAUUGUUUUAGUUCAUAAAAGCUUAUCGAAAAUAAAAUAAUACUAAUUUCUUAAUAUUUCAAAAAUUAAUAAGCAAGAGUUUAAAAAAAUUAAUUUGUUUACUGAACAAAUUCAAAUAGUUAUAACGAUUUGAACAAUUAUCUAUUUAAAAUCAUUAUGACCUUUUGUUUUGUCAUAAAACUAUUGUUUCAGUUCAUAUAAACUUAUUCGAAAUAAAAUAAUAGUAAUUUAUUAAUAUGUCAAAAACUAAUAAGUGAUUUAAAAAAUGAUUAUGUUUGCCAAAUUAGUUCAAAUAAUUAUGGUUUUUUCAACAAUUAUCUAUUUGAAAUCAAUAUUACCUUUUGUUUGGUCAUAUAACAAUUGUUUUUUAUCAUACAAGCUUCAGAAUAAAAUAAUACUAAUUUAUUAAUAUUUCAAAAGUUAAUAAGUAAGAAAUUUUAAAAAUAAACUUUUUUUGUUCUGUCAUAAAACAAUUAUUCAUGUUCAUACAAGCUUAUUCUAAAUAUAAUAAUACUCUGAAAAUUAAUAACUAAGAGAUUUAAAAAAUAAAUUUGUUUAUUGAACCAAUUUAAAUAGUUAAGAUUAUAUGAAUAAUUAUCUAUUUUAAAUCGUUAUGACCUUUUGUUUUGUCAUAAAAUAAUUUUUUCAAUUCAUACUAGUUGAUUCAAAAUAAAAUAAAAUGAAUUUAUUAAUAUUUCAAAAAUUAAUAAGAGAUUUAACAAAUAAUUAUGUUUAACUAACCAGUUCAAAUAAUUAUGAUUAUUUGAACAAUUAUUUAUUUCAAAUAAUUAUGACAUUUUGUUUUGUCAUAAAACAAAUGUUUUUAUCCAUAUAAGUUUGUUCGGAAUAAAUUAAUACUACUCUAUUAAUAUUUUAAAAAUUAAUAAUAGAUCUAAAAAAUAAAUCUUUUUAGAUAUCUAUUAAUUAAUAAAAAUCAAUAUUAAGAUAAUUAAUAAUAAAUUAUAAGUAUUUAUAAUAAUAAUUUAAUUAAAUAUUUAUAUUUUAAUUAAUUCAAAUAAUAUUAUAUUUUUAUAAAUUAAAUUUAAUAUUAUAAGUCCAAUUUUAAUUAUUUUAUUAUAAAUAUAUAAUAUAACCACUAUGGAUAUAAUUAUUAUAAUUAUUUGAACUGAUUUGAUAAACAAUUUAUGUUUUAAAUCUCUAACUUAUCAAUUUUUAUAAUAUUAAUAAAGUAAUAUUAUUUUUUUAGAUAAGCUUUUAUGAACUAAAAUAAUUGUUUUAUGAUAAAAUAUAAAGUCACAAUGAUUUUAAACAGAUAAUUGUUCAAAUAGUCAAAAAUAUUUGAACUUGUUUGGUAAAUAGAUUUUUUUUUCUAAUUUCUUACUUAAUAAUUUUCUAAAUGUUAAUAAAUUAGUAUUAUUUUAUUUUGAAUAAGCAUGUAUGAGUUGAAGCAAUUAUUUUAUGACUAAACAAAAGGUCAAAAUGAUUUGAAAUAGAUAAUUAUUCUAAUAGUCUUAACUAUUUGAACUGAUUUAGUAAACACAUUUAUUUUUUAAAUCUUUACUUAUUAAUUUUAGAAUAUUAUUAAUUUAGCAAUAUUUUACUCUAAAUAAGCUUGUUGAACAAAAAUUAAAUGUUUUAGGACAAAACAAAAAUCAUAACAAUUGGAGAUAGAUAAUUGUUCAAAUAGUCAUAACUAUUUGAACUGAUUCGGUAAAAAGAUUUAGUUUUUAAAUCUCUUAUUAAUUUUCAAAAUAGUAAUAAAAUAAUAUUAUUUUAUUAUUAUUAGUUAUUUAGAAGUUAUUCAUAAUACUUGGACUCAUACUCUGUGAAUUUCUUGUUUAGGUAAUAAAUAACUUUCUCUUUCUUGUCGGAUUCAUCUUAUAAUUUAAAUAAAUUUGUAUUUCUAAUAUAAUAUUUAUUUAAUUAUAUAAUUAUAUAAUAUAAUUAAUAAAUACUAAGUAUAUUUUUCAAUAUAUAAUAAAUUAGAUUAAUUAUAUAUAAUAUUAUAAUAAAAUUAAUAUAGUUUUGUUAAUAAUUAUUGUUAAUAUUUAUUUAAUUAUUAUUUCAAAUAAUUUAAAUAUAGUUUCUGUUAAUAUUUGAUAUAUAUUAUUAAAUUAAUAUAAUUAAUAUUAUCAAAUAAUAAUAUUAUUUAUUAAAAUUAUUAAUAUUUAAAUUAAUAAUAUAAUUUAUUUAUAUUACUAGAUUUAUUGUUGGAUUAUACAAUUAAAUUACUAUAUCAUAUAAAUAUAUUAGCAACAAAUAAAAUAUAAUUAAUAUUAAUAAACUAAUAAAAUAUUAUUUUAUAAAGUAGUACUAUCGAUUAGUACUUCUUAAAUAGUUUAUUGUUAUCGAAAUUACAGAACUAGUUAAGCUAAUAAUGUGAAAUAUUUAUGUUAAUAGAUAUAAUAAUAUAUUAGUAUUAAUAAUUAAUAAUUAUUUAAAAAUUUAAUAUAUUUAAUAUUAAUAUAAUUAAUAUUAUAUUUUUUAAGAUAAUAAUUUUAAAUAAUCAAUUAAAUAUCUUAUAUUUAAUUAUUAAUAACCUUUAAUUAUAAUUAAUUUACUUAAAGUAUUAUUUAAUUAUUAAAUAUAAUUAAUUUAAUUUAAUUUAAUAUUCUAUUAAAUAUUUAACAAUAAAAUUUUCUUAUUAUUAUUAUGCUAUUAAUUAAUUAUCUUAAUUAAUAAUAUUAUAUUGUUAUAUUAUAUUUUUUAUAAUAAAUAAUUAUAAUUAGUAAAUAACUAUAUAAAAAUUAUUUUAUAUAUAAUAGUAUAAUAACUUGAUAAUAUUAUAACUAUUAUAAUAUUAUUAUUUGAUAAUAUUAACUAUAAUAGUUGUAUUUAUUAAUAACUAAUAAUUAUUAUAAAUAUCUUAUAAAUUUUUAGUAAGUAUUAUUAAUAAUUUAUAAUAUUUGAUUUAUAGUAUAAUAUAAUAUUAUAUAAUUUAUAGUUUAAUAUAAAUUAUAAGUAACAAUUUAUAGUAUGACUAGAAUAAUAUAAUAUAUUAUGAUAAUAAUUAAUUAUUAUUAAUUAAUAUUUUAUAUUUAAUUUAUAAUUUAUAUUAUAAAUUAUUAAAUAUAAUAUAAUAUAAUAUGAUUUAUUAAUAAUAUAAUUAAAAUAUUUAAUUAAUAAUUUAUAAUUAUAAUUAGUUUUAUGAAUAACUUUUUAGUUGAUAUUACUAGUUAUACAUAUAUUACAAAAUAUUAUAAUAAACAAUUAGAAUACUAUAGUUAUAAUAAUUAUUUUAUAAACUAUAAAUAACUAUUAAUUAUUGUUAUAAUUAAAAAUAAAUAAGAACUUAUUAUAGUAUUAUACUAAUUUAUAUAUUUAUUAUAAUUAUUAAAUAAUUAUAAUAAUUAUAAUUAUAUUAAGAUAUUAAUAGUUAAGGUUAUAAUAUUAAAUUUAUAAGUUUAUACUUAUAAUAUAACUAAUAUUAAUAGUUAUAAUAUAAAAAUGACUAUAAUAAUAAUUAAUAUUUGAAUAAUUUAUAAAUUAUAUUAUAAUUAUAUAAUAUUAUAAUAGUUUAUUAUAAUAGCUUAUUUUGAAUAAAAUAAUACUAUUAAUACUUAUUAAUAUAUAAUAUAUUGAAUAAUAAUAUUAUUUAUUAUUUAUAGUUUAAAUUAAUAUAAAUUAACUAUAUUAUUAAUUAGUUUAAAUAUAAUUGUAUUAUUUUAUAAUUUAUAAAUUAUAUAAUAUAUUAUAUAUUAUAUAAGUUAAUAAUAUUUAAAUAUUAUUAUAUGUUAAAAUUAAUAAUAACUAAUAUUAUUAAUAAAAUAGAUUAUUAAUUUAAUCUUAUAAUAAUAUAUAUAUUAUUAAUAUAAUUUAUAAGUUAUUAUUAAAUUUAGUAAAGUAUUUAUAUAUUUGACUAUAUAUUAUAAAUAAUAAUAUUAGAUUUAUUUAAAAAUAUUAAUUUAAAACAAAUUUAAAUUAACAUAGUAACAAUAUCUAUAAAUUAUACUAAUUUAAAAAUGCUUAUAAAUUAAAUAAUAAAUAUUAUGUAAUAAUAUGAUAUAUAGUUCUUAGGAAUUUCUUACUUCUGCUUCAAAGUAAGGUACAUAACAUUAUUUGUAUUUUCAUGCAUAGAAUUUAAUCUAUAUUAUGAAAUUCAUUGCUCUUUUGAAUGAUAUAAAAAUAUCAACUAUUUCCUAUAAUUGACAUGUUAAUUGUAUUAUAACAAUGAAUAUUAUAACAUUUUCAUAUUUUAUUACUGACACAACAAAAAGAAAUAGCUUCAUUAAUUCAAUGAAGCAUCCUAAGACACUAGCAACUUUUAUAUUAGCUGCAUUAAGCAAAAUAUGAUUAUUAUUUUUCAUAGUUGGUGUUAUAAAUAGAUAGUCAUAAUUAUUUCAACUUGAUCAAUAAGAAAAUUCAUUUUUUUAAUUCUAUUACUCUUUAAUUUUUGGAAUAUUAUUUUAAAAUAUUAAUAAUAUUAAAUUUAUAUAUAUGAUUAAUUAUUAUUUAAAUUAUAUUUGAAUUAAUAUACUAUUAAUAUUACUACUUAAUAUUAAGUCUUGAUAAUAUAUUGAAUUAUAUAUUAUUAUUAAUUAUACUAUUGUUCGAAUAGUAUAUUAUAAAUUACAAAUUAUAAAUAAUAUCAAUUUAUUAAUAUUAGAAAUUAUUCAAAUAUAAUCAUAAAUUAUAAUAAUAUAAUAAUAUUAUUACUAUAAUAUGAGAUUAUAUAAUUUAUUAUUAUAUAUAACUUAAUAAAUAUAAUGAUAUUAAUAAUUAACAAUUAUUUUAUAAAAUUAAUUAUAAUUAAUAUUUGAUAUAGUUUAUAAACUAUUUUAAAAUAAAUUGUAUAACAAUUAAUUAAUUUAUUGUAUAAUAAUAUAAUAAUUAACAAUUGUAUAGUUAAUACAAUAAUAAUAAAUUAAUAAAAAAAUAUAUAAUUUUUAUUAUAAUUAAAUUUAUAACUUAUAUAUAAUAAUCUGUUAAUAUAAUUAUAACUUAUUAAUUAUUAACAUAAUAUAAACCAAUUUUGUUUUAAUAACAUAAAAUAAUAAUUAAAGAUAAUUAAUUCAAAUUUAUAGUUAUAAUUAUCGAUUAUAACUAAUCUAAUAAUUUAUAAACUAUUCAAAUAAUGUAUAUUUUAGUAUAACUAGUAGUAUUAACUAAUAAGUUAUUCAUAAAACUAAUUAUAAUUAUAACUAAUUAUUAAUUAAAUAUUUUAAUUAUAUUAUUAAUAAAUCAUAAUAUAUUAUAUUAUAUUUAAUAAUUUAUAAUAUAAAUUAUAAAUAAAUUAUAAAUUAUUAAUUAAUAAUAAUUAAUUAUUAUCAUAAUAUAUUAUAUUAUUCUAGUCAUACUAUAAAUUGUUACUUAUAAUUUAUAUUAUACUAUAAAUCAAAUAUUAUAAAUUAUUAAUAAUAUUUACUAAAAAUUUAUAAGAUAUUUGUAAUAAUUAUUAGUUAUUAAUAAAUAGAACUAUUAUAGUUAAUAUUAUUAGAUAAUAAUAAAAAAUUAUUUUAUUUUUUAAUAAUAAUUGUAUAUUUGUAUUAUUAAAUAUUAUAUAAAUAUUAGUAAUAAUUGUUAUUAAAUUAAAUAAGUAUUUAAUUAUAUAAAUAUAAUUAUUAAUUUAAUUAAUUAAUAAUUAAUUAAUUAUAUAAGAUAAAUUUUAAUUAUAUAAAUAUUAAUAAUUAGCUAUAAGUUAUUAGUAUAUUAUUUAUAAUAACAAAAUAAUAUUUUAAAUUUAUCUUAUCUUUGCAGAUAAUAACUAAUUACUACUUUAGUUAAUAUAACUAAAUUAUUAAUUAUUAUAUAAUUGUGUUUAUUAAAUAACCUUUUAUAUAAGUUUCAAAUUAAUAAUUUUAUAAAUAUAAUAUUAAUUUUAAAAUAGAUUUUAAUAAUUAAUUAUAAAUAAAUAAUAUUGCAAAAAUUAAAGAGUAACAGAAUUAAAAAAAAUGAAUUUUCUUAUCGAUCAAGUUGAAAUAGUUAUGACUAUCUAAACAAUUAUUUAUUUCAAAACAUUAUGACAUUUUGUUUUGUUAUAAGACAAUUGGUUCUGUUCAUGCAAGCAUAAGUUGAAUAAAAUAAUAUAAAUUUAUUAAUAUUCCAAAAAUUAAUAAGUAUAAUUUUAGAAAAUAAAGCUAUUUUCUGAACACAUUAAAAUAGUUAUGAUUAUUUGAACAAUUAUCUAUUUCAAAUCAUUAUGACCAUUCAUUUUGCCAUAAACCAAUUGUUUUUGUUCAAACAAGUUUAUUUGGAAUAAAAUAAUUCCAAUUAAUUAAUAUUCCAAAAUUAAUAAGUAAAAGAUUUAAAAAAUAAAUUUGUUUAUCGAGUGAGUUCAAAUAGUUUUGAUUGUUUGAACAAUUAUUUAUUUCAAAUUAUUAUGAUCUUUUGUUUUGUUAUAAAACAAUUAUUUCUAUUCAUACAAGUUUAUUUUGAAUAAAAUAAUACUAAUAUAUUAACAUUUUAAAAAUUAAUUAGUUUACCAAACCAGUUCAAAUAGUCAUGUCCAUUUGAACUAUUAUCUAUUUCAAAUUGUUAUGACAUUUUAUUUUGUCAUAAAACAAUUGGUUCUAUUCAUGCAAGCAUAUUUUAAAUAAAAUAAUAUAAUUUAUUAAUAUUCCAAAAAUUAAUAAGUAAAAUUUUAGAAAAUAAAGCUAUUUUGUUAAAUUAAUAAUUUAUAUUAAUAUACAAAUUAGUACGAGGAAACUAAUCGUAUUUUUUUAUAAUGUUUAUUUAUAAAUAUUUUAUUGUAGUUUUUUCCCUUUUUUAUAUUCAAUAUAUUCAAAUAGUUAUAAUUAUUUGAAUUGGUUCAACUAAUAAUUAAAUAAUUGUUAUUUAUAAUAUAUAAUUUAGUAAUAAUUAUAAACUUAGAUUUAGUAAAUUAAUUAUAUUUAAUUAUAUUAUAAUUAUAUGAAAUUAUAAUUAUUAAAUAUUAAUAAAUUAGUUAAUUAAUCUAUUAAUUGUUAAAUUUAGUUCUAUAAUAUUUGAGAUUAAGAAUUAAAACUUGUUAAUUAUGAAUAUUAUAUAAGUCUAAUUAAUAAUAAAUAUGUUUAUUAGUUUAAAACUAAUUAUAUAGUUAGUUUUAAAUAUAAUAUAUUUUAAUUAUAAUUAAAAUAAUAUAUAUUAUUACUAUAAUUGUUUUAAUUCUAUAAUACUAUAUUUAAUAUAUUAAUUACUUAAUUAAUUAGUUUUUAAUUUGUAACAGAAGGCCACUAGUUCUAAUCCAAUAAUUGUUAGUAUUGGAUUAAUAAUAUAAAUUGUAUGUUAAUUUUCAAAUAUUAUAGUUAAUUGACUUAUAACAAUAUAUUUAUAAUAUUAUAAAAAUAAAUAUUAUUAGUAUAAAUUUAACAUAAUAAUACUUUAGUUAUUUAUAUAUUAUAUAAUAACAUAAUAUAUUAUAAUAUAAUAACUAGAACUUAUUAUAUUAUAAUUUAAUACUAUAUUUAAUUAUAUAUAAUAAUUAUCAUAUAAUAUAAAUAAUAUUAUAAAUAGUUAAGAUAUUUAUUUAUUAAUAUCUUAUUAAUUAAAAUAAGAUAUUUUAUAUAUAAUAAAAUUUAGUUAUUUAUAUUAUGCUUAUAUUCAAUGAUUAAUAUAUUAUAUAAUGUACAUUAUUUAUAUAUAAUAAUCUUUAUUAUCAAUAAUAAAUAUUUUAAUAAGAUUAAAAUAUUAAUAUGAUAUAAUUAAUAGUUUAUUAAAUAAUUAUAAAGACUUGAAAUAAUAAUUAAUUUAUAAUUGAUAUUAUUUAUAUUAUAUAUUUAAAUUUAUAAAUAUUUAACAAAUAAUAUUUGUUAAGUAUAAUUAAUUUUAACUGAUUUAUUUUUAAAUCUCUUAUUAAUUUUGGAAAUAUUGAUAAAAUAGUAUUAUUUUAUUUUGCAUAAGCUUUUAUAUUGAAAUAUUCUUAUUAUUAAAUAAUAAUUAAUAAGUUUACAUAUAUUAAAAGGAAUUAAUAUAUAUUUAAUUGUUUACUAUAAUAUUAAAAUUAUAAUUAGAAUAAUUAUCUAUUUCAAAUUGUUCUUUUGUUUUGUGAUAAAACAAUUAUUUCUAUUCAUACAAGUUUAUUCAAAAUAAAAUAAUACUAAUUUAUUAAUAUUCUAAAAAUUAAUAGGUGGGAGAUUUAAAAAAUAAAUCUAUUUACCAAAUUAAUUAAAUUAAAUAUUUAUAUUAAUAUUUAAAUAUUAAUAUAAAUUAAUAUUAAUAUUUUAAUUUAAAUUAAUUUAUAAUAAAUUAUAUAUUUAUUUAAUAUAUUAUACAAAUUAAGUUAACAGAUAACUAUUUGAAUUAUAUUAAUAAAUAUAUAAAUUAAUAUAAUUAUAACCUUAAUAUAGAGAUUAUAAUAUUAAUAAUUUAUUAUCUAAUAAAUUAUUAUUAGUUAUCAAUUAAAUAUCAUAAUUAAAGAAUUAAGAUAAUUAAUUAAUAGCAUAAUAAUAAUAAGAAAAUUUUAUUAUUAAAUAUUUAAUAGAAUACUUAAUUUAAUUUAAUUAAUUAUAUUUAAUAAUUUGUCAUAAAACAAUUGUUUCUGUUCAUAUAGAAUUAUUCAAAAUAAAAUAAUUUGAUUUAUUAAUAUUUUAAAAAUUAAUAAGAGAUUUUAAAACUAAAUCUAUUUACUAAACCAGUUCAAAUAGUUAUGACUAUUUGAACAAUUAUCUAUCUCAAAUCAUAAUGAUCUUUAUUUUGUCAUACAACAAUUGUUUCCUUUCAUACAAGCUUAUUCGAAUUAAAAUGAUACUAAUUUAAUAAUAUUUCAAAAAUUAAUAAGAGAUUUAAAAAACAAAUAUGUUAGCCGAACUAGUUCAAAUAGUUAAGACAAUCAAAAUAAUUAUCUAUUUCAAAUCAUUCUAUCCUUUUGUUUAGUCAUAAAACAAUUAUUUCAGUUCAUACAAGCUUAUUUGGAAUAAAAUUAGUAUUUUAAACUUAAUUUAACCGUUAAUGAAAUAUAGAUAAUUAUAUUAGUUAAUUCAUUCAUACUGACAUAAUAGUUUUAUGAAUAAUAAUCAUAUAUAAUCUAUUAAAUAAUAAUUAAAUAAUUUAUUAAAUUUAAUAGCUUAUAAAUUAAUAAUAUAUUAUUUAUUAAUUUAACAUAAAAUUAAAAUUUUUUAAUUUAAUUGUAAUUAUAAAUAUAUUAUAUGAAAUAGUUAUUAUUAUAAUGAUUACAAUAUAUUUUAUUGUUAUCAGAUAAAUUUAUAAAAUAUUAUUAAAUAUUCAAAAUAUUAGUCACAUUUAAAUUAAUUAAAGGGUGUUAUUAUAAUAUAUAAUAUAUAAUUAAUUAAUAUUUUAAUUAUUGACUAAUAUUAUAGGAUAAAUAUUACAAAUAUUUAUUAACAUUAUUAUUAAUAUUAAUAUUUAUUUAACAAACAAUAAUAUUAGUCAUAAUGAUAAACAAUUGUUUAUUAUAUUAAUAUUAAUAUCUAUUGAAUAAUAUAUAUUAUUUAUAUAUAUAGAUAUUUAACUUAUAAAAUUAUUAUUACAAAUUUAUUUUAAAAUUAUUUAAAUAAUAAAAUAAUUAUAUUAAUAAGCAAUUGUUAAAAUUUAUAUUAAUUAAUUAUAAUAUAUCAUUGAAUUAAUGAAGUUAAAUAUUAAUUAUUAAGUAAAUAUGAUUUGUCAUGUAAAUAAUAUUUAUAUAAUAUAUAAAGUUAAAGUAUAUAUAUACAUAAUUUAUCAUAAUAUGAAACAAUAUUAUAUUAAUAAAUACGAUAUUAUUGUAUUUAAUUAAUAUAAUUUUUUAUGGCAAAACAAUUAAUUUAAUUAUAUUUAGUUUUAAUUAUUCACACAUUUAAUUUAUUUAUUAAAUAUAAUUAACUAAGGUGUAUAAUUAAUUUAAAAAUUAAUUAUUAAUAUAACAUUUAAUUAUCUAAUAAUAUUAUUAACAUAAUUAUAUUAUAAUUAUAAAGUAAUUAUAAUUAUAAUUACUACAAAUAUUUAAUAAUUAAAGUAUUAUAUUAAGUAUACUAUAAUUAUUAUAAGUAAUUCUAUUAUUGAUGAACCUGUUUAAUCUAAAUUGCUUAUUCGAAAUAAUUAUCAUUUUAAUUAUAUUAAAUUUAUUUAAUAAAUUAUUAAUAAUUCUUUUAUUUAGUCAUAUUAAUAAUAAAUAUGUUUAUAUAAUGAAUAUAUCUUUAAUAUAUUCAAAACUUAAUUAUAAUUAAUACUAAAUAAGUAAGAGAUUUAUAAAUUUAUACAAUAAAUUAUUAACUAUUAAUUUAUUUAUAAUAUAAUUAAUAUAUUUUAUAAGAUUAAUUAAGUAUAUUAGUAUUUAUAUAAUAACUAAUACUUAUAAUUUACAAAUUUUAUAUAUAAAUUUAAUAUAAUUAAUAGUUAAUUAAUUAUAAAAUUAAUUAUAUUAUAUUAAUGUUAUAAACUAAUUAUUUAUAUAUUAUUAUUAAACUAAUAUCUAAUUAACUAUUAAUAAUAUUAUUAAUAUUAAUAUGUGAAUUAAAUUAAUAUAAUUAUUAAUAAUCAAAUAAUUUAUUUAGUAAUAUAUCAUAUUAUAAUUUAAUUAUUAAAUAACUAAUAUUUAAAUAUGACAAAUAGUUUAUUAUUUUUAUUUUAACNNNNNNNNNNNNNNNNNNNNNNNNNNNNNNNNNNNNNNNNNNNNNNNNNNNNNNNNNNNNNNNNNNNNNNNNNNNNNNNNNNNNNNNNNNNNNNNNNNNNNNNNNNNNNNNNNNNNNNNNNNNNNNNNNNNNNNNNNNNNNNNNNNNNNNNNNNNNNNNNNNNNNNNNNNNNNNNNNNNNNNNNNNNNNNNNNNNNNNNNNNNNNNNNNNNNNNNNNNNNNNNNNNNNNNNNNNNNNNNNNNNNNNNNNNNNNNNNNNNNNNNNNNNNNNNNNNNNNNNNNNNNNNNNNNNNNNNNNNNNNNNNNNNNNNNNNNNNNNNNNNNNNNNNNNNNNNNNNNNNNNNNNNNNNNNNNNNNNNNNNNNNNNNNNNNNNNNNNNNNNNNNNNNNNNNNNNNNNNNNNNNNNNNNNNNNNNNNNNNNNNNNNNNNNNNNNNNNNNNNNNNNNNNNNNNNNNNNNNNNNNNNNNNNNNNNNNNNNNNNNNNNNNNNNNNNNNNNNNNNNNNNNNNNNNNNNNNNNNNNNNNNNNNNNNNNNNNNNNNNNNNNNNNNNNNNNNNNNNNNNNNNNNNNNNNNNNNNNNNNNNNNNNNNNNNNNNNNNNNNNNNNNNNNNNNNNNNNNNNNNNNNNNNNNNNNNNNNNNNNNNNNNNNNNNNNNNNNNNNNNNNNNNNNNNNNNNNNNNNNNNNNNNNNNNNNNNNNNNNNNNNNNNNNNNNNNNNNNNNNNNNNNNNNNNNNNNNNNNNNNNNNNNNNNNNNNNNNNNNNNNNNNNNNNNNNNNNNNNNNNNNNNNNNNNNNNNNNNNNNNNNNNNNNNNNNNNNNNNNNNNNNNNNNNNNNNNNNNNNNNNNNNNNNNNNNNNNNNNNNNNNNNNNNNNNNNNNNNNNNNNNNNNNNNNNNNNNNNNNNNNNNNNNNNNNNNNNNNNNNNNNNNNNNNNNNNNNNNNNNNNNNNNNNNNNNNNNNNNNNNNNNNNNNNNNNNNNNNNNNNNNNNNNNNNNNNNNNNNNNAAUAAGCUAUUAUAAUAAACUAUUAUAAUAUUAUAUAAUUAUAAUAUUAAUUUAUAAAUUAUUCAAAUAUUAAUUAUUAUAGUCAUUUUUAUAUUAUAACUAUUAAUAUUAGUUUAUAUAAGUAUAAACUUAUAAAUUUAAUAUAUAACCUUAACUAUUAAUAUCUUAAUAUAAUUAUAAUUAUUUAAUAAUUAUAAUAAAUAUAUAAAUUAGUAUAAUACUAUAAUAAGAUCUUAUUUAUUUUUAAUUAUAACAAUAAUUAAUAGUUAUUUAUAGUUUAUAAAAUAAUUAUUAUAACUAUAGUAUUCUAAUUGUUUAUUAUAAUAUUUUGUAAUAUAUGUAUAACUAGUAAUAUCAACUAAAAAGUUAUUCAUAAAACUAAUUAUAAUUAUAAAUAAUUAUUAAGUAAAUAUUUUAAUUAUAUUAUUAAUAAAUCAUAUUAUAUUAUAUUAUAUUAUAUUUAAUAAUUUAUAAUAUAAAUUAUAAAUUAAAUAUAAAAUAUUAAUUAAUAAUAAUUAAUUAUAUCAUAAUAUAUUAUAUUAUUCUAGUCAUACUAUAAAUUGUUACUUAUAAUUUAUAUUAAACUAUAAAUUAUAUAAUAUUAUAUUAUGCUAUAAAUCAAAUAUUAUAAAUUAUUAAUAAUACUUACUAAAAAUUUAUAAGAUAUUUAUAAUAAUUAUUAGUUAUUAAUAAAUACAACUAUUAUAGUUAAUAUUAUCAAAUAAUAAUAUUAUAAUAGUUAUAAUAUUAUCAAGUUAUUAUACUAUUAUAUAUAAAAUAAUUUUUAUAUAGUUAUUUGUUAAUUAUAAUUAUUUAUUAUAAAAAAUAUAAUGUAAAAAUAUAAUAUUAUUAAUUAAGAUAAUUAAUUAAUAGCAUAAUAAUAAUAAGAAAAUUUUAUUAUUAAAUAUUUAAUAGAAUAUUAAAUUAAAUUAAAUUAAUUAUAUUUAAUAAUUAAAUAAUACUUUAAGUAAAUUAAUUAUAAUUAAAGGUUAUUAAUAAUUAAAUAUAAGAUAUUUAAUUGAUUAUUUAAAAUUAUUAUAUUAAAAAAUAUAAUAUUAAUUAUAUUAAUAUUAAAUAUAUUAAAUUUUUAAAUAAUUAUUAAUUAUUAAUACUAAUAUAUUAUUAUAUCUAUUAAUAUAAAUAUCUCACAUUAUUAGCUUAACUAGUUUUGUAAUUUCGAUAACAAUAAACUAUUUAAGAAGUACUAAUCGAUAGUACUACUUUAUAAAAUAAUAUUUUAUUAAUUUAUUAAUAUUAAUUAUAUUUUAUUUGUUGCUAAUAUAUUUAUAUUAUAUAGUAAUUUAAUUGUAUAAUCCAACAAUAAAUCUAGUAAUAUAAAUAAAUUAUAUUAUUAAUUUAAAUAUUAAUAAUUUUAAUAAUUAAUAUUAUUAUUUGAUAAUAUUAAUUAUAUUAAUUUAAUAAUAUAUAUAAAAUAUUAAUAGAAACUAUAUUUAAAUUAUUUGAAAUAAUAAUUAAAUAAAUAUUAACAAUAAUUAUUAACAAAACUAUAUUAAUUUUAUUAUAAUAUUAUAUAUAAUUAAUCUAAUUUAUUAUAUAUUGAAAAAUAUACUUAGUAUUUAUUAAUUAUAUUAUAUAAUUAUAUAAUUAAAUUAAAUAUAUAUUAGAAAUAACAAAUUUAGUUUAAAUAACAAGAUUGAAUCCUGACAGAAAGAGAAAGUUAUUUAUUACCUAAGCCAAGAAAUUCAUAGAGUAUGCAGUCCAAGUAUUAUAAAUAACUUCUAAAUAACUAAUAGUAAUAAAUAAUACUGAUUUUAUUACUAUUUUGAAAAUUAUAAGAGAUUUAAAAACUAAAUCUUUUUUACCAAACCAGUUCAAAUAGUUAUGGACUAUUUUGAACAAUUAUCUAUCUCCAAUUGUUAUGAUUUUUGUUUUGUCCUAAAACAUUUAAUUUUUGUUCAACAAGCUAUUUAGAGUAAAAUAUUGCUAAUUAAUAAUAUUCUAAAAUUAAUAAGUAAAGAUUUUAAAAAUAAAUGUGUUUACGAAUCAGUUCAAAUAGUUAAGACUAUUAGAAUAAUUAUCUAUUUCAAAUCAUUUUAACCUUUUGUUUAGUCAUAAAAUAAUUGCUUCAACUCAUACAUGCUUAUUCAAAAUAAAAUAAUACUAAUUUAUUAACAUUUAGAAAAUUAUUAAGUAAGAAAUUAGAAAAAAAAUCUAUUUACCAAACAAGUUCAAAUAUUUUUGACUAUUUGAACAAUUAUCUUUUUAAAAUCAUUGUGACUUUAUAUUUUAUCAUAAAACAAUUAUUUCAAUUCAUAAAAGCUUAUCUAAAAUAAAAUAAUAUUUACUUUAUUAAUAUUAUAAAAAUUGAUAAGUUAGAGAUUUAAAACAUAAAUUUGUUUAUCAAAUCAGUUCAAAUAAUUAUAAUAAUUAUAUCCAUAGUGAUUAUAUUAUAUAUUUAUAAUAAAAUAAUUAAAAUUGGACUUAUAAUAUUAAAUUUAAUUUAUAACAAAUAUUAAUAUUAUUUGAAUUAAUUAAAAUAUAAAUAUUUAAUUAAAUUAUAUAUAAAUACUUAUAAUUUAUUAUUAAUUAUCUUAAUAUUGAUUUUUAUUAAUUAAUAGAUAUCUAAAAAGAUUUAUUUUUUAGAUCUAUUAUUAAUUUUUAAAAUAUUAAUAGAGUAGCAUUAAUUUAUUCCGAACAAACUUAUAUGGAUAAAAACAUUUGUUUUAUGACAAAACAAAAGGUCAUAAUUAUUUGAAAUAAAUAAUUGUUCAAAUAAUCAUAAUUAUUUGAACUGGUUAGUUAAACAUAAUUAUUUGUUAAAUCUCUUAUUAAUUUUUGAAAUAUUAAUAAAUUCAUUUUAUUUUAUUUUGAAUCAGCUAGUAUGAAUUGAAAAACUUGUUUUAUGACAAAACAAAAGGUCAUAAUGAUUUAAAAUAGAUAAUUAUUCAUAUAGUCUUAAACUAUUUAAACUAGUUCAAUAAACAAAUUUAUUUUUUUAAAUCUCUUAGUUAUUAAUUUUCAGAGUAUUAUUAUAUUUAGAAUAAGCUUGUAUGAACAUGUAUAAUUGUUUAUGACAGAACAAAAAAUGUUUAUUUUUAAAAUUUCUUACUUAUUUAACUUUUGAAAGAUUAAUUAAAUUAGAUUAAUUUUAUUCUUGAAGCUUGUAUGAUUAAAAAACAAUUGUUAUAUGACCAAACAAAAGGUAAUAUUGAUUUCAAAUAGGAUAAUUAUUGAAAAAACCAUUAAUUAUUUGAACUAAUUGGCAAGCAGGGAAUCAUUUUUUAAAUCACUUAAUUAAUUUUUGACAAUUAAUAAAUUAUAUUAUUUUUAUUUCGAAUAAGUUUAUAUGAACGUGAAACAAUGUUUUAUGACAAAACAAAUGUUCAUAAUGAUUUUAAAUAGAUAAUUGUUCAAAUCGUCAUUAACUAUUUGAAUUUGUUCAGUAAACAAAUUAAUUUUUAAACUCUUACUUAUAAUUUUUGAAUAUUAAGAAUUAGUAUUAUUUUAUUUUGGAUAAGCUUUUAUGAACUAAAACAAUUGUUUUUGGCAACAAAAAGUAAUAAUGAUUUUAAAUAAAUAAUUGUUCAAAUAGUCAUAACUACUUGAACUUGAUUGGUAAAUAGAUUUAUUUUUUCAUAUCUUUUGUUUAUUAAUUUUUUGAAUGUUAAUAAUUAAAAAUUUUAAAUUAAAAUAUUUAAUUUUUAUUAUUUAAUUAUCGAUAUUUAUUAAUAAAUAAGCUAUGAAAUAAUAAUAUAAUUUAUGGAUUUUGUUAAAUAAUUAUUAAAAAUAAUCAUAAAUAUUUUAAAAUGUAUAUUUGAUCUUUUAUGAUAAAUUAUUGAUAAUUAAAAUAGAUAAUUAUUAUUAUUAAUAUAAUUAAUUAUUAACUAUUAUAUUAUUAAAUAUAAUGUAUAAGAUAUCAUUCAAAUAAUAUUAUUAUAAAAUAGUAUUACUUAUAAUUAAUAAAAUUAAUGAUUAUAAUUAUUAUAUAUAAUAAUAAUUAAAUAUAUUAUUUGAAUAAAUAAUAUAUUUUUUAUAUUAAAUAUAAUAAAUUAAUAAUAUUUAUUUUUUCAUAAAUUUAUUUAAUAAAUUAUUAAUAAUUCCUUUAUUUAGUCAUAUUAAUAAUAAAUAUGUUUAUAUAAUGAAUAUAUCUUCAAUAUAUUCAAAACUUAAUUAUAAUUAAUACUAAACAAGUAAGAGAUUUAUAAAUUUAUAUAAUAAAUUAUUCACUAUUAAUUUAUUAGAUUAAUUAAGUAUAUAUAAGAUAAUAAUUCCAUUUAAACAAUUAUCUAUUUCAAAUUAUUAUGAACUUUUGUUUUGUCAUAAAACAAUUGUUUUUCAUCAUACAAGAAUAUUCAUAAUAAAAUAAUACUAAUUUAUUAAUAUUUGAAAAAUUAAUAAGUAGGAGAUUUAAAAAAUAAAACUGUUUAUUGAAUUAGUUCAAAUAGUUAUUACUAUUUGAACAAUUAUAUAUUUCCAAUUGAUCUUUUGUUUUGUCAUAAUACAAUUAUUUAUCUUCAUUCAAGCUUAUUUGAAAUAAAAUAAUACUAAUUUAGUAAUAUUAUGAAAUUUAAUAACUGAUAAAUUUAAAAAAUAAAUUUGUUUACUGAACCAAUUCAAAUAGUUAAGGCUAUAUGAAUAAUUAUCUAUUUCAAAUUGUUAUGAUAUUUUGUUUUGUUGUAAAACAAAUGUUUUUGUUCAUAUAAGUUUGUUCAAAAUAAAAUAAUAUUAAUUUAUUAAUAUUUCAAAAAUUAAUAAGAAAUUUAAUAAAUAAAUAUAUUUACCAUACUAGUUCAAUUAGUUAUAACAAUUUGAACAUUUAUUUAUUUCAAAUCGUACUAAAUUAAUAAUUUGUUAAUAAAUUUGAAUUUUGUUUAAUAAUAUAAUAUUAUUUUAUAUGAUUAGAUUUAAAACUAAUUGUUUAUUAAAUUAAUUAUAUUAAUCGUUAUACAAUUAAUAAGUAUAGUUGUUAAUUAUAAAAUAAUGUAUUAUAUAAAUAGUUUAAUUAAUAUAAUUAGUUUAAUAAUAAUGAUAUAUAACAAUUUAAGAUUAUUACUAAUUAUUAUAGUACUUAUAAUUAAUUAUUCUUAAUAUUACUUAAUUAUAUACUAUUAUAUUAUAUGUAUUAUAAUAUUAUAACUAAUUAUAAUUUAUAUAAAAUAGUAACAAUUAUUAAUUAAAUAUUUAAUUAUUAAUUAAAAUAAAUAUGACUAUUUAAUUAAUAAUAAUUGUUAUUUAUUUAUUAAAUUUAAAUAAAUAUUAGUAAUUAAAUUAUUAUACAUUAAUAAUUUAUUUAUUAUUGUUAUAUAUUAAUAUACAUUACUAUUUACUUAUAUAAUUAAAAAUUUAAUUACUAGAUAAAUUAUAAUUGUUUAUAUAAUUUAUAAUUUGCUUAUAUAAUAGAAAAUAUUAAAUAUAUUAAUAAUAUAUUUUUAAUAGAUAUAUUAUUAAUUAUAAUUCAAUUAAGAAUUUGAAUUAUAUAUAUUAGUUUAUUUAAUAUUAAUAAUUAUUUCAAUAAAAAAUUAUUAAUAAUUAUUUAAAUAUACAAAUUAUUAAUAACAAUUGUUUUACGAUUAACAAAGAGUCAUUCACAUUUGCCUCCAACUAUCAAUUUCAUAAGAAAGGAAAGUAGCCGGGUUCUAUGCCACAAGGCUCUAUCCGAGUUUACAGAUGUCGUUCUUUAUCCCCUUCUUUAUUCGUGAAAAUCAAACAAAUUGGCUUAGUGUGAAGUCUAUCUGAGUAGAAGAUCGAAAAGAAUGCAUGUUCAUCCGAACAUUGAGAAGGCAGGGUUGACGAAUAACAAGGAUAAGGAUAGGACCCGGUUCGGCUAAGUCCCUUGGUCAGUCAUCAGGGAGUUCUUCCCCCUUCAGUCAAUCAGCAAGACAAUGUGAAUAGAUAUUCGAAAGUCAAGGGCCGGACCUGACUCCGUUAGCUGAGCUCUGAGCUUUGCUCCUGGCAAACCAUUACGCAUGCUAUCUUCUCAGCUUUAUGUUAUGGAAGCGCCGACUCAAAGACUCCCCGCCAAUCUCUGGGAUAAGGUCUCCCCAAGAGAUUCUUCAGCUAUGGAAUCUGACAGGUAUCGGUAUUGAACAGAGGGGGUAGCUCAUAUAACAGCAGCGGGACCUGCAGAGGGGGCUGUUCACAAAGCAUCCCAUGGUGCGCUCCGAUCCGAGGGGAAAAAUCAAAAUACAAUACCUAUUGUUGACACUUUUUUUUAUUGUAUUUUUUUUUAUUACUUAGUCUUUGUCUUUACUUUAUCCUAGACUAUGAUCUGAUCUUCUUAAUACUAUGCAUCUCUAUUACGAGUACCUCCCGGUGAAGCUUCUUUGGCUUGAAGACCGGAGAAUGAAGAGAAGGACUACGAGGGAACUAGCGAAUGAGAAGUUCUACCGGGUUCAAGUUUCUCUCCCCCCUGGACUGAACACCUUGAGACUCUGUCGUUUUCAGGUCCGUGUUGACGAGUUCUGUUGCUUUGAGUUCUACUUCUCUUUCUCUCCUCAAUUCUACUAUCAGUGAGAUUCAAUCCCAUCUGAUAGACCUCAUUGAGUCUGGAGAGCAACUCGAAGGUGAAAUGGUUAAUCUACGGAUCCAGACCCAAAGGUAGAUUGUCCCAGUUAGACCAAGUUCCUUUCAGGUAACGCAUACUAGAAAGCGUGACAAAUCCCAUAUCUGGAAAGACUCUCUUGGUCCUUUAUCUUAUGAAGAAAUCAGGGGUCAAGACUCUCAAUCAGGUCUACCUAUGACUCCUCUCACGUUACCGUCACGCUCAUGAACCUCUGUUUCUUUUGAAAGCGGCUUGAAGUGAAGAGCACUUUUCCUCUCAGCCGGAAGGAAAAAACCUCAUUCAGGGCAGAGGAAUCUACCAAUCGAAUGUGAUUCGUACUACAUAGCUUUCAUUCCUGAAGAUAGGUUCAUCCAUGCUAUGCUAUUCACAAACCAUUCUCGUCAGAAAAGACCGACGCCUUCAUCUUUAAAGAUGGUCAGUUAUGUGCUUUCUUCUCUUUUUUUUACUAUACGGUACGGAUUCAAGUCCUCUGUCCAAGAUCGCUUCCCUUAAUGGAAAGACCUUUUUUUUUUUUUUUUUGUGAAUCUGGAAGCAAGAAAGCAAACAGGAAUGGUGCAGCAGGAGGUAGCUUGCUUACUUAGUACUUGUGCUAAAGGGGAGGUGCAAGAGCAAAAAGGAAAGACAACACGCCUUUAUUCAUGCAUAUCCUUAAGCGAGAGUUAAGGCACAAGAAGUAGGAAGGAGUCGCCAUCAUGAAUCGAUUUCAGUUAUCGGUCUUUUCUUAUCUUACCAAGACAGAGAGGGGCCCGAAGGCAUACUUCUGUUAGCUACUACCACCCUAGGCCUUACUUCACGAAAGUCAGAGUCUACCAAUUCAUUACUCUCUUCCUGUCCUCCUGGAAUCUCUUGCAACUCUCGCAUCUGCAAUCGAUUGAAGUAUCCCUUGCUUGGUCUGUCCACGAAUACGGUUCCCGACUUUUAUUCCAUCUAGAGCUGCCAGUCUUGUCUUGCCCUGUCAACGGUCAACUCUCUCUUGCUUAGUUCCCUUCCCGACGAGAGGUCUUCUGCCUUCUGUCUCCUGCCCAACAAUAUUCGUAUACCGGUUAUCGGUCCGUAGGCCUUAGUUAGCCAGCUUAUAGGAAGGUAAAGGAAGGUAGCAUGGUUCUAGCAUGGGCAGGCAAUCACCCAAAUUUAUCUGUAACGGUAGGAGCAUUAGUCAACCAUCUGUCGCAGUAGCAGUAGCCUUCUCUGUAUCACUCUCCCCCUAUGGUCGACCCUUGACUUUGAUCAAUUUCCUCUAACAAGCUCUUUCAAGUCUUUGAGCUAAGCCUUUCUGCUCUACUGGAAACUCCCCAAUAUCAGGAUCAGGAAAUCGAAGCUCUCUUGUAAGGGUCGAUAGGCGGGUAAGAUUUUCCUACGUUGGGAAUGCUAUCUUUAUCUCCCAGUAACGCGCAUCCCUUUGAUUGCUUCCUUACUCAUAAGAAAAUGUGAAAGAAAAUAGGACUCUCAAGUCAGGAAUAGCGAUCUGGCUUAGUGAAUCGAUUAAAGUAUGAAAGUUGAAUAAGAACAUCGUAAGAGAAGAAAGAGAAGAGACUAUCAACGAUAAAGAGUUCUUUCGAACUUCAAUCUUGAUAUAAUUCGAAAAAGAAUAGAUUCAAAAAGAAACGAAUCCGAGUUCGAACUACAGUCUUUCAGAUAAGUCCGAAGACAAUCUAUCUUUCCUUCUUGACUCACAGGGGAGAAGAGAAAAGAUUCGGAGGACGGAGCUUGCUUCAAUUGAAGCACGGAAUUGAAUGAUAACAAGAUAGACAAUGAGACAAAGCCAAGAGAGGAGAGAUGAUAUCAAUGUCAGAAGAGCUUAUUCAACCGAUAAAGAACGUAUCAUUAAUGAAUUUUGGCUUCAUUUCUACAGGGAGAUAAAAGUUUCAUGUAAAUUGAAUUCAGAUUGUUAUAGCUAUCAGGAUCGUGUUAUAAUGUUAUUGAAUGAAUCUAAGAAGAAUCAAUCCAUUAAUAAUGAUAGUUUUAUAGAGUUCUCCUCUAGUGAGUUAAAGGAUUUACAGAAUAUGAUUGAAGAACUAACUAUGAACUUCGAUGAAAAUAGUAUCUUUAAAAGCACUCCUCAGUUAUUAAACUUAUUGAUAGAUAAUGCUCAGAUCACAGCUAAAGAUCAUUUAAAGAGUUGCCUAUCAACAGAUGUUUAUAAUCGUUAUAUUAGUCAUUUAGGUCACUAUACGCUGGAGGCUAUCAUCAUAUAUGUGCUAGGAUUGUUGUACAACAGUGUUCAAGAAUCCUCGGUUGUAAGGGUAUCCACAUUGUUGGACAGGCUAGAUAAAACAGUUUCGAAUACAAUCAGUGAUUAUCAACAAUUUGUCUGAAAGUGAUAGUAGUCAAGCGAAAAGUAGUAAGAAAGGUCGUGUUCAACAAUAUGAAAUAGGAACCAAAUUGCUUGAGUUCAUGCUAGAAAGAAAUUGUUUCGUAAUUGAUACCUGCACAACAGAGGAGAUAAAACCAAUUGUGAAAAGAAAAGGAAAAGGAUAUUACCCAUUAAACUCAUUCGUAAUAUGUAAAUUUCAACUGUUGCCUUCUCCCAGUUAAACUGAAUCUUCCUAUGGUUUGCAAGCCGUUAGAUUGGAAAUCUAAAUGUUUGAUGCCAAGAAUGUUUUCGGAUAUUAGAGGAGGUUACUUUUUCAAUCCUUCCAAUGAUUUAUAUAAUCAGUUUAAAGUUCAAUCUUCCUUUAGAGUUAUAUCAUCCCGUGACAUACACAAUUUCAAUAUUCACUUACAUGAUCCUAUGUACAAGGAAAUGUGCCAAAUCUUGAAUAGACUUCAGUCACAAGGAUUGUUGAUAAAUAAUAAUGUAUUGGAAUUCAUAAAGAAAAAUCAUGCGAGUUUAGAGAAAUUAGGUCUUCUUGCACACGUGAAUAUGAAAGAAGCCAUAGAUAUAUUGAAGAUAUGUUAUCUCAAUGACGGGGCUGUUAAGGAUCUUUGUAGCUUUCGUUUUCCCUUAACGGAGUUAGCAUAGCAGGUUCAGCGUGCAAGGUAUGAAGAAUUUAUACACUACAGCAAAAUGGCAUAUUAGCGACAGUUUUGUAGUGAUUUUUUACUUAUAAAUGCCUUUAGCUUCCGUAUUUUUAUAAAACUUAAAGCAUUUAUUAUCCAAACAUCACUAAAUAUUCAAAUAGCGUCAUUGUUACUUAUGAACGCCACCCAAGACUUGAUAUUAGAAGCGUUUCUUGACUAAAAUGCCUUGAAUAUUUUUUAUUAAAAAUUUCAGUGAAUAGUUAAGACGUAUUUUUGGCAAACAACGCCUUCAAUAAUCACGUCAUAAAAAAUUAUAUGAGAUUAAUAAAAGCACUGUCUACAAGAAACACCUUUAAUAUUUAGACAAAAAAAUUUCAUAAGCUUAUUAAAUUUAUUUUGUUCAAAAAUACAUUCAAUAUUAAGCUUAUCAAAUUGUUUGGAUCGUACGAAUGUUUAUCAUAAAAAUUGUUGGUUUGAUCCAUCCUUUAGCCUUUUUUUGGGUUUUUGCACAAAUUAUUUGUUAUUGAUUAUUCUAGGCAUUUUCUUGACAAAAACGCUUUCACCGAUUGCUUUAAAAAAAUUUUAGAAUAUUGAAGGCGUUUUUUUAUGGAAAGACGCCCUUAAUAAUCCAUAGGAAAAAUAUGGAGUCGAUUCUUGAAGGUAUUUUUGGUCGAACUCGUCUUCUAUAAUCCAAUUAAUAAAUUUUUUUGGUGAUUUUUAAAGGCGAUUUUGUAAAAAAUGACUUUAAUAUUUCAUAGACAAAACUUGGAUGAGAUGCUUGAAGGCGUUUUUGGCUCAAAAAGCCUUUAAUAUUCCUAACGAUAAAUUUUAAUGGUCUGAUUAUUGAAGGCGGCUAUAUCAAAAAAUGCCUUCAUAAACAUUUUGUUAGGGAUUAUUAAAGGCAUUACCCAUAGGAAAACGCCAUUCAUAAUUCAUUUGAUUAAUUUUUUAGUUGGUAUUAUUGAAGGUAUUUUUUGCCAAAAAUACCUUUAAUAUUUCACACAAUAAUUUUCUAGGGGGAUUAUUGAAAUUGAUUUUAGUAAAAAAAUGCUUUUAAUGUUUUCUGUUAUGGGUGAUUGAAGGUGUUUUUUUGCUAAAAAAACAUUCAUUAAUCGCAUCAAAAAAACAUAUUAAAUAUUGUAUAUGUGAAAUCAGUUGUAAGUUUAUGCCCAGAAAAACGUUUACUGUCAGUUGUAUAUUUAUGCCCAGAAAACAUUUGGUUUGUAUAUCAGAUACUUUGAAUUACAUUUUAGAAUUUACAUAGUGAAUAUUGUUGUAUUUCAAUAAAUUAACCACACAUCCAAAAUUAAAACUGAUAACGUUGUCAUAUUAAUAUACUUUUUUGAAAUAAUCGUACUUAGUAAUUUAUUAAGUACACAUAAUGUAUUCAUAUUAAGUAUAACAAUAAUAUUAAACCAAUACCCCCAAUGUACAAACUUAAAGUUUUCAUUCAACAUGACAUGUUAAAAACAUUAUAACAAUUUGUUUCAUAUAUAUUUACAUUCAACCAACAAUGUCUAACCUGAAGGUUUAUCAACAUUGAUAAAUGACAAUACAUAAUCACACCAUUCUUUACAGACUUCAUCUAGCUCCUCUUCCGUAAAGCUUUCUUUACCUUUCCACUAAAAAAAUAUAUCAAAGUAAAUGUUAAGAAAUGAGAACAUUGUGUACCAUUUUAUUUUUUUGAAUAUAUAACGAGUUUAUGAAAUUAAUACUAACCUUGAAUAGUGUGAUCAUAAAAUCAUGUAACACUAUCUCCCACAUAAAACAAAGGACAUAAUAUCCAUGCCUUCUUAUUAAAUGCAUAUAUUACCCUAAAUUGAAAAGAAAAAAAAUUAGUGGGAACAUAAAUAAAAUUACUUAUGAAGAAACAAAACAUAGAUAAUAUAAUAAAGUACUGUAAUACCUCUUUAUAAAAGUUUGAAUAUCGAGGUUAAGCAUCACCAUUGGAUUAACUGAAUUAAGAAGGUAUGGCGUUAAGGAUUUGGUGUCAAUCAUAGCACCCAAUGACGAUUGCAAAAUAAUAACAAUGAUAUACUCAGAAUACACAUCAGAUCAUAGAAUGGAGCAGGUUGGAGUAAUUAAGGUUGGAAUAUAGAUUACUGCGCAUUAUACGAGAGCAAAUAAUAAUCAAUUGGUCUUUUCAUGCAUAGGAUCACAUGAUUAGCAUGAUAUACGACUGUGCCACUCUGCUCACUAAUGAAGUUGAGGUCAAUGAAUCUAAAUUUAUUCGUCAACUGUCUCCCCUUCAGCUCUCUAUAUAGGAAGCUACACGAUAACAAUCAACAUUGCUGGUUAGUAUUACACCCUAAUACUAACUUACUAUAUAUUGAAUGUGCAUAUUUGUAUUUAUAAACUAACCUCAUAUAAGUAACGAUUUCAGCAACUGAUAAUUCAUCCAUUUCACAAAAUUCUUUCACCUCUUCCACACCAAUGAAAGAAAAUGAUUAUUUAUCAAAUAAGUCUUCCUCAGACUCAAUGAAUAUGAAGUUUUCGUCAAAUAAAUGCUCCAAUGAAUAUUUUGUUAACUUAUCCAUGAAAGCCUGAGCAAGGAUCAUACUUUGAGUCUGAACAUCAUUCUAUAAUAUUUAAUGAAAUAUAAGUAUUAAAAUCAAAUCAAAAAAUAACUCCACAAGCAAGGAACCGCUACUUUCCAAGCAUAUUAGCGAAAAGGCUCAUACGGAGGCAAGGGGGCCAAAAGCUUUAUUUGUUAGCUUCCCGAAAAGAGAUAAGAUGCGUCUUCAAAUCAAAGGGAGAGGAAGUAGGUUCUUGGCUGUCCUUUGGCCUGUUCCCCGAUCAGCUUUCAUAGACAACUAGUGACCGCGGGUGAGGGGCAUGAAGGGAAAGGUAUAAUCCGUCUUGCUUUCCCGAAACGCUAUCACCGAUACUCUACUUGCUUUCCAGUCUCACCCAAAAGUCCCUGAAAGGCCACUAAUUAGUAAGUCUCUAUAUUAUUUUUUAUUAUUAUACUAUAUUAAUAUUAAUGUAAGGUAUGUAGUUUUUUAAAAGAAUUACGAGAUUUGAAUUCAGGUUAAAAAGUGCGAGACACAGAAUAAAGAGUUUAUAAGGGAUUUAUAGAAAAUGAAAUGUGGAAUGGAUAAAGAGAAGAGGUUGAAUAUGAUGUCAACAAAGGGCCAAAAAGACAAAGAACUACCAGCGGCUCAACCGAAUUUCCCCGAUAGCCUACCAGUGAGAACUACUAGGCGGGAAGGGAUCUAGUCGAAUUAAAAAAAGUAUACAGUUUUCGAACCCAUGCAUGCUACAAGAAAGCUUGUAUUUCCGUCUGGUCCAAUAGAUGUAACUGGCACCUUUAAGGUCGAGUCUAAAGCCAUCUCUAAUGCCAGACGCUUCCUCUUUUGUGCUACUCCUCAUCUUGAAAUCAAGGCUGAACACAUGGAAUUCCAUGCUUUACUUCCUCAUUCUAAGUCCAGGGCUUACAAAGGAACGUCAGCCAUCAAAAGGCGUGGAAGCCCUGGUUCAGUUGGCAAUACUUUCAAACUACGCAUCCACUCACACUAGGAUCUCAAAGUGAAGAAAGCUGCUUGUUCUCUCUUUCGUGGUCAAAGUUCGGAGCUGCCGAAAUCUUGCCUCCAGUUCUGUUCAUAGGGAGGAUCUUUGUGUGCUGGUAUCAACCGAGAAAGAAAAUAUGGAGCUUGACCCUCUUUGAUUGAAUGCAAGGAUCCUAGGAGCUAGAAACCGCAUUUCAGUGAGCUCUUCAGCCAAUGUUCUACAAGCUGCUAAAGCUGCCGCACUUUUUCCUUCUCGAGGGAGGUGCUUCCUUGAUUACCCUGGAUUUAUUCUUCUCAAUUUCAAAAAAUACAACAAUAAAUGUUAUGCACUAAAAACUUCAGGAAGUUUCCUGCUAUUACGCCAAAUACGGGUUUCUUUUCAAUCCGCGCUCUCGCACUCAAACACUGUCUUGAGAUCAGACAAAAGACAGGGAAAGACUUAAAACAUCAUCAAUAUACACCACCUCCACGAUGUUUACAAUAAAAAAAGUAAUGGAAGAUGAGGUUCAUUGCUCACAGCUAUGUAACUCUAGCCUUAUUCAUACCGAGGGGAAUCACCUGCCAGCAGAAUGUCUGUCUGUCCAACAGCACCGGGACAACGGAACGCAAUUUUUGCCUCGUCCUCUCUUGAGAUUCAAAAAUGGUUAUACCCCACGUCCAUGAAUGACAGAAUUUAUUGCCCAGCUGCUCUGUCAACUAAAAGAUCCGCGAUUGCCAUUGGGUUAUUGUCUUUUGGUGGGGCAACAUUGAGACUCCGGAAAUGCUUUCUCUUCCGCCAGCCCUUGCUCUGGGCUUUUUGUUGGGGCAAAAAAAUACGAUAGAUAAGGAUCUAAUGCAAAGUUUUCUUCAUGCUUAUUCCAACGGGCGAUAAGGGACGGAACCAAUGCUGUGUAGAAAGAUGCAAUGAGGAACCUCUUCCCGGUCGAAAGCCGUGCAAAGACGUAAGAGGAUAUUGCAGCUUCCUCGUAACGGUAGAAAGAGGAAAGGCUAAGCGAAAAAAGGUUAACUUAGUGAGUUAUGGCCACUAGUCAUUUGGAUUUUUCCUUACUCAUGUAAGUAUUCUCAUUGGGCAUUUAACUAGCCUAUAUUUCCGCUUUCGCUUUCGCAUUUAAUCGUCUCCCUCCUUACCUUAGUCCGACCUAGCCUCUAUUGAUUGAGAAGGUUGAAGACUCCUUUUAUGCAAUUAUGAACUCCUUACCGUGAUAAUGAAGUUGUUGAUCUCGAAGAGGAACCCCUGUUCUCAGUUACUCAUCAAAUGGCACUCAUUCCAUAUCUUCGAUCAUUGACAAUGUUCAAAGAAAGGGUGGGACACUGAGGGGAAAUGGUGCUUUAUUGAGUUAGAGUUAUGAGUGGGCUAUAAGAAAGCUGUGAAAGUCAGCCACCACUAAAAAAUUUCAGAAGGAAGGGUAUACUUCACUGUAGUCUCACUAUAAAGUACUCUUGUUUUAUGCCCUUUUCUCUCUUUCUGCGCCGAAAGUAAGAAAUUGAGAAAUCCGCACUAACGAAAAAGCUGAAAAAAGCAAUGGCAGCAGCUAGAGUAGACUUGCUUCUCUCUUAUUCUAUUUUAUAUCACCCCUACUGCGGGAAGUAAGCGCUUAGUGCUACUACUAGAGUAGAGUCGUCUUAUGCUCUAUUCUUCGUUUUUAUAGAGUCCCUUACUGUAGUACAUGAGUUUUAUUCUAUCUCCUUAGCCUCUCUGAAAGAAAAGAAAGGAAAGUAAGAGUACUGCUCUCGCUCGAGCCAGCAAGCUGAUAAAGUACUGUGUGCGCUAACCUUGGUGAAAGUGUAACGUGACUAUCUGCCCCCAACUUUCUAUCUGUGGUUAGGAAAUUCUCUGUCCGUAUAAGUAGACUCAUUCCAUUUGCUACUCGAAAGCACUAAAGUCCACAUUGGAUGAAAAAAAACCUGUUUUUAAGGCAAAAGAAAGAAAGCAAUAGAAGAGAGGAGCAGCACCCUAAUUCCUAUGUUAUAACGUUCGUGACCCAUAGCCAAUGAAAUCCAAACUAGGAUCAUAAGAAAAGUCUACUGACUGACUGGUUGAUAACCAACAAUGAAAGGAUUAGGCCAGGACUCAUACGAUUCGAGUAGAAUGAAAGGCAAGGAUGAUAAGCUUUUCUCGCGUACUGGCUUUCUUCGCCGAGCAGGAAAGAGAAAAUCCAUUUCCUAUUAAGAGAAGCGAAGUCUAGUUCCCAACUCCCCCGCUUCUAGAUAAAGACAGACAAAAAACAUAAGGAAAGGAUUCAAUAAGCCAUUUUCGUUUUCUUUUUAGCUAGUGAGCUGGUUUUGGAUAAGGGAAAGUUUCAAUUGAUCAAUUUACAGGCUACCAGGGAAAUAGGUUUAGCAAAUAGAUGUGUCUUCACCUGAUGAAAUAGGACAGAAAACUGCUUUCACCAACACCGCUUCAAGAUCUCAUGGAUUGAAUUGUAUUCAAACGAAAGUAUUCUAUAUAGAAUACUAUAGCUUUCAUUAAACUACUAAAGAGCUUCUUCCUAAUGAUAAGAAGAAUCAUAAGAUAGACUGCCUGUAUUACCGCUUUCUUUUCUCUUACAGAAUAACUAAGCAUUAGCUUACACGGACUCCUCUAUACAAAACAAAAGGGAAUGGCUGAAAUAAAAACUCCGCUGGCAUUGGUGUAAUUGAAAUACCCGCUGGAAAGCUUAAAAAAAACCUCUCUUUUGAGUGCUGUUAAUACUGAAGUUAACGAACUCCCCACACUCAAGAGCAAAGAAAGACCCAUUUUUUCAUUUUUUAGCUUCCUCCUUCUUCGGUUGCCAAUGAACAAUGCAUCUCCGGAGCAAUGACCACGAAGCACACAUUCGGCGCAAAUAACUUAUCCUUCCUCAAGGCUUGCUAGUUUCCUGGCUCUUUCGAACCAGAUAUUUUCAAACCUGGCGAUGAGGUUAUAUUAUUAAGCAUUAGUAGCAAAUGAAGGCGAAGGCGAAGGAACCUCAGGAAGUGGACACAGGGUAACCAGAAAUGCUGAAGAGAUUAAAGCUGCAAUGAUGCCUUGGAUUCUUUUUUUGCUUCUAAGUGACAUGCCACAUGAGCUUUCUCAUCUCGUUGUAGAGCUGUCAGUUGUACCGGGACUUUGUGAAGAUGACAGAAGGCUUGUACAACUGCUCCCAAGGCUCAUGCUCUGCUCCAAGGAUAUUGCAGCAAACUUAAACCACCGGAGUUGGACCAGCUACUCAAUAUAGCUGGAGAGAAAGCAGCAGCAGCUAAAGAAGUCACAGAGGCAGCAACAAAAGCUGAAUCUCGCCUAGCUGGUCUUUGAGAGCAAUUGGCCAAACUCCAAACCCACUCUCCCACUUCAAUUCAAUCACUGAUUUCAGAUAGUUGUAUGUGAGUUGACUUUUUCCCUUCCACUUGGUAGAAAACAAUAUAAAAUAUGGGGAUUCCCAUCGACUAGAUAGGCUCUUUAACAGAGAGGUCGGGCUAAAAGACAGAGGCGGCCUGGUUCCUUGGUAGUAUGCUCCGGGGGGCGGGGGAUUGAUAGCUUGACCCGAGUUGAUUAGUCACAGCGACCCGUGGAGAGGAGGUGUCGAGUCCAUGCAGACUAUCAAUUAGUCUAGUCAUUUCAUAGAGGAUUUUUAGAGAAAAGAGCGAGUGAUCACCCGUGAGGAAACGAGCAUUGUAAAAAUCCUCAUUAUAAGAAGUUGAAAAAACGUUUUCACUCGGCCUUUUCCAUGAAGCAAUGAAGGAGAUUAGCAUUUUAUGUCCUGCACGCACACUCUAUCUCAAUGAAGGAGUUGCUCGACGGCAUUCAUCUGUCUUUUCGAAAGCCUUAGCCUUAGCGUCGCGCCCUAGCCCUACUCAGAACAUGAGGAGGGAAGUAGACCUUUUUUGUUAGUCAAAGUAAGGUCUUUUUUGAAUCACUGGCAUUUGAAUGAAUAGGAUUAUAACUUUCGGUGCCUUCAUUCCGCACUUGGUCCCUCUCGUAUUCCACCCGAGGGUUCCAGAGAUUGAUUCUAUACAUGAGAUUCCUGAAUACAGUAAACUCCCCAUGUACCAAUGUCCCCACUCCGGUAUCCCCAAAGUCCGAACUCUUUAAGCAUUCGUAUACGUAAGCGCUUUCUUUCGAGUGAAGUCGUUAAACGUAACAAGUCCAAGGGCUGGAGGAAGUGAAAACUGGCUCAACCUUUUUAACUUAAGCUUAAGGAGAGGAGGAUUAAUAAAGAAAGAUCUGAUUUGGCCACGGAACCAGCUUUGGGGGGAAUAGGGGGAGGCACUUCCUUAGGACAAGGACAACAUAAAGCUGUGCAGUAGGGAAUAAGGCAAUAGCUACAAGAAGAAAGAAGUCGGAAAGAGUACACCUAAAACAAGAGCUAACUAAGCGGUAGGCACCUGAAGACAGAAGAGCACCUGAAUAAAGAGCCAACCAUCUUACGAUCGCCCUGUAGUUUUCUUCGCUGGAGCGCAGGUUUUGAACCCCUAUCUUACUAAUCUAAUAAAGGGGAUUGUUGAUGCUAUGAAGCAUCUUAGAGUAUUCCAUUCCGUUUUUCAGCUGGAUCCGGGCCUACUAAUUACUAAUACCUGAAACAACUGUAUUUAGUAGAGAGAGGGGCUUUUUGCGAAAGGCUAUCAAUGUAUAUAGAUGAGUGUGCGUGCAGGGUGUAGGUGUACCACUUACGAGAAAGAACCCCAGGUCAGUAAAGCAGUUAACCAAACACAAGUAAACAAGUAAGUAGUUCGUCAGUCCUUCCUCCGACGCCUCCCGUUCAUUCUUUUUCAUUUCUUCAUGUUUGUUGUGUUGUUCCGUUCAUAGGUUCCAAGCCAGCCCUUCUUUAGAAGUCCCUCCUCCCUCUCCUUAAGUUAAGAAAAACAAGAAUGCUGCUUGGAUUGAACGAACAUUGUAAGAACCUUUAUAACUGACACCUUUGAUCCCCUCAGCAUUAAAAAGCAUAAUGCCACCCACGUUUUUUUUCUUUUGAACACGCCUGAAAACCCCGGGGAAGGGAUGAAAGGCGCCAUCUUUUUCUAUAACACCCUUUCUUUUCUCUAGUCUCUAGGCCUUAGUCUUCUACCUUCUAGUUUUCACUAUUCUCAUUUAGCUCCUGAUGUAUUGACCGAGUUUUAAGCUCCAAGCUUGAAAGCCUAUUAGUCUUCAACGCAAAGCAAACUCCUAAAACAGAUGUCGUUGAUCUGGAAUUCCUUUAUUUUAAAAAUAAUCAACUUCGCAAAGAGUAGACGAGGAUAGCACUUAAGCCAACGAAUACGAUUGAUCGGUCUGUUCUGCUAGCCGGUUAGCCCGAAGCCUAUUCCAAUAAGAACCGGCAGCAAUGGCUAUUGGAAACCAAACUGACCUCGCUCCAUUACUUGAUUUGUCCACGGCCUUCUGUCAUGAGCCAAUCUUGUAUAAGGCCAUGAUUAGGGCUUAGACUUUAAUGAGCCACCCAUGUAUAGGGUCAUGACCGGAUAAAUCUCUUGUGCUUGGAAAAGUGUCUCCAUUUCAAACAUUGUAAUGGUUAGUGGUAGCAUAACUCUAAAAUCUUUAAGACUCUUUAGGGGGGUGAGCGGGCAGCAUACUGUUGGGCUGUCUCAUUGGUCGCGAUACGGGCCUAAGCCAUCCACCAAAGGCUGUCCUCCUAGCCCUGGCGAUGGUGGGAAGUCCCGAUGUACUAUCCUUGAUUAUAAUAAAAUUCACCUCCGAUUCGAAUGUCCCGAAUGUUGCCUUGAUGUGUUUUUCUUUUUGUCGAUGUGAAUGUGCCUUCUUGUGUGUGUUUAAAAUUGAUCUCAAUAUGAAUGUGUCUUAUUGCGUACGCUUGGGACUAAUUGUGGCUUAUGGUUAUUUGUUCAGAUAUCGAACUAUUGAGGGCUGACUUGGGUGAGAGCGUCCAUUCAAGUGCUGUACGGUCUAUUGCUUGUUGAGAGAAAGCCUAGUCCGUGACACGUGAUAUCAGAGCUAGGUUGAAAAGUGCUAGAAAAUGAAAGAGAUGGCCACAAAUGGUGGACCCAAUUAUCAAUAGAGACUUAAGGAACUUGAGGUCGCGGUGGCCGUAGUGAAAACUCACAUGGUGACUAAAGAUCGAUUGAGGGAGAUCGAGACAACUCAGCGAGAGUUGUCCGAUACUCUCCAUAAUGUGAGCGAGGAGGCUAGAGAUGCCUUGAAUGUUCUUCAAAAGGAGUUUGAGGAGCUUAGAGCACAAAUGAGCAUCAUACAAAUGACUGUGGCUAGAUCGAGUUCGAGCUCGACGGAAAGGGGAAAAAGGGCCAAGGUGCCAGAGCCUCGAUGCUAUGAGGGGGUAAGAGAUGCCAAUGAGCUUGAAGACUUUUUGUUUGACAUGGAGCAGUACUUUUGAGUUGUACACACGGAUUCAGAGAAAGAUAAGGUAGCAAUGGUGUCGAUGUACCUCAUAGGGGAUGCCAAGCUAUGGUGGCGCUCCAAGUUUAUCAAUGACAAGUGUCUAAUUAAGACUUGGACGGACCUGAAACAAAAAUUGAAAAAUCAAUUCUUCCCUGAGAAUGUGGAGUAUAUGACCCGAAGGAAACUUCGAGAAUUGGUGCAAACAGGAACAAUGCAAAAGUUUGUGAAGAGUUUUUCUACCCUGAUGCUAGAUAUUCGAGACAUGUCCAAAAAGGACAAGAUGUUUUAUUUUCUUAAGGGCCUCAAGCCUUGGGCCAGGACAGAACUACAAAGAUAAAAAGUGCAAGAUGUGGCCACGGUCAUGGCUGUAGCUAAAUGUCUCCAUGAUUAUAAUGAUGGCUCCUCAAAACGAAAAAAUCCUCCAUCAGUUGGCAGUAACUUCAACUUUGAGAGUGGGAGAAAGAUGACUAGCUUGGACUGACCUUUCAGUGAAGGAUCAAACAGGAGGUCUUUUGGUCGAGAUAGCACCCAACCCAAGAUAAACAAUGCAGUGAUUUUCAAGCCUAGGGAACCACUAGCUUGCUUUCUAUGUAAGGGGUCGCAUCGGGUGGCUGAAUGCCCAACAGAGGAGCCCUUAAUGCCUUAAGUGCCUUAUCUCAAGAGUCCAUAAAAGCACCAGAGAUCGUUGAAGAAGUUGAAAAAGAGCCAACCAGGAUGGGUUCAAUAAAAUUCUUCAAUGCCUUUCAUACCCAGCUGAAUACAAUAAAGAAAGAGUAGGAUAGAAGCCUGAUGUAUGUGAACUUAAUGAUCAAUGAGAAGGCCACCAGGGCUGUGGUAGACACGGGUGCAAUCGAUACCUUCAUCACACCAGAAGAAGCAAAAAUGUGUAGUCUUCAAGUUAGUAAGGACUGUGGAUGAAUGAAAGCAGCCAAUUUACCAGCCUUUAAGAUCAGAAGAAGCUCCAAGAGUGUGAUGACCAAAUUGAGGCCAUGAAAAGGGAAGGUAAACUUUACAGUUUCCUCAUGGAUGACUUUGAUGUCAUCUUCAGAUUGGACUUCAUAACGUUGGCUCAGGUGAUCCCUAUCUCCGUCGCUAGUUGCCUGUUGUUCUUAGGGGAACAUCCAUGUGUGGUGUUGGCCACUAUCUUGCCAAAGAAUGAGAAGAAAAUGAUCUCAGCUUUACAGUUCAAGAAAGGGGUAAAGAGAGAAGAACCCUAAUUUAUGGCUAUAUCGAUUUACAAAGAAGGGUUGUGAGUGGAAUCGAUACCCGAUGACGUGGAAAAAAUGUUGAAAGAAUUAGAAAAGGUGAUGCCAGGGAUGUUGCCUAAGGUUUUAUCUCCUCGAAGAGCCGUGGACCAUGAAAUUGAGCUCUUCCUAGGAGUUAAACCCCCUGCUUGAGCCUCUUAUCGCAUGGCCCCGCCAGAGUUGGCCAAAUUAAGGAAACAGUUAGAUGAGCUUCUACAGGUCGGGUUCAUUAGACCAUCAAAGGCUCUUUUUGGAGUGCUAGUGCUAUUUUAGAAGAAACAUGAUAAAAGUUUAUGAUUAUGUGUUGACUACAGGGCCCUGAACAAAGUCACCGUAAAAAACAAAUAUCAUAUCCCUCUUAUAGUAGAUUUGUUUGAUCAACUAAAUCGGGUCAAGUAGUUUUCUAAAUUGGACUUGAAAUUUGGCUACCAUCAGGUCAGAAUCGCUAAGGGAGAUGAGCCAAAGAUCACUUGUGUAACAUGGUAUAGCACAUUUGAAUUUCUUGUUAUGCUCUUUAGACUGAUCAAUGCUCUUGUCACAUUUUGUACAUUGAUGAAUCAGGUGUUCCAUGACUAUCUAAACAAAUUUGUAGUCAUCUAUUUAGAUGACAUAGUGGUAUAUAGCUCUACUCUGGAAGAAUAUCAAGAACUCUUAUGCCAGGUGCUUUAAAGAUUACAAAACCACCAGUUAUAUGUGAAAAGGGAGAAAUGUACAUUUGCUCAGACCCAAAUCCACUUUCUCGGUCACAUUGUCGAACAUGGCCACAUUCGUAUAGACAUGAAAAAGGUUAGGACCAUCAAGGAGUGGACAACACCAAAGAAUGUUAGUGAACUUCGCUCAUUUUUGGGACUAGCUAACUAUUAUAGAAGGUUUGUAGAAGGGUACUCUUGCAAGACCAUGGCCCUUACAGAGCUAUUAAAAAAGGAGCAUAAAUGGUAUUGGACAAGUGAGUGCCAAAAGACCUUUGAGGGAUUUAAAGAUGCUAUUAUGAAAGAUUUUAUCUUAGCUCUCCCUGAUAUUGAAAAGCCUUUCGAAGUUCAGACGGAUGCAUUUGAUUUUCUUAUUUGGGGAGUGCUUUUACAACAAUGUCACCCAAUAGCAUUUGAAAGUAGGAAGCUAAGUGAAGCUGAGAGAAAAUAUAUAGCCCAAAAAAAAGAGCUCUUGGCUGUAGUUCACUGCCUGAGGGCUUGGCGACAUUAUUUGUUGGGUUCACACUUUGUCGUGAAGACAGACAAUGCGGUCGUUAGCCAUUUCUUCACCCAACCAAGGCUUACAGCGAAACAAGCUAAUGGUAAGAAUUUUUAGUAGAGUUCGACUUUUAUUUUGAGCAUACCGCUGGAAAGACCAAUCAAGUGGCCAAUGCAUUGAGCAGAUGAAUAAAGUUAGCAGCCCUUAGAAGAAUUACCCCAAUGGCGGCUAGCAGAGUCACGACAAAUAUUCGUAAGUUAAUUGAAGAUCAUUUAGGGAAGGACCUGCAGGCCAGUGCCAUCCUGAAGCUAGUUGAAGAAGGGAAGUCUAAGUACUUCUAGUAAGAAAAUGAGGUCUUAUAGACCAAGGGGCCCUGAUUGUUUAUGCCAAGAGUAGGAGGUCUGAGACAAAUGCUAAUGAGGGAAUGUCAUGACACACCAUGAGCUGAACAUUCGAGCUGGUAACGCACUUUGGCUUUAUUGAAACAGGGAUACUAUUGGCCUCAAAUGCGAUAAGACAUGAUGGACUAUACAAAGACUUGCCUCAUUUGCCAACAAGACAAAGUUGAAAAGAAAAAACUUACAGGCAUGCUUGAACCACUACCGAUGCCUACUAGACCGUGGGAAAGCGUUUAUCUCGAUUUCAUUUCAGGCUUUCCCAAGGUUAGUGAUCUUGGAGCUAUUUUGGUGGUGAUUAAUCGUUUCUCUAAGUACGCUACAUUCAUCCCUACUCACAAGUAUUAUACUACGAAAGACACAGCUCGAUUACUAUUUAAACAUGUGGUCAAAUACUGAGACCUCUCUCAAAACAUUGUAAGCGAUAGAGAUCCGAGAUUCACGGAAUCCUUUUGGAGAGAACUUUUCAAGAUAUUGGGGUCUCAACUUAACAUCUCCUCAAGCUACCACCCUCAAACCGAUGGUCAAACGAAACGGUUCAAUAGAUUACUAGAGGAAUACUUAAGGCACUUUGUUCAAGCUAAUUAGAAGAACUGGCAUUCGUUAUUGGAUGUUGCUCAGCUUUGCUUUAAUUCCAACAAAAGCUCUUCCACUAACAAGAGCCCGUUUAAGUUGGUCACCGGACAAUUAUCAAAGUUACCCCAUACUUUCUUAGAGCAAUAUAGAGGGAAGAAUCCGAGAGCCUUCAACCUCGACAAGGAGUGGAAACAAAACACUAAGAUGGCACAAGCUUACCUGGAGAAAGCAUCGAAGCGAAUAAAGAAAUAGGUAGACAAAGGUCAUAAGGCGCAACAAUUUCAAGUUGGUGAUUUGGUUCUUGUUCGACUAGUCCCUGAACAAAUCAGGUUCUUGAGAAAGAGAGAUUGCAGAUUAGUGCACAAAUAUGAGGGUCCAGUGAAGAUCCUUUCUAAGAUGGAGAAUGCUUCAUACAAAAUUGACCCACCAAAAUGGAUGAAGGUGCACUCAGUAUUUCAUGUGAGCAACCUGAAACCUUUUCAUACAGAUCUUAUAGAUGCUAGCCGAAAGGAGCCAACCAAUGCCACCAUCACCAUGAAGCCACCCUCAGAGUGUCGAGUCGAAGAGAUCUUAAUCGACAGGGAAACCAAGGUAUCUCGAAGACUAGUUCAUGAAUACUUAAUGAAGUGAGAGAGAUUAGGACUAGAAAAAACUAGUUGGGAAAAGAAACACGACCUCUGAAGAUUCAAGAGGAAAAUUGAAGAAUUUCAAGCUAACAAGUCGACGAGGACAUCGAUUAGAAUAUGUGAGGUAGGAUGCCAUGAGCCAACUUUGUAUAGGGCCAUGAUCGGGGCUUAGGUUGUCAUGAGCCACCCAUGUAUAGGGUCAUGAUCGGGUAGAUCUCUUGUGCUAGGAAAAGUGUCCCCAUUUUAAAUAUUAUAAUGGUUAGUGGUAGCAUAACUCUAAAAUCUCUAAGGCUCUUUAGGGGAGUGAGCGGGUAACGUACUAUUGGGCUGUCUCACUUAUCGCAAUACGGGUUUAGGCCAUCCGUCAAGGGCUAUCCUCUGGCCCUGGCGAUGGUGGGAAGUCCCGAUAUACUAUCCUCGAUUAUAAUAAAAUUUACCUCCGAUUCGAAUGUUUCGAAUGUUACCUUGAUGUGUUUUUUUUUUGUCGAUAUGAAUGUGCCUUCUUGUGUGUGUUUGAGAUUGAUCUCGAUAUAAAUGUGUUAUUGCGUACGCUUGGGACUAACUGUGACUUAUGAUUAUUUAUUCAAAUAUCGAACUAUUGAGGGCUGAUUUGGGUGGGAGAGUCCAUUCAAAUGUCGCACGAUCUAUUGCUUGUUGAGAGAAAGCCUAGUCCGUGACACCUUCCCAUUUGGCUAGAGGCUUACUUAAAAUGUGAAGGUGUCGAUGCAGCAGGUUUUGACUUGGAUCUUCGAGCAAUCUAUACGCUAUGCAUGCCUUUUGCUUUUAAUGCUAAACUCUAAAUUGAGGCUAUUAAAGAUCUACUUUUCCCGGGUAAAGGAAAGAAUAUGCUUAACACAUGUACCUUGGACUUUGCUUUCUAGAUUGAUCUUUAGCUAAAACAUCCUUUCUCUUGUUCCUAAAAGCGAAUUGGUGUCUUUUGAUUAGCUGUCACAUUUGGUCAAAUGACACAUUUAGAAGGUGUGAAAUUGGCCAAUGUGAAGUAGAAUAGGUAAUUCGAAAUUCAAUAUCAUAAGAGAAGAAGUUGACAUUCGAAAGAAGUAGAAGUUUCAUAAAAUUUUCUUUCUUCAUUAUCGCUUGAUAGUUGAUCGAGAAAGCUCCGCCCAAUAGAGCCUAACCAAGAGUGGACCGAAAUGGUCCCGUGAAGUCGAUCCCCGGAGCCCUAAAAGACUUUAAAAACCUUGAAGAUAGAUAGAACAAUUAUGAACAAUUUCAACGAUUCUAUUCAAAAUUUAGUAGAUUGGUCAAUUUCCUUGAAUCAAUAAAAACUAUCAAUUCUUUCAACUAGAUUAGAAGGGAAAACACAAACUCUUUGAUCUAUAAUCGGAAAGGGGGACUUCCACCAACAAUAGUGAAGGUCGCCCCUAUUAAGUAAGUUCAAAGUUCAAAGAAUGGCUUAAGAAGUGGCACAAGACAGAUUGAAAGCAAAGAGAGUGGGAAAGCUAACCCGUUCAUUGAAUCAGACCUUCGUCUUCAGGCUUCUACGCGAGGAACAUGCUUUUUGACAUCCAGUUUAAGCUAUGCCAAGAGAUUACACUACUUUGAUAAGGUCGGUUCCCUUGGUCAUUCUUCAGGAGAAGUCCCGAAACUGUCAAUUGAUAGGAUCAUUGCUAACCCAUUGGCUUCACGAGAUCGGAUAGCGCAUAAGAGGGCAUUUUCUGAAUGAGAAGAUUCUCUUUCUACACUCUAGACAUAUCCUGCCCCUUCUUUACUUGCCCGCCUCAGAAUAUUCCUUCCGGUGGGACGAAGUCGCAUUGAUUGAAUCGGCUCUGGCCGUCGCCGAAAAAGUGAGGCUUUACUUGACGAGUAGACCUUAGUUACCCGCUUAUUGCUUAUUAAGACCUGCAAGAAGCUGAGUUUCUUUGCUUUCACAGUAGUUGGAAAAAGUCAAAGCAGCAGACCAGUAGUCCCAUUAUCCACCUUUAGAGACAUUUUUGAAGAAGGUUCCGUUUAACACAUCUUGGCCGAGCAGGAAAUAAGUGCUUUGUCGGUUGAAGGUGCUCUCUUCUCUACUCCGUCACAUAGGAUACACUCUCAUAGUAUUCUCUGCAUCUUCUGUCUCGUCUCUUGGCUUUCUGGGAGAUAGUUGAAACCAACCAAACGGGACCAAAAGUAAAGCUAUCUCCCGCUCUAAAAGUAAAAGAGAGACUCCUUUAUUUUUUUAUCGUAAGUCAACUUUUAUUCAGUUUGACUUUGUUUGCCUUUCGGGGUUAUCAGUUGUUGAAUCAAAACUUUCGUCGUCUUGGCCCACACCCCGUUCGUUGGUGAAGUAAGCUAUCUUACGAAAACUAGCUUGUUUCUGUUGGGAAACACUACAGCUUUGAUACUAUUUGUUGGAAAAAUCACAGCUCUGAUACCAUUUGUUGGGCUAAAAGCCUCCAAUCCAAUCACACUAGCGAAAGCGAAAUCAAACAAUAAAUCAAACACAUAAGAGACAACAAUUUAACGUGAUUCGGUUCAACUGACCUACAUCCACGGAUGAGAAACAAGAUCUACUAGUUGUAGAGAAUUACAAACAUACAUCAUAUCAUUAACCUCACUCAACAAUCAAUACUCAUAAGACACUCUCAAUCUCCUUUAGUCCUAUGGAGUAUUCUCAACCCAAACAAACACAAACCCAAACCCUUGUGCACCCUUUCAACAUAACCAAACACAUACCCAUAUGCUCCCAUACAUCAUACCUAUGUGGACCCUCUCAAUCUCCUCAAGUCUACUCAUAAACAAACAUACACACCCAUAAGACGUAGAGCCCCAAUACUCCUAUGGGGUGUCUAUCCCACAAAACCCUACAACUCUCUUACAUCUUUUUCUCAUACCUAACCCUGUAUAGACUUCACCUAUUUAUAACCAUACAAACUUGCCCAUUAAGAAUCUCUCUCCUCUUAGAAUUCUUCUCCUGUAAGUCAAACUUGCCUAUUAAGAAUCCCUUUACUUUUAGAAUUCUUCUCUUGCAAGUCAAACUUACCUAUUAAGAAUCCUUUUUCUCUUGGAAUUCUUUUUUUGCAAGUAUUAUUGUCCAUCAAGUAAUAUCUGACAAAUCUCAAACAAAUCUCAAAUAAAUCUCUAACAAAUCUCAAACAAAUCUCUUAUGAGAUUUGAGUCAAUAUUCCCAACAGCUUCUAGUCCCCCGCCUCACUUCUCUUUAUAAGGCCCUUUGUCCCACUUCGGUAGAUAUUAUGUCCGACCAAAACUACUUGUGAGGAGCCGCAAAGUACCACCAUGUAGCUAGGGGGUAUGGGUCUCGGUACCGGUCCUCGGUGUAUAGCUGAUGCGGUGGGGUUAAAGAGGCUACGCUAUUGAGAAAGCUUAAGAUUCAGCAGGGGGGGCUGUAUCGUGGAAGUAAUGGCCUUGAUCUUUCAACUCUUCCAGGUAUGAAACAGGUCAUAAAGCAAGGGCUGCUUCAUCCGCCUUGAAAGAAGUCUUGUCUGAAACAACGGGCCCUUGUUCUACCAACCCAGUUUUUGUUUAAAAAAGAUAUCAUGCCGUUUCUCUGGAACCAACAACGGAUCUAUUUUCUCGAGAUAGCAUUUACCGAAGAAGGUUGUCUCAAAGCCAUAAUCUACCUCCAAAAAAAUUGGCAUAGACAUCUGAAUAAACAAAAGCUUCAGGCUUGACGCAGGCCUAAGCGGACUCAGCUAAAAUGCUAAAUGAAAAGUCAUAACUAACAGAAUAGGAGCACUCAUGAAACCUUGGAUGGUCAUCAGGUAUAAAAAGAAAAAUUCAGAAUUAAUAGAAUUGGAGGGAGUAGAAUUUACUGCUAGUAGAACAAAAGCCAGGAAAGAGGGUUGGAUGGAUAUUCGGGGGACCCAUGGUUUAAGUGUUUAAACUCCGAUCGUAUGUAAGGGUCUUUGCCUAUUCUAUGAAUUCACAUAAAAGGAAGACCUGACUAAGCAAGUUUCUGGGUUAUUUCAGAAGACAAAACCAAAGUCGAGGAAGGAGAAUCAUACGAGUCCUCCUUAAUUCACAAAGCCUAAAGUUGGCGUUAUAAUAUCUAUUUUAUGAAAAAAUAAAUAUAAAGCCGAGAUUGACUCUUUCUUAUCAACGAAAUCAUUAGAACGGUAGGCCCGGUGUCAUGAGCCAACACUUUUGUAUAGGAUCAUGAUCAGGUUUAAGUAGUCAUGUGCCACCCAUAUAUAGGGCCAUGAUCGGGUAGAAGUGCCAAAGCGAAGGAUAGGAUCUUUAGGCUAGGAAAAAUAUCCCCAUUUCAAACAUUAUAACGGUUAGUGAUAGCAUAGCUAUAAAAUCUCAUUUGUUCUUUAAGGGGAGUGAGCAGUUAGCAUACUAUUAGGCUAUCUCAUUGGUUAAAGUACGAACGUAAGCCACCCGUCAAGGGUUGCCCCCUGGCCUCGACGAUGGUGUGAAGUCUCGAUGUACUAUUCUUGAUAAUAAUAAAAUACAUCUUUUAUUCGAAAGUCCCGAGUGUUACCUCGAUGUGUUUUUCUUUCUCGAUAUGAAUAUGUCUUCUUGUGUAUGCUUGAUAUUAACUAUGACUUAUGGUUGCUUGUUCAGAUAUCAAGCUAUUGUUGGUUGACUUAGGUGGAAGCGUCCAUUCAAGUGCCGCACGAUCUAUCGCUUGUUGAGAGAAAGCUUAGCCUAUGACACGUGGUAUCAAAGCACAGUGUGAAGUGCUAAAGAAUUGAGAAAAUGGCCACGAAUGAUGGAUUCAACCAUCAACAGAGAAUUGAAGAGCUUGAAGCUGCGGUGGCCACUUUGAAAGCUCAUGUGCUUACAACCGAUCGUCUGAGGGAGAUUGAGAUGACCUAGUGAGAGUUGUCCGAUACUCUACAUAGCUUGAGUGAAGAGGCUAAAGAUGCCUUGAAUGUCCUCCAAAAAAAGUUUGAGGAGCUUAGGGCCCAAGUAGGCGUCUUAUAGGUAGCGGUGGCUAGGUCGAGUUCUAGCUCGGGGGAAAAAGGAAAAAAGGCCAAAAGGCCAAAUCUCCGAUGCUAUGAGGGGAGCAAGAGAUGCCAAAGAGCUUGAAAACUUUUUGUUUGACAUAGAGCAAGACUUUCGAGCCGUGCGUACGAAAUCAGAGGAAGACAAGGUGGCAAUGGCAUCAAUGUACCUUGCGGGGGAUGCCAAGCUUUGGUGGCGUUCAAAAUUUGUAAAUAAUGAAUGCCCUAUCAAAACUUAGAUGGACCUGAAGCAGGAAUUAAAAAAUCAGUUCUUUUAUGAGAACGUAAAAUAUAUGGUCCGAAAGAAACUUUGAGAGUUGGUGCAAACGAGAACAGUGCAAGAGUUUGUAAGGAGCUUUUUUACCCUAAUGUUGGACAUUAGAUACAUGUUUGAAAAGGAUAAAAUGUUUUAUUUUCUUGAGGGCCUUAAACCUUGGGCCAAGACAGAACUUAAAAGGCAAAAGGUGCAAGAUGUAGCCACGACCAUGGCUGCAGCCGAAUGCCUUCAUGAUUACAAUGAUGGCUCCUCAAAAUGAAAAAAUUCUCCAUUAGAUGGUAGUAACUCCAUCUUUAGGAGUGGGGGAAAGAUGGCCAAAGUGGACUAAACCUUCAGUGGGGGAUAAGAUAAAAGGCCCUUUGGUCGAGACACCACCCAACCCAGAGCAAACCAUGCAACAAGUUUCAGGCCUAGGCAACCGUUAGCUUGUUUCUUAUGCAAGGGGUCGUAUCGAAUGGCUGAGUGCCCUCAUAGAGGGGCCCUUAAUGCCUUGAGAGCCUCGUCUCAAGAUUUCAUAAAAGCACCUUAGAUAGUCGAAUAGAUUGAAAAGGAACCGGCCAGGAUGGGCUCGAUGCGAUUUUUAAAUACCCUCUGUACCCAGCUUAACAUGGUAAAGAAAGAAUCGAGUAGAAGCUUGAUGUAUGAGGACCUAAUACUCAAUGAGAAAACCACAAGGGCUAUAGUUGAUAUGGGUGCAAUCCAUACCUUCAUUACACCUGAGAAAGCAAAAAGGUGUGGUCAAGGUGAAUAAGGACUACGGAUAAAUGAAAGUGGUCAACUCACCAGCCUUCGCAAUCAGUGGAAGCUCCAAGAAUGUGUGACCAAGUUGGGGCCAUGGGAAGGAAAGGUAGACUUCACUGUUUGCCCCAUGAAUGACUUUGAUAUUGUCUUCAGAUUGGACUUCAUGAUGUUGGCUCAAGCGAUACCAAUCCCCGUUGCUAGUUGUCUGUUGUUCUUAGGGGAGCAACCCUGUGUGGUGCUAACCACAAUCUUGUCAAAAAAUAGAAAGAAAAUGAUCUCAACACUAUAAUUCAAGAAAAGGAUAAAGAGAGGGGAGCUCUCUUAUGUGGUGAUGUCGAUCUACAAGGAUAGGAUAGAGUUAGAUCCAAUACUCGAUGGGGUGGAAAGGGAGUUAGAAAAGUUUAAGAAUAUGAUGCCAGAACAAUUGCCUAAGGUUUUACCUCUUCGAAGAUCGGUUAACCAUGAAAUUGAACUUCUCCUAGGGGUCAAACCCCUUGUUAAGGCCCCAUAUCGCAUGGCUCCACCAGAAUUGGCUGAACUAAGGAAACAAUUGGAUGAACUCUUACAGGCUGAGUUCAUUAGGUCAUUAAAAGCACCUUUUAGAGCACCCAUGCUAUUUCAGAAGAAGCAUGAUGGAAGCCUACGAUUAUAUGUCGACUACAAAUUCCUAAACAAGGUCACCAUGAGAAAUAAGUUCUUGAUUUCCCUUAUUGUUGAUUUGUUUGAUCAACUGAGUUGGACCAAAUACUUUUUCAAAUUAGACCUGAGGUCUGGCUAUCAUCAAGUCAGAAUUAUGAAAGGAGAUGAACCGAAAACUACUUGUGUAACCCGGUAUGGCGCAUUUGAAUUUCUUGUUAUGCCUUUUGGACUAACCAAUACUCCCAUCACAUUUUGUAUCUUGAUAAAUCAGGUGUUCCAUGAUUAUCUUGACAAAUUCAUGGUGAUUUUUUGGAUAACAUAGUGGUCUAUAGCUCCAUUUUGGAAGAACAUCAAGAACACUUACGCCUAGUGCUUCAAAGAUUACAAGACCACCAGUUAUAGGUGAAAAGAGAGAAAUGUGCCUUUGUUCAGACCUAAAUCCAUUUUCUAAGUCACAUUGUCGAACAAGGCCACAUUUGAAUGGAUAUGAAAAAGGUUAAAGCCAUCAAGAAGUGGAUAACACCCAAGAAUGUUAGUGAGCUUCGCUCGUUUUUAGGAUUGACCAACUAUUACAAAAAAUUUGUAGAAGGGUACUAUCGUAGAACUACAGCCCUCACAGAACUAUUGAAAAUAAAGCAUAAAUGGUGUUGGACGAGCGAAUGUCAAGAGGUAUUUGAAGGACUGAAGGAAGCCAUUAUGAAAGAUCCUAUCUUGGCCCUCCCUGACAUCGACAACCCUUUAAAGUCCAAAUAGAUGCUUCUGACUUCGCUAUUGGAGGAGUUCUCCUACAAGCGUGACACCCAAUAGUAUUUGAAAGUGGAAAGCUAAGUGAAGUUGAGAGAAAAUAUACGGCCCAAUAGAAAGAACUCCUAGCAGUAAUUCACUGUUUGAGAACUUGACGACAUUAUUUGUUGGGCUCACACUUUGUAGUGAAGAUAGACAAUGCGGUAGUUAGUCACUUUUUCACCCAACCAAGGCUCACAGCGAAGCAAGCUCGAUGGUAAGAAUUUUUAGUUGAGUUUGAUUUUUGCUUUGAGAACACACUGCGGGAACAACCAAUCAAGUGGUUGAUGCAUUGAGCCGACGAGUAGAAUUAGCAACCCUGAGAAAAAUUACCCCAAUGACAGCUAGCAAAGUUACAACAGACAUUCGUAAGUUAAUUGAAAAGAAUUUAAGAAAAGACCCACAGGUCGGUGCCAUUCUAAAGUUAGUUGAAGAAAGAAAGUCGAAGUACUUUUGGCAGGAGAAUAUGGCCUUAUGGACAAAGGACCUUUGAUUGUUUGUGCCAAAAGCAGGAGGUCUGAGACAAAUGCUGAUUAAAAAAGGUCACGACACACCAUGGGCAGGUCACCCAGGUUGGCAAUGUACUUUUACUCUAUUAAAACAAGGCUACUAUUGGCCUCGCAUGCGACAAGAUGUUAUGGACUACAACAAGACGUGUCUUAUUUACCAACAGGAUAAAGUUGAAAAGAAUAAACUAGCAGGCUUGCUCGAACCAUUACCGGUGCCCACCCAAUUGUGAGAAAGCAUCUCUCUUAAUUUCAUAUCGAGUCUUCCCAAAGUGGGUGAUCUUGGGUCUAUCUUGGUGGUUAUUGACCAUUUCUCGAAGUAUGUUACAUUCAUUCACGCCCUUAAGUUUUGUAUUGCGAAAGAUACAGCUCGGCUAAUGUUUAAACAUGUGAUCAACUAUUGGGGCCUUCCCUAAAACAUUGUCAGUGACACAGAUCCAAGAUUCACGGGGUCAUUUUGGAAAGAACUUUUCAAGAUUUUGGGAUCUCAACUUAACAUUUCUUCAAGCUACCACCCCUAGACAGAUGGACAAACUGAACGGUUCAAUGGACUAUUGGAAGAGUACUUAAGGCACUUUGUUCAAGCUAAUCAGAAUAACUAGCCUUCGUUACUAGACAUUACCCAACUCUGUUUCAAUUUCAAUAAGAGCUUUUCCACCAACAAAAGUCCGUUCGAAGUGGUCACGGGACAACUACCAAGACUACCCCAUAGCUCUUUUAAGCAAUAUGGAGGAAAGAAUCCUCGAGCCUUCAACCUCAGUAAAGAAUAGAAAUAGAACACAGGGAUUGUACGAGCCUACAUAGAAAAGACAUCCUAGUGCAUGAAGAAGUGGGCAGACAAAGGUCGGAGAGCACAACAAUUCCAAGUUGGUGAUCUCGUUCUAGUCAGAUUAGUGCCUGAACAAACUAGGUUCCUGAAGAAGCAAGACCGUAGAUUGGUGCGAAAGUAUGAAGGCCUAGUGAAGAUCAUUACCAAGGUGGGAAAUGCUGCCUACAAAAUAAACCCAUCGAAAUGGAUGAAAGUACACCCAGUAUUCCAUGUGAGCAACUUGAAACCUUUUCAUGCAGAUCCAAGAGAUGCAAGUCACAAAGAGUCAACCAGGGUUGCCAUCACCAUGAAGCCACCAUCAGAGCGCCACGUUGAAGAGAUCCUAGCCGACAUAGUAUCCAGAGCAUUAAAAAGAUUAGUUCACAAAUAUUAAGUGAAAUGGGAGGGCUUAGGACCAGAAGAAGCUAGCUGGGAGAUAGAGCACGACCUUCGGGUAUUCAAGAGGAAGAUUGAAGAAUUUCAAGCCAACAAAUCGAUGAAGUCAUCGAUAGAAUAGGUGGGGGAAGAUGUCAUGAGCCAACGCUUUUAUAUAGGGCCAUGACUGGGUUUAGGUAGUCAUGUGCCACCCAUGUAUAGGGCCAUGACCAGGUAGAGGUGCCAAAGGGAAGGAUAAACCCCUUAGGCUAAAAAAAGUGUCUCAAUUUCAAACAUUAUAAUGGUUAGUGGUAGCAUAGCUAUAAAAUCUCAUUUGCUCUUUAGGGGGUUGAGCAGUCAGCAUACUAUUGGGCUGUCUCAUUGGUUAAGAUACAAAAGUAGGCCACUGGUCAAGGGCUACCCCCUGGCCCCAACGAUGGUGUGAAGUCUCAAUGUAUUAUUCCCGAUAAUAAUAAAAUACAUCUUUUAUUCGAAAGUCUCGAGUGUUACCCCGAUGUAUUUUUCUUUCUCUCGAUAUGAAUAUGUCUUCUUGUGUAUGCUUGAGAUUAACUAUGGCUUAUAGUUACUUGUUCAGAUAUCGAGUUAUUGUUGGUUGACUUGGGUGGGAAUGUUCAUUCAAGUGUCGUACGAUCUAUCACUUAUUAAGAGAAAGCUUAGCCCGUGACACCCGACCUGCUGACCCUAAAGACACGAGCUCAACAAUUUAAAUGCGUAGGAGCAUCAACCAUUUGUCGAAUCGAAAGCUUCGCCUACGACGUAACUCAGCGCGGUAAGCUCUAUUUUCCUGGCGCUUGUUUAAGGCGGUACGGUAUCUCAAUACUUUUUUUUCUAACUAAUAAAAUUGAAAAUAACAUCGGCUAGUGAGCAAACGAGCUUCGGAAUUGGAUCAAAGCCAAGAACCGAGGUCUGGAGUGUCCGGAUCAGACUAAGAAAAGAAGAAAGGUAAGGUGUUCGCGAUUUCGAAGAAGUAGCAUGUGCUCCGUUCUAGGCCGGCUCGCUUAGUCUUCAAUACAUCGUCAAUGGCUGCUAACGCCGCGACGAGGGCGCGACGGGUUGCCUUCGGAGCUAAAUAGAAAAAUGAUGUGCGCUAACCUUCCAACGGUCUAUCUGACUUCUGAAAAGAUGCCAUUUCACACCUCUAUGAUUGAUUAUGAAAUCAUCAUUCGGAUUUAGUAAUGUGAUCUUCAACCGGGUCAAUUAAGGCGGCUAGAUCGACCCACUCUAACUACAGCUAAACUUAAUUACAUAAAGUAAAAUAUAGUAAAGCCCCUUGUACCCAUAUAAGUGAAAAACCAUUACAUUGGAAAAUGACAGCUUCGGGAGGAUAGCGAAGCCUGCCUUAGGCUAGCGACGUGUUUCCGGGUAAGAAAAAGCGCGGGCGGGUACCUCCCUGACCCACUGAAUACAACAAAAUAAAGGGGAAGGACGUAACAUAGAAGAAGUAGGCUGAUCCAGAUCCAGAUAAGCAUCCUUUUGCCUUUAAUGUUUGGUAGGAGCAGCUGAGCAUAUGCUAGAAUUAGAAUCACGCGUAAUGAAGCGCUUGUCUUACUUAUCUAAAACAUACAAAAACCCUGCUACAAAUGAGCGGCAUAUGAACGGAACGAGACCCUUCGAAAGACGAGACUCAGAUCGGGGAUCAAAAAGCCCUUUCUUUACGUACUAUUCAUUUUCUGAUUUUGAAGAUUAUUUUUAUUCUGCAGGUGCAGAUUCGGCGUCGGCCUAGGCUUCUUUAUACCUUGGAUUUGGUACUAUAGCCUAUGCUUUAGGAACAGGCUCAGGCCACAUAGCUUAAGGUGGAUCGGAUCCUACAUACUUUUCACCUUUUCACACAGACAGACGAAAAAUUUGAAAACAAAUCAUCAACUUCAACUGCGGAAUGCCCCGGAUCACGGGUAUUCUUAUUGUGGUUAUAGACCCCAUAUUGGCUUGGCUACUGGAAUCAUUUAUUCCCCUCUUUUCUAGCUUCAGAUUUGGCUUAAGCUUCGGAUUCUUAACUUAAGAUUAGGGGGGAACAGGAGCUUUUGGUUUUGAUGCUACAGUGGUGAGUUUACACCCACCGAAGCGAGUGUGACAAACCAAGUUUUGGCUUUAGAAAGUGCUCCAAUGUUUAAAGCGUAAGACGAAUCUGAUAAAAAUAGGUAGAGACAGAACAAGGAGCAGGGCUAGACCACUAUAGGACAAGAUAAAAAGUAGCCUUUUGUCUCCGGGUGGAACCAACGAUUCGUUCUAUUUGACGAAAGAAGGCUUGUGGCUGAAGGUUCAUGGGACCUUACAUUGCUGAAACUGGACGGACGACUGGACCUUAACCUUUGAAGACGAGAAUUCGAAUUAUUAUAGAAGUAAAUAAGGUUUUCGAUCACUUCAAAUGGCAUAUUUAUUCGUUUUUUAAAAGUUCUAAUGAGACUUCUUUGUAUUUGCUUUUUUUCUUAGUUCUGAGCCUGGCUUAUGGCUGCUUCUUUUUUCCAACAAAAGAAAUAGAAAACCCCAACGACAAAGGAACGGGCAUUUUCGGUUAUUAUGCAUCGUGGCCUGUCUUUGCCCUCACUCACCAUUAUGUGGUGUGGUGGUUGGCCAAAUAGGUGUACCCAGAUACUCUAUUAGGUAUGCAGUACUCGGUGAUGAUAUUAUUACAGCUGAUGAGUCUGUAGCUAAAGUCUAUAAGCUAAUUUUAUAAGAUUUUGGGGUCACGAUCUCGACCCAAAAAUCGUUGAUCUUCGUUCAGCCGAGUUUGCUAAGCGAUUCCGAGUGAGAGGGUUUUUUGUGGACCUCAAUUCUAUUUCAAUUGUUAAUCUUGUGAAUAACCAUCACUUCUGCCUUGUAAUCGCCUUACAUUUAAAAAUAUUCAAUCAAUCAAAAGAUAAAAAAGAAAAAAAAAGACCAAGACAAUACGUACCUGAAUCUACACAGUAGGCAAAAAAAAGGCUCGGGACGAAAUCGAAUGAUUACCGCGCUCCGUCUCCGUGGAGCUCAAGACUAGUAGUGAUACCUGAUUGAUCGAUGCGUAGGAAGAUGACCCAUGCCAUUGGUUUUAGCUUCUGAUGCGAAUAGGCAAAUGGAAUCGAUAAACAAUUGCUACAUACGUUAUGUUAUGGAGCUCUGAUACCCCCAGUGUACUUAUUAACUGGUGGGAAUUUUAGUCUAACCGACCAGUGAAGCAGGUAUGGGGUACCUGAAUUCCUUUAUAUAUGAUAUUUCUGUUUAUGUCAGAGGUGCCCAAAGCUAGAAGCAAGAUUUCGAGUCGAAUAUUCAAAGCUUUUAAGGGCUUACCUGCUUUCUGUUCGAGAGUAGGAAUCGACUCUAAGAGCAGAGUCUAAGAGCAGAGUCCAACUAGAAGAGUGAAAACAACUAUAAGAUUAAGAUGGCACUGCAACUAGCCUAGCUUUGACUUUAUUUCAAGUCAGAAUGUUCUCCCGCUCGAAGAAUGUGUUCCUACCAAAAUAGUGGUUGAAGAAAGGACUGCUUUGCCCGCUGUUCCAGUAUUUGCUUGACCCCUAUCUAUCUAGAAUAAAUAGUCAGACCAGACUGGCUAGAAGCUUCCGGAGAAGAGUCACUCUACACUCUAAGAGUAAGCGGAAAGCCGCCCAAAAAUAGAAUAGUCGGAAGAAGCCUCUCGAAUCGGAACGGAAGUAAGCGCAGAGAUGGCACCACCGGUUUAGUUGAAGACUUCGCUUCUUUUUUUUAGGCUGAUUUCAUUUGGAAGCGUUGACAUUUUACUUUCGGGGAGCCGAUUUACUGGCGUACACCCUUUUGGGGAAACUUGAACAGGGCAAGAAAUCGAGAGGAAUUUUUCUUUUUUUUGUAUUUGCCUUCUCCGGCGUUCACUUCUAAAAAGGCAUUUUCUUAUAAAAGAAAGGAGGGGCCCAAUUUAAACUAGAGAUUCUGUCGGUUGAGGCCUGUUGACCAACUUGAAACUCUAUUGACGAUGAGAUUAGGCCUUUUAAGAAGCCUAGAGUAGAAUAGUCAGUGAGAGCUGAAAUUAGUCCUUUUUUUUCUUGUUUGCCUGUGAAUUUUACCGUUCUGGGAUAGCUAUAAGACUUCUAGUAGAAUGUAGAAUGGGAGGCCUAGAGGGGAAUAUAACAUCUUACUUUUUUUGAGACUUUGAUUACGAAUGCACCCCGGGGACACUAUCCUGAAGGGGAUGAUUCGCAAGAGCUUUCUAGUCAGUAUGGAUGUUCCCUUGUCUUUCUUUAUUGUCUUUCUUUGAGGGCCUUAACUAAAACUACUGGGAGAGGAAACUGAGCUCCGAAGCUUCCCUUAAAACCCUUUCUGUUUUAGAAAAGCUUCUUCCUUUUUGUAGCUAGUAUAUUACCUCCAUAAGAGGAAAGGCGGGGGAAACUGGGUUUGAGUUCCUUUCUUUGGGGGCUUUGCCGCCCGUUCCUAGACCUGAAGGGUCAACCUAGCUGGAAGAAUAGUAAUGAAAAUAGUGAAAACCAGAAGAUUAAGGCCCUUAAGCCUAGAGAGAAGCCUAUCUUUUAACGGAAAAGAAAAGAGUUUUUCUACCCUUUCUUUCUAUCUGAAUAGCCAGCUUCGGAUGUCGCUGGUCUUUUCUUGAAAUAGUAAGAUGCCACUGAUCCUUACAUUCUGGAAGGGGUAACCUAGAGGAAGAAGCUCAACUGGAAGGUUUGACCCACGAUUAUAGGAUGAAUACUAUGGAGAAUAGUAAACAGCCUAGCGUAGCGGCCAAGGAGCCUUUACUUUACAAUAAAAGAGUAACCGUAAGCUUGGGUGUCAUUGGUCUGUCUUUAGAUAAAUAUUAAAUGAUUGAAAUAGUCAGCUUCGUAAGCUUGUGAUAUCAGAAGUCAAGCUUGUCUUUCUUUGUUUGCUUUCUUUCUGUAUAUGGCAAAACCUAUAUAGAUUUCCUAUCACUUACUGGAUCUUCUGUCUGUAAGCAUUCCUUGUGUUACUAAUAGUCUAUAAAUUAUCCCGAAGAGGGGUGUUCUAGAAUGCCUAGAGAGAGGAAUCCUAGUUCUAGGCUUAUUCUAUUUUUUCUUCCCAUUCGUAGAGUCAGCCUAGUAAGCUUUUCUUUUUUUUUUCUCCCCUUCGCUUUCAGUAGGAGAUGGGGAUGGCGCAGUUUCUUCCCUCGAGAGAAGGAAACUAGGCUUCAAACAAAACAAAACAAGUAUUCAGGAUGCGGAGAAUCUUGCUUUAUAAGCUUGCCGCUUAGCUUAGUUGGGGGUCUUCAUGUCAAUGUCGAAAAAGAAGCUUCACUUAUCUUUCUAGCAGCCACAGAGACAAAACAAAGAGAAUGAGAUUCGGACUGGACUGGGAAAACUCAUUGUCACCGAAUCCUCUGAUUAUUUGAGUGGAAAGUUGCUGGAGCUUCACGAAAGGAAUCUUAUGUUGUCAGGGCAAAGAGCUUAGCUUAGAAUACAUGGAUACACGGGUACUGGUUCUCGAACGGACUCUGCAGGAUUAGGAAUUGGCUGUGGAAGCACUAUUUAUUAUUCAUUGAACUUAAUAAAUGAUCAGAGUUGUAUAGUGUUGCACUGCUACCACCUGCCCCAUGCAUAAGGGCUUAUCCUAAUCGGGGGCCUGGAACGGCAAUGACUGAACCACGCCUUAUGACGAAAGGGGAGAGAGUCCGAAGGGGAAGGUGAAUGCAGUUAAGGACUCCUCCACUGAAUUAUGGCAUAAGCGGCUUUCCCACAUGAGCGAUAUGUAACUCUUAUGGUUGUAUUCUUUCUCUUUCUGCUACUGUUCGAACGAACCUAGCUUCUUUUUCUCCUUCUGUAGCUUCUCCGUCUUUUCUUUCCAAACUGCCCUACAACAAACCAAGCGAAAUACCUAUUCUGCACCCUGAGCCCUUUCCUACCUUCGUCUCAAGCAAAAAUUAAGACUUCUGGUCCUAGUGAUGUCCAAAACAUGUCUUAGAAAAAGCUUUGAGAAUUCUUGGUACCCAAACACAUGGGAUUGUCUGUCUCUACACCCGGGGAAUAACCAACCGAAAGGAAUUUGUGAAGCACGUCAAGUCUGACGGAAAGUCUACUGCACAUGAUUCGACUCACCAUUAUAUGUCCUUCUUUUUCGCAAUUUCUAAGUUAAGAGUUCGUGUUCAGAAGACAUGGUAAAAGCUCGGGGUUUCAUCCUGCCUAAUCGUUUAUCUGAAGGAAGGCUAACUCGUCUGAUACAAGUCACUCAAAGUCACAUGCUUCAAACAAAUAAUUCGUUCUCUAACCGAUAAGAGCUGACUUUUUUCUUUCAAAUCGCUUGUUUUUAAGACACCCGAGCCCUCUAUCGUCUCGAGUUUAUGUGGUGGCUAUUAGUAGUGAUCUGGGACUAGGCCAAGGAUGGAUGGCGGUAUGAGAUAUACUAGGAAGACAAAUGAACCAAACCGGAUAAUUGGCUGAACCCUUCAAUCCUAUGAUGACAACCUUCGGAGUAGCGCUUGCAUGAACACAAGUUAAGGUAGCAUUCUCAGCUUAUUAAUAUAGUCGCUACUUCUCGAAGAGCAUAUACGGACAGUCUCCUAACUACGUGGAUAUUAACGAUUAAUCUCGCUAUCUUAUCGGUAUAGGACAAAGCUUAAAGUCAAUAAGUCAAUAAUAAGACAUCUUCUUAGUAAGGCCUCGGCUAACUUUUUUUUCUUAACCACCUCAUUCCUCGUACCCUUAAACAAUGGGAGUUAUGCCCUAAUCCCCACGCCCGAUAGCACAUGGGGAGAAUGAUUGGACCUAAACCUUUAAUUUAAAUAGGCUUGCCUCUUUUUCGGACUAGCUCGCAAAACCUAGACUCCUAUGGCUCGCUUGGAAAACGUUCGUACAUUGCUAACCUCUUAUUCUCCUCCUAUCCCCGAGCUCUUCUUGAAUCGAGGAGUUAAAGCUCAGCUAGGACAGUUCCUCUCUCCGAUGGAUAAGCGGGGAAUAGUAUUUGAUACGAUUUCUUAUCAGCCUUUCCUAAUCGGAGAGAGAACCAAUCUGACCGGGGGGGGGGGUUAUUUCUUCGUCCCAUCACUGGCAGUUGUGGUUCAGCCACCAAUAUCGGCGCGAGAGACAGGGAAAAAGAGAAGGUCGGUCCCGUACCCGAACAAAGGCUAGACCGAAGGUCCCGUCCCAUGGGUUAGGUGCUUAGCUGAAGGUGGAAGUCCAAAGCAACAUAAGAUAGAAGGCGAAGCCGAGGCAAGAGCAAGGGUUGAAAGACAAGAGAGAAGAAUUCUAUAUCCCUUAUUUGAUUUGUAGAUUAGAGUAUAUUCUUUAUAUCAAUGGUUGGUCGGUUUAGCCAUUGCUCCACUCAUCACAUCCAUGGCUAGUAGGUGCGAUUCAACCAUCCGUCACUCGUGGCGCAUUCGAGCUAAGAAUCCUCUCCUCGAUCGCUUUCCUUUGACUUGCAAUGAGGAAUAACAUCAAAACACAUUGGCGGCUGGUGCACGAACUCGUUGGUUUGGAUGCCUUAUCGAUGACCUGAGUGAGCAGAUAGGAUAAAUAAAAAUAAAUUGAUUUUCUUUAUUUGCGUCUCUUGAUUCAGUGUCUGCAUACUACGUUUAUGCGCCUGCCUAAGCAUAUUCUUUUCUUUUUCAUGACCCCGUCACACAGCUUAGGGCCCGCUGCUCCUCCUCUAGCGAGAACAGGGAUCGAAAAGGGGGCCGCCCUAGAAAGAUAGCCUCAUGGGUGUUUGGACGUAUGGGUUAGUACAGUUUUGGAAAGCAAACAGUACUCCGAUUGCCUAGUAGAUAAUGGAAAAUAGUACUACUCUACUCUGAUUGAGCUCACUUUAUUUUAUUCUAGUAUAAUAUAGAAUAAUAAGAAUAAGAAUAGGUCUCUGUCGAGCCUUAUUUAGACGCAAGCCUCCCCUAUCUAGUCGACCUAAUUACCGCAUCGCCUUACCUUCUCGAUCGCCAUCGCAAGGUUUCAAAGCUUCUAUGCAAAAAGAGUGUCCGCCACUAUUGGGAACAUCAAUAAGGGCACCUGUCCUUUUGCAUAUAGCACUCCAUCCUCUCCCUUGGGAAAUGCCAUCGAUCAAUUGAAGAAUGAUGCGAGCAGCACAACUCUUUCUUUCCUUUUUUUCUCUGUUGGAUUGGAGAAAGUAUUGGUUUCAGUUUCUUUGGAAGAAUUGAAUUCCUGUAAUAGACAUCGUUGGCCAUCCAUUUUCUCUCAUUCAAGCCAUGCCAGCAAAGGACUGAGGUAGGAGGUAGGAGACGAUAAAGGUAAAGAUAAGGGGUUGGUGUGUAACAGAGCUUUUCUAUCGAAGACUUAGUCUCGGCCAGAGGUUAGUUUGUUUUAUGGGCAUUUUUGUUUCCAUUUUGCUUAUGCGGUUAAGAAAAAGCACUCUUUUUGCUUCUUCGUCAAGCGUUUGAGCAGCUCUUUUUUCAGAAGAAGGAAGUGAUAUAUAUAAUCCGGGCUCUUCACCGUCAUAGUAUUCUUGGUUUAUCAAACCUUCAUCUUUCGCCCCCCCGGUUCGUACUGCUUCGUUUUAGGAGCGAGGUUGAGAGGUUUUUUGCCUCCUUAAAAAGAGGAAGGGAGGAUUGUCAUCUAAUCGUUGUAAUAAAUAAAUGGAUAACUCGAAAGUAACUCGUCAUGAGUCGAUCAGUAUAAAAAAAAAUUCGCAUCCUACUAGAUUCAAGUUCUCGCCUCAGGUGCGAUAGUUCGUAAGGCGGGUCUUACUAAUUCUUACCGAAACCUUAUUUGACUUUUGGGCCAAUCAUCGCCUUAACACUUCUUGUGCAUAUGCUCCGACGGAUAUAACGGAUCUAUCACGUCCUUGCAUGAGACUUUUUGAAUAGCUCCUACCCCAUUUAUUUGUUCAGCUAGUCUGAUCUUAGUGGAUCCCACCAACGGCUUCUUGUAGCCAACACUCUACAUACAUGUCUUUUGGUCAAUUGUUGAAACGAGCUAUGCAUCUUAUUGAUACUGCAUAAACGCUUAAACAGCUUCGACAGGAGCAAUAGCAGAAAGCAGAAACCGAAUUGUGAAGGACCUGUUCAAUGGAUGUGGGCAUUGGAUGUCCUUUAAAGAGGGAAGCAGUUACCAGGCUCUGCCCCGGUUGUUUUAUUUUAACCAAUAUAAUAAUACUUGAAUUGCGUAAAACAAACAUGAUCCUACCUUAGCCAGGUAUUGGAUUUGUGCAUGAAGUCUAUUAGCUUCUUGAAGGAAGACCAGGAUAGCAGACUAUGAAUACAGAGAUAUUUGUAGCUAGAGCUAGCUCUUUCACUAAGACGACCUUUCCCUUCGUUUAAAUCCAAUGGUUCAUUAAGGAUUUAAAAAACCUAACAAUCCAAUGGAAAGAGAAAGUGAACGAAAUUAUCAAAAAAUCCCAUGAGGCUAAGCGGAACAGGGUGGUGGGGGAUCUUUCAAUCCUGCCAUAAAGGGCUUAAUCGGCAUACAAGUGAGACAAUUUACUUCGCUCAGUGGGUUGGGAUCUAUCUCUUUCCUGAAUUUGUUCUUUUUCUGAUGUAUGCCCCACAAGGGGAGAUGUCAAUCUACAGAUAGUUAAGGUGCCAAAGUCGGUAAUCAACGUUCCUUUCUUUCUGGGUCGACCAGGUGGUUGAAUCCUUGUGAUUGAACUCUUGCAUCGUAGGUCUGGGGGUACUUUAUUCUUGUAUCUCUUGUUUAAGAGAGAGCCUUUUUCAAGGAAAAGCUAGUAAAUCAGCCUUAGAUUCUUCUUUCUUCUCCCUCACUGCUGAUUCAAUAGCUGCAGUAUCAAUUAAAUGGUGGAAAUCUCACUUGGAUGCUCACUGUAGCCAAUAAUGCCCAUGCCCAUGCUUAGAUGAUAACUGUGCAAAACCUAUACGGAGGGAACUGAAUUCCUAGUUAGAGUAGUUUCAUUAGGAACGAAACUUUUAAUAUAAGAAGAAGAUUGCGUAGCCAUCAUACGGUCGGGGGAAGACUAUCACUGACUUAGCUUUUUUACACUUACCUUUCUUCUGGUCUCACGAAUUGGAUUUGAAGCUACUUCUUAUUGAAGAUUGGAUCGAGCUGGAAAGCAUUCUGGCAGCUACAAUCUACUACAUAAGGUGGCAGCAAAUAGAAUUGUGGUGGAAGAAGCUAUGCUACCCCUGACUCUCAACCUGGAACAACAACCAUGGCAUUCUCUGCAUCAACUAUGUCAAUGGCUUGACUUCCCCUUCUUGCUAACAUCGGUUAUUCCGAAACAACCUCUGCUCGUACAUUCAAAAUAGUCUUCCUCCAAGAGCGAAAAUAGUUAUUCUUGUUGCCCAUAUUCCUUCAACAACAAUAGAUGCGGAUGAAAUAGCCGCAUUCGCUUAUGCUUAUUCGAUUCGGCCUAGCCUAUAUCUAAGUGAAUUUGUGAUAAAAUCUCUUCCUACUCGGGUCAGGCUUAACCGGAUAAAGGUUGAACUAAUUGCGUAAUAAGCUAGAGGCUUACCUCCACGAUUUACUAAAAGAAAAGGCAAGUAGCAUUGAGAUUUGCUUCGACUCCAAUAUCCUAAACUAGGAAGCGAACUAGAUCCUGAUGCACUACCUUUUGAAGCUGAUCUGGUACCCAAAGGCUCUUUUUUAGAGUCUAGGUAGGUUGAUUCGUAGGACGAGCGCCAAAGACCAAAGCCAGUUCUUUAAGAACUCAACCAGCCAUUGAGAAAGGCUUACCUUCUGUUCAUCUUCUUUCCUUUGGUGAAGCCAAAGCAUCAGACCAAUGAUGAAAAGCACUUGGAACAAAAGGAGAUAGAUGCCGAGAACAUCAUCACUGAGCAUGGGACACAUGAACUCAAGUGGCUUUUUAAGAAGGAACUCAAUUGGAGAGCUACUUUGAAUGAAAGGCGAUGUCAUGAAGAAUCUUUCGGUUCAGAGCAGUGCCCAAAUCUACCAUCUUUGCGUCUUCUCUUCUUCUUCAAUUAGUCUUUCGCUCCUAGGAUGACCCAAGACGACCUAGAUUCUCAUCAAAUCAAUCAAAUUAUUCAAAUGGAUAGAAUAACUUUCCACUAUUUUUUCUUUAAUGAGGAGCACUGGAAGUCAAGCUUUGAAUAUCUAUUAGAUCAAUCCCUUAUUUUGAUGCAUUCAUUGAUCACAGAAGAAGUGGUAUCUAUAAUCUAUAUAUGAAUCUAGGAAUUGUCUUUCUUCAUUAGAGAAAAAUGACUGCAAUUCCCCCUUCAUCCCUCUCUAUCUCCGGCCCUUGCCAUUAGUUAGCUUGCACUUACCUUGCCUUUCCCGCCUUCCUUGCCUUAGGGAAAGCAGUAAGUAGAGCGUGAAGCUGUGGUAAGAAUAUCUAUCUUGGUAACUCUAGAUUCUCUCUUGCAAUUCGCGAUGAGGUGAGAAGGAGGAGUGAGUCCUAAGCCGGGGCAGAAAGCCUUUGAAACUAGUUAAAAUUGAACUAACAAUCAACUAGGCAAUCCAGCUGACAUUGAAAGCAGAUGCCAUAAGGAAAGCGAUUCGGCUUAAGCGAGUGAAGUCACCCGAGAGGAGGAAUGCUGUGAUGACCCUGGCUUCUUAAAUAGCCUUUGGUUCGGCUGUCUCGUAUAGUUUAGAAAGGCUGCUUUUAGCUUGGAAGCCAAGUCUGUAGCAUAUGUAGGAAUGGGUGAAGCUCUUGUUCGAAGAGGAAUGCCUAUAGUUGAAUAAAAGGCAUAGUCUAAGCUUGAAGUAAAGUAGAGAAUCCGCUCUUCUAUUUGAACGAAUCCCUGAUCUACGACCAGCCUGCUGUCUUUGAAAGAUCAGAUUUGAACUCUUCUCGACUCUGAACAAAUGGUUAGCUUAGUCAAUUCACGAAUGCUUUCAGUUGCAGCUCUUGGGCCGCGCAUACAAGCCACUGCUGUUAGCUCGAGUCGUGGUGAAGCUGGUAUUGAAUUCGCCGUUGAAGGAAUAACCGAUGGGACGGUUCUUAUUUUUCUUGUUUCAUCCAAAAGUACCGAUGGUGGUGCUUUAGUUAGUCCAUAAGAAGCAUUCGAUUAGGAAAUAGCGUAAAUCCGGAGGGGACUCUCGGGCGAAAGGCACAAAAGAAUGAAUACCAGGUGUAAGCUCAAGGCAAGAUAGAACAGAGAGUAAAGUAAGCGAUCGAAAGCUGGAUUCCACAGGCAAACCAGACUGACUUACCACAGACUGUUGGGCAUAGAAUUUAUUUUCAAAAGGAAGAAUGAAAAAAAUUCGAAGAAUAGCAUAAUAUAGAUGUGUCUUUGGGAAUCCAAUUUCCUUCUUCUCUUUGGUUCUCAUUGGCAUAAUGCUCUAGUUCGACUAGCUUGAAGGCGGGCAAUUUUUCUUAACUAAACAGUAGGAAUUGGAUAUAGAGCUGCAAAAGCUUGACUUGGCUAGAGGGACCCGUUCGUUUACGUUAAUAAGAAUCGAAUCAAAGAAUCGGAAAGUUUCCCAAAGCAAGGGCAAUGGAUACCCUAACUGUCCCUGUAUCCGUUCUGUUCUCUUUUCAUCUUUGGUUUUUGAUGGGAUAGUGGUUCGCCCAAAGAAGAAGGAUAGAGGGGCACAGGAACGAAGGAAGCAAAGUUCAGAACUCCCGAUUCUUCUGCCUGGAGGUGGAGGCAUUUCUUCUCUUCUUCUUGUCUGUAUCACCCCGGCCUCUUAUUUUCAAUGUAGGAAAUUAGAGCUACCUUGAUCUUAGCGCUCCAUUUCUACAGCAAGGAGAGAAUAAGCCAUUUCCAAGAUCAAACUGUCCCCUCUUCCAUCUGUUAUCCGUUCGAAGACAAGAAAAGGAGAAAGAAGGAAUGGAGUCGAAGGCCAAUGACACUAGCUAAGUCGAAGGAGAAGAAACCCUUAUAAUAAUAAGAUAAUAAUAAGCAGAAACCCUAAGAAGAAAAGAAAGAGAACACAGCACGGCUAAUAAAAUGUGUAGUGUAACAGAAGAGGCUACUUUACCGAGGUUAGCAGGUGAGGAUCCGAAAGGUUAUUAAAUUUAAGCUAGUUUUCGCCAAGUCAGUAGAUCUAGUUUCUUAAGUAGAGCUAGUUUACUAUUAGUUUACUAUUAAGCCGUAUCUUGUUACUUAUGCUUACUAGGAUUUGCCAAGAGAGUCAUUUCUUCAUUCUUCAAUAGAACGGGUCGGGGCACUAAACAGAUGUGCAACAUAAGCAACUCGACUCAAAGGGUUAAAUAGAAUAAAUAGGCAGUUUUCAUUGACGAUAAGCUGGCGAAACCAGAGAAAAGAAGCUACACGCAAUAACCAACCAUAAUAAUAAAAUAAAAAGUAAACGGUUUUGAAACAACGGAGGAUGGCGACUUGAAUCUUUAAUCACUUUCAGAUACUCGAUUGACGCACUGAUAGAACGAAUAGGGGAGAAUUGAAAGUAGGUAUACUGGCGCUAAAGCAAAGGAACCCACAACCGGUAUAGUCACAGGAUCUACAAGAGAGAGCUUAAAGCAAGCUUCAUCAAUCCAAUCAGUCGAUCUAGUUGAAGCAGCAACAGAGGCACGUUGGGAAGUCAGUCUCAACAAAAGGUGUUGAUACGUCCUAUCCACAUAGAAAGCUUACCCUCUUCCACACAUUACCGGUGGAUGCUACAGCCGCUAUCACUUUGGCUGCAGGAGGGGAAUGGUUAAGUGAAACUCUCGACGUCUUGUUUGGUAAACGGGAUGUUUACCCAGGCGCCGUAGUCUUGCCUAACCGUUCGGCCGGAGAUGCCUUUGUAUGGUAUAGCAAGCUGUUUAGCUACUUGUAUCGAUUUGCCACAGUGUGGUUAGAUACAAUGCGCUGGCAGCCUCAGCUUGGCAGGAUGGGAAUGAAGGGAGAGGUUCGAAAGAGGCUCGAGCGACAGCGAGAGGUUCAAAGACGCUCGACUGAAAGGAGAGGGUUGAAGUGACUCGACCAACGGGAGAGGGAUUACUUGCCCAAGGUUUUCUCCCUCAGGGUUAACUACAUAGGGAGAAUCGCCUGGAGUCUCUUUCCUGACCUAGAAAGAUGCCCAAGCUCUUUGAUAGAUCAGAGUCUACUGUGUUGAUGGGCUUGUUCUCGAAUGCCCUCUUGCUAACCUAUAAAGAUGCCUAAGCUCUUUUGAUAGAUCAGAGUCUACUGUGUUGAUGGGCUUGUUCUCGAAUGCCCUCUUGCUGCUCGAGAAGGAGCUUUUGUAAGAGAUGGAAGGUUCAGGAGAUGGAAAAGUAGCUAGAGCAGGUUCCGGAUCAGGCAAGAGUGGUUUCAACCGGAGAAUGAGAAAUUAGAGCACUGCUGUUCCAGUCCUAGACUCGAGUUCUCGUCCUGCCUUACCAACAGGACAGACAGGUUUGCUAUUCGACUGUCGGAGGUUCGAAAUGAAUGGGGAAGGUUGAAGUAUACGUCACAUACGGAUAAUUUCAAGAGUGAGGCCUUUCAAGUCAACUUUCUCGUUGACGAGGAGGAAAGGCUAUCUUUGUUUUAUAUUUUGCACUCUUUUUCACUCACCUAUAAAAAACACCAUAGCACCUGAGCACUUUAAGCCAGUCUUUUUUUUUUCUUAGGGUCUGGCACUUCUUUCAACAUACUUGGAGUGAAAGAACCUGGUAUGAGCAGAAGUAGACUUCUUCUCUUAUAGUUAUCAUAAGUGGCUAGCCAAGCUCUUAUCCAAGAAAAGAAAAAAGCUUUCUCCACUCUAAAAAAUGGGACAACAGCUAGAAGUAAGAAUGGGAGGGCUAAACAUCACAUAAAAGAGUUGGCACAUCCGUUAUCUGUACUAACUCUAGCAGAUGACAUUCAAACACGAGUUUUAGGGGCCUGAAGAGGACAUAAAGCUAUCCCCGAAUCGUCUACUAAUUUCUUUUUUUCUUUUGAGAUGCGAAUGGAAUAUACAAAGAUGAAGAUGGAACUAAGCAGACAACGCACAGUAGGGGAGAGAAAGUAAGCCUUUAACACCAUUCUGCCUGAAAGAGCCUUUAUUGGGACAUCGCCAGGCCAGGCGACAUCUAAGGAAGAUUGACCACCGUCGAUUCCGUCAUGCUUUGAAUAGGAUACUUUCAUACCGUCUAUUGAAGACUAGGCGUCAAAUGCCCUCUUUAGGUUAGGAGGAGGUGCUCUUAAAGGAAUCUAUGUUGUUCUUGCCUUGCCUAAUAAGCUCUUUAAAAAAAGGGGUUGCUAAAAGAACUUACUUAAGACUAACCCAAUCCCUUUGAAAGUCUAGGAAUGAUAACUUUGGAAAGUGAAUAAGUCCUGAUUCUCCCCUAGCUGCACAUUCAUCGUAUAGAAUAGUAUGCCACAGUGUCCUUCAAAAUGCAGGUGGAAGGAAAAGGAACUCACCCUUCCCUACCCCCGAACACCUUCUGGGUUACAGAUAAGAGGAAUCGUAAGUAGUGUGAUAGCCUUCGCGUAGGUAAGGACCGAAGGGAACCUGCUAAACGGUUCACGAGCCGCCGAGAUCUAGAUUGCCAAGUGAACCCACAAAACUUUGUUACAGGCUGAGUGUCACGGUCCACGCGUUCCUUCUACUGCAAUCACGCGACCGUGCGGCACCAAGACUACUCAUAGUCAAGGUCAACCUUCACCAUGUCCAUUUUUUUUCUUCGCGGACUGCCCAAAUCCGAUCCUUCAAGCCGCAUGCUCAUGAGCCUUUUCUGGCUUUUGGCCCCGUAGGGUUGCUUAUUCCGAAUUCUAUAGAGAGGAACCCAUCUCUCAUCGCGCAUUGGCCCACGAUUCUCCAAGUGACCAUGAGCACCUAGCUCUGGCCGUAAGGCUUAAUGCUUCGAGCCCCGACCCUCGAAUCUCGUAGGGGCACACAGCCCCGGUUCUCUUGAUGUUAUUACAUCUUGGCAUGGUGAGAACCCAACACCACACCCGCACGUAUGAUACGCAAGCAUCCCCUUUACGCUGGUCAGCAGUCAGCUCGGAGCCUCUAGGCUCAACUCGUCCCACGGGACUCGAUUCUUAGGGCUUACGCCCUUUAGCAUCAGUAUUGGCCGCCCGCACGCAUGAUUGACACCCAACAUCAUGCUUAGUCCCGUAAGGGGACUCAGGUGGAUUGCCUCAGCUGCAACACACCAGCUGCCCGACUGGCCACUGGGGCUUAGCAGCGUGCCUGCCUGCUAGCCCGCGCAUCCUCUCGGCUCGAUGGCAUCCCUCCUACAUGAAUACCAUCGCAUGGUCCAGUCCCGCAAGGGUCCUUGGGUGGACUGCCCUAGCUGCAGCCCACCAGCCCGACUGGCCACAGGGGUCUAGCAGCAUGCCUGCUAGCUAGCCCGCGCAUCCCUUUGGCUCGAUGGUAUCCCUCCUACGUAAACACCAUCACCUGAUCCUUUCGGCUCGAGGAGGGGAAGCCAAGGGGCCUAACGGUCUCUACCGUCCAACCCCAUGGUUCAACGCAAAGGCACGAUACGAGGCCCGUCGGCCCCAAUCGCCCCCGGGUUUACCUUACCCGAGGAAACAUCGUGCCACGCUCGUGACCCUACGAUGUCUGCCCACCUAGACACCACGAGUGCCUAAGAGUUGCUCACUUCAGACUAGCCAGGCCCCCGCCUGCCCGCUAGCCAAGGGGGUGGUGGAGAGCUGACACCAGUCGUCUCCCUAUAAAGAGCGUUAGAGAUUUUCCCAAUAUGCUACCAGUGACUGUAAGAAUGUCUGAAACGGGGAUACUUUUCUGUCCAGCCACCUCAGGACCUUUCUCCGGCUAACUCAGGGCCCCGUAACCUUCCUCUUGGUCACCCAUGCUUCUUGAUUAUGCUCGUUGCUCCACCAACCCACUCGAAGGUGCCCGCACAUGGCUUAGACCGGCAGCACCUGACUGGCUAGCUUGUCCCAGGGCACCGGCGUACUGCCUUAUACUUACUUGCAUAUCUCAGGGUUCAGGACAUGGAUCGUCCACACACAAUGUCCCUAAUCUAUUCCCAUGCUCAGAACGCCCGCACAUUGCUUCCACAGAUGGCACCCGCCAGGCUACUUGGCUCGAGGGUGUCCAAUCACUGUCCCGAACUUCUCCGCGUAUCUUGUGGCCCAGGGCUCUCAUUGCCCCCACAACAUGUUAGCAUCAUGUUUCCGAACUCCGAAUGCACGCCCGCAUUCCUUGGAAUCACUUUCCCGCCAGCUCGAUCUCAACCGCUGCCCGGUUCAGGGUCAGUCAUGACAGGACCAGGGCCUGACCAUGACACUCUCCCCCACUUACUAUGUCGAUGCCCUCAUCGACGCCUAGACCACACCCAACUAUCUUGUUGCACACAGCUGACAUUUACUCAUAUGUCUCUCACUUGUGCCCUUAAGAAUUUGGGUUGAGGUCCCGUCACAUGAGGCACCGUCCACAGUACUCGUCCAUUGUUGAUGUAAAUAGGUCACAUUAUUGCACUCCUACCGCUCAGCUCGGUUCUUGCUCGAUCUGUUUAACCUUGUCUUGAUCGUUCCAUAUAGGCCAUACCAUGGCUUCAUUUCUUGAUCAUGUCAUGUUGCGACCUUGAGGUGCCCUCGUCGAUCAAUGACCCUCAGUAGAAUGAAUGACCACCCGUUUUGCCACUCAUUGGUGCAUCCCACCGGACGUGACCCCUCACACCAACUGCACGCUUAUAGCAUCAACCCACUGAUGUGCCCUUCUGGGCGUGGUGCUUAGGUCAACCGCACUCAUACGGCACCCUACAUGAGGACCCUAGCACAGUGGCAUUCAAGCACCUAGGUCAUCUCCCUACUUGGGUCCUCUCGGCCCCUUCAAGGUCACCUCUCUAGGUGUGGCCCUCUGGCCAACCGCCCCCAAGACGGCACCUUAAAACGCGCUAACUCGGUCUUUGCCCCCGGCUUAAACACUGUGCUCCAUUACCCAAGCUCCACUAUCUUGGCUCAGUCUCACGGGGAAUUGACAGGUCUCUCACACUUUUACUCGAAACUCAGCGCCGUAUUAUGCGUAACCAUAUCUCCUCGAUGGUUCUAUUGCUCGAUAAUUUUGACUCUGGCCCGUUUCCUAGGGCAUCUCAAGAUCCACUUAUGCUCGGAGAUCCACUGAUCUAACAGAACACCUAGUUCACUGAUUAGCUCGACUCGGGGAUUCACCCGCUCAAUCCUCAAGGCCUACUGACCUACACGCCUGAGGCCUUGUCAAUUGGCCAUUUCCCUUUUUGCUAGUCUCGCCUGAUUACACCCUGUUACGGCCCAUCGACCACCACAGCUCAUGUGAAGCCUUUCUCAUUGGUCAACACAGACUCGGUUUAUCGAUUCACAUGCCCCCGUGAUCCUCUGACCACGAGAACUCCUGGUCCACUGACCAUCACAGCACAUGGUCCACUGACCAUCCCACUUGUGGCUUCAAUCUUUGGCCACUCCAUACUCCUCUGUGCAAGAAUUCCAUGCUUGGACCCGAAUACUUCGUCUUGCGCCCCCACUGGGGCACCUGCACCAUACAGCAAGUGCACACAUUAGUAAUUAAUCUUGAAACUCGAUACCUCUUGCCCCUCAGGACAAGGUUCGCUCGACCCACGUGGCCUUAUGCAACACCAUUUCAUGGUGUAAGCCCCUUUUCGCAUCUCGAUUUCACUACGGUUCCUUCCACCGUAAAGGCAUCACAUGCCGCAACAUAUGCCAACACCUUUUUCUAGGUGAGGCUAGACUCUGGUGCCCUUUUGCUUGGCAUCCAAGAGUUUACUCGAGAGCCAUUUUACAUAGGCCCAUUAUUUCCCGCAGCACGCAUCGUUGGCUCUUUCCUGAGCCCUCAUAGGCACAAAACCACCUUCGCGGCUUAGUAGCUCUUUUUUAGCUUGGCACCACCUCGAUUUCACGACACUAGACCCGUACAUGGGGUCAUAUAAAUUCUCGCCACUGAGCCAACCUAGGCUUUGAUACCAAGUGUCACGGUCCACGUGUUCCUCCUACUGUAAUCACGCGAUCGUGUGGCACCAAGACUACUCAUAGUCAAGGUCAGCCUUCACCAUGUCCAUUUUUUUUCUUCGCGGACUGCCCAAAUCCGAUCCUUCAAGCCGCAUGCUCACGAGCCUUUUCUGGCUUUUGGCCCCGUAGGGUUGCUUAUUUCGAAUUCAAUAGAGAGGAACCCAUCUCUCAUCGCGCAUCGGCCCAUGGUUCUCCAAGUGACCAUGAGCACCUAGCUCUAGCCGCAAGGCUUAAUGCUUCGAGCCCCGACCCUCGAAUCUCGUAGGGGCACACAGCCUCAGUUCUCUUGAUGUUAUUACAUCUUGGCAUGGUGAGAACCCAACACCACGCCCGCACGUAUGAUACGCAAGCUCCCGUAUCAAGUUUACGCAAGCAUCCCCUUUACGCUGGUCAGCAGCCAGCUUGAAGCCUUUAGGCUCAACUCGUCCCACGGGACUCGAUUUUUAGGGCUUACGCCCUUUAGCAUCAGUAUUGGCCGCCCGCACGCAUGAUUGACACCCAACAUCAUGCUUAGUCCCACAAAGGGACUCAGGUGGACUGCCUCAGCUGCAACACACCAGCUGCCCGACUGGCCACUAGGCCUAGCAGUGUGCCUGCCUGCUAGCCCGCGCAUCCUCUCGGUUCGAUGGCAUCCCUCCUACAUGAAUAUCAUCGUGUGGUCUAGUCCAGCAAGGGUCCUUGGGUGGACUGCCGUAGCUGCAGCCCACCAACCCGACUGGCCACAGGGGUCUAACAACGUGCCUGCUAGCUAGCCCGUGCAUCCCUUUGGCUCGAUGGUAUCCUUCCUACGUAAACACCAUCACCUGAUCCUUUCGGCUUGAGGAGGGGAAAUCGAGGGGCCUAACGGUCUCUACCGUCCAACCCCAUGGUUCAACGCAAAGGCGCGAUACGAGGCCCAAUCGCCCCCAGGUUUACCUUACCCGAGGAAACAUCGUGGCACGCUUGUGACCCUACGAUGUCCGUCCACCUAGACACCAUAAGUGCCUAGGAGUAGAUCACUUCAGACUAGCCAGGCCCCCGCCUGCCCGCUAGCCAAGGGGGUGGUGGAGAGCUGACACCAGUCGUCCCCCUAUAAAGAGCGUUAGAGAUUUUUUUAAUAUGCUACCAGUGACUGUAAGAAUGUCUGAAACGGGGACACUUUUCUGCCCAGCCACCUCAGGACCUUUCUCCGGUUAACUCAGGGCCCUGUAACCUUUCUCUUGGUCACCCAUGCUCCUUGAUUAUGCUCGUUGCUCCACCAACUCACUCGAAGGUGCCCGCACAUGGCUUAGACCGACAGCACCUGACUGGCUAGCUUGUCUCAGGACACCAACGUACUGCCUUAUACUUACCUGCAUAUCUCAAGGUUCAGGACAUGGACCGUCCACACAUAAUGUCCCUAACCUAUUCCCAUGCCGGAACGCCCGCACAUUGCUUCCACAGAUGGCACCCGCCAGGCUACUUGGCUCGAGGGUGUCCGACCACUGUCCCGAACUUCUCUGCGUAUCUUGUGGCCCAGGGCUCCCAUUGCCCCCACAACAUGUUAGCAUCAUGUUCGCAAACUUCGAAUGCAGGCUCGCAUUCCUUAGAACCGCUUUUCCGCCAGCUUGGUCUCAACCGCUGCUCGGUUCAGGGUCAGUCAUGGCAGGACCAGGGCCUGAUCAUGACACUGAGCACGAGUGUCUUUCAAAACCAGAGAGGUUCAGUGACCAAUCUAGGAUUAUCGGAGAAGCAGUGAAUCUUCUUAGAAAAGUGAUGAGUGUGGUAUCUACGUGUCCCUAAAUUGAAAGAAAAGAACAAAAAGCAACAGGGGGAGUCUAUCGAUUCAAGGAUGAGAUUAGAUUGAGAAAGGAAAAAAUGCUCUUCUAUCCGGAUCUUGAUUUCGAAGAUCUUAGAUCGAGCAUCCUAAGCCAACUCACCAGAAUUCACAACUCACUUUUGACCGAAAGGAGGUGCCUCCAUCCAACCUUGAUAGUCUUAAAUGCUUCUUCCAUCCAAGCAUGAUAGUUGCAUUUUAUGGUCAAAACUCUAUCCCAAGAUGGUGAAUUAGACUCAGCCUAUGCUACUCGAUCCAUCGUUGAGAAAAGUCUCUUCAAUAACCGAGCCAUGGCCUUGAGUAGAGAGUCGAUGAUUUCGACGAGGCCCUUUCCUGCCUACUUGGUUCCUGCCAAGUCUUCUUUGUAGCACCAAGACUAAGUUCCUACCAAAAGCGGAUGGAACCCUAGGUUCGUCCAUCCUUCAAUCGGACGAACCACAUCUGUUCCAAUUCCAGAGGCUUUCUCCGAUCAAAGUCGGAUCCAAUGCCAAUCUUCGAUUCCAGAGGAAUUGAUUUUUUAGGAACCUUAGGCUGGAUGGUUUAAAGAUUUCGAUGCCCAGUCAAUGAAAUGAGAUUGGGAAGAAGCAGCUAACCAAUCUCAUUUAUCAGAUCAGUCCAUCGAUUUAAAGAUUCUUUUUUGCUCUUUCAUCCCCUCGUUCAAAGAGUUGAAGAUGGCUUGGCAGCAACUCUCUCCUAGUCUGAUCCGUCUAUCUGUGUUCACCUGGCCCGGCCGCUUUUGUCCCUUAUCACUCUUGCUUAUGGCUCUAUUUUUUCUUGACUGGCUGUACAAUUCGAAGGAGAUAGGACUUCAACCACUUAAGCAUAUCAAGCGAUUCAAGGAUCUAGGGUUCAAAAAGGUAGGUGGGGUCUUCAGUGACAGUAAAAGCAGUGAAGCUUUCAAUUGUAGUUCUCUUAUUUACUUAAGGUAAUGAACUUUUUUACCCGGGCAGCAAACAUAACUUUUUAUCCAAUUUAGUUAGGGGCAUUUAUCUUGAGUUUGAUUAAGCAGACAUUGUGUUCUCAAUCGGUGAAGCCGAUCUAAGAUAGAAAGUUCAUAAGUACACACAUCCGAAGAUUGGCUAGAAAGCUCAAACGGUGGAUGUCAAGAAGAACCUCCAACAAGAAGGUGAGAAAGAUCCGCGGCAAGGAAGAAGCAAAGCAAAAAGAUUCAAAGUUUUCCCUGAAAGCAUAAAAGAAAGUGACUUAAGGGGAGAGUCAAGUCAAAGCAGCCCUUCUCUUUCUGCUAUCGUUACUUACGGGAUGCAGCUUAUCUUGUUGAGGCGAGUCCGGUUGCUUCCUAAGUGAAUUAACCCAUAGUUACAUAGAUUCAAUAUCCCUCAAACCCCGCGCUAUACACCUCAACACAGUAAAAAGUACCAGUCUAUGCAUCUGGUCUUUCCUCAACAAUCAACAAUUCCUAUCCGUGUUACUAAAAUCCAUCCCAUGAAACAAAGGAGAGUUCAUUCUUGGGGUGAAUAAAAAGAGACAACUUUCGGGAUCCACUUCAAUCAAUUAUGGCAUAAAGGGCUUUCCAAUCCGUCUAGAUUAGACAACCUUCUUUUUAUGUUUGAUCAGGUGUGAAUGAAUAGUACUAAUGAUAUGUUCACAUCAUGACCUCUUGUUUCGGAUCAAUGAAGAUGGAAUCAACUACCUUCUUCUCUUUUGUUACAGCUUGCUUCUUCACUCGCUUUAUCAUGAGAAAAAGGGAUUUCUUAGCCCUGCAAGCACAACAUCCUAUCUUUAUGAAUCCAACCCUUUCCUUUCAUUCUAGGCCUAGUGUCAUGAGCCAACCUUGUAUAGGGUUAUGACUGGGACUUAGGUUACCAUGAGCCACCCAUGUAUAGGGCCAUGGCCGGGUAGAUCUCUUGUGCUAGGAAAAGUGUCCCCAUUUCAAAUAUUGUAAUGGUUACUGGUAGUAUAGCUCUAAAAUCUCUAAGGCUCUUUAGGGGGUGAACCAGCAGCGUAGUGUUGGGCUGUCUCACUGGUUGCUAUGCGAGCUUAGGCCACCCACCAAGGGCUACCCCCUGGCCCUGGUGAUGGUGGGAGGUCCCGAUGUAUGAUUCUCGUUUAUAAUAAAACUCACCCCGAUUGAAUGUCUCGAUUGUUGCCUCGAUGUGUUUUUCUUUUUCUCGAUGCGAAUAUGCCUUCUUGUGUGUGUGCUUGAGAUGAUCUCGAUAUAUUGUGUCUUAUUGUGAAUGCUUGGGACUAACCAUGGCUUAUGGUUAUUUGUUCAGAUAUCGAUCUAUUGAAGGCUGACUUGGUUGGGACCCAUUCAAGUGCCGCACGUCUAUUGCUUGUUGAGAGAAAGCUUAGUCCGUGACACGUGGUAUCAGAGCACGGUUGAGAAGUGCUAGAAAAAUGGAUGAGAUGGCCACAAGUGGUGGACCGAAUCAUCAACAGAGAAUUGAAGAACUUGAGGCCGCAGUGGCCGCAAUGAAAAUUCAUAUGGCGACUAAAGAUCGAGUGAGGGAGAUCGAGACAACCUAGCGGGAGUUAUCCGAUACUCUUCACAAUAUGAGCGAAGAGGCUAGAGAUGCCUUGAACAUUCUCCAAAAGGAGUUUGAGGAGCUCAGAGCACAAGUGAGCAUUCUACAAAUAGCUUUGACCAUAUCGGGUUUGAGCUCGAUGAAAAGGGGAAAAAGGCCCAAGGUGUCGGAGCCUCAAUGCUAUGAGGGGGCAAGGGAUGAUAAGGAACUUAAAAAUUUCUUAUUUGACAUGGAGUAGUACUUUCGAGCUGUACACACAGACUCAGAGGAAGACAAGGUGACAAUGGCAUCGAUGUACCUCGUAGGGGAUGCCAAGCUGUAAUGGCGUUUCAAGUUUAUCGAUGACAAGUGCCCAAUUAAGACUUGGACAGAUUUGAAGUGAGAAUUGAAAAACCAAUUUUUCUCUGAGAAUGUGGAGUAUAUGGCUCGAAAGAGACUUCGAGAGUUGGUGCAAACAGAAAUGGUGUGAGAGUUUGUAAGGAGCUUUUCUACCCUGAUGUUGGAUAUUCGGGACAUGUCCAAAAAGAAUAAGAUGUUCUAUUUUCUUGAGGGCCUCAAGCCUUGGGCGAGGACAGAACUACAAAGGUAGAAAGUGCAAGACGUGGCCACGGCCAUGGCUGUAGCUGAACGUCUUCACGAUUACAAUGAUGGCUCUUCAAAAUAAAAAAAUCCUCCAUCAGUUGGCAGUAGCUUUAACUUUGAGAGUGGGGAAAAGAUGACUAGGUUGGAUCGACCCUUCAGUGGGGGAUCAGACAUGAGGUCUUUUGGUCGAGAUAGCACCCAACCCAAGACAAGCAACGCAGGGAUUUUCAAGCCUAGGCAACCGUUAGCUUGCUUUCUUUGCAAGGAGUCGCAUCGGGUGGCUGAAUGCCCACACAGGGGAGCCCUUAAUGCCUUGAAAAACCUCAUCUCAAGAGUUUGUAAAAGCGCCAGAGAGCGUUGAAAAAGCUGAAGAAGAGCCAGCCACAAUGGGUUCAAUAAGGUUUCUCAAUGCCUUCCGCACCCAAUUGAACACUAUAAAGAAAGAAUAGAGUAGAGGCUUGAUGUAUGUGAACUUAACGAUCAAUGAGAAAGCCACCAAGGCCAUGGUGGAUACGGGUGCAACCGAUACUUUCAUCACACCAGAAGAAGCAAAAAGGUAUGGUCUUCAGAUUAGUAAAGACUAUGGACGAAUGAAGGUGGUCAAUUCACCAGCCUUUGCGAUCAGUGGAAGCUCCAAGAGUGUGACAACCCGAUUGGGCCCAUGGGAAGGAAGGUAAACUUUACAGUUCCCUCAUGGAUGACUUUGAUGUUGUUCUCGAAUUGGACUUCAUGAUGUUGGCUCAGGUCAUCCCUAUCCCCGCCGUUAGCUGUUUGUUGUUCUUAGGGGAACACCCAUGUGUGGUGCCAGCCAACAUCUUACCAAAGAGUGGAAAGAAAAUGAUUUCUACUUUACAGUUCAAGAAAGGGGUAAAGAGAGGGGAACCCUCCUUUGUGGCGGUGCCAAUCUACAAAGAAGGGUCGAAAGUAGAACCAAUACCUGAUGGUGUGGAAAAAAUGUUGGAAGAAUUCGAAGAGGUGAUGCCAGAGAUGUUACCUAAGGUUCUACCCCCUCGACGAGCAGUGGACCAUGAAAUUGAGCUCCUCCCAAGAGCAAAACCCCCUGCUAAAGCUCUCUACCGCAUGGCCCUGCCAGAGUUGGUCAAACUAAGAAAGCAAUUAGAUAAGCUGCUACAAGUCGGGUUCAUCAGACCAUCAAAUGCUCCUUUUGGAGCGUCAGUGCUAUUUCAAAAAAAGCAUGAUGGAAGUUUACGAUUAUGUGUCGACUACAGGGUCCUGAACAAAGUCACCGUAAAAAACAAAUAUCCCAUUCCCCUUAUAGCAGACUUGUUUGAUCAAUUGAGCCGGGCCAAGUACUUCUCCAAAUUGGACCUGAGAUUUGGCUACCAUCAAGUCAGAAUCAUUGAGAGAGAUGAGCCAAAGACAACUUGUGUGACACGGUAUGGUGUAUUUGAAUUCCUUGUUAUGCCUUUUGGAUUGACCAAUGCUCCUGUCACAUUUUGUACAUUGAUGAAUCAGGUGUUCCAUGACUACUUAGAUAAAUUUAUGGUCAUCUAUUUGGACGAUAUAGUGGUAUAUAGCUCUACCUUGGAAGAACAUCAAGAACACCUACGUCAGGUACUUCAAAGAUUACCAGACCACCAGUUAUAUGUAAAAAGGGAGAAGUGUGCAUUUGCUCAGACCCAAAUCCAUUUUCUCGAUCACAUUGUCGAACGUGGCCACAUUCGAAUGGACAUGGAAAAGGUUAGGGCCAUCAAGGAGUGGACAACAUCGAAGAACGUUAGUGAGCUCCGCUCAUUUUUAGGGCUAGCCAACUAUUAUAGAAGGUUUGUGAAAGGGUACUCUCGUAAGACCAUGGCCCUCACGGAGCUAUUGAAGAAAGAGCGUAAAUGGUAUUGGACGAGUGAAUGCCAAGAGGCCUUCGAGGGAUUGAAGGAUGCUAUUAUGAAAGAUCCCAUCUUAGCUCUCUCUGAUAUUGAAAAACUUUUCGAAGUUCAGAUGGAUGCAUCUGAUUUUGCUAUUGGAGGAGUGCUUUUGCAACAACAUCACCUGAUAGCAUUUGAAAGUAGAAAGUUAAGUGAAGCUGAAAGGAAAUAUACGGCCCAGGAAAAAGAACUCCUGGCAGUGGUUUACUGCUUGAGGGCUUGGCGACAUUAUUUGUUGGGUUCACACUUUGUCGUGAAGAUAGACAAUGUGGCUGUUAGUCAUUUUUUCACCCAACCAAGGCUUACGGUAAAACAAGCUAGGUGGCAGGAUUUUUUUAGUGGAGUUCAACUUUUGUUUUGAGCACACCGCUGGAAAGACCAAUCAAGUGGCCGACGCAUUGAGCAGGUGAUCAAAUUUAGCAGCCCUUAGAAGAAUUGCCCCAAUGGCAACUAGCAGAGCUACUACAGACAUUCACAAGUUGAUUGGAGAUCACUUAAGGAAGGACCCCGCAAGCUUGUGCCAUCCUGAAGCUAGUGGAAGAAGGGAAGUCCAAGUACUUCUGACAAGAAAAUGGGACCAAGAGGCCUCGAGUGUUUGUGCCAAGAGCAAAAGGUCUGAGACAGAUGCUGAUGAGGGAAUGUCAUGACACACCAUGGGCGAGACACCUGGGCUGGCAACGUACUUUGGCGUUAUUGAAAUAAGAAUACUAUUGGCCUCACAUGCGACAAGAUGUGAUGGACUAUAUGAAGACUUACCUCAUUUGCCAACAAGACAAGGUUGAAAGGAGAAAACCUGCAGGCAUGCUUGAACCACUACCAGUACCUACCAAACCGUGGGAAAGCAUCUCCCUCGAUUUCAUUUCGAGCCUACCCAAGGUUGGUGACCUUGGAGCUAUUUUGGUGGUGAUUGACUGGUUCUCUAAGUAUGCCACAUCCAUUCCCGCUUAUAAGUAUUGUACAGCGGAAGACACAGCUCGACUAUUGUUCAAACAUGUGGUCAAAUACUGAGACCUCCCUCAAAACAUUGUCAGCGAUCGAGAUCUGAGAUUCACAGGGUCCUUCUGGAAAGAACUUUUCAAGAUAUUGAGAUCCCAACUCAACAUCUCCUCCAGCUAUCACUCUCAAACUGAUGGUCAAACGGAACGAUUCAACAGAUUAUUAGAGGAAUACUUGAGGCACUUCAUUCAAGCCAAUCAGAAAGACUGGCCUUCAUUAUUGGACGUGGCUUAACUCUACUUUAAUUCCAACAAAAGCUCUUCCACCAAUAAGAGCCCAUUUAAGGUGGUCACUGGACAAUUACCAAGGCUACCUCACACUUCUUUGAAACAAUAUGAAGGAAAGAAUUCGAGAGCCUUCAAUUUCAGCAAGGAGUAGAAACAAAACACAGAGAUUGCACAAGCCUACCUGGAGAAAGCAUCAAACCGUAUGAAGAAAUGGGCAGACAAGGGUCGUAGGGCUCAACAAUUUUAAGUUGGUGAUUUGGUUCUUGUUCGACUGGUUCCUGAACAAAUCAAGUUCUUGAGAAAGAGAGAUCGUAGACUGGUGCGCAAAUAUGAAGGUCCAAUAAGGGUCCUUUCCAAGGUGGGAAAUGCUUCUUACAAAAUUAACCCACCAAAAUAGAUGAAGGUGCACCCAGUAUUUCAUGUGAGCAACCUGAAACCUUUUCAUGCAGAUCCUACAGAUGCUAGCCGAAAGGAGCCAACCAGAGCCGCCAUCACCAUGAAGCCACCCUCAGAGCGUCGAGUCGAAGAAAUCUUAGCUAACAGGGAGACCAAGAUAUCUCGAAGAUUAGUUCGGGAGUACUUAGUGAAGUGGGAGGGAUUAGGACUAGAAGAAACCAGCUGGGAGAAAGAACACGACCUCCAAAGAUUUCAAAGGAAGAUCGAAGAAUUUCAAGCCAGCAAGUCGACGAAGAUGUCGAUAGAAUAGGUGGGGAAGGAUGUCAUGAGCCAACCUUGUAUAGGGCCAUGACUGGGACUUAGGUUGCCAUGAGCCACCCAUGUAUGGGGCUAUGGCCGGGUAGAUCCCUUGUACUAUGAAAAGUGUCCUCAUUUCAAACAUUGUAAUAGUUACUGGUAGCAUAGCUCUAAAAUCUCUAAGGCUCUUUAAGGGGGUGAGUCGGCAGCAUAGUGUUGGGCUGUCUCACCGGUUGUUAUGCGAGCUUAGGCCACCCACCAAGGGCUGCCCCCUGGCCCUGGUGAUGGUGGGAAGUCUCGAUGUAUGAUUCUCGUUUAUAAUAAAACUUACCCCGAUUGAAUGUCUCGAUUGUUGUCUCGAUGUAUUUUUCUCUUUGUCUCGAUGUAUUUUUCUCUUUGUCUCGAUGCGAAUAUACCUUCUUGUGUGUGUGUUUGAGUAUGAUCUCUAUAUAUUAUGUCUUAUUAUGAAUACUUGAAACUAACCAUGACUUAUGAUUAUUUGUUCAGAUAUCGAUCUAUUGAAGGUUGACUUAAUUGAAAACGUUCAUUCAAGUACCGCACGAUCUAUUACUUAUUGAGAGAAAGCUUAAUCCGUAACACCUAAACUAGCAUAAGCGUUCAACAAAGGUCUCUAAUCCAAUCCUUUCUAUGACAAAAACAAGAACGAUUGGCAUGAGCGGCCCCCGGAGGCCUUGUGGGCAUACCGAACUAGGUGUCGGACUCCGACACCCUACUCGUAGGUCUUCGGAGGAGAGGAAGUUAUGCCCAUCGAAGAAAACCUCUUUUCGGGUAGCAAUCUAGGAAUACCUAAUGGAACAGGAAAGCGCAAUAAUCCGACUCGCGUGGUACGCCUCCUAUUAUCAACCGACGGACCAGGGGAAAGUUAGAGCCUAAAUGGGAAGGGCCCUACGUGUCAUCGAAAAAGUCUACUCAAAUGGAGCAUACCACAGCGGACUCUUCCUCCAUACUUUCCGUAAAGCGCAACGAAGGGAAGGAAACAAAAUGGAAUGCUGACUUACGUUGAGCAGGGCUAACCGAACUGGGCAACUUUCACUGCUUUCAUUUCCGAACAGAACUUCAACUCCCUUGAAAGGGACUAAAUCAAGGCAAGAGUGCUUUCUCGAGGGGGUUAGAUCCAGGUAGGAUCUUGCCAAAAAAAAAAGGGGUCUUUACCCUUCACGCCCUACUUUCCUUUCCAUGGUCUAGCUAACCCCUUAUUUGACCUAUCUGCCCGACCCAUUGGAACGGGUCCGGAUUCGCUGUAGCCAGCGGAUGACACGAAGGAUGUCGGACUUUUCUGUAGGAAGCCUACAACGUUAAAGUAGGUACCCGUAGAUACCAAAACGAACUAGCCACUCGUUUUCUUACCUACGAAAUUCUUGGCACUUGGGAGUGGGAAAAGGAUAUGAAUCAGAAGGCUUAAAUGCCGCUCCGUACCCCUCGGAAGAUUGAGAAUACAUCGUUGCUUUCAUUGCUUUUGAUCCCCUGGGCUCGGGAUCCAUGGGCAUUCUCUUAUAGAAAUAAUAACAGCGACCGAUUGCCUGCUUCGAUCCUCACCUUUUCCUUCGCUAAUGGGCACGGUAGUUCCCCGGAGUGGAAUCAGGUGGGAGAUUGGGAUUUUGAAAGAAACGGAGGGUUACGCUUCGCCAGGAGAGGCUGAGGACGAAAGAUCAGUUAAACUGGACUAGGAGAGUCGAACCUGGAAUGAGGUUGUUCUGAGCUUGGUUCCGAAUCAACAGCUGCUAUGCCUUGCGAUCCAGGUUAGUUGGUUGAGUUUUUGCGGUGGUUUUCUACACUAUUUCCACUCUGUGUGUAUAGCGAGUGUGCAGUUAGGAUAUUGGGUUUUAGACUGAUUUUUGCUUUCCCUGCUUCGACUUUCAUCGAGACGAGAGUGGCUUGAUGUUCUUCGUACAAGAUCAGAAAGUCUUUCUUCGUCUUGGUGAACUCUCUUCUUCAACUGACUAAGAAAGUGGAUUGAGAAACCUGCGCCCAAUGAGCCUAGCCUGAAAGAGGAAGAUUCUUAUCCGUGACCGAAAUGGUCUUGCAAAGCCGGUCCCCAGAUGGUGUAAGUCCUACUCAAUCAAAAGAAGCACAGGUUAGACAGACGCUCGACUGAAAGGAGAGGAAGGUUUGGGAAGAUAAUGACCGAAAGUAUACCACACAUCAAGCAGACCAAACCCUAUCAAAAUAGUCUUCUAUGCCCUGGAGCUGGAGCGAAAGAAGACAAUCCUGCUAUUUGAAUUCCACACAUUGACUGGAUCACCGUGGGAAUCCCUAAGGAAGCAUUGGCUGAGCUGUUCAAAGAAGAUGAGACUUCAAUGACUGAGACUGAUGUGAUGGUCACUAUGGAAGAAGCUGACUGUGAUGCUUCCACUAUUCUCUAUCCUGCUCACUCUGCCGAGGCUCUCCAGAACUGGGAGGCUGUGCCCAUUGUUCAGGGGAAUGAGCCGGGUUUUCGGUCAAAUGUUUAGUAAUCGAUUAUUUGUAAUUUAUUUUAAGACAUUUUUAUGUUUUAUUAUAUUAUAAAUUAAAUAAAAAAUUUUUAUUUUAAAUUUAAUUAAAAAUUAUUUUUUUAUUUUUUUAUUUUAAGAUGUCAAAAAAUUUUUCUUUAUGAUCGAAUGAAUGUGACUGUCCUUGAGACUACUGGCUAUGAAUCUGCUGUCGAGAUUGAUUCUGAUGCAAUGGGAAUUGAGGUUGACAAGACCGAAGGAGCUAAUGAACCACCUGCUGAAAUUAUUGAGGAAGUUGAGAGGUUCGAGACUAGAUCUUUACCAAACAUUGAACAAACUGAGACCUGUGGGAACCGAGGCAAACCACCGAGAGUGACAAGGGCUUAGCGGCUUUUCACCGAAAAAGGAUCUGAUCAGAUUCCUCACAGAAUAUCAAGAUGUCUUCGCUUGGUCAAAUGAGGAUAUGCCCGGAUUAGACACCAAGAUUGUGGUGCACAAGUUGCCAGUCAUGCCAGAAUUCUCACCAGUAAAGAAAAAACUUCGAAGAAUUCGUCCAGAAUGGAGUAAUAAAGUGCAAGGAACAAACAAAAAAGGCCAAAUUCAUCGUCGUCAGCACUUAUCCAAUCUGGCUCUCUAAUGUUGUACCGGUACAUAGAACCACCAAACAGAAAAUCCAAUCAAUAAGCAGGUUAGGAGAACAAAUCGAAUAUCCCGUGCGUACGAAUAAACAAUAGCUUCCGAUAGCCGAAAUUCUUUUCUUCGGGAAGUUUCCCUCUGCGCAUCUAACAAUUCUUGCUUGCGAUCUGGAGAGCGAAGUAAAUAAGGGUCUUCCCCGCCUUCUGCUAUCUUGAAUGGAAGUUGAUUCUUAUUUGCAGUCUUCGAGUCGGAUGGUUGUCCCUUCUUCUCAACAGAAUCCUAUAGACAAGAAAGAAUCGAAAGCAGUCCUUUGCGCAUUGUCUUCUUCAUUGCAUUGGAUGCCUUUCUCCCCUACCCCAAUCCCUAGCUAGCAGCAAUCAUUCCCUCACCUGUCCCAUGUUGGGAAUCCUCUUUUGCUCGUGGAUAUCUAAUGCUAGAAGGCAACAUCCAACAUAGCCAUAGAGUGGCUUACCCAACAAGUAAAGACAUCCAUGCAAACCCCUGAAAGUCUGUCUUCUUUUAAUGAAUGCCCUAGGCCUUCUUCAUUCACUUGCGCAACCCUCCCUAAUAGCCUAUGGAUGUGCAGUGGAUUCUCGAACAAAAACAGCUUGCAUUCUAAUUUCACUAGUGGCAAAAAAGGCUAAUCCCGGUUAUUCCCCCAAAUAAAUCCCCUCUUCUGCUUUCGCUUAAGGAAUAGAUUAAAAAGCAUCCGAUUUGCGGCAUCAAUCCGAUAAGGAUCUCAUGAGUGGAUCACUAGAAGGCUUGGGCAUGAAAAGAUUCGUUGAGUAAGAUUCAUGUAUAUAGGCUAUUUGCCUUGUCUCUGCCUACUGUAUAAAACAGGGGAAUAGGGAAUCCUCUAGCACCGCGCCCAUGGUGUGAGGAAGCUUGGCACGCACCGACCGAGACUGCAUUCCUACCAUUAGCAUGAACUCUGAACUUCCCGGGAUUCACUUCUUUAGGAGUGAACGAAGCCAAGUGGCUCAGUAACCUUUCUUUGUCGAUUGGGUCCUGGUUCUAGGGCGCCCUCGUAACGUGAAGAUCAGAGUCGCCUCCUCUACUGCAAAGAGAAAGAGACUGAUUUAGUGAAGUCUGGCAUCUGCUCUUUUGAACGAAUCCGGUGAUAGUCCUUCCUUGGCUUCUACUUGAGUUGGUCGAGGUCGAUAUUUUCUUGGUUUUUUUUUCUUUGUACCCAUAGAUCGGAGAAUGUGAAAAGCUUUCUCUAUCCGCUAGGCGCAUCUCUUCUUUCACUCUUGUUGAAUAAGAUGUUCUUCUUCUUGCCUCUCUAGCCUUUAGCACAGCAGUAGGAAUUGUCCUAAUCGUUAGGUCUACCCGCUUUGAAUCUGUUGGAGUAAGGGCAAUUGGUCUUGGUGGGUAGGGCAUUCUAAAGGCAUUCAUUUCUUCCUCGCCCAGUCAGUCAGGUCGGGACCAAGGAAGCUUGGGCUCUCUUUCCUCUAUGGCAAUUUUUGGUCCCAGCUAAACAAGAGAAAGAGCAUCUAUCCUAGCUGCGGUAAUGCCGAUUCCAAGACCAGUGUAGGCUUGCUUCGCAUAGGCUACACAAGCUAGGUUCAAGCUUUCAAGCAGAAAGGCAGACGGGAUGAUCAUUAUAAUACGAUGCUAGCACCUGAUUAGCAAGAAAAGCUUUCCCUGCUCUGCUCUUAGCAAUGAUCUGUCUAGGGCUACUUUCAAAACUUCGGAUUCUGUAAUAAGACCCUCUUCAUGGGCAUUCUUCGACUUAGAAUCAAAUUCAUACCCGUCAAUCUCCGAUGUGGGGGUAGAAUCUGCUCUUACAGUUGCCGGUGUAAGCAAUUCAAUCAGAAUAAGCUGCUUGAGAAUCUAGCUAUUUCCUGCCUGAAUGUCCGGGGAGCCGGAAGUGAAUCGUAGAGCAGCAGGUUUUUUAGUAAAAGAAGAUGGUAUCGAAUGAGACAAGGUUUAGAAUCCAUAGUUAACCGAGGAAAGACAAUAACAAAAAAUAGUAGAAGAGAUCGAUCCACUAGCUUGGCAGUAGGACUUGUUUCAGCUAUUCACAAGGAUUGCUCAACUAUAGGUAGGCGUGGUAGCAUGGUUGUGAAAAAAGACUUGACUUCUGCUCUCGGAAUAAUAAUACGAAUUGCUCAAGUUGAAUUGCUUUUUUCUUUCGAUAAUGCCUUCAAUGCGGGUUGAAGGAAGAAGACAGCAGGUGUAUGGUAUAGCUCUUAUCUGUUCGCUCCUGUCGACUCUGAACUCAUGAUGGAGGAUGGGCUACUGGAGAAAGGGUGAAGACCGGGCGGGCUGGCAGGCGACAAUAGCAAUAGAGUGGCCAAGCGUUGACAGAGAGGAGACUUUUUCUAGCAGAAAAGCAGACUGACCCGAUUCUAAUUAUAUUCAUAUCAGACAGGGCAGAGAAUGGAUUCAAUUAUCAACAUCAUCUAAGUAAGAAAAGCAGCAAAGAACAUGAGUAGCAGAAGCAUAGGCUUUGUGGUUACCGGGCAGAGGGAGGGUAGUAAACACCUUGCCUCAUCAAGCCCAUCCACAUCAAUAGCUCACUAUCCACCAACAUAAAAAUAAGGGACUGGCGAAUCAGCUGUUAAGUAGCCACUCUUGUUAGUGCCUACUGGAUUGACUGCUUUAAUGCUCUUACUGUUCUUGACGAAGCUCCUGGUGCAAAUGAAAGAAAGAAGAAUGAUCUCCUCCCGCAAUUGAAGAAGAAUCUGCUGCUAGUCUUUUAGCCAUAGACGCUCUUGAGUAAAUAUCAUCUGUGGUCCUAUCAGCUCAACCAGUUGCCGGUCUUGUUUGCGUAGUAAAUGGUUUUUUUGGCUCCAUACGGUGUUUGAGAGGAAGCUGCUAUUCUAAAAUCUGGUCUGUCUGUAAGCAAUUACCUUUCCUGUCUUGCUUUAGUCGGUGACUCUAUGCCCUCUGCUUCGACUUCAAAUGUGAGAGUAGAAUCGGUUGUGCUAGAAUCCGCUCUAACCGUAGCAGCUCUUAUCCUAUCUGCUCUUGGUCUUAUAACCGGUGGUGGAGGAAGAGAAGGAGACAAAGUUCAUCGAAAAAGAAAUAGAGAUGGGAAAAUGCAAUCAAAGAGGAAGAUAAAAAUAUCGUAAGAGAAAAAGUUUCAUAAUAUGUUCGAAAGAAAUAAAAUAAAAAUAAGAAUAUUGUAAUUGUUUCGUAUUGUAGAAGUUUCAUAAAAAUAUCGUAAGUAAUUUCUUGUUUCAUCGAACUGCAUUAUCGGUUGAUAGUUUCAUAAUACGUUCUUUCUUUCUUUCUGAAAGUUGUGAUCGACAAACCCCCAUCCAAAGAGCAAUGCCAAGAGUGGACUAGGCCUAAUGGCGGUCCCGCAAAAUCGAUCACCGGGGCUAAGAUCUUUUUUGAAGAAAGAUAGCACUUAACAAUAACUAUAUGAUUUGAGGGAAGAUAACUUUAAGCAAUGGAAACUCUCACGGCGGGGUAUCUAACCCGGAACCUUCUAACCAAAAAGGACGAAAAGGAGAGGUUUGAAGGGGAAAGUUCUCUAACCUGGGAAAAAGCCAACUCUUUUAUCUUUUCUUUUCCACGAUGAUAAUAAAGUCUGCCAGAAUACCAAAGUGAACUUAAGUUUAAGAAUUUGAAACUAUCUGAAAGAAGGAUAAUUGUAUUCCGGUUUUUUUCUUUCCUUUCGUUAUCUAGUUCCAUUCCUUUCCUUUCAGUAGCUUCGUUCCUCUCGCUCCUGGCUCGUGUUGCCUGUGCGAAGCAAGCCUUCACUAGUCCAUAAGAGAACGAGUGAAAUAGAUAUCACGAGAAAGAGAAAGGGUGGAAAGUAGGAGUAGAAUAAGAUGGAAAGCAAUCGCGUUCGGGAAAAGAGUUUGCUGAUGAAGACUAUCCCUUAAUCAGAUUAAUAGUUGAUGUGACGUUCUGGACCGGCCACGAGAGAAUAGGAUUUAACGAAGGCAUGUAGCGACCUCCCUUUGGUCGCCUUGCUAAAGCCCUGCAGAGUGAAAAGUGAAAACUGACUUGCCUUACAAAAAAAAAGCGAAGCCCAUGUAUACUGGUAAAAAGAACGGCUAUAAGAAUCAUAGAAAGUAAUAAUGCCAUUCCACGUAUGAAAUCACUAGCGCUUCACAUCUUUUAAACUCGAGACUUCUCCGAAGACGGCAGAUAAUAUCUCAAAGUGGAUACUCUGGAAAGAGCUGAUUCUAUGAUUUGAAUCUAAAUCAGAUACUCGAAAAGAGAUAAAAGGUCUGGUCUGCUUUUCAGUUACUCCCCUGCUACCUUCCCAGAAGAAGGAUAAGGCUUUCCUUUUGAGUUGAAGAAAGGAGCUAAGCUGGUAAGAGACCUAUACCUAUGGUUGAUAAAAGAGAAUAUCUGGCCUCAGAGCUUUCGCUACGCAUUUGAAAACGUAACAAUAUAAGACACAUCGUAGUGCUAGAAAAGACUGAUGUGACUUCCGAGCUUAAAAGCCUUAUUCUAUUAGUUCAGUCAAAGCCUUGCUCUUUACAGAACACAUGGGAAAGAGCAUUUUCUAUCUCUGAGUGAAUCUGAACUUACGGCUUUACGCAAACAAGCCAAUCAUUUCUACUUAGUUCAACUUCUGGGUCGAAGCCGAGGGGAGUAGGGUCUAUGAAAGCAAAUGGGCAUUAACGCGCCUUUCAUCGGUCAUUGAAGGAAAGCGUUUAUGGAGCAACAUGUAUCAACGUGUUAUCUGCCAUGAGCUAAUCUUGUAUAGGAUCAUGAUUAAAGUUUAAGUUGUCAUGAAUCAUUCAUGUAUAAGAUUAUAGUCGGAUAGAUCUCUUGUGUUAAAAAAAGUGUACUCAUUUCAAAUAUUAUAAUGAUUAGUUAUAGCAUAGCUUUAAAAUCUCUAAGACUCUUUAGGGAAGUUAACUGAUAGCGUACUAUUGAGCUGUCUCACUGAUUACUAUACGGGCCUAGGUCAUCCAUCAAGAGCCGCCUCCUGGCCCUGGUGAUGAUGAGAAGUCCCGAUAUAUGAUUAUCAAUUAUAAUAAAAUUCACCUCGAUUGAAUAUCCCGAAUGUUAUCUCGAUAUAUUUUUCUUUUUCUCGAUGUGUUUUUUUUUUCUCGAUGUGAAUGUGCUUUCUUGUGUGUACUUGAGAUUGAUCUCGAUAUAAUGUAUCUUAUUGUGAAUGCUUAGGACUAACCAUGGGUUAUGGUUAUUUGUUCAGAUAUCGAACUGUUGAAGGUUGACUUGGGUGGGAGUGCCCAUUCAAGUGCCGCACGAUCUAUUGCUUGUUGAGGGAAAUCUUAGUCCGUGAUACAUGGUAUUAGUGCACAGUUGAGAAGUGCUAAAAAAUGGAGGAGAUGACCACAAGUGGUGGACCCAAUUAUCAACAGAGAAUUGAGAAACUUGAGGUCACGGUGGCCAUAAUGAAAACUCACAUGGUGACUAAAGAUCGAGUGAGAGAGAUCAAGACAACCCAGCGGGAGUUAUUUGAUACUCUCCACAACAUGAGUGAUGAGGUUAGAGAUGCCUUGAAUAUUCUCCAAAAGGAGUUUGAGGAGCUCAGAGCACAGGUGAGCAUCUUACAAAUGGCUGUGACCAGAUCGGGUUCGAGCUCGACGAAAAAGGGGAAAAAGGCCCAAGGUGCCGGAGCCUCGAUGCAAUGAAGGGGCAAGGGAUGCUAAAGAGCUUGAAAAUUUCUUGUUUGACAUAGAACAGUACUUUCAAGCUGUACACAUAGAUUCAAAUGAAGACAAGGUAGUAAUGGCAUCGAUGUACCUCACAAGGGAUGCCAAGCUAUGGUGGCACUCUAAGUUUGUCAAUGACGAGUGCCCAAUUAAGACUUGGACAGACCUGAAACAAGAACUGAAAAAUCAAUUUUUCCCUGAGAAUGUGGAGUAUAUGGCUCGAAGGAGAUUUUGAGAAUUAGUGUAAAUAGGAACAGUGCGAGAGUUUAUAAGGAGCUUUUCUACCCUGAUGUUGGAUAUUCGAGACAUGUCCGAAAAGACAAGACAUUUUAUUUUCUUAAGGGCCUCAAGCCUUGGGCUAGGACAGAACUACAAAGAUAAAAGUGCAAGACGUGGUCACGGCCAUGGCUGUAGCUGAACGUCUCCAUGAUUAUAAUGAUGGCUCCUCAAAACGAAAAAAUCUUCCAUCAGCUGGUAGUAGCUUCAACUUUGGGAGUGAAAAAAAGAUGACUAGGUUGGACUGGCCCUUUAGUAAGGGAUCAAACAAGAGGUCCUUUGGUCGAGAUAGCAUCCAACCCAAGAUAAGCAACGUAAUGACUUUCAAGUCUAGGCAAUCGCUAGCUUGCUUUUUUUGUAAGGGGCCACAUCGGGCGAUCGAAUACCCACAAAGAGGAGCCCUUAAUGCCUUAAGAGCCUCGUCUUGAGAGUCCGUAAAAGUGCCAGAGAACGUUGAAGAAGUUGAAGAAGUUGAAGAGAAACCAAUCAGGAUGGGUUCAAUAAGGUUCCUCAAUGCUCUCCACACCCAACUGAACACAAUAAAAAAAGAGCAGGGUAGAGGCAUGAUGUAUGUGAACUUAAUGAUUAAUAAGAAGGCCACCAAGGCCAUGAUAGAUAUGAGUGCAAUCGAUACUUUCAUCACAUCAGAAGAAGUAAAAAGGUGUGGUCUCUAGGUUAACAAGGAUUGUGGACGAAUGAAAGCGAUCAAUUCGCCAGCCUUUACGAUCAGUAAAACCUCUAAGAGUGUGACAACUAAAUUGGGGCCAUGAAAAAGGAAGGUAGACUUUAUAAUUUCUCCAAUGGAUGACUUUAAUGUCAUCCUUGGAUUGGACUUCAUGAUGUUAGCUCAGGUGAUCCCUAUCCUCACCUCUAGCUACUUGUUGUUCUUAGGGGAACACCCAUGUGUGGUACUGGCCAAUAUCUUACCAAAGAAUGAUAAGAAAAUGAUUUCAGCUUUAUAGUUUAAGAAAGAGGUAAAGAGAGGGGAACCCUCUUUUGUGGCCAUGCCAAUAUACAAAAAAGGGUCAGAAGUGGAAUCGAUACCUGAUGGCAUGAAAAAAAUGUUGAAAAAAUUUGAAGAGGUGAUGCCAGAGAUGUUGCCUAAGGUUCUACCCCCUCAACGAGCAGUGGACCAUAAAAUUGAGCUCCUCCCAAGAGCAAAACCCCUUGCUAGAGCCCUUUACCACAUAGCCCUGUGAGAGUUGGUCAAACUAAAGAAACAGUUAGAUGAGCUUCUAUAAAUUGGGUUCAUUAGACCAUCAAAGGCUCUUUUCGGAGCGUUAGUGCUAUUUCAGAAGAAGCAUGAUGGAAGUUUAUGAUUAUGUAUUGACUACAAGGCCUUGAACAAAGUCACUGUGAGGAACAAAUAUUUCAUCCCUCUUAUAACAUAUUUGUUUGAUCAAUUGAGUCGGGCUAAGUACUUUUCCAAAUUGGACUUGAGAUCUAGCUACCAUCAGGUUAGAAUCGUAGAGGGAGAUGAGCCAAAGACCACUUGUGUAACAUGAUAUGGUGUAUUUGAAUUUCUUGUUAUACCUUUUGGACUGGCCAAUGUUCCUGUCAUAUUUUAUACAUUGAUGAAUCAGGUGUUCCAUGACUACCUAGAUAAAUUUGUAGUCAUCUAUUUAGAUGACAUAGUGGUAUAUAGCUCCACUCUAGAAGAACAUCAAGAACACUUGCACCAGGUGCUUCGAAGGUUACAAGACCAUCAGUUAUACAUGAAAAUAGAGAAGUGUGCAUUUGCUCAGACCCAAAUCUAUUUUUUCGAUCAUAUUGUCGAACAUGGCCACAUUCGAAUGGACAUGAAAAAAGUUAGAGCCAUCAAAGAGUAGACAACAUCGAAGAAUGUUAAUGAACUUUGCUCAUUUUUUAGACUAGCCAACUAUUAUAGAAAGUUUAUGGAAAGGUACUCUCGCAAGACCACGCCCCUUACAGAGCUAUUGAAGAAGGAGCAUAAAUGGUGUUAGACGAGUGAAUGCCAAGAAACUUUUGAAGGAUUGAAGAAUGCUAUUAUGAAGGAUCCCAUCUUAGCUCUCUCUGAUAUUGAAAAACCUUUCAAAGUUCAGACGGAUGUAUUUGAUUUCGCUAUUAGAGGAAUACUUUUACAACAACAUCACCCGAUAGCAUUUGAAAGUAAAAAGCUAAGCGAAGCUGAGAGAAAAUAUACGGCCCAGGAAAAAGAGCUCCUGGCGGUAGUUCACUGCUUGAGGGUUUGGCGACAUUAUUUGUUGGGUUCACACUUUAUCGUGAAGACAGACAAUACGAUCAUUAGCCAUUUUCUCACCCAACUAAGGCUUGUAGCAAAACAAGCUAGAUGGUAAGAAUUUUUAAUAGAGUUUGACUUUUAUUUUAAGCACACCGCUAGAAAGACCAAUCAAGUGGCCGAUGCAUUGAGCAGGUGAACAGAGUUAAAGGCCUUUAGAAAAAUUACCCUAAUGACGACUAGCAGAGCCAUGAUAGACGUUCGUAAGUUGAUUGGAGAUCAUUUAGGGAAGGACCCACAGGGUAGUGCCAUCCUGAAGCUAGUGGAAGAGGGGAAGUUCAAGUACUUCUGGUAAGAAAAUGGGGUCUUAUGGACCAAGACCCUCAAUUGUUUAUGCCAAGAGCAGGAGGUCUGAGAUAUAUGCUGAUGAGGGAAUGUCACGACACACCAUGGGUCGAACAUCCGGGCUGGCAACACACUUUGACGUUAUUGAAAUAGGGAUACUAUUAGCCUCACAUGCGAUAAGAUGUGAUGGACUAUACAAAGACUUACCUUAUUUACCAACAAGAUAAAGUUGAAAAGAGAAAACCUGCAGGCAUACUUGAACCACUAUCGAUACCUGUCAGACUGUGGGAAAGCAUCUCUUUCGAUUUCAUUUCGAGCCUACCCAAGGUUGGUGAUCUUGGAGCUAUUUUGGUAGUGAUUGAUCAGUUCUCUAAGUACGUCACAUUCAUUAUCGUUCAUAAAUAUUAUACAGUGAAAAACACAGCUCGACUAUUAUUCAAACAUGUGGUCAAAUACUGGGACCUCCCUAAAAACAUUAUCAGCGAUAAAGACUCAAGAUUCACGGGGUCUUUUUGGAGAGAACUUUUCAAGAUAUUAGGUUGUAACUCAACAUCUCCUCAAGUUACUACCAUUGAACCGACGAUCAAACGAAACGGUUCAAUGGAUUACUAGAGGAAUACUUAAGGCACUUUGUUCAAGCUAAUCAAAAGAACUGGCCUUCGUUAUUAGACGUUGCUCAACUCUGCUUUAAUUCCAACAAAAGCUCUUCCACCAAUAAGAGCCCAUUUGAAGUGGUCACUGAAUAAUUACCAAGGCUAUCUCACACUUUUUUGGAACAAUAUGGAAAGAAGAAUCCAAAAGCCUUCAACCUCGAUAAGGAAUGGAAACAAAACACGGAGAUUGCACAAGCUUACUUGGAGAAAGUAUCAAAGUGAAUGAAAAAAUGGGCAGAUAAAGGUUGCAUGGCUCAACAAUUCCAAGUUAGUGAUUUGGUUCUUGUUCGACUAGUCUCUGAAUAAAUCGGGUUCUUGAGAAAGAGAGAUCGUAGAUUGGUGUGUAAAUAUGAGGGUCUAAUGAAGAUUUUUUCCAAGAUGGGGAAUACUUCUUACAAAAUCAAUCCACCAAAAUGGAUGAAGGUGCACCCAGUAUUUCAUGUGAGCAACCUGAAACCUUUCCAUAUAGAUCCUACAGAUGCUAGCUGAAAGGAGCCAACUAGAGCCACCAUCACCAUGAAACCACCCUCAAAGCGUCGAGUCGAAGAGAUUUUAGCCGACAGGGAAACUAAGAUAUCUCGAAGACUAGUUCGAGAAUACUUAGUAAAAUGAGAGGGAUUAGGACUAAAAGAAACCAGUUGGAAAAGAGAACACAACCUUCAGAGAUUCGAAAGAAAGAUUGAAGAAUUUCAAGCCAGAAGUCGAUGAGAACAUUGAUAGAAUAGGUGGGGGAGGAUGUCAUGAGCCAACUUUGUAUAGGACCAUGACCGGGGCUUAGGUUGUCAUGAGCCACCCAUGUAUAGGGCCAUGAUUGGGUAGAUCUUUUGUGCUAGAAAAAAUGUCCCAAUUUCAAAUAUUGUAAUGAUUAGUGGUAGCAUAGCUCUAAAAUCUCUAAAGUUCUUUAGGGGAGUGAGCUGACAGUGUAUUGUUGGGCUGUCUCACCGGUUACUAUAUGGGCCUAGGCCAUCCACCAAAGGCUGUCCCCUGGCCCUAGUGAUGGUGGAAGGUCUCGAUGUAUGAUUAUCGAUUAUAAUAAAAUUCACCCGAUUGAAUGUCUUAAAUGUUAUUUCGAUGUGUUUUUCUUUUUUUCGAUGUGAAUGUGCCUUCUUGUGUGUGCUUGAGAUUGAUCUCGAUAUAAUGUGUCUUAUUAUGAAUGCUUGGGAUUAAUCAUGGCUUAUGGUUAUUUGUUCAGAUAUCGAACUAUUGAUGGCUGACUUAGGUGGGAGUGUCCAUUUAAGUGCCGUACGAUCUAUUAUUUAUUGAGAGAAAGCUUAGUCUGUGACACUGUCCUUCUGUCUCUGAUCCCCAAUAUGAGUGAGACCAAGAUGGCUGACUGGAGUGCCACAAAGAAGCUGGUCAUGUCAUGGCUUCUCAAUGCAAUUGAGCCUACAAUUGCUACCAGUCUUAUGUUUAUGGCAUCGGCAAAACAGGUAUGGUCCUUUAUCUCCAUGAUCUUUAUUCCAUAGGAAAUGAAGCUAAGAUAUUCCAGCUUGAAUAAUCAGUCCCAAAUCUUAGUCAGGGGGAUAUGACUGUUGCUGAGUACUAUACUCAACUUAAGACCAUAUGGUCAGAGAUCUUCAACUAUCAACCAGUUAUUUCCUGCACUUGUGAUUGUUCCAAUGCCCAAGGAAAAGAAAACAGAGGUUAUGCAAAAGUGAACUUCCCCUUUUUUUUUCACGUAGAGCAGGUUUUCCCUCAAUGUAGAGGCCUUAGUUGUUCCCUAGGUACUCCCCAGAUCGCGAGUACUGAUAGAUAUUGGGUCUAUCCAUCGGCCUUCUCUAAUAGGGCACUCAACCAUCCCAUGGUCAAGUGCGCAAGAAAAAAACUAAAGCAAGAACCAGACCGAUCCACCAAUCAAAUCAGUGAAAAACGCUCUCCAUUUUCACUUGGCUUGAAGGCUUACACAAACCAAAGAAGUGAAAAAAGAAAUUUCGACAGGACUGAAAGCACCAAGUCAGAAAGAAACGAGCAAGUGUCGUGUGCAAGUGUGGCUUUCAAGCUUGUCUCCCUGUUGCCUUAAGCCUGGAGACCGGGGGUGCUUAGGACCAGAGGUGCUUGCAGACCGGAGGUCGCGGCAGCUUGCUUGCUAAGGUACGAACUAGUGCUGGUAAAUGAACGAACCUGUGAAUUCAAGCGGCAGAACUUUGGACUUACAACAUAGGGGCUCCCUGACGAUCCCGAACCUUCCAACCAAAAGUGAUGGGUAUGUGUUGUUUCUUGGCACUCUCUUUCUUUGUUAUGCCAACCUAAAAAGAGAUAGGGAUACGGAGCUUGACUUGAAAACAAACAAUUGGCACUGCCCCCCUAUCACAACAAGGCAGAUAGGGCACUUUUUGCCUUCAAAAAAAAAGUCCAGGAUACGAAAACAAUUCCUCUCAAAAAAAUAAAAAGAGCGAUUGAGAGUGGAUUUUAGGUUCUAUAGUGUCGAGAAGGUAUUCGCCACCGGUGACCGUACUUUCGUAAAAGCAUCAUUGGGCGGUGGUUCCUCUCUUUUCUCUUGAACCUCGAACAAAAAAUAGAUCUCGCCAUCAGCUCGACUAAGAGUUCCAAAUCGAAAAAGUAAACUGAACUUGACUUAAGACGAAGGAACCGAGCGCCGAAAAAAAUCGCUUUAAAAAGGCUUCAAACUACUAGUCAUUAAGACUACUAUGAAAUAAAAGUAAGGAAGUCCUUUUCUUGACUUGGCCUGCGUGCAUUAUACCUACCCCCUUUUUCAAAUAACUUUCUUUCAAUCUCAACAAAGAAAUGAAAGCAUAACUCUUUGCUUGUUGUCCUCUUACUCUUUUAGCCUGCCUUGUGGGGGUUUCUCGGGUGUCUACGGCGGAUCCGAUCAGUCUCGUGAUGAAGAGAAGUCUUUUCCAAUCUUCCACGUUGAAAGGUAUCGUCACGACAACUAAAUUUGCCCGGUAAACUACUCGGGACUCCCCAUGGUUUAGUAAAAGGGAGGGGAGAUUUUCUCUUCAUCCGGGGGUUCAUUUCAUUCAUUAUGAACUCAAAAGUUGUUGGCUGAUUAGUGAGGUCUUAAAAACUUCAUACAAUAAAUGAUCAGCCAUUCCAUUUGUGCUUUCAGCAAGUAGGCGACGCGAAUCUAUGGUUUCUAUGUUUCAAUCGGAUACCAAUUGCUUGGAUGCGUUUGAAAGCCUCGAGAUUACUUGCAGAAAAAAUUCUUUCUAGGUUUGUCUUGUGUCUCCGUAACAAAUGGUCCAUUUAUUGAUGGGCGAACGACGGGGAUUGAACCCGCGCGUGGUGGAUUCACAAUCCACUGCCUUGAUCCACUUGGCUACAUCCGCCCCUACCCCCACACAGGUUUCAGUCUCUAUCUACGAUCAGAUCCUUUCUGAACCCCCCCUAUGACCGCUAUCAAAGAGAAGCUUUUUCCUAUACGCAAGUCUAUUGUUGUGUUUUGGGAAGAAAAGCUUCAACAAGUAGAAGCUUCCUGGAAAAGCUUCAAACAAAGAGGUUGGGCUGUUCACUUCAUUGAUUUGACUUCACUUUACUUAAGAUUAAAGAUAGGGGCCGGGCGGGCAGUGAAGGCUCGUUUAGUAGACAGCCAGCUACGGCUUUGACGAGCAGCAAGCGGAGCUUGAAGAAGCGAGCCCCUAUCAGAGAAAGCCAUUGCGCGCUAGCCCCUUGUUUGUAUAGGAUUCCAAACCUGCGCACCCUUAAACUACAAGCUUUGAAGCCCCUACUUUCUUUAUGGGAUAUUUUAAGAAGCCCCUUUCUACAAACCUUUCCAUAAUAGUUGGGAAGCUCGAAGAGCUUUCUUCGCAUGCUUGAGCGCAUCUUUUCCCUUUCUAUUAGUAAGGUUGUCAAAAGGCUUUCCUUGAGUUCCUUUAUGACUAAACGUUUAGAAUAGGGGUAGGGGGGCGCUAACGAGCAAGAAAAGGCCCCAACCUAUAGAUAGGCUAACGCGCCUUUACUAAUAUUAGAAUAGUUGGCGCUUCUUUCUCAAAGUCAAGUUUCUCGCUUGUUGCUUUAGAAAGAUUGCGGGGGCGCUAACGCGACCUUCCUUCAGCUGGCUCCGCCCUAUCUAUUCAUCUCUUUUUUCAAAUGGAUAUUUGGGGAUCUCUCUUGUUUAUAGAUCUUGAAACCAGAUCAAUAUCCAUUUUUCAAUAGUUCUUUCUAUCGAUAAAUAGAAAGAUAUAGAUCUCUAUCUGGAUCUAUCUCCAUAUCUAAAUAUGGAAGAACCAACCCAACAAGGGCGUAACCAACGGAAGGUUCUCGCCCUGUCCCCGACAUUGUUCUCCGACGAUGGCCCCUGGGCGAAAGGGGCCACCAUUCUCUUUCUUUCUUCAAUCGUUCCGAUCAGGACAAGUGGGUUGGUUCGUUUCGUCCUCCUAUCUACGCAAUUCUCUGUCUUCGUUCGUGAUCAUGUUAGGCGAAAGGUAGUUGUAGAGGAGCGGCUGUGAAACGGCGAUUCCCCCCUUUCCAUUGAAGUAGGGGGGGCCUCCUUCCCCACCAUUCCGGCCUAUUAUUGAUAGGGAUUUGACCGAUGCUGAAGGUAGCUUGCUUACCAAGCCACCCACUUGAGAAGCUAGUCGCCAGAAAGAAGCGACGAGGAAGCGAAGCUGUCGUAGAAGCUUUGCCCCCCCUGUAGUCGUAGUACUCGGCUCGUCGCUACUUUGAUUCAAAAGGUAACCGACGGUUCCCGACUUUCUCCGGUUUCCGCAACCGUAACCAUUUGUCACUCCAAUUACUUCAUCCAAAAACCUUUUUUUAGAGCUAUAAAAAAAGUCAAGGAUAAGCUUGCAUUCUAGAAGCGGUAGCUUCCCGCCUCCUUCAUUCCUACUGCCUCCUUCGGCCCUUCCCUUUUCUAAACCUGCCUCAGAAAAUGUACAAAGUGGACCGCUGUUUGGCUGACCCUCUUAUUCCCAUUCGGGUUGGGUUGACCCAAAAGUCAAGUAAGAAGGAAUGGAACCACUGGAGAGUCGUCUGCAGUUCACACUUGGGCAAAGACAACUUACUUUGAAAGCGGAACACGAACCGAUUGGAGCUAUUCCGGGUUCUUAUUUUUCGUAGCGAAAUCAAGGUUUAUGAGAAAGUAAGCGAAGUUUCUAUGGUGUUCUACCUUUGCGUAGUCCCGGUCCACAGUUCCAGGCUCCGUCCCUUAGCCUAGUCUAUAUCUACAGCUGACGCAACUCCGUACCGACGCCUUACUACUACAACAUUAAUUAACGGCUAAGCGAUUUCAUAACCUGAGCUUUCCUUAACCAGCUGACCUUACGAAGUAAGCUUAGCCUCCCUUUCUUUAUAGUUCGACUAAGUGACUUCGUAACCUUAACGUACUUUCUUUCUUACUUUAGCAUAGGCCUUCGCCACUUCAAACGGGCGCUUCGCCCCUAUUUUCUUUUUUUUUUUUUUUUAGGGCCUUACUUAUUCUGUUCAGGGGGGAUGAAAGACAAAGAAAGGGAUCAGGGGGCUUUAUGAUCGGAGAAAGGGAAGGGGCGUGGUUGGUGUGUUACUGGGUCGGUGGGGAACCCAUAGGAAGGGGGGACGACCCGCCGAAUUCACAUCAGAAAUCGCCAACAUGAACACAAACGAAAUCUUGAAUUGCGUAUAGAAACAAAACGAACCACUUCUAUUGUCGGAGCUGAGGUAUAUGAAGAAUGGCUUUUUGGUCCCUUUCGUCCAGUGGUUAGGACAUCGUCUUUUCAUGUCGAAGACACGGGUUCGAUUCCCGUAAGGGAUAGGUACUCAUUCCCGGCCGCUUUCAGUUAGUGUUCAUUGCUGAGUGAUCGCUCGCUAUCUGGCUGGAAAAGGUGGUCCGGAAGCUUCCUUUCUCCCAGCAAGCAAGACGAGAUCACCACUUCUCUCAGUAAUGGACUUCCUUUCAUUCUUUCUUAGUCUUAGAUGUCCUUUCAUAGAUUCUCGAACCUCCGAGAGACAGAAUCUCCAUGCAUGCGUUCUUUCUCUCCUCCCCUCCCUAAUACCUAAUACAUAGUUCCGUCUAUGGAGCCUAAAGCAACAACCAUGGCAUGGCAGUAAGAAGUAAGUUGGCCUAGUCUCUCGCCCAGCUUUCGCCUUCUUCAGUGGCCAAGUUGAAGCGUUCAACGGUUCUUCGGCCUACCGCCUUUCUUUUUUUUUCAAGGUUGAGCUUGUUCAAUUGAAGCUAAUGCUAUGCUGCCCUUCCCUUGUUCAAGAGAAAGCGAGGACUUUCUUUUCUUUUUUUUUAGUUACCGACCUAAACAAAAGAGAUUAGCCUCUUGAUCGAUCGAUUGAUUGGAUCGAAGUACGAAGUACGAAGUACGAAGGGGUUGAUUGAAGUAUGAGAUCAGCCCAAGACUAAGGCCGAGCAACUAGCUGCUGCAAGAUUGGACGUCUAUCUAUCUCACCACGCCCCCUACUCCUAUAAGGGCCGGUGGAAGGAAUGCUCUGCUCAUCUUUUCUUACGGCUCGUUACCGCAGCGCUCGUUCGCCCCUUCGGCUUUUUCAAUUCAAAAAGGCCUGGUAAAUAGCGUCUUGAAGCAAAGGCAUUAUUGAACGAAAGAGAUGCCGGGUCGGUCAAUUGCAUUAGGUAGGAGAUGCAGGACCUGUCUUAACCGCAAGUGCAUUCGCUAUUCGAUUCCAUCCUCGAUCCCACAAAAUUUGGAUUCCUUUGUAUCUCUUCUUUACUUUUAAGUGACAAGGGGGGUGACAAACGGUAUACUUUCUUCUCUAUGUCGCCGUCUCAUCAAUGAGCGUAGAUUGAUAGAGAUGGCUUUUGUGCUGGUCAAUCUGUAUCCCAUUCUUCAGGUAGAGUUUUGUUUGAUCAUAGAUCGGCAGGUGACCCGUCCUUUCUCCCCCUUUCGUCAUAAGGCGUGGUCUGACUCUGAGAAAAACCAUUCCUGUGUUUAGGUCCCUACUAAGCAGAAUUCGUAAACUAUGCAAGGGCUAUUUGUUGACUUUUUUAAGAAUUUUGAACAAGAAAAGCAAAAACAAUUCUCAACGCCCUUACGAGGUAGUGAUGAGUUAAACUACUCGUGUUGGCAUGGAAGUCAGCCCGGUAAACUGAUUCCAUUCUGCUACUAGGGUUCCAAACCUUCCCCUUAGCUCUAGAAAGACGUUUCCUUAUCAAGAGAUGCUAAAGCUAUUUAUAGUUGUUUAAGUCGGAAGGAGGGCUUUGGGCAAAGAGCAACUGGAAAGUACUUGACUUCAGUCCCAGUACUGAAAGACGUGACUUCAGGAGUUUCUUUCGGAAGGAAAGACUUCGUUUACUUCCUGCAAAUUUUUUUUGUAAGAACUAGUAGAAAGAAAGGAAUUAGGAAAAAAAAUGGGUAGGCCUUCUGAGCAGUCAUUUAGGGGCCUUGUUAGCGACCCUUCAUUCUUCCCUAAGCUGUCAGAGUCCGAUCGAAGCGAGCAAGAGAAAGAGGAAUCAUCGCUCAUAGAUGUGAAUUGAGCCGAAUUCUUUUUAAUUAGGCUUUCUAGUAUGGUCCCUGUCCCGGGUAAGGUCUGAUUGUUAUCCGCAAGUGUUGUUUAGUUUUGACCGCGGGAAGAUGAACUUUCCAAAAAUGCUUAUUUGGUUGGGAAAGAGAGGACUUCUGACUCCGAGCCUACCCUACCCAAAAACAAGUUUCAGCUAUUGAUGUAGCCUCUUGUCGCUACUUACUAGAGGAAUCCCUUCUAUACCACUUAACAAAAGCAAAAAUCCCAUCAAGAUAGAUUGAAUCGACGACCUAUACUUCAACUAAAGGCACAAGGGAAGAAAGAGUUCAAGAGCACAGAACAGAGGAAAUGCACAUGGGUCUCCUUGAAUAACGAAGUCUAAGAUAAAGAAAGAAAGGUAGAGUGGGCUUCUAGUUGCUCUGCUUGGAUUGGCAUGGCUGUCCCCCUUUGCUGGUUGAGGCUUGGUGUCACGGAUUAAAUUUUCUCUCAACAAGUAAUAGAUCGUGCGGUACUUGAAUGGACGCUCUCAAUCAAGUUAGCCUUCAAUAGAUCGAUAUUUGAACAAAUAAUCAUAAGUCAUGGUUAGUCACAAGCAUUCACAAUAAGGCACAACAUAUCGAGAUCAAUCUCAAGCACACACACAAAAAGACAUAUUCGCAUCGAGAAAAAGAAAAACACAUCGAGACAACAAUCAGGACAUUCAAUCGGGAUGAGUUUUAUUAUAAACGAGAAUCAUAUAUCGAGACCUCCCACCAUCACUAGGGCCAGGGGAGCAACCUUUGGUGGGUGGCCUAAGCUCGUAUAGCAACCGGUGAGACAGCCCAACACUACGCUACCGGCUCACCCCCCUAAAGAGCCUUAGAGAUUUUAGAGCUAUGCUACCAGUAAUCAUUUAAUAUUUGAAAUGGAGACACUUUUCCUAGCACAAGGGAUCUACCCGGCCAUGACCCUAUACAUGGGUGGCUCAUGACAACCUAAGUCCUGGUCAUGGCCCUAUACAAGGUUGGCUCAUGACAUCCUCCCUCCACCUAUUCUAUCGACGUCCUCGUUGACUUGCUAACUUGAAAUUUUUCAAUCUUCCUUUGAAAUCUCUAGAGGUCGUGCUCUCUCUCCCAGUUGGUUUCUUCUAGUCCUAAUCCAUCUCACUUCACUAAGUACUCCCGAACUAGUCUUCGAGAUAUCUUGAUUUCCCUGUCAGCCAAGAUCUCUUCGACUUGACGCUCUGAGGGUGGCUUCAUGGUGAUGGCAGCUCUGGUUGGCUCUCUUCGGCUAGCAUCUGUAGGAUCUGCAUGCAAAGAUUUUCAGAUUGCUCACAUGAAAUACUGGGUGCACCUUCAUCCACUGUGGUGGGUCAAUUUUGUAAAAGCAUUCCCCACCUUGGAAAGGACCCUUACUGGACCUUCAUAUUUGCGCACCAGUCUAUGAUCUCUUUUUCUCAAGAACCUGAUUUGUUCAGGAACUAGUCGGACAAGAACCAAAUCACCAGCUUGAAAUUGUUGAGCUCUACGACCCUUAUCUACCCAUUUUUUCAUCUGCUUUGAUGCUUUCUCCAGGUAGGCUUAUGUAAUCUCUGUGUUUUGUUUCCACUCUUUGCUAAGAUUGAAGGCUCUCGGAUUCUUUCCUCCAUAUUACUCCAAGAAAGUGUGGGGUAGCCUUGGUAGUUGUCCGGUGACCACCUCAAAUGGGCUCUUGUUGGUGGAAGAGCUUUUGUUGGAAUUAAAGCAGAGUUGAGCCACGUCCAAUAAUGAAGGCCAGUUUUUCUGAUUAGCUUGAACAAAAUGCCUCAAGUAUUCCUCUAAUAAUUCGUUGAACCGUUCCGUUUGACCAUCGGUUUGAAGGUGAUAGCUUGAGGAGAUGUUGAGUUGGGACCCCAAUAUUUUGAAAAGUUCUCUCUAAAAGGACCCCGUAAAUCUCGGAUCUCGAUCACUGACAAUGUUUUGAGGGAGGCCCCAGUAUUUGAUCACAUGUUUGAAUAAUAGUCGAGCUGUGUCUUCUACAGUGCAAUACUUGUGAGCGGGAAUGAAUGUGACAUACUUAGAGAAUCGAUCAAUUACCACCAAAAUCGCUCCAAGGUCACCAACCUUGGGUAGGCUCGAAAUGAAAUCGAGGGAGAUGCUUUCUCACGGUCUGGUGGGUACUGGUAGUGGUUCAAGCAUACCUGCAGGUUUCUUUCUUUCAACCUUAUCUUGUUGACAAAGAGGCAAGUCUUCGUAUAGUCCAUCACAUCUUGUCGCAUGUGAGGCUAAUAGUAUCCCUGUUUCAAUAACGCCAAAGUGCAUUGCCAACCCGGGUGUCCCGCCCAUGGUGUAUCAUGACAUUCUCUCAUUAGCAUCUGUCUCAGAUCUUCUGCUCUUGGCAUAAACACUCGAGGCCCCUUGGUCCAUAGGAUCUCAUUUUCUUGCUAGAAGUACUUGGACUUCCCUUCUUUCACUAGCUUCAGGAUGGCACAAGCUUGCAGGUCUUUCCUUAAGUGAUCUCCAAUCAAUUUGUGAAUGUCUGUAGUGGCUCUACUAGCCACCAUUGGGGUAAUUCUUCUAAGGGCCGCUAGAUCUAUUCGCCUAUUCAAUGCAUCGGCCACUUGAUUGGUCUUUCCAGCGGUGUGCUCAAAACAAAAGUUGAAUUUCGUUAAAAAUUCCUGUCACCUAGCUUGUUUUGUCGUAAGCCUUGGUUGGGUGAGAAAAUGGCUAACGACCGUAUUGUCUGUCUUCACGACAAAUUGUGAACCCAACAAGUAAUGUCGCCAAGCCCUCAAGCAGUGAACCACCGCGAGGAAUUCUUUUUCCUAGGUCGUAUAUUUCCUUUCAGCUUCACUUAGUUUCCUACUUUCAAAUGCUACCGGGUGAUGUUGUUACAAAAGCACUCCUCCAACAACAAAAUCGAAUGCAUCCGUCUGAACUUCGAAGGGCUCUUCAAUAUCAAGGAGAGCUAAAAUGGGAUCCUUCAUAAUAGCAUCCUUCAAUCCCUCGAAUGCCUCUUGGCACUUACUCGUCCAACACCAUUUACGCUCCUUCUUCAAUAGCUCUGUGAGGACUAUGGUCUUGCGAGAGUACCCUUCCACAAACCUUCUAUAGUAGUUGGCUAGUCCCAAAAAUGAACGGAGCUCACUAACAUUCUUCGGUGUUGUCCACUCCUUGAUGGCCCUGACCUUUUCCAUGUCCAUUCGAAUGUGGUUACGUUCGACAAUGUGAUCGAGAAAAUGGAUUUGGGUCUGAGUAAAAGUACACUUCUCCCUUUUUACGUAUAAUUGGUGGUCAUGUAAUCUUUGAAGUACUUGGUGCAGGUGCUCUUGAUGUUCUUCCAAGAUGGAGCUAUAUACCACUAUAUCGUCUAAAUAGAUGACUAUAAAUUUGUCUAGGUAGUCAUGGAACACCUGAUUCAUCAAUGUACAAAAUGUGGCAGGAACAUUGGUCAGUCCAAAAGGCAUAACAAGAAAUUCAAAUGCACCAUACCAUGUCACACAAGUGGUCUUUGGCUCAUCUCCCUCAACGAUUCGGACCUGAUGGUAGCCAGAUCUCAGGUCCAAUUUGGAGAAAUACUUGGCCCGGCUCAAUUGAUCAAACAAGUCUACUAUAAGGGGAAUGGGAUAUUUAUUUCUUACGGUGACUUUGUUCAGGGCCCUGUAGUCAACACAUAAUCAUAAACUUCCAUCGUGCUUCUUCUGAAAUAGCACUAGCGCUCCGAAAGAAGCCUUUGAUGGUCUGAUAAACUCGACUUGUAGCAGUACAUCUAACUGCUUUCUUAGUUCGACCAACUCUGACGGGACCAUGCGGUAGGGCACUCUAGCAGGGGGUUUCACUCUUGGGAGGAGCUCGAUUUCAUGGUCCACUGCUCGUCGAGGAGGUAAAACUUUAGGCAACAUCUCUAGCAUCACCUCUUCGAAUUCUUCCAACACUUUUUCCACACCAUCAGGUAUUGGUUCUACUUUCGACCCUUCUUUGUAAAUUGGCACCGCCACAAAAGAAGGUUCCCCUCUCUUUAUCCCUUUCUUGAACUGCAAAGCUGAAAUCAUUUUCUUCCCACUCUUUGGUAAGAUGUUGGCUGGCACCACAUAUGGGUGUUCUCCUAAGAACAACAAGCAACUAGCGGCGGGGAUAGGGAUGACCUGAGCCAACAUCAUGAAGUCCAAUCCGAGGACAACAUCAAAGUCAUCCAUGAGGGAAACUGUAAAAUCUACCUUCCCCACCCAUGGCCUUAAUCGGGUUGUCACACUUUUGGAGCUUCCACUGAUCGUAAAGGCUGGUAAAUUGACCGCCUUCAUUCGUCCACAGUCUUUAUUAAUCUGAAGACCACACCUUUUUACUUCUUCUGGUGUAAUGAAAGUGUCGGUUGCACCCGUAUCCACCAUGGCCUUGGUGGCUUUCUCAUUGAUCGUCAAGUUCACAUACAUCAAGUCUCUACUCUACUCUUUCUUUAUAGUGUUCAAUUGGGUGCGGAGGGCAUUGAGGAAACUUAUUGAACCCAUCCUGGCUGGCUUCUCUUCAGCUUUUUCAACGCUCUCUAGCACUUUUACGAACUCUUCAGACGAGGUCCUUAAGGUAUUAAGGGCUCCCCUGUGCGGGCAUUCAGCCAUCCGAUGCGGCCCCUUGCAAAGAAAGCAAGCUAACGGUUACCUAGGCUUGAAAAUCCCUGGGUUGCUUGUCUUGGGUUGGGUGCUAUCUCGACCAAAAGACCUCUUGUCUGAUCCUCCACUAAAGGGUUUGUCCAACCUGGUCAUCUUUCCCCCACUCUCAAAGUUAAAGCUACUGCCAGUUGAUGGAGGAUUUUUCUGUUUUAAGGAGCCAUCAUUGUAAUUGUGAAGACGUUCAGCUGCAGCCAUGGCCGUGGCCACAUCUUGCACUUUCUAUCUUUCUAGUUCUGUCCUCGCCCAAGGCUUGAGGCUCUCAAGAAAAUAGAACAUCUUGUCCUUUUCGAACAUGUCCCGAAUAUCUAACAUCAGGGUAGAAAAGCUUUUCACAAAUUCUCGCACCGUUCCGAUUUGCACCAACUCUCGAAGUCUCCUUCGAGCCAUAUACUCCACAUUCUCAGGGAAAAAUUGGUUUUUUAAUUCUCGCUUCAGAUCCGUCCAAGUUUUAAUCGGGCACUCGUCAUCGACAAACUUGAAGCGCCACCACAGCUUGGCAUCUCCUACGAGGUACAUCGACGCCAUUGUCACCUUGUCUUCCUCUGAAUUUGUGUGUACAGCUCGAAAGUAUUGCUCCAUGUCAAACAAGAAAUUUUCAAGUUCCCUAGCAUCCCUUGCCCCCUCAUAGCAUCAAGGCUCCGGUACCUUGGGCCUUUGUCUCCUUUCCAUCGAGUUCGAACCCGAUCUGGCCACAGCCAUUUGUAGGAUGCUCAUCUGUGCUCUGAGCUCCUCAAACUCCUUUUGGAGAAUGUUCAAGGCAUCUCUAGCCUUUUCGCUCACAUUGUGGAGAGUAUCGGACAACUCCCGUUGGGUUGUCUCGAUCUCCCUCACUCGGUCUUUCGUCACCAUAUGAGUUUUCAUUGCGACCACCGCGGCCUCAAGUUCCUCAAUUCUCUGUUGAUGAUCCGGUCGACCACUUAUGGCCAUUUCAUCUAUUUUUCUAGCACUUCUCAACCGUGCUCUGAUUCCACGUGUCACGGACUAACAUUUCUCUCAACAAGUAAUAGACCGUGCGGCACUUGAAUGGGCGCUCCCAACCAAGUUAGCUUUCAAUAGAUCUAUAUCUGAACAAAUAACCAUAAGCCAUGGUUAGUCACAAGCAUUCACAAUAAGGCACAACAUAUCGAGAUCAAUCUUAAGCACACACACAAGAAGGCAUAUUCGCAUCGAGAAAAAGAAAAACAGAUCGAGGCAACAAUCGGGACAUUCAAUUGGAUAAGUUUAUUAUAAACGGAAUCAUACAUCGGACCUCCCACCAUCAUCAGGGCCAGGGGGACAGCCCUUGGUGGGUGGCCUAAGCUCGCAUAGUAACCGGUGAGACAGCCCAACAUUAUGCUGUCGACUCACCCCUUAAAGAGCCUUAAAGAUUUUAGAGCUAUGCUACCAGUAACCGUUACAGUGUUUGAAAUGAGAACACUUUUCCUAGCACAAGGGAUCUACUCGACCAUGACCCUAUACAUAGGUGGAUCAUGGUAACUUAAGUCCUGAUCAUGACCCUAUACAAGAUUGGCUCAUGACACUUGACCUUUGACUCUGCUUGCCUCUACUUUUCAUGUCAAGCGUACAAGUGUUGUUUAGUGGGAUUUACCUUUCAAGACAGGAAUUGUUUUUCAUCUUAUCGGAAAAGACCCUGUAUAAGUCGACGUCUUAACCUGACUUCCUGAGCUCAGUUGAUUGUUGAAGCAGUAGCUCUGGAUCGAGAGCUGGAUGCUUACCUUAUUAUUAUUAAAAGGGGAAAGGCGUAGGCGUAGGCUAAAAGAAAGCAUCUUCCUCUGGGCGUGAAGCGCUAUGUUAGUCUUUCGUCUCCUACUUUAUUUGUUUCCCCCUUUACUGAAAAGGUCAAAUCGGUUCCCUCCUUACACAAACCAGAUAGAGUUGGUUUCGAGUGUCCAUCAUGUUGAUGGAUCCUUUCUUAACGAUUUUCUAGUUUAGAGAAAAUCUUUCAUUCUCGAUUCAAAUCAAUCCAGAUUCAGAGUCGGCCAUUUCUUCUGACACUUGAUCUGAACUUUCAUUAUGGUUACGGUGCUUUGCCUCCUCUCCAAGAGGACGGGGACUCGCAGGCAAACCCGUUAUUCAAGGGGAUGAAUCAGGUGCAGGGGUUAGCUUCGGAUUCGUAUAGGUGAUAUAAGAAAGAGCAUGUGGGGUUUUUUUACUUCCUUAAAGGAGAAGCCAAUGAAUUCUGUGAUUUGACUAUUCUCGGUAAAGUAGUUAAACAGCUAGUGGCGUGUAUCAAAGGUUAUCUUGUGCGUCUGUUUGUAGGAGAUUCAAAAGGCUUUGAUUGUGUAAUAAUUUUGUGCUUAUUAGGUCCCUGUUUUUUUUUUUUUUUUUGAUAAAUGAAAAUAGUGUCCAUUGAGACCAACUAGUUAUAGAGUGACCGUUUACACACCUUCUCGGGCCAGUGUAGUGGUCCCAUUAUGACAGUGAAACGAUCAAAAGAUGCCGAUUAGAAAGGCAGGGCCGAAGCUUUACUAAUAAGGACUAGUCUUGCUUCUCCAGCUCCACCAGAGCAUUUAAAAAGAGCGCUCGGGAAUAAAGCCUAAUCAAAGCGGGCAAAGAGAAAGAUCGUGUAACUUGACAGGUGCAGCCACGACGGCUUGUUCCUCAACCGCAGUAGUUCUUGUUCUUCUUCUUUCUCAGAGGUCGAUUCAGCAGCUUCAGUGACCUCCAUGCUUAGUCUUUGUAUUGCAGGUUCUAAUCCUGAAAUGGAUUCUUGUGGGCCAGUCUCGGGAGGGAUAGCUUCGCUCCUGGGUUCCAGGGAUGGCUCCAUCUCGGUUGUGGAUCUAAUCAGCUCCAUCAGACCGCCCGCCUCCACAGUGAAGCUUCCGGCCACUGCUUCCACAGCAGGACAGGAGUAGAAGUGAGCGCUUCAGGUGGAUAAGCUUCGACGCUCUCAACCUGGUUUGGAUCGUUUGACUAUGGCUCCGCGUUCUUUACAAUCAAAAGCUCGAUCACGAGGGUCCAAAUCAAGGUCUCCAUCUCGCCUUAUUAAAUAAGUUCGGGCAAAUCUACAUUUGAAGAAGUUAUAGGUAUAGGUCGGGAGAUGGGAUUGGAUCCGGAAUUAGAAUUGGCUUUGCAUCAUCUGGAACUAAAUAAGCUUCGGGUUUUUGAUUGAAAUUAGAAUCUGCAUAUGGAAUUCGAACCGGGCUACCCCAUGAUCGUGAUAUGAUAUCAUCAUUAGGUGGUGAGAAAGCACGCCUUAUGACGAAAAGGGAGCAUUACGUCCGAUCAAGACACCAGUCUGCCCGGUGCUGCGGAAGAAAUUAGGUACUGAACUGAGGUUUAGCAGUGCUUAUCACUUAGGAUAGCCAGACUCCAGUCAUCGGUUUACUGGAAGACUUUUUGAGGAGCUUAGUGCAAGGGAGACCGAGCAAGUGGGAAUAAGUUCUCCCAACUGCAAAGUUUGCCUAUAAAAAUGAUGUGAAUCGGCCUAUGUUAAGUAAGGGGGGAAGUAACCAUUCGAAGUGGUGUAUGGUAAGAGGAUUAACAAUAAGGGGAAAGCACAGCGAUCAAAGCUUUGGUUUAGGGCCUACUUGGUUUAAACGAAAGAAGAGAUCUUUCUAGUGAAUCAGUUCCUAGAGGGUUCCAAACUGAGCCUUCCAAUAUGAGAGCGAGACAAGCAAGCCUAACCCAUCCAAUGAAGGAAGUGACGUUUGCUACGAUCAAUAUCCGAACAACACCUUGACUUUAAAUCUAGAUGAUGGGAGGACCCCCUCUCCUGCGUGAUUUGAUCUCUUUCCCAUUUGUCGAGUCGAGCUAUCACCCCGAUUGGAAUAGAUAUACACAGCCCCUCUACCCCCUACUCUAGUCAGCUUUCUAUCUCUUUCUCCAACCUUCGAUGAUCCUCCAGCAGGCAAAUCAUAAAAGUCAAGAAGAAGUGAUGGGCCUGAUCUUCCGAUAUCGAUAUCUGAUAUCCAUAAGCUAGCUCUUGGUUAAGAAAAUCCUGCUAUAAAGAGGGAGUUGGCAGAGGUAGAAUCGGCAUCUGUCUCGCCUGCUGGAAAGCUUGACUUGGCUAUUGAAAUCAGCAGCAGAUGUUCUCAAAUCAACAACAUUAAGAAGAAUACGUUCUUGGAAGAAUUUCUACUAUAAGGGAGGAGUUCUCAUACCCAGUUAAAUGAUGUUGGAGUUUUCCCGCCUCAAGGGGAAUACUUUUUAUAAGCUCUUCUGUCUCUUGGCGACUCGGAACGAAUGCUUGAAUCCGCUUCUGUCGUUAGAACGAGAAUAGCUCAAGUGGAAUCUCUUUCUUUUUGGAGGGUUCCGGAAUUGAGAGAGUCAAGUCAUAUAUGGCAUUCAAAUCGCCAAAUCGUUAUCUUCUCUUUGUCUAGAGUAAGUUGGUGUGAAUUCAACGGAGGUAGAGGAUCCACAAUCAUUAGCUCUGGUUCACAGGCAAGUAGUGAGGGAAUUGAGUUUCACUCUUGAGAGAUAGCCAGAUAGUGUUGAGAGCUACCCGUAGCAGUCGUAAGGUAAGGCCUCCCAUCCCAAUAAGAGUUCAGUCGUAAGUCUGCCCAUUCAACCAUUUUUCUGGGAAUUUGAUACAAAAGGAAAAGGUAGUUGAUCGAUUCCGCCCUUUAGCUUGGCACGUUGAUGGAAUAAGUGCUCUUCUCUCUUUUUCUAUCCCCUCUUAUACAACUAUAGAAUACAGAAGAAUGACAUUCCCUUCCCCGAAAGCCUAGAAGUAAGCCAUAACUCAACACGAUGCAAGGAAUAGCUAUCGUUUCGUGCCCCAAUCCAAGCACGGGAUGAGACUGACCAACUGAUCCUAGUGGCUCUGGGUCAGGUCACGAACGGUAUUAGAUUGAUUUGAGCUCUAUCGUCCCAUCCUCUAACUAAACUAGUCCACCAGCGAAGGUAGGCAACUUACUAAGUAGAGUCUCUAAUGUUAGCAAGAUCCGCUACGCUAUUGAAAGGCUCUUAGUUGCUUAUCCGGGAUUAGAAAAAGGCGUAACUGCUCUUGUCUCUUCUUUCAAAGAAAUUCCUCCAGUUUACAGAGAUAUGAUCGUAAAAUAAGUGGAAUUACAAAUAAAACUGAUUCCACUCAAGCAAGAAUAGUUUCUCCUUCCCUUGCUUCUGUCUUCCUCUAGCAACCGAUUCUUUUAUUUUUAACUGACUGAACCAUCAGGAGGGUAUUCUCAAGCAGCUGAUUCGAUAGCAUUUGUCCGGAUUCACCAAGAGCUUUUUCUUUCGUUGAGCAGCAAUCCCCUUCCCUUCUUGAACAAGCCAUUCAAAGAGGGCAUGAGAUGACAUCUUAUUCUAUGUCAUUUGCUUUCCUUAGGACUUUUCUAGGCUAAACCUUGUCUUUCUCAUUGGCAUUGACCUACAACCUUCGACAGUUGUUAGUUGUGAUUCCGCUUUCAUGUCUUGGAUUGAGCUUUCACUCCAGCCCUUCUCCAUUCGAUCUAGUGGGAGUCUUAAAGGUUGCAUUCCUAAAGGCAUCUAAUCUUUCUGCGCCUGUUGCAGAUUUCUUUUUAGCCUUUAGUUCUCCUGCUUUCGCCUGCUUUCGAGCGAGAAAGAGUGCGUCAGUCUUCACCUCCAAUUGCGCAAGCCCUGACAGUUUCAGUCUUUCUCUUGAGAGUUCCCCUCUUCCAAAGCAUCGAUUCCAGCCAUUGGUAGUUCGCUUAAUCCAAUUGAAGAAUAAAGGCCAGCUCGCUUUCUUUCAAGCCAACCUGUUGGAGUUCUUUUCCUUCACCCUGCCAAUCUUUCUGCUUUUGAGCGAGCCCCCAAUUGCAGUUCUCUUUAAGGCAGUUUCAGAAAAAAGGCCUUCUAUGGCGAUAGGUGAAUACGGUCCAGCCAAUAGUUCCUAGGGAGGAGGGGGUCGGUCUUUCUUGUCUCUAAGGGUUUUCCCAAUACCAGCAAUCCCGAGAAUAACGUUAGUUAAGAGCACUAAUAUUAGUAGUAUCAAUACCGAAUGGUCUAAAGCACUAAGGCCUAGCAGGCAGAGUAGGGUUAUAGGGAAGCCCCUCCAUUCAUAAGUGCUAAUUCCUCUAGAGCCAAUCCCAAUCUGUCCUUUAUGGAUAAUAUAAAAAGUAGGUAAAUAGUUAAUAAAUAGUUAACUCAAAGACUUCAAGGGCUAUUGCUAUCAGUGAUACCAAUCUCCUUCCAAGCGAGCUUGCAGACCAUGUGCUUUCCUUGGUUCUCCUUUCUUAUCCUAAUGCUUGCGAGCCUCUUGCAGUUCUCGGGUCAUCUUUAUAGUAAGUCCAUGUACCCGCCUUUCCUUUUUGUAUGGAUGGCUUUAGGAGAUUUAUCACUAGCUGGCCCUUAAAGGUUCUUACUGAAUUUAUUUUGCUUACUUCUCCCUUAAGUACUUUACUUUGCCUUUGCUAAGAAAAAGGCCUAAAAGUUUGUCUUGAUAGGAGUAUCCAUAUGAAGGGUCUAUAGGAUUGAAUCCAAUUGCAAUUCCAUUUAGUCUUUCUUCCCUGAAAGAGUAGUCUAUCUAUUUAGUAUAUCUUUCCCUAGUAAGGAUCUCUUUUUUUGGGGGGCUGUAGAUAUCUUUUCUCUAGGGCUUUCUCUUCCCUUAGAAUAGGCAGCUGCUUUGGUUGAAUACUCGUUAGAGGGGUUGUGCAUAUGUUCUCUCUACAGCCGCUCUCAAGCCAUCAAGAAAAGAAGAAGCUGAUUCUAGGUCAACUAUCCAUUGGAAGUGCCCUAUAAGUCAGUAGGAGUUAUAAGCAAAUCUCAUAGAGCUAUUAGGAGUUCUCUGCCAUCAAUUAUAUGAAAUUUUCCAUGUAAUUCCAGACUAGACAUUUCGUACAUCACUGUCGUCCUCUGCUACUGGGUUUGAUAAAGUGGAUAGCAAUGGGAUGGCAUCUUUCAAUCCGGAUGAAGGUCUUGCAGAGCCUCAAAUUGUUUACCGGAUUCGUGCCCCUUCUUUCUUUGAAGAUAAGAGAUAUGCAAAAGAGCCUUCCCCUCCGUUCCGUUAUGAACGGAAGUCCUUAUCCAUUCCCUUUUGUUAGCCUUGCUUGUCUUAGUGCUUUUAGGAAAGUAGAUGGCAUUCAACCUAAUCAGAAAGUCCUUAUAGAAGAUGCAGGUUACCUUCUUUACUAUUAGUCUCUCUUGAUUGAUAUUUAGCUUUCCAGCCUCUCAUUCUUUGUUUACACAAUGCAAAAAAAACCUAUAAAGGUUUUUGGAUUUGAUUAUAGGUUUUCUUAUCUUAUGAUAUUUCUAGUUAGAGGGGUUUUUUUAAAUGAUAAACCUGGUAAAAAAAAGGCAUAGUCUUGGCACUUGACAGGUGAUAGUUACAUCGAAAAGAAAAAAGCUCUAUAAAACAGUCUUGCUAAAACCUUCUUAGGUCACUUCUUGCCAAAUAAAAAGACAUGAAUGAAGGAGAGAGAUAACGAUGCUAUUCAUGAUGAUCAUAGUAGCUUUGUCUCUUUCUCGAGGAUAACUGUAAUCCAACUUGGGUGAGGCUCCUAUAACUAGGGGAAAAAAGAACGAUCGCAAAUCUCAUGAAUCAAUUCAAAUAGAAAAGGUAAUUUAUUAUUAUAGCACGCAUAGGUGAGAGCAUCCCUACCUCUAAUGGUUUGAUAGUCCUUGCCCUCUAAUGCAUGUCACAUUGGAUUUGCUAGUAUUCCUACGGGGCUGGGCUUACUCAGUAUUCCAAAGAGUAUCCUAAUCCAUGUUGCUAUGGAACUCCCCUUAGUGCCCAUAUAUUGUCGCGGGAAAAAAAGGCAUUCGGAUGCACUUAUAGUCUUCUUACUCUAUCUUACCAGAGUACGCGAGGUUUUUCCAAAGCCAUAGCAAGACCAGAGCACUCUUCCAGAGUUUUCUUUCAAUCUUAUCUAACCAUUGAUAAGAUCUAGACCAAAUACGAGAUGACAUGAUGUUGAAAGUUAACCUGACAGCUUUCUCUUCGAAAGGAAUCGUAGAGACUUUCUGGCAGACGAGCUCAUAGCAUCGGAACAUCAGACCAUAUUUGUGAAACUUUGAUAAUUGGUUUUUUCGAUCCGACCUAAAACACAAGGCAGGAGGAUCAAGGAAGCUCUCAACGUGGAUUGAGAAGUAAACUCUUACCAUGUACCACCACGCGCACCAAUCUACGAUCUCUCUUUCUCAAGAACCUGGUUUGUUUAGGGACUAUUCGAAUAAAAACCAAAUCACCAACUUGGAAUUGUUGAGCCCUACGACCUUUAUUUACCCAUUUCUUCAUUCGCUUCGAUGCUUUCUCCAGGUAGGCUUGUGCAAUCUCCAUGUUUUGUUUUCACUCCUUGUUGAGGUUGAAGGCUCUUAGAUUCUUCCCUCCAUAUUGUUCCAAGAAAGUGUGGGAUAGCUUUGGUAAUUGUCCGGUGACCACCUCAAAUGGGCUCUUGUUAGUGGAAAAGCUUUUGUUGGAAUUAAAGCAAAGUUGAGCAACGUCCAAUAACGAAGGCCAGUUAUUCUGAUUGGCUUGAAUAAAGUGCCUUAAGUAUUCCUCUAAUAAUCCAUUGAACAGUUUCGUUUGACCAUCGAUUUGAGGGUGGUAGCUUGAAGAGAUGUUGAGUUGGGACACUAAUAUAUUGAAAAAUUCUCUCCAAAAAGACCCCGUGAAUCUCGAAUUUCUAUCGUUGACAAUGUUUUGAGGGAGGCUCCAGUAUUUGACCACAUGUUUAAACAAUAGUCAAGCUGUGUCUUCCGCUAUACAUACUUAUGAGCGGGAAUGAAUGUGACGUACUUAGAGAACCGAUCAAUCACCACCAAAAUAGCUCCAAGAUCACCAACCUUAGGUAGGCUUGAAAUGAAAUCAAAAGAGAUGCUUUCCUACGAUCUGGAGGGUACCGAUAGUGGUUCAAGCAUGCUUGCAGGUUUUUUUUUUUCAAUUUUGUCUCAUUGGCAAAUAAGGCAAGUCUUUAUAUAGUCCAUCAUAUCUUAUCGCAUGUAAGGCCAAUAGUAUCCUUGUUUCAAUAAAGCCAAAGUGCGUUGCGAACCCGAAUGUCUAGCCUAUGGUGUGUCAUGACAUUCCCUCAUCAGCAUUUGUCUCAGACCUCCUACUCUUGGCACAAACAAUCGAGGCCCCAUGGUCCAUAAGACCCUAUUUUCUUGCCAGAAGUACUUGGACUUCCCCUCUUCCACUAGCUUCAGGAUGGCACUGGCCUGCGGGUCUUUCCCUAAAUGAUCUUCAAUCAACUUGCGAAUGUCUGUCGUGGCUCUGCUAGCUGCCAUUAGGGCAAUUCUUCUAAGGGUCGUUAACUUUGUUCACCUGCUCAAUGCAUCGGCCAUUUGAUUGAUUUUUCUAGCAGUGUGCUCAAAACAAAAAUUGAACUCCGCUAAAAAUUCUUACCGUCUAGCUUGUUUCACUGUGAGCCUUGGUUGGGUGAAGAAAUGGCUAACGACCAUAUUAUCUGUUUUCAUGAGAAAGUGUGAACCCAACAAAUAAUGUCGCCAAGCCCUUAAGCAGUGAACUACCACCAGGAGCUCUUUUUCCUGGGCCGUAUAUUUCCUCUCAGCUUCGCUUAGCUUUUUACUUUUAAAUGCUAUCAAGUGAUAUUAUUGUAAAUGCACUCCUCCAAUAGCGAAAUCAGAUGCAUCCGUCUGAACUUCGAAAGGCUUUUCAAUAUUAGGGAGAGCUAAGAUGGGAUUUUCAUAAUAGCAUUCUUCAAUCCCUCAAAGGCCUCUUAGCACUCACUUGUCCAACACCAUUUAUGCUCUUUUUCAAUAGCUUCAUGAGGGCCGUGGUCUUACGAGAGUACCCUUUCAUAAACCUUUUAUAAUAGUUGGCUAGUCCUAAAAAUGAACGGAGUUCACUAACAUUCUUCGGUGUUGUCCACUCCUUGAGGGCCCUAACCUUUUCCAUGUCCAUUCGAAUGUGGCCAAGUUCGACAAUGUGAUCGAGAAAGUGGAUUUGGGUCUAAGCAAAUGCACACGUCUCCAUUUUCACGUAUAACUGGUGGUCUUGUAACCUUCGAAGCACCUGACGCAAGUGUUCUUGAUGUUCUUCCAGAGUAGAGCUAUAUACCACUAUGUCGUCUAAAUAGAUGACUACAAAUUUGUCUAGAUAGUCAUGGAACACCUGAUUCAUCAAUGUACAAAAUGUGACAGGAGCAUUGGUCAGUCUAAAGGGCAUAACAAGAAAUUCAAAUGCACCAUAUCGUGUUACACAAGUGGUUUUUGGCUCAUCUCCCUCAACGAUUCUAACCUGAUGGUAGCCAGAUCUCAAGUCCAAUUUGGAAAAGUACUUGGCUCGGCUCAAUUGAUCAAACAAAUCUGCUAUAAGAGGGAUGGGAUAUUUGUUUCUCACGGUGACUUUGUUCAGGGCCCUAUAGUCAACACAUAAUUGUAAACUUCCAUCAUGCUUUUUCUGAAAUAGCACUGGCUCUCUGAAAUGAGCCUUUAAUGGUCUAAUAAAAUCUAACUUGUAGAAGCUCAUCUAACUGUUUCCUUAGUUCGACCAACUCUGGCGGGGCCAUGCGAUAAGGGGCUCUAGCAGGGGGUUUUACUCCUAUGAGGAGCUCAAUUUCAUGGUCCACUACUCGUGGAGGACGUAAAACCUUAGGCAACAUCUCUGGCAUCACCUCUUCGAAUUUUUUCAACACUUUUUUCACCCCAUCGGCUAUCGGUUCCACUCUCAGCCCUUCUUUGUAGAUCGGCAUGGCCACAAAAGAAGGUUCCCCUCUCUUUACCCCUUUCUUGAACUGUAAAGCUAAAAUCAUUUUCUUCCCACUCUUUGGCAGGAUAAUGGCCGGCACCACACGUGGGUGUUCCCCUAAAAACAACAAGCAACUAGCGAUGGGGAUAGGGAUCACCUGAGCCAACAUCAUGAAGUUCAAUCCAAGAACAACAUCAAAGUCAUCCAUGGGUGAAACUGUAAAGUCUACCUUUCAUUCCAAUGGCUCCAAUUUGGUUGUUACAUUCUUAGAGCUUCCACUGAUCGUAAAGGCUGACGAAUUAACUGCCUUCAUUCGUCUACAGUCCUUGCUAACCUAGAGACCACACCUUUUUCCUUCUUCUGGUGUGAUGAAAGUAUCGGUUGCACCCGUAUCUACCAUGACCUCGGUGACCUUCUUAUUGAUCAUUAAGUUUACAUACAUCAAGCCUCUACCCUGCUCUUUCUUUAUUGGGUUCAGUUGGGUGUGGAGGGCAUUGAGGAACCUUAUUGAACCCAUCCUGGCUGGCACCUCUUCAACUUCUUCAACGCUCUCUGGCGCUUUUACGGACUCUUGAAACGAGGCUCUGAAGGCAUUAAGGGCUCCUCUGUGUAGUCAUUCGACCACCCGAAGCGGCCUCUUACAGAGGAAGCAAGCUAGCGGUUGCCUAGGCUUGAAAAUCAUGGCAUUGCUUGUCUUGGGUUAGGUGCUAUCUCGAUCAAAGGACCUCCUGUCUGAUUUCCCACUGAAGGGUCGGUCCAACCUAGUCAUCUUUCCUCCACUCCCAAAGUUGAAGCUACUGCCAGCUGAUGGAGGAUUUUUCUUUUUUGAAGAGCCAUCAUUAUAAUCGUGGAGAUGUUCAGCUGCAGCUAUGGCCAUGGCCACGUCUUGCAUUUUUUAUUUUUGUAGUUCUGUCAUGGCCCAAGGCUUGAGGCCCUCAAGAAAAUCAAACAUCUUGUCCUUUUCGGACAUGUUUCAAAUAUCCAACAUCAGGGUAGAAAAACUUCUUACAAACUCUCGUACUAUUCUUGUGUGCACCAAUUCUCGAAGUCUCCUUCGGGCCAUAUACUCCACAUUCUCAGGGAAAAACUGGUUUUUCAGUUCUUGUUUCAGGUCCGUCCAAGUCUUAAUCAGGCACUCAUUAUUAACAAACUUGGAGUGCCAUCAUAGUUUGGCAUCCUCUGUGAGGUACAUGAUGCCAUUGCUAUCUUGUCUUCCUCUGAAUCUGUGUGUACAGCUCGAAAGUACUACUCCAUGUCAAAUAGGAAGUUUUCAAGCUCCUUGGGAUCCCUUGGCCCCUCAUAGCAUUGAGGCUCUGGCACCUUGGCCUUUUUUCCCCUUUUUCGUCGAGCUCGAACCUGAUCUGGCCAUAGCCAUUUGAAAGAUGCUCACCUGUGCUCUGAACUCCUCAAACUCCUUUUGGAGGAUAUUCAAGGCAUUUCUAGCCUCCUCGCUCACGUUAUGGAGAGUAUCGGAUAACUCCUGCUGGGUUAUCUCGAUCUUUAGUCACCAUGUGAGUUUUCACUGUGGCCACUUCGGCCUCAAGUUUCUAAAUUUUUUGUUGAUAAUUAGGUCCACCACUUGUGGCCAUCUCUUCCAUUUCUAGCACUUCUCAACCGUGCUCUGAUACCACGUGUCACGGACUCGACUUUCCCUCAACAAGCAAUAGCCCGUGUGGCACUUGAAUGGACGCUUCCACCCAAGUUAGCCCUCAAUAGUUCGAUAUCUGAACAAAUAACCAUUAGCUACAGUUAGUCCCUAGCAUACGCAAUAAGACACAUUCAUAUCGAGAUCAAUCUCAAACACACACAAGAAAAUACAUUCACAUCGACAAAAGAAAAACACAUCAAGGCAAUAAUCGCGACAUUAGAAUCGAGGUGAAUUUCAUUAAAAUCGAUGAUGUUACAUCGGGACUUCCCACCAUCGCCAGGGCUAGGGGGCAGCCCUUAGAUGAUGGCUUAGGCCUGUAUCGCGACCGGUGAGAUAGCCCAACAGUAUGCUGCUCGCUUACCCCCUUAAAAAGCCUUAGAGAUUUUAGAGCUAUGUUACCACUAACCAUUACAAUAUUUGAAAUGGGGACAAUUUUCCUAGCACAAGAGAUCUACCCGGUCAUGGCCCUAUACAUGAGUGGCUAACGACAACCUAAGCCUCGGUCAUGGCCUUAUACAAGGUUGGCUCAUGACACUUUGCCUGCCCUUUAUAAUAAGAAAUUCCGGCUCGGCCCGGGAAAGCGCUGGCAACAACAGAAAGGAAGGGGUCCAUGUAACUGCUGCGCCCGCCCCUCUUCAACAUCAAUGGGGCAGCAGGUUCGGCAUCUACUAGAAAAGAGAGAAUCCACUUCAGAUAACCAUGCCUCUGCUAGGCAGCGUGUGGAAUGGCCAAGAGCGGACCUUUUUGGAUAUAUAAUCCAAGUCGAGAGUGGAGUUACGGGAACAGCCGUCUGAUGGAAAACAACUUUCACGUUCGGUUCAGAGAGCACUUUUUUCGUUGAGAAUUCCUCAUUCCCUUUCAUGUGAAUUCCCCAACGGUGAAUUCAAAACUUGUAGGGCCUAUCUAUUCCAUCUCUUGAGCCUAGGGUUGGCAUCGGGUCGGGUUUGGGGCGGAUUUUGCUUGCCCCGAACCCGACCCGAUUUAAUCUUUAUUAAACCCGAACCCGACCAUACCCGAAAUUUUUUUUUAUUUUUCAUACCUGAACCCGAUAUCAUGUAGACCGUACCCGACCUGAUCCGACUCGAAAUUAAUAAAAUAUUAUUUUUUUAAUAUAAAAUAUUUAAAAAUAUCAUUAUAUAAAUAUAUAUUUAUAUAUAAUAAAAAAUUAAAUAAUUAAUUAAAAAAUAAUUUUUUAUAUAAUAUCGAGUCGGGUCGGGUCGGGUUUUUGGCAAACCCGACCUCGAUCCGACCCCGAUUGUUUUCUUAUUUUAUCCAACCCGACCCCGAACCUAACCCGAUACCUGAAUUUCAAAAAAAACUGACCCCGUGAGGUCGGGUCGGGUCGGGCCGGAACCCGUCGGAGACGGGUUAGUUCGCCAUCCCUACUCGAGCCCCGAAGAAAACCCCCUCCCCUUCGGACUCCAUAUCUCUUUUGACUCUAUAUAUGUGGGCACCUGAUAUCUAUGAGGGUUCACCCACCCCGGUUACAGCAUUCCUUUCUAUUGCGCCUAAAAUUUCUAUUUCUGCUAAUAUUUCACGUGUUUCUAUUUAUGGUUCCUAUGGAGCUACAUUGCAACAAAUCUUCUUUUUUUGCAGCAUUGCUUCUAUGAUCUUAGGAGCACUGGCCGCCAUGGCCCAAACGAAAGUAAAAAGACCUCUAGCUCAUAGUUCAAUUGGACAUGUAGGUUAUAUUCGUACUGGUUUCUCAUGUGGAACCAUAGAAGGAAUUCAAUCACUACUAAUUGGUAUCUUUAUUUAUGCAUUAAUGACGAUAAAUGCAUUCGCCAUAGUUUCAGCAUUACGGCAAACCCGUGUCAAAUAUAUAGCGGAUUUGGGCGCUCUAGCCAAAACGAAUCCUAUUUCGGCUAUUACCUUCUCCAUUACUAUGUUCUCAUACGCAGGAACACCCCCGUUAGCCGGCUUUUGUAGCAAAUUCUAUUUGUUCUUCGCCGCUUUGGGUUGUGGGGCUUACUUCCUAGCCCCAGUGGGAGUAGUGACUAGCGUUAUAGGUUGUUGGGCGGCCGGAAGGUUGCCACGAGUAAGUCAGUUUGGGGGGCCGAAGGCCGUUCUCCGUGCACCGGACACGUAGCUUACCGAAUCAGUUGCGACACAGAUGGGAAUGCAUGCUACGAAAGAUAGGGUCGAGUCUGAUACAUCAACCGUCUACUCAAUAUCCUUGUAUGAGUCCACAAUCACUACACGAGAUGAACCUUGGUUUGGUGAAUUGAAGUUGGCCUUAGGUGUAAUAGGACUCCCAGUUACUGCACACGAUCGUAUAUUGAGGUGCUCCCCGUCGGUUGUUGGAACGACGGGAGUCGGGCCUGGCCUCA